CAUAAUAUUUUUUAAUAUAAAAUGCAGACAAUGAUAAGAAUUUUACAAAGUGGGGCAUGAAAGCUGACUUAAUGUAGUUCUACAUUACAGUAGCAAUGAAAGUAACAUGCCAGGGCUAAACUUGAAUUUGUUUGUCAGUUGUUUAACCUUACUCACUCGUCACAUAUCAACUAUCGUAAUAUCAACCUAUCUAAACGUAUUUUAAUACAUAGAUACAUCCAUAUUUAGUUAAAUUUGAACCACUUAAUAUGGUACGAAAGAAGUACUCCGUAGUAAAUUCCUGUAGAAAACACAGAUAUGUCUAGUUUUAAAAUAAAAGAUCAGAGAUAAAUUUGGUGAGAAAGAAAGUGUACGUACUCACUCAGCCAAAAGAACCGAAGUUGAGUAUCCACAGGAAAGCAAAGGGGAGAGAGAGAGAGAACAAAAAAAAAAAGGAAAGCAUGUGGGAGCCACUGGGUGCGCGUAGCAGGGAGGCAGGACGGGUGGGCAAUUAUUUCGGAUUUCGGGAGCCGUCGCUUUCCCUCUGCGCUGUAGUAGUGGCCGAGCGAGUAGCUGUCGAGCCUUUAACACGUUAUAAGCCAGAUACCUUAUCAAAAGCCCUAUAUAAGUACAGGACCUUAUCAGACAACUGGCCACGCAUUCGUUCAUCCAUCCAUGCGUCCGGUUCCGUCCCGAAUUUAAUUCCUUUUUAAAAGGGAAAAGAAAAGGAAGAAAAAACCUGCACCGCCACGUCUCACGUGCCACUCAGGCUCUGACACGUGGCGAGGUCCUUGGACCACCUGCUCACGUACCGAGUUUGGCUUUGACCGCUCUGGAAGCAGGGCCCCACUACGUGUGCCUGUACGGGCUGGACGCGGAAUAUGAGGGCUCGGGGACUGGAAGUAAUUACGAUGAAUGCCACUGAGGGGAACUUUGCCUCGGGAAUGGCGGAGGGGUAAUUCGGGGCUGAGGAAAGGGAAUCCCUGGGUGCCUUUUUUCUGGUGUGGUGGGAUCGAUCGCGGCCCCCCCGUCCGUAUCUGCGCGGCAGUGGGGAUCACAUGCAUGCGCGCGUGUGGCGCGGGAUCGUCUGUGGCUGGCUUCUUCUCGUUGGAUCGCGUACAGUGAAGUCGACGGGCGAUAGAGAUUUUCUUUCCUUUGGAAUUAUGAUGUUUUUAACGUCGAGAAAAAGUUAGUUGGUCAGGAGUAGUUCAUUGAACGGUUGCUUGUCCGUUUUCGCUACGGCAGAUCCUUGGGUCCAUGGGGAAAUGGACGCUAGACUUUAGAUAAGAAUGCAAAGCUAGACUUGGAAGAGAAAAAUUGGAUGCUAUCUUGCAUAGUUGCGAGUUUGUGGCUCGUGAACCGUUGGCCGGAAAGUCCCUUUGGAUUAGGCGUCCGUGUGAAGCAGAAGCAGCUAGGGCCACAAUUUUUUAUGUGCGAUCUCGGUAUUUCUUUGUCCGGAUUUAUAAGGCUGGCGUGAUUUUUUUUGGGUAUAAGCUUGAUCAACAUUAUGUUAAUAGUGAGAAAGUAAUGUGGUGUACUGGUUUCGUGUAGAAAAAUCGUACAAACCUCGUAAUGUAUUUGUAGCACCAAUUUCAGCACAGGUUAAAAUUGUGCUCCGUACAAACAACUGCGUAUAGGUUAUCUAGUCUGCAACCCGAUAAAUAUAACUGGGCUUUGCUUUCUCACCCGUUACUGUCAUACCGGACCUUGUUACUACACGUGCAACGUUAAUUUGUUCGUCCCGCUGUGCGUUAUUACAAGCACAACAGGCCUGAGGACAACUUUUUUUUUCUCUCCGAUGCAAAUGCACAACAUUAAAGAUUAUACCCAAAAGGUGGAAAACUAAAUCGCGCAAUCGAGUACGUACGCCUUGGAUGGUCAAGGACGAAUUUUGAUGUCAACACGGACUACAUCCGCAGAAAAAUUAGAUCGAUCCUACUAUAGCUAGGUACUGCCGGUACUAUACUUAUUACUCCAGGUUAAAAAUAAUGCUUCUGCAAGCCAAUAAAGCAGUGCAUCAAAAUUGCAUGCAGAUAGGAUAUCUCUUUGCUACUUCUGCCGUGUUAGUACGUGCAUGGAUCCAGUAGUACCGAAUGCCCAUCUUCCAACUUUUCGUAAUUAAAAGCAACGAGAAAGAAAGACAGAACUAGAGAAAUAAAAAAAAAUUGCAAGUGGAGCGCCUGCCCAGAUCCGGACACGCACGAGAGAGAGAGAGAGAGAGAGAGAGAGAUUGUGGAGUGAGGGAUGAAUGUGACGGGGGUAAACUGUUGGGUACGCCAUAAUUGGGUUGGGGCCAUCAUGUGCGUGCUACGCUGCUGCUAGUACUACUACUAGUAGUGCACUGUACGUACCGUCAAACGUGUGUACGGCGGGUAGCUAGGACGCGCCUUUCUCCACCUAGUGGGUCUUGUUUUGCUACAACCACCCCACGUACAUGUCCACGCAAAACAAUCUAGGCGUAUAUACAUGCAUGUCUCGAUCUGUCUAUUUAAAGUGCAUAAGAAACUAUGUGUAUUCUUUUGUGUCAUGCUCUCUCCAUUUAUAAAAUUAGCCGCAAACAAGUCAAACUUUUUGAACUUUUACCGAGUUUAUACAAAAAAAUUACCAACAAUACGACUCCAAAUUAGUUUAACUAAAUCUACCAUGAUAUAUAUAUUUCAUAAGAUAUUUAUUUGAUAUUCUAGAUAUUGAUGCUUUCUUUAGUAAACUUAGUCAAAUUUAAAAAAAAAUUGACUUAGAACAAAGCUACUGAUUUACUCUUAUAUUUAGAAAGGGUAUGGACUAGGCUAGUCUUGUUUGGACCCGAUUUCAUGUGCCACAUGCAUGUGUAGGCGUAGAGGACGGAGCUAGCAGGGGGCAUCCAAAACCCAUGGUUCUCUUGUAUCACGAGGCUGCUCAAAAUAUUGUUAGCCGAGUGAGCACCAAGAUCUCUCUCUAGCUUUCACUCUCCAUCUAUUUCUCUCUCUCUCUUGCUCUCAACGCAUAAAGAAUGGACAAGUGAAUUUCACACCUGCUUCAAAAGGCCUGGCUAGCUCCACGUGUCCCCACAACCACACCUGCUUGCUCCCAAAAAGGAUAAGUUAUAGGGUGCAUUAGAUGGGGACAAGCCAUCCAUCAUGCUCUUUUGUACGUGUCGUAUUUAAACAGAGUUUUUUUUUUUGAGGAAACAGAGGGAGUAUUUUUGUUAUGCUAUAACUGUGCGAGUGGCAAGAAGAGGGAGCAGAAUGAUCCUGCUAUUUUGGUCACCGCGGAAAUUUGGCGAAUCUAUACAAAAAUAGAAUCCAUGAUAAUGAUGAUUUUCAGUUUUCUUUGCAAGAGGAAGAAGAAGAAGAUUUCCAGUUUUUUUUUUUGACGAUUCCAUGCUGACAAUCACAUCACUUGGACGUUUUCCUUGCGUCUGAACAUUAUAUAUAAAAAGUUUAAGUUUGCUGGUCGUACCGAUGCUAACGCGUGCUGAUUUGGACAGGCACCGUGGGAGCUAAUUUUUGGUACGGUAUAAGUCACCAUCUUGAUGUGAAACCUGAUGCUAGAUUUCCAGUUUGGCUAUUUGUAUUAAUCAACGUGGUUUGUUUGUCGUUUAGGCGUACCAGUCCGGGACCUGACUUUGUAAUUAGGACAAUAGAGAAAGGCUAAUCAUGCUCAACAAAGCUGGCUUGAUCGCUAGCUAGAUACUUUUUGCUAGGCUAGCCAAGAGAUAAAACUAUAGAGCAUCAAGAUCCUUUCAUUAGGUGUGCUCGAUCGAACUUUCCCUGGGGAAAAAGGAGUCAUCGAUCGCCGAUGAAUUUUACAGAAUUCUCACCAAUUAUUGGUAAGAGAUGGUGUCGCCAGCAAAUUUCCCUCAAUUAUUGGCACCUAGGACUGCGGGACCAAUGUUUUGUGUCAAGGGAAAUACAUAUACUCUUGCAAAAGAAAAGGGAAAUACAUAUACGGAGUAUGGGGCACAGAAACUUCCACCAAAAUGCUCAAGCAUUGUCACUGGUGUACUACCCAGCCAUCUCCAUCCCCCAUUCUGAAAUCUGAAUUCAAUAUUGACCCACGAAAUUCUAUCUUAUCAUUUUCCUUCGUUAGAUAAAAUCUGACAAAUUUCAUUUCUGAGGAUCUUGUCAAGGUCAGUCAAAAUAGAGUACGUGUACGGACAACUGAAAUCUUUGCCCAGAUCCUGGCUAGGCGAGAAGGACCAUACUAAGAUCUCCUGUCAGUAGUUAUCCGACGGUAAUUAUCGGUAGUGGUACGUGUUGUUGCAGAUAGGCCAAACAGAAGGCACAUGGUCGGCAGUAUCGUCACUGUGACGACCCCACUGGCAGUACAAAAACUGAGGAGUCCUUUUCCACCAAAAUUUUUUUCUCUUUCCGAGGAGAACACCAAAAUGACAGGGAAGGAAAGGAAGAGGACGGAGGGGACGUGAGUGGAGCUGCUGCUGAUGAUGUGUGCUGCUGUUUGGCUCUGAGCAUUUCUUUUUUUAUUCUGGAAAUUAUUUUUUUUCUUAGAGAGAGAGGUGUGGCCUGGUCUGUCCGUCAGUGUCAAGGAAAGUGAGGUAGUUUGUGGUUGGAGGAACUAUGAUGGCAGGGAGCGCUCUCCCCUGCCCUGCAUUGAAACCUCCCAGGCCGUACUAUGUGGAAAUGGAAAGUGUACACACUCAAGGUCUACCUCGGACUGUUUUUAUUAGUUCUCCAUUCAGCCUACUACUAAGCCGUAUAACUUUUGACUAAUAAAUUGUUAAAGUUUGACUAAAUUUAUAGUAAAAAUAUAUCUCAUAUACGAAAUCAAUAACUACAAAAGUUUAUUCACGAUAGAUAUAGUGAUUAUGAUUUGGAAACGCAAAUGUUAAUAGUUGUGCUACACGCUGUAUCGAACUUUCGAACGUCCGACAGUCAACAAAAAUUAUACUUGAUAUAUUAUGUAUGACUUAUAUUCUGUAACAGAGAGAGCAUGCGUGUGAGUUAUUAUAUAUGGCAACUUCUUGGUGGUGCGGUUAGAGCGUUACUUGAUACUCCCUCCAUUUCACAAAGAUCGGCGUAUUUUGUUUCGUUAAGACAAGGCUUUGACCAAUGACAACUCUAUUAAUAUGUGUUUUUACGUACAUGAAAUUUAUAUCAAUAUAUUCAUCUUUAAAAUUCUUUCUAAUAAUCAUGAUUUUGUAUGAUAUAGGUUACAUAUUAAUAGUGUAAUUCUUGAUCAAAGCAUUUUCUUCACGAAACAAAAUACGUCAAUCUGUAUGAAAUGGAGGGAGCAUAAAGUAACGACUAAAUUUCCUAAAUCCCGACACUUAUAAUGGAUCCGACGAAGUAUUGACUUGUCUAGAUUCCUCCGUCCAGAAAUAAGUGACUCAACUUUAUCUAAAUUCGCACGUAUCUAUACGCUAAAACACGCCUAGAAAAGUAAAAUCUAGACAAAUCCGAGUCAUUUAUUUUCGUACGGCGGGAGUACUGAACGUUGCGGCAACAAGGCAACAGCCCGCGUGUGGCCGUAGCGGGGACGCCGAUUGGCACGCCGCGUACGGCCGGCGGGGGAGCGAGCGAGAGCCGAAUCGAAUCACACAUCCAGCAGACACACUCGUGACAGAAAGAGAAGCCCCGCCCCCCGUCUCCCCCCUUCCCCUCUCUCUCCAUCGGUCGCUGUCGUCCACUGCUCUCUCCCGCAAGGGUUGACGAAACUGCCCCCCGCCCCAACGACCACCACGCCUCGCAGGGGCAAAACCGUCCGCUCCGAUCCUCCUCCCCUCCGGAGAACUUCCUUUGCGUGUGCUUGGGUGGGGACCCCACACACGCGCAUCUGCAUCUCGGCCUGUGCGCACACACACGUCUGCGUCCGUUUCUCCAUCCGUCUCGGCGGCUUAUCGCGAGAUAUACAUGUGCGCGCACGCACGCGCGGUACGAUAUGUACUCCGGUGCGUGGGAAGGCGUGAAAGGAGAGACGAGAUGAGACGAGACGUGGGGGUGGGGAGGGAGUCUUUUUAAAGCCUGGAGCUGUACGCUUCUUUCCUGUGUCGCAGAGAGAGCAGGCGGGGGGUGGGAAGGGGUGUGUGUUUCCUGCCGUCCCUUCUCGACACGUCCCUCUUUCUCUACCUCCUCUCCCCGUGUGCCCUAGUACGUGUAUCUACUCUCCGUGUUUGCGUACAGUUGCGUACCUGUCUAUACAUCCUUUUCUCUCUACAAAUAAUAAUACUAGCUUGGGGACGAAUUGGAAGGCUCGGGGAACGAAAAGUCACACUGCCCUGCGUUACAACGUAGAGCGAAAUGAUUCGACAACGUCGACACCUGUCAUCUCGAGCUUACCGAACAUUUUGCAUGUCCAGCCCUGCAGACAUUAAAUGACUCGAGCCUGUCUAGAUGUCCAUUUAAUAUGAGACGGAGAAAGUAAUUCCUACCGAAUUCAACAUUUGUAUUGAUUACGAAGGGAGUACUAACUUGAUGAUUUAAACACUUAUUUAGUUCGCCAAUGUUAAAUGACUCUUAGUGAGGUUAGUUUUAUAGAGACUAUAGAUAAAUACAAACAUUACAUAACAAGCCAAUGUAAGAUGAGAGAGAAUGAAUAACCUCACUCUAACGUACUAGAAGUGCAAAAGGAUGACCUUGAGAGCAACUUCUGGCCCUACCUUAGUUCAACCAUGCAAAUGAACAAAAAUUUGUAAAAUCACAUUGCUUUAUAUAAAACUAGUUCAUUUUUUUCAACUAAAAAGGGUUGGAAGGUACUCUUAGGGUCGUCUUUUUGCACCUCUAGUUACAACUACAAGGGCACAGACCCGCCCAAAAAAGCAUCGGGUGUAUUACAAAACAUCGAACACCCGAGGUCUGUUACCCAUUACAUUCUUUUUCUAAGAUGUUUAAACUUUAUACUAAGUCAAACAUUUAAAAUUUGGUCAAGUUCAUAGAAAAAACACUAACAUCUACAACUCAAAAUUGGUAUUAUUAAAUCUGUCACGAUAUAUACAUAUAUAAAUUGAUAGAAGAUAUACUCCCUCCGACCGGUAUUACUUGUCUCAAAUUUUCCAAAUACGGAUGUAUCUAUGUGUAAAAAGCGUCUAGAUACAUGUAAUAUUUCGACAAGUAAUUCCGGCCGGAGGGAGUAGUAGAUUCCUAUAAAAUUUAGUCAAACAUUAAACUUGGUCGACAAUUUGACUUGGAACACAAAGCCACGAUAUGUUAUAAAAAGAUCGGAGGGAGUUGUACAAUGCUAGGUGCUUAUUAAAAAUAAAAUACUCUGUUCCUGCCUGUUUCUGUAAGAUACGAGCUUAAUUAGGACAUCUUCAACAGGGCACAGUUACAUAGCUUGCAUGUCAUCACUUCUUUUUCUAUUUUAAUCUCAUCUAUCCUUUAUUAUAUAGGGAUAUUUUAUUUUGUACUUUUCUCUUUCCUAGCAGGCCCACUGUCAUCCCCUUUUCUAGUCUUGGUACCCGUGUAGUAGUGGUAUCUUGCAGAGAAAACCAUCUCUUCAACUUUGGUUCAACCUCAGCCCAAGAAGUAGGAAAAAGAAUAUAGGUAGUCCCUCCAUUCUAUAAUUCUUGUCGAAAUCUUACAUGUAUCUAGACACCUUUAGAAAUAGAUACAUUCAUUGUUAAACAAAUUUGAGACAAGAAUUAUAGAACGGAUGGAGUACUUGCUUAGUAGUACCCUGUUGGAGAUACCCUUGGUACGGAGUAAAAAAAAUAAGCAUCAAUGUUUAAGAAUAAAUCGAUUUAAUCUUAUAAACACCAUUACGCAUGAAUGCUCAGAGGAAAAUAAAACACAUGCUAACGUACUCGUUCAUCAUGAGACGGAGAGUACCCGUCAAGAAAUGAGGAAAUUGUACAUUCCACUCAUCUUUGUGAAGGUUGCUGCGGAAAACACCUACUCGACAAUUUUUUUGUGGAAAACACCCACUCGACGUCUAAUCCGUUGCACACAAGUUCUAAUCCGUGUUUGAUCUCGUUAACAAGCAUUCUGACCGAUGGGGCCCACAUGUCAGAGACACCCUGGCCUAAGGGGGCUGCCACGGUGGCUCAUCCCCUUCCUUGAGGCUCUUCAAGGGAGUGCGCUGCGGCGGAGGCGGCGCCCAGGCCCGCAGGGCGCGACAGCCCAGACACCGCCCGCGCGCUCGGCUUCUUCGGCCGCUCCAUUAUCUAGCUGCCCAGCUCCGACCUGCUCUGCAGGACCUUGCACGGGCUCGCUGCGGCGCACGGCGUGCGUGAGGCGUGAUCAACCUCAUGUCGAGUGCGUUCUGCUCCGCCGACGUGGUCGCCGACGCCAACCUGUCUUCCACGCUGGAGCUGCGGGAGCUCAUGGAGGACCUCACUGUGACGGUCGCCAAACCCAACGUCUCCGGCCUCGUCCCUUUCCUACAGUGAGGUAGGUGCAGACGGCGGCGGCAACGAAGGAUGGGAUCCAUCUGUCUCACGUGGCAAGCCGGAGCGGCCAGGGUGGCUAUGACAUGUGGGUCCCACCGAUCAGAAAGCUUGUUAAGGAGUCCAAACACGAGUUAAGACUUGUGUGCAACGGAUUAGUCGUCGAGUGGGUGUUUCAUGCAACACCCUCCCCGUGACGGGGGUGGAAGGUACAAUUUCCUCGUCAAAAAAUUUACGUCGACGCUCCCUGGAAAAGGUCCUAAGCGGCGUUUGUACAUGGGCGGUACACACUACCACGCAUAGGAUCCUCGCCACGAAAGGACUGCCCCGUCCGUACUAUACUGGAGUACUAUAAGCCAGAACCACACACAUAACAAGAAACCAAGAAAACCAAAAAAAAAAAAACGGGGCGAAAAUGAAAACCCUAGAUAAAUGGAGGCAGACCCUGACAACCACUUUCGUUUUCUUUAUCGGGAGCCUUUCCUUUUCUUCUCUUCUCCAUACGAGAAGAACAAUCAAGCGCGAUUCAUGACAACACGCACCACAGAGGUCCGAGAUUCUCUCCUGCGAGAUAUCUUCUCGCGACACGACACGGUACGACAAGUAGGCGACAAGGCACGAUACUAGGUAAAAUGGGCGCUUUUAUUUUUUAACGGAUGCGAUGGCUUUAAGUUGUUCACAGGUCACCAGCACACGAGACCGGUCAGGCAGGCAGGACGGCUCAGGAGGUGUCAGUGCUAACGUUAGCACCAGUGUCACGUUCACUCGAUCUCUCUCCUUGCUUUUUUAACGUUUUAUUUUUCGUAUUCUUUGGAUCAGUAAUUACUGAGUACGGAGUACGUGAUUUAUUUAUUUUCUGGGUGGAGCCGCGCCUCGUGACAAACACGCUAGACUGGUCAAGGCCAACGCUAAAUCCACAGGCAUUGUACUCGUAGCACUCCCAGAAAAAUAAAAGAGGCUUCAUCGUAUCUUUUUUUUUAGAAAUGGGUACGAAUACAUAGCGGCAGAUUACUCCGCCUACAAAAAUGAAAAAAGUAAUCUUCUUGUUAGUAUUAUACAGAGGUCCAGAUAUAGAAAUGGCAUCCUGUCCCGUGGUAAACUUUUCUGAAUUUCAGACACGGUGUCAAAUCAAUAUGCUCCCCAGUAGUAAAUUAUCUGUCCCAGCCUUUUGACCUAACUUCAUUUUGGCGCAAACUGAAUAAGCUAGGGUUAGAGUGUUGGACAACAACAUCAAGAGAAUCUAAAAGGGGGACCGCUAGCUCUUUGUUGAAAAGAAUAAUGUUUCUUAAGACAAAUUAAAUGUAUACUCGUAAUAUUGUGGAUCUACCCAAGGUUUUUUUUUCUUUUCUUCCUUUUUUCUUAGAUCAUGGGUGUCCCUACGUUUCCCGCCUAUCAUCAUGGAAAGAAGAAUGUCUUUGCGAGAAUUGGCCAGGAGUUGCUGUCCGAACCAAAGCAGAAUUAGCACAAUGUGUACAGAUGGCACUGUCAGGACCAUCAAAAAGGCUAAAUUAAACAUUUAAGCAGCUGCAAGGAAAAUGAUUAAGAUGGUUACACUUCUCGAUCAAAUGGUGGGCCACUGAAAUUGACCUCGUCCCCUGGUCCAGAAUAGCAUGUUUAUUCUCAAUUAUUGAGUCCUUUCUGUGGGUUUUUUCAAAGGACAUGGGUAAGUGCACCCAAAGCGUGUUCAAAAUUGUUGGAUUAUUUAAUCAAUUCAGUACUUCAACUUCAAGCUACGAUUUCAAUGUGAUGCUACUCCACUGGGUUAUGCUUGAGUCAAAUUAAUUUGUGGACAAGACAAAGGAUGGGCCUGGCUCGAGUCAAAGGUAUUUAUCUGAAUACCAAUAUUUUGGCCAAAUAACUAGAUACUACGUAUAUGUAGCACAUGUGUGUAUAAGGGCCUUUUUGAUUCACAGGAUUUCAAAAUCGCAGAAAUAGGAAAAACAUAGGAUUUGAAUGUCAUGUCAUGUUGAAUCUUAUGGAAAUUCAAAAUACAGGAAGUUGUUUGAUUGAACCACAAGGAAAAAUGUAGAAUUUGCUUAAAGGAUUAUGUGCUACUCAUUUUUGUCAUAGAGACAAAGGAAAUUUUCCAUGAGGUUGAAAUUUUCCUUUGGAAUUGCAUGCAAACUAGUCCACAGGAAUUAUUCCUGUGGUUUCAAAUCAUGUAAAUCAAACGAGCUAUAAAGGAAAUAUUCCAUAGGAAUAGAACCCUUCAAAUUUUCUAUGAAAUUUCUUUGAAUCAAAGGAGCCCUAGAUGGAAAAGUAAGUCAAAAUGAUAAGAUGUUUAAGCUACUUAUCCUCAAAACAACUCCCUCCUCCCUUGGCCUAAUGGCCCAAUUCUCAACUGAAUCAAGUUUAUAUCUCCAAAAACAUGGUUUUCAAGUGUAAUUUUUUUGACAUCUUGAAACUUUGAACACCAACUCUAAAAAUCGUAGGCCCGUCCUUGGACCCAAGCUGACGUAUCCUGUUUGCUUUUUUCGAAAAGGGAAAGCGAUCCCCGCCUUCCCGCCCUCUGCAUCAAUUGAUUCAUUCUGUUUGUUGUUUCUAUGUGUACGUCAGUGCACGUUACGGUAGGAUUCAUUCAAGAGGAUUAUCUUGGUUUCGUUCAUAUUCUUUUCUGAUAACUUCAGGUGCACAGAUUUAUCUGGAAAAACAUGAAAGCGAUGGGUAAUAUAGUUACAGAACUUGGAAGUAAGAAAGAACGAGCUGGCCUCAAUUAUGGUGUUCCGCAGGCCGGUAAUUGCUUUCCAGAAUCCAUUUGGGAAUUUCAAGCAGAAGAAUACUUUUUGCAGUAACACAUGACACGUCAGUCUCAUCGUCAGAGCACGCAGCCAAAGAGAAAACUGUAUAGCUAAGCUUCAGGCGUUUCUUUUAUAAGAACAUGCAGAGCUUGCACGCCACUGGUCAUUAAAAAUACAUGCGUUUCUGAGUUCAGAAAACAAAUCCGAUAAAAGAUUGCUGGAACAAAUCAGUAUUUCCUGCAUUAGCUCUCUUUGUUACUUCUUCCGUCACAUAUUUAAUGACUCAAUUUGUCUAAAUAUGAUAUAUCUAUACCGAAAAAGCAUCUAUGCAUGUAAGGGCAUCCACAGUAUUUAGAGAUAUAAUACCUCUAAGCUGGGACCCACCUCUUAUCUCUAACCUUAUCACCAAAUGCUGCAGUCUUUAGAAACAAUUUCAUCUCUAUCAGUACAAAGUACUAUGAUGCUCUCACAUAAUCUUUUUUCUUACUUAUUCUAUUGGACUUCUAUAGCAUAGAGGCUGCCUCCAAAGAAAGAGGCAUUUCUCAUCUCAGAUUCUUAGAGGUAGGAGAUUGGAAUGCUUAGAGGUUGCCUCUAAUGGUUAGAUGCAUCUAUAGAGGUAGAAAAGCUAAAGACCGUGGAUGCUCUAAUAUUUCGUUCACUUAAUAUGGGACGGAAGGAGUAUAAUUUCGAAGAGGACAUGGCGAAUAAUUUCUUCGUCAUAUUUUACGGAAUAUGUAUAUCCUUAUGCGCCUAUACACUCGGGGGAACUUUUAGAAACGAGAAAUUACAUUUUGCUUAGUGGAAGAUUUUGCAGGAGCUCGGUAGCCAAACAAGAUUUUGGACACGUAACAUAUCCAUCGAGGGGUCAUGCCAUGCACGUUGUUGGAGGGGGCAUUUUCAGCUGCAGAAGAGUAUUUUUGCAGUAACACAAAAAUUCUUCAACGUACGCUGCGGUUGCCGACCAAAGUACCAAACUCGGAGCCAAAUUCUUCAACGCUACGGCCACCGUCCAAAGCUCGGAUCGAGAUUGACAACACCCAUCGUCGAUCUGAUAUAUCGGAAUCGUCGUGUCUAACAGACCGGAUUGAAGCACCUGGUAGGAAAAAGAUCCAAGGAAUGUAGCCGUGCAAAAAUACAGUCAUGCUUGGUAUUCUACAGUUUUUAACAAGUAAACUGAACUCUUGAUAGACGGCUCUAUACAAAUCUGGAAGGAAAAAAAAUUCAACCAUACAGCUCAAAAGCAGCGAAGAUGUUUUUUUUUGUUAGUCUUGACACUCUAACCCAGAAGUGUACGGUAAAUCACUCCGGUGAUGAUAUUUCAGACCGUCUUUGAAAGGAUUUUGGUUGUAGGCUGGUAAUUGAUCACAACUCUAGCUAGCUAUUUAGGGCCUCUUUGGAGUGAAUACUGUCGGAGAUCACCUUAACUAUAUUUGUCAGCGCAUUUUUCCUGAAUUCAAAAUUGAGCAGACAAUGUAAUGAAAAUCGGUUCAUGUUGGUCAUAAAACCUUAUACGCGACUUCCGUCCGGUGUAGAACAAUCGUUCCAGUUAUUCGGGCAACAAAACCUGGAUGAGGCCAGAAUUUGUCACUUUGUUUAUGUUCUCACAGUUACCACAGAUCAUCAAUCCUCAAAGCAACGGCAUUCCAAAACAGAAGCAAUAUCCUUACAAGAAAAACACAAGCAAUACACCAGAGGGAUUCAUUCCUAAAAUAAAACACACAAACACCAACCAAAAAGUAAGGAGUACUGCUCGGCAUCUUCAUCUUUUUCAUUUUUUACUCGUAGAAGUACCUACGUACUUCCUCUCUCCCAUAAUAUGAGGCACGUACGCAUCUCUAGAUUCUCAAUUUGAUUAAUUAAAUAUGUAUGUUUCUUAACAAAUAGUACAUCAUUAGAUUCGUUGUCGAAAAAACUUUCUAAUGAUAUAACUUUUUAAUUAUUUAAUUUAUAUUUAGUUAGCAAAAUUAACGAUUUAGGGAUGCGUACUUGUGCCUCGAUAUUAUGAGACGGAGAGAGUACUGUACUGCCGUUUUACUUUUCCUUCUCUCUUCACAGGCGAGUGAAUCAGUAAUACUAGAGUGACAGAGAGUAUUCAAUAUAGGCAUUCCAAUUAGGUCAGGGCACAUGCGCCUGCUGCAUCUCGCAGAAAAUGGAAGCACCUGCUCUUGCGCUCCCCACCAGUAGUACCUCUAUUUUGGAUUGCUGCCCGGUUCCUAUAUAUACACCAUGUUUCAGUUUUAGAAUACUCAUCCCAAUGUUGAAAUACGGUCCUGUGUUUGCCUUUCAAAUUUCCCCCCUUCCAUUUUGUGUUUUGAUUUCAGGAAGACUCAGCUGUUAUUUUCUCUCCUGCAAAAGCAUAGGUAUGCUAUUUUCCUCAUUGUUAAUAGGCUGUUUAAUUGUCAGCUCUCUUCCUUCAUUUUUCAGCCUUACACUGUCUAUUAGUAAUGAUUUCCUUUUGCUCUUAUUUACUUUGUUAUCUUGCUGAGAUUGAAAUUUAUGCGUAACUAAUGAGAUAAACUAUAUGUUCUCUCUAUAGUUUUUGCCCAAGUAACUUUGCUGUUCUUGAUCCUCGGUGACAUUUCCAACCUUUGGAGCUUUCUUAGGCCAUCUAUGUGUCUGGUCCAAACACACUCCAAAGAGGAUGCAAGAACCAAGGAGGAGUGUAUCACCACGAGCUAAACAGUUGUACAAAGGCAGGUGCUCUGCCAAAUCCAUAGGAAAAAAAAGAGGGUCAGCAUCAUCUUCUGGUGAGCCUAGCAUUUCCCAAUCCCCAGUGCUCUGCCUGCCUUCCAAAUGAGUACAAACACAAACUGAGAUUUCUUUUCUCUCCCUCUCUCUCUCUCCCUAUACCUCUUUCCUUUAAUGCGACUAGACUAGACUCAUCGUCGGCAGAGGACUCUGGCUGGCUCCAAUAUAUGCCCCCACAAGCCGCUUUUGUUCCUUACACAUUUGUAUGUUGUCCACCUAUCAUUGGCCCAAAAAACUGGAGUAGUACCACAGCACGGACUAGGUCCAUUGCAUAUGGUCUAAAUAUUUUUGAGGGAUCUCAUCUUGUGUUUUCAGUCCAGAUAUUUGUGGGAAUGUUGCUGAUUUGGUCUUAUUGCCUAAUUUAUAUGUCUGGUUUAUACCUGUAAGGUUUACCUUAUUUUUUACGCUUUCCAGGUAUUACUAUAAAAUGUCACCCAUGAAUAAUGGGAAAUUAUUAUUGCCAGAGCAAUGAAAAGUAGAAACAACUUAUUGUAGCCAUGAUGGUUUGGACAGUUUUUGGAGACGGACCGAGAGCACCGUGGUACCCAUAGAUUCCGGCGACCGAUAUAUUUGAAUAAGCUAUUUCUAGUCCCCAACCGUUAGAAAACAUUUCGUGGAAUAAAUCAAAGGAGUGUCUAUAUUUUGCACGGGCAACCGAUUUUUUUUCUUGUUCCAAUCAUGACCGAUCGAAAAUGUAACAUGUUUCCAGACAACUAAAACCAAAUUGGCACAUCUAUUUUACGAAACCAAGACCGAAUGGAUCGACAAGCGGGUGCAUGUAAACGCGACACGGAAGCAAAAGCCACAUAGGAUCGUGUCAUUCUCCAUUGGUACGCGUAGCAGGCCGGUCCCCCAAAGCCUACACUACACACACCCUCCUUCUCUCUAGGGAGGAACUAGGAGAAAGAGACCCGGUGGUAGUGUUGGGUUGGAUGGACGUCGACGUGGACAGCUCUGUCUGAAAACCGCUGAUCAUCUUAAUUAGACUCUCCAGGACAUAUAUAAUCUCUUCCACUUUACACAAUAUCUUCACUAAAAAAAUUAGAAUAACAAAGAACAACGACCGAUUGCUGGUAAUCAACGUCCCCAUCAUCAUCAGAGUCCUUAAAAGAAAAUUAAGACGAGGCAUGCGAUGCAAAUUAAAUGUGGAAUCCAUCCCAGGCUAGUUCCCCAACUAACAUCACCAAGAAUCUCUUUCUCGCCCGAUAUAUCGCCACAGGUACCCUGAUACCUGUCGCGAGACGAGAUAUCGUUGGCCGUUGCGAUAUGGGGAACGAUGGGUGGCCUCGCAUCACUUCAGCCAGCUCCAUCGCUGUCUGAAUUUCUCUCUCUGUAGACAUGCAGCAUGAACAGACAGCAGGGCUGGGACUAUAUAAUUUGAUAUUGAUAGAAACGAUAACAAUAAUGAUACUAACAAUAUUGGGAAUAUGUCGCUGGCUGAAAGGGAUUGAUGGAUGGAUGGACGCAUAAACUCCUUUCUUUCUUUCUGACCUUUUCUUGUGGAUGGCUACUCCUGCCUAUAUUUCCUCCUCCGCCAUACACAUGCAAAAGUCUAGCCUCAGAUUUUUCCUUAUAUGCAGUAAUUUCUCCGUUCCAAAAUAAAUGAUUUGAAUUUGUAUCUGUACAAUCAUCUAUACAAAUUCAAGUCACUUAUUUUGGGACGGAGAAAGCACUCACCUAAGCUAAGAUCACCGAAAAAAUUCACAAACCUAAAUUUAUGUAGUGACUUAAUUGGCUGGGAUAAUAAUCGUCGCCGGUUUUCCUAGUUUUCGAAUUACCGGCAAUUUGCGUACAGAAAAUACUUGGAUAAAAGACCCUGAAGAAUAUUUCGUACGUAAACUUUAUGAACAGGCAGCUCCAUGUAUAUCCACAGAUGUAUUUGAUGGGGGUGAGUUGUCUGCAAGCAGAGGAUUGUUGGGUUUGGGACAGCGACGUAUCUGGCCCUCCCGCUUUGGAAAAGCCAUCAAAUGGAGCUUUCAAGGAACAAGGAGGAAACUAAUAAAGGAUUAGCUAUUCCUUUGUAGCCUUGUCGGUCCAGGGGCAGGCCCUCUCUCUCUAUAUAUAUUCCAUUCGAGCUGGAGUGUUAAAGCUAGACUGGAUAGAAAAGGCUUUCUCAUUUGCUUCCCAGAUUGUUUUAGUUUGGACAGUGACUAUCGUACACACAUGUAUAAUGCAGAAUUAUCAGCUUUGCAGGCAAUUUUUAUUCUUAUUUUUUAAAAUGAAUCCAAGUUUGGAUAACCAGGUAAUUCUCCAGACUCCUCCACAGGAGUACAUGUCAACCUUUUCUAGUCAUAUUCAAAGAUACAGCCAUCAAGAAGUCUCAACUCAUACUUUUCUUACCACUUUUUAAGAGGAAAGCUAGAAUAGAACGUUUGGAAAAAGGUCCCAUACUAGGCCAAGCCCAUAUGCUUUACAGCGCUAGGCUUAGAUUGGGCCAAUUUGCGUCCCAUGACUGGUUUAACUUAGGCCCAUCUGCCUCCCAGGUAAGCACAAUGCUAACAAGAAACUGGGCAAACAGGCGAUUCAGGACACUGAAGUGUCACAUUGACUAGACUAAAUAAGAGCACAGGUACCAUCACAUCAUUAUAAUGCCGAAGCUAUAGUAUCAGUUCUACGCUACAUAGUCAUUCUUUAAGAGGACAGCAAGAUAACGUAACAAGAGAAGAGGUUCAUACUGACGACAUGCAACUUGCUUGGACACAAAAUUCAGGCGCAAUCUCGUGAACAAUCGUCCGAUUCGUUCCACCCGAGCUUCUCUGGUAAUAGCCAUGUCUGGUGUCGCCACCAUGGUCUAGGUCACUAGCUCACUCGCACUUGAUGGAGCGGUAAAUGUGCCGCACAAAUAGCAGUGACGCACGGAAACCAACUGUGCCCAGCAUCAGGAAGAAACCGUAGCAGACACAGGUCAUGUAGCCGAAGAAGAAGGACGUUUGCAUGAAGCCUGACAUGUCUGACCGGGCAUGGUAGUAGUAGAUGCAGUAGAAGAAGAUGAAUAUGCCAGUGGAGCCUCCACAAAGGACAGAUCUGCAAAUAGAAGGAAAAACUUUCAUUCCACAGGCACAAACAAAAAACAUGUGAUGCAAGGAAGCAUUAGGUCUGAGUAAUAGAAUCCGAGAAUAUGGAACAUGGUUUCCUAAUAUGUAAUGUGUUUUCUCCUGAAGUGCCUCUCAAGUUCUGUUGUUUGUAGUAAGUGUUUUAUGUAUAACUAGAAGCAUUACUAUAGAUAACUUUCAAACACAAACAGUGGAUCUAUGCUCAUUGCUCAUUAUAGCAUAGUACUGAAUACUGAUCUAGCAUGCCAUGUACCAAAUAGUUGCUGAACUGCAUGUUUUUCUACAGUUUAAAUUUUGGUUUGGAUCUGUGGUCAUGAGCAAACAUAACAGAGAAGUAACCAAGUAAAUAUGACAAGAAACAAAAACAUUAACAUAUGAGGAUAAAAGCAUCAAGAUGAAUAAAUGUCCUGAACACUGACCUCCACCACCACUUGUGAUCCUCAACAGCAAGCUGGAAGUAUGUGAGGGCCACUGUGACAAACGCAGUGACGAUGAUGAGGAUAAUGAAGACAAUGAAGAGGAUGCUGUAGAUGGUGUAUAUCUUAUGCCCCCAGAUGCUGGCAAAUAUGUAGUACAGCUCAAUGUAAAUAGCACUGAAAGGGAGGAACCCUGCCAUUGCCAUCUGAGGAAUGGUGCUUCGGUACCAGGGCAGCUCAGGGAUUUCCCUAGGAUACUUGGUUGUGCGGCAGGGAGCUUGGAACUCUGUAUUGCUAUUUUUCCCAGCUAUACCACCUAGCACUAGCAGGGGAGAGGUUACAAGUGCCCAAAUGAGAAUAAUGACAAUGAUAGUACCGAAAGGCAAAGCUGCUGUGGCACUAUAUGCUAUUGCAACGGUGUUUAGGAAGGAGAAUGUCAAGAAAAGCGGGCCACAGAACAAGCAGCCAGUCAAUAUCAGAUUCCUCACCUGAAACAUAAAGGCAGAACAUGUCAAACACAGCACCAAAGACUUGAAGAAACCAACCAAUAAUGGAUGCCUUACCCAGUUUGUUCCUUCCAGCUGAAGAUAGAAGGAAGUGGCUGUGUAUCCAGCAAUACCAGAUGUAAGAGCGUAGAUGACAACAAGGGCAGUAAAAAGGGCUCCUCUGUUGUAUGGAUAGAAGACGCCAACAAUUGCAAGGAGAAAGAUGAAAAUUGCACUAUCGAACAAGAAGAAUUUGUUACUUGUUAGAUCAUUACAACAUAGUUUAGAUCAUAGAUUAAACAGACCCAGUAAGUUCUUACAGGGCAAGAAGCUGAGAACCAGAUCCAAUAAUCGCUGCAAAAAGAGAUUUUUGCUGCGGAAAACGGAAGACGUCACCAUGUAUAUACUUCCAUCCAGUCUCUUCCUGGUCUUCAAGGGACUCAUCUUCAUGGGAAUAUCUUCAACAAAAGUGAGGCAUUAAGAAUGAUGUUAGUAAAGCUGUACAAUCCAUGCAACAACAAUGGAAUGUAUUGAUUAAGGUCUUACUUGAUGAAAUCGUUCUUGAGCACACGCAUCAGGAUUGUUGCCAGAAAGCCAGUCAGGAGAAGUACAGUUACACAUGAGUUGAUGAUGGAAAACCAAUGGAUCUCUAGGUGUUGCGGCAUAGAGGAAGACUUGGAGUAUUUUUCCAUUCUUUUCUCAAAAGGAAUAUCCGUCUUUUUCCAUGCUACUGAAUAAGAGAAUUCUACUGGUACUUCCUUGUCCUCUGUGAUAUCUACAGCCACAUUCGGGUCUGUUUGGACAUUAAUUUCUACGACACGGUCAUUGUUGUACAUGAUGUCAAAGUGGAUGUGCUUAAAAAGAAGGUACUUUCCAGCCCCUUGCUCCUUAUCCUUCUCCAGUUUACCAAGGAAUCCCCAUAAUGGCAGGUCAUCAUAGUACAUCUGGAAGUAGUAAUCCUUUGCAACUGCAUCCCGGAGCUUGGCAACUUCCUCCUUGGACAAUGUUUUCUUGCAGAGAGUCUUGGAGUUCUUAUCUUCCUUAAAGUUCAACUCGUAUGGUGCAUCAACCAACCGAUCACCGUUUAGAACCUCCCCGAGAGCCUCCUUUUUGUCCUUCGGGUGUUCUAUUACAGGCCCAGCAGCAGUUAAUAAGAAAGAGAAAUGACUUGGGCAUAAACCAACAAAGAGAUUGCUAAAUAAAGCAAGUAACAUAAAGGCAUGCGGCAUUAGAAGAAAGCUCACAAACCUGGUGCACAAAAGGGUAGAUCAUAGUAGCGGUAUGUCUCACUGCAACACACAAAGAGUAACUCAAUUAUUGAUCUAAAGAAAAGUAAAUCAAUUUUAACAAGUGCCGAUUAAGUAACAGAACAUGGUUGCAGUCCUAUUGUAGAAUUGUUUUUUGAUGUACUUGAAUUGUGACUCGAAAAAAAAAGAGGUACUUGAAUUUUGAAAUACUGAAAUUACCGUACAGUUCAUGUGGCGUUUUUGUCAGGCCAGCAGAGAGCUACUUUGGGUAUGAUAGAGCUAUCCAUACUAUUUACUACUCCCUCCGAUCCAUAAUAAGUGUCACGUUGUACUAUAUCAGCGACACUUAUUAUGGAUCGGAGGUAGUAUCGUGCAAGUGAAUUACAGAACUUAUGUACCAACUACUCUAGCUCCCUCUCCUGGCACUGACAAACCCCGCACUUGCAGACUUUGGCAACUCAUAGCUACAAGUAACACCCACCGCCAGAAAUGCUUAGAAUCAAUUUAGCAGUAACACCAUUCCAACUUAACCACAGUUACCGGCAAAAACACCAAACCAAGUCCUAAGUCCUAACUCAUCCAUCUCUACCCAGACAAUGUACUCUUCACACAGUGCAAGGGCGAGACAACCGACAUGAACUACAAAUCGCAAGAGUAAAGACAACAGACAAACGUCGAUCCCUGGUUGCCGAGCACCGCAGCAGAAUUAUACCUUGGGUUGUGGAAAGGGCCGACCUUGUUGGCGUAGAGCGGGACACGAUCUCCCUCCUUGUACCGGUGGUCGGAGCCGUCGGCAGCAGCCCCCAGCAGCACACAGGCCAGAACCGCCACCGCAAGAGCAGCAAUCGCUCUCGCCAUCUCUUCCUCAGCCAGCACCUACCACGACCCCGAGUUCCAAAGGGCGGCGGAUCUAAGAUGACGCGCCCCGAAAUUCCGAGGAGGUCAGUUCGGGUUUAAGAAAUCAGUGGAGGAGGAUGAGUAAAACGAGCUCGUACCUCAAGGAGACCCAGCCAAAGGCCCGAGAUUGCGGACGGACGGGGCGGCGGAGAGACGGCAGGGGGGCCGCGAUCUCGCGACGAGGCAGGACGGGGGACGGUGAGGAGGCACCGGCGGUGACACUAGGAAGAGUUGCGGCGUCGGCUGGUGGCGGCGGAGCGGCGAAGGGGCUAAAGGGGAGAAUUUAGAGCCGCAUUGGGGGAGAGGGAUCGGAGCUCGGGUAGGUCAAACCAUGAGAGGGAGGAGAGUCGGAAGGUGCGUGCGAGAGAAUGCGAGAUGGCGGAGAGGAAAAAACGCCGUGGAGGAGAUGACGUUUUUGACUAGGGAUCGGAGAAUUGACGAGUACAGUACAGAUUUGGUAACAUAUAAAACGAGAAAUAAAAAUAAAUACUGUAUAUAAACUUGCUCGACAAAAUAAUAGUACUUUCUCCGUCCCAAAAUAAGUGAGUCACCACAUUUUAUUAGCUUAGUCCGAGUGAAAUAUUGACUUGCAAGUACUCCAUCCGUCACAUAUUAAAUGUCACGACUCUGUCUAAAUAUGCAUGUAGUGUCUAGAUACAUGUGUAUUUAGAAAAAGUUGCGACACUUAAUAUGAGACAGAAAAAGUACUAUUAUUUAAGCAUUAAAGACUAUUGUUACUUAAGUUGACAAUUAAUCUAAUACUAGCAGUGUUAUCUCUUAUGUAAAUUUUUGGCGAUUAAAUUGAUAACACGUGGUUUUUUUUUAUCGGGAUUACACGUGGUUAUUGUGACACAAAAGUGGUAGCACUGGUUUGUAUAAGAAAUAUUUUUUCAAUGGUAUAAUAGAGCAUAUAUUUUUUCUGUGCCUAUUUGUUGGUCAAAGUUCAGCAUAAGUUCAUUCCAGAGUAUUUUGCAACAAAGUAUUACACAAAUUAGGUAUUCCAUCGAGAUGACUUUUGUUUUGCAGGACGGCAUUCAAAUUCCAUCUUAUCGGACGGUACAUCAUUUAAGCUAUUCAAGAGGUUGUUUCCGGUGCCAGGAAUUAUUACCGUAUUUAAUUGUGCUGGCACGAACGUUCUUUAGUUGUGUGUGUCAUUGUAACCGAAUUAGGCUUGAACAUCAAGGUGAAAACAAAAGAUCUCAAUAAAAGUGCACAUAUGACUACUUUCUUUGUUACUAAAUAUAAGACGUCUUAGUUUUGUCCUAAGUCAAACUUCUUCAAGUUUGACCAUGUUCUUUAGUUGUGUGUGUCAUCGUAACCGAAUUAGGCUUGAACACCAGGGUGAAAACAAAAUAUCUCAAUAAAAGUGCACAUAUAACUACUUCCUUUGUUACUAAAUAUAAGAAGUCUUAGUUUUGUCCUAAGUCAAACUUCUUCAAGUUUGACCAUGUUUAUAGUAAAAUCUACUAAGAUUUAGAAUAUCAAAUAAAUACUAUGAAAAUAUAUAUCAUGGUAGAUUUGAUAAAACUAUUUCAGAGUUGUAGAUGUUGCUAGAUUUAUUUUCUAUAAACCUGAUCAAAUUUGAAAAGGUUUGAGUUAGACAAAGUUUGGAUUUUUACUUUUAGGAGUAGUAAACAAAGUGCACCAAGAGACGCUUCUCUCCCUACGUACCAUCCAGUGCACACCACACCCAUAUAGCGAGAAAGUGUAGGUGGAGAUUCAGAGUCAGCGAUGUGGUUAUUUGAGUCUUUGAGGAGAAGCUCUGAAAGAUUUAGUAGCUCAGAGGUCAUAAAAGGACAAAUAAUGGAAAUAUGUAUAGGUGUAUUUUUCCAUUAACUUACUUUUAUCAUGGAGUUUGGCAGGUUUGCAUCCAAAUUGUAGCUGACCGUUUGACACGAUGGGAAAGUUUACCUACUCCCUCCGUCCAACAAAAGAUGUCUCAAGUUUGUCAAAAUUUGAAUGUUACACAUGACUUAGUGUAUAGAUGCAUUCAAAUUUAGUCAAAAUCAAUACAUCUUUUGUUAGACAGAGGAAGUAAAACAAUUUUGUGUCGUUAGAAAAACACACAAGUGCAGUGAAGUCGAAGCCUAGAUAGAUUACAAAAUAGUCAAAUUGCAUAUCAGGGUCAAUCAAUCUGCUUACCGCUUGAUCUAGACAUUCAAAAUCAGAAAAAGUCAAACAAGACGUGCAAUAUACAAUUAGAGAUGUCAGUACGGCGUGUAUGCCAUCAUUGCCAUGCAUGCGUGUAAACAAAUUCAAGUACUCUUCCCUAGAACCGAUUCGAGAUAAUACAUACUACUCCUGUACGUUUGCAUGCUAGUAGUAGUAAGCAUGUAGAAACAUGCAUAUCAAGUACUGGUAGUGCUGCAUGCUAAGUAAAUGUUGCCAUUGUCAUAUACCACUGCAUCCUACGGAGUACUAUUUUCGCCAUCAUGGCUUGGGUUCAAUAAUCCUCACAGCCGUGUUAAUGAAUUGCACGACGUAACUUAAGAUACGACACAAAAGAGAUAUUGUCACAUUUAUAUUGGAAAACUCUAUCUAAUGGUAUAAUUUUUAUAUACAUAUCUUCAAUGUAUUUUUUAUAAAAGUUUGGCACAAAACCCAACAGAGACCUUAUAAAUCCCAACAGAGAUAGUAUUUCUGUUCCGAAUUAAAUGACAUUUUCGAAACUAAUUUAAUUAUUCAAAACUUCAUUUAAUUCGAUGCAUGUGGAUCCCACAUAUCUGCAAGAGUGACCUUUCUAGGCCAACCUUCAAUUCUUCAAGCCAAAUUUCGAACAAAUUGUUUGAACCAGAUAGCUGAAAGCGGGACAUAACCGACGUCCUGCGCUUGCAUCCCUAGAUAUGUUAAUUCUGAUAGUGAAAACAGAAAACAGAAGCAAGGACUAACUAAAUGGAUUGAGAUUGAGCUAGCCAUGUCCCGCGAUUCAUGGAGGAACACGUGCCUUUGCACCUCCAAAACAAAACUACGAAAGUGUGUUAUCAAAAGGCUAAUUGGAGUGUCAGCCACGACAAAGUGGGCAAAAAAAAAAGGAGAGACAUAUGAGAGCGACCAUGCAAAGAGAUUGCACCGCUGGUAAUAUUAGCCAUCUGUUGGACGCACUGGCAAACAAGCAAGCAAGCAACGUGCAGAGAUCCUAGUCGUGCCAGCCUCAACCAAAGAAGAGCUUAGCGAGCUAGCAUCCAUGAUCUGUUCCUCUCCUUUGCUACCGUCACUCCUCAUCUCCUACACAUGGAUGACAUGUUACUUUUGCUUGCCUUUUCUUCUUUCAGCCCCUACCAGCUCCACACAGAAUGUGCCAGGUGGGUUAAUUAGUUUUGACCUUUGACUAUUGAAAGCUAAGGUUAAGCUCCACAAACCCAACACUCUCGCCGUUUUGAAACAUGGUCGGAUUAAUUUACGUAAUACAAGCAUAUAUUAUAUUUCUAUGUUGUUAACGAUUGCGAAAAAGUAGAAGCUCUGUGUCAUCGUCCAUCGGGUCAGCUAGCGAUCAUUCCAUCGUUCAACAUGACCGAUCGAUCAUUAGCAAGGAAUUACAUCGAUCUCUGUUUCUCUAAAAGACAUGUUGAAUUAGCAUUGCAUCUUUACUGAUGUGUUUCACAAAAGAUGGCUAAGACUGUUUGUUCCUCCUCCCCGGUUGCUCAAGAAAGUCAGAGCAGGAGGAACAAAUGUCCUAAACCAUCCCACGUGAGGUCCUUGUCUAUUCCAAAUCUCCCUCUAAGACCAUUUCAAAGCAACACUUAUUAAGAUUUCGCAAAAGGGAGAAAAUAAAUAAAUUCCAUUAAUGUUUUGUUCGAUUUCAUAAAUGACAAAUCUCAUCAAGGUCUUACUAUCAAUGUUCCAUCCCUGUUUCAAAAAAAAAAUGUGGUCUCAAUCCCAUCACGACUCUCGAGUGCGACAUGGAUUGCGAUCCACAGAGUUGUUUUUAGCAGCAUUUCCACAUCAAAUAAAGAUAGACAAAGAAAGAAGGAUAAAGAUAAUACCUGCGAGCCAGGUGGAUCACGCGGCCCCACAUGUCGGCCCCACGUGACACGCCGGCCUGCCUGAUGGCGCGUAGUAGUAGCUAUUUUCUGCAAAAGCAAAAGCGUGGAUUUUGGGCGGAGGGAUCGUCCGUCGUCCCCAAUAAUGCCGUGACAAGCAGCCAACGAACGCCUCUUUCCGAGAUCUCAUCCCCCACCUUGUCUCUUUCCCCUUCCUCCCCAGCGAAUCACAAUCGCCCCUUCUUGACCCCUUCCAAUUCCGAUCCCGUUUCGCGACAAGCCACCGCUUUCUUGGCUGGUUCUUCCGGAUUGGAGACAAAAAAGCCGCCGCCGCUGCUGCUCCUGCCAUUGCUGCUGCUUCCUGGCGUGAUUGGGACUAAAAGAGGCAACCAGGGCUCGAUUCGAGGCAAGCUUGUUUUCGGAUCCAGGGCGGGAAGGGACUGGAUUGGCGGUGUGUUGUCGGUCUUGUUGUUGUUGUUGUUGUUGUUGUUGCUGUUCUUGGCAUGAGCGUAGGGGAAGAUGGGGCUGGACUACUACAACGUGCUCAAGGUGAACCGGGGCGCCACGGAGGACGACCUCAAGAAGUCGUACCGGCGGCUGGCCAUGAAGUGGCACCCCGACAAGAACCCCGGCGACAACAAGGGAGAGGCCGAGGCCAAGUUCAAGAAGAUCUCCGAGGCCUACGAGGUAUAUAUCAUAUGGGCACUGUAUAAUUAAUUUGUUGCAGCUAAACCUGAAUGAUUUACAAUGCUAAUCCUUCUUGGAAAUGCGCCGUGCGAAAUAAAUUUAGCAGCAAAUGAUAGCAUCUGUUUCGUCGUGCGAUUCAGAAAAUGUUUCUGAUGAUGCAAAAUCGGAGGGAAUCCUCUUUUUUUCUUUUUGCAAUCAUGUCGUUUAUUGCACAUUGCGUUUCAGGUUAUGUCAACCUGGAUUUUUGCAGGCACACAAAAAAUGUUGUGCCUGCUUUCAAGGUUCAUAUGUAUAUGUUUAGACAGUUCAAGAAAUCUGUGAUUAGUUCUUUUGUUCUGAAGAAUGCUGCUCAAAUUGCUGAAUUUUGUGACCAAUGUCUAUUGCCUUUCAGGUUCUGAGUGAUCCUCAGAAGAGAGCGAUAUAUGAUCAGUACGGGGAGGAGGGCCUGAAGGCAUCUGCAGACAACGGUGGCUCGUCAUCGUCAUCGAUGAAUGGCACCGCUAACCACCGUUUUAAUCCCCGGAAUGCCGAGGAUGUGUUCGCUGAGUUCUUCGGUAGCAGCAAGCCUUUUGAGGGGAUGGGGCGUGCCAAGUCGAUGAGAUUCCAGACAGAAGGCGCUGGCACCUUUGGUGGGUUCGGUGGUGGUAAUGACAGCAAAUACAGAUCAUACAAUGAUUCCGCUGGCACCAGCUCUAGCCAGCCCCGGAAGCCACCAGCUGUGGAGACGAAGCUGUCCUGCACGCUUCAAGAGCUAUACUCUGGUUCAACGCGCAAGAUGAAGAUAUCUAGGAACGUGGUGAAGCCUAAUGGGUAAUCCCACUGUUUCCUGUGAAAUUCCUGCAAGAUUUCAAUGAAUCCCUGCUUUCCAAACUGGAAGUACAUUGAGAUGUCAAGAACAUGACGAUUGAUGCAUUGCCAUUUCGUUUCUGUCCCAAAAUGCAUUUUACUUACCUGCUGAUUUUUUAACAGGCAACUGGGGACUGAAUCCGAGAUUCUGACGAUCGAUAUAAAGCCCGGGUGGAAGAAAGGGACCAAGAUCACAUUCCCAGACAAGGGCAAUGAGCAGCCAAACCAGCUCCCUGCAGAUCUCAUCUUCGUCAUCGAUGAGAAACCCCAUGAUCAGUACACAAGGGAAGGCAACGACCUCCUGGUCUAUCAGAAGAUUGACCUGGUGGAUGCAUUGGCAGGAACCACGGUUAACCUGAAGACCCUUGACGGGCGUGAUCUGGUGAUAAAGCUGACAGACGUGGUGACACCAGGGUAUGAGCUUGCAAUCGCAAAGGAGGGGAUGCCUAUCGUCAAAGAGAACGGGAGGAGAGGAAAUCUGAGGAUCAGGUUCGACGUUGAUUUCCCAAAGAGGUUGUCAUCGGAGCAGCGGCAGAAUAUUAGGAAGGUUCUUGGAGGGCAACCUUAGCAGCAAUGAUCAAACCCCGGAUGCAAAUUCAGCUACCCUCUAGUUCUCCACGAAAUGCAGACUAAUUCAGAUGUUCUUCUUUUUCAGUUGGCUUGUAUGUCUAGUUACUUUUGGUUUGCAGGAAUUUCCUGAUUUGCUCCUUUGUUGACAAGAUAGCAAUAUUAAUUGUUGACUAGAUACAGAUUACAGUGUGACAUUGAAUUUUUUUUUUCACCUCUUCUAUUGCAUGUUUCAACAUUCAUUUGCAAAUAUAACAGAUUUCGAUCUCUUGCCUUUUGUGAAUUGUCAUGCUCUUUGAAGUAAAAAUAUUCUGAGUAAUGCCGAGCGCUCAAAUUUGAAAACAUUGCCAAAUUUGUUUUUGAUCAGUAGGAUGGCGGUUUAGUUCAUCAUCUUCCAACAAAUCUCUCCUAUUUCAAAUUCGACUUCAACCGAUAAAUAUGAAUCAAAUCACACCAGCAAAUCCAUACCCUUGAUAACCCAUACAAUUCAAAAGAAAAGUGUCAUGCCACGGUGGGGGAACUUUGGGUUAGACGGACCAACUUUUACAUAGAUUUAGGCUAAUUUGGAGAGACAAAUAGGCUAAGUACUUCAACAAAUGUUUUAAGGUGAAGGAGCAUCAAAUCUCUACUUAUAAGCAUUAACAUUGCGCAACUCAAAAAAAUACGUAUUGCAAUUAGAGACAAGUGGAUCCAGACAUGUUUCUGAAAUUUGGUUUGAACAUAAAUUUGAAACCUAUCAAACAUUUCUCACCCAGCACAGACCUUACCCACCUAUUCGUAAAUAGCAACGGCCUCGCUUGAAAAACGGGCCCCACCCUCUUCCUCCCUACAAAAAAAACGACACUUUUCGCGGUUCCCUUUCCAAGCCGUAAUUUUUUUCGCGCGCCCGCCGAAACCACCGCGUCCGGGAGCCGUCGGAUCGCGAAACGGACGGUGUUCGAUCGAUGAAGCAGGCGGAGGAGAACUCGGCGGCGGCCGCCGGCGCCGCCCAGGAGCCGCCAACGCCGACGCCGACGGUGUGGUACGACCCGAUGUCCCCGACGUCGUCUCCGACGGCGCCACGGCCGCCCGUCAGGGUUUACGCCGACGGCAUCUACGAUCUCUUCCACUUCGGCCAUGCCCGCGCGCUCGAGCAGGCCAAGAAAUCGUGAGCCCCGUUGGACCCUCUUCUCAAUCACGAUUUCCUUUCUUGUUUCUUUCUCUGAAAGCAUUGACAACAUUGUUUCUGAAUUUCUGACACCAAUUUCUGAAUCUCUGGCAUGGAUUUGUUGUCUUCGUCAGAUUCCCCAACACGUACUUGCUGGUGGGCUGCUGCAGCGACGAGGUGACCAACUGGUACAAAGGCAAGACCGUCAUGACCGAGGAGGAGCGCUACGAAUCGCUUCGCCAUUGCAAGCAAGCAACCUUCUGUUUUCUACUUUACCUCCUCCGUUUCUGAAUUUUACCUUUUGUUCUUAUUACUGUCCCAUUUCUGAAUCUUGUUGAAGAUGGGUGGACGAGGUCAUACCCGAUGCUCCAUGGGUCAUCGACGAGGAGUUCCUCGACAAGCACCGCAUCGACUACGUUGCUCACGACGCUCUCCCGUGAGUGUGUACAUACUAUAUUUAUGCAGCAUUGCAUAUUUCAAAUCAAUCUAUGUAUCUAAUAUAGAUGACAGGUGUUCGAGAAACAAAAAUCUAUGACUCUGUGUUUUGUUGAUCAGUUUGUGAAAAGUGUAAUUGACUCACUUCAUGUGAUUUGUUUUCAGGUAUGCAGACGCAAGUGGAGCUGCCAACGAUGUCUAUGAUUUUGUUAGAAUUGAAUAUCUGAAUCCCCUCCUCAUUUUUUUUUUGGACUAAGCAAUGCUGAUGGUCAGCUAACUGGAAAAUGUGUUGUUUGGGCAGGUCAAGUCCAUUGGCAAGUUCAAGGAGACGAAGCGCACCGAUGGCAUCUCAACAUCGGACAUCAUCAUGAGGAUUUUGAAGGAUUACAACCAGUACAUCAUGCGGAAUCUGACCCGGGGGUACUCCCGCAAAGACCUUGGUGUGAGCUAUGUCAAGGUGAUCAUCAGUUCCAGCAGUAACAUCUCCCAAAGCAAAGGAAGGACACCAAGCACUAAUGAAUUACGUGUUUUCUAUUACUGUAAUGUGAUCAGGAGAAGCAAUUGAGAGUGAACAUGGGGAUUAGCAAGCUAAAAGAGAAGGUGAAGGAGCAUCAAGAGAAGGUGAUCCAAGUUACUCUACAAACCCCAAAAAAAUUCGGCAUAGAUCUUCACAUGAUUUUGCAAAUGAUAGUGAUAGUAACUUGGUAACGCAUAUGCAGAUUCAUAGUGCAGCAAAGAUUGCUGGAAGCAAUCCUGUGGAAUGGAUGGAGAAUGCCGACCGUUGUAUCGUUGGGUUUCUUGAAAAGUUUGAGGAAGGUUGCCACAUGAUGGUAAGCAAGUCUUUGAUUAAUUUAAUUUAUCCGCAGUUGUCAAUACAGUAUUUGGUGAUUAUGGAUCGUGUUAUUUAUUUGACAGGAAACUGCAAUUAAAGAUCGAAUUCAGGAGGGGCUGAAGAGGAGAUCCAAAUCAGAGUCGGAGCUGAACCUUUCUGGAUCGGACUCGGACUCAUAAAGAUGUUUGUGGGAAUCAGAUUCCUGCAGUAAAUGUAUAGUAUUAGAUUAGCAUGUUGUUAUAGCCUUGUAAGACAUCAAACUGCAACGGUGGUUUAUAAUAGGAGGUUAUGUACCAUUGAGAACAAUAAUUUUUUGCGGUGACCGAUCAGUCUCUGUUUCUUAAAGAUUGCUCAUUUGCAUUUUGCCUCCUAAAUGACAUUAUUCCUCUGAGAAACUUGGAUUUGCAGUACAUGAUCUCAUUCUUGUGAUUAUGUUUGUCAAUGGCCAUGUGUUAUUUUUAUUUAUUUCUUUUCGAGGAACCGGCAGGAUAGAAGUUAUUUACAGUGCUGCCUUUUCAUUAAGAAUGAUAGAAGUUAUUUACAGUGAGGAGCAGGUUUUUUGAGGGGAAAUGCCGAGGAAACCCCAACGAGAACAAGAAAAAACUAGUCGGGCUGUAGCACUGUGUGAUGUCCUCGAAGCUCGCAGGCAAGAUGAGUGACUUCGACCUAAUUGAGAAGCUUAAGAGUGAAAAUGCGACAGUUCGCUCCUUCCUGGCUUUCCACCAGACGUAGAUAAGUCAACCACUUUGCUUCCUCUUAAUGUCCUUGCCAGAAAGGAAAAGGGAGGCGUCCCACCACUCCUCUGAUUGCUUCUCCUGAAUAAGAUCAUGUGUAAUUUUAUUGGCCAUGUGCUAUUGCCACCAACUAAAUAUCAUUCAUAUACUUCUCCCUUUUCUUUCAGCUACCAUGAUAUAGUUUUCAGGGUAGUAUUGGUUAUACACUUAUACAUGAAGAUGCAAUUGGUAGCGGUUCGUCAGAUUUAGAUAAGCUGGAGCUAGCCUAUUUGCAGAACCCAAUGUUACAAUAAUGUAUUUUUAGCAACCAAGAACUAAAUUUAACACAUGCACAUGGAGAAUUCUGUUGAUUCAGAAACACCUAACGAAAAUAAUAUUUGUUAUCCUGAGUCAUACUCCUAGUAUACCAUCAAAACAAUUUCCCCUCUACAUACGAAUACUAGAAACGGAAGCUAGCUAUUUUCUAAUCUUGCCACCAACAAUUCGGUCCUGAUACUACAGUAUCACAUAAAACUUUGAUCAUCAUACAACACAACUCAAGAAAUUAAGCAGAAACAGUUCAUUGUCAUUCACCCUGGACUUCCUGUUUUACAUAAUGAUUUGAUUAUUUGGGAAACUGUUGUCUUCAAUGAUUUCACUGUCUCAUUGUCAGUUCUUCACCUAUGCCCUCUGAAAUACAUGUAUACUCCCUGCAAAACAGUAGAUUUGGAAGGAUGUCAUGAAACCACAGAAACUGUAGGAUGUCAUGUAUGUUCACUAAUUGCGCAUGUAAUAAUAUGGUAAAGGCACAACAAAAGCUGAUCAUUUCUGGUAGUCGAGGAGCCAUACUAGAAAGCAAGGAAACAACAAAAGUUUCUAGGCAUAUUCUUUUUUAGUUCCUCUCAAAAAAAUUGUUUUUCUUUGUUGAGCUUGCAACCAAGUGAACUUAUAAGAGUGAUAGUACAAACAAAGAGAAGAUGUUCCAUGAAAACAACAAUGUGAAAGAAAUGAAAGGUGGAACCGACAAUAACCUCAAGAACCCAAAUACUCAUAAGCGAUUCCGCAGUAAAUAAUAUGAAUCCAAUUAGAUACAGUACCUGCAUUACUCCAAAAAGGACACAAUUAAGGACUCACGGCAAGUUUUAGUGCUGAAGUAAAAUAUGUUCAAAGUUAACCAUAAUAGCGCAGAAGAACUAACCCCGACGAACAUAUCUCCGCUUAAAACAUCGAUAGCAACAAGAAUUCCCCUGAUUUCAGGUAAAGAACUGUAUCGAACUAUUGCAGUUGGAAACUUUGGCAAAAUGAAAAAUGCUUGACUUACGUAAGAGUUUUUCCCAUGAAUAUUAUUGGAGGAGCAAUUGCAGCAAUGACACAAAAUCCAACAUGCACCUGGCACAUAUCAAGCCAUCACUAUGCUCACCAGUGCAUUACCAUAGGAUCAAACAUAAAGAUAGAAAAAUGCAAUAGGGUUAUCUUUUUAGUUGAAGGUUAUUAGCAUGUGGAACUCAGCUCGGUGUAUAAAUAGAAGUACCGAGUAGAAGAUGAAAAACUGGCCAAAGGUCACCACGCUAUCGGUUCUGGUGUACAAAGGUAAGAUAAUUUUGUUACCAUAUUGGCAUUCUCAUAGAGCAUUUCCAGAUAAUGGUAAUUUACUUGGAAUUUUAAUUGAAAAGAAACCUCAUGGCCUGGUACAGAGGCCUGUACCAUAGUAUGUAUGAAAGAGGACAUCCAAAUAUUGCAUAGAUGACGGCAAGGAGAAAAAGAACAAUAUCUGCCAUAAAAAGGAGACAUGAUGUAAAAUAUGCAUGCUUAAGAAAAUGGUUUAUCUGGCAAGAUAUUUAGCACCUUCCAUGUGAAUUGAUUCGACUAAAACUGCAAAGACAUUCCAACUGAGACAGACAACAAUUCCUGCAAGAAGAGCAGCCGAUGAACAGGAGCUGAACUGAUGAUACUUCGUUCUUAUCUAUGUUGAAAACUAUCAGCAAUAAUCUCAAUUAAUAGGAGAAAACUGAUGUAAGGGUAAAAACCUAGCCAACUAGCAAAUGCUGAGUACUGCAACUUUUGAGCAUGGAUGGGUAUUUCAUUGGCUAUAUCAUGAUGUAUGAUGGGGAAGAACGGUGGCCAAUUUUUCACUUCGACCAUGACACCGGCUGCACAACCAGAUGUAUAUUUCAGAAUUCAGACAAAACGUGAAAGCAUGAUGGAUUUAUCUUAUGAUGCUCUCUUAGGACUACCUCUGUUCAUUGUAUUCUCCCUUUGUAUGAUAUCCUGCAACAAAAGUCACACUUCUGAUUCUGAAAACUCUUUGAGGACUCACUUUCAUAAAUUUGUUGACUAGAAAGACAAUAAUUAUUGGACAUAUGAAGCAACCCAAAUGAACAUAUGACACUCUAAGAUUACGAAAUAAUUGUGGAAGUGAAUCUAUAGGAUUUCUAAUUAAGUGAAAAGGAGAACGGACCCGCUCUCUCCUCUUCAAAUCCUCCUCCCACGAUAAGAGCUCUUUCUCCCGCUUCCUCGGAUCCUACAUGAAUUAGGAUUAUCAUUAGGUGUACCAAGAACACAAUAUUAUCUUGUGUAUGAACAAUGUAUACAUAUAGUGGGAUGUCGAUGGUGGCGCCAUGGUUAAUGCUGCCUCCAAAGCCCGCCGGGAUCCAGGAUUUCUUCGAUGGAGCUGGUGCCAAUGCCUGUCCAUUAUGAAAUACAAACGAUAUGUCCCAAGAAAAUAACAAUCAACUGUCAUCAUGAUUCUUCACAAAAAAUGACACUGAAAUAACACCCCGCUUAAACUCAGGCUGCAUACUGAACUACAUGAGAGUUGGAUUGUUCUAUUAGUAUGCAUAGAAAAUGAUCAGAUCAGAUAAGUCCAAUGGAAAAUCAAGAUAUAAAAGUUGAAUAAUUUGAUCUAAUCUCAAUAAAUCUAUCCAAAGAAACCUCGCAAGCAGACCAGAAUGCAAAACGAUUCAGAGCAUUUUGUUCUUCUAAGAAAUUCAAUCCAGACAGUCUCGAUACAGAGAUCAUCAGAACGCAUGGGUCUUUUUUUUAACCAAAGUUAAUCUGGACAUGAGAAACAAUGCUCCAAAGAGAAAUGUCUCAUCAAAAGACAAAUAAUUUGAACCCCAAAUAAGAAGAAGAAACAUGUAAAGUCUGGAAUACCGCUGUAGGAUUGACAUUUUCGUCUUCAAACGGAUUUGUGUUACGAGACAUCAUUAGGAAGAUCCCUCGGCAUGAAUAAAUCCCUGUGUUGUCUACCUUUGGGAUGAGCCGAAAUCUGUGCUGCAAUAAAUCUGUGCAUGGCCAACGAAAGGAAGUUAGUUAUUUUCAGUUAAUGCUGGCCGUCUAGCGCUUUGGUCCUUAUUGGUUGUUACAUUCCAAUACCAUCAGCCCCUCGUUUUAUUACGUUUUACCUUUUUUAUCCCUUCUUCCUCUCAUUUUGGAAAGUGUAGGAAUUCUUACAGAACUGUUGAUUCGUAAUCUCACAGAAUUCACGAAAAAUCCUGGGUUGUUAGUUUUGUCUUUUAAGCAGUUUAGUACAUGCACGUUAUAGACUGUAAGAAAUCAGAACAGAAAGAAACACAGUAGGCCUGCGAAGUGGAAUUUGAUGGAGCUGAAGAGACAGAAUCAAUUUCAUGCCCCGUUAAACAUAACAACUGCAUCCAGUAUCCACAUUGCAGUGAGCUCGAUACAGAAAAUGCAUUGAUUCAGAAAUGAGACAAAUGCCGUCUAUAGAAGAUCAAUCUGAAGUUAACGCGGCGUUAUUAUGCCAUACACAGUAGGAGGAAUUUUCACAGAUAACACUUUGCUAUCAAGCGUAAUACACAAUACACUGGCAGACAUUGUAAACCAAAUAAGGAGGCAACAAAUCCAAAUUUCUGCAGUAUCUUCUCUAUUUAGUGAUGGUGGUCUUGAACAUAGCGAAGACCACAGUAUUUGCACACAGCAGGGGCCUCCAGAUCAAGGCAGAUAUACUCGAUUGGAUGGCCAAGGGCAGGGUUACUAUCUGUAUAUAUAAUCCAAAUGGAAACAGUCAGCCUUGCAGAAAAUGAAUGCCCAUGACUCCAUGGGUGAGUAUAUUAAUAUAUGUAGCAAGCGAAAAAGGGACCGAAGCACGGUAAUGAGAAUUUGUAAAAAAAAAAAAAAAAAAGCAGGCUAGAGUUUGCUUUCGCCUACCCCCUUCACAAGCGACAAUUCGCCCUUCAACCUUGAUCGGCGGCACCUCAUUGAUCAGUUCCAUCGGAGAUUUCUUGCUUGUGUCCUGCGAUAAAUAAAAUCAGAGAGGAUCAAAAAUUAUAAACACUCCUUUCAAAAGAAAAAUUAUAAACACUGGCAAUAUAAUGAGUGACAAAAAAUAUCACUGUCUUCAACCAAUAAAGCUCACAAAUUAGGUAGUUGUGCAACUUAAGUUGUGAAUAUCACACGACAAACUCAUGCCAACUACCUGGUAUAUUGGUAUAAGUACAAAUUCUGCUAUCUUUGAGGAUAUGGGAAUCCCAAAGCUAAGAAUUGACUUUCAGGCAUCACUUUUUGACAGCGCAAGGAAUAUUGGUCUUUACUCAGUUCAACAAUUGACCUCUCAUAUAUUAUUGCUGCAGUAGCCACUUGCUAUAGUAGUUCCCAGAAAAGCCUCAAAAUGAUACACGUCGUUUAAGUUUUACUCAGUGAAUAGGCGAAAACCAAAAUCGAUACUGUCCAAGUAUGGUAGGAUGGUGUUGGACUACUGGGCUGCUGGCUGUGACAUUAUUGUAACAGAAAUACAAUUGGAAGAUUAUUCAGAUACAUCAUAAGCUCUUGCAUACAUUCUUAUCUGUAACCUAUGACAUGAAAUGAGGAGAAAACGGUUUCACUUGAUCAACAAGGUCGAUAUAACAAAUUGUUAGAAGGGAGGUCCAGCCAUAAGUCGGUAAAACAUCUGUAACCUAUGACAUGAAGAAAUGAAGUAAUACAAAAAGGAAAAGAAAGAGAAAACAAAAAUCAUGAUCAACUAAGCCCUCUCGAGGGCUUGCUUAAGAAUAAGAAAGAAGAAUCUUAUGGAAAUGGAAUAAGGUUUGAUCCUAUUCAUGGGGAUUCCGUAAAUAUGCCAUUCCAAAAAUAGAAACAAUCGGGACUUUUCGGAGAUUGGAUGCAGUUACUAAUUCAUGAUCUGGCAUGUACAGAAUGAAAACUUCAUUCUCGAUUCUACGAGAAUUUUUAUGAAAGCGCUUCAUUUGCUUCUCUUCCAUGGAAGUUUCAUUUUCCCAGAAUGUAUCCUAAUUUUUGGCCUAAUUCUUCUUCUGAUGAUCGAUUCAACCUCUGAUCAAAAAGAUAGACCUUGGUUCUAUUUCAUCUCUUCAACAAGUUUAGUAAUAAGCAUAACGGCCCUAUUGUUCCGAUGGAGAGAAGAACCUAUAAUUAGCUUUUCGGGAAAUUUCCAAACGAACAAUUUCAACGAAAUCUUUCAAUUUCUCAUUUUAUUAUGUUCAACUUUAUGUAUUCCUCUAUCCGUAGAGUACAUUGAAUGUACAGAAAUGGCUAUAACAGAGUUUCUGUUAUUCGUAUGUAUAUUUAAAACAAUCUACUAAUGGUCUGCUGACUGCCAAGCUUCAGCAAAGAUAUAGAAACAAACUUAAAAGACACACAAUGCAUCAAGAUAUAAUGUGUCAAAAAAACAACAGAAUGAGUGCAUGUUACGGGACAUGCAAGGAUUACACAUCUCAUCAAGGAUAAUCGAAGAAACUACAAACCAGCUGUGCCUUCCUUCACUGAAACCUUAUCGUUUUGUAGGAUUUUAGAAUCAUAGGAAUAGAAAAAGUAGAGGGUUGAGAUGUCAUGCACACUUCCAUCCUUAGGAAUUUUAAAUGAGGUCUCACCUAAUGUGUAGAUUCCUAAGGAAUUAGAUCAAUUUGGGACCAAUCCUUAGGAAUCUAGCACCUCAAUUCCUAUGAAACGAAUGCUACAGAUAGGAAAAAAAAUCCUAAGGUUUGAAAUCCUGUAAAAUUCCUACAAACCGAAUGAGCCCUUAAUGUUAAUUUCACAAGAGCAUCGGAUAUAUUGUAUGAUGGCUACUCCUACUCCUAUAAACAUGAAAGUUUUUACUCAGGAGCUAUGGGCCAUGUUGAAGUUUAUUUAACACCUAACAAAAUCAAUUUAAAAUGGGCAGCAUAAUUUAGCAUGUCAUCCCCUUGCAUAUGUGUUUAGCUGGCAGCUGUAUAAACCCAUAUGCGCAUCACCAUUCCUAACACUGUCAGCAAUGUCCUUGACAAGAAGUCAAAAAUCCCACUGCUUACAGCCUUACACAUCAGAAUAUCCCUCCGAGAGGAGUUCAAAACUAUUAAACUAACCAGCAUCCGAAAAUGAAAUGGGCUAUGCCAGUCCAUGCAUUCAUACACAACAUGUUGUAUCAACAAGCGUAAACUUACCAUAGCAAACCUAAAGAUGAGACCUUGAGAUCUACUACCAAUUAACAUCUGAAGCCAUUAGCACAAACACCUAGCGCCAGGCAUGCCCGGAACGUCUCAAGAGACAGCGAGAUCGACCUAAACUAAAUGCGGAAACACAGAAUCAGAUAUUCAACGAAGGCAGGAACAAACCUAGACAUGGAUUAUUACAAGCUAAGCCGAUCGCCAAAACCGCACGCGGGACACCCAAUAAGAUGCGAUCUUCACCCCGAAUCGAGAGAUAAUCGCGCCGCGAGAAAAGCGCCAGAUUCUCUAAUAACCGGAUCGAAAUCUAGAGAACUGGAGGAGGAUGGGCGGGUGGGUACCUGCAUCCAUUUGGCGGUGUGACUGCCGACGACGGCCGCGGCGCCGACAGCCUUCUCCGUGGAGAGGCCCCGCGCCGCGCCGGCCGGGGCGGUGGUGCCGGCUAGGGUUUUGAGGAGCGUCGGGAGCAGCCUCCUCGUCGCGGUCGCCAUGGCUGGUGAUGGGAGGAAGGUCAGGUGAAUUCGGGAGAAAAUGGAGAAGAGCCUCUGUUUUUUUUUUCUUGUUGGAUUUAGAUUGCAUCAGGAAAUAGGCCCGGCCUAUGGUCCCAUCCACUCGGCCCAAAAAUACUCGGCCCACAUUGGAUUUAGAUUGCAUCAGGAAAUAGGCCCGGCUCAUGGUCCCAUCCGCUCCCCCGUAAAAUGCCUGGGCCUAAAUUCUUGCUGAUUAGUGGAUGCGACUGCUUUCCCUAAAAAAAAGUAGAUGCGACUGCUACAAUACAUUUUAAUUUCUAGGAGUACUGUUUUUGAGGGAUUUAACAAAAUACCACCAUGCUCUCCAGAAAAACACACACCAAGAGAUACUGUCAUUAGAAAAUGGACAUAAAAAUGUCCGUUACAUGUGGCUUUAGCAUUGAUAUUUUUUUUGGCUAUUUUUCUUCUUAGUUAUUUGUUCCCAUUUAUCUGUUAGUGGAAAAUUGAAAAAUAUUGAUCUCCUUUUUUUGACAGGGUAGUAUUGAUCAGUUGAAUGCUAGUAGAUUUUUCUGCUGUGAACAUUUGCUUCUCUCCUUGUCCUUUUGGUGAAACAGGCCACUCUGUAAUUGCAGCCUCUGUAUGUACUUCAGUACCUGUACAUCAUGUACUUUGUACAUCCAUCCAUAGUUACUGCUAUCUAGUGCAUUUCAGCAUUCAUGUACCCAAACAAAAGAAAACAAUUCUACCCCUCACUCCUGAUAUCAAUGCAUUGAUUCCUCCAUCCUCCUUGACCCUAUCCUGUCCUGCUACAUCAUACAUGCAUGAACCUGAAACCUACCCACAAACCCCUGCAGAAAUAGCACCAAAAAACAUUUACAGCCUCUCAUGAUCAGACCAUGUCUCCCUUUUUUCCUUUCAUGGUCAAUUGGAGACACUGGAUUUCUGCUUGUCUAGUCAAGCCGCCAUCUGGCCGCACAUGCACCUGUGAUCGACAAUGAGUCUACGAGACGAGGCCAAUUCGUCAGGGGACAACUGGUAAUUACAUUACAUUACUCUAAUCUCAGUUGUUUUGUUUUAACUACUAGUAAGCUAGUACUCCAAUGCCAUCACUUGAUCUCCUAACCGUUGGAAGAUCACGAACGCUUUGCCCAAGAGAAUCCAAUCUUGAUUGGCUCUAGGACAAGCAAAGCAAGCAAGAGUCCAUCAUCUUCCUUGGCAACACCAGGCCAAGAUCCACUUGUUUAAUUAAUCUAAUCUGGUGGUCACGUGCAUGGGGACGCUGGAAUAAUACCACGCUUGAUGCAUCAGGGAUAGGGUUUAUGAUCUAUUAAUCAAAUCCAUGUCAUUAUAAAAUGAUUACGCUAGAGAGGAGUAGGUAGGUUUACUGUUGAUGGUUGAAUCUAUGUCUUGGGGUGCAGGGAAGAGUUGAAUUCAUGCCUGGGAUCUAUGAUCUUGUUUUUGUCUGUCAGCAGUCACACACACACUUGACUGCUACUUGAGGAUCUUUUGCAUGCAAUUCUUCUUAGAGGGACUGUGAACCAAUUUUUUUCAAACUCGGCAAGAAUCAUAUUUGUAAGUUUAAAAUUUCCAAAUAAAUCGUGCAAUCAUGCUAGCACUACAUGGCCUUUUCUUGUAAAUUUCAUACUCCCUCCGUCCAACAAAAAAUGUCUCAAGUUUGUCAAAAUUUGAAUGUAUCUAGACAUGACUCAGUGUAUAGAUGCAUUCAGAUUUAGUUAAAGUUAAGACAUCCUUUGUUGGAUAGAGGAAGUAAGAAAUUAUGCUCAUUUGUGAGCUGUGCAUUUUGUGAUUUUUGCACAGCUCCUGGAUAAUCAUUUUUUGUAUAAAAAAUCAAGGCCAAGUUCUACACAUUUAUUACUGUUGUAUUUUUAUAUUUUAAAAAUUAAAGGUAUGAUUAUUGUUAAAUUUAAAUAAAAAAAGUUGGUACAACAAACACAUGUACCCAUGUUCUGGAAAUCUGGACUAACCUGAUUUGCACGUAUGUAGAAGCGAUUCUCUCUAUGUGCGACAACAAAAACAAGCGUUUGAGAAGUAAAUGAUAAGUCCAAGACAAUAUUUUAGGAAGUGUUGCGUGCAUCAGUGGUUCCCGUGGAUCAGAGAAAGCAAGCAAGGAACAGCCACCCUUGUCAUUGCAAUUUUUUAUUCAAAGUGCAUCUAAAAAUGUUUCGAUAUGCUCUUUCAGAUUUCCAUGGGAUAAGAUGACAAUUUUUGUCUUGAUCCCUAUGAUGAGCAUAGACUGACAAAGUGCCAACACAGAAGUGAAAGGGUGACAAAAUAAAGCCUUUGUUUUCGACCUUUGAGAUCACUAAACAAUGAAGUGAAAGGGUGAUAAUGUAAUGAAGACAAGAGCACAAUCUCUGGGGAAAUAUCUUUUACCUUUCCCUGUGCUGUAUCUGCAUCUGCAGUUCACUAUAAAAGGGUUAGAGUGACGGGCAACAAUUUAAUUAUGGAAAGAAACUAAUUACUCUUUGAUCUUGGUCAAGUGAGAGUGCUGGUGGAGUCUUUUUGGGAUGAGCAAAUGCAAAUAGAUUACUGAAUUUUAUAUGAGAUCCUUCUGAUCAUUGAUGCAUGUUUUCUGUUGCUACGUCAAGUAGGAAAGGACUCGAUAACCAUGCAAUCUAUACCAAUAUGUUAAAUUAGAGUUGGUGGUGAUGAUAAGGUCGGCCCCGUACGUCACUUCAUCGAUAUUACGAGAGAUUGCCACCGCACGCUACACACAUAGUGUUUUGUUUCCUUCCAGCGCCCGCGUCCGUACCGAAACGUUUUAUUUCCUCAUGUUCCCCUCCUUCCCUUCCGCGCGGAGGUUGAGGCCGAACUCAGAUCCGCGCACGAUGUUGCGCUCGCCAGGAGGAUGGCGAUGGCGGAUCCACAGGCAUGAGGAAAGACUUGCGCGCCCACAUCGGAGCUGGCGGCGGCGGAUUUGAUCUCCACGGGCCGAGAGAUUUGGGAUCGGGGGUUGGGGACUGAGACGAAGACGAGCCGGCGCCUGUCGCGUGCCCGCGCACGCGUCGCGGCCUGCCACCUGCUGCUCGGUGCUAGGCGGCACUCCACGGCGGCGAAGAUGGCGUCCCGCGAUCUACGACACAUGGCUUCCAUCGGGGCACCGUCGGGCGUAGGAGGCGUCGGGCCCAGAUCGCGGGAGAAGCAAUGCAAAUUUCUUUACCCGGUGACUGGCACGGUGGCACCCCCUCCGCUGCUACCUCCUCCCCCACUCCGACCCGGACCUCCUCUCAUCCAGCAAGGCGGCGGGCCAGCGACUCGCACCUCCGGCAGCGCAGUCUGGUAGUCCUCUCCCGAAAGUGCUGGUUAGUUCCCCAUCCCAUCCCUUCCCAUGGCGCCAAUGGAGGCAGCCAGGCGGUGCUUCUGCUCCCGACAGCGAUAUGGAGGUGGGUCAGAAGAGGAGGGAGGCAGCGCUGCUUCUAUCGGCGCUACGCUGCAGUGGAAAUGAGGAGGUGAAUUGGGAGCGUUGCUACCCUGCCUGCCGCCUGCGAGUUCGAGUUGGUGGGGAUCUCAGGGAUUUUUUGGGCAGAGAACAGAGAGAGAGAGAGGGAGUCGGGAAGGAAAGAAAGUCUGGAUGGAAAGGAUCGAGGGAGGCACAUGAUGUUGCAAAAUCGAUGUUGUUGAUGCGUUCUUCUCCCUGAAGCUUUUGCUGCUUCUUGUUGCUUUUUCUGGCUUCUUACUUAAGCCCUUCUUGUAGAAUCUGGAAUGUAAUGGAUGGCUACAUAAACUUGUUGAGUCAGGAUUACACCGAUUGCUCAGACGUUAGAAAAUUUUGGAAAGAAGCGUAGGCCUUGAAUGGCUACUUAAAUUAAUUUGGGUGUUACAUCAAAAGGAGAAAAUUUGUGUGCUAGACAAAGACAAACUUAAAAAUGUAGGGGCCCUUGAAAGAUUCAAACAUUGAUAUGUGCAACUUGUUUAAAAAAAAAGUGAGAGCUACAAAAAUACUCCCUCCGUCUCAUAUUAAGUGCUGAAAAUUAUUACAGGUAUCUAGACGUAUUUAAGUAUAUAUAUACACGUUCAUUUUUAGACAAAUUUGAUCAUUUAAUACAGUACGGAGAGAGAGUACGUGGUUUUUACUCAAGAGCAUGUGGUGAACAUCGAUAGUAAAUUUUGUGUUCCGUUGCAAUCGCACGGGCCUGCUGUAAAAAUGUGACUGGAUAAAUAACCCGCAACAGCGGGAAAACAUACCAUCGAACUGCAGACGGCAGUAGUACUACUACAACUACAAAUAAAAAGCUGUCACAAAUCGAUCUGUCAGCUAGGCUUUUGGAAUCACACAUCAAUAGUGAAGGUAACUAUAGAUGUCUAAGGGAAUAGUGGAUCGAGAACUUUCUGCUCAUGUUUUCCUUUAACUUUUACUCUCAAAGCUGUAAAUAUUCGCUAGAUUUUGGACGAAGGACAAUGAAUGACACACCCUGAAACUUACCACUAAAAAUGCCUCUGGAGUCUUGAUUCUCGGGCGUUCCAGACCUCAAAUCAACGGAAAAGGUGAUGUUUGCUGCUGCCCUUCAAAGCCAUGGAAAAUGGAGCAAAUUUCCUUUCAAAUACUCCUUUGUAUAUAUGCCCGAUAUAGUAAAAAAAUUAAAAGAACACUUGGUAUAAUUAGUGCACUUUCCAUGUUCCUACAUUGAGGGCCAGAAAGAUGAGCCGUUGGGAUACUGCCGGUUGGGCAAUAACUUUGCAAAUUUAUUGGCCACCUACACCCACGACAGUGCCAUUUCUUUCUUUUUUCUCCUUCCUCUUUGUAUCUGCCUAUCUCUCUCCAGACAUGUAUGGCCCGGUUGCCAGUGGAUGCCUCAUGUUGGUGUGUGUGCGGCACAGAAUCCUCCGUUGAUUUGAGGGCGUAGAGCUAGCGGUGAUGUGCAACAGAAUCGACCCCCGGCCCGGGUCGAUGACACAAGACAGGUUUGUAGCCUAGGGGGUACUUGUUGCUUGCUCCUGCGCUUAAUUACUAGCGCCAAUCCUACUAAAGCCCCACUACACUACACAUAUGUGUACUAUGUCCCAAAGUACACCACCAGUCCGGAAGAACAUGCUACCACAAAGGAAUUGGAUUGUCCUUGCUGGUAUAUCAUUACCAUGAUUAUAAUUAGCAGCAAGGACAUGUGCCUUGCUCAUCAUGUCAGUGGUUUAGCUGCUCCUACUGUGCUUCAACUAGGAUUUGGUAGCUUUCCAUUUCCAGGCUGCUUGGAUAUAGAACAUGAUUUUAAUCUCAAGGAUAUAUGCUCCAUAUUAUUUUAAUGAAGAUUUUAACUAGUACAAUGCCUACUACACAAAUAGGGUUACUAGCCCAAAAAAUCUCCAUCCCAUAAAGUUGAUCUAGAUAAUUAGGCACAAAGAUGAUGUGCUAAUUAAUUAAUAAAGCAAGAUCAACUUGCCAACAACAUCAACAACAAGCACAAGGAUCCACAGAGGCUACCUAGAGCUACUGGAGUGGCAGUAGACCAUGAGGAGCACAAGGACCUAGUAGCACCUAGAAUCAUGGGAGAAAAGCCAAGAAACCCUCCCAGAGACCCACCAAAUCAUGGGAACCAAAGUCAAGAAAGGAGGGAAGGGGGUUUGGCAACUUGGGAAAUGGCAGAGUAGCUAAUGCCUAGCUAAUCACGCCUCCUUCUAGCUUAAACUCCACUCGGUGAUGUGAUCUUCAUUCCAAAAGGCAGAUUAUACAUUUGUCAACAUAUUCUUCCUUUUGAGAGCAGAUUAAUCUGUGUUAGGCGGUGAUCUGACGGGUGUUAGAAUGGCUUUGUCUUUUGUUCUCAUCUGCCACUUUUUUUUCGAUUUUUUUUUUGCACUCGUUGGUUGAUCUUCACCUAUUGGUAAAAAAUCAAGACGCUUCAGGUUAAGAAAUUUAACUGCAUGCGUACAGAUGAAGAUGUCGGUGCAUUCACCGUAUCUGCGAGGUGUGAAUGAUUGGCAGCAGUGUCUCGAUCGCCUCCUCUCAACCGUCCAAAUUUUCUUAGUCUUUUACCCUUGCGCAUGCACGCACGAAUCCUGGCCAUCCAUCCGUGCGCUGGAGUAGUUGCUAAUUAACCUGCCACACGAUGACGACCUUCACCGCCUUGCUCCCUGAGUCCACAAAUAACAUUUUUAUGUUUGACCAACAUUGUUGAAAAAAGUAUCAACAUAUAUGGCCUCAAAUCGGUAUAUUAUGUAACUAAAUUUCAAAACGGAUCUCAUGACACUAGUUUAGUGUCAUAAAUGUUAAUACGUUUUCCAAAAAAUCGGUCGAAAUUUAAUAUUUUUGACUUAGGACAAAACAAGAUGUACACUUAUUUGCGGACGAAGGGAAUACAUGGCUCUUUUGGACAACAGCCAAGAGACCCAAUUUUGUAAGGUCAUUCGCUCCCGACCGUUGAAUGAACUCGCAAUAAAUAGAUGUGCACGUGUCCAACAAUAGUUCACUUAUUUACUCCAUUCCAAUGUUAGCAUCACGAUGUCAUGGAGGAGAAUCGCGAAACCCGACAAUCUCUCUUCUCUUAGUAACAUGCUAAGUAAUGACUUGUUGGAGACCCUUCGAUCGUGGCAUCAGGAGGAGUUCAAUUUGAUGACACCAAUGAUAAGUUUUUUGUUUGAAUCCACGAGAGCUCAAUCUCGUCAGCUCAAUCUCGUCUCUUAAUAUAUAACAUGCUAAAGUAUCGGCUCAUCGGACAUGCCUCCGAAUUCAGUCAUCACAAACAGUCGGUUUGAUAUUCCAUCCGCUUGUGAAAUCUAAAUAAAAUCACUUUUGUUCUUGAAAAUCUCAUGUUACAAAGUUUCCAACGGGACACCAUUUCCACCCAUCAAACCAUCACAUUAAUCAUUGGUCCUCCCUCCUUGGUGUGCCUUGCGCCGGUCCUCGAUUCAUCUUGCCUAACCCAAAUUUAGCAGUAGUAUACAUCUCAGAAUAGCUAUCCGCGUACGGUACUACAAGUAUGGCGGUGGUACAACGGUGCUAAUGCUUCGUAGUACCGGGAUCUCACGGAAACUGCCACAUGCAUAGCACCUUUCUCUACAUCUUCUUUUCAUUUACUAAAAGAUAUUUAAAUGUAAUUACUCUAGCUAAUUAAUAAAAAACAUUUUAUAUACUUUAGAGAAAAGAAAACAUUGAUUCCUCCAACAAACAUCCAAUGUUUCCCCCUUUUCCUGCACGUCUCCGGGCCAAUCCAAGGCCGUCCGAUCGCUGGAUCAGACGGCGGUCGGUCCACCGGAGCCAGGGAAGUCAGCCGUUUCUACUCCGAUCCGUGCGUGCGGGCGUGCGUGGGCAUGUGACUUUGGCAAAGGAGGGGCGGUGUGGUGUGGGGAUCCCCUGCGCGCUUUCUGCUGCCGCUCUGCUCCAGUUUCAUUUCAUCAUCGCCUCUAUCCCCUACACGCACGCACCGCAGCAGCAGCAGCAUCUCUCUCACUCACUCACUCUCUCUCUUCGUCUCUGUCUCUGUGCAGCAGCAUGAGUAAUAAAUGGCAGUGAGCAGCGUGGCUGAGGCGGAGAGAGUCUGCCACUAGUGCUGUGCUGUGGACAGCAGCAGCGUCCGUCCGGCUCUUGCUUUUCUUCUUCCUCUUUCAGUUUUCAGUUCUUGGUACCAGCAGCAAUCAGUUUCUGCUCUUCCCAGUUGAAACCGCACUAAACCCUGUCAAAACCUUCAUCCCCUCCCCCUGAUCCGAGCAAGAGCGGAUUGAUCGAUCCUUUCACGGGGAAAUCUCCGAAAGAGAAAAAAGGUUGAUUCUUUCUUUUCCGCCCCCCAAAAGUUUCAUCUCUGAAUCCGUUGAGCCCGGAAGCGCCGGCAAAUUUCUUCCCCCAAACCCCCAGAUUUCUCGAUCCGUUUGAUCGUUGGAUCGUUCUUGUCCAAGAUUCGCCUGUGUGGGGGUGGGAGGAGGGGGAGGGGUUUCCUCUGAUGAGCAGCAGCAGCAUCGCCGCCCGUCGAUGACUGAGCGCCGCCGAUGCUGUCGGGGUGCUCGGUGUCCAGUCUCGCGGCGAGGUUCGCCUUCUUCCCGCCGGACCCGCCCACCUACGCCGUCCGCAAGGACGAGGCCACGGGCCGCCUCGUCGCCUCCGGCGGCGUCCCGCGGGACAGCGCCAUGGACGUGCUGCUCGUCGACACCGCCAGGGGCACCAAGGUCGUCGCCUUCUACCUCAGGAACCCCUGCGCCCGCCUCACCGUGCUCUACUCGCACGGCAACGCCGCCGACCUCGGCCAGCUCUACGACCUCUUCGUGCAGCUCAAGGUCAAUCUCAAGGUCAAUCUGAUGGGGUUAGUGAUGCAUUGUGCUUCCUGCCCAUCUCCACGACAUCGCGCUCUGUUUUUGGUGUGGUUUUGUUGCAUCUAAUUGAUUUAGUCUGUCCUUUCGUUCCUUUUAUUAACUGCCUUGAAAUAUGAUCUGAAAAAUGUGCUGUGCAUUUCUUGUUGGUAUGUGAUAGUACUACUGUACUGCAUUCAUAUGGGUGUUAUUUUUCCUUUUCCCCUUUCUGAAUUUUGAGGUGCAGCAGGAACUGUGCCUUUUGAUAUCCAGCAGGAGCUGUGCAUGUGGGCUAUUGAAUAAUGAACUCUGCUUGGUUUGACUGAAUUGGGCGAGGAAAGUGACGUUUCUUCGAUUAGAGUUGUCUGGAUGCAUGUGGGAGUGGAACCCUGUUGUUUUUCCUGUUGUCGCUCCUAGAAUUUUGGAUAGCUGGGGGAAAUUCAGUGCUUUAUAAUGAAUUAUUAAUCUGUGGGGGUGCGAUAUCAGGCAGACUUGGUUAAUGUGGCAGAUUUUUUUGGGAACACGAUGUGGAUCUGCAGGCCAAUUAUAUUAAGAUGGACGAAAAUGAUGCCCUAGGAGAAAAACCUUAGGCUUUUCUUUAGUACCAAAAUUUGAAAUAGAUAAUUAUGGGUCUGAUUUGGGAGCAUGUUCAAUCCUCGGUUACAACCAUAUCAGUCUUUAUGUUCAGUAGGGUUCAUUUCUUUUCUUCUGUUUCCAUUUUAAUGUGUUCUGGAGGUACACAAGACAUUUGCUGUGCAGAACAUGCUGAUGUUUGUAAUUUAAUGACUGCAGGUAUGACUACUCGGGGUACGGUGCAUCUACUGGCAAGGUAAGUAGCUUAUUUACCAUUAGUGAACUCUGUUUAACUUUACCCUAAACUCUAGUACAUCAGGUUGAGAGUUUGGUGAAUCAGUGGUCGCUUAAGAGUUAAGUCACUUGGGUAAAUUUUGGUUACCUCUCCCGGCUAACACAGACGUGGAAUGCUGCUAUCUGCCUAACUGUACUGCAGAGUUUGCACCAAUCAAUCUAAAAAAAUAUGUACUCUAGAUACCUCGAGAAAUGUGGUCCAAUUUCAGUUUCCAAGAGCAUGCUGCAUUUAGCUUCAACAGAAGAGAGUUUGGCCCAUGCCUGGCUGGUGCAUUCUAGGCACAUCAUGGCCAUUGUACACUUUUGUCUUCAACCACACAUGCCUUUGUGAACUUCAGGCUACAUAAUAUUUGGGUGUGCCUAUGUACAUUUGUUCUGAACAGGAGAUAGAGACCUCUAUUUGAACCAAAUAUUAUGUAGCCUGAAGUUCAGAAAGGCAUGGGUGGCUGAAGUUCUUUUUUUUGCUGCUUCACACCCGAAAUGUUACAAAUGAAGAUCAUGUUAUGUUGAUAGUUUAGUUUCUGUUAUUUGUUUUGAGGUCCCUGCAAUCAAUUGCACCCAGAGUUUCUGCCUUAGAAAAUGCCAUGUAUUGUUGUGUUUCAAAUUUCUGUUUUGCAUACUGGGUAUCGCUCAUAUUAUUGUCUGCUUGUCCAUUGUGUUCUUAUUUGAGCUAAAUCAGCACUUUGACUUACUGCCACUUAACUGGCCUUUGUACUCAGCAUCUGCAUGCCCAUAUUUCUUCCUGAAGAAAUGCAUUUUUGUGGAAUGGUUUUUAAGUCUUCUUUUGUUGAAGUGCAGCCAAGUGAAGAGAAUACAUAUGCAGACAUUGAAGCAGUUUACCAGUGCUUAGAAACCGAGUAUGGAAUAAGCCAGGAAAAUGUUAUCUUGUAUGGACAAUCUGUUGGCAGUGGGCCAACAUUGCAUUUAGCCUCUCGUUUGCCAAGAUUGCGUGCUGUGGUUCUUCACAGUGCUAUACUGUCAGGCCUCCGUGUUGUUUGCCAUGUGAACUUUACUUUCUGCUUUGACAUUUACAAAGUAAACGUCUUGAAUUGAUUAUUUCAUUACAAUGUCUACCUUGUGUGCCAUUAGACUUUAGAUAGCUUUUACUAAUGUUUAGCUAACUUGUCUCUGCAGAACGUCAAAAAAAUAAAGAAGGUGAAAUGCCCAGUGCUCGUUAUUCAUGUAAGUAUUUUACUAAUAAGAUAUCAAGCUUUUCCUAGACACACUCGAGUUCUUCUUUGACAAUUGGUUAUACUCCACUAUCCUGACAUCUGCUGAUUUUGGCAUUUAAUACAUUUAAUAUUUUGGAACAUCGUAGCUGCUUAUGCAUUUUUGGUGUUGUUGCUGUCCUUGCUGCUACUAGUUGCAUGUCCAGGAGAAAUAAUGCAACUACUUCUCUUGGUAAUAUGUGGACCAUGUAUUCAUGUUGUAAGAAGCUCUCGUCACCGUAGAAAAGGUGUGAGACAUUAGGUAGAAAUGUACUGUUGCAUAUUUAAAUGUUUCUGCAGAAGUAUUAAGUGAGGGACCAGAGAAAUGUAGAGAAAGAAACACAUUUCAGUCUUUUUUAGAGGAAGGUCAAGAGUCAAGACUACUACUUCCACACUUGUUUUUUUUCCUGAGAAAAUACAAAGCUUGCAUCUCGAUGCAUUGAUAGAAGAGAAACUUAUGUACAAGCCCAAGUAAGGGCAAACACCUCCAGAUACAACACAACACACUACUCGCCUGGGGUCUCUGGAAGGACCGCCCAAGUCCUACUGCCCCGGCAUGGACCCAAAACCUAGCUUCCGAUUUGACGGUUGAGAGUAGACCUGCCAAGUCAGCAUGUGCGUCGUCGAAGACGCCGCAUUGCGCUGCUUCCAGAUCCACCAGGCAGACAGGGUGACCAGGGAGGCGGUGCCCCUUGCGGGCCGCCCGAGGAGUGGAAAGCGAAGCGACCCUCCACCAGUCCACAAAGUCCUCGGUGCCCGACACACUUGUUUUUAAAGCCUUGGGUUAAUGUUUUGUGUUUAAUCAUCCAACCACCCCACAGCCCCACACUUGUUUUUGUGUGUGUAGAAAGUACAUUCGAUCUGGGAUGCACUGUCCCACACUUGAUAGGCUAAUUCACCGGGUAGGAGUAAAAAUGAACAGAAUGGCCAUUGAACACUAGCACUUCUGAUGCGCUGGGAUAUGCCAUUAACAGUACAUUCACCCUAAGAGCUUAUUUGAUUUCAUUCAGCCUGCUGUACAAAUAAAAUACGGCAUCGGCAGGCCUUGCCUGACCCUGACUUGACUUCCACUAUUUUGGGCUUUGGCUGAGCCAACAGCCCAACACAAUGAGUAGUGUAGCCACAUGUGACAUGCUGUGAUGGGAAAGACUAGGCCCGGAAGAUCAGGCCUUUUGUGUCCGAAACUUGCACAACUCAUACUGAAUCUGAAAUCCAGUACAGUGAUUUCUUUAGGUUUGGAUGAAAUGCAUAAGUUUAGCACGUUCAAAAACUAGAAAUGCCAUAGCUCCCAAAUAAUACCAGUUUACUGGUAAUGGGGUGACAGAGUUUCCAGUAUUUUACUUUUACUUGGCCUGUCAUUCAUAACUUUAUCGGUACCAGUCUUCCUGAUUUCAUAGUUGAUGGUGUCAACACGUGUUGGCUAUAGCUCGUACUAUAAUUGUUUGACACUCUGUUCCCAGCUGUGACCUCUCUUUAUCACUAAAUAAUUUGAAACUUGUGGCCUUACUACAUGUACCUGCACCUGAAGAUACUUAGUUGAGAGAUUAGCUUGCUACUUUCAGCCGUUCUAAUGUGUUAAAUAAUAGAUACUUUCUCUUCGAAUCUUGAACCAAUGGAACAUAUCUUCUAGCAAACCCGUAUUCUUGUCCUAUUCUCAGAUUUGGAAUUUUGGACCUUUAAGGAAAUACUUCAACAUCGAUAUGGGCUUAUCAACACAGCAUUCAUUGCAUUUGUCAGAUUGUAGUGAUCUAGAUUAAAGAACGGCCCUUAAGUUAAGUGUAUUCCUACAGUAUCGUCCACUAACUUGAUGUAGCUUUAUAAGCUAGAAGUUAUAACAGAUCAGAUCAUUCCAUACAUAUGUGCCACCAAGUCACCAACUUAUGAAGCUCAUGGUGCAUCUUCAGUUGCCCUAUCUUUUAUACAAGCAAUGGGAUUAUAUUUAAUCAACCAUGUCAUAUGGUUCAAUUGGAAUUCUCUGUCACAUAACCCUCCAUGCUUCUAUUCUUACAGAUGUUCGCAUUCCAUACAUUUCCCUUGGUUACAGAAUUGGAGUUAUAAGUAUGUGGUUACUGGUACUGGACACCAUCUGAACAAUCUUCUAAAACUGAACUUGUUACCUGUGCAAGAUACCAAACAUGACUAUUAUAUUCUUGACUAGACUACCAUGGGUUGCUUGAUAGGAUCAAGCUCGCCCCUUGUGGCUAACAUUUUCGUGGGCACCAUGCCAACACUUAUUUUCCUUAGCCAGCCAAGGCUGUUGAGCAAUCAUGAAUGGCCUCCAUACUUGAUGUGUGCUAACAAUUAUCUAAACUGCUGUUCUAUUUUAUGAUGAACCAUUUAUUUAAUGGACGUUUUGUUCUGUCCAUACUUUCUGUCUUAAGUUAUUGAAGUCCGAAUUUUCCUAUGCACCUUCAUGUUGUGUAGAAAUGAUGUGUUAAUGGAUACGGAUUGACAUUUGCAGGGAACUGAUGAUGAUGUCGUGAACUGGUCACAUGGUAAUGAACUGUGGAAACUGGCAAGGGAGCCGUAUGAUCCAUUAUGGAUCAAAGGGGGAGGUCACUGCAAUCUGGAGCUGUACCCGGACUUCAUCCGCCACCUCUCCAAGUUCAUCCGUGAAAUGGAGAGUAUGACAACCAAAACGAGGCUCAAGAAGAUCCGAGAGUCCCUCCAACCAGCAAAGACUGUCUACCCCGCACACACCGCAACGACUACCACCUUCACCACUAACUGCUGCUGCCGUAUCCGAGUCCGCAAACCGACCUGCCCCAGCUGCAAUUUCAGCUGCAGCUGUUGUCAUGCAUUGAGGAAUUGCUUCACAUUCCGUCCAUUCAAGUGCUCGAUCUGCCUCUCCUGCAACUGCAGGAGCUGCUUCAACUGCUGCUGCUGCUGAUGCAGUGGAGUCGCUCUUUAACGCAAAUCUAUCUGUGCGUGUGUAUAGGGGGAAAAAAAGAAGGAAUGGUCCUGGAGAUAUCUAACCCUUUAAAUGUUGUAGGACAGAACCUAGAUUUUCACUUAGCUUCAAUCUUGUAUGAGAAGAUGGAGAUAUGCUUGUGCUGCUCCUUAGUAUCCAGUUCUUCCCAGUUCUUAUGUACUUGCUCGUCAGGUUCGAACCCGCCCAUCUCAGCUGUUCUUGUAUGUUCCCAUGAACUCUGUUGCAUCUGCAAUUCUCUGAAUUCUCUUGCAUCUGCAGCUACAUCAGAUAUGUCCAGGCCUGACCGUUCAAGGCCCCCGGUCUGUUCAUUAAGCAGGUAAACAGAAUGGGGAUGAAUGAACAUGCUCUCAUUCUAUAAACCCAGAUCGCCCAUUUCGCUGCAGAUUGUCUUAUUCAGGAUAGGAUUAGGUUAAGCCGUGGCGCUCUCCGUAUUCUGGCAAUUCAGAAGUUGCAGCGGCAGUAGCAAUACACUAGGCGUAGGACUGUAGGAGGACCACUGCCAACCCUGAAUGAAAGAAAUCAUACACCUCUCAUUGAUGCGUGUAGAUUCAGAAACUGCCUCUACGAAGCCAGCUGCUGAAUAAUUCUCUCUGCUGCAACAAUGGCAUGUGAGGCCAUUGAAUAACUGGAUUUCCUUUCAGAAUGCGUGCGCGUGAGUCAACUGAACCAACACAGCAGCAGCAACAAGUUUCUGAUCAUUGCAGCAGAACAGGAGCUUCUGUCCUACCGAAUCAUCCUAGAUGGUCCAAAAAGGCGAAAACCCGGCUAAAUAUCUUACGGAAUAUGUGAUUCUCUCUUGUUAGCACAGGCCAUAAUUGGUAAAAAAGAACCGGUCCGUGAUAACGAUUUUCAAACCAUAUGCGAUCGUCACAACAUCUGAGCUUCUGGCCUGUCUAGCAAAAUUCACUGCUCAGACAAAUCCAGUUCGUCAGGCCAUCGACAUUCUGUCUGAUUCGGGGUUGAUUACCAAUCACUGUUUAUAAGAAUCGGGUAAACGAUGAACAUCCAAGGUAAGAGGUACAAUCGUCAGGUCGGCAUCCAUAGACACAACAGAUAUGCCAUGGCAUUGCUGUAUUGUGGUUUUUUAUCUUGUAGUAUGUAUAUAGGUAUGUAUUGAUCCAUGCAAGGUACCACUCAGUGUUGAGCUGGGCAUACAGCUGUGGCAACCAUGCCUUCCUUUGCUUGUACUUUUGCCCUGUACCUUUCACCAUAAACAGUCUAGCCUGCCUAAUUAUGCUACAAAUUACAUCCAAACCAAACAAAAUAAAGAGAAACCAUGCUUAGCAUAUAGUAUUAUUGUGUGUGUGCUUCAGUCGUCAUCAGUUAUUCAGUCCUAUAUGUGCUUAGUGUAAUGGCAGAACAGGACACGUCAAAUAGCCCAAAGAUCCUGGUGAGACAAGGACAGGAUUGGAAUUUGCUGAGGUACCACUCACUCACUCACUAAGCCAACCACUGUUCCUGCCGUAUAGCAGCACAGUACACUGUAUUAUUAGCAGUACCCCAGUAUGUAUAUUUAUAUUUAGCAGUAGCUCAAGUGUCUCAGUACACUGGUCCAUGGCGGUGUGUGACGUGAUGGGGAAACCCUCUAGCUAGCUUUGGUUGCAUGCAAAUACGCAAUGCUCUAACCAUGCAAAUUAAAACAUGAUUUUCUUGUCAUUUUUUGUUUUUCAGGUCAUGGGUGUGCAUAUAUGUGUUUAUAGGUUGGGUUGAUUGAUUCUGUUGCUCUUGUUUGUUGUCUAUUCUUCCAUGGCCGGCCACAUCUUGCUAUCUGGCAGAUCUUGUUCUGUUGCGCGGCCCUGGUUGGUGCUUCUACUUAAUGGCGCGCUCUUAAUCAUCGGUGGCUCCAUUAACUUAAAUUUAAUCGCAUGAUUUAUGGGUUGUUUAUGCUGAUCUUUCAGAUUGUCAAUACAAGAGGGGAAUCAAGAAGGGGCAAUUUCUUGUUGGCGUUGGGAAUGAGAUUAAGGUAAGGUUUCUGAUUCUUCCUGACCCUAAGUCUGGAUAGAACCCAGGAAUUUUGGAGGUACCAAAGGAAGUCACUGAAUCCAGCUCUGUAGUCUGUACCAAAAUAGGUUAAAAAAAAUCAUCAGUUCGAGACAUGCCAUAUAUAAACAUUCUGUCCUUUUUUUUUCUCGCUUCAAAUGAUGCAUUGCUGAUCCUUUAAUUCAUUUCGUCUUCCUCUCACUUUGCAUAUAAUAGUAUAUUAUACUUGUUAUAUAUGCUUACUUGAUUUCCUGAGCAGCAUUAUUGUGAUCUUCCACUUACUUAGCAUAUCUAUACAGAAUGGUUCACUGCAUUUGCACAUUUGGCAGUGGUCGUGGUGUGGGGUGGGUAGCUGAGGAGUCCCCCUUACACCUGUGGGACCCACAUGGAUAGAUAUGAACAUGCAGCAGGAGGAGGGGCAGAGACAGGCCUGUAGCAUCUGCACACACUGUGUCACAAGGAAUGCCAUGUGUGUGCUGGUGACUGGCCAUUUGUUAAUUAGCGGUACGUUUCUUGUUCCUUGAGUCUUCGCUAGAACCCCAUGCCCCCAAAAAUGCUUUUCUGGAGAAAAAAAUGAUUUUCUGGGAUGGUUGGUGGCACAUAUGCACAGUACGUAUUGGCAUGUUGCACAUCAGGAUUAGUCUGACGACCUAAUUAUUCGUUUUCUUGCUCUAUUUAGUAUUAUUGGAUUGUAGUACAUAAUUAAGUACAUUUAUAUCUGCCUGACUUACCACAUGAUUGUGCUGAGAGCCCUGGAGAUGUUUUUUGCGCCGUGUGUGUGUAAUGAUUAGUAGAGAGAUAAAUUAUGGGCCGGAUGAUGUAAUGUAGCAGCAUCUGGAGCUAGCUCUGGCUGUUUAUCUGGAAUGACCACAUAUAUGUAUAGCAUCUGGUUUCUGUCUCCAGGGGAUGUGACCAGGAUGAUGCUGAUGCAGACCACAGAGGAAGAAUUUACAGUAGCUUAACCUGUUAACCAUGCAUGCAUGUAUAAUAUAGUUAGUGGGCGGUGGCAUGUUCUGCACAUUGGGGUAGAGUGUGAGGUGACUACAAGUAGUUAUCACCUUGCAGACAUGUUCUGCAGGAGGAAAUCAGUUGAUUGUGCAAGCAAAGAGGUGGAGGGUUUUUUUUUUGGGGGGGGGGGGGGGGGGGGGGUCGUGUCAGGGAAUACCAACACCACCGUAGACGUUGACCACUAAACUAGGAGUACAGUUCUCUGUAAGCAGCAGCAGCAGCAGCAACAGGAAGCAUAAAGAACCUGCAUGUAUAUAAAUACACUAGUAGCAGAAAUCAUACUUCGUAGAAAUCCUGCAGGGCUGCAGCUAGUAAUUCCCCAGACAAUUCGAGCAUGACACGCGGGAGUCCACGCAUACUCCGGUCCAGACAGCAAAAAGGCAAGUUAGUUUAGUGGAACGUGUGUGAAUUGCGACCGACAGAGAUGGAAGGCUCUGUUCAUUUGUUUUUCCAGCUGUUUAGGUAGCCGCCGCAUUGCAGUGCAGUGCAGUGCAGAACUAAUUCGAGGCAAAUACUGUAGUAUAUAUGCAGUAGUCUAGGAGCUUUUUGCCUGCUGUGUCGAUCGGCCGACAGGAGGCCGGAUUGAGGAGAUCGACGCAGAUGGACGAAUGGAUCGGCCGUUUUUUUUGUCAAUGCGGCGCCCUGUGGUUGGUUGGCCCGUCAGUCACCAAACCCAAAGAUAGAGCAUGGGUCAACACAGCCUUGAAAAAUUAACUUAAGAACACACUCCCUGUCGAUCGAUCUCUCCGUGUGGGGGCCAGAUUGCCAGACCAGGCGUGCGUGGCACGGUGGAGAGAGCUAGCUAGCUCGCCAGCCAGUCAUGAACCCACAGUCCCACACGCACGCAAAAACGCAAAAUUAAAGGGCAAAGCGCAUUAGGUGUAGCCAGGAGGCCAGGGGGGAGGGAGAAGGAAAUGGAGAUCGAGGGUCCAUGCACGGGGCGACCGGUCUAUAUGUCCAGAUGGAAAGUUUGGAGGCUUUCUCGCCCGUUUCAGCACGAAGAAGAAACAUUGUGGCCAAAGGUCGGUGUGAAGUUUCUUGGUGGGAUCAAGCAUGAAACGCGGCGUUUGGGUGACUUACGCUCUGCCUUGCAUAGAUGACAUACUCCUUCCGUACACAAAUAAACAAGUGUAUUUUUAUGUACUCCGUGUUUUAAGAAAAAAAAAAUUGAUCAACUUUAUAAGAAAAAGUAGCAACAUAUAUGAUGUUGAAGUGGUACAUCAUGAAAUUAUAUUUGAAGACGGAUCUAUUGCUACUAAUUUGAUGUGCUGUUGUUUUCUACAUAGUGGGUCAAACUCUAAAAACUUUAACUUAGGACAAAGGUAAACGUACAUUUAUUCGCGGACGGAGGGAGUACCUCGGCCGCGCUUUACAGAGCGUUGCGCCAAAAUGCCAAAUUAACCCGAGGUUGGCCUGGGAUCGAACUGGCAUGUCUAGCCUUGAAGUCCAUACUUCCAUCAAAGCAUCACACAUGAUUCUUAUAUUGAUGAUGCACCCGCUGGGUUACAUUCUUGAAGAAAAAAAAGACGAUGAUCAACGCUGAUCUAAAUGUACGUUCCAUAUUAAAGGUGGAUAUCAUAACACUCACUGCUUAAACACAUUUUUCACAUAACCCCUGGUACAGUUGUACUCCCUCCGUCCCAUAUUAAGUGACUCAAAUUUGUCUAAAUAUGGAUGUAUCUACGGCUAAAAAACGUCUAGAUACAUGUAAUAAAAAGUCACUUAAUAUGAGACGGAGGGAGUACUUAUCACACGACGCCUUAUGGAGUAUUUUAUUUCCGGUUCUCUCACCUUCUCGACCGCACAUUGUGGAUCUGACGGUCCACGUGUAUAUAUGUUUACAAAUUUGCACCAAAUAUGUCGCUCUGCGAUAUUCAUGCUGUCAAUAUAUCACAACCGUGGACCUGCGCAGAUGUGUUGGCGACGAUCGAAAAGGGAAGGGAUGACGGAUAUAUGGAAAGGUGUUGCUAAGCUACCUACACACAUCGAUCUCCAGUUAUAAAACGAAUUGAUUUUCUAGUUAUAAAACGCAUUGAUUUUCUAGUUAUGAAACGAAUUAUCGUGUCGCGUCAGUAGGUAGGUACUCACUCCGUUUCAUAAUUCUUGUCGAAAUAUUACAUGUAUCUAGAUACUUUUUAGAAAUAGAUACAUUCAUUUUUGACAAAUUUAAAACAAGAAUUAUGAAACGAAGGGAGAAGGGAGUAGGUAGGUAGCAGCCUAAGUGGCGCCACGCAUCGAUCGAUCGAUAAAUCACUCGUGCUAGUUAAAAACCGAAUGGACGGGUGGAUUGUAAGCGAUCGGGAUAGCUAGCUAGACUGGAAACAUUGAUUGAUCCGGGCUGGGUAUUCCUAGCUUGAGCAACAGGGGGUUCCAAAUGUUUCGAUCGGUACGUGCAUUUGGCCUCGCAGAUACCGGUGUAGCAAGCGAAAGGUGGUGGGUCAAUUUGCAGGUGGCAAACAAACAACGUACGGAGCGUUAAAAUUACGGUUUUUUUUCCUUGGCCAGAUUUAAAUUACGUUGCUCCGUUCGGAAUUACUUGUCACUGCUUUAAUACAACUUUGCAGUAACCUGCGGCAAGUAAUUUUGGCCGGAGAAAUUACUUUCUUAUCGUUUGUUGUUGGUUUUUCUUGUAAAAAAUUCUCGACGCGACUAGAGUUGUCGUUCGUUUUUACUUUUCAAACGUCGAGCCCGGCCGGCACUUGCCAUCGAUGGAUGGGAUGGGAUGGGAUGGAUUGGGUUGGGUUGUUUGGGGCAGAGGCGGGCGACACGGGGGUCUCUGCGGCGAGAACAGCAACCGGGCAACCGAGAUACGGAUGAAUCGGCGCAAGCGCGUGCAACGUACGGGACAUUCCCCGCGACGACAGAAACCCCGCAGCAAACCACGCACACGCAACGAAUUUAUCGACCUGCAGGCGCUUAAUUCGUUUUGGGGCAAAUCGUCAAAUCCCCCGUGUGUUCCCGGCCCCGGAGCUGCCCUACCGUGCAGGGGAAUUGCGUGCUCUCUGGAUCGACCCUACCCCUGCCACUGCCACUCGCAGCGUAGUACUAGUAGUACGUACGUGACUUUGCCAGGGCCAAGUGGCACGCCGCGCACGAACGCACGACUCUGCCCAGCCGCGCGCGAGAUCCACACAAUAUCCAUUCACCAAACACCACGCACUAGCUAGCUAGCUAGCCUCUCUCGCGCUACUCAUGUUUCCACCAAACACUGCCCCAAAAAACACAAAAGAAAAUCUGCCCGGACACGAAUCAAAUCGGUUAAAUCCAUUGAUAAGCCGGUUUAUAUAUGCGAGUGCACCAACGUACCACAAAGCCAUCAUAUGGAUGGAUGUGCAUUUUGCUAAUCUGUGUCGAUCGAUCGCCAGUACAGUACGUAACUUACUUAUGUCGAUCCUAGUACAGCCGAUUAAUUAUCUAGCAGUUGGUUAAGCUUGUGGGGGUGUUUAAUCGCCGACCCUUCCCAAACACUCCACCGUCGACAUACAUGAUCCUCAAUUCCUCAUCAUCUCGAGUACCUUAACUAAUUAGCUUCCACUCAGAAGCUUUAAUGUGUUCCCGGCCGGAUUAGUUCGACGACGAUCGAUCGAGGACUGCGCCGCCUCAAGUUACACCUAGCAUGUACGACUCCCUGUCGUACCAGCUCGAUCGCCAAAGGAAAACAAAAGAAGGGAAUGUCUUCCUCCACCUCAGCUGAAAAGGGGUACUAUAAUGUUGCUCAACGUGGAGUGCUCCUUGAAUUCGCAGCCUUGUGACAUGGGAUGGGAGUAUGUAAUUAACCUCCAUCAGUCAACAGUUCAAAUUUAAACUUUUUCUUACUACAUCUCUGGGACGUCUUAAAUGUGCUCAAAAAGACUAAGAUUUAGUGUGGCAUUGCUGAACUGUGCUGAACUUAUUUUAUAAUCUGCUGUCGAAAAAUACACACAAAAGUAGGAAAAAAUUGGUUAGCCAAAUGCGGGUGAAAAAAAAGGGGAUUAUGAUACCGCAAUGCCAAACGCAGCCUAACACAUCAUCUUCUUUUCUUUUCUUUUUUUCGCAAAGACUGACAGUAUAAUACAUCAUCACAAGACAGGAGAUCACGAGAUCCUGAAUAUCUAUUUUUUUUAAAAAAACUUUUCACGCUAUAUAUAUAGUGGUACUUACACAUAUGUGUCCCUUGAAGGGUACCAUUAGCUCAUUUAAGAAUGUUUCAUAGAGCUGGCAAACUAAAUUGAGUGCGGGGGCAUCUCUUCUCUUUGCACAAUGCAGACCACGUUUGAAUAUAUUGAAAAGGCGUUGGAAUAAUCAAACAGGGAAAAUAAUAAUAAAAGGCUAAUUGACCAAUUUAUUUCGAUUAAGAAGUAUAUGUGUAACGAGAAACAAGCGUCGGAGUCAUGUAGGAGGAACGGCUCUUUUUAAAAUGAGAAAAUUAACAAAUGUUAUAUUCAACGGAAAACAAAAAACAAAACAAUUGACUUAUAAACAUCACCAGGGCGCAUGUUUUUCUUAAACAAGCAAAAUUGAUUCUCACAGAAAAAAAUAUAUAUAAUGAAACGGUACCAGUACCCGGCCAAUAGAAUGUUACAGGUCUUUUUUUGGGACAACUUGCCGUGUUACAGCCUUACACGACAAAGGUCAGAAAAGAAGCUUCGGAAGUGUCAGUGCUACUCCACGUAUAGUAGUAGUACAACAAAUGUUACUGUCAAAGAGAAAAAGAAAAAGCGGUGGCAGUACUUGUUUGGGUUAGUUUCAAUGUGAUGUGAUGUGUAGCUAUGGCACUAUAUACGGGGAUUAUAUAUAGAACUAAGGCUACUUUUGCUGAAAAGCAUCAGUCAAUUUAUUGGUGACAAACAAACCAACAAGCAAAUCAACGAUGAUUGACUUAUAGUGUUAUAUAUAUAAUUUGCAAACGGUGUUAGAGCAACCGCAGUAUGGUAUACCUUGUACAUUGUGAGAAUUGGCCAUGGGACAAAAAACUUAUGGCAAGCCAUAAGCUUGUGGCUAGCCAUAAGAAAUAAAAUAUAAUAUUUCUAUUAUUUUUUCUCUCUGGUUUCUAUGAGUGACAUGUAGGCCCAUGUAGGACCCACCUUAUAUACUACGUGACUAUAUCGAUUGUGUACAUUGCCAAAAACCUUUUGUUUUAAUUUGUGUGUCCCAGCUUGUCCACAAACACCGAUGACGCUACCAUGGUUAUUAUUUCCAUCUCCUAGCUUGUGGCCUGUCAAAUGAUUGACUGAAAGCAUCAUCAAUCAUCAUGCGAAUGCGAGGCCCUCUUUCUUUUUUCCAUGUUUAAAUAUUUUGAUAUCCUUUUUUUGCUUGUUCCAACAAGGUCCACCCAAACUGUCGGUGGUGGCAUCUCUCCUCAUGCAUGCAUAUACCCUAUUUAAAUUAAAUCCGGAGUUUCUUUUUCUCUUUCUUGUCUUCCUUCUCCUCUUUUGUGUUUCUGGCUUUCUUUUAGUCUGUUACUAAUCAUGCAUCAUCAUCAUCAAGCUUAGCUAUGUAAUUAAUCGGCCCGGGUUGACCGUUUGGUUUAAUAUAUUUGCUUUCUCCCUGUCGUAAUCUUUUCAGACCCCACGUCCGAUCGAUGAUCUGUACAUGAUGUACUGUCAUUCUUCCAGUACGAGUGUGCCACGUGUAAAUGUAAGUACGUGCCCGGCCCUUCAAAAUGUUCUGCUACACGUAAUGACAGGUCAGUGUACGUGUUUUCCUUAGUAGUAGUGGCAAGCCAUGUUAAUUUGGACGACCGCGCAACGUUUAUACAUAAUGAGCAUCUUGACGUCACGACAUGUGCAAAGUCCCGAAAUAAACAUACGGGCUGCGAAAGACGUAAUCACUCGAUAGGAUUUAUUAAGAUGCCGCAUUUACUAAUUACUAGAUUUGUACAGAAAUCGUAAGGAAUGCAUGAACUGAUUAAUUAUGCAGCGUAUGGAAAGUGUAUACUCACGCAUGUAUUUAGACAUGAAAAAAAAUCCCAUUAGGUUCUCAAGCGUGUAUUUUAUUUUGGAAAAAGAGAGCACCAGGCUGCUCCUAAAUUUUUGAGAAAACGAUUUCACUUCUCCUAACCUCUACACCAAUUAAGGGUGCACAAAGGGGCGAAAGCACCAGUACGGCAAGGUGCGGGGGGCGCCAUACAUGAACUACGGCCCACAAGUCCAAUGUAGUAAAUUGCGGCCACAUUAUAUCGGGCCUCUGGAUAAUGUCCUUGCCUCGUGACUCCCUAGUCCAGCCUCUCGUAUCCGGCCCACUCGAUCUCGCUAACUGAUCAUCGCCAGCGUUAAGACUUCCUGUCUUCUACGUUGUGGACCAGGGACGUUCCCGAUUCCCAGGCGGCGGACAGUGUGAGCCUGCGAUUCCCGUCUCCACUCUCCAAUCUUCCACUGCCGGCAAAAAAGAGAGGGUGGCACGCCAGGUUGCCAACAUCGGCACCGACAAGAAGCCUCGGCCCACAGGCUGCCACUUCCUGACUCCAUUCUUCUUGUGUAAACUCUGGCACACUUCAAAAUUUAUCCUACGUUCGGCACUGGGUGCACACAACAUUUAAAUAAGAGUAUCAAGAUUUAAAUCUUAUUAUUUUAGUAUGCGGAGCAAUGCACACACUCCUCUAUCCUGAACCAAGCGCGGUCCUCGUGAAAAAUAAAGUAGGAACAAACCCUAUAAACACGAGUCGAUCCUGAGGAUCGAAACCAGGCGAUCAAGCUGCCCACUAGCGGGACCAAACACUGAACCAUGGCUCUAUUCGCAACAUGUAGAAAUAAACAAUAGCAUCCGCCCUGCGCCCUGCAAAAUGAUUUUUUUUCUAGAAUAUACCCAAACAGGUGUAUCAUAUAUGCAAAAUGAUUUUUAAAAAGUGUUUAUAUUCGUAGCUCGCAUGAAAACAACAAGGCCGAUCAACCAAAUUUAAUUAGCUCGCCAAUUGCAGUGCUCUGCAUUUGCUGUGUUUUGCACCGGUAGUUUGAAUUCUCCUUUUUUAUUUAAAGUGCAUUGGGAUACAUAAAUUUUAUCGACAACGAUGAAAAUAUUAUUAUUAUUUUCACUUAUGAUUACUGGAGCCCAAAGCUCCAGAAUCAAAUGAAUGCCGCUAAAUUGCACCACACUUGCAGUGACCAGUUAAGUUACUCCUCCGGGGCUAUUUUCUUACGGUUCUUGGCGCGUACGACGUACCUACUUGACCGGCACAUAUACGAUGAUCAGUGCACGCUAAACACAACGGCCGCACACAAAAACACUACGUUUUGUACGUGUUACACAUGGAAGCACAUUAAUGAUUAGUGAACCCACUUUUGUCCAUAAGCAUGACACAGCAAAGCGCCAUGGAGACAACUAGCGAGGCUUGAACGCCAACUCCUAAUAAUAAUAAGUAAUACUAGCAGCAGUACUAUUAUUAUAGCUUGAGCAAUCUGUUGAUGGCGCCAUCUCACCUUCCUAGCUGGAUUCGGUUUCCUCUCUUUCUUCUCGAUCGAUCUCUUGCAUGUCGUGUCACCAUCAGAGCGAUCUCGAGAUUCGUGCGCCGUCGGCAGCAGUAGCACCAGCACUGGGUAGGCGGAGCUAGAAAGUUCAACCAUUGGGUUCAGUCCUUCGUAAACAUGGGGUUCAAUCGUAGUUUUGUCUCUAGAUUAUAUUGAAUUUUACCAUUUUUAUUCGGUUCAGCUGAACCCAAUGACAAUACACUGGCUCCGCCUAUGCUGUACCGGCCUGUAGGUGACUACGUGUAGUGCUAGCUCUCCCACUGUUACGUCGUUUUUAUUUUGUUUGAUUGAGCGUUUGAUUGCUCCUCAAGAAAUUCCUCCUCGUGUGAUUGAGAAGCUCUGCAGACUUCCGUCUGGCCGGCCCGCCGGGGUUACUGAAGAAUCAUUCCAAGUAUUUUAGAGGUUGGUACAAUACUACACCUCCGUCUACAAUGCAGCAACACACUACCUAUGUGUACGAGGCCACGUGAGCGUGUAUGCAAAAUUAAUGGUACACGCGAAAUUGUGGACAAGGUACAGGGAGUCCCCUUCUCACUUUCAUUUAUUGGUAAACUGCGGCUUACCCUGCAAUUAAUCUGACUAAUCGGAACAUGCGACUUGGCAAGCAGAGACGGACAGAUCCCCUGAAUCGUCGGCAGACAUUCACUCCUAUAGUCCUAGAGCAGCGGAUGGGGGAGAGCAACAAACAGCGAUUCCCAUUGACAUUCCGAAGCCCCCACCCACCGAUGGAUAGAAAACAUGGAGCAAACGGGCCAAUGGCAUCACGGACGGGGCUGAGCAGCGUCCGGAGUAGUAAAAGAAAGACACAGAGGCGUUCGUUUGACCGGUGACGCGCUGCUAAUAAAAAGAGAGGAAUCUCCAGGCGUCUGCCAUUCGCUACCACCACCGGCGCCGCCGCCAAGCUGUUUGGUGAAAUUAACGCGUCAGUCACAUUGUGAUUGUUGGCUUGUUGCAUUGCAUAUGCGCCCUCCGGCCCCAUCUUCGCGCCGCCCGUCGGACGCGGCAAGGCAUUGCAAGGCAAAAACCCCAUGUGCCAGUAGUAGUCUCAUGGACUGACUUUCCUCCCGUUUCCGCUCAUGUCGGGCCUCUGCUUCGGGGGCUGCCCAUUCCGGCUGGCUCUGCUGCAGGACUAGCCUACUUUAGUCUGCCGUGUCGUUUAUUUUACACGAUAAACUAAACUAAAGUAAGAUAAACUAAGUUUUGUUAAGGAUUCGGGCGCCUCAUAUGCAUGUGCGAAUGUGCGGCCGGUCAUCUCUUCCUAUCUGGCCAUCGACCUGGACCGACCAUUACUCCUGGAUGCGGUGUGUACACACCACACAGAAACAAGACCGUGGGAGGAAAUCUAGCUGGGAAACAAAGAAAGAAAGCUUGCGCGUCAAGCUCGGGCCUCGGGCUCUACGGGGGGCGAUAUACUCAUGUCCAUGUGCCCAGCUUGGCUGUCAAUCGACGCGGUGAGACUCUGGCUUUAUGCCGAGGCCGAGACCAGGGUGAGGUGGCAGCCAGCCGAGACUCGGUCGAUCCAGCUGGGACUUUCCCACCGCCACACGGCAACCUACAUACUUACGCUACUGCACACACGUACCGAUCUACUAAUUGAUGUACGCAUAUCCAUCGAUGCUGCAUGCCUAACACAGUAUAGCUACUGGAUAACUGGAGUACUACUAGUGAAAGAUCGUAGGAUGGCGCGGGCGCCGCAGCAUGAAGAAGAAAAAUUAAAAACGAUUUCUUUCUUUAAUUGAUUACCUGCUGCUCGAUCACCUCAAGGAAAAAAAAAGGUGAGGAAUCUACGUACCUAGCUAUAUACUGUAUAUGCCUAGACAUGAUAUAGCUGCAUGCUGAGAGUAGUUGGUACGUUUUGCGCAUGGUCUCCACCGACACGAACGCUCGAUCGCUCGACUUGUCUCGCUACGCACGUACAAUUAAACAGUUACGUACCGUAAGCACGAUUCUCUGUCUAUGUACUCCCUCCGUUCCGUUCCACGAUUAUUGUCGAAAUAUUACAUAUAUCUAGACAUUUUCUUUAAGAAUAGAAUUAUGAAAUUUGAGACAAGAUUUAUGAAACGGAGUUAGUAUUAACUAAGAUCCCUCGUCAACUAAUCAAGGUGAAUCGUGUUUGGCCUCCUUGAAAGGAACCACACGCACUCUUCUUCGGUGCCGGGAGGAGUGGUUCAUUUUAGUUAGCACACUUGGCUUUUUCCACACGUGGCCAAAGUGAUUUGCGGCUCGGCUAGGGCGAACGCUGGUGGCCGAACCGUUUUUCUACUUCCUCUGAUCCACAUUAAUCGUCCAGAUGUUACAUGUAUCUAAACGUUGUUUAGACAUAGAUACAUCUAAAUUUGAGACAACUAUAAAAUAUGGAUCGGAGGGAUUACUGUGUUUUUCCUGUCUAGAGCGACGCGGAUGGAGCAUACACAAGACAGCGAGGCCGGCAUAUACGAACGUACCCAGGAGCGGUGGAACGUAAGCGGUGCGGUGCAACAACCCAACGGGACGGUCGGUCAUGUCUGAGCUAAUUAACCAGGUCACAUUGAAAACACCCCGCACGUGUACAUAUCCGAUCGAUGUGGCGUACCAUAACCGGCCAACUUAGCCCGACGAGUGGGCUUUGUCUGUCAUAUUCAUUAUAAUUUGAGAAAUCAAUGCAGAGUGAAAAUAUAAACACUAAAUGGGGCACACCGGUGAAAAAAUACAGCAAAUGCGGUAUUAAAUGGUCAAAAGUAAGUAAAGUUAUUACUUUGUGUAAUUUUGGACACUCUGUUGAUAGGAAUACAAAGGAUUUUACCAUUUUUUUGUGGCGGAGAAAAAAGUGGCUUGACUAAUUAGCCAGUCGUGAAAGAAACAAGUCGACCGAGUUUGAUCCUUAUGGUCUAACUUAUAAGUCAUAGUUAACGACCCGAUCGAACACGUGUUAAUAUUAUCAUUGCUUCUAGUCAAUUACUAUCAUCGAUCGCGAAUCGAGUUUGACAUGAGUACGUACUAAGUUGAUCGAUGUAGCCUCGUCGAAAGGAACUAUACGUAGUCUAGUUGUGUUGCAUUUUUAGGGUUCUUCAAGGGAGAGAAGUGUAUAUCAGUAUAUGCAAAUAUAGGGGGGAGAUGAAGGUGUACGGUUGAUCAGCUGAGAAAGAAACUAGUCAGAUUAAUUUCAGUCGCUUACAAAACAGAGUAGUUCCCAACUCCAACACGUGUUGGUGCUAUAGCUGGUUACCAUCAUUCACCGAGUCGACGCAGUAAGUCAUUUGGUUAUCUAGCCUUGUUGAAAGGAACUACACUAGCUGUCAAUUGUGCGUGAUGCAUUUUUAGUAGUUCCCCAGUUAAUUUCACUCUAACUUUAUUCCUACAGUAAAUAUUCCAUCAUGUACCUUGUUGAAAGGCAUAGUUACCGAUCGAUCGUCCCAGCCGGAGACGUGUCAAUUAAUUAAUGGUUCUUGUCAGAUUACAGUGGUGAACCGAGUGCAACACUCUAAAGGUCCUCGUCGUCGAAAGGAACUACUCUAGUUAAUCGUGCUGCAUUCCUAAGGUUUUCUGGAAUUGAAGUGGAAUAUAUACAUGUGUGUGUGCAAGAUCAAAGGGGGAUGCCAUGCGCCGUACAUAACUAGUCCAGUUUAAUUUUUGACGAGCUUAUAAUUGACAUAUCAACGAAAACAAAGGCGUGUUAGCCACCGGUUAACUAUUAGUAACAGCGUGCAAAAGUUGAGAUUUUUCGUCACAUGGAAAGGAACUACUCUGAAUUAGAAGGUCUUUGAUGAUCAAAGGUGAAAGGAGCUAUAGUCCAGUUAAUAUUAACAGUGCUAGCGGUGAAAAUAAUGCUUGAGGUAGAAGGUCUAUCUAAGUUACAAGGAACAAUAACUGGUCAGUGCAAACGUACCAUCAGAGUCAACUAUAAGGAUCAACUCCACUUUUAUCACGCGAGCCUACUGGCUACUCUCUCUAUUCCCAAUUAAUUGGCGCCGGCUAUUUUUCAAAAAUACUCCUAUUAAUUUACGAAAUCAACCUGCACCGCAAGAGUAAUAAUUACCGAUUGACUAUGAUGACCGAGUGUAGCUCAAUUGAUCUUCUCCUUGAGAGCAAGCAACUCUCGGAGUCUCACGAGAAGGGCUGCAAGCCUGCAACAGAGCGAAGAAAAGGAACCGAAUGCUACCAUAUUUGUUUUUUCUAUAGCAGAUUUUUUUUAAUAAACUUUGGAAACGAAUACUUAAGCAAAUAAUGUCGAAAACGAAUACAGAGUGAAUACAGUACAUUUGAAGAUACAGUCGGAAACUUCGAUCUAAGUUUAGGUGUAGUGGCUAAUCAACCAACUAUUAGAGAAGCUAACCCUGAAGAUCUAGUCAAGUUAAAACAUCAGCCUAAAUUGUACUAACUUUCAUUUCUAAUGUAAGAAGUUCUAGAUUUGUCCUAAGUCAAACUUGUUAAAGUUUGAGCAAAUUUAUACUACCUACGUCCUAAAAUAAGUGAUGUGGAUUUUUAUAAGAAUCUAUACAAAUCCACGUCACUUGUUUCAGGACGGAGGGAGUAGAAAAAUGUAUCAGCACCUAAAAUAUCAAAUAAGUAAACUAUGAAAAUGUAUAACAUGGUGGAUUUAAUAGAUGUUGGUUGGUUUUUCUCUAAAUUUGGUCAAAGUUUUAAGACAUUUGACUCAAGACAAAUUAGCAAGAACUUCUUACAUUUAGGAACGGAGGAAGCAGUAAGUAGAUAGGCAUUAAACUAUGUACAAAGCAAUAUGGGUAAAUCAUGUUAGCUAGGAUGGUAAAAGAAGUAAAGAUCGAGAAUGAAGGACAAGGUAAUUAAUUAAUAUUUUACAUGGCAAACCCUUUUGGGGAAAUACCUAGGGGCGAACCCAGAACAAAAUCGACCAGGGGUCCUACACAUAAAAUGGUUCCAUAUAAAGUUAUUAUAGGGGGUGCACUCUUAUGAAUAUAUAUAGUAGCUAGGGAAGGUAAAAAUGAAUGUUACCGGGUGUCCACUGCUUCCCCUAAGCUCUAUGUGGGUAAGAUCUUGAAAUACCAUGCAGGGGUUCAUGACGACAAAUUGAACUUCACUAUAUCAAGGGUGUUCACAGAACACUAAGAUUUACAACUAGUCGCCAACUCAUCAUGUCCGGCUUACAAGAUGUGUAAAUUGUUGGCAUGUAUUAUAGCUCACGCGGAAGGAAAAAUCUAACCAGCUAAAAGUAAAAGAAUUUGUAUUGAGCAAGUGUUUCAUGGGUGGAAAUGUUGAAAGCUUCUCUUCUUUCCUGCUUCCCUCCCAUGCUUGCUUUCUAUUGGACUAGGUAUCGUAAUAAAUCCAUACAUCCAUCUGCAACACAUGAAGUGAUGACUCGAUCAUGUGGUGUACAGAGGUGUCAAGUUCGUAAGCUUCUUCUCUCUCACCAUUGCUUGCUCACUUUCCUCGGUAGGCAUUGCAAUCCAUCUGUACACCAACACAAUGCAACGGCGGUGGCCGUGGUGGUGUACAGAGGUGGCAAUUUGGAAGGUUCUCUCCCCCCUCCUCUAGUCUUGCCCAUUUUCCAAUUAUGCAUCGUAAGCCAUUAAUCUAUCCAUCUGUCAACGCUCUGCACAUGGUGAUGCUCAAAGUAGGCCAUGCCCCUUCUCCCUUGCUUGAUCGUUUUCGAAGUAGGCCAUCAAUGCACACGCACGACGGUUCUCGAGGCGGUGUAUCGACGUGGCUAGUUUGUAAGCUUCUGCCCCUCUCCCCUUGCUUGCUCGCUUUCUGGAUAGAAAUUCUUAUCAAUCCACCGAUGCAUCAACAUGACACAUGGGCUAUGAUCGACCGAUCAAGGUGGUGUGCAGUGCUGGCAAGAGUUCGGUGGCUUUUUAUCGUCUUUCUGACUCGGCAUCGCAAUCCAUCUACGAACUCGACACAUGCACACACGUGGCGAUGCUCGAGGUAGUUGCAGUGGCUGCAAGAGUUUGGAAGCUUUUUAUCGCCUUUCUGACUCAGCAUCAUAAUCUAAUUAACAGUGGCGACAAGUUUCCGAAAUCUUUCUAUAGCCUUUAUGACUCGGCAUCGUAAUCUAACCAACGAACUCAUCGCACACACGCACACGGCGAUGCUCAAAAUUGUGUGCAGUUGCAGCAAGAGUUCGGAAGAUUUUUAUCACCUUUAUGACUCGGCAUCGUAAUCAUCUAAUCAACGAACUCAUCACACACACGCACAUGGCGAUGCUCGAAAUUGUGUGCAGUGGUGGCAAGAGUUCGGAAGCUUUUUAUCGCCUUUAUGACUAGGCAUCGUAACUAAUCAACGAACUCAUCGCAGACAAGCAGACGGCGAUGCUCAAGAUUAUGUGCAGUGGUGGCACAAUUUCAAAAGCGUUUUAUCACCUUUAUGACUCAGCAUCGUAAUCUAAUCAACGAACUCAUCGCGCGCGCACACGCACACGCACACACACACACACACACGGCGAUGCUCGAAAUUGUGUGCAGUGGCGGCAAGAGUUCGGAAGCAAUUUAUCACCUUUAUGACUCGGCAUCGUAAUCUAAUCACAACGAACUCACCGCACACACACGCACACGGCGAUGCCCAAGGUUGUGUGCAGUGGCGGCAAGAGUUCGGAAACUUUUUAUCGCCUUUAUGACUCGGCAUCGUAAUCUAAUCAACGAACUCAUGGCACACAUGCACACGGCGAUGCUCGAAAUAGUGCGUAGUGGCGGCAUGAGUUCGGAAGCUUUUUAUCGCCUUUAUGACUCGGCAUCGUAAUCUAAUCACAACGAACACAUCGCACACACGCACACGGCGAUGCUCAAGGUUAUGUGGCGAGAGUUCGGAAGCUUUUUAUCGCCUUUAUGACUCGGCAUCGUAAUCUAUUCAACGAACUAAUCGAACACACGCACACGGCGACGCUCGAAAUUGUGUGCCGAGGCGGUGUUACAAAACCAGCAGCUCUUUUGUCUCGACCAGAGCGGGUCAUGAAAAGAAGCCGCUAGAGUUUACCCCGAUCGAGCAGCGUGUCUCGCAAGACGAAGUAAUUAAAUUAAGCAGCGGACGUUCGCUCCUUGAGGUACCUAGCUCAUAGAAGCUAAAUAAGCUUUCCGGAGUAGGAAGGCAGCCGCACGUACGCCGCGGAUGGACACAUGCAUGCAUGCACACUGCAUUGCAUUGCACUUGCAUGCCGUCAUGGAUAACCACAGAGCUCUAGAUCGAGAGUUGCUCAUUUGCUUUGCUUAAUUGCGGCGUGAAGCGUUAAAAUUGCGUGCGUUCAUUCGAAUCCAUCGCAAAUGCAAUGCUUCGGGACGACUGGUAAUAUUCAUCCAUCAAUGCUUGGGGCUCCCGUGCCAAAUUAAACGGCCGUUAUAUAUGCAUGUGGUUGUGGAGCGCUAGCUAGCUCGGGCACGUCCCUGUCGGAACAACUGGGCUAAAUUGGCACGGGACGGGCUGUAGACCUCAAGCUUAAUUAAUUCAAAUCAGCAAUGUGCCCCACGUUAGUUCGAGGAGCGCCAUCAAGGUACACGGACGAGCGGACGAUACGCGCCCUAGCUUAAUUAACGCCCCUAUCUCCUAAGUUAUCGGACAUUCUCCACCGUAUAUUACUAGUUUCCCGUUGCCAGGGAUACCCAUCAAGAUUGUACGUAAAACGGGCAUUUUUUUUCUCUUUACGGGGACCAUCAAUGUGGGCGGAAAUUUAUCGUGCUCUCGUGCAUUGCCAAAAAAAAACAAAGCAUGCAGCUAGCGGUAGAAUUGGCCGGGGCUCUGCAUGCAUGCAUGCACCUUUUGGCUGUGACCCAAGUUAAUUCAUUGCUCCUAGCUAGAACGAACGAUCCCUGUCUUUCUAUAUCGUCUCCUGCUGCGUGAGCACUUUUCAUCUCACAAGACAAGAAUAUGUGUGCGCAGCAGCACCCAUAAAAUGCUUCCAUCUCUUUCAUUCAUCUAUGCAUUUUACUGCUUCUGCCUCAAGUGAAUGCCACUACCCCAAAAAUGCCAAGUCGCACAACAAAGACUGGUCCUGCUUUUAUAUAUAUUGGCACAUAAAUUUGUAUGCAGAACAGGAGCGCUCGUAAUAAAUGAAUUCAUGCAUGCAUGGGCGUCGUACAGACAGAAGGCAGCAUUGCAUUGCAGUCAUUUCCAUUGUAAUAAGGUCAUCGAUCACACACGGUCACAGCUAGGAAGGCUUGUACGGUACUACACUGGAACCAGCUCACGGAAGCAUGGCAAUGGAUGCUGCUACAGACUAUACAGAGGAGAGGAGAGAAAAGGCAAAAGAAAAGAAUCUUCGACCUUAGCUAAGCCCAGGCUACCAAAGAUGUGCAAUGCAAGCGCAAGCCCCACCAUGCACCACCAAGCUAGCCAGACCAAGAAAUUAUAUCAUAAUAUCCAGGCGCAUAACAAACAAACUAAUCAUCACCCCCUCCUUUAUUCCCCCCCUCCCUGAUUGCACCACAUUACUAACAUUAUUUACGCCACAUUAACGAAUCGGCCAGGAAAUCGUCAUAUCUUGCUGCACUGAUCACAUUACAAUAUUCCUGAGGCGCCGAAAAAAAAGGCAAAGGGCCGGUUAGUUAUUUAAUCCAUGGAAAAUUGCCGGUUAAUUAGUUUUCUUGGGCAGGGGUAUCGCAGACCACAUGGGCACGUACUGUACAGGCAGGCAGACGAGUGGAAGCAACCUGGUAGGUAGGUAGGAGAGAACAAACAGAAGGCCACCACUAUGAUGCGCUCGCUCGCCACCUACGCAUUAUACGGCGCACACAGAGAUUAUAAUUAUAAUUACACAGCGGUAACACAUUACAGCAAGCGCAAACCGCAAACCGCAAAACAAGAAAAGGGGAGAGAGAGAGAGAGCCCACAGAUCACUGGAGGUUGGUUAGCUCAAGAAGACAAGCGAGCGGCGAGAGCUGAGCUGAACCCCUCUACCGACACUCGUCUGGCGCCCCCCAUAAAUCCCCCCCUCCCCCCGCCCCGCUUUACUCAUAAACACAAACAGCAAAGCCUUCUUCUUCCUCCACAUCCUUCCUUCCAUCUCUUCGAGCUCUCACAGGCAGCCUUAGAGCUUCUUGCAUUGUGGUGGGAGCAAGUAGUUUGGGGGGAGAUUGGGACGGCGGCCAUGGCGCCAGCGGUGGCCGGCGGGAGCAGCCGGGGUGCAGGGUGUAAGUGCGGGUUCCAGGUGUGCGUGUGCUCUGGGUCGGCGGCGGUGGCGUCGGCGGGUUCGUCGCUGGAGGUGGAGAGAGCCAUGGCGGUGACGCCGGUGGAAGGGCAGGCGGCGCCGGUGGACGGCGAGAGCUGGGUCGGCGUCGAGCUCGGCCCCGACGGCGUGGAGACGGACGAGAGCGGCGCCGGCGUCGACGACCGCCCCGUCUUCAAGACCGAGAAGAUCAAGGGCGUCCUCCUCCACCCCUACAGGUAUAACACACACUGCCGUCCUGUACCACCUCACUCCAUUAAAUUCUUCCCUGCACUACUUGCUAGCUGAUAUCAUGGUAGCAGUAGGAGAGUACUGUGUUCAUCUUCCAUCUACCCAUGCCAGCUAGUACUACUUGAUUACUGUACUUCCAAUUCAAUUCAUGCUUGUUUGUUUUUAUUAACAUGUUAUUAGUAGUAUUGCUUAGUUUGUUUUUGAGCGUGUUAGUGUUAUUAUUAGUACUAGUGAUGCACGCAUUGGGCAGCGGUUUUUGUCAGUAGGUCAGUUACGCGGCAUAAAUUUCAUUUUGGCCGGUUGUUCAUCAGGAUUAGGAGUGCCUAGUUAGCAGCAGUUUGUUUGACUACUAGUACUCCUGGCCUGGUCGGUGUUAAUUACUAGUAUUAACCUGACUAAUUAAAUUAAAUUAAUUUACUUUUUGGGGUUAGUUUAGUUUCUCCCAGACAGUUGCACGUUAGAGCCGGGCCCGGGCUCGAAUCCACCCAAAAACAGCGCGUCCCGGGGUGUGCUGUCGGCUCGGUGCUGCGCUGUUUUUUUUCUUUUCUUACUCCGUUUAGACUGUCUACAUCCUCUGAUAUGUGGGCCCGGUAAAGGAGGCGUUUAAGCCGUUGGGCCUGCCUGCCGCAGCUGGCAGGUGGGCCCACGCGGCAGCCACCCUGGCGGCUCAUAAAUCCUUGCCCCUUUCGUUUCGACUCGAAAAGAAAAAAAAAUACUGGCUGUGGGGGCGUUGGCUUGGCCGCUUUUGCGAUGGGAAUCCGAGGUGAAACGAAAUGAAGCCAGGAGGAGGGAGACAGUAGGCAUGGCUUGCAUGUGAAUCCAAGCAAGCUAUCAUUGAAAGCUUCUUUCUUUUCCUUUCUUUUUCCCUGCAUGGGUUAGGUCGGGCUGCAGUGACAAAAGUUAGUUAUAAUACACUUUUAGCCGGGACUGGGAUAGGAUGUGGGGAAAGACAGUAACGUGUUCUUGUUUGUCUCCAAAGAUUUGUACCCGUGGGUUGCAGUAAGAUGAGAGGUUUCUGGUUUCUAGUUGUAGAUGCGGUGCUGCCGUUGUUGGUAGCUUUCGUCGAGGCUCUUUUUUUUUUUAUGUAGAGUACUAGCAUAUUAGGGGGAAAAGAAAAAAAAGGAAGAAAGAAGACCAUCACGUCAUACAUGUCAUAAAAGUCGGGAGGAAAAAAGGCAGGAAAAGAAGUGGUGGCUUUGCAUGAAUGUGUGUGUGUAGAGUCGUGUUGGCUGGCACCCAGGAGAGGAGAUGCAUGUGCAUAUAGGAAAGAAAAAAAAAGGGCACGGUUUUACAUUUAUGUGCUAGCUAGCUAUAGCUGUUCCAAGUCCACCCACCUUGCACAACAUUAUUUUUGCGGAGCACAAAACUAGCAACGCUACAAGAUUUUCUGCCGGUGAACGCGUGCAAGGAGCACCCAGUUUUAGUAAAACGUUUGUUUUUACCAGAGGAGGAUGAGAGAUUGAGAGCUAGGAGAAGGUUCCAAGUCCCUUUUUGGCCUUAAUAGCCUCCCAAAAAUAAAUGGAGGAAAUGAGAAGAGCGGUCCAUGAUGGAGCGAAGGAAAGAAUCCAGCCCACUGGGAGUCAUCAUCCUUUUGGGUCCUACCGACAGGCAAGGCAUGUCGGUGCCAGCUCACCACGCCUCAUUGACCUGCCAGCUCCCUUGGCUGUCCGCCGCGACGCUCGAACACGAUGCGAUGCCCCCUCUUACCGCUUUUUUUUUGGCACUCACUAAAAAUUAAUUAAUUAAAAUCAUCAUCCCCACUACCAGCACCAUUGCGCUAUAUUGCUAGCUGUCUCUAAGUUGGAAAAAAGAUGAACAUGCCGCAUGUCCCCCCCCAAUUAUUGCUCCCAAUCAUCACCCACCAACAAACAAACACCACACUGGGUUAUUAUUAAUCCCAACAAGUUUAAUCUAAUCUAAUCUAAUCUAAUUGACCUGCACAAUAAUUCUUUUUUCCUUAUUUACUGCUAUCAGUAACUGACAGUGAAUUAUCUGUUGUGUGAAUGACAGGGUGCUGAUCUUUGUUCGUCUGAUAGCGUUCACCCUGUUCGUGAUCUGGCGUAUCUCGCACAAGAACCCGGACACGAUGUGGCUGUGGGUGACCUCCAUCUGCGGCGAGUUCUGGUUCGGCUUCUCCUGGCUGCUGGACCAGCUUCCAAAGCUCAACCCGAUCAACCGGAUCCCGGACCUCGCCGUGCUCCGGCAACGCUUCGACCGCGCCGACGGGACAUCCACAUUGCCGGGCCUCGACAUCUUCGUCACCACGGCCGACCCCAUCAAGGAACCCAUCCUGUCGACGGCCAACUCCGUGCUCUCCAUCCUGGCCGCCGACUACCCGGUGGACCGCAACACCUGCUACAUCUCCGACGACAGCGGCAUGCUCAUGACCUACGAGGCCAUGGCGGAGUCGGCCAAGUUCGCCACCCUCUGGGUGCCAUUCUGCCGCAAGCACGGCAUCGAACCACGCGGGCCGGAGAGCUACUUCGAGCUCAAGUCGCACCCGUACAUGGGGAGAGCGCACGACGAGUUCGUCAAUGACCGCCGCCGGGUGCGCAAGGAGUAUGAUGACUUCAAGGCCAAGAUUAACUCUCUGGAGACUGAUAUCCAGCAGAGGAAUGAUCUGCAUAACGCUGCCGUGCCGCAGAAUGGGGAUGGGAUCCCCAGGCCUACCUGGAUGGCUGAUGGAGUCCAGUGGCAGGGGACUUGGGUCGAGCCGUCCGCUAAUCACCGCAAGGGAGACCACGCCGGCAUCGUCCUGGUCAGUAUAUCGAUCUUGCUUGCUCUGUUUUUACUUACAUUUCUGCAUGGUUUAGUAACGAUGGUUGGCGUAGUCUCGUUGUCGUGGCAAAUUCCCUCGUGGAAUAUGUUGUUGGUUAGGCUGUUAGGGGCUCGUCAUUAGUAGUGUCCAUGUGAUGGGGAUUGGGGAGGGGAUUUGAUGGGGGUGAUGGUGGAGAGGGCAACCACCAUCGGACAUGGAACAAGACAUGCAAGAAACGCAUCGAUGGAUGCUCUCUUCUGUUAUGGUCUUCUUGUGUGGACAGCCAGCAAUUCUCAGUUUUUGAUGCUGUGUCUGUGUGAGUGUGACGAGGUGGUUGGGCUGGUCCUUUCCCUCUCGUCCCGACAUACAGCUGCAGCGUCGGCCGGCUUUAAACACGCCCCCCCUCCCAUUUAAUUCACCUGCCUGCCCUGCCCCUGCUUUGUCGUUAACUUCGCCUCCCUCAAUCAUUCAUUCAUUACUCUAAUUUUGCCACUCAGUUAGUCCUAGAUCUGCCCAAGUACAGUAUAUACAAUCUUAAUAACCUUACUUAAUUAAGUUACUACUUGUUACCCCUGCACACAGUCACUGUAUCUAAUUAACCACCCCUAGUUUCACCCAAGGUAGUAGGAGUACUGUAAUUAGUAACAAGUGGCAGUAACAAGCAUGUCCAGCUUUUACUGUUACCAUUUCGAUUUCACCCGAGGUAAUUAAUUAGGAAGGGUGGAUCUGGGACUGAUUAAACUUUUUUGCAAUGCAAUCCACAGGUUCUGAUUGACCACCCGAGCCACGACCGCCUUCCCGGCGCGCCGGCGAGCGCCGACAACGCGCUGGACUUCAGCGGCGUGGACACCCGCCUCCCGAUGCUCGUCUACAUGUCCCGCGAGAAGCGCCCAGGCCACAACCACCAGAAGAAGGCCGGCGCCAUGAACGCGCUCACCAGGGCUUCCGCGCUGCUCUCCAACGCGCCCUUCAUCCUCAACCUCGACUGCGACCACUACAUCAACAACUCCCAGGCCCUCCGCGCCGGGAUCUGCUUCAUGGUCGGCCGGGACAGCGACACCGUCGCCUUCGUGCAGUUCCCGCAGCGGUUCGAGGGCGUCGACCCCACGGACCUCUACGCCAACCACAACCGCAUCUUCUUCGACGGCACCCUCAGGGCGCUCGACGGAAUGCAAGGCCCGAUCUAUGUCGGCACGGGAUGCCUCUUCCGGCGCAUCACCGUCUACGGCUUCGACCCGCCCAGGAUCAACGUCGGCGGGCCAUGCUUCCCUGCUCUCGGUGGCCUGUUCGCCAAGACCAAGUAUGAGAAGCCCAGCAUGGAGAUGACCAUGGCGAGAGCCAACCAGGCCGUGGUGCCGGCCAUGGCCAAGGGGAAGCACGGCUUCCUGCCGCUCCCCAAGAAGACGUACGGGAAGUCCGACAAGUUCGUGGACACCAUCCCGCGCGCGUCCCACCCGUCGCCGUACGCGGCGGAGGGGAUCCGCGUGGUGGACUCCGGCGCGGAGACUCUGGCUGAGGCCGUCAAGGUGACCGGAUCGGCAUUCGAGCAGAAGACCGGAUGGGGCAGCGAGCUCGGCUGGGUCUACGACACUGUCACAGAGGACGUGGUGACUGGCUACAGGAUGCACAUCAAGGGCUGGAGGUCCCGCUACUGCUCCAUCUACCCGCACGCCUUCAUCGGCACCGCCCCGAUCAACCUCACGGAGCGGCUCUUCCAGGUGCUCCGCUGGUCCACCGGCUCCCUCGAGAUCUUCUUCUCCAAGAACAACCCGCUCUUCGGCAGCACCUACCUGCACCCGCUCCAGCGCGUCGCCUACAUCAACAUCACCACAUACCCGUUCACCGCCAUCUUCCUCAUCUUCUACACCACCGUGCCGGCGCUCUCCUUCGUCACCGGCCACUUCAUCGUGCAGCGCCCGACGACCAUGUUCUACGUCUACCUGGGGAUCGUGCUGGCGACGCUGCUCAUCAUCGCUGUUCUUGAGGUCAAGUGGGCUGGAGUGACAGUGUUCGAGUGGUUCAGGAACGGGCAGUUCUGGAUGACGGCUAGCUGCUCCGCCUACCUUGCUGCUGUGUGCCAGGUGCUCACCAAGGUGAUCUUCAGGAGGGACAUCUCAUUCAAGCUCACUUCCAAGCUGCCUGCUGGGGACGAGAAGAAGGACCCCUAUGCCGAUCUGUACGUGGUGCGUUGGACUCCACUCAUGAUCACUCCAAUCAUCAUCAUCUUCGUCAACAUCAUCGGCUCGGCGGUGGCCUUCGCCAAGGUGCUGGACGGCGAGUGGACGCACUGGCUCAAGGUGGCGGGAGGAGUCUUCUUCAACUUCUGGGUGCUGUUCCACCUCUACCCGUUCGCCAAGGGUCUCCUGGGGAAGCAUGGCAAGACCCCCGUCGUCGUGCUCGUCUGGUGGGCAUUCACCUUCGUCAUCACCGCCGUCCUCUACAUCAACAUCCCGCACAUCCAUGGAGGAGGAGGCAAGCACAGCGUGGGGCAUGGGAUGCACCAUGGCAAGAAGUUCGACGGCUACUACCUCUGGCCGUGAGCGCGCGCCGCGGGGCCGGCGCGCGGGGGUCGAUCGGGACGAAGAAGAUCGACAGACAGACAGAGCCUGUGUGAGUUGAUGCAUCGCAUCCUGCAUUGCAUGAGAAACAAGAGACAGAGUCAUCAUCCACUGAAAUGUGGAGUGUGCAUAUAGAUGGAUGCAUCGUUCUGAACCUGGUGAUCGUCAAGAAGCAGAGCUGCCAAAGUUUGAACCUUUUCUUCUUCUUCUUCUUCUUCGACUUUUUUGCUCUUAGUUUUGUCCAGAGAAAGUUGGUUUGAUUCCAUUUAGUUUUUUAAUUACCCGUGGUAAUUAAUUAUAUGUACUUAAUUAUACAUAUUACCGGAACAAGGGUGGGGGGUACUUACCGGCGGGGCCGGGCUGUAAGUACUAGUACAUGCUGGAGAGGUAUACAGACAGAGGGAGAGGCUGGGAGCGGGGCCCCGUGUGGUGGUAUUCUUUAUUUUAUUAGUAUAUGGAAACAAUAAUUUAAUUAUAUUCAUUUGUGCAUUCUCUUCUCUUCACUAAUCUCAACUCUGUUUUUUCUAGAAACACAGAGUACAAUAUUGUACACACAGUCUGGCACCAUCACAUACACAACAUCUAUUCAAAGCUAAUAGAGUCGAGUCACUGUCGGGGUCUCAAAACUGAUGGAGUCACCACGAGCAUUUGACUUUCAGUGGGAAUAUCUUUUGAAUGAUAAUCCGCCUUGGACAGGAUGUCAAACCUUGAGUCAAUUUGGCACAGGAUGUCAAACCUUGAGUCAAUUUGAUCCCUAUAUUAAUUUCUUGCGAAGAAUUAGAUCCCCAUAGUUAAAUAGAAUCACUCCAGUAAUUCACCCAAGCCAAAGUGAGGGUAAGCUUUCAACAUUGUCCUGAAGAGGCUUCGGUGUAUAGCCCAUGUUCUAGUUUAGCUGGGGAGGCUGGCAAGCGUGCUCCAGCUUCUGAGGACAACAAACCUUCUCUGUUUCUUUUGUCUCUCCUCCAGGAGUUCCUUUUGCCUCUAAUCUAGGAUGUAAUUCUAGGGAUGCAAGCCGGUAUCUUUCAUCCUGAAUAUAAGUAAAUGUUUAAAUUUAUUAGACCAAAAGGUUGAACUAACAAGCCAUCUAAACAGGAGUAAUGGGAUCACGUUUUUAUCCCUAGAUCUAACUUCUCCAAUAUCUCUUCUCCAAUAUUUGAAUUUGUUGAUCCUGCAAACAUGAAUAAUACGAAGAAUAUAGGUAGUCUAGGAUGAAAGUCUGGAGCAUCCAUCCUCCUCCCCCAUCGAUUGACCGCUUCCCAACUUGGCAUUGCAAUCCACCCUUCAAUCAAUGCAAAGGAAAACACCUUUGGAGUUCAUGCUCUAAAGGACCCAUAUGAAAUCUGUAUUGUACUUGGAGAAGUAAGAGGUAAGGUUUUGAGGCAAAGAAUCUAGAUCCAUUGUUAUCUAACAACUCAAAUAAGUCAAGUUUCAAAAAAGUUAUGUCCUAAUUGCACAUUUAAUCACUUAAUAACACCAUACUUAACAUACAUCUAUUAGAAUAUAUCUCUUAAAUUAUUUCUUGAUUCCACAUUUGAACACCUAACAUUUGAACAUCAAUGUGAUGAGAUUUGUUGCUCGCCAUGGUAACUAUCCAUCUGUCAUCACAACAAGAAGCACUACCACUCGCGUGUUUCCUUUUCAAGCUAACCAUGUUGAUCCAUGAAAUCAGCAUAUGAGAUCAAGAUGAUGCCGAUACGUCGAAAACGUGUUUAACCCUUUUUGAUGUUUGAUCGUUUUUAUGACUUUAUCAAAACAAAAACUAUGAAAUUAUCCUUUCCUGGUUCUUUCAAACUAGGCAUUGUAAUAUAUCCAACCAUCCACAUAACGCACAACGUGAUAAUUGAGCUUGUGUACCAAGAUAGCAAGCAAGUGAGGAAGCUUCCCCCUCAUUCUAAUGUUUGUUAGCUUAGCAACUAGUCAUCAUAAUCCAUUGAUCCAUCAACGGAUAGUGCACGACAAUGAUCAAGAUGGUCUUCUGAGGUGGCAAUUUUGGAAAGUUUUCUCUUGCUUGCUUUGUUUACAGCAAGGCAUAUCAUCCAACCAUCAACGUAACCCACAUGACUUUGAUCAAGGAAUUGAGGUGGGAAGUUUGGAUUCUUGUCCCUUUCAUUCUAAAUUGCUCACCGCCAACCGCAUAGUUUCUUAGAUACAACAAAUCAACUCAGCGGUGGUGAGUAUGUCAAGGCGACAAGUUUGGAAGCUUCUCCAUGCCUCACUUGCUUGCUGGCUUACAGCCAAGCAUGACGAUCCAUGUAUACAUCCGUCAACACUGCACACGCAAUGAUAAUAGAGUUGGUGUAGCGAGUUGGAAAGUUUGGAAGCUUUCAACUCACGUCUUUCCCUACUUUCCGCUUUCUAUUAGGCAUUGUAAUCGGCCCACAUGCACAUAGUAGUUUGUAACACCCAAACCUAGACUUGAUGGUGGGCAUCUUAGCCCACCCUAGCUCGGCCAGCCUUGGGCUUCACUUCUUCGCCCAAAGACCGCCUUAAAGUGACAAAAGGCUUGAUAAUACUCCAUCUGUUCCGGUAUAUUAGGUCGUUCAUUGUGAAAUCCCGAUUUCAGUUCACGGGGCCGAUCUCGGUUCGAAGCGAUCGAACGCAUUCCAUCUUCGCAAAAACGGCAUUGCUUUAAUUACAGAUAGAAGUAGCAAUGUGUUGCUCUAAUUACGGGAAUAGCUAACCAAUCGUUCGCCGGCUUCCCGAUUAAAAAGCCGUGUCCUGCUCCUCCCCUCCAGUCCAACACCGAAGUGUUUGCAUGUAGCAGUUAUGGCGCAAUUAAUCGUGGAAAGAAAAUGGCAAGGGAGAGCGCUAUACGAGGUCAUGACUUUGCUAGGGUGAAAACGGAGAACCGCCAAAUAUACCGGAAGGGAGGAAGUAUUUGGUAGAUAAAAUAAAAAUAUAUACUUUUCCUACGAAGUGCUUAAAUAUUUUUUUUUAUGUCAAAGUACUGUUUGGAAGUUUUGGAUAGGGCAGACUCGAGCUUCAUAUCUUUUUGUCAGGGUUUUGAAAACCUCACUCAGGGUAUGGCCGCGUCUAGUGAUGGCCUAUCUAUGGGUUAGGACUCGUUAGAUACCGCCGUAUUGGGCUACCAUUGCCCAUUGUACACACUCGGGCCGAACCGGACCAUACGUUCAUGGACAUCCAUGAGCUCUAUUGCGGAGAUUCAUUGUUAGAUCCAUGCUACUAGAAUGACAGAACACAUAUGGUUUUAAAAUCCUAUCACCGAUGGAUUUCAAAACUGUUCGAACGUGAGACAUCUCAAACGGGCUAAAUCCGUUCUAAACACUACACCACGUUCUAUAUUUGGAGUCAUUUUAAAAAGCCUCAAAAGGAUGAUAAAAUGCCUCCAACAAUAUUUGAAGGCUUUUUGAAAAAUGACAAGGAAGUUGGGGGAGGAGAAUGUCAUCUCAGGCAUUUUGAAAAAAAGCCUCCAAAAAUAGUAUCCGAGGCUUUUUCUUAAAAUGCCUUCAAUUAUUAUUUGAGCCUUUAUAAAGCAUCUAAAUAUAGUGGAUACAAUUUAUUCUUCCGUGCACUUUCCAUUUCAAGCGUCCCACUCCCAUGCCCUUUCACCGGCCUCCAUCAUCAUUAUCAUCUAAUUACCAACCCAAAUCAUAUUUAUUAGUUACCAUUUUUAAAUCUAAUCACGCCAUUGCCUUUCCUAUACGUUCCUGGUAUCAUGCCUUUCCAUUCUUCUUACGGACUUAUAAGCUGGUAGAUUUUUGUGUUGACAAGCGAUGUGGGACUAAUAUCCAAGGUAUCCAUCACACAAUAAGCAUCGGCCGACGGAAAGAUGAGCAGGGGAUCCGGAGGAGCGGCGGCGCACCAUGAAACUCAGCCGCGCGGCGUCGCAGCAGAGGCGAGUCGGUGGCCUGGUGCGGACAAGGUGGCCGACUGGCCGGAGCGGCACCGUGGCAGGCAGAGUGCCGCCGUCGGUGAGCCGCUGCAGGCGAGGGCAGCACCUUCGAGGAACGGGGAGGGGACCAGCCAGUCCGUGGAAGGAAUAGCCGGGCGGACGGCAGAGGAGCAGCAGCCAGCGUGGAGCGACUUCUAGCGGGCUCAGGAGGUUUCGGUGGACGACAAAGGGGAGCAGGUGACGGCGGCGGCCUCCAUUGGCAUGGGCUCGGGACAUCAGAGGAGAGGGGGCGGGACGGCUCGUCCGUCGGCAGACGAGCCACGCCGUCGCUGGGGAAAGCGUGCCCCCCAGAUCCAGGCCUGGCUGAGGCAGCGCGAAGGCGGCUCGUCGGCGCUUGGGCUCCGCGAUCUGUGUGUGGGAGAAUGGGGAAGAAAGACCCGUGUGUGUCUAAUUGGUUGAAGGGUAAGUUAUGAAAGGAAAAAUUGAGGGUGUUUUUGCAUAAUGUAUAGACAUUUGAAGGCAUUUUUAUUGAAAUAGCUUCUAAACUUGUUGCGGCAAUUUUACAAAUGGCCCUGAAAUGAUUGUAUCGGUGGCUUAUUUUCAAAAUGCCUUUGAUGCUUAGAUUUUUUGAGGCUUUUUCUUCAUUAUGCCUUUGAUGUUAAAAGUUUUUGAGGCUUUUUAUUAAAAUUGCCUCCUUAUCUUUGUUCUUCCAAGGCUUUUUAUGAAAUUGCCUGCCAUAAUGAGUAAUUAAGGCAAUUUUGAAAAAUGCCUUUGCCAAAAUGCCUUCAAAACUUGUACAUGGUAUAGUGAAAUUAUGCCUUAGCAGCAUCUUUUAUAAAACAACAUCAUAAUAGUGUUUGCAAAAAAACAUCAUAAUAGUGCUAAAUAAUUGGACCCAAGGGAUGACAAAAAAAUGAACAUUGCGAUGUAAUCCGAUUACAAAGAGCACUCCAUCUAAAAUAUUGUCACCAGUGCGCCCAAAUUAACGAGUGAAUCAGCACAAUGUACCGCACUUCAGCAAUUCCCCUUUAUAAACUUGCAAGACGGGUCUGCUUCUCAGACUCACGUGACUAAUAACUAGGAUGACAUGUAGAGUCGUUUGCUUGGAGGGCAUCUCUUACUGUCUCGACCAUUCCGACCUGAUCGACUCUACACAUGUUGUUCGAUCACCACGUAAAGGAAGCUGAACUCAGCUCUCUCUCUCUUUUCCCCCCUUAAUUAGAACACACAGAAAAAUAAAUAAAAGAACACAUGGUCGUGUUGCCUUUGUGGGGGUUCAUCAAUUCGAUCGGGGCCGUUACGAGAUGACCGCCAGCCGGCCGUCUCAGGCUCAUGAUGUUAAACUUGGUACGCCGACAAGGCAGGUAGGUGAUGCCAAUCCAUGGAUCAUGGGGCCGGGCAUCCUUUGCCAAACUUGGCAUCCACUUCUUCUGAUCCUAUCUGCACCACCUUUGGUGCAUGCUUACAGCUGUACUAACACGCAUGUGUGCACCGCAUCGCCCACCCCAUUAUUCAGCCUUGCCAUCAAAGUUUCAGAUCCCAUUCACGUCUCUCUCGCUCUCCCCCCAAAACCAUACGGUACAAAUGUAUACUCUGUCUGUUUUUCGAAAAGGGCAACGGCAUACUCUGUCUGCCGGACACACGGCGCAGCGGCAACGGCAAUGGCUGCAAUAAUGCGUACACUCACGAGGCACAUCAUUGGCAGAUUGGCAGAUGAUGAUCAAUUGAUGAUGAUGACACGCACGGCACAGCUGCUGACAGCACACACGAGCGAGCAAGAGCCAAGAGCAGAGAUGGAAUCAGGAAGGGAAGGUUGGUCAUUCGGUUGGGCCGGGCCGACAGGAUGGGCCCGGUGGCCGUGCAGAUCGGGCGAAAAAGGGCUGGCGGCCCUGGCUCACCCCUGCCCGUGGCCUUGUCCCGUUUACACCGAUGAAUGAUUAGAGAGUGAGAAGAGAUCGACCCUAUGCACAUGCAUCAAGCCAGAUCAUGUCAGGAGCCAGGUGACUGGAGAUCGGCGCCGUGAAUCUUAAGGUCAAUCGAUCCUGAUUGCAGCUGAGCAAUUGCAGCCGAAUAGGUCGUUGGAUCGUACAAGCAUAAGUAUUUAGAAACAGAGAAAGCAUGCAUGUACGCGUACAAGUAUAAAUAUUUAGGAACAAAGGAUGCAUGACGUACGAGGCCAAGGACCGCUGCAGUCGGUCAGCCGCAGCCUGCCUUGCCGGUGGUCACAGAUCGUAGUACAUGUGUGUGCUGGGAUGGAUGUUGUUACAUUAUCCGUUCUGGUAGUCGCAGAUGCGUGGCUGGACCUCUUGGAUCAAGCGUCAUCUAUAAGUGAAAGUACAUCCACGAUAGCAUAAGGAAGAGAAAUUGUGGUGAAUCAGGGGUAUGGCAGCGAGCAGGAUGCAAGCUUAAUCUAUAAGUGAAAUUUUGUCCGUUUUCCGGGACUUGCCAGUUUAAAAUUUUGAUUCAAUAUUUAGAGAUUUGCUUAAAAGCGACACAUAUUUGAAAUCCCGUUUGCACCAGAGGGGUAUGGUGGCAUCUGGCAUGCGAGAAAUGCAUUCAGUUUGUUCUGUUAGCAUACGGUUUUUUUGUGAUUUUUAAAAUGGAUAUACAAAAUGUUGUAGCAAGUAACCAUGUAACAUCCGGUGCCAAAAUGGACACUGUGUGUUCUGGAGAAAAAAGAAAUCGGGUUUCAACACUAUUAGUUUGCAUCAUGUACAACAACCGCUCGGUUUGUCUGUAAAACCCCCAAAAGGAAAUCUCUACACGGCCCAAAUAAACGAGGCCUAGUACGUCUACGUUCCAGUGGACCAGGCUAGUUAGGCACAAACCCGCUGGUUAAAAAAGCCCAGCUCUUGUCUGCUUGGGCCUCACAAAACAGAAGCUGAAACAUCCUGGGCCGGCAACAUGUCGAUCCGUUUAAUAGGCCCAAUGCAGCACAAAAACAAGUGCACUGUUUUUCUGAAGAACGGACCAAAGCAUGGGAAGGAAGCAGCCAAGGCCCGACCACCAGCUCAAGUGCCGCUAGCCAGCGAAAGCCCACACAAGCCAUCAAGGCCGCAGCGAACUAUGAAGCCCAGAAAGAAACACGCCCGGGACCCAGUGUAGGCCCACGUGACAGCCGCUGCGUCUGCCUAUCGAUCUUGUGCCCAGGCUGACAAAGCUGAUCUGCUAAAAACAAGAUGAAAAAAAAUGACAAAGCUGUACGUAAUUCCCAUCCAGUUAAGGAUCAGGCUAACAUUUUUUUUUUGCGGUUAGGAUCAGGCUGGCUAACAAAUGAACUUGUUGUACUAGUCAACUGCUGUGAAUCCUCGAGUACAAUUGACCAUGUUGGGAUCUAGUACAAAAUAUGAGCUGUGUCUCAAUAAGUAAAUACCAGCAGUAGCAGUACAGUACUAUGAGUGAAAAUAAAGAAAUGAAAUGCCGCUUUGCUGCAUGCAUGCACGCAUGGAGCAGGCAUGCACAUAUACGCACCAAUAAUUAUGGAAUGAUGACCUUAUGAUGGGGCACGCAUGCAUGCAUGGUAGCAGUAGCUGGUAGAUCUGGCAGCCGUUCGAGCUCGAGCAAAUUGCACGAACCACGUAUAAUUGGGAGGGUUGUUGCGCAAAAACACGUAAUAUCCGUUUUUUUCGUACAAAACACUUACUAUUCGUUUAAUCCGUUGCACAUAAAUCCUAACCCAAGUUUCAACAUGUUAGCGACAUUUCUGACUGGUGGGACCCACCCGUCAGUGCCAACAUGGCAGCCUGGGCUUGCCUGCAUGGAGCGGGUUGAUGCCGAUCGCCUUGCCAAAAGCGUCGACGGCGGCUCACGCAGGACAGAGCGCCGCCGCCGGCUCGCGCGUGCGGAGGCGACGACAGCGCCGGCGAACGACGGCUGGUCGCGAGGGCCAUGACGACAAUUGCUUCAAAGCACGGUGGGCACGUGGGCGGGCUGGGCAAGGCCAUCGGCAUCACCCGAUCCACGCUGGCAAGCACAGACUGUCAUGUUGGCAUUGACAGGUGGGCCGCGCCCGGUCAGAAACGUCAUUAGCGCGCUGAAAUUGAGGUUAGGACUUAUGUGCAACGGAUUAGACGAAUAGUAAGUGUUUUGCACAACAAUAUGACGGGUGGUUUGUGCAAUUUACACUUCGAGCUCCCCUACAGUUGUUGAGCUCUCCCAGCGAGGACCAUGCCGGCCGGGCUACCGCAGAACAGAAGACAUGGCCGGCUCUACGUCUCUUGUGGAUGUAUAAAGAGAGUAAAUAAGGGUACUGUAGAUGGUUGAGAUAUGACCCAUCUCACGUACGCAUUCAACACUGGCUCGUUUUUCUAUCCCUGUGCCGUUCGCCCGUUCCAUGCAUCGUCGUCCUGGGCUGGGGGCCUCCUGCAUGUUGGUCUCUGCUCCUUCCCCAGGCAAUGCGGUUCAACGGCAGAGCUUUGUUACUACCUCCCUCUUGAUUGCUGUCAUCAUUUAUAUCUGCUCAUGUGCUACCUGCACAGUCUCUCUCCUCUCUCUCUCUGCAGGCAGCAGCAGCAGUAAACUGAGCAAGUCGGCACUCAUCAGAUCGAUGCCAAGCCGCUGACCGCGGUCAACCUACAUUUCAAUUCUACUUCUAUAUUACUAUCUUCACUUUAAUUUCAGACUUUCAGUACAACCAUACGUCACGGCAUUUCAAUACGCACGUCCUCCUCCGGCUGCAACGUCCAACAUUGCGCGCGCUUCGAUCGUAUACACGCUUUGGAUCGAUUCCCAUCCUUGAGAAAAAAGUGUAUACGAAUGCUGCUUCAGAUUUUGUUUCUGCUAAAGCUUUUAAGGGUGGCGUGUGUCAGUGGCUCGAGAUGUUCGGGCGGUCUUUGGCAGAAUAUGGCCAGCCUCCUUGUCAUUUGUCAAACGUAUAGUACUACCAGCACGUACACUGCUCACUGGAGUGGUAUAUAUUGAUCGCAAGAGCUGAAAGCCGGUGUGGUGUUCUGUGCUCUUCUGCGCAACAUCCUCCGACCUCCGGCCGUUCGUGUCAACGUCCCUUCACAUUUUUAAUGCCGCCUGCCCGUCGAUCUGCAAUCCAUCCAUCGAUCCAUCCGUCACCUUUAACUUGCUUUGCAUCUCCUCCGGUCAAAUAUACAGUCGUCAAGUUUCAAUGAAAAAGUUGCAGGAUGCGCAGCCACGACCUAAGUUUGUGAUUAUUUCUAGCGAUGGAAAUCUGCUCGAUUUUGCGGUCAAAUUAAACUUGUACUGCUUCGAAUUCUAAAUAUAAGUAACAUAUAUAAUUUUAUGCUUUUGCUUGGGAGCAGUCGCCUGAGAAACAAUGUUUCUCAGUCGAUGGCGCUGUCCUGUUGGAUGCUCUUUGAGAAUCCUGCAUGAUGGCUGAGCCUGCAUGUAUCUUUGUGGGUUAGUGUCAGUUCGUGGGGUUUUUUGACUUUUUUUUUGUGUUCCCGUGGGUUGUGUUUAGACUUUGUUUUUUCUGUGGCUAGCCUUUGGUGUUUGUACAGAGACUCAUGGUAGUUUAAUUUGGGCCUUGUGAGUGGUAUGUGUUGGUCCUAUUUUUCAGUUAUUUUUUGGAGUGCACGAUUUAAUCCGGCUGGACUGUUUUUAGCUUGUGUUUGUUGAUGUUUUUCUACUUGAUCGGCGUGUGCCCUAUUUUUAUUUCAUAAAUUUUCACCUGCAGUUUUUAGAAUGGUGCAUAAAUUUUCACCUCCAAUUUUUAGAACCGCUCAUAAACUUUCACCUGUAAUUUUUAGAAUCGCGCAUAAAUUUCACCUGCAAUAUUUAGAAUCACGCAUAAAGUUCAACUGCAAUUUUUAGAAUCGCCCAUAACUUUCACCUGCAAAUUUUUGAAUCACGCAUGAAGUUUCACCUGCAACUUUAAAUUCAUGCAUAAAGUUUCACCUGCAAUUUUUUAAAAUUUCAUUGUUAUUAUUUUUGUUGCUUUUUUUCUUUUCUCCGGGGCGUUGGUUGUGCUACGCAAGUGUGCUUUCAUCAGGAUCAGUCAUUUUUCAAAUUUUAAGUUUUUAACACUGUUUUAAAAUUUGUAGCAAUACACAUGAGAAACAUAUAAUGAGGACUGGAUUUAUAUUACUAUAAGGACGAAUGCUUUUUAUUAUGAUCUCAAACUCCAAAGCACACAGACGCACGCACACACAUACACACAGACGCACGCACUCAUGAUGGGGUGCUAGCUGGCCAGCCGUACGUACAGCCAGUCGACUAAGAAAUACAAUUUCUCAGUCGACUGAGCUGUGCAGUAGUCAACACUCUUAAACGGUAAUUUUGAGGGUUAGGGCAAUGGCUGCAAUAAUGCUUGCACUCAGGAGGUGGUACACCAUUGGCAUAUGAUGAUGAUGAUGAUGAUGAUGAUGAUGAUGAUGAUGACACGCACAGCACAGCUGCAGACGCAGACAGCACACGCACACGAGCGAGCAAGAGAUGAUGGACUCAGGAGGGAAGGUUUUCACAGGGACAACCCUUUUGCUCAACGCCCGACAGAGAGGCGUUAAAGUAGUGCAUCCCGUGCCUAGCCUGUGGGCGUUGAGGUCCUGCCAGCGUGGCCAGGCAGAGCCAGCGUGGAAUUAGACGGCCCAGCGAUCAGGUCAUGUAGCGCCCAGGGAUUCGGCGCUAUAUUCUGGGGAAUAUAAUGCGCGGCCGUUCCUUCUUUGCAUCGGCCGUUCCUUCUCUACAUCGGGCGCACGAACAGGCCGGCGUUCCCCUCUCUUCUCUGCGUGACCCGCCAGGUAAACCUCGAUUCCGCCCAGAUUUGUGAGUAGAUUUGUUGCCCCUCGUUCCCCGUAGGUAUUCCUCAUCGAUUGCAGCUAGUUCAUCCGCAAAGUUUGACCGAUUUGAUUGAAGUUUAGGCGAACCCUAGAUCUGUAAGGAUAGCGAAAUUGUUCGUAGUUAAAAUGUGCGAGGCGAACCCUAGAUGUGUAAGCAUUGCGAAUUUGUUCCUAGUUAAUUCGGAUUGAGUAGUUCUAUUAAUUUCUAGGUUACCCGAUAGCUCCUCUGUUAUGAGUUGAAACUAGUGAAUGAAUGAAAGCAGCAGCCUCUCUGUCCAAUUUUCAAUUAGUAGUUCUAUUACAUUGAUUGUUGUAAGCCAUGCAUAUCAGAAAUUGUAGAAGAAUUUUGUUGUAGAGAUUUGAAAUGGGUGCAAGUGAUUUUAUACCUACUCGGAGAUUUGAUUGUGAGGGAAAAUGUAGGAACCUGAUAUCAUUUUGAUUCUUUUUGUUAGUUUGAUAUUUUUAGGUAUACAAAGGAAAAGGGUGCAAUAUGACAUGAUAUGCAUGGCCUGGUUUUUGUUUGUUACUUUGCUCUUUUUAGGUGUAGUUGAUAUCAUUUUGUACAGAGAAAUAUUGUUUAGGAAAGGUGAAAGAUUGCAGUAGCAUCCAAGAUAGGGCUCAUUGCAUAUUACAUAACAUGAAAUGAGGAAGUUUUCUGAAUAAUGUUUAUGUACGUAUCUUUGUAAUGGCAAAAAGAGAACUUUAUAAAUUUCUGCUGUAGGCCAAUUAAGUCAAUGUGUCUGGUUUAUGGACAUUUUAGGACGGACAUUAAGGUAUACAUAUCAUGGACAAUAACAUCAUUAAUUGUUCUCCAUAUUAUUUUGUUGCAUAAUGGACAUUAUGUUUUGGUGCGGGUCAUUUUAUAUGGUGAUUGUGAAUAGAGUAGUUAUGUACGCAUCGGUUUGCUUUGUUUCAGACUUAUUUUUUUGCAAAUCUCAUACAUUGAGAUGUAGGAGAUUUGUUGCCUAUUUUAACCAUGGGAAGCUAACAUCAUUUUUGAAAUAAUGUGUUGAUUGCCCAUUGUAGACACCAUGGCGCUUCUGAAUGAGCAUUAUGAUCAGCAUCGCCGCGCGCGUAUGAUGCGCGAGGAAAAUAGGGUAAUUAGAAGUUUCAAUACAAAUUAUGAUAUAUCCUUGUUUGGUUCAAUAUCACUCUCUUACUUUCAGGUUUAUUAUUUUGCAAGAACUAAGACCAUUGAAACUUAGGUCUCAUGGGGCCUCAUCGAAUGCCAUGCGGUAUGAUGAGAGGUACACAUAGUACAUCGAGUUGACCAGGCUCCUCCCGUUCAUACAACUGGUAACCCGCUCCACGGCUUCGUUGAACGCUGCUGCAAUCACCGCGCUGGUGGACCGGUGGAGGCCCGAGACGCAUACAUUUCACCUAAUGACUGGUGAGAUGACCGUGACUUUACAAGAUGUUUCCAUGAUCCUAGCACUACCCAUCGAGGGAGAACCCGUAUGCAUGAACACGAACUCUUCGGGUGGCGCGAGCAAAUGCAGUAAUUAAUUGGGAGGGCACCCCUUGAGGCUGAAGACCCCAUGCAUGACAGGGUCCCGGCGGGAGCUACUCAUACUUGGAUCACGCAGAAAUUUGCGCAGUGCCCCCUUGAUGCUCCAGAUGAGAUGGUCCAGCAGUACGCUCGCGUGUACGUGUGGUACGUUAUCAGCAAGAAUCUAUUCGCCGACGGAGGUGGGAGGACAACCCAAUGGAUGUGGCUCAAGGCAUUGAAUCUAUGGGACACUAAAUGGAGCUGGGGUACGGCGGCACUUGCCUACCUAUACCGACAGGUAAUAAAUUGCUCAUACAUUGUUUAAUUUGACUUCAAAUUGUGAAAUUGACUCUAUGGGUGAUGUGUAAUCAUUAUAUUGUUUGCAGUUGGACGAUGCUUGUCGAAGGAUCGAUACUGACAGCGGGAUUGGCGGUCCUUUGCUUCUUCUUUCCGUGUGGAGCUGGGAGCCCUUCCUAGUGGGUCGGCCAAAUUUGAUGAACUACCAGCCUUGGGAUGAUCAUGGCAACCCACUGCGUCGACCAACCUGGGCAUACAAGUGGGACCAGGUCUUGGAGAGCACGAGCUCCACAAAAAUUCUUUACAAGCAAUACAACAACGAGUUUGAUGCACUAACUCCGCAGCAGGUAACUAUGUACACUUAUUCACUUUGUUUGCAUGUUAUGAUUGCAAUCUUGAACUUAGAAUGGGGCAACAUUUUGUAGGUUGUGUGGCAGCCAUACGGAGCGGGGCCAACUUUUGGCCAGACAUUCGAGUUUGAGCUAAACCCCAAGUGCUUGGAAGAACGACAUCUAUGGGUGAUUUGUUGCCCCAUGGUUUGUAUGUGGGCCGUGGAAUUUCAUCUCCCACAUCGUGUCAUGGCCCAAUUUGGAUUGUUUCAGACAAACCCGCCGAAAAGGAAGGACACGAGCAUAAGACUUCAUGAGUAAGAGUUAACAUUUAAGGUGUUAAGCAUUGUGAACAUUUAUCUUGUUGUACUAAUAGCAUGCCUUGUAAUUUGCAGUAUGGAUAGGAAGAAGUGCAAGAAAAUACAGGAUUGGCGAGUGGUUCAUGGAGAGCACGUGGACAAGUUCAAGCGGUGUCUUGAGAAGGCAAACCAAGCUCGAGGAUCCCAACUCAGGGAGCACUGCCCACUAGCAUUUAGCAACUAUCUUCGUUGGUUUCUUGCUAACACUAGAGCUACUAUAUGUCCACCGGCUUACGACCCGGAUAUUCUCGAAGAGCCUGUCUUAUUUGACGACGUAACCGACCUCGAGUACAACCGAAUCGUAAGGGAAGGGACGCAGACAGAUUUUGCUCCUGUCCUCAAGUUUGCGGUAAGUUUUCGAAUAUUCAUGUUUCCAUGUCGCUUGCUGCCACUUGCCGAUUGACCCUAACAUGAAUCUUACAGCGCGAGGAGAUCAGGAAGGACGCCGAUGCUUGCGAGUCAGUUCUAGAAACCACGGGAAAGGGGCAUGAAGGUCACAACACACUUCGGGAGUUUGUGAAGGUACAUAUGAAGAAUCAUCUUACAGUCAUACAGUGUUGUUAAGGUUACCUAAUGCAUAUUGAAUUGUGAAAUUAUAGCGAACAGGACAAAGACUUCGGCGGCUAGCGAACAUUAUGGGAUGCCGUGAUACUGAGAUUGUGACACCGUCACAGUCUGCUGAUGAUGUAGAAGCCUCUCCUGGUGAUGAUGUCGAAGCCUCCAGUUCUCACUUUGAAGACGAUCUGUCCAUGGAGGUUUGAUUCUAGUACUUAGUGAACAAGCUUGACAUUUGUCUAAAUUUAUUAUACUUACGUGUUGUUCUCAAUCACAGGAAGGUGAAGGAGAUGAUGUGGAUGACAACACCACUUUGGAGGCCUGGCAGCGCUCUGCUAUCAAAUUGAAGCCUCACAAGCCCUUCAAGCGCUUUAAUCCUUCGGACUACGAGAAGAGAAGGAAGGCUGUGUUCGAUGAUUCCCACGAAGAUCAAGAAGAAGAGGAAGAGGAGGAAGAUGAAGAACAAGACGAAGAUGAAGAGGAAGAAGAUGUCCGACCUGUUCGGCGACGGAAGACGGUGAUUCGGAAAGCUGUUAGACACUCAACUAGGAGUAGCAAAAAAAAAAGAUGGGCAAUACGAUAUUCUUGGGACAUUGUUUGAUCUAGUGAACUUUUGCGAACUUGUGUCGACCUUGUGUGAUAGCUGUCAAUGCUCCAACUUGCUUCAUGAUAUAUCUGUGUGGAUCUAACUAUUGUUAACAUUAGGUAAUGUGUUACAAUUUCCUAAAUGGGUUGCAUUGCUAGAAAAUUUGUCAGUUCUUAUUGUCAGUUGUUAUUGUCAGUUCUUGUGCGCUGUGCUCAGUUCAUGAGCAAUUAACGAUGUUAGAGCCUAGCUGGUAUGCGCUAACUGUGUAGGCUUCAUGCCGCACAACCCGGCGCGAAAAGGUGUAACGCCCCAGCUAGCAGCGCUGCACUGCAGAAGUUGACGCCUUGUGGUUAGGCGCUUUCUGCGCUAAUAUUGUUCUGGGAGGUCACUGGAACUUAAUAUUGACACAGUUAUGGUAUAGCGCCUACGGACGAGGCGCGGAACUGUUAAAGGCAACGCCCUGGUGACCGUCGCUAAACUGGGACAACACCGUCGUUACGCUUUGAAAAUUGUCGAAGGGUUUCACGCCAACAUAUAAGGCGUUAGGUACAUGGGUGUAGCGCCCGCCGACAAGGCGCUAGACGUCAAUAUGCGAUAACCUAACUCUAGCCGUACAAAGUAGUAGUGGUCUAGCCCUUAGACGAUGAUGUGCUCUUUCCCUUAAGCCUUGGAGGGAGAACAAGGUGGGAAACGGUGGCGGGAAAUGAAGCGAUCCUCCCCCUUACAAAGGGUUCGAUCUCUGUGCUUACCGUGCUAGUCACUGGAUCAACUCGCUAGCACACACAGUUUCAAGAUGUAAUAUCAAGAUACAAAGGUCAAAAGUAUAUUACAUCGCAUUGAUCCAGAAUUUAAUAGUACCUUACAUAUUGCAUAACCUCAUGUGUUAUCUCGAAAGAAAAUAAAAUCUUGCAGCGGAAGGCAGAAGAUACAGGAGUCUCAUAACAACUCCACAGUCGAAACAUGUUGGAAUGUAAACUCGCAACCGUAACAAUUCGUACCUCACUCUUCACCUGGUUCACCUGCAACAUUUAAACGUUGCAUCCACUAGGGGGUCAAUACAUUGAAUGUAUUGGCAAGUUCACCAAAGGGUUAUAACAGAUCCUAUCAACUACAUGCAGUAUUUGGUUAGGUGGGGUUUGGCUAUUUGCAUAAAAGCAUCAUUGUUUCAUCCUAUCAUUUUUAAACAAAUAGUUUUGAUUCUAUUGGACACGGGGUAGAAACACCCAUGCUCCUAUUAGCCUAAGCAGAUUGAGUAGAAACAUCAAUGCUCCUACCCAGUUCAAACCAUUCAUUUUAUUAGGAAGUUGGAAUGAGUGAGACCUUCCUUACAGCUCCAAUAUCUAGUUGCUCAUAAUUGUCCGUAACCGGGGACACGGCUAAGUACUUAGUUUGACACUCUCGAGAGGUGGUACACUUUACCCACAAAAAAUCGAUGUGUUAAUCCCUUGCUGUCCUCAGGGUAGAGUAGCAACGGCAUCGACUACAGGAAUUUUCAGAACAUAAUCCCCCAGACCACCUGAGGGACGCGCCCCCACCUACAGCAGAGCCCAUAAUAUCAUGUGGUUGUACUGGAAGCUACUAAAUAGGAAACUAGUCCAGUCUCUGGUUACCCCGGGUGGCAUUCCUCGGUUGCAACGCAGGCGCUCCCAUAGAAAUGGCGAGACGACUCAUAGAAAUGGACCUGACGCCGCAUACAUCUCCACUUCCUCAAAGCAGCCCACCCAGGAUGGUUCAUUGAAUUACUUGUUUUGCCAUACACUAGGAAAACUAUAUUUGUAAUUCAAUAGUAUCACAUUGUAAUAAUACCGCCCUCGUAUAUUAUCAUAGCAUAGCGUAUCACUACUACGAUCGCAAUUUGUGGUGAGGAAAUGGCAAAGGUGUCCUGUAGUACUAGGAGAGAUCAUAGCUAGCAUAGGUACAAUAAUAAUCCUAACAAUGCAACUAAUAAAAUCUAGUGCAUAAUAAAGUAAUAGGUGAAUGAUCAAAGUGAACUUGCCUGAUUAGUGUCUUUGUAUUCUUGUUCUUUUCGAUACUCACGGUUACCGCACUCCGUAUAAUCUAUUGCGAAGAACGAAAAGCAAUAAUAAAUAACCAUUCGAGAACUCCAAAUCAUAACUCCAAAUAAAGAACCAAUGCAAUAUACGAAGUUUAAAUUAAACAAUACCUAACUACUGUUAGGCUAUCCUAGGCAUAGAUCUAAGAGGUAGGAACAAGGUUGGGACAAAAGCGGAGUUGGAACGGAAUUGAUUUGGUAACCUACGGGCUGUUAAUAGAUACAAUUUUCUAGGGGUCAUGGGCUACUGUAGAAUAACUUUGGAAGGUGUACAAAGUGGUCCAGAAAUUAGAGUUUGGUGUACUCUUGUCACAACAGAAAGAAUGAACUGGUUUGAAAAUAUGGAUCAACAUGUAUGGGUUUUGAAACAUUGCUAAUCAAUAAGACAGUGUUAACAGAUACAAAGUUUGGUUGGGCAUGGACUAAUGUGGCUAGGUCUGGAAUUUAAGUCUAUAGGAAUUGUUAUAACUUAGAUAUUUUGGCUAUUUGGAAAAUGGUGCUAAAUGGCAGAACAUGGGAUGAAAAGUAUACUACUGUAUAUUAUUAAUAUUAUAAUUGCUAACACAACAAGUAUCAUCCCAAAAGGAUCUGCAGAGAAUUAGCUACUGGCUUGCAAAGCUGGCUAGUCUGAUUCUGACAGAUUAAGAUACUAACUUCUACUGACAAUGUACUGGUACUAAUGGCUUCAAAAGACAGUGGGCCAAUGGGAUGAAUUAAACUAUAUCUAACAAGAUUUCAACAGACACUGGUUUACCCUAAAUAGGAGGUGUGAGUCAAAAGAUAAAGGCUUAAAAAACAGGCUAAUCUAUAACAAAGUUUCUGUAACUAAAGGCUUGAUUGGCCAAGUGUGGGAAACUGCUGAAGGUACUGUUUUGCAACGACGAUGCACUAGGUUGCAUGAACUUGGAAAGGUGUUCAAAUAGGUCUAGGAUUGAGAUUUGGAUUUGAUCUUGACAUGACAGAAAGAAUCAUCUAAGUGGAAGUAAUGGAUCAAAAGAUAUAGGCUCCGGAAAAUAGCUAACUGAUGUGACAGUGUUAACAGAUACGACUUUUGAUUGAAGGUGCACAUAUGUAGAAAAGACCUAACUUGUGCACCAAGUAGACUAAUGUGUAGAAAAGGAUAUAAUUCAUGAACUACAGAAAGUUUGGAACCAAACGGAUCAAUGAAACAAUUUAUAUUAAUUUCGAAAGGUGCCUAAUCCAGAAACAGGAUACUGUGAAUAGCAAUUUCCAACGAACAUGCCGUACUGAAGAUCAUGGAUACGGGGUAUACAAUCUUGUCUGGUCUAUAGAGGUGGACGUGCUCUAACUACAACAGAAAGAUUCGGCCAAAAAUGAUACACUGAUCAAAAGAUAUGGGCUUCUAAACAUGGCUAAUCAAACUGCUGCGGCUGAAAAGUUGCUCACCGGAAAAGACACGGAGUUCGCCGGAGUUGAAGGAGGACGGCGACGAUGUUGACCUAGGGUUCGAUGGAGCCGUGGAAGACGUCAAAGCGGACACCGUGACGUGGCUUGCGCGGUCGUAGCAUCUCCGGAUGGCGACGGGCGGAGCUCCGGGCGCGGCUUUGGCAUGGGGUCGAGGACGGCACGGCCAACGGCAUCAAGAGGUCAUGAAACCUUGUCACAAAGGUAGGUAAGGGUCACAUGAGUCUACCGAUGAAAGGAAUCGAAGAACGGAGGUUCGGGGUGAUCUCACCGGCAACAAUGAUGGCGGUGACUGGCGGAGGAAGAGGUCGAUGUAGCCGGCUGUACAGAGGUUUUUAGGCCAAACUUUCUACAUGGGAAUGGGAGAGGAGAGGCAAAGGAUCAAAGUGACGCACGUGGAAUCCUUUUAUAAUGGCCGAGGAGGGAGAUCCGACGCGGAUGUCGACGGCCGACAUUCGGGGCGCCUCUUUUGGAAACUACGAUUAUGAGAGGAAACUUCAAAUUGGCCCAGUUGGGUCGGUCCAUUCUUUUUUUUUCCUUUUUUUUCCAUUUCUGUUUUUAUUAAUAACUUUUAAUUCCUAACUCCAAAUAAGUUCAAAUAAAGUCCAGAAAAUUUGUAAAUUCAAAUCCUCCAAAAUGUGAACUUUUGGGACUUGAAUCCUUUCAAAAUAAAAUAAGUAAAAAUACUUUUGCUUAUAUAAAUGUCAUUAGAGUUUUAUAAGUAGUACAUAAAAUACAUUUUGAAAUCUAUUAUGAAACCUUUGUUUCAUAAAUUAGUUUAAAUUCUAAUAAAAUAUUGGGUUGGCAUACUUUGCACUAAAACCCUUCCUUAGCUAAAUACCUUAUUGGGUUGAACUCCAAAUAAAAUCUCAUAAUAAUUAUACGGUUCAUUAAAUACCCAAAUAACUUUAUAACACCAAAUCUUAAAUCAUAUAAACCAUCGCAGAUGAUUCCAAAUAUAUAUAUAUAUAUUUGGGAAGUCAUGUUAUCCCACUCUCAACAACGGAAUAAAUGUUGGAAUAACAUUUGCACAUGAGAAUGUCACGUUAUCCUCUUCUCGAAUAUUUGAUAGUUUACUCUCGGAAACAAAAUGAACACGACAAAGCAAAUAUCGAGAGAAACAUAGGUGAAUCAUUAUAUUUGUUUUCCAACCAUAUACUUGGGAAGUCAUAUUAUUCCCUUUCUUUAACAUUUAAAUAAAUGUUGGAGAACAUUUCUAAUCGAUUUAAUUAUUCCAACGAUGCUAUCAAAUGGUCAUGGCAUCGCAUCCAAAUUGGAAACUUAGUGUGCUAGUAAAUCCUUCAAAAAGAACGUAGGAUUUAUUCAGAUGCAAAGAAUAAUUCGGUGGAAAUCAUAAGAUGCAUAUGGGUCCAAAAUAGAAUAAUUUUGAACUUACAUAAAUGUCCCAACCAUGUUGUAUAAUUUGGAUAGUUAUAUUAAUCCACUCUUUUGUUGAAUAUUCAAACAUGGUGUGGAAAAAUUUAAAUAAGUCCUAAACAUUUCAAAUCUUUCAGAAAUUCACAACCAAAAUAUUUCCAAAGCCAAUAUUUUCAUUAAAAUAAUUAUUUUAUUUAACAUUCCAGAAUUGGAAAAUUCUGGGAUGUUACAGGAAAAAAGGGGGGGGAGACAGGAAAUGGGAAGCGGUGGCGGGAAAACCUGGAGGGAAACGUUGGCGGGAAAACGAGGCGAGAAAACGAGUCGGGAAACGGUGGCGGGUAAAAAAGGCGGGGAAAAAAUGGCAGGCAACGUUGGAGGGAAAACAUAUUGUGAAAAGGAGUUUCAGAGCCUAUAUAUACCUCAUCUCUGUUAGUCAUCCAAGCAUCCUUUCCACGACUGUUUUUUCCAAUAUUCCAGCGUCCCCAAUGAGUUUGCCUUGCUCCGAUUAGGGCGAGAGGCCGAGGAAGAUGAAAGAAGCGAUGUUGCCUCCGGGGGUGGAACAUCUGAGGUGUUGGUGCGGCAAUCUAUGCAAGGUGAAGGAGGUGACAGAUUUUUCGGAUAAGCUGGGCAUGAAGUUUUUCAUGUGUGCGAACUAUGAGUAUGAUCCACCUGUCCCUGUUUCGCCCUACGACAAGCCUCCGGUAAGCACAUAUAGGUGUGGGCAAACAUGUUGUAUGUCUCAUAUUCGAAUUAUUUGUAACAUACGCUUUUUUGUAGUCUCCUCCACCCCUAUGCAUGUGGUUUCGUUGGAUUGACACGGAGAUGCCAAAUUGGGCAGUAGAAGAGAUUAAGACAAGGUCACAAAGUGCAUGGCAGCGUUUCCACGCAGAGAAGCGUGCGGCAAAAGCUGCAACCGAGGAGAAAGGGGAGCAAGAGAGAGAGCUCAAAGAGCAUAGGGAGGAACAACGUCGUUACUUUGACGAAGCACUAAGGAAAAACAGGGAGAAAGCGCUGCGCAUGCAAGAGGAGGAACGAAGGAGGAAGGAUGCUCGUGAGGCAGAAAGGGAGAGGCAAAGAGAAAGGGCAGCCGUCGCAAAGGCUGCAGAAGAACGUGGCGAUACGAGUGGAAAAUGGCCUAAGUGGACUCAGUAGAGCUUGUACUGUGUUUCAAAUGUAUUUGCUAUCUUUUAGUCCGUCCAAUUGCGGUAUUAUCGAUGUAUGUUAAUUUAGUCGUGACUUGGUUCCGUAACCAGCACAUUAUCGAUGUAUGUUCAUCUAUCCAAGUAGUCAAGUAAUGUAGUUCAACAAACCGCAAGAAUUGGUUGUCAACUAUUUAUCUAAUUCGUGGCUUUUCACAUUCUUAAGGAAAUGGUCUUAGCGCGCACCGACAAGGCGCUAAACCCUCACUCCAUAGUACAACAGCAUUUCAGUAAAUGGCCACCUACUCCGGCAUGAGAGGGUAUUUCAGUAACUGGACCCAGUAAGAAGGUUAGCGCCCACCGACAAGGCGCUGAACCCUCUGUACACAAUACAAGAGGGUUUAGCGCCCACCGACAGGGCAUUAUGGUUCCUUAAGUAACGCCUGUUUCUUGGCGCUAAAUGUUGCUACAUCAAUAUCCAUAAGAAACCAAGUACGUUACCAUACUGGACCUAUACAACAAAUCACAUACCAAUCCAUACAUACACACAGCAAGCGGGUAGUUCAUGAAUCAGCACACAUACGAAGGUCAUAACGUGAUACAUACGAAGGUCAUAAACGUGAUACAUUACACAUGAUAUCACACCGAAGGUGAUAUUGACAUACAACACAUGAUACAACUAGAUAAGUUCCAUUCCCUAGCACAUACUGAUCAUAACCUAUGACACAUAGUUGCAUAUAAGAAGACAUGACACACGGCUUGAAACGAUAUAACACCACCAUAGCAUCGUACUGGACAAAAUGAACCUUCAGCACUGUGUAUGCUUGUACCAGUCUUUUCCAGGCACUGAUCCAUCAACGAAGCCAGCAUAGCAAUUCCACUCGUGCACCCGAGUGACAUUACGGAAACCCAAAUCUGACAUGCCAUAAUCUGACCCAGGUUCAUUUGUUAAGAGUGGGUACGGAUCGACAACCUCAUGAAGAUGAAUGAUAACAUCGAAAAGGAUUGUCCGCCUCGUAAAUGGAGCUUCUUCGGAAGCUACCAUGGAUCACGUAUCCAUGCUUUUAGCUUGACGCGUCGAAAGUCCCCAGGCGUUAGGUACUCAAUAAACUCGCCGCCCGGCUGGUUUACAAUCUUCUCUACGAAGCCUCUCUCGUACCCAUCUUAAGGAAGCCCAUCGAGCGACAACACAAUGCUGAAAGGGAGCACCGGCUCUUCUCCGCGGUACGAACGUUUCCACCGAGCAAACUUUACAGUGCACCCAUUGACCUCCAAUUGCAUUGAUUGAUUCAACGCAGCCGUGCAAUCAUCAGGAUCAUUGAAUCGAAUAAGGAAGUCAGCUGGGGGGCAACUUACUUUGCAAGAAAGUCCAUCCUCGAUUCCACACUUCGACAUGACCGCGUCAAGGACAUUGCGGAUUGUGACCCUACGAGGAGGGAUCUUUGCUCCUAGGAGGAUGGUAACCAGUAGAGCGCGAUCCACGAGCCGAUUCGCUAGUUCUUCCAUGGCCGGAGUCCUUGAGACGACGAUUCGCUUCUCAUCAGGACGCAGAUGGGGGUCGUCGCGCCGCACGAACUCCUGCGGGAAGGUACUACCGCCAGGGAUGUGUGGCCCCUCCAUUCCUCCGAAACCACGUCGCCGGCCGAUGUGGGGUGGCGCCGCUCUCUAGUUGUGGAGUAAAAGUGUGUGGAGCGAAUAAGCGAUUGGAACGCUUCUGGCCACUGACUCGGGAGCUUAAUGCCUGUCCUGACCACCUUAGCGCCCACCGACAGGGCGCUACCUAGCUAGUUUAACGCCGGGGGAUGGGGCGUUAAACUGUGAGGACCUUAUAGCCUCCGUGCCCGAGGCGGAUAACGACAGACCAAUACGUUUUCCCCAACUUCUCUUCUCAUCCCGAGCCCGAGAGCGAUAAGAGGAGAAGGAACCUCAAAUCUCUUGCCUGGGAUGGCACCGGCGUUGUCCUGAAGGAGCCAAGGGGUCGGUAAAUCAUUUCCCCACCGAGAUCUGCCAUCGAUCCGCUCAUUUCUCUCGUACCGUCGCCAACGCCGAAGCUAGGGUUCCAACCCGGACCCCACGGCCGUGAUACGAGGUAGGUAAAUCCGUCACUUUCUAAGCCCCACCUUACUCAUCCCCUUUGAUUCAUAUAAUAUUGACCUCACUUGUGCUCGUUUAGGCAAAACAACCCGAUGAACCGAAGUGGGUACUCAAAAGAACGGAUUUCGCCCAUGGUGGACUGGAGUAGGGAUUCGGUUCAUGGGCCUCUGAAAUCGUUGCAGAUGGUAAGUACUUCCAUUUUUAUGAAACGUCAACUUGUAUGAAUGGACUGUUAUAGCGAUUCGAUUCAUAUCGAAAUAAUUAUAUGAAUUAAUUGGCAUUGAACAUGUGAACUUUAACAUGGGUAAACAGGAUGAAGGUUUAAUGUUCGAGCAUGGGCUAGAUGAUACAAAAGGUCAGCAGCUAGCAGGAAGUGGUCUUGAUGCGAGAAUUGUUUUGGUGAAAAAGAUGAGGGUUGUUAUGGAAGCAAAACUAAAUGAGGAGAAGCGGAAGAACGACAAAUUAGUUGACGACAUGACGAAGAAGCGGGCUGCUGUUGAAGCGGAAAUUGCUGAAGGGAAGAUGCACAUGGAAGAGCUCAAACACGAGCUGGACGAAAGGAGGAAGAAAGAUGUGGAAGUUCGAGAUUUUGCAGUUGCUACUUGCAGUGUGGCACUCACUUUAGCUGCUGUUUUAUUCUCUCUCUGUGCGAAGAGGGCAUAGUUGGCCCCUACUUUCUUGCAUCAGUGAGGAGAACAGCUAUGUUGUAUCAAGCUCAAUAUGUUGUAAUUUUCAUUUGUUUACUUCUGUACGAACGUAAUUCUAUUGCCUUGAACUAUUAAUAAUGUGUGUUAGGAUAAUAAGAGUGUAUGAAUGCUGUGGUUUCUGUCACAUUGCAUGUAAGAUGUGUAUGAAACAUUGAAUAUUGCCAACUGUGGUUUUGUAGUGCAUAUGCUUACUGUGUGAUGUGGUCAACAUCCUCAAUUAGUAAGCUUAGCACCUAGCAUGUGGGUGCUACGCUUAAUACAACACGGGCAGACCGUAGGAUAGCGCCGACCGACAAGGCGCGUACUUACAAUGAUAGCGCCUCGGUGUUAGGCGCUAUUAUACGUCUCAGUGUUCACUGUGAUUUGGGCAAUAUCCUCACUGCGGUAGCUUAGCGCCGACCGACAAGGCGUGAACUAUCAACAAUAGCGCCUAGGUGUUAGGCGCUAUCAUACGUCUCAGUGAUCAUUAUGCAUCACUUUGAACAUGUUGGUAUUCUGGAUAAUCAUUUCGACAAAGAAUAUACAUGAAAUCAUAACACUGAUGAUAGAAACAACAGAACCAUUCUUAAUAGAUAGCGGUUCCGAUUACAUUCAAUACGGCAAUACAUAAUACAUGAACACGGUAGAAGCCUAAUACAUAGAUGGAGUUAAUAUAGCUACUACAUGGCAUCUAUUACAGUCGGUGGAGCCACAAGGCUAAUACAUAUGGUGGUUCUGCAUCUUAGUCAAAGCCUACGCGCGAGUGUUGAGCCAAAUGAAUGCCGCGAAGCCGAGGGAUAAGAGGAUGACGCUUCCAUUGGGUGACGUAGAGAGAUCGUUGACCGCAUGAAGAGUGUCGUUGAGUGGAUCGAUGGGGUUGCCGAGGAGAGCAACACGGAUGACGUUACCAUUCUGGUUGCCCACAACGACAAGACGCUCGUCCGGAAGCAUUACCACGGCUCUGGACGCCUCGUUUCCAAUCUGCAGAACCUGGUUCGGGCCACCGAAGGCUACCCACGAACCAAUACGGAGUGGGGGACCAGUACGCGCAUUGUAAGCACUUACCACUUGGUUGUAGUUGAGCCCCGCUGAUGCAGCCAUCGUAGCAAGGGACACCACAGUGGGGUGACCAACGGGGGCGUUGAACAUCAACUGCGUGCUGUUGAUGUUAAAGAGCACGUAGUGAGUGUCCUCAUCCGGCAUAGGGAGCGGCAUUUGGUGAGGUGCAACCAUGGCCGGAGGGAGGACGGACAUGGCCUGCACGACCGGCACACCUUGCUGGAUAGGGGCAUUGACAACGUCGAUUUGAGGCGGUGCCGAUGGGUUCACAACGACCGCGAGCUCCAUAGCCUCCGGAGGCGUGGCUGGGACGGGCACGGGCGCAGUGUUGUUGUCGUCCAUCGUUGGCUUCACGUGCAGCAAGAGGAGGAGGUGCCAGUGGGUUGGGGAGCAGGGCAAAGUGGUGACGGCGCAAGGGAGACAUGGGUAUGGGGACCAAUAAAGGGAGUCGAGUUCAUAUAAAGGCAAGUUUAGGGUUUGUGGUCACGGACGGGGUAGCCGUUGGUCCGGAAAAUAAAAGGCUUUUCCCGGAUACACAGUUAGCGCCCUGUCGGUGGGCGUUACACUUACUAUGAUAGCGCCUCUUACUUAGGUGUUAUAGUACCAGAUUAGGCUACUGGAGAUGGCGAGGGAGAAAAAAAAUCCAACUUCGACGGGGUUUCACGCCAACUGACAGGGUGCUUAGUUCUAAAAUUUAGCGCCUCUUACGCAGGCGCUAAUGUGUUCCGAACGCUACUGGAACGCUUAUGGGUAUUGAUACAGCGUGGGUUCGACGCCAUUACAGCCGGCGCGGAAGUAGUAAGUAUAGCGCCUUCUCGGCAGACGCUAUGGUCGUGGUUUGUGUACCAAACGGUACUGGAAAGCUUUUGGAAGAUGGAGAUAAAACUUCACGUGCGUUUAACGCCAGUACGUAAGGCGCUAUAGGUAUAUGUAUAGCGCCUUAGCUGGAGGCGCGAAACUCGUCAAAUCUGGACUGGGUUUGGGACCAAAACCAUACUGGAAUGUUGGCUGCCACUACUCGGAACAGUACUAGAACAGAACUGGAACACAAAAAACUUUAAGAAACAAUUCAAAUUAGUCGUAGUUCGGCAAAUUUCACAAAUAUCCAUACUUACACAGUUAAAGGGAAACUAAUUCGACAGUCGGACACGGCACUUAUCACAAAUAGAAGUACCUAACUUCCCUUGCUCCCCUCUCUCUCACAGCCUGCGCAGCCCGCAUGCACCAUAACGACCCCUCACCCUUGUCCCCCUCGUCCUCCUCGUCCCACUUGGUUGUUGCCUUUGGAGGUUGAAACGCCGCCAUACCUGCAAAACAUCUCGGUUAGUUCGAAAGCAGAAAUUGCAUAAGUAAAACAAGAAAACAUAAGGAAACCUUGGAACAUACGGAAAAGGGCCAGCUAGGUAAGAAAACAUUCCACCAUUUGUUUGUUGCCUUGGAGCAUGGAAGCCACCUCCACGUCGGCUCCCUCUCCCUCGGCUCCCCCGUCCGUUACCUCUUCCUACGGUCACCCUUUGUUGCCUACGAGGACCUUGUUGGGAGCACCUUGGGGGCUAGGAACUUGUUGGGUACCAACGUGUACUGUACUGUACUGCCUUGUUGGCUGCCACCUACUUGGCUAGGAACUUGUUGGCUAGCACUUCCAUGGCUACGACCGCUACGGCUACCACAACCUUGGCUAGGACCUUGUUAGCCACCAAAUCCAUGAAUAGGUACUUCUUGCCUUGUGCUUGCCUCAUUUCCUUUCGAUCUUUUUGUACCACGUUGCGUACUGCAACCUCUAGUAUUGUGUCCCAUGCCGUUGCAAUUUCCACACCGGGCUGAAAUACUAGGCUCAUGAAAAAUAUCGCUGCCCCAUUCUCGCCGACCUCCAGAAGACCAGCCAUCCAUGUCACCCCUAAAACGCUUUGUCUUGCUUCUUCCACGUGAAACAACUUUAAGUUCAAGAUCCGGCCAUAGUUGAAGUCCGUGAUACUCGGGCCACCGUGAUUGGUCAAGAUAUGGGUGAAAUCUGCCCUCCCAUGUCAGCUUAGUUUUCUCACUAGUGACCUCUGACUCCCUCACGGUGAGCGGAUGGUUAUAAUCGAUAUGUCUUAAUCGUGCUGCCGUGCGCAAGUGCGAGCAAGCAAGAUGAAUCAGCGAGGGCCUCAUGCACAAGCACUCGCAUGUUCUUAGCGAGACCUCGAACGCCUGCCCUCCAUGUUGCACACCAUCACUUGUCGUACCUCCAGGCUCAUUGACUUGAUAGAUCCAUUCAUCGUUAUCAAAACAUACAGCGGUUUGGGAGUCGGCUUUUCUUGUCUGAAAUGUAAUCCAUGCAUCCACCUUGAGUGGGUACAAGUACUUCUUUGACCUGUUCUUUCCAGCAAUCUGCCUAUCUGUUUCCUCGGAAUAUUUGAGGAAAUACUCGUUCAUCUUGUCAAAAGUGUAUUGAACAAUAGCCGUCACGGGGAGUGCACAAACCCCUCGGAGCACCAUGUUGAAACAUUCUGCCAUGUUUCUUGUCAUUUGACUGUACCGUUGGCCCCCUUCGUCAAGCGCUCGUGCCCAUUUGGACCUCGAGGCGAGGUGCCUAUUCAAAAAUUCCAACCCUCCCGACGAAAGGUCUCGUGAAGUCAGCAAUGCAUUGAUCAAGUUUGAAAAACGACGCUCAGAAUAUGCCUGACAACAAUGCUUCAGAUAGUCCGACAACUCCUGGUUCGUACAAGCCCUGUAAAAGUUGGCAACAAAAUGUCUCAUGCAAUGGAGCAAAUCUAGGCAUCUGAACCUCCAACGCAUUCAGAAUGCCUUGGUGGCGAUCUGAGAUUACACAAACUUCCUUUUGUGGAGGUAUGACCUUCGUUCUCAAUAGCCCUAUGAACCACGCCCAAUUAUCGUUGUUCUCUGCGGAAACCAAAGCAAAUGCCAAAGGAAACAGCCGGUUGUUGGCAUCAUUAGCUAUUGCAACCAACAAAGUUCCCUUGAAUUGUCCGGUCAGGAAUGUGCCAUCCACGGAGAUGACCGGCCUGCAGUGCUGAAAACCCCUUAUGCAUUGCUCGAAAGCCCAGAAUGCACGGCCAAAUACUAGGACAUUUGCACUAUUGUAAAUUCUAGUUCUUUGGCCAAAAGGCUCUACCACAUGGACCAUUUGUGGGUUGGUAUGAGUCAUCGCUCCCAACAACCUAGGGAGCCGGUUGUAUGCUUCCUUCCAAUCACCAUACAACAUCUUGAAAGAGGCUUGCUUGGCCUUCCAUGCCUUCCCGUACUUCACCUUGUAAUGGAAAAGAGCAUCCACAAGUUCUUUGACUUCCUUGAUAGACAUUGUCGGUAGUGACUUGAUGGAAUUGGAAAGCUUGUAGCCGAUGAAUUCGGAGGUGAGUUGGCGGUGAUCUAUUUUCACAUCCUUGUCAUCUCUGUUUUUUCCCGUACAAAGGUGAGUUGCACAACAACUAGAUAUGUGACAUUCAGGCCCUCUUUUUAAUGGUCUUGCACGAACAAUCCAUGGACAUACGUCCUCCACACAUUUAAUCGUGUACCAAAGCUUGGUGUCGGCAUGAAUCACCUUGUAUGGAUGAUGAUACGUAACAGAGUACUCCUUUAUCCAUACCUUGUAUUCCAACAGAGUUCGAAACCUCAUACCGGACUGGAUGGUAUAGUCAUCCUCAUUCAUAUCCCGGUACGAUAUGGAUCUUGGUCCAAGCGCAUUACUGCCGUCACCGUCUACAACGGCUUCAUCCGCCAAAGUAACAUCACGGAACAAUGAUAUCCGAUGAUCACGGCCUAACACCUUUUCAUGAGCUUUGGCUUCUUUUGCUGUGAACCCAUCCUCAUCUACUUCCUCCUUUGGACCAUCGUCAUUCGAAUCCGCUGCAUAAGAACGACCAAAAGGUAAGUCACGAUCCAUGUCCUCGUGCAAACAAUAUGCCUCCAAAUCACCUACAUCAUUGUCAUGCAAAUCAUCAUCCCUGUCAUCGACCGUGUUAUCAUCAUUCUCUUGUGAUGAUGUCAUAACGCAAGCUGAUUGAUGCUUUGAAGGCCCCUUGUCGUCAACUUGUUGUGUGUGAGCAGGACUGGUCGUUACAACAUGAGAUUCCAUUCAAACUUGACUAACAAUUUGCGAACUGCCAUCAACAUUCCUUCCACCUACUAACUCAGGAUGCUCGCUACCGUCAAAUAGGUUCAUGUCUGGCGGAUUACUUCUUGGACAUUCAGACUGCCUUCGAACUGGACUCAUUGUGAAAACUGCCUUCAUCCUUCCUUGUAGCAAAUAACUCAAGAGCCUUGUCUUGUGAUGCAGCCACCGUCUCCUUGUAUGCGGCCCAUCGUAACUCCGAACAUAUGCGCAUGGUCUUCCAUCGGAGGUGAGACCCGAACCCAACAUUGAGUCUUCCCUCCAACUCCACAACAACACUUGCGUCCAUCCAUUCCAACUCAAUCCGUACUGCAUCCAAUAGCUGUCCAUACGAAGGACUACUAUCGAAAACCAAGUCUCUCUCCUCCACAUCAGGCUUUUCAUUGCCUCCCAAAAAAGUCUCUUUGUCCACGUAAUGAACAUGAACUAUUCUUGACAUCGAUCAAAAUAUUACAACGGAGAACUAUCAUCAACGCCCAUUAGACAAAGAGACUAUCAGCUAAAUGGUUCAAACUAUGUAUAAAGCUAGGUUAUCCCCUCCAACCUUAACCUAAAUUAAUAGUGUUCCUCGGAUCUAUGUUUCAUCCAACAAAAUUUUGUUUUCCCCACAUUUAUGCUAGCAUGGGAUGUCAACAUCCAACCUUAAACUAACAAAGGAAACAUAACAGAACCCUAGUUACAAAAUCCAACCUGCUAGCACAAAUAACCAGCAAAUGAAAGGAUGAUGCUACCUUGCUGCACUUGGCUUGGGGGGGAUGGGGGCGAAAUCGACCUACCUAGCCUUCUGAUGGAAAUAUCUCUUGAGGAGGGUGAGAUCUGGGGGGGGGGGGGGGUGGGGGUCUUGCGCCGUCGGUGGGGAACAACGGAAUGGAGGCGAAGCUAGCGUUCGGGCUGGGCUAAGGUUAUAAGACGGCUAUUAAGUAGCGCCUAACGGGAAUGCGCUACACAUAGAUCUUCAGCGCCUUACUGCUCGGCGCUAAGUGUGCAUCGUAGUGGGGCCGGAUAGUCCACGCUGGCUCAGACUUGACACGGUGGCACCAAGUAAAACGCACUACCGUUCGGCGCUAUAUAUCCUUAAGUGACGCCUUACUGUCGGGCGCUACACGAAAGGGUUAUCCCGAUGAAAUAGAUUCGGUCAGAAUUCUUCCGAUGAAAUAGAUUGCCACGAAGUAUGUUUUGUCAAAAUCGCCGAGAAGGGAACGAACGAUCGAGAUGAGUUUUAGACAGACGGCGAGAUAGCGAAGAGGACGGAUCGAGUCAGUGAUCGACCCUAUGCACAUGCGUCAAGCCUGAUCUGAUCAUGUCAGGAGCCAGGUGACUGGAGAUCUCGUCGCCGUGAAUCUUAGGCCGUCAAACGAUCCAGAUUGCAGCUGGAGUACCUACGUCGUUGGAUCGUAGUACGAUUUUUUGUUGGAAGGCGCCAAAAGAUGACAAGUCGUCGUUCGGCCAGCCGGCGGCGGAUGAUUGAUCCAACGGCAACGUGGAUAUGCAUGCACGAAUGCUGUAGUACAUGUGUGUGCUGGGAUGGAUGGGGUUACAUUAUCCGUUCUGGCAGUUGCAGAGUACAUGCCAGCUGGAGCUCUUGGAUCCAACGUCAUCUGUGAGUGAAGUACAUCCAUGAUAGCAUAAGAGAAAUCAGGGUAUGUAAUUCAGGGGCGUAUGGCUCUUGGAUCUUAGAGCAUGUACAAUGGUUGAUAAGACAGUUUUAUCUUAUGUCUUUCCCUUCAUCUAGAUAAGGCGUAGAAAAAAAAUGGUACAAUGGAGCACUUUUCUAGCCAACUAAUAGUUGUUUAAUUAGUACAACGUUAAUUAAAUCCAUGGUGAUCAGUAUGUAUGGUUGCAAACUAGCAUAAAGCACACAUUGUCUCGUACAGAUUAAAUAUUGCACCUUGUACGAAAUUGGUACAUAGCUAAUUUAACUUAUUUAAAAAUUACAUCAAAAUAAUUUAUUCAAACUAAAGCAAAAAAAAAAUUAAUCAAUUGUGUAGGCGUGGGUCAAUGUCAUCAGCGGCAUCAGAAUCAUCUGAGGAAGCAGAGCUCGAUGGAGACACAGUGCCUAUGCUAGAAGAACACGGUUUGCAAACAAACAAGCAAAGCUUUGCAAUCAUAGAUGAACAUAAUUAGAAAGAAAACCGUGAGCCUUAAUUACCAAUCAACUGGAAAAGAAUAAUUGGGGCAAUCUGCUGCAGCAAGACCAGGCCGCCAAGAGCUCCUGACCGCGACGGCGGCCGCUGCAACCGCAGCUUCAGAAUACUCUGGCGGUGGGGGAGGGGAGCUAGCAGAUGGGACUGGAGAAGGGUGCCCGCACACAGCUUGGGACGUGGACGGCCCUUUCUUCCUCCCAUGGCCAGCCAUGAAGGCAGAGCAAGCCACAACUGAGAACGUGGAAUCGGGGGCGGCGGAAGGGUCUUGUGAUUUUGGGGCGGAGACGGCGGUCUUCUCGUGAUUUGGGAGCACGGAUCGAUUAAGUGAUAGAGGAGGUAGCGCAGGGAAUUGGCCAGGCGGGAAGAAAUCGCCGAGAACAGGCCAGGCGGGAAGAAAUCGGCGGGAGUCGAGGAUUGGGAUCGGACUGGCCGUUCGGCGCAUGAGAUCAGGAAAACGCGUCAAGAAGCGAAGGCAUAUCGUACAACCAUCAAAAUCGUUCAAUCUUUCGCGGGCAGCGAUGAUCGCUUAUUCAAGCGAAGGCAGACUCCUUUUCUUCGUUUCUCUGUCUUCCACCUCAGCGAUUGUCCUACAUGACAUCACCAUGAGGCGGAAUCCCAGUCAUCUCCCGUACAAUUUUACGCUAUUCUUUUUGGGGGGUUGCUGGCUCAAAAUGUUGGUUCAAAACUCUCCACGGCCCAAAUAAACGAGGCCUGGUACGUCUAUGUCCCAGUGGACCGGGAAUGCAGAAGCUUGGGCCUGUUGUCCCGAAAAGAGAAGAAUGCAGAAGCUAAGCUCUUGUCUGCUUGGGCCUUAAAAACAAAAGCUAGAAACAUCCUGGGCCGCACAUAGGUCGAUCCGUUUAACAGGCCCAUUGCACACCACAAACAAGAGCACUGUUUUUCUGAACAAGGGACGAAAGCAUGGUAAGGAAGCAGCCAAGGCCCGUCCACCAGGUGCCGCAAGCCCACACAAACACAAGCCAUAUCAAGGGCCGCAGCGAAUAAUGAAGCCCGGAAAGAAACACGCCAGGGACUGGGACAAGGCCCAGCAACUGCGUCUGCCUAUCGAUCUUCCUACAGUUUUCGCUCAAAACAAAAAUAAAAAAAAUCUUCCUACAGUUAUUCAGCUCUCCCAGCGAGGACCAUGCGGGGCUAGCGCAGAAUAGUUGACAAAGCUGAUCUGCUCAACAACAACAAGAAAAAAAAAACUGGCAAAGCUGUACGUAAUUCCCAUCCAGUUAAGGAUGAGGCUAACGAUUGAGCUUGUGAAUCCUCGAAUACAUGCAUGCAUGGUGGGAGCUACGGAUACAUGGUACUCUGAAAAUAUGAGCUGUGUCUCAAUAAGUAAAUACUAGUAGUACUACGGUACAGUAGUAGUAAGUGCAUGUGAAAAUAAAGAAAUGAAACAAACGGUUUGCUGCACGCAUGGAGCAGGCAUGCACAAGCGCACCAAUAAUUAUGGAAUGAUGACCUUAUGAUGGGGCACGCAUGCAUGCAUGGUACCGGUGGGUAGCUAGCUCUGCAAGCCGUUCGAGUUUCCCUGCAGUUGUUGAGCUAGCUCUCCCAGCGAGGACCAUGCCGAGCUACCGCAGAAAAACACAAGACAUGGGGCUCUCUGUCUCUUGCAUGCAAAAUGCAGCCCUGGCCCGGCUAUGGAGGAAGAAGGAUGCAUGCAUAAAGAGAGAGUAAAUACUGGGUACUGUAGAUGGUUGAGAUAUGACCCAUCACGUACGCAUUAGUGGCUCGUUUUCACUGCUUCCGGCCUCUCUCCCUUUUCUCCUUAUUUUCCUACAUGCAUCGUCGUCCUGGGCUGGGGGCCUCCUGCAUGUUGGUCUCUGCUCCUUCCCCAGGCAAUGCGGUUCAACGGCAGAGCUUUGUUACUGCCUCCCUCUUGAUUGCUGUCAUCAUUUAUAUCUGCUCAUGUGCUAGCUGCAGGCAGCAGCAGUGGAGUUCUGAGCAAGUCGGCACUCAGAAGCCAAGCCAGCUGACCGCGGUCAACCUACAUUUCAAUUCGAUAUUACUACCACUAAUCUUCGCUUUUAUUUCAGUACAACCAUACGUCACACGGCAUUUCAAUACGCACGUCCGAGUACUCCGGCUGCAACGUUCGCCCAACAAUAUUGGGCAUCAUAUACACGCUUUGGAUCGAUUCCCAUAUCCUUCAGAAAAAAACUGUAUAUGCUGCUUCAGAUUUUGUUUCUGCUAAAGCUUUAAGGGUGGCGUGUGUCAGUGGCUCGAGAUGUUCGGGCGGUCUUCGGCAGAAUAAGGCCGGCCACCUUGUCAUUUGUCAAACGCAUAGUACUACCAGCACGUACACUGCUCAGUGGAGUAGUAUAUUGAUCAUCGAGCAAGAGCUCAAAGCCGGUGUGGUGUUCUGUGCUGGCUCUUCUGCGCAACGACAACAAGUCCACUGCCACACACAUCCUCCGGCCGCUCGUGUCAACGUCCCUUCGAUCACAUUUUUAAUAUGGCGUCUGGCCAUCGAUCAAUGCACAAUCCAUCCAAUCCAUCCGUCCGUCACCUUUUAAUUUGCUCCGCACCUCCUCCGGCCGGUCAAAUAUACAGUCGUCAAAAGAUUCAAGAAAAAGUUUAGGAUGCAUGCGCAGCCACGAUCUAGAUCUGUGGUUAUUUUUAGCUACGGAAAUCUGCUCGGUUUUGCGGUCAAAUUAACUUUGCACCCUUUCGAAAUAUAAGCCACGUAAUUUUGCUUGCUGUUAACACUCCUGGACGGUAAUGUUGAUUUAUAGUAGUAGUACCACGUAUGUGUUCAUAAAGUUAGGAAAAGAAUAUAUGAAAUACAAAUAGAAUGCUCAAAUUCAUAUAUUUUGUCCGAUAACAGUGAUCAAAGUUCUGUAGCGUUGGCUGCACAAUUACUUAUAUGUCUUAUAUUUUGCAAAUGAGAGAAUACAUCUCUAAUGAAAAAAUGGUUGUGCAUGUAGUUCUCAAACAUGGCAGUGCUUUAUAAAGAAAGGUCUUUUUGCACUCCAAAUUAUUUUCAUAUAUAUAUAUAUAACAUGAGUAUUAAUACAUGAAUCUCUUCAUCGUAUUACAGUCAAGAGAUCUCGAAUUCGAGACCCAGCUGCAGCCCACUUUCGGUCCACGUUCGGUCUGUGAGAGCCACACACCCGUGAGGGGUGGUGUUGAAGUAUAAGUACAUAUAUUGCACUUUUUUUUUGCAUCAGCUUGAGAUUUUGAGUAUGUUGCACUCUUUUUUCCCAUCAGUUUGAGUUUUUGAGUGAACUUGUUCCGUGCAUGAAACUCUUCGUAGAUAGGAAGGAAUGGCGUGCUCUUUGUAUAGGAAGGACAUGUUUCUUCAUUAAUCCCUGUGGCAACAUUUGCAUCAUCUGAGAUGCAACGCAGAGGAUGGGUCGGAGAGCUGGCAUUCUCAAGAGGAAAAAAGGCUUUCUAGCUUCUUUCCUUUGCUUGACCAAGGAAAUGUACUUUGCUUCCUCGCUAAGAAUUCUUAGCCACUGACAAAAUGGUGAAAACUAGCUACUAUAUCUGCGCGCGCGCGCGCGCGCGCACACCCACAGACCAGCUUUGCUCCCUGGAGAAAGAGCUACCCAUGCAUGCACGCACAGAUCAUAUACUAUCCACCAUGAACAUUAAGGGUUACAAAAGCUAGCUAGCAAAAAAGUUCAUGCAUGGCAUGGCAUGGACAUGUGGUGGCUGGUGCAGCAACAGAAAGCAUGCAGGAACAUGCAACCCUGCCUUUAAUUCCUUUCUUCCCCGCUACCAACUGCAGAGAGGAAAAGAAAAGCUCUUUUGAUUGUCCUAAAAACAUCAGCCACAUUUCCAUUACAAACCCUUGCUUUUUCACUAGAGCUCCAUCUACCCUAAAUUGCCUAGCUUUAGUUCCUCCUUGACUUUCCCUUGCCAUAUCCAACAUCUAAAGAUCCAUACUCAUGGUGCAUGCUGGGAUCAUGCAUGCUACUAACUAAUUAACAUGCAAAUUAACUUAGUGCUGCUACACUGAAGAUUAUAUUAAUUCUUGCCGGCGACGUCAACGGGACCGGUGGGCCUUCAGCUCCGACGAUGGUGUGGCCGCCCUAGGGUGAAGUCGAGGUUCGGCUCGCUCGCGCUCGACGUAGUCUCCGACAGGCAGGAGUUGAUGUCCGAAAGGAUCUCCAGGCUCUUGGACUGCAUAUGAUCCUGCAAUUUAUACACAAGAAUUAGUAGUUGAUACCCCAUAGUUUAAAUAUGCUGCCAUGUUAUUUGGAAUGUGUUAGCUGGUUAACUGUAGAUGUGUACCUUGAAAGAUUGCAUGCUUUCGUUGUUGGAGUCACAAGGGAACCCAGACCAGUCCUCCUCCCUGUAAAAGAUAAAUAUAUGUUAGAAAACCAUAUGACAAGAAAAACCAAAUGUAGCCACUACAAGAGAUAUCGGGACUAUAUUAACAAUAUUCUUAAAAAAUUGUCCUCGUAAUUACAUGCAGACAACAGAAUUAAAUGACACCAAUAAAAAAUGGGGUUGGGCAAGUCCUCGACCGAGGACUGAGGAUGAGAUCAUAAUUGAAGCAUGCAUUUGUCUAGGCGAUCCAUGACAAAACCUUGCUUGUCUCCAUGAGUAGGGGACACUUUAUAUAUGAUGAUAUCACAUUUUACUUGGAACUGAUCCUAAUGCAGGAGUAUAACAAGACAACACGGAUGUGCACCCAUGUGGGUGAAAAAGAGGCUGCUUCUUUGUUUUUUUACUUUACUUGUCAGCCUAAAGUAUCAAAGCUCUCCCAAAGUCAAAGAUAUGCAUGACAGUGUGAGAUCAAUCAAAAGGCUAGCUAAGCCUUGAUCCAUGCAGUUUAAGCAUGCACACAUAUGACAAGAGACACUACUACUUAUUCUGUUUAGCAGUUUAAUCCUAAUUUUACCAGCAUUUCAAAAAAUAACUACUGUAGACAUUGCCCACACAAUUAAUUACUUAAGCUAGUGUGUGAUGAGUGAAGUGUUGACCAUGCACCUUGAGGAACUAUUCCACAGAGCACCGGCGCUGAUACUCCCAUCAUGGUCGUUUGCAGCAGCUAGCCUUGCAUGUCGCGCCGCCUCCGUCCUACCGCCGACGCCGUGCAGAUCGAGCAAGUUGUCGUCGCAGAUCUCGCCGGCCGACCCGUUCUCGAAUCCGUCAGCCUGAUCUGUUAUGAACAUGCAUGGAUCGAUCCAUGGAAAAGCACUUGUCAGAAUAGGAAUAAAAUGGAAAGGCUCGAAGUAGCAGCUGUUUAGGUUUGGCAUCUGUUCCAAAGGGAUCGAGCAAAAGCAUAUCUACAUUAGAUUUGGAGUGUCUAGAUCUUUAUAUUUUGCAUGCAUAUAUGUAGUACUAUUCACCUGAUGAAGCUGCCGGCCUUUCGGUGUUCUUCACAGUCCUGUACAUCUGCAGCAACAACAAAGCCAAAAAGAUAUAUACUCAUGAGUCAUGAGACAUAGCUAGAGGCAUAUAUAUAUGUUCUACACAGUAGUAUGAGUACAUAUCUACCUAACUUUGAUUUGCUAAUUUAUGAGAGAAAUGAAUCAAAUCAGGAAUCUGAAUGGGAAACAAAUCAUGAGAUAUAUAUAUAGCUGCAUAUACAUAAAGAAGCUUUGACAGGACAGCUUAAGUUAAGAGGUCAAACAAAGCAAUCAAGGAGGAGGGGGAGAAGAAUGGAACCCACAUUCUCACAUUGUUCAAUCUACAGUAGAUCAAGUAUGUGUGUGCCUGCCAGUAGUACACUGGCUAGGUAGUAGUACUGAUGUAGGUUAGGCUGGCUAGGCGUAGAGUGCCAUCUGCCAUGGAUGUGUGUGGAACCCCACAGCAUGGAGGACUUGACCUAGUUAGCUGGCUGUGUGCAUGCAGACAGUGUGCUAGUAGCAAGGAGAGGAGAAGUUUCCAUGAUAUUACAAGAGCAUGCAGAAGAUGACAGGGGCUGGUGGCAUGUUGCUGCUUAACCACAUCCGGGUCUCUCUCUGUCUGUCUGUGGCCGUCUCUCUCUCAACCUUUAUUUCUUCCUUUCACUUUGAUCUGUUGCAUGCAUGUGGGCUAGUACAGCAUUGAGCAGUGCGUGGUAGUAACUAGCACUGCUACGGCAAAGCAGACACAAGAGAGGGAGAGAUGAUAGAGGAGAUGCACAGAUCCAUGUCCAUGCAUCUGUUAAUUUAUUUUUGCAGCAGUACCAAAUACAAGUACCGAUUUCAAACUUUCUCUAAGUCAAGCAGUGCAGGUGAUCAAAUGAGCUAACUAAACUUAGAUUCAUUUUAACUGCUUAAUGCAUGAUUGGUAUAGUAGUAGGAGUACUAGUUAAGGAUGAUAAAUGAAGUGGGGUUGGAUUUAUUAGUUACCUGGAGGUGAGACUUGACAUGAGCCAGGGUGAGGUCCUUGACAUCCAUGAGCUCAAGAACAGCCUUGGGCGUCGCCCCUGAAAUUUGCACACAGCCGGCCACAAACAAGAAUUAAGAUCGAAAGUGUGAACCUUUUUGCUAACCAAGAGUAUACAAGAUAAGAACUUUCAGAAGUGAUUAUUUGGUGAUCGAUUGAGAAAAGCAAGAGCUUUGCAAAUUAAUCAGAUCGGAGAUAAGCCACGUACUGUCAUGGCCGCCGAGGAGUUCGACGGCGUGGACGAAGCGCGAGUGCAGCGUGGACGUCCACCGCAUGCGGGGAGCCCUCGCCGCUCGCUUCGGCGCCGGGAACCCGCCCAGGAUCCUUCCACCGCCGCCGCCGCCGCCGCAAGCUCCGCCGGAGCGCCGCGCGUACGGGUCGCAGUAGCACGGCGGCGCCAUGGCCGGGUUGUUCGCGACGACGUGCGGGCCGGGCCCGUGCCCGGGCCCGUACAGCGGCACGCCCCUGAUGGGCCGCAGCAGGCCGCCGUUGGGGUAGUACAGCCCACCGCCGUGGCCCAUGCCGGGCGGCAUGGGCAUCGGCAGAUGCGGCAUGGGGAACGGCAGCUGCAGCGGCGGCGGCGGCGCCAUGGCCGGGUUGUUGGAGCUCGGAGGCCCGAAGAAGCGAGCUUGGUGGUGGUGAUCAUGGCGGGUUGCGGUGGCCGGGAGGCCGAUCUGGAGGGACAGAUCCGGCUGGGAAGGGAAGAGCUCCAUGGAUGAUACCUCUCCCUGUUCAAUCUAUCUCCAAGCAGCUAGCUUUUGUGUAUGUGUGUGUCGUCUUCUACCUCUUGCUCUGGGAGAGCAAAGCUGCAAAGCCCUGUUUUUGCUCGCUCAAGUUUCCUUGUUUGUGCAAGCUGCGAGGGUUGGGCAGUUGAGAGCUAGAUGGAUCGAUAUGCUCCCCUUUUAAGCGACUUCAAGAGAGAGAGAGAAGAAGGAAGGAAGGGGUAGAAAUGUAAAAAGGCCGUUUUGGGGAAUAUGUGAGGAACAGUGCUGUCUGUGUUUAGACAGUGAGUGAUGAAUGAGUGAGAGAGAAAGGCUAUAUGGCUAUAGCUGCAGCAGUUAUGGAGGGCAAAGUGGAGUUUCCCAUGCAUGCAUGGAGGGGGCUUUGCAUGUGUGAUGAGUAGUUAAUGAUGAUGCCUCUGAUGGAUGCACUCAUUCAUUACUCAUUCAUUCAUUAUGCAUUUGCAUGGGGGACUGACUUCACAGUUUUGGGAAUUGACAAGAGAUGUACACCUUGGAUUAAUUGCUCUCGAAGGGGGAAAGAUACCAAUUUGAUUAAUUACACCACUCUUGUUCAAAUUCUUGCAUGGGCAUGGAGGCAUAUGCCUGCAUGAUGGGGGUAUGUACAGCCAAAAGGGCAAGCUCUUGUGUGAGGGAUGCAAGUUUGGAAAAAUGUCUUUUGGGUGAGAGGGUUCCAAGCUCAUUGUGUUUGUGUGCAUAUGUUUGGGGGUUGUUGGCACAUGUUUUUCUUGUUAGGAACCCACCAAUCCAAUCAGCCAUGCAUUCCUCUCUUUCUAUCUCUCCUUCUCUCUCAAAUCUCAACGCAAUUAACCUGCCUUCUUGAUUUGGAACAUUAGUUCCAAAACUUACCUUUCCAAAGAAGAAGAAAAAAACACAUCGACCAGUUCCAUACGGAUCACAAGGAAACUUUUGGCACCGAGGCCCCGUUUUGAACGCAGGGUAAGAAAAACACAGGAAUAGAAAAAACACAAGAAUUGAGAUGGCAUGCCUCACAAAACCUAUGGAGAUUGAAAACACAGGAAUACAGAAAAUUUGCGAUUCAAAUGCAGGAUAGAAAAAGUACAUGAAAUUUCAAAAUACUAGCCGUAACAUGUGAAGGGUGGGAAACCAAUCCUGUGAACCAUAGUUUUCUGUUACUGUGUUCCAAACGGUAGGAAAUUUUCCUACAAAAAUCCUAUCCCACAGAAAUCCUAAAAAAUCCCUUCCAAACGGGGCCUGAACUGUCUUCGAUCUCCAUCUCUGUAGUAGUACUACGAGUAGUAAAGAACAAGCACAUGACUCCUUGGUUCAGAUGACACAUCACAUCAGUGUGGAAAUCUUUAGCUGGUAUCUCACGCUGUUUCUGGGGUAGUGUCUUGGCCAAGCUCUAAACCAUUUUUGUCACCAAAAGAAGCCAUGGUACAGACGGAAGCAGUGCGUUGGUAUAUUAUAAACUACGACCUCUCUUGUGCUAAAUUUUUGACUCAAAUUAAUUUGUCUAAAUAUGAAUAUAUCUAUUCUUAAAAACGUCUACAUGUAAUAUUUCGACAACAAUUUAAAAUCGGAGGGAGUAAUAAAUUUAAAACUUCAAUGUUUCAUGGAGCAGAUAGCUAGGCUAGCAUGCAUGACUAUGCUAUUCUGAAAUGCAAUUAACCUGUCAGCAGUAUGUAUUCUACGACUACUGGAUGGAGCACUCCAUAGUAUAUACAAACACAACGAAUUGAAUCGAUGAGUAUUGCGGCGAGUAAUACAAUAACCAACUGCAAUACCAUAGCUAUACUGUAGCUCUUGAUGGACAAAGAUCAGACAGACAGCAACAACACUGCUCUAACCCUAAUAACCCGGUGAAUGAAUGCCAAUGGCAAUGGUGACUGUGGAUAGGAGAGCCCAGUGCAUUGAAUGCAAAGGCGAAAGCUUUUGUUUGGUUGGGGCUUUGGAAUUGGCGCUUGUCAAGGCUCGCAUAAACAAACAAUACUGGCACUGUGGCCGCUGCUGCCGUAUGAGGUCACCGGAGGUCACCUCCGUGGAAAAAUAGCAAAUUUCUAAGCCCAGGCCUAUGCCAAAGGGUCAAAGGAACUUUCCUCGGUCCUUGCAGUAUUAAAAACUGAAUAGAAAUUUCUGCACCGUCCGGCAUCUCUGGCAGCCGCAUGUCCUGCAGGGCCUGCGCCAUUGGCGGAACCAUAGUAGAAUUCGUUGAAUUUGAUUAGGGGUAUGUUUAUAGAAUUUUCGUAGAGUUUAAAAGGCUUAAUAUUUGUUCAACCUGAAGACUAUUUGGAUAACGGAAAUAAGAACACCAAAAAUACUAUCAAUUGCUUUUUCUCACCACCAAUUCCAUAAAGAUUAAUAGGAGUAGAUCUCUCUGUUUCAAAAUUGUACUCUACUUAGGAUUCCAAUAAUCCUCACAUAAGGGUGGGAGUGUCUGCUAUUUGUUGGACUAUUUGAAAGUGUAAAAAUGAUAUUAUUUUUAACAGAUCCAGAGUUGUUAACUUUUGACAGGUUAUCUACAGGGCCACCCCUUUGAUCCGUCUUUGGUCCUUCCUCCUCCUUGUGGACAAACGGGAGCUUUCGACUUCUGGGUGCACCAGGCUGGAAACGGUCGCACGGGAUAUAUCCAACCGGGCUGGCAGGCAGUAUGUUGCUAGACUUCAGAAUGCAUAGACGGCUUCAGGAUUCUUGCUUUAUUUGGCUUAUUUUUGUUUCGACUUUGUGCGACCCAUGAUUUGUGUACUGUGAUGACAUAACGUUGCAAUAAAAUGGCUGUGUGCAUAGCUCCGAUGCAGAGAGGCCGGGAGCUCCCAUUUUCGAAAAACAAUAUAUUAAAGAUUACAUGCCACUUUGAUCAUGUACUUCUCUUAUUAAUGCGUUUUGAAGAUCAUGUGAAUCAAAGAGGCCCUUGAUCCAGGUGAGGGCAGGACAGGGCAGAUCACGAGCUAAUUUUCGGAUGGCAAUGGAUACCCGAUACCCGCAUACCCGACGGGUAUUUACCUGUUUAAGAUGCGGGUUUGGUAAGAAAAAUACCCGCGGGUAUGUAAAUGGUAAAAUUAUAUACUCGACUUGACGACUCCGCCAGUCCGACGCCGGUAGCCCACCACCAGCCCUCCGCCCCGCCCCCUGCCACGCGUGCCGUCCCGCCGCCACGCGCGAGCGCCGCCGCCCCCGCCCCACCCACGAGCGCUGCUGCCCUGCGCGCGGGCCUCCUCCGAGCGCCCCCGCCACCGCCGAUGCGGCCCCGAGCUCCGCUGCCGCCUCGUACACGCGCGCCGCCGACGCUUCUCCGUUCUAGCGGGUCGGGUAAAAAUACCCACAGGUUACCCGUACCCGUGACGGGUGGUGGGUAUGGUAAAAUUCCAUACCCGACCACGGAUACGAGUAACGGUUGAGAGUUGGAUCGUCGGAUACGGGUAUGGUUGAGCCGUACUCGUAACCAAGCCCGUCGGUUGCCAUCCGUAAGCUGAUUAGCAUCCCUUGGUCGAUCAGCCUGACCCGGACGUCGAUCCCUUGGUUAAUCUCAAAUCUUCCCACGGCGGCCGGCCUGCUGGUUUAAUGGCGGGCAUCGGAACCCGUGUGGCGAAUCGCAUUUUACUAAUUCGCGAUUCGUUUGUUUGUCUGUUUGCUACAGAGAGGCGCAGUAAUUACAGUCCUCGGUUCCCUCGCUGACACCGCGAGUUCAGGGUCCUUCGACGAUCUGUGAGUUAAAAAACCCAAUCCCACUGGGAAUCACCAGUACUAGACACUAGUUCUAAUAUAAAGAGAGCUGGCUAUAGCUGCGAGGCAUGAGGUGAGAUUCGUGAGAUGAGAUCGAAAGACCGCCCCAUCGCGGUGGCACGUGAGGGGUUUAAUUCGGACAGUAAUUCAGAGAACUAAUUAAUCCUUCAGAUGAUUCGAAAUGCCCUAAUUUGUCCUGAGUGCACGCACGCAGUACCUGCUGCUGUUAGUUUACCUGUCCCGAUGGGGGUGAUUACUGUACUCAUCGGGCUGUGCCACGGCUCUGUGUUUCUAGCUCUUAAUUGUGUUGUUACCUUUUGACUUUUGAUUUGUUAAUUUCUGGAACAUGCAUGGUAUGCAUGCAUGUCGGCGUUUUUGCUUUGGGCCCGGAAGGCUAUUUAUUCCGUUGGACGCAAAAAUGUGAGAAAACACGGUCAAUUUGACUUGCUAAAUUUGUUUUGGAUAUAUAGGAUACAAAUAGAAUCCGGAUUAUCUCGUUUAAUUAAACUGACUUACUGCUACUAGCUUCCUCUAAUAAAUCUAGACAUAAACUGUGUUGUGCUGAACUUUUUUUGAGGGAAUUUUUUUUUAGGGAAUGUUGUGCUCAACUUAUUCAUACUAGUUAGUCUGAAAAACUUGAGGCACACAAAAACAUAAGCACACGAGUUGAUAGAACAGAUCGAUGUGCAUUCUUUUUUUGCGCGAUGCUGUAUAUUAGAGCGUGCCUUGGCUUCUAGUGAUGUUAUAAUUUGGAGUAUUUACACACGGACGGCUCUCAAUCCAAUUCGUGGAUCGAUGCAGGCAGCAUCGGCUAGCCGGUGCAGCAUGUCAACUCUUCCUAGAAAGGCGAGGAGGAGCUAAGAUCCAUAUAUACGUUAAUCGAUCUAAGAUAAUACCCAUUAUCUAAUUCAUAAAGAGCUGACGUUCUUUAUUCUGCUUCCACGCGCGUACGUUUUUUAUUGGUCAAGCAACUUCAAGCUUUGAGUUAAUGUUGCACACGAUGAUGCUUGGCUGUCCGCAGAAGCACGCGGGAUAGUAGGUAUGGUUGCAUGCAUGCAUUUAUAAUUAACAAUUGCUGAGAUUUUAGUUCGGAUGUAUGGCUGCAUGUAUGCAUUUUUGUACUAACUAAUUUUGAGGCUUAAAAUAUUUUUAUGACUCAAACUGUUUGUCCGAUUAACAAUCCGUUUACAUCAUUAGCUUUGUAUCAACGAGAGGUUCAAAACUAGAUCUCACUAGAAAUUUUUUGACCUAUUUAUUUUGACAUUUUCAUGUUACCAAACAAUAAUGCACAACUUACCGUCAUACUCGGAAAGAAAUUAUCAUGUGGUAACUCGUCACUAAUAGAGUGGCAACUUCAUAAAUUGUUGGGUGGUAAUUUUAAUGCAUAAGUAUUCUAUUUUGUACGAAGUUAUCAUGCGGCAACUUCUUACUAGCAGGGUGGCAACUUCAUAUGUUGUUAGGUGGUAACUUUAACGCAUAAGUAACCGUCCUAUUUUGUAUGAAGUUAUCAUGUGGUAACUCGUUAGUAACACAGAUGAUAACUUAUAUGUUACUCGGUGGUAACUUUAACUCAUAAGUAACCACCAGUUUGUGCAUAAAGUUGUCAUGUGGUAACUUGUUACUAACAGGGAUGGUAACUUCGUAUGUUAUUCGGUGGUAACUUUAACGCAUAAGUAACAAUUCUUUUUUUGAGAAGUUAUCAUGUGGUAACUGAUUGCCAACAGGAAUGGUAACUUCCUAUAUUAUUGGCGGUAACUUUUAAGACGAAUUUUUUUUGUCGAAACAUACCAACAUGGGAUCUAGUUUCGAAGAUCUCGUCGGGACAAAGCUAACAAUGAAGACGGAUAUAAAUCGAGUGCACGGUUUGAGAUUUAUAACCUUUUAAAGUUUGAGAUUUUACAAAUGCAUUAAUAAUGCAUGCAUUGCAACAUGUAGGUACGUACUAUGUGCGUGGUCCUGCGCGCGCCCUGACCAACGCGCGUACGGUCGCGCGUUAGAGAGUACUGCCAGUUAUAUGCAGAUUGAUUAAUCAGUAUACUAUAACUAUAGUCCCCUAGGAUAUGCUGCUAGUACAACCUUCUUUCCUGUCUGCUGUGCUCUAAUUAAAUUAGAAGGCGACGACAUUUCGGUCUGGAAGCAAGGAAGGUUUGGCAUGCAGCUAGCUAGCCAGGCAUAGGUAGUAUAUAGCUAGGCCAAAGUUUUCCAUGCUGACUAGAGACCACUGCCAAAGAAUCGAAUGGAGACUUCACUUGUGUGUGCAGCUAGCCUCGAGGAGGAAUCUACCUCUGUCUACGUGUGUUAUAUAUUAAUAUACUGGUAUGUACGUAGAUCGAGGAACAAAGGAAGAAUGCUUUUGCAGGAGUAGCUUGCUUUGACCAUCCAUGCAUCCACGAGCACGUCGUCGAUCCGGCUGGCCAGCAGAGCUUAUCACGUGAUGCUGUCAAUUUGUUUAAUGGAGCUAGCAUAUAUAGCUUCCUCCGUCCAACUAUAAAGAACGUAUUAGAUUCGGUUGACCAAGCUUUUGACUAUAAAUUACUUCACGAAGAUGUGACUAAUGUUACUAAAAUCAUAUAAGCAAAUAUUUUUGGGUACGAAUAUAAUGGAUAUGAAACCAUGUCAUAUAAUUAUAUAUUAAUAGAGUAAUUUGUGGUCAAAGCAUUGAUCAAGGAAAAGCUAAUACGUCCUCUAUUGUUAGACGGAGAUAGUACCUUUGCAUCUUUGUUCCUCGACCGAUCGUCAACUUGACACAAACAUUACCCUACUAGUCAAUAUAGAACGAAUUUUAUUUCUUAAAUGACCUUUAACAAAUAAGGCAUGUAUACUUUUCUAGCAUAACGAAUUUAUUGAAUUAUUUAUAUUCAAAAGUAUUUAAUAUUCCCUCCGUUCCGAAUUAAAUGAGGUGGGUUUGUAUAAAUUAUUGUACAAAUCCACGUAAGUUAAUUCCAAACGAAGAGAGUAUAAAACUUCGGUCGAAAAUAAUAGAAUGCAUCUUAUAUUUUGAAACGGAACAGUACGUCCAUGAGUACGUCUCAGUAAUGUUCUGCUCCGACUUGCUGGGUCAAUCGUAUACUCUCUUUUUAAUAUAGUAAAAUGUAUUCUGUUUUUUAAACUAUUAAUAAUUUCUCUGAUCCAUAAUAAGUUUCUUACAAAGUUAGUAAGUGUCUUGUAUUUAGGACAAAAUAACUUUGUAGAAAUUCAAGACACUUAUUUUCAAACAGAUAAUUAAUACAAUUGUAUUCAUAAUAAAAAUAUUAAUUCGUAAAUAAGUGGAAUAAUCCUUGAUUAAACAACAUGGUCGAUGUGUAUUGGAACGGAGACAGUAAUACGUAGGGCGGUGGCAGCUCGUAAUGUUAUGCUCCGACUCGAUGGGUCGACCGUAUAUUCGUGCUCGCUCACUUGUACUGAUACUCUGCUCAGGACGACGCAUACGUGUGAAUAGUUCUAGGAGAUGUUCCAAGGGGGACAAUGGAGUACAAUUGUACAAACAAAGAACGUACAUUGGAAUGGACGUGAACAGCCUACGUGUCAUGCUGGACUGGUUGAUGUCCAAUUCCACAUGUGGAUCAUGAUUUUCUUUUAUCCGUCCAUAAGGUAAUGUACAAUAUAAAGAGUACAGUAAAAGUGGUGGAAAAGUCAGAGACGUCGUUCUCAGACUCAUGACUAAUGCCCCGUUUGGUUAGGCUUAAAACUGCCUUUUGAUUUUUGGCUUAUAAGCCACAAAAGCACCUAACUAGUUGCUUUUGACUUUGGCUUUUUGCUUAUACCAUCAUCUAACAAUAUCAAGUCAAAUGUCAAAAGCCAAAACCGAAAACACCUAAUUUAGUGAUUUUGUGACUUAUAAGUCAAAAAUCAAAAAGAAGUUUUAAACCUAACCAAGUAGGCCUAACUGUUCGGUGCUCCGCCCGCCUCAAACAGUGGAUAAGGCCUACUGAGAUGGGCUGUCUCCAUUCUGGUUCCAAGGUGGGCCACCGCGUUAGUACGUGAUACUACCAGCUCAAGCUGCCAUGAAAAAACUUGACAAAAAGUAGCCCUUGUUCGGAUUUCUCUUGAAGAUAUAUACUCCCAUGAAAAGAAAAAUAUACUCUCAAGAAAAAAUAAAUAAAAGAAAGAGGACACCAUCAACACUGUCAAAAAAAAGAGGGGACACCAUCAACACAUUUGAAAGUGGUCAAAAAUAAUAAUUGAGUAUAGAAACACAACAACCUAUGUUUACCGUAUCUCAAUAAUUCACUCGACAAACAAAAAGAAAAAGAUCAUGGUAUGAAAAACGUAUGUGACAGUAUCAAUGUAUAGGGUGCCCAUGUCCCGAAGAAAAAUAGAAAUUUUCUUUAUGGCUGUUAAGAGGUGUUUCUGAACUCGGGUACAUAGGGUACACCACAAGGCUGACUGGACCGGUAUUUUUUCUGAGGCCAGUGAUGGCAAAAAGAAGAAGCUCAUGCCUCGUGGAGGAAGGGGGAAGAGCGUUGGCGGAUGAGGAGUAGCUUAGGAGGAUUCUCGUGGCGUGGCUCCGACCUCCGAUGGGACGAGGAAGACUGGACAGUCCGACUUGUGUAUACUGAGAGUAUCCAAAACUGUUUGCUUAUAUCAUGGUUUUGAUCGCAACGCAUUGGCGAUGUUGCGAUGUCGUCUCGAAUAAAUGUACACCGCUUCAUCCUUUGUCGUGAGGGUGCCUUAGCAGGCGUUGUCGCGGAGCUAGAGAGUUUUAGUCACCGUAAAUUCAGUGUAUCCGAUCUUAUAGAUUUUGGGUUUGUGUACUCGUAGAUCCGUUUAUAUGUAUGUGUUGAGUUUUUGUCAAUGUGUCAUAGUGUUUUUUGUUGGUUUUAUCUUUUGUAAUUUUGAAAUCUUUCUCUGGCGUUCUAGUGAAGAUCUUUUGGUUCGACGACCUGUAUUUGUAUUUUUAAGGGAUUGUCCCGGCCCAAAUACGUUCAACGCUCACCGCUUCUAAUUUUUUUGGAUGAGCAACUCUAGGGGCUUUUUGAAAGCUUUGAAGGUAGUUAAGUUUCUGGAAGCAUACAAGUGACUAUGUUGCCUCUCCAGUUUGAUUGCGAUCUUCAUGUUGAAGUCUUGGCAGUAUUUCAUCUUGCGAAUGAUACACGGAAAAUAUGUCUUUAAGAAAUUUCAUUAUAAUCAUUAGUUAUAGGAAUGAUCUUGUAAUUUUUAGGUUAUAUGAUCCAAUACAUUGUACCUGUUAUGGUUCUUGAGUUUGAAUAAAAUUACGGGUUUCAAAAAUAAUAAUUAUAAAAGCAUUAUGUUUUUUUCAAAAAAAAAAGGAGCAAGCGCGGUCGAACGCGCAGGCCAGCAUAGUGACGACAGCGCCAGCCGGUCCACACGGCGACGCACUCCUCCUUGCCAGAGCAGCCCACUUGGCACUUCUGGGCUGUGGUAUUGGUUGUUGGGCCCGAGCUCAAUAAGCUCGCCGAGCUGGCCGGGGUGGAGCCUGGGCUUGGCCCGAAGCUCAAGGGAGCUAGAAAGUGCUAGCUUGGCUCGGACUGCUCGCGUCCAGCUCGAGCCUAGGCCGAGCCCAAAAGCCUGGAUCGAAUUCGGACGUGCAGUUUUCCCCUCCGACUGCUCUGCCCUCUCCAUCGCACCGCUUUGUCCUCUCAUUCCCCCCAGAUGGUCACCACCCAACGCUGGCAGGAAGAGGGUUGGGGGAGGCGAGGCGAGGCUCUGCGUGUCGUCGGCGGCGGAGGCUGCUUCCGCACCUAGACCGGUGAGCUCCCUCUUCAUUUCUGGUGUUUUCCCAGUGGCGUGCGUUCGUGUUUGGCGUGCUCGCGGGCCGCUGCUGAUUGUUUGCUUCCUGCGGGGGAACAUAGGGGGAGGCGCCCGGCCGAUUAGCGUCGUGUUCGGUGUCUCCUCGCGGUCAAUUUCCCGGGCCCGUUGAACCUCGCGGCUGCUGCUGCUUGUGCGUCUCUGAAUUUUGCUCGCUUUUUUUCUGGCGGAUGUGUCACGGGGAAGGCAGCAGAGGCGGACGUUUCACCGUCGAUCUCCCAUCCCAUGCAGUCGAUGGCGGAGUAUGCUUGCUCGCCCCCGGUGAGUUUUGCGUGCUGAUACUCACACGGGCGAUGGUUUUUGUGGUGGAUGGUGUGUUUAGUUCGCUUUUUGUGUGCUCGUUCUUGCGUUGUAGAAUGAUUGAGAUAUAUAGUCUAGUGUAUUUCUGUGUCCAGAUUCAGACUGAUUGAUGCAUAUGGGCACCGGCCCUGCAUUUGUAAGCAUUACAAUGACUGAAUAUUUCUCGCAAAAAAAAAUUACAAUGACUGAAUAACAUGGUUAUUUUCUGAUUCAGUUGUAUGUUACUUUGUGGUUCUAGCUAUUUGGUUUAGUAGAAAUUCUAGCAGAGAAGUGUUAAUUUUGUUGUGCUUUUGGUUGUCACAAGCGCCAAUUUCUGUCUUUCAAAUCAUUUGUAGUUGUUGUUUGUAUGAUGUGCUUUUGGUUAUCUUCUGCCUUUCAAAUUCUAGCAGAGAAGUGUUAAUUUUGUUGUACUUUGGGUGACUGGAUUUGGUGAGGAGAUGCGAGGCGAUUUUUGCUUAACAUCCCCAAUUUGUUCCUUUGUUUUUUUCUUCAGAUGGGGGGAAACUGGGAGUUUAGAUCAGGAAGCAAAGGCACGGCACAUACUUUGACGACAGCGAAUUCAGGUUAGCUUCCAUAUCAUCUCUUCUCUCUGUUUCCCCCUUUUGAUUUUGUUCUCUGUUCAUCGAUUCCUUAAUCGAUUUCAUCUUGCUCUCUCCUUCCUCCCAGCCGGCAUGAGCGAGAUUGUCUAUCGAUCGAGACAUAGUAGAGUCCUGUUCUUUUUACAUGAUCAGGAAGCUCCGAAAUCGAAUCUUUCUUGUUUCCCUUUUGUGUGUCCUAGCAUGGUCUAAAUAAUGGGUUCCAUGUGUUCCAGGUUAAAAUCCCGUUGGCUAACUUAAGUGGGCCAUCUUCUUUUUUGUCUGAGAAAUAGGCUCUUGGGUCAUAAAAUUCAUUUCUCUACUGGGCCAAAAUUUUAGAACUUUCUGCUACGGUUCGUUGUUGAUCUAGAGUGUCUCAAUAACCAAGAUAAACUUAAUGUUUGUUCAUUCAUUGUCCUCUUUUUUUUUCACUUUGAUAUGCUUAUUCCUUCAUUAUGCAAUCUUUUUUUAAAAAUUGCACUGUUCAUUAAAUUAAAUCGUAUACAUACUACUAGUGCAAUUACAGGGUUCUAAAACUGCAAUUGCUAUUCAAUCCCCGUGUUUUCAGUUUUUCAAUGUUUAUUUUUAUUAUGUCUGAACAGUGGUGCCUUUUUUCAAUUCAAAAUUCUACCCAUUCGCAUUGGUUUAAUUUGUACUCCCUCUGAUCCUAAAUUCUUGACUCAAAUUUGCCCAAAUAUGGAUGUAUCUAUUCUUAAAAAAGCGUCUAGAUACAUGUAAUAUUUCGACAACAAUUUAGGAUCGGAGGGAGUAGCUUUUAAAUCUGUGAAUGCCCUGUCUAGGGAUGUUUAACAGCUUCAAUCUUAUCUGUGUACAAUCUUAAUUUUAUAAUUUUUCUUUUUUCUUAUUUAUAGUUAAUUGUGAGCAAUCCUAUUAAAGACCUUAUAUCAUAGCUGGGCACUUGUAAUUUUUUGUUUCUCUCUUUUGUUUUUUUUUAAUAUGCAGCCUUCAGUCCGUGUGCAGCCUAACCAAUGUGCAUGGAAAGAAAAUUUGAUGCAGUUUCUAACAAGCCAUUGCCUGAACAGUCAGCUAUGCUAGUGGCAAAAGCUUUUCAGCCAAUCAAAAUCAUCGACUCGGUGAUUUUCUUUCUUUAGUACUCCCUCCGUUCCAUAUUAAUUGGCACGGAGGGAGCAUUAGCUAGCUAAUUUGAUCACUCCAUUUAUGACUAUUGAUCUUUGCCUUUUAUUGUUGCUAGACUGUGCAGUCAACCCCAAAGUCACCUGAAGUUGUGUACUGUGGACAAAGGGAUUUUAAUUCAGAAUGUAAUUCUUAUUUCAAGCGAAUAUCAUGAGGAAAUCGACGAUCUUAUUGUGAGCCCCCUGGCCCUUUUCAUUAUGCCUACUUUUUCCACUAUAUCUUUUAGUAAUUCUGCAGUGCGUGGUGCAAGUUAUAUGUUGUUAACUUUAGAACCUUUAUAAAAUCUGCUACUCUAGUAAUCGGUGAGUGCUAUUUUUUGUACUAAGUAUGUAGGUGCAAUUUUUGCUCACACCUCCAUCUGUAUACUGUAAUCGAUAUAUGCGGGUUCUAAUUUCCAUCUUUUUUAUGUGCCCUUUCUGCAGUUAAAUUUGCAUUUUUGUAAACAUCGCAAUCACUACACGAGUCUGUUGCAAUUGCUUACACACACUCAUUCGAUUGCUUUCUAUAGCUUUGUGCAAUCCCAGUAGUUAUGCACUGCAAUUGCAAUAAAUUUGUAGGCUUCUUGACUUUUCCUUCUUUUUUUAAUCUGCCGGCUAGCACUAGCCUGUAGGCUAUAGCAGUGCAGACUCAUAUUCCAGUGGUGCUUUCAUUCAGUGCAUGUUUCUCUUGUUCAUCCGGAUAGCAAGAAUUAGGAAGCAAGAAUAAGGGAGUGGGGCGGUGGGGGGCGGGGAGGAAGCAGGUUGUACCUUUGAUGGCUGGUGAUCUUGUGAGUUUUCUCACAAAUUCACGUCACUGUACCUAUACAAAACAAUGAGUAAAUUUCAGACAGCACUUCUUUAUCUUUUUUCCUUUUUAUGCUCUCAAUUGAAUUGAAUUUAUGCAUUCCCUAUUCUCUGUCAACAGGAAUGACUGUGGUAUAUUCUGUAUGAAAUUUAUGGAGUUGUUCGGACGUCGGGUGCUGCUGCAUGGCAAGUUUUCUUAUAGGGACAUUAUAUUUUCCUGUCAAAAUUGCGAACGACAUGCUCUUUUCUAAGUUCAGCUUAGUUCAUACAGUUAAGGAAAUGAUUCUUCAGUUGUCUCAAUAGGUACUAGCUUCUUUAUCCGGACUAUAUUUUUGUUUUCGCGUUAUGCAUGAUGUCACAUUUUUUAUCGUUGGUGCUUAUUAUUGUAAUUUUAUCUUUUUGUAGAUUGAUUUGUCCAAGAGGAGACAUAUUUGAACAGAAUCGUCUUCAUUUUGCCCUUGCCUUGUUAGCUUAUAUAAAAUUUGUUUUUAGAUUGCUCCAUAUUUGCUCUGUGGCAAUGCUUGUGAACUUUGUAAGGAUAAUGGAUCUAUGAAUGGCUUGUGUGCCAUGCCUCUGUGUCAAAUUGCAUUGUAUUUGAUUUUCAAUUGCAGUGUCUUAGCUUUUGCAAUCCCAAGAUAAGCAAGCUGCUUUUCGUAUCUGAAGGUCUUAUUUUUACAGAUUUGCAAUCUGCAGUGCAUUUUAUUCGCACCAAUUCCCACUAUUCAUGCCACUAUUAUAUUUGUUAUAAUGUGUAUCUAAGCCAUGUUUAUUAUUCUUUUGUCGUAGCAUUUAUGCUUUAGUUGGUUUUGUUUGAUUUGUAGGAUUUGAAAUCAUAGAUUUUUUCUUUGAACUAGUACUUCGCAUGUGUUUCCAUGGCUACCACCUAAUUCGCCGUUUUGAAUUUUGAAAAAAAUUCAACAUGGCAUGACAUUCAAUUCCACUGUUUUUGAAAUCAUGUGAAUAAAAACUGCUCUCGAAACAGUGCAAAUCUCUACACCAUGCCUCUCAUCCUUUUAAGGACAUACAUCUUCGACCAUGCAAACCAAUGCAUGUGUUUGGGACAGCUCCACCUCGACGGAUUUGGUGGAGCUGGUUGUUCAUAGCUUCACUUUUUCGUGGAGCUAGACCUUUGAUUAUUUUUGUCGCACUAGUGGCAUCUGGGGUCCUACUGAUGCUGGACGUGUGGGUCCCAUUGGAAGAAUCCCGGCCCGGAAGCUGCAAAGGUGUUGCCGGCAUUUAUCGGCUUCCCCCCGGCUACACUCCAGGCGAGUCACCUCGGCAACUCGCCCCGGCAACGCGCCCCCGGCAGCCCGACCUUCGAACCAAUGGUGCGGUGAGCGCAGGGCGCCCCAGGGGCUCACCGGUGGCAUUUAAUGCACCCCCGAGGCAAGGUAGCAAGACAAGGCAGCUCGUCCAGUCCCAUCAAGCACACUUGCCAGGGGCUGCAUGCAAGCCAGCGAGGGGGAGCCCUUGCCACCUCACUUCCCCACCGACACGUAGUUAGCCCGCCCGCGUGUCAAGCAUGUAAUUAGGCCACUGUGGUAUCCCCUUAAGCUAUAAAAGGAGGAUCAAGGCCAUCGUAGAGAAGGAUUCGACUCCUAAAGAUUAGAUCCUAGAGAAGACUCACUCAAUCCGAGAGAGAGGGAGGAGAGAGAGAGAGAAACCCGGGAAGCUCAGCUUGAGCCCCCGGCAACCUGUAAGAAGUUCCACACCAAAUAAUACAGACAAGCAAGACAUAGAGUGUUACGCUCCCGAGCGGCCCGAACCUGGGUAAAACUCUGAGCGCCGCUUCUCGAUCAUGCCGGUGUUCGCCGUAGGAAUCCCCAACCGAACCUAAAGGGGGUGCCGAACAUCCUUGGUGUCAGAGUUUAGGCGCCGACAAUUUGGGAAUGCAAAAAGAUAAGACUAUUAAACAUCUUCCACUCAUUCUCAGCUUCAUUUGUGCCACUGGCUCCAAACCCUAUCGCCUCUUGACGCCAAUGAGAUCAAAUCCCGACUAGCUACUCCACGAAGAGCAUGAAAUUCGAUUGAGGAGGACGAAACCACCGCCAGGGCACGAUGUGUCGACAACCCUGCUUGACAAGCUGACGCUGCGCCAAGGGGCUGCCAAUUGUAACGACUGCCCGUUCUGCAUAGACCUCGAAGGACACCCGUGCCAUUAUAGAGGCGAUCGAUCUAGGCACACCGCCUCGGCGGCAUCCGGUGGCGGCGGCGUGGAGGGUCAGAUGGGAGUUUGGUGGCUAGCUCACUACUACAAAACACAACAUAAGUGAUGGGCUUUUCUCGACCGCCACUGAUAACCCUCAUCAGUGACGGGCGCACAAAACCCGUCACUGAUGACCCCUCAUUAGUGACGGGCUCAGGACGCCCGUUACUAAUGGUCCAAUGCGAAAAGUUGCAAAAUUCACCAAAACACACAUCAGUGGCGGGUCUUACGUCUGUGCCCGCCAGUGAUGUCCCCUGAAGACCUUUGAAAAUUAAAAAAUCGAUAACUAAUUCAUAAAAAAUAAAAAAUGUGAUUCUUUUUUCUAAAUUCUUAUUUUUUAUUGCUUAACAUUGUGGAACAAUAAUGUCUGAUGGCAACAUUUGAAAAUGAACUAUGUAGUACAAUCUUGUUUUCCCAUAGUUGAACUUUAGUUUUUAAACCAAAUGACCAAAGGUUUGUCCAUUUCUAUGCCAUAGUUCUUGAUAAUUAUCCAUUUCUUGCACAAGUGUUGUCACGGAAGUAAUAUUGCCAAAGAGGUUUAUAAUGUUUUGGUUAUAAAAAAUGACUUUGGACUAUCAAGUAUAUACGAAUGUUUAAUUAUGACUUUCAAGCCAAAUGAUAAACUUAAUAUGAUACAUAUGAAGCAGUUACAAUUAAUAUGGUUCAAAAUGGCACCUAUGCAAUUUUCACACAAAUUAGACCACAUUGAUAAAUUUAUGAACCAAUUUUGUCAUAUUAAGUACUUGUGUAUGAUAAAAUCUAGUUUGGCCUCAUCACUGGCGGGCUUUUUAUUCAUGCCCGCCAGUGAUGUAUUUUCUCGGCCCGGCCAAAGGCCCAACCCAAUCCAUUCCCUAUAUAACCCUUUCGCUAACCCUAAAUCCGACCCUCACCCUCCCUCUAUUCCCCUUGCCGCCGCCUCUCACUGCUCUCAUCUCUCCCUCUCUUCUCUCUUCCCCUGCCGACCCCAACCAGCCCCUCUCCCUCCCUCCCAUGGCGCAUGGUGCCGCCUCUCUCCCUUCCUCUCCCAUGGCGCAUGGAGCAGCCUCUCUCCCUCCCUCCCAUGGCGCAUGGUGCAGCCCCUCUCCCUUCCUCUUCCAUGCGCCGUGGAGCAGCCCCUCUCCCUUCCUCCCAUGGUGCGUGGAGCAGCCCCUCUCCCUUCCUCUUCCAUGCGCCGUGGAGCAGCCCCUCUCCCUUCCCCUUCCAUGCGCCGUGGAGCAGCCCCUCUUCCUUCCUCCCAUGGCGCAUGGAGCAGCAGCAGUGGGGAUGCAUGGAGCAGCAGCAGCGGGGCGCGGUGCCGCCGGAUUCGUCGGCCACGACCCAGCACGCCACCGAAUCCGGCCACCCUCGGCCCAGCAGCGGCCGGAUCCGGCCUCCCCCGCCGCCAACCGCCGAUUCCGGCCAAGACCGACUUCCCCGCCGCCGGUAUAGUUUCUCUCUCUCUCUCUCUCUCAGCACCUCUCGUUCUCUCUCACACCCUCUUUGUUUCUCACCGUCUUUGUUGUUGGUGUCAGGCUCGGGGAGCAAGUUUGGUGGCGGCCACGACCAUCGCCGUGAGAUCUGUGAUUGAUUGAUGCAGAGACUCCUGCCUUUUUUGCAAUGUGUAAUCCUCGAUUGAUUGAUCUGUGAAUUGUAAUCCGUAAUUGAUCUGUGAUUUGUAAUCCAUGAUUGAUUGAUUUGGAAUCCGUGCUUAUCUGUGAUUUGGGGAAAAUAUUGUAGGGGUGCCGUGUGGAUUUAGGGCAGGCCUGGGGCAGGUCGCUUUUUUCUUCUCCAAAUUCCUAUCAGUGUCGAGCGUGGGGAGUGACCGCCACUGAUGAUGGCAUCAUCACUAACGGGUGGAACAACCGUUACUGAUGAUGCCAUCAUCAGUAACAGGAAGUUAGUGGCGGGCGGGACGUCCGUUAGUGAUGUACUUUUUCGACCGUUAGUGAUGACGUUUUUGUAGUAGUGGCUAUGGCUUUGGUCACCACCCGGGUCACAGAGCGGUAGUCGGUACGUACGUGUAAAAAAAUAUACCGCUCAUUAUGUUCCAAAAUACAAGAUGUUUUAACUUUGUCCUAAGUCAAAAUUCCGAGACCAGGUUUAUAGAACAAUCUGCCUACAUCUACAACCCUAAAAUAGUUUUAUUAAGUCCAUCAUCAUAUAUAUAUUCAUUGUAUACUAGCUUAUUUCAGAUUUUAGAUUUCAGUAUAUUUUUGUAUAUAAACUUCGUGAAAUUUUAAUUUUUUUGACUUAGAAAAAGCUGGAACCUACUAUAUAUAAAUAUUGAGAAACAGAGAUAAUACUUAUCAAAAUUACUUGCUGUGCUUGACUUCAAAAGCCUUCGCUAGCUCAGCUAGCUAGCUAUAAGUUACUAUCUUUUACCUAGAUUCCUAAUAAUAACGAAACCAUGGCUGACGCUGAGAUUCUUACAUCUGGCACCGUGAUCUUUAAAAUGCCAAUCGACCGUUGACUCCGUGACACUCAUUUUUUCUUCUUUCCAUUUUGCAUUUGCAGCUAUCCUUCCUUCAAAACUGGAGAGCACGGGAUCGAUAUAUAUAUACUGCGACUGUACACGAGCGAUCAAUUUGACUUGUUUCUUUUGUCUGACAGCAUUUAAUUUGCGAGGUCUUAAAACUAAGUCUCCGUCCAAGUCUACAUUAAUUUGUGAAGCAUGAAGGAGAUCUCAGUACGUUGGCAUUGCAAUUGGCAUAAACUUCACCAACUAGCUACCUAUCUAGGCCGCCAUGUAUAAACUUCAUCAACUAGCUCGCUAGCGAGGGGGAGAAGCUAAGCUUGUCAAGAUGCCGAAUAAGAAGAUCACGCAGAAGAAGAAGCCAAGCACUACGAGUAAGUGGCAGCCGGGCCGCUAGUGUCAUCUGAUUAAGUUUUCAUUGUUUUUCCACCAAAUAUAGUCUCAUCGAUGUUUUUCAAGUUCUCCCAACUGAAUUUUCUGCAUGUGUAUUACUAAAAUAAUUUACCCUUCUUCUCCUUUUGGUUUCCAUCUAUGCAUGGGACUUCAGUUCUUUCUAGACAUUAUUUUUCUGGCGAAUCAUUUUUUUUUCACUUACAAUGUACGGUUUUUGCGUCUUACAACAGUAAAAGUAAAUAAUGUUAUAUAAAUAUAGCACAUUUUUGAUUUUUGGGCCCUGUUUUCAACAAAAUCUCAGGAUGUGGUUUACCUGGCUAUAAUUUCUUGAGUGCUUUCCUCGAAAAAAAAAUCUUGUAUGCUUCUAGAGUUCUAAUACUUUUCCUUUAAAGAGAAACUCAAAUGGUUUUGUGUAAACUUGACUACCGUAGUACCCUUGUUUUUGCAACACACGCACCCUUUUGUACACAUAAAAAUGGAAUGAAAGAUAUGUAACAAAAAUAAUAUACUACUUUCUCCGUUCCUAAAUACUUGUCACUAUUUUAGUGCAAGUUUGAGCUAAAACAGAGACAAGUACUUAGGAACGGAGGAAGUACAAUGAAUUUGUUUCGUGCAAUUCACUUUGGAGUACCUUAUAGUGAUUAGCGGAGUAUCUUUGGAGUUUAUAAGUUUUUUUAACAUAUAGUUUCUCAAAUGCCUUUCAAUUUAUCUGAAUUAACAUUUUCUUUUUUGGGACUCGACGUAACUUCUUGUUUAUCGAAGAAGGGGCAACGGUAGGUGGCAGCAGCAGUAAUGAUACGAUGAGGCCGCAUUCUCCUUCCACGGGCACAGGUAAGAAAGUUAUAAAAGCCUUUUGUCCCGGAAGAGGUUCGUUUGAUAUUCUAAAACAGAUAUGUAAGAAGCAGAUAGAGCGUGCAAUUUUGAUUGUAAUUGUUGAAAACUUUGAAGAUGCUCAGCUUAUAACUAUGAUUGGUCCUAAUUAAGUAAAAGUCAGAAUGCGUGGUAACAUAGAUAGUACUCCCUCGGUCCCAUAUUAAGUGUCGAUCGAAAUAUUACAUGUAUCUAGACGUAUUUUAGUAUAUAAAUACGUCAAUAUUUAGACAAAUUUGAGUCACAUAAUAUGGGACGGAGGUAGUACUAGCGUUUUGUCUUUCACUUUGUAGCGCACGUUUUGAACUAAAUCCAAGGAGCAGAUAUACAUCUAAAUACCCUCUAUCCAGAUUGGAUACGGAUUUUAUUGCUGUUAUCUUUCCAAAAGAAGCUAGCUUCGACGCCUCGAUGGUUAGCAUAAUAAACUACUCGCUUUAAUUCAUAUUAAUUGUCUCGAAUUUGUCCAAAUCUUUCUAUGCCUAAAAAGUAUCUAGAUACAUGUAAUAUUUAACAUCUUCACAUGUCUUUUUUCAAUUUAUCUGAAAAAAGCACAACACAAGGUAGUCGAAAUUGUUAUACUUUGUUGUCCCCUUGUAGACUGUAUAUUUGUCUUUUUCUUUUUCGCAAAAAGCACGCAGGUUCACCAGAACUACAAAUCACCUCAAACAUAAUGAAAACUGCACAUAGAUCUCUAGAUCACUGGACGACUACUACCAUCGCUAAAACGAACCGAUGAUGUGUUGUUGUCGCCGCUCGCAUACCGGAACCGUCCUGACCUUGUUGAUGAUAGCAGAUAAGUCCUCGUGCACGUGCCCCUGAGGACCAGCGUCCCGGAGCCACAAUCGCCAUGUCGAACACUUGAAUCGGUCUGAAUAACCUGAUGUACACCAUAUAUUGCCGACAUGAACGCAUGCAAGAAACCCUAACCUCGCCGCCUGAGGGAACCAUGCACAUGAAUCUACGCCAGUGCUCCGCCGAUUUCAUCCUAACAGACGAACUCGAGGGGAAUUGGGGCCCGGAAGACCAUCUCGACAACCAAAUGUCACCAUCCGCUGAGCGCCGCCUCCACGAGAACCAUGACAUCUUCCACAUGCCUCCCGAUGGUACGAAGCACCACCGGAACAAAGCCAAGGCGGGGAGACCUUAUUCCAUGUUGCCGCCGACAACCUUGUUAACAUUUUCUUUUAACUCAUGAAAAAGGCAGAGGUAGUUUCUCUUUGUACAAACACCAUGACACAACUUAUUUGUACCCACAAGGUCAAAAUUAACAAAGAACUCAAAUUAUUUAGCUUAUCAUUAAUCCCGGGCCCCAAUUUUAUCCAAGAUUAACAUUUGUAAGAAUUUAUCUAUAUAUGCAUGUGCUAUGGUUGAGGAGUGAUGCGUAUGCAGCCAGAAGCAGCUAGUCGUCGGCAAACUAGUGCCGCACACUUGAGGCUGGCAGAGCUCUAGGUUCCUCUUUUGAAUUAUAUAUUCAGAAAUGUCAACCAUCUUCCUCUCCUCGCUUCCUCUCUCUCUGGCCUUAUCAGGUACAGUACACAAGUACUGCGGAGCAAGACUUUUUAAUACACCAGCAGAAUCACCGUGUGCUGCCACGGCUCAGGCACAUGAUGGUCAUCAAGACCACUUUGAAAGUUGGUCACAUGCAUCACGCCACCGAACUCCGACGCUUGGUGAUCAGGACAUCAUUGCUUUGGCACCACAACACCACCACCAUGUAGCAAAGCAAGUACAUUUUGUAUUUUAUUACUGGUCAAGGAGAAUCAUGCAUCAUGCAACAUUAGGGAUUCAUAACCUAUGACAUGCAAAAAUUAAAUCAAUUUUCUGGAUUGCAUAAUUAAUCAUCUUCUUGAAUAAAAAAAUCAAGGUAAUACUGGUCAUUCGUUUUCUUUGCCAUCCAAAUUUUAUGAGCAAUAAAUGGAAUUUAAUCAUCAGCUCUGUUUUGUGUCCGACAAAAUCUUGUUGUAGACAAAGUGUAUACCUUAACUAAACAAGCCAAACACAUUGAAGGCAAUCUAUAUCCUUUGUUUCGUCUGUACGUUUCAGUUUGAAAAUGGCAGGCACCAAAAAAACAACCACGCUGUUGGAAACAAAAUCUACAACCAGAUAGUUCUUUCUCCUUCUGCAUAGAGCUGAUUAAUAUAUCGAUUGAAUCAAUACCAGAUCAUUCAUGAAAAUAAGAAUUAUGACCAUAUAUUUAUCUACCACAGUGAUGCUUAAUUUUGUGAUGUUAAAUUUAUGCACAAUGUAGUUUCCGUAAUCAAAUCAUCAGGGACAAUGAUACAUGAUAGGUUUCAGCAUUGACCUCUUGCAAAGCAACGAGCACUUCAGGGAGUCCAGCAUGCAUGACCCAUUGCUCGAGAGAAGAAACUAGUGAUCUCCUUAACCUGCAAAUUCACCAACAAUAUAAGUUCUCAGCAAACGCUCUACACUCCAAAACAUCCAUAGUGGCAGAAAAAUCAAGAAUGAUCUGGUUGGACAAAGGGUGCAAAUGGGAGGUCGGUGAAUUGCUGUCCAGUGCCAGCGUUGCCUGGCCGGAAUCGUCUCAGCAUCAACUUCUUUGGUGCAGAUAUCGAAUAGAUAAUCCAGUCGAUCACAAAUCAAAAUACUCCCUCUGUUCCUUUGAAUACCAAGGAAAAGUAGUACCGAUGCAAAUGUACACGGCCCAGUUCGCAUGAAAAAAGAGUUAUAGAUUUAUCCCCUCAAAAAAAAAUGAUACGGCCGGUAUGACAUUCGCAUGUGAUUGUUUAGAUGUGGAGAGGACCUGUUGGUAGCGAUGGACGUCAAACGCAGAGAUUUGCCUAGGUUCGGUCCCCCUUGGAUUUGAGUAACAGUCUUGCUCCUGUCUUACUUAUAGUCAUCCCGGCCGCCGCCGCCAUUAAUGCCGGAGUGCGAGACGACGCCGUUGGGCCGGGGCCAGCAGCGGGUAGGUUACCUCCUUCUGACCCAAUUGCCGACCUCGGAAGAGAAGCAGAGGAGGGUGAUGAGCAGCGGCGGCGACGAGUAGGCCACAAGCAGCAGAGGCACAGGGAUGGCAAGGAGACGGAGAUGGAGAUGGCGGUGGCAGACGUCGCGAGGCGAGGAGGCCGAAAGAGAUGGAGUCGGAGUCGAGGAGCCCUAAUAGCGAUUGGGCCGCUUGGGACAAACGAGAAAUACACAGAAAAAGGCCCAGAUGACCGUGGGCGAGCCGAGCCCGAAGGCCGAACGAGCCUGUUUUACCAGCUCGGCCCGGCUCGAAAAACAGUUGGGCUCGCCACAGUCGCAGGCCCGCUCGCAAGCCAGAGCUCGUUAAAUGCCCCCGUAGAACAUCACGAUUCACACGCACAGCACACGACAAGCUCAUCGUUUUGCAUUUUGCCCCGGAGACGUCCCUUUAUUUUACUAUCUAAAACCAAUAAGCUUGGUACUACCCCUACUUGUACACAAAGACGACGAUCGCACAAUGGUCAGUGUUACUCAUCUCUAUCCCAGGUCGAGGGAUUGAUUACUCGCUUCCAAAUGUCUGUCUUGCUUUAACGAAACAGGGAGGGAUCUGGCGAACCGGAUGGUAAAAAAACCUUGGUAUUUAGGAACCACGACCACGACAAGUAUUUAGAAAGAGAGAGAGUACUAGAUACUCAUUUCAUAUUUCAAAAUACAUAUAUGUACGCGAGAAGCAGAUAGGAGUUUUCUGGGUGCAAUUUUUAUGCUCCUCCAUUUUUAGUAGAAGUAGAUGUGUUAGGGCUUUGAAGACGCUCAACUCAUUAAUUACUAGCAGUACCAUUUUAUUUUAUUGGCUACAUAAGCUCAUAUGAUUUGCUUAAGUUUAUAAAAUUUUAGUCUUUCAUGCCUUUUGGUUUACCUACUUUCUUUUUCUGACUUAAAUGUAAUUGUUUUUUUCAUCCAAGCAGGGGAGAAUCCGCAGCAAGAUCCUCCUGAAAGUAUUAACACAACGCCACAAAUCACCACUGCAGUGGGUGAGCAUACAUAAUAAUGUUAUAGGUUUAGUUGUCCCAGUAUUGACUCGCUUGAUAUUCAAAACACAUAUAUAAAGUAAGAAACAGAUGCAGUUCCAGGGUGCAAAUUUUAUUGUAGUCACUCGUAAGUAAGAAGCAGAUAUAUUAUUGUGUUUUAGAGCUCUGAAUACGCUCAACUCUGUUUGUGCUCACAUUGGUGCGGUGGCCCCUGGUCAGGACCUCUGUCUGCUCCUGUCAUCAAUGUUGCGGCUGCGGGUGAAAGCUUUUCAUCAAUGUUGUCGGUGCCCGCGACGACGGUGUCCGUGGACGUCGUUUUCCUUGUUGAAGGCGUCGUUGUGCAGCUCCGACACAUCCCACUUUUUGCAAACAAGGUGCCUCCGAGCGAAAACUCAGACUCGGUGUCCGGGUCGGGUAACGACGACGUCCUCGGACGCCGUAUCCUCCUUAGAGGCGUUGCUUUUGGAGCUCUCUUUUGGCGGCGGAGUUUGCUCGCUGCGGUUGGCCUGGUACGAGUCCUGGUUAAGGAGGGCGACUUCGUGCUACGUGGGGUUGCUGAUGCGCAAGCCGUUCCUGUCGGGGCAGCCUCUUUUGGCUGCAGUCGUCGAAGAAGCCCAGUUCUGCGUACGUUCUUCUGGCGCAAGGAGCUGCUCGGCGUCGUUGGAGCGGGAGUGGUUUCGUCUUUGCGGUAGCGGCUUGUUUAUUUGACUUUGUCUUGCGUGUGCUCUUUGUCAGGGGUUUUCGCACGGCUUUCCUUCAAUAAGCCAUGCAUUGUAUCGGUUUUCAGCCCCGAUUUUCUUUAUAAACGGAGCCAACUCUUUCUUCUAAUCGAACCGCGGUGAUCGACCGUUGUGUCCUCGAAAAAAAAUACGCUCAACUCAUAGCUAGUAGUACCAUUUUAUUUUUACUUUUUUUCCGACAGAAGCUCAUAUGGUUUGCUUAAUUAAGUACUCCCUCUGAUUCUACAUUCUUGACUCAAAUUUAUCCAAAUAUGAUGUAUCUAUUCUUAAAAAGCGUUUAGAUACAUGUAAUAUUUCGACAACAAUUUAGGUUCGGAGGAAUACCUCUAGAAAGAAGGCCCAGGUAUCAAGUGGGCUAAGAAUAGUGCACCAGGGGCCCAUCUGCCGACUGCAGGCCUUAGCUAUAGACAUUUUAAAAAAGGACUGCACCUACACGUGGAUCAUGUUUAAAUUUUUAUUUUUUUUGAGGGGAGUGGAUCGUGUUUCAUUGGUUGGUUGCGCGUCGACAAUUUGCCGACCUUUUUGUGGCGAAUAGCGAGUGCAUCGCCCCGUGAGUGCAGUCCUUGGGCCUUGGCCCAUUAGCCGAUUAGCUGGGCCGCCUCCCGCACGGUGUACUACUGUGGACGAGGAGGAGGAGGAGGAACACCGUGUCAGUGCCUCGCCGGAGCACACAGAGCAAUGAGUCAGAGCGGGUGUCGACGAACCACUGGAACCAAAAGCACACGAGCUCGUUUUGCCGUGUAGAGUUGAGUUGUCUAGGAAGUGAACAUGGUCUGGAUGCACAUCUUGUCGACGAAGCCCCAACCAAGGUUGCCGGGGCGCAGUAGAAUUGCCCUCGAAGAUGGCCUUGAAGAAGUUCAUUCUUCACGAAUCACGUCCAGUUGAUGGACGACGGGCCAGAUGUACGAAGUCCACGACAGGACGGAGUACAUUAACCUUGGGAGCUAGGAUAUUCAUUUUAUUCAAAAGAAGGUCCAGCUUGGCAGCUUGCAUGGUGAGUUCCUUCUUCCUUGUGCUUCGCAUUCGGACAAGCCAGCAAUUCAUCCACGUCAUCGGGCUGCCUACAAAACGAUCCUUGAGGAUUUUCGUUCGUAGCGUUCCCUGUACCCACAGUCCUCCUGUACACGCUUCCACUUUCUCCUGCACAUGUAUAAGUACUUAAGUAGUGAUGUACACUACCAAUGCAGAAUGUUGAAUCUUUUCCGACACAUGUAUAUGUUUGUUUUUGGUGUGUAUCUCCAAAAGGCAGAGCACUUUGUGGAAGCUUUUCGUUUCGAAAUUCAACAUGCAUCUGCAAUAAAACUGAUCACCAGUGUUGAGUUUCUUUUUUUAAACAAAGUAGAAGAAGCAGGAUUGCCAGGAUAUAUCGAUCUAGUGAGAGCGAGAGCAUAUUGAGGAGACUAAUAGACUAUCAAGAGAUCGAUCGAUGAAGGUAGUACUACGAUAUGUGGAUAUUUAUAACAGCUGAAUCACUGUGCUGAUCUGAGUGAUCGAUACUACUUAUGCUUGUGCAUGUGGACGAGCGAUAUAUGUGUUGUGUACGGAUAUGAUGAAUCAGCGACUGCGCAUGUGUGUGUUUUCUGGUCAAGGCACAAAAUAAGAAUUAGACAUGCAUGGUUGCUUUCUGAAAAGGUUGUCACAUGCAGGUAAUUAAGUAUCCAAAGUUCUAACCGGCCCUCACAAGUCACAUGUCCCGCAAUUAUUAAAAUGAGAUAGUAGCAGAGUUCAUGAAAAAGAAAAUGUAGCACGCAUAGAUUUGUUCUUUCUGCUGGUCUAGCUGCUGUCGAGGCGUGCAAGAAUUCAAAUAAUAAUUGGUUCAACAAGUAAUGUUUGCAAGUUCAAGCUUCACAAAGCAGUGAAAUCAUGCAUGCUUACAAAUCAUACAGCUAGCGCAUUACUCUCUCUCUCUCUAUAUAUAUAAUGGCUUUUCUGACUCUUUGGAGCCCUUUAUUUUUCUUUUAAAAAAAUUAAAAAAAUCAUAUUUCUGAGUUUCAAAAAAUUCUGAAAUUGUUUUCUACUGUAAACAUAGAUAUAUUCUCCGUAUCAAAAAAAUGUUAACGCGUGACGUAUGCAUGCAGAAAAUCACAAAUUUUACACUGAAAAUGUAAAUGCAAAAAAUCACUAUCUUUCGAUGAAAAUGUAAAUGAAUAUAGAAUAAAUCUAUAUUUACACUGAAAAUUCAUUGAUUUAAAGCUCUAAAAUAUUACUUCUGAUUAUUAUUUUAAAAUAAAGGGCUUCCUGUAGCCCGUAAUCCAAAAGUCCAUGUCCGCUACUUACUUCAUUCUUUUUUAUAAGAUGUUCUAACAUCAUCAUAAUUCCAGAAAUAUAUAUAAAAAAAUGUACCAACGUCUGCAACUCUAAAUUAGUUAUUGAAUCUGUCAUGAUAUAUAUCUUCGUAGUAUACUUUGGAUAACAUUGUAGAUUUUAUCAGGUGAAAUCCUCUAUUUAGUGAAAACUUCCAAUCAUCGCCAUUAGAUCUUAAGUAAACGAAUCGGACAAAAGGUGGAAACUUUAAUCAUUUAAACAUAUUUUAUGAAGAAAAAACUCGUGAUUAGAGGCUGGGGGGGGGGUGUCAUAAAACACAUUUAAGUGUGUUGUUGUUCUUGACAACUUAGAGCAAGGGGUUCCAAUGCUCGAUAGCACAAGCGCGGGUAUAAAAGUAGGGCGUGUACGCCGGCCUUAUAGCGAAGGUUGCCGUACACUUGGACAAAUUGACACGUCGAUAUUUUUUGAAUAGGUUCGGUCGACCCUGCGGGUGCGACUUAAUCCUAUGUUAGGAAAGGCUUCGAGGGGGUUGUUAGCCAAGGGCUUGGGCCGAGCGGAUCUUCACAAGACACCUUUUAGCGAGAGAUUUGUCAGGACCGCCUCGUACUUGGACUGAACGCGUCUUUCCAAGUAUCGAGGUUAGGAUACUCGCGGAACUCUAACCCAACUCCUUCUCCUUCGAGCCCGUGCCAACCAAGGUUAGUUCGGAGUCUCGAAACUAGAAUCUCCUAGAAGGCUUCCUCGAGGCCGAUCGACUUCCAGUCGAGAGUGGCACGCGAGAGCGAACCUUAGAGGGAGCACUCUAGACCUCUCCCCUUGAGUUUAUUCAAGUGAGAGUGAAUGGUACAUGCCCCCAUGGGGGGGUAUUUAUAACCUAGGGGUCCAUGACAAAAGAUCAUGGCUACCCUUGAGGGAGAGAGAAAAGUGGGGGCAAAAUGGUAAAAGUGGUUCCUUGGUCCAUAGCUUUUGUGUGCACCAUGGGGGGAAAGUGAUGGUUGGUCCAUGGUUCCCCAUGGACCAAAAAGCCUCAUCCCCACACCUUUCUUGCCCCCUACUCUAGCUCAUUCCACCCUUUGACCAUGGCAUGAGAGGCUUGACUUGUUGACUUGUCUUCCUUUGUCAUGUAGGAUUAACUGCGCCGCGUGGGCGUCUUGACUCAUGCUUGGGAAUUGUUGACUUAGUCGUCACCACAUAGGAUUUACGGCCCGGCCCAUAUAAGGAUUUUAUUUUACUACAACAGUAGCCCCCUUGAGCUGGAGGCAUUGAGAAUGCCUUCGGGUCAAUCUUCGAUGCGAGACUCUUGAUUCUCUUUCUUGUUUUUGUAUUUAUGAUGGUGUCUUCGAUGAAUUCCCUGGCAAGCUCUUUGUGAGAAAUGGAGGUACUUGGUGGUUUUCCUGCAAAGAACAGGAGCCUUGGAGGUGUUUCGGGGAAAUUCCAUGCCUACGGCGAUUUUCUCUGCGAGAAAUCGAAUUUCGGGGGGUAUUUUAGCAAAAACCGGCACCCUAGGAGCCUCUCUGCGAGAAAUCCUGCGUCCCGGAGGACUUUUUUGCAAAAAUCAGGGGCCCUGCGGGCCUCCUCGAAAUUUUCGGGGCCUUAUUGGCAAUUUUCCCAAGAUCCUGGGCUUUUUUGCAAAGUUCGCAAACCCAGCCGGCUGCAUGGGCCAGUUGGGCGGGCGCCGCGCGCGCGGGCGCGAGGUGGGCCGGAACCAGGGCUGCCUUCGGGCGCACCAUUUUUUUAUAGGCAGGCCGCUCUUGGGACGCGGCACGUCUGGCCCGGUACCGGUUCGCAGCUUUAAGUGAGUAGAUCGGACGGCGGGAGGGGGCCGAUCGCCCUAGAUCUGAUGGAUGUCGGCUUUCUUCUUCCUUGGUACGGGCUGGAAAAGGGAGGGGGUCAAACCGACCCCCUUUUUCUCCUCUGCGCAGGGCGUCGACACCACGGGUGACGGUGGAGCACUGCCCCGGUCGGGGCCGCAGGGAGGGCUCUACUCCUUCCUCUCCUCCUCCUUUUGGGAAAGAUAGCUUGUCUCCCCCCCAUAUUUGUUGGCCUUGGGCAGUGGAGAGGAUGGCGAGGUGUUGCCGCGCCGUUGGUCCGACCCGCACGCCUAGGGGCUCCGGUGGCCUAUAAAAUGGGGCUCCAUGCGUCCCUUGAAGCUUCACACCAUACUUGUUUGGCUUGCCUGGUGCCGAAGACACGUUCGGCGGCACCCGGCAUUCCUUUGAGAGCUUGGUGUAACGUAGGGGCCUCGCGGGGGCAUUAGCCACUCCUUAGCAGCAACGGAGGUUGCGUUGGUCGUCGGGGGACAGCCGCGGAAGCUUCACAUUGUCGAGUCUUCGUGGGGUGGUGGAGCACGCCCGCGGCCGCUUGGAGAGAGGUGCCAAUCGUGUCUCCACGUUUUCCCGGGGGAUCUUCGUCGGCGGCCACGCCCUUCUUGCUCGUGUGAAGGUGAGGGGAGCCUCAUUAACUGAGUCUUGACGCCUUUGGUCGCCGGGGAACCUUGCGGGAUUUUGGUCGAACACCCUUGGUGCGUCGAGGUGCGGGAGCGGCGCCGCACGGCUCAGGCAUGAUACGGGCGCGCCAUGGCGUGGCUCGGCCAAGGCGCGGACACGGCUCGGCAAGGCACAUGCGCGGGCGCGUCACGCCACUAUGCGAGCGAGGCUCGGGCGCGGGCACGGUAGGGCGUGGCGUGGCGCGGCCCGGCAAGGUUGGCGCGCAGCGCGGUGCGGGCGCGGCUUUGCACCACGUGAGCAAGGCACGGGCGCGACCAGGCAUGGUGGGCGGGCAGUGCGAUGCGGGCGCGACACGGCAGUAUGCGAGCGAGGCACGGGCACGGCACGGCAGGGCGUGGCGUGGCGCGGGGGCGGCUCGACAAGGUGGGCGCACCGCGUGGCGGGGCGCGGCGUCGAGGCGCGCGCGCGGGCGAGGCUCGGCACGGCGGGCGCGCAGCGCAAUGCAGGCGUAGCCGCGAUGCGAGCGGGGCGCGGGCGCGGGCGAGGCACGGUAGGGUGCAGCGCGGGUGCGGGCACGGCAAGGCAUUUCACCGAGCGCCAAGCGGGCAGGGGCGACAAUCCACCUGGCUUGCCCUGCUUCCCUUUUUUUUGGCUGAGCGUAGAUGGGCCGGAGGGCAGUUGGGCCGGCGACCGAGGAGCCUUGGCCCUCUCUCUCUCUUUUUUUGCUGUGGCUCCAGGGGCCGGGAGGCCCGAGGGGCUCGGCUCCUUUCGGAAUUUUUUGCACUUUUCUUAAUUCUUGGCGGAUCUUUUUGCAGGUGCGAUGGCGGGACCCGAUGUUGAGGUGUCCGGCCGGUGAGCCGUCGAGGGGGUCUUCCAAGGGGUCCGCGGCGCAGCGUGCGGCGAACCGACCGUCGCGGAACAAGAAGGUCUCUGUCCGCCCUCGUGGCGGUCCUCCCCCGAUCCCGACGGCGCCGGUGGACGACGGAGGUUGGGUGCACGACCACCUUCUUCCUUCUUCGAUGAGCCCCGAGGACCUUGCCCAGCUGGAGGAGGCGGGAUACUUCCCCAAGGGGGAUGGUAUCUUGCCUGAUAGCGAGGAGGUUAGGCUUGACCAGCGGUGGUGUUCGGGAUGCAUGGUGGCAUUCUCGGCUUGGUUCCACGCCGGCCUGUGUGUGCCUGUUCACCCCUUCUUGCUGGAAUUCCUGGAGAUGUACGGCAUCGAGUUGGCCCAGCUUCACCCGUCGACGAUCGUGAGGUUGAACGUUUUCAGGUGGCUGUGUGAGACGACGCUUGACGAGGAGCCUUCGAUGAAGCUUUUGCUGUUCUACUUCACCGUGGAGGUGAGGGAGUUGCUCACUCCGGACGGCUUUGCUCUGAGCACCUUUGGUUUGGUGAACCUGAGGGACGACCUCCUACUGAUGCCAGGGAAGAGCGCGGAGAGGUUGUCCGUCAAGUGGGAGUCCCAGUGGUUUCUCCUUCGGGCCUCGAAGACCCGUCUUCGGCACACGGGUGAUCUCCCUCGGCACUCUGGGGCCGGAGGCCUCAAGGAGAUGUCUCACCCCGGCGAUCCUUGGUCGGCCGACCUUUGGAAGGUGGCCAAGAUCAAGGAGGUGUCCGCCGAGAGGAGCUUUCGUGACCUCAUGGAGGAGAUUGUGAUGACGGGGCGCUUCAUGAUGAGGAGUCGUCCGAGGUCCGAGAUUGGGAUCCCUCGAUCUUCCCAUCCUCCACAGCUUGUCACUGUGCGUGACUGUCACUCUUCUCCCCUUCGCGCUUUGAUUAUUUUCCCUUGUGAAGGUACUUAACAAUUUUGACUCAUCUUUUUCAGCGACGUUUUUCGAGGAGAGGGCGACGUUGUGGGCCAUGCAGCUGAUGGGUCCGUAUGGCGGACCGGAGCACCGCGACUAUGAGACCAAGAUCAGCGGGGGGGAUGGCACAACAUCAUCAUGAAGUGCUUCGGGAAGAUGGUGCCGAUGCGAUAGGACCAGAAGCUUGGUCAACUUCUCCGAGUGGGCGAUCGCUACUCCCGCUUGGCUACACCGUCGAUGUUGGCGGUGGGGUCCAAGUUGCGGGACUCUUGCAGGAAGGCGAAGGCGGGAACGACGAUGUUGGGCCUGGCGGUGCCUGUCGCGCCGGUCCCCAAGAUACCUUGUCCGUCGAGUGGAUGCAAGAGGAAAGCUCCCCCGACUCCUUCUCGUUCUCUUGACUACGCCCCGGCGGAUUCGGCGGAUCCUGUCGUGGGUGAGUCGAGGUUUCCUUUGAGAGUGACUUUGGACCUGCACAUGAAGGGGAAGAUUGGACUUGAGCAAGUUCUUCCUCCUUCAAACCACGGGGUUGAGGCUUUCACUCGCGAGACGGGGCUUCGGCUUCAGAGCGACUUAGUGGUGGAGUUGUCGACCGGAGCCAGUGGUGCGGGCGUCCAGGUGUUCUCCAUUGGUCGCGAGCAAUGCUCCUACCUCGGGUGAGUGCCCUUCUCUUUUGGUCACGUCAUUCUUUUUCCGAAUGAUUUUGACAUGAUCUCCUUGGUUUGUCUUCAGGUGCGAGGGUCGUGGAGCCCGGGGUUCUUGAGGGCGAGCCCCCGACUCAAGCGAGGGAUGGAGCACCUCCGACGACCAAGGAUGGAGCGAGAGACCCUUUCGUGACACUGGAGCUGGUGAGCAUCCGUGACGUAUCUCCCUUGGUCCUUCGGGUUAGUUUUGUGCUAACUCCCUCUUCUUUGUAGGUGAGGGGUUUGGUCGAGGCCGUGGGUGCCCUUCCUGCCCUCAAGACUCAGGUGGGGGCGCUUUUCGCUGCUUUGGACGUGGAGAUGUCCAAAUCUACCCUUGCUUUGAGCGAGUUGGCUUCGGAGAGGGUGCGGUGCGAGGCCGUGGAGGCCGAGCUUUCCCGCGUUUCGGCGGAGCUUGCGGCUGCGGAGACCAGGGCUCAACUUGCUGAGGAGCACCAGAAGGACGAGAUUGCGAGGACCCGUCGAGUUGAGGAGGACUUGGUGGUGGCCAACCUUGAUAGGGAGCAUGCCCGUGCGGAGGCUGCCUCCCUCAAGGUGGAGUUGGUGGCAGCGGGUGAUGGCCCGAUGCUUGCUCCUCGUGCUCGCCCUCCUCCGGAUCGUCGUCCCGAGGUGGUUUCGCUUUUACUUGCUCAGGCCACCGAGAUUCGGGAGACGAUGAUUUGCUUGAGGAGUGUUCCCCAGCCGGAUCUUCCUCCGUGUCGUACGGUGGAUGAGGCGAGCAGUGUGCUUACUUCCCAGGUGGAGCUCAUCGAGCGUACCGUGAAGAAGUGCCUCCUGAGUACGGGUGCCCGACUUGUUUUGCCGGCGGGUGCGGCAGUCCCGGACGGCGGUGCCGGGAUGAGCGGACUUGAGGGUGAGAUGUCCCACAGGGCGAAGAAGUUUCUGGCGGACCAGGGUGCUCCUCUUCGCGCUCAGGCUCGAUACUUCGUGCGUUGCCUUGAGCCCGCUCUUCAGGAGGAUGAUGGUGAGGUGUAAGCCUCGUCACCCUCGGAGGUGGUGAUGUACCUCAGCUGCUUACUUAUGCGAUGUUGCAUAUCUCCACUUGAUUUAGCCUCAUGGCUACCAUGUUUGGGCUCUUAGUCGUAGAGGUUGUAAGGCAGCUUUUUUGUUGUGUUUAAUGCUUUACUUAUGUAGUCAACAUUAUCGGAAAUGUUCACUUAGCUCAGCAUGUAUUUCUCAUGUUUCACCAUGUAGUCGACAUUAUCGGAAAUGUUAACUUGGCUCAACAUGUGUUUCUCGGAGUACUAUAUUUCCUUCUUGUGAAGUAUUAUAUUUCCUCAGUUUAUACAGCUCGCGAUCGUUCGCUAUGAUUGCACUUUUGUGUUAUCAAUUGCUGUCGCCAUUGGGAUACGACUUGGCUUCGGCGCCUUAGGCCAUGGUUAUGAGCCAUGGGUCCUAAUACCCUUGUGAGGGUCGCUAUUAAUAUGCCGGUAGUGAUCUGGACAUUUCGACCCGCCGUUUGGGAAAUUUCAUGCGAAAAUUUCCCUCUUCGGACUUCACGAAGUUAUGCUUUCCUGCGAUUAUUAUGGAGUCUUAACCCGGUUACUAUCAUGCAGGCCCGUGCGCGACGUCUCGCAUACGGGUAGCACGGUUCUCCGAGGUAAGUAAGCUCAUGCAUAACUCGCUAUUUUACGGUUCCCCUUAAAUGCGUUUUAAUGAGUUUCCGGUCCUCAGGGGACUUGGUUCUACUUGAUGGAUGGCCUCGAGGCACGCUAGGAUCCACCAAGGAACAAGUCGCUAGCAACGACCUAUGUCCGUGGACAUUUUUAGAGGACGCUCGGGCCAACGGAGGCCUUUCCGCGUUCCUCGGUGAGCGGCACAGGGGCAGCGGCUCUUUUACGACAAUGAGUCGUGUGAGUGUCUCGUGUCACUCUUAAUUUUUCCUCAAGGACUUGCUGUAUUGAUCCUUGCUUCCUUGUCUUAAGGUAUGGCCCGAUGGGCGCUUACAAGCCUUAUGUAGACGUGGCCUCGUUGGUGCUUACGAUCCCUCGAAGUUCGUAGGGAAAAGGGCGGUUGGGCGCUGAUAGUCUCCUUUUGGGAGUGGCAAGGAUUGCCCUUGAAGGUCCUCCUUAGUCGUAGAAAUGCCGGAGCUUGUCGCCGUUCCAGGCAUGGACAAGAUUUUGCCCUUUCAUAUUCUCGAGGUGGUAUGCACCAUUUCCCAAUACUGCGGCGAUGCGGUAUGGUCCUUCCCAUUUAGGGUCGAGUUUGCGCUGGAGCUUUGGGUCGACAUUCUUUUUCAGCACGAGAUCUCCUUGGGAGAAGGCUCAUUCCGUCACCCUUGUGUUGUAGAAGCGUGCGACGCUUUUCUCGUAGACGGCGUGCCUCAUGAGGGCUUUGUCACGAGCUUCUUCCACAAGAUCGACGGUCGUUUUGUGAUGCUCUAAAUGAAGGCGAUUGGGGGUGGCUUCUUGGAGCCUUUCGACCCGAGGUGAGCGGAACUCGACCUCGGCGGGAAGAACUGCUUCGGCUCCAUACACCAAAGAGAAUGAUGUUCGGCCCGUGGAACGGCUUACGGAGGUGCGUAUGCCCCAAACCACGCUAGCGAGUUCAUCUUCCCAUGCUCCCCUUGCUUUGUUCACCGUGUACUCUAUCCUUCGACGGAGUCCUUGGAGGAUUAGUCCAUUUGCCCUUUCACAUGCGCCGUUGCUUUUGGGGUAGGCUACGGAUGCGAAGUGCAACUUGAUCUCAAGGCAUUCACAGAAUUUGAUGAAUUCCACACAGUCGAACUGUUUGCCGUUGUCCAUGGUUAGCUCUCGUGGGACGCCAUAUCGGCAUAUGAUGUUUUCCCGGAAAAAAAUUUGGACGGCCUGUGACGUGAUCUUGGCAAGCGGCGCUACUUCUAUCCAUUUGGAGAAGUAAUCAAUCGUCACCACGAGGUACUUGCAGCCCCCGUUGCAUGCGGGGAAAGGCCCGAGAAGGUCCAUUCCCCAGCGUGCAAAUGGCCAUGUUAUCGGGAUGGUCUUCAGGGAAGUCACGGGCGCAUGGAUUGACUUAGCCAUUUUCUGGCAAGCUUCGCAUUUCCGCAAUAUGGUGAUUGCGUCUUGCACCAUGGUGGGCUAAUAGAAUCCCUGGCGUAGGGCUUUUUCCGCGGUGGCUCUUGGCGCAAGAUGGUGGCCGCAUAUUCCUGAAUGGAUGUCCAUGAGGAGUUCGGUUCCUCGGUCAGGAGUUAUGCAUUUAAGCAAUGCGGCAGCUCCUUUCUUGUAUAGUAUGCCGUCGAAGAGGACGUACAUCUUGGCUUUUGCGAGCAGAGUUUUGGCGCUUGGGCCUUCUGCUUCUUUGUCCACCUCGCCUUUCAAGGCGCGGAUAAUCGGUGUCAUCCAAGAGGAUGGAGUGUCGAUGACCAUGCUGGCCUUUGAAACUUCAUCAAGGGCGUCGGCUUCUUCCUUUGUGGAUGGGGCGCAAAUUACUUCGAAGAAUGCAUCGGGUGGCAACGGUUCUUUGGAACCAGCCGUUCGGGCUAACCUGUCGGCCCGGUGAUUUUCUCCUCAUGGAAUGCGUCGCGCUUCCAUGCCCAGGAAAUACCGUUCCAUCUUGCAAACUUUUUCAAUAUAUUUCUUCAUCCUUUCAUCAAGGCAUUGAUAUGACUUGUCCAUUUGGUUUAUCACCAGUUGGGAGUCUCCUUGGAUGAGAAGGCGUCGGACUCCCAUGGCUUUGGCCAGUCGAAGCCCAAGAAGUAGCGCCUCAUAUUCCGCCAUGUUGUUGGUGGCGUUGAAGUCAAGAUGGGCGGCAUACUCCAAGAUCUUGCCUUCGGGGCUGAUGAGUAUGACUCCAGCCCCGGCGCCGUUGAGGCGUUUGGAGCCAUUGAACCUCAUUAUCCAAUGUGGUUCGGGGGGCUUGAUCUUGGAUGUGAUUUGUUCGGGCGGGAUUAGUGGAGCAUGCCACUCGGCCACAAAGUCAGCCAGGACUUGGGAUUUUAUGGCCGUUCUCGUCGUGAGUUCUAGCGAGAAAGGGGCCAAUUCCGUUGCCCAUUUGGCAAUUUUUCCGGUGGCCUCCUUAUUGUCGAAGACUUCCUUGAGUGCGAAGGUAGUUGGCACCAUGAAGUAAUGACGGAGUUUUUGAGAGGCCAUGAGGAGGGCGUAUGCGAUUUUCUCGAUCUGGGUGUAUCGACCCUUUGCUUCUCCUAAGGCUUCGCUCACGUAAAAUACUGGGCGUUGUGACCCGUCUUCUUCCUUCACGAGUGCUGCGCUUACGGCGACCGGGGUCGCGGCAAGGUACAAGAGCAAAAGCUCCCCCUGCUUUGGGCUCGUGAGAAGCGGAGGGGUCGACAAAUAGGUCUUGAGCUCUUCGAAGGCCCUUUGAGCUUCGUCGGUCCACUCAAAGUUGUCGAGGCUUCUCAAGGCUUUGAAAAAAGGAAGACCCUUCUCGGCUGACCGGGCGACGAAUUGCCCCAAGGCCGCCAUUCUUCCCGCUAGGCGUUGCACAUCUUUGACGGAGCGAGCAGGCUCCAUCUCCAUGCUGGCCCGAAUUUUCUCCGGAUUGGCCUCGAUCCCUCGUUGAGAGACGAGGAAGCCCAAGAGUUUUCCUCCUCGAACUCCAAAUGCGCACUUCUCCGGAUUGAGCUUCACGCCAUAUUUGCGGAGAUUGUCAAAGGUUUCUUGCAGGUCCUUGGGAUGGGUCUUCGCAAUUUAACUUUUGAUGUCGGCGUCGUCAACGUAGACUUCGGCGUUUCUCCCCAAUUGUUCUUUGAGGAUGAGGCUGACGAGGCGUUGGAAAGUGUGCCCGCGUUCCUCAAACCAAAAGGCAUUCUGCGAUAGCAGAAGGUGCCGAUGGGAGUGAUGAAGCUGGUCUUUUCCUCGUCUUUCUUGGCCAUGUGGACUUGGUGAUACCCUGAAUAGGCGUCCAAGAAGCUCAACCUUUCGCAUCCCGCCGUGGAGUCGACAAGUUGGUCGAUCCGAGGGAGCAGGUAGUCAUCCUUGGGGCACACCUUGUUCAAGUCGGUAAAGUCGACACACAUUCGCCACUUGCCGUUGGCUUUGUUUACCAAGACCGGAUUGGCUAACCAUUCGGGGUGCCAAACUUCUCGGAUGAGACCGGCGCGGGAGAGUUUGCUGAUUUCUUGCUUGAUGACCUUGCUUCGCUCGGUGGAGAGCUUCCGAAGCUUUUGCUUUACGGGAGCUUUAUCAGGUCUCACGGCGUGGCGAUGUUCCAUGACGUUGCGCGGAACUCUUCCCAUGUCGGAGGGUGACCAAUCGAAGAGAUCGAAAUUCUUUCGAAGCAGGUCGACGAGUUCUUCCUCGAGUUUACUCGAGAGGUCGGCUCCAAUCUUCACCGUGCGCGUGGCGUCAUCUUGGGAGACGCGUACUUCCUUGAGUUCUCCUUCGGGGAGGGACUUAGGGAUGUAGCGCUCCGGGUGAUUGGUUUCGGAUGCUCCCACGUUCGAAAUCAUGUUAAUACUCUUGGAUGAUUCUCCCUUUUCCGCGCGCUUGGUCUCAUGACGGUAUAGUGUCUUCCUAUCAGAAGAUUGCUCGCCGCGGACAGUUAUCACGCCCUUCGGGCCUGGGAUCUUCAUGCACAAGAAGUUGUGGUGGAUUGCGGCGCAAAGACGGUUUAGCGUCGUCCUCCCGAGGAUGGCGUUAAAGGAGGCCUCCAUAUCCACCACGUCGAAGCGUAUGAGCUCGGUCCGAUGAUUCGUGGCAUCCCCAAAGGUCGUGAGGAGCUCAAUUUGUCCGAACGGCCGAAUGGACUUCCCUGGCACGAAGCCGGUGAGGGGAUAAAGGGAUGGCUGCAGCGAGCCGUUCUUGUAUCCCUCUUUUGGCUCCAUCAGCUUCUUCAACGUGCUCAGAUAGAGGAUGUCGGCAGAGCUUCCGCCAUCCACAAGAAUCUUCUUUAGUUCGCAAUUGGCGACGAUUGCCGUCAAGAAGAGGACGUCGUCGUGUGGGAAGCGUAUCCCCUUGGCGUCUUCCUCGGUGAAGGCUAUUGGCACGCUCGCCCACUUGGGUGGCGGUGUCGGGGUGAAAGUUCCCACAACGUUGACUUCGCGAGCAUACUUCUUGCGUUGCCGCUUCGAUCCACGUCCCGUGGCGGAGCCCCCGAGUGUCACUCCAACGUGAUGCGCGGGUUCCUGAAAUGGGAGGUUCUCCUCCUUGGGUGCUGGGUCAGCGACAAGGACGUUGGCUGUCUUCUGGUGAGUCUUGGACCUUGGCAGAAAAGGCACGUCUUGGAUCUCCCACGUGAGCGGGUUGCAAGUCGGCUGAUUCUUCCGGUUCCUUUGGUGGCGAGGUCCUCCCUUGUCAGAGUCGCUUUCGUCACUAGAGGGGUCGCUCGGAGAAUGAUCUCGGCGUUUUCUUGGGGGGUCGGAGCGUCGAUGGGAAUUCCUUUCGCCGCCGGCACAGGCUCCAGACUCCGCCACUUGCGCGUUCCCAUGCACGCUAGGGUCCCGUUCCCCGCGAGGCGCAGCUUGAGGUGGUACCUGGUUGCCACCUUGCUCGACCCCGACGGGGGGAGCGAGGGGCGCUUGCGGGGAAUCACAAAGCGAGGUUGGUGUUGAGCGUGUGCGACUUGGAGAGCGCCUUGCGGCGGAAACCCCCAAUAAGGAUGAUACCAAGGAGCUCCUUGGGCGAUCGCAGCGAGUGCCAGUGGAGGCAAUCCCGGGUUGGAGGGGUCGUAGACUGGGACUCCUUGGUUUUCCGACGCAAAUCCUCCUAACGCCACAUUGUUUCCUCUUGUAGGUUCCGAGAGCAAGGCCACUACCGGUUGUAGGGAAGGCGGCGUGAAGCCCAUCGAGCGAGGCAUGCCGAGUUCCGUAUCCCCUGCGGGGGCGGCAACCGUAGGCAGCUCGCCGAUUCUUGCCACCACGUUGGUGAGUGUCGAGGGACUGCCUAUGACAAAUUCAAGCACCUCGGUUCCUUCCGGCACGGACGGUAGCGAAGGGGCGACCGCGACUUCCGUCGUAGCGACCAUGCUUGUGGCGACGUCCGGAUUGGUGAGGACUCCUUCUUCCUCGGAAGCCCCUGAGGCACUUGCUUUCUUCGUUUGUAACCGUGUAGACUUCGCGGCAAGUUGUGGACCCGAUGAAGUAGACUUCGUCGGGGCCAUUAAAUUUUCAAUUGCGGCGAGGGUUCCCCACGGCCGGUGCCACUGUUGUUGUUCUCAACAACAAUUAGAGCAAGGGGUUCCAAUGCUCGAUGGCACAAGUGCGGGUAUAAAAGUAGGGCGUGUAUGCGGGCCUUAUAGCGAAGGUUGUCGUACACUUGGACAAGUUGACACGUUGAUAUUUUUUGAAUAGGUUCGGUCGACCCUGCGGGUGCGACUUAAUCCUAUGUCAGGAAAGACUUCGAGGGGGUUGUUAGCCAAGGGCUUGGGCCGAGCGGAUCUUCCCAAGACACCUUUUAGCGAGAGAUUCGUCGGGACCGCCUCGUACUUGGACCGAACGCGCCUUUCCAAGUAUCGAGGUUAGGAUACCCUCCGAACACUAACCCAACCCUUCUCCUUCGAACCCGUGCCAACCAAGGUUAGCUCGGAGUCUCGAAACUAGAAUCCCCUAAAAGGUUUCCUCGAGACCGAUCGACUUUCAGUCGAGAGCGGUGCGCGAGAGCAAACCUUAGAGGGAGUGCUCUAGCCCUCUCCCCUUGAGUUUAUUCAAAUGAGAGAAUGGUACAUGCCCCCAUGGGGGGUAUUUAUAGCCUAGGGGUUCAUGAAAAAAGACCAUAGCUACCCUUGAGAGAGAGAGAAAAGUGUGGGCAAAAUGGUAAAAGUGGUUUCUUGGUCGAUAACUUUUGUGUGCACCAUGAGGGGGAAAGUGAGGGUUGGUCCAUGGUGCCUCAUCGCCACACCUUUUUUGCCCCUACUCUAGCUCAUUCCACCCUUUGACCAUGGCAUGAGAGGCUUGACUUGUUGACUUGUCUUUCUUUGCCACGUAGGAUUGACUGCGCCACGUGGCCGUCUUGAUGCUUGGGAAAUGUUGACUUAGUCGUCGCCACGUAAGAUUUACCACCCGGCCCAUAUAAAGAUUUUAUUUUACUACAACAAAGUGAUUAGAGAUUCCGCCUUUGUUCUUACCAGUUUAUUUAAGACUUUAAUGUUUAGGAUUUACUUCCUCCAUUUCACAAAGAACGGCGUCCACGCUUUUCGAGAUCGAACUUUGACCAACAAUUACACCAAUAUAUGUAGGUUAUAUGUUACAAAUUUUAUAUUGUUGGAAUGGUUUUUGAAAUAUGAAUCUAAUGACAUAAUUUUUGUAACACAAAACCCUCAAAUCAUUAGCAUAAUUGUUAGUCAAAGUAAAAUCUUAAAAUGAGUGUGUGCCAUUCUUCGUGCCCCCGCCGCCCAACCCCCUCCUUGUGGGCCGGGUGUAGUUAUUACCAAUGGAUAGAACAGUGAUGGGAUUAAUUUGUCUUUUGUGUUGGUUUCUGUGAUUCCACAUUGACUCGAUCGAGCUAGCGAGUCAGUUAAAAACUAUGGGGAAUAUAUGCAGCGUAGAUUUUGUCUUUUGUGUUUGGGUCUGCUUUUGCAUUAAGAAAAAGCUUUUUAUUUGUAAAUUGAUCACUUGGCCCAAAUAUUACUCGGGUUGGGGCACUAUUUGGGGCGGAUGCAUGUUUUCACACAAGUACACGUACGUACUCUUAGCUAGCUAUAGUGGAGUACGUACUCACCGUAUAAAGGUUAUCGGAUGGGUGAGAUCCAAUCCAAGAGAGAAAACGCAAAGUACUACGAGCUACUCUCUCCGUUCCUAAAUUCUUAUUGUGGUUUAAUUCUAACGAAGAACAGAGCAUAUAGAGCGUGUGUGUGAGAGAGAUAGAAAGAGCUAUAUAGAGCAGAGCAUCUAUAUACGUACCGGGUGUGUUAUUGUGUUGGCUAGGUACGCAUGCAGGAGUUCAGCAGCAAGAGCAGCUGGAUAUAUAUCCAUGGAUUGAUCAGGUACGUACGCACGCACGCAAAUGUUUGGCUAACCAACAUUUUGUUACUUUUGUAUGUAUUUUUUUUCACGACAGAUUAUAAACCCAGGAGCAGUAGAGCGUUGCAGCUCUCAUAUGGGGUUGGCCUUGGGCCCAACAUGAUGCGGCCCAUUUAUAGCGCAGCCCACUGGAGGCCCAUGUACUUUUGCGCGUCCCAUCUAAUGCGCUGGACCCGACCCGUGGGCCGUGGGUAUUCUUCCAGCUCAACCCGUCCGGCAGCCAUUGCUCGCAGUCGCCGCAGCCUCGCACGCGAUUCGGACGCCAUCCUCUUGAUUCCGCGCCGGCGCUGGCCUUCCUCCCGGCGCCACCGCCGCUACCUGCCUCCCUCCAUCCCCGCGCCGAUUCCUUCUUCUCCCGUUCCCCGCUGCCCCGCAGAUCCUGUGCGCCGCCGCCGUGCUCGUGCGGAGCUGCCGCGGCUCGCCCGCCUGCCUGCUCCACCGCUCCGGCCCCAUACUCUCCACGGAAUUCCGGCGUCCGCAGAAAAGAGUGAGAGCCUCUCCCUGCUCACUCUUUGAUACGGAGUAGUUUAGUCUUCUAGUCCUACUACCUUCUGUACUCGCGGUAAUCAUACGCCUCGAAUUUUGUUUUUAGGGUACAGUUCAUUCAUUCAUUCGAGUAUUCGACCCGAUUUCAUGCAAUAGAAAUACGUAGUACAAGGCAUCCAAACACACUAGGACCUGUUUUAGGAGGGUGUAAUGAAUUUUAAGUCCGGUUUGUCAUUGUUUUGACCGGAAUCAAAACAGUGAAAUUGGGAUCAGUUAUUUCAUAUUUGGGGGCCUGCAUGUAGCUUUGCCCACUGAAAAUUGUUAUCUUCAUGCUCAAAAUUGUUUUUAUUUAAUUGGAAUUGUUUGACUUGACUAAGCUGCACCAGAGAUUUGUGGGUUGGGAACCUAGCUUAAUUUCAUGUCUUUGGCUCAGAUUGGGUUUCAGCCUGUUAGCAGGCCUACCCACCUGGUUUUUUCUUUCUCUCUCAGGGCUUCUAUUUUCUUAAGGCGCUGCGAGAACAUAUCUUCAUGUGGAAAACUUGCAUGCAUGUAGAUGUAGGUUAAUCGAAUUUACGGUCCUACGUGUGCAAAACAUUUUGAGCUUUCUACAUUUAUGGCUUUCUGUUCGUUCAUGUGCAUUUCCGACUUUCCAUAUAGUUGAAUUAACCGACUUGUAAAUAAUAGUCAACUCAAAACAGCUGGAUUAUUUGAUUCAUGAGUAAUAUGGUUUCUUUUGUUCAUAGCACUGUGCUGAUUUCAGUUGUUCGAUCCCUCAAAUUGUGAAAUGCUUACCAAAGGGAGGAAAGUUGCUGGAAGGGCCCAAGACAUCUCUGCACAUUAUGCAUUUGGCCCACACGAGGAUGAUGCGAUUAUUAAGCACCGCCUUCUGACUAGGAUCACAACUACUAGGGGUGAACCACCCCUAAAGAAGCUUCAGAAGAAGUUCAUAUCCUUCACCACUGAGAUCGAGAAAGAUGCAGACAAUUCGAGCGACUGUGAGAAGCUGUACAAGGCCUUUCUACAGGAGAUUAACACCUUUGAGCUGCCUCUUCUGAAAAGCAAGGCUGUGGUUGAUGCAAAUAUUAGGGAGAAGGAGAGCUUUGAUGGGCUUCAGGUGGAGAUACAGCGACAGAUCUUGCAAGCUCAGACUGAUAUUGAGGAUCUCAAAAAGCAACUUGAACAAAGCAAGAUUGAGAGGCAGCAUAAAGAGGAGUGUGAAGCGAUCAGGAAACUGAUUUGCUUGCAGCCUCCACGGUCAGAAACUGAGAAACUUAUUGCUGAUCUUGAGAAGGAGAUUGCUAAUUUGGGGGCUGAAACAGCAGCAUGUACAAGGACUUUGGAGCUUAGGAAGAAGCAGUUUGCUCUUCUUCUGCAUGUGGUGAGUUUAUGAUCGACAUUAUUAUGUGUACUUCCAAAAUUUUGCUUCUCCUUGACUAUAUAAGAUUGACCAUAGGACGCCAAUCUAAAUAGUUGUUCUAUGUAGGGUAAACUUCGAUACUUUUCCAAGCUCUGUUUUCCACUAUACAAAAUAAUCUUCAGGAAGGAUCAGCCUGAUUAAUUAGUACAUAUGACAAAUUUCUGAAUUUUGCAUCAGCACUCACCAACUUGUGGGUGUUUGAUGUAUUCAUAUGGCUGAACAUUCAUUUAUCUGUAGCUUCAAAACUGAAAGGGUAAAUCCCCGCAAAAUAAGAGCAAUUGAAAAUUUAAAACAUAAAAGUAGAUUUGUUGUUCUUAAUAAUCAAAUUGUGCACCUUACUGCCUUGCUUGAAGCCUCAACAUAUUUAUAUGGCUGAAUUCCUGAUCUUGCCAUACAUGUUACAGGUUGAGGAACUGCAAAUGUCGAUAGAAGAUGAGCAAAGGAGCAUAGCAGAUGAGCUGAGAGUGGCCAACGAAGAGCCUAAGAUGAGCAUAGAGGAAGGCAGCGGCGGUGCUUCAGAUGCUAUGGCUGUAGACUGAUAAACGAUCCUAGCACUGGCGAGUUGCAUAUGGCGCCCUGCACACUCAGACAUGCUUCAUAAUCUAGGCACCGUAGUUUCUUCUUUGUAGGAGACCACCUGUGUCAUUGCUGUCGUUUCCUACAACUCUGAGCUGUAAUCGACAGCGGAACUCUUUCCUUUCUUGUCUGUAAAGGAAAGGCAGAAUUCAUUGUGAUGUAACAUCUCCAGGUUUUAAUUUGUAGCUGGUGAUCUACUGAAACAGCGGAGUUGACGUUGUGCUGCUUUUGUCUGAACAGUGAAUGCAUUUUUGUUGUCUGAAAUGAGGUGAAGGUGACCCAUACAGAUUGCCUCCUUUUGAGAAACGUGAGAAUUGUAACCGGAGGCCGGCAAAGCGAGGCAUAAGAUUGUAGCUUCAGGGAGCGUGGAUAUGCUAAUUUGCAAUAUAAAGACUUGUUUAGGGCGCAUGCUCUUAGACCAAUCAAUGGCAAGUGCAAUUCAUUUAGCUAAGAUGGAAGAAGCCCUUGGACAAGAGGAAGUACCUUCUUAUUCCAUUUAGGUAAUAUGGAAAGAAGCUUGUGUUUUUCGAAAAGGCCCUUGAGUCGAUCAAUUGAUGAUGAAAUACCUUAGUGGUCAGUCGUAUGUUUUAUAAUCGUUCGACGGAGGGGCGUCCGGAAUGUGACUAAGUGUGGGGCACAUUUGAGAAUAUAUGAGUUAACACAAAAUUGAGUCUUUCCGGCUCAUUUUGCGUUCUUCUUUUAGUUAUACGACUAACCAAACUCAUUCCUUGGCUCAUUUUGUGCGUCGAGCCAUAUGCUGAUGCACAUCAAUGUGUCGUCUCGGCAAGGUGGGCAUAUGUGCCGAAAUGGGACAUGUGGUGCACCCGGAAAUACCAAAGGCCCGGGGCUGAACUUCAGUAUAUCGUACGGAAUUAGCACUCACAUAUGUACCACAAGAUGGACCAAAGAAUGGAAAUGAAGUACCACAUAUCAUCAAGAGAUGUGUUUGACUUGUUUCAUGAAAUAAGCUGCAAAUUAUAUGGUUUAUAGAUGGAAUUGUGCAUUAACAUGAGAAAUAUAUGGAAACAAAGAAAAAUCCAAGAGACAAACAAGGUUUUCCGAAAAGGGGAAUAGGAGAGCGGUGAUGAGAAAAGUGAGAGAGAAAAAAUAGCAAGCAGACGACCUGAAGAUAGGACUCACCAUCAUUUCUUUCCUUAUGGCCGCCACUUCGACCUCUACCGCUGACGGAUUGGGCACACCGUUUCUCAUCCAGCACAGGAAGCCGCACGUCCACGUGUAGGACGUGAGAAGACUACGCCCCUGCGGCGGUGGCGGCGUGGAAGGGGAGAGCGACAAUGGGGGUAGAAAGUAGGGUUUUCUUCAUAAACACAUACUUCCGUCCAUCUAAGGCACACACCGUCUUGAUCCGAUGGCUACUAAUGGUUCAAUCGGUAAAGGCAUCGGGACAACGCAAUAUAUAUCGGCCUUAGAAUGUGGGAGGGGUUAGGGUUUCGGCAAUAUACCGCGUUGAGAUUGGUGUUUGCCACGUGUCUUCAUCGUAGAAAGGAGCUAGCUCGGUUGCCCCCAUUGCAUACUCUCCCUACCGCCGCCCUCUCUCCAGUCUCCAUUCCUCUUCUCAUACACCGCGUCCCUCCGGCUGUCCCAGCCUUCGCCGGAGCCGCCAUUCUCGAUCACUCUGCUUCUUCGGUAAGCCCUAAUCUACGCUCCCCCAAAUCGCUCUUCUGCAUCUUGGUCUCCAUUUUGGUACGGCGAUUCCGCGUUUGAUUCAAUCCAGUGGGGAAAUUAACCUGCGCUUCUUGUAGGGGCCGCUGAAUCGGGGCUUUCUUCGGUGGCGGCCAUGGACUACACCAACGCCAUCCACAUCAUCCCGGAUGCCGCCGGCCCCGAGGCCUGGGCCAACUCGGCGGCGCCGCCGGGCGGGGAUUCCGGGAUAUGGGCCACCGAGGACGACUACAGCCAGUGGAACGCCGACCCGGGGCUGACUGUGGGCGGAUAUGGCGGCGAUAGGAACUCCUCGCAGCCGCGGUCGAGGGACGGCAGCGAGCAGCCGCUGGGCAAGAAGCCCCGGGGCGGCGGGCCGUCGGGCGGCGGCGGUGGCGACGCCGGCAGCACCAGCAAGUCACGGGCGAUAGGGAAGAUGUUCUUCAAGACCAAGCUCUGCUGCAAGUUCCGGGCGGGGACUUGCCCCUACGUGACCAACUGCAACUUUGCCCAUGGGAUGGAGGAGCUCCGCAAGCCGCCGCCCAACUGGCAGGAGAUCGUGGCGGCGCACGAGGAGGCGACGGAGCAGAGGGAGGAGCACCAGAUCCCGAUCAUGACGUCGUCCAGCGUUGCGGCGCCCGGUGACAGCGUCUCCGGCAGGGCGUACAAGGGCAGGCACUGCAAGAAGUUCUACACCGAGGAGGGGUGCCCCUAUGGUGACGCGUGCACGUUCUUGCACGACGAGCAGUCCAAGGCGCGGGAGAGCGUGGCGAUUAGCCUGUCGCCGUCGGUUGGCGGUGGCAGCUACAGCUCUCCCACCGCUGCUGCGAAUGGACCUACCAUUCUGAAGCCGUCGAACUGGAAGACGAGGAUCUGUAACAAGUGGGAGAUGACUGGAUACUGCCCCUUUGGUAGCAAGUGCCACUUUGCUCAUGGAGCUGCUGGUGAGAGUCUCUUCUCAACUUUAACCCCUGGCUUGAUAUAUAUUUCCUGAAUUUCACUGAAUGUUUAUACUAAUAUUGGUUGCCAUAUGGUUAGUAUAUUUAGUGUGUCUGUGCAGGUAAUUUGUUCAUAUUGGUUAUAUAAAACAAUGAGCCCAUGAUAUUGUCAUGAACGUACUUAUGCCCAUUUGAUCUAUGACACUGUAACCCAGAACUGGAUUAAAACUUGCAAAAGGGUUCAUUCGUCUAUUAUCACACUCUGUUUUGUAUACUCAGAUAAUUGAUGUUCCUUUAUAAUUGCAACAAUACAUAGGACAGAUUUCAAUUUGUGUAUCAUUAAUUUGUCUAAGACUCUGUCAUGGUGACUAUGUGCUUUCCAACACAGCUACUUCACUGCUAGAAAAAGUAAUGUUGGGGCUAUGAGCUAUCUCCUGCUGCAGGAGUCCAGUCCAUAUCAAGUCCCAAUAUUUUCUCCCAUCACGAUUUAGGCUUUAAGAUGUUUCAGAACAUCUUCAUCCUGCUUUUGUUUGUCUCUUUAACUUAUAUGACUAUUCGUGAGUUUGGUGUUACUCAACUUGUAUGAAUAUACAUUAGUUUGCUCUGGACUCUGCCCCUCCCACCCACAUUCUCAUAGAAACUAGUCUUCUAAAUUUCUGGUGAAAUACACCUUGGUACCUGAUGCUGUCAGGUAGCACAAAAAUCCUAUGUUUUCUUCCCUUAGUCAUGUCAUGUUCUUAUAAUUCCAAGCUUUGCGGUGCACAAGCACAAGGCAUGUGAGUUGUGUCUAGCUCUGCACAACAUUUCGGAUCCAGCCCACUAGUAACCCUUUAUCUGAAUUGGUUAUUGACUAGCAUCGCUGCACGAUAUGAAAAAUCCCUGGUAGCUUGAAUCUUUAUGGAGUUAUGUAUGGAAUAGUUUCACUGGUUCUACCAUACAUGUUUGUGAGUCAGAACAAAUUAUGUUAUGAAAUUACUGGCUUUCACUUGUGGGAUUAGGAAAUAUCAAGGACGAUACUAGAACUGAAAACCAAUUAAGCAUGAUUUUUUAUUUUUUAUUUUACAGAUGUCAGGUCCUACUAGAAUUUUAAUGUCAAUCUCACUGAUGAUAGAUUAGCUUGUAUGGUUUAGCAAAAAUGACCACUCGUUAUGUGAUCUUUUGCUUUUUACUUGUUGGAUAUGGACCUGUAUAAUUUCUAUGUUCAGAAAUGAUAAUCAUUAUAUGUUUAGUCAAGAAUGAGGUAUUUGUCUAUUGCAUGUUAUUUAGUGGCGUAUCGGCUGCUUCCCACUUACCCUGAUUGUUAGAGGGUUUGCUUUGCGCUGCCUCAGGAUUAGGCGUGGACGAUCGAUAUCUGCAUUGCAUGUUUUAUCUUGUAUAAUAUUUGCAUCUAUUUCUAGGUACAGCAUGAGCAUUCACUAGAAAAACGAAAUCAUGUAGUACUAGUGUACUACUACUGGAAUACUUGCCAGUUUUGCAGUCACAGUUUACAUGGAUAUGUGGUGCAUUAAUUAUUCAUUUUUGGUAACCCCAUUUUCUUAAAAGGAAUAUAUACUAGAUAUGUUUUCAUGCCUAUUUCUUACAAGUUUAUAUCAUUGUUGGGACUAUUGGAUAGACUGUUAUGUACUUCAGUCUUCACCGCUAUUCCUUAUUCGGAGGACUAUUGGAUAGACUGUCUUUCAGUGUUUCAUUGAAAUACCAAAACAUACUUCAUGGAGCUUACGUCCUCAACGUUUUGUGCCGUCAUUUCAGAACUACACAACUAUGGUGGGGGCCUUGUCGACAUUGAUGGCAGGGACAUUGCACCGACUCCUGACUCGAAGCAGGCUGCGUUGUCUGCAAAAGCUCCUGCUGAGACCGCUGCCGCAUCCACUGCUGCACCCCCUCACGCAGACGUGUACCAUCUCGGCAUCCAAUCACAGCGUUCCACCUUGGCCGGCCAAAGGUCGGGGCAGCUACCGAGGCCUAUCCAGAAGUGGAAGGGCCCUGACAAGAUCAGCAGGAUCUAUGGCGACUGGAUAGAUGAAACCGACUAGGAAGAGGAACGCCUGUGUUGCUCGUCGUCGUUACCCAGUUAAUAAGUUUUAGUUGGCAUUGCAAAAACCUGUUUCCGGAAGAGUCUGUGUGUGAUACCGAAAAAAUCUCUGUUGCCGUGACUUCUGCUGUCUCUGUUUUAUGCAUGGUUGAGAAGAGUUCUGGAUCUUAAAGUCUGAAACAUCAGCAUGUACAAGGACUUUGGAGCUUAGGCAUAAGCAGUUUGCUGUUCUUCUGCAUAUGGUGAGUUUAUGAUUGAUAUUAUUAUGUGCACUUCCAAAAUUGUGCUUCUCCCUCACCUAUAUAAGAGUGACCCACAGGACGUCAAUCUAAACGAUUGUUCUUUGUGAUGGGUUAAGCUCUGAUACUUUUCCUUAAUCUGUUUUCCACUAUAGAGAACAUAUUCAAGGAAGGAUCAGCCUGAUUAAUUAUCAUGUAUGACUAAUUUCUUAAUUUUGCAUCGGCGCUCACCAACAUGUAGGUGUUUGGUGUGCAGCUUUCUCUCAAUCAAAUGAUAAUUAAACGUGCCUGCAAAAUAAUAAUCAAAUUGUGCACUUUACCAUCAUGCUUGAAAGCCUUGACAUAUUCCUAUGGCUGAAUGCCUGCUCUAAUGUCAUGCAUGUUACAGGUGGAGGAACUGCAAAUGUCGAUAGAAGAUGAGCACAGGAGCAUAUAUAGCAGAUGAGCUCAGGGUGGCCACUGAAGAGCGUCAGAUUGGCAUAGAGGAGGGCAGCGGCGGUGCUCCAGAUGCCAUGGCUGUGGACUGAUCAAUGAUCCCAGCACUAGCGAGUUGCACGCUGGAACAUGCUUCAUAGUUUUCGGUCACUUAUAUCUUGUUUUGUAGUAGAACAACCUUUGGCAUUGAUGUAAGUUUCUUACAACUGUAAAGCUGUAAUUCAGUGUCGAUACUCUUACCUUUCUUGUGUGUAAAGCUGUAAUUCAGUGUGGAAACUCUUACCUUUCUUGUGCGUAAAGACAAGGCAGGAUACAAUGCGAUGCAACAUCUCCAGAUUAAGUUAAUUUCUUGUCCGGAGCAUGGACGCGGUCGAAGAGUUGGUCGCAGUUUGUAACCGAGAGCAAAUUCUAUGUAGCAUUCAGGUUGCAGGCAUUAGGGUGAGAAGAGAAAACAGGAUUAGCCAAAUUUUAGAAGGAGGCGCAGAAAUUGAAAAGCCAGUCGCGUGCAUGCGAGGAAGAAAGCAAUGAAUUGCAUAGGAGGUGACGCGUCCACGCCCAAUUUUGCCGGCUAAAUCAGUCCAACUUCUCCCUAAUAAAUUGAAUUAGCUCAUGGAUCAAAGGCUCUCCUCGGCAUCAGUAAUUUUCCCAGGACGCAGGGUAUAUAUAUAUAUAUGUAUGUGGACGGGAGGCCACCGUUUUGAGUCAAGCGGUUCCUUCCGAUUCGAAAAACGAAACACUGUGAAUCCAGGCUCAGGCGCUCAGCCGGCCAUGGGGACGGCCGCCGCCGCCGCCGCAAGAAAGCUCAGAUCAAAUCGGCGACGGAGGACAUCCCGGACGAGCUCCUCUGCCUGGUGUUCAUGCGCCUCACCUCGCCCGUCUACCUCGUCCGCGCCGCCUCCGCCUGCAGGCGCUGGCGCCGCGUCAUCGCGGCGGACGUCCUCGGCGGCUCUCAGGCUCAGCAGCACCGCGUCAUCGGCCACUACCACGUGGACGAGCCCCUCGCCGUCGCCGCCACGCGUCCGCCCGGCCGCCACCCCGUCUUCCUGCCUGGGGCCGGGACCAAGGACGUCGUCGUCGUCGCCGCCGCCGCGGCGCUCGACCUCGACUUCCUCCCGCGGACGGAAUUCGGCGAGCUCAACUGGGAGCUGGCCGACGUCCGGGGCGGGCUCCUGCUCCUCGCGCGCUUCAGCCACGCACAGGAUCUGCUGGGUCUCGUCGCUUGCGACCCCCUGGCCCGGCGCUACAAGACGAUCCCUUUCUCGGCCUGGUUCCACGGCCAACGCUGUUUCCUGGGCGCCUUCCUCCGACCCGAGGACGACGACGCAGCUGGCAUCAGCCUGUCAGAUUUUGGGGUCACGUGCGUGCUCUACCGUGGCGGCAUUGCCAAGGCCUACGCGUUCUCGUCGUCCGCCGCCGGUGGUGGCCGUUGGACCUCUGGCGCCGCGCGUGGGCGUGGCGGCGCGGUGAAUUGCCGCGACGGCUAUCAGCCGGUCAGCUUUGCCGGGAGCACCGCGGGGUCCGCCUACUGGACGGUUGGGUUUGGGGCCCGUGUGGUUGUUGCUCUCGACAAAGAGACCGGCGAGCUCUCGUCGGCGUCCGUCUUGCCGGACGCGCUCCGUCCGUCUCUGGAUUACGCCUACGAGUUGCCUUGGCCACCGACCAUCCGAGCUUGCUUAUCAUAGGCUCGUCCUAGCUGCCUUGCUUCGGUUUAUUGCUCUUAGUGCUGUAUUUCGGUUCAUCGCAUUGUUCUGCUGCUGUUUUAAACAUUUAUCUCGUCUUAAGCCUAUCUUUUGUGAAACUGAACUUGUUUGUUUUAGAGAAGCUCAGCUCACCGUCUCUCCCUCCGUCUCAUAUUAAUUAACAUUCUGUUAUAUGUAUCUAGACAAUUCUUUUGUCGUAGUUUGGGUAAAUUGGAGUAAUUUAAUAUGAAAGGGGAAUAUAUGUGAAGUGAUUUCUCUUGGACCGCGGCUUCGUGUGAGCCGUUAAUAAGCGCGCUGAGAUUCAAAGGUUUGGCCCACCUGCUGCUAUCUCUAAACAAAUUAAGCUACCGUCGCUGCUUAUUUUGGUUUGUUUAUUCGGUUCUCGCUUUUUUCGGGGCACUUGACUCACAAAUGACAAUUCCUAGUGAAAAUAAAACUACACUGUGACCUGAUUAGUAUGAAUAAAACAAAGAGCAUAAAGAAAAAUUUCAUAAGAGAUGUAUAAUAACUUUAUCUGGACACGACGGACAUACAAUUCAUCCAAAUUAGCAUGACUUCUCAGCGAUCGAUUACUCCCUCCAUUCCCAAAUAAGUGACAUGAAUUUGUAUAAAUAUUUAUACAAAUCCACGUUCACUUAUUUUGGGAUGGAGGGAGUAUUUGCAUAUCGCCCAUGAAACUCAUUUGUACUCCCUUCGAUUCAGGUGGUGGCGUGAUUUUGAUAGAUUCGAUUUUCUUCGGGCGUGAUUUUGGUUCUUGGCGAUUAUUAUUAUUUCUGCUAUGUAUACCAGUUGUCUGAUUGUUGGUGGCGUGAAUUUUGGUGAGAUUUAUGCAAGUGAUUGCUAGUUUGCUACUCUCUCAUAUUCAGGUGAUUUCUACUGUAUAUACCAGUCGUCAUGUAGAACAAGUAUUAUUUGUUGAGCAUGUAGCUUAGUUCAUGUUUUCUGAUUCGUUCUUACUGAGAUGUUUAUGUUUUCCUAGUUUUAAUGCCUAAUUCAUGGCGUGUGCAUGCAAAGCAUGUUAUUGGGUCUCUUGAUUGUUCUUUAAUUCCAUUUGCGCACUGAUUUUCAGUGGAAGUCACCUAUACUCUUGUUCUUGGUUCUGUUCAGUGUUAAUUUUGAUGGGUUCGUUGUAUGGAAAACAAAAAAAAAUUCUACGAGAAGUGCGGAAGAAAACUCAAGAUAAUAUCUACUAGAUGUAAGUAACGAGAGGGAUUAUGAGCAUUAUACCCUCGUAGACGACGAAGCGUUACGAUCACGGGAUCGUUGUUGGCGUAGUGGUACUUUCAGUGAGAUCGAUCUCAAUGCCGAACGUACGGCACCUCCUUACUAUCCACACGUACGGCUUGAUGUCGUCUCCUCCUUCUUGAUCCAACAAGACGAGGGGGAGAGGUUGACGAGAUCCCGGUAGCACGACGGCGUGGUGUAGGAUAUAGUGGAGAGCUUCGCGGGUAGGGCAUCGCUGCGCACGGGAGAGAAGGAGAGGGGCACAGGGGAGAGAGAUCCAGCUGAGAGCUUGGUGUCUUCUCCCCCCCUGCCCCUCCCCUCUAUUUAUAUAGGGGUGGUGGUCAGGGUUUGUCCCUCCUCCAAGAAGAGGCUAGGGCCGGCUAGGGGAGUCCCGGAAGGAUUCCUCCUUCUGCCCGGCCUCCCCACGCACGUGGUUCUCCACCGUGGUGGAGUCCCCACGUUUCCUCUCCCCUAAUGGGCCCAUUAGGAGAUAAUUAAUUAGAUUGUUCCAGUUAAUUCAUAUAGAGGCCCAAUUAAAUUUUCAGGAAUAUUCCGGAACAUUUCAGAACCUUCUGAGAACUUCCAAAACCUUCUAGAAUAUUCCCGGUCAAUACCGAAAAUACCCCGAACUUUUCCGGAACUCUGAAACAGCUUUUCCAUAUAUAAAUCUUUAUCUCCGGACCAUUCCGAAGCUCCUCGUGAUGUCCUGGAUCCCAUCCGAAACUCUGAAUCAAUAUUUGAUAUCACCAUCUAUUAUCUCAUAACACCCUAGCGACAUUAAGCGUUAAGUGUGUGACCCUAUGGGUUCGAGAACAUGUGGACAUGAUCAUAUCAAUAACCAACAGCGGGACCUGGAUGUCCAUAAUGGUUCCCACAUAUUCCAUGAAGAUCUCGUCGGUUGAACCACGAUGUCAAGGAUUCAAUUAAUCCGGUAUCCAAUUACCUUUGUCUCGCGAUAUAUUAUUUGCCCGAGAUUUGAUCGUCGGUAUCACCAUACCUAGUUCAAUCUCGUUACCGGCAAGUUCUCUUUACUCGUACCGCAAUAUAAUAUCCCUGUGACUAAACACAUUAGUCACAUGCUUGCAAGCUCAUUAGGAUGUUAUAUUACCGAGAGGGCCUAGAGAUAUCUCUCCGUCACAUGGAGUGACAAAUCCCAGUCUUGAUCCAUACAACCCAACAAGCACCUUCAGAGAUACCUGAAAAACACCUUUAUGAUCACUCAGUUACGAGAUGACGGUUGAUGUCCACAAAGUAUUCUUCCGGUACUAGGGAGUGGCAUGAUCUCAUGGUCUAAGGAAAUGAUACUUGACAUAAUGAAAGCAUUAGCAAUUUAAACUUAAGUGACACGGUCAAAAGUUAUGCUUAGGUUUGGGUCUGUCCAUCACCUCAUUCUCCUAAUAAUAUGACCUCGUUAUUAAAUGACAACACAUGUCUAUGGUUAGGAAACCUUAACCAUCUUUUAAUCAACGAGCUAAUCUAGUAGAAGCGUAUUAGGGACACGGUAUUUGUUUAUUUAUCCACACAUGUAUUUAGUUUCCUGUUAAUGCAAUAAUAGCAUGAAUAAUAAACCUUUAUCAAGAAAAAAAAAUAUGAAUAAUAACAAAUUUAUUAUUGUUUUUAUGGCAUAUUUCCAAUAUUUCUUGGGCGAUGGACGGCGUGGCAAGUAAAAGGCGCUUUGAAUAUGGUGUGCCGGCUGAGAGGGAGUUGGGCCAGAGAGCUGUUGAAGAGCCCGAGAUACGGAUGAAUACAAGAUGGGCUGGAACAAUACAGGCGGAGAGGGCCCAACCGGACUGGAUCCCUAUGCAGAAUGUGCGGAGGUGAUAGCCAGCUAGCAGUAGCUCGGACCCAAUUGGCAUUUUCGUAUUUCAUAUGCACUAAUAUCCUGUUUCUUCUGACUCCCAGUCUCUUUCUUCUCUCCGCCGCUUUUGCCUCUCCCUCGUCCUCUCGCCGAUCCCGUAUGCACAUACCCUCCGCCUUCUCCAGGGAGACAAAACCCAGACCCGCCGGCUCUGAACAAGCAGUUCUGGCCGUUGCGUCCCACCCCAUGGAUUGACUGCAGCGAAGGUGUAAUUUUGUGCUGAUUUAGUGGGGAUCUUUCUGCCGAUUAGUGAGGAUUUUGGUGCUGAGUGCUCUGCCUUGAGAAUCGGUUCACUUGUGGGGAGCAAUAGUGCUGAGUGCUUUGCCUUCAGAAUCGGUGCUGAGUGCUCUGGUGCCAAGUGCUACAGGUACAAAUUGUCAAUGUUAAUGCUGUUAACAAUAGUCUUCGUACCUUCAUUUUUUGUUACGGAUUUUCGAAGUGCUCUGGUGCAAGUGCUACAGGUACAAAUGGUUCAGUUUUCUCUACAGAUUUUCCCUCGUAAUCUGUCCCGUUAUGGAGAUUUUCUCCUCAUAAUUGGUUCAGCCUUUUCCUUUCAUAAUCUGUCCAGCUAUCCAUAUUUUCAGGUGUUAAUGAAAGGCAGAUUGCUUCAGGUAAUUGAAACACUGAAACUAGCGAGUAUGUCCGUUUCUUUUUUUGCCUUUGUGCACUUCUGGCCGUUGGAUAUGGAUUGAAUGGCAGAUGGAGGUGGUUAAGUCUCUCGGCGAUGUUGCUCUGUAAGAGCAUCUCUAGCAGAUACCGUAUACGGUUAUGAACUAGCAAAUAACCACCAGCUUUCGGUUUUUGGUGGAAAAAAGGGCCCCCAAUAGAUAUUGUAUAUGCUGCCUUGAGACAUGCGUGACGCCUCCAACCUCGCAUUCGAAGAGACGAUCAAGAAGAUUUGGGCUGACAAGAAGGCGGGGAGGGAGAAGUUCCAACAAAAGAAGAAAGAACAAAUGAACAACUAUCUCGAGCUUCAAAAAAGGAAGCUCGCCAUCGAGGAGGCCAAUGCGGCGGCAAGGUACAACCGUACAAGGAAGCCGAGGCUGCUAUCCUCGUCGAGGAGACAAGUAUCAGGACGGCCGACUUGAGCCUCCUUGACUCAGAGAGGCGAACUUUGUUCGAGAACAGACGAAAGAUGAUACAAGAUCGAGAUGCGGCCUCGCCAUCUAAUUGAUCGCCCUCAUUUUGUGCCAAAGUCGGGGGUUUUUUGUCGUAAUGAACUAUGGUUGUCUGCCGAUGAGGCCCAAACAUUGAAAUGUUCAUUUUCUUGUUAAUUUGCUUGCUAAUUUGCACAGGGACGGCAUUUCAAAUUCGGACGUCAAAUAUGGAUCGCCCUAAAUGGAUCGUCCGGGGAGUUGGCCGACACGGACGCUGGAGCGCGCCGGGCGCAGGAGAAGGAAGAUAUAAUUAUGUGAACGGUUAAAAGAAAGUGGAUGGGCCAACCGGAAUUAACGCAGCAAUUUCGUAUUGUUGCAGGCGGGCAGGCACCAAACAGAUAGUCCGCUUAACGAGGCUACGGAAUCACGGUAGUCCAAGGGGUCCCUAAUAAAUUGAAUUAAGCUCAUCGAUCAACGGCUCUCCUCGGUAUAUAUAUGUGGACGGGACGGGAGGGCACCGUUUUGACUCAAGCCGUUCCGUUCCGCGGCUACUUCCGGAUUCGAAAAACCCGGCCGGCUAGCUCAGUUGAGCCGGCCGGCCAUGGGGGACGGCCGCCGCCUUCGCCAACGCAAGAAAGCUGAGAGCAAAUCGGCGGCGGGGGACAAGUUUGACUCCAUCCCGGACGAGAACCUCCGGCUGGUGUUCCUGGGCCUGACCUUGCCCGCCGACCUCGUCCGCGCCGUCUCCGCCUGCAGGCGCUGGCGCCGCCUCAUCGCGGCGGACGUCCUCGGCUCUCAGGCUCAGCAGCGGCUCCGCGUCAUCGCCCACUUCCACGUGGACGAGCCCCAGCCCCUCGCCCUCGCCGUCCGGUCUUCGUCCCCUUCCCAUCACCUGGGGCCCCCGGGACCGGGACCAAGGACGUCCUCGCGCUCGACUUCCUCCCACGGAACGAACAAGCCGGCCAGUCCAACUGGGAGCUGGCGGACGUCCAGGGCGGGCUCCUGCUGCUCGCGCCCUUCAGCAAAGCAGGACGGGACGGCGACCAGCAGCUGGUGGGUCUCGUCGCUUGCGACCCCCAGGCACGGCGCUACAAGAAGAUCCUUUUCUCGGCGUGGUUCCACACGGCGAUCACAGUUUCCUGGGCGCCUUCCUCCGACCCGACGAGGACGACGACGCAGGUAUGAAGAUCAGCCUGUCAGAUUUUGGGGUCACGUGCGUGCUCUAUCGUCGUGACAGAUUUGCCAGUGCCUACGUGUUCUCGUCGUCCGCCGCCGCCGGCGCUGGCCUUUGGACGCAUUACUAUGGCAGCGCGGAGAUGAACCGCCGCAGCUAUGAGCCGGUCAGCUUCGCAGGCAGCACCGCGAGCUGCGCCUACUGGACGGUCGGGGACCGUCGUCAGGUUGUUGCUCUCCGCAAAGAGGAGGCAGCCAAGCCCUACCUCCGGUCCACGUCCGGCUUGCCGGACGCGCUCCUGGGCAAGCGGCCAUCUCUGGAUUACGCCUACAAGUUGCCUUGGCCACCCACCAUCCGAGCUGCCCUUACGUUUGAUCAAUCUGUGUACAGGUUGUGAAGCUCAAAUAUAUUAUGGGCCACAUUUCUCAUAUUGUGAAGCUCAAAUAUUCUGUACAAGUUGUUGCCGAUUUUUGAAUACACACUCAGUACAGGUUGGGGCCAGAUUUUCAGUUAUUUGCAAGUCUGUCAAACUGUUGCUAUCCUUUGGCAAAAACCUGUACAUAUGGCCCUAAAAAUCCUAGAUUCCCGGUUGUUUGCCAAUCUGCCAAAGUUUUGCAAACCUAUUGCAAGAAAUCUGGACACACGUACGGCUAAAGAAUAUCACACAGUUAUCAGUCUCAGAAUUGAUGUGAAAAUUUCAGAUUAUUUGUCUCACAAGGUAAGCCUACGGAUUUCAGAUUUGAACCUUACAGCAAAAUAGAGCAUCAACUCACUUCAUUUCAUACAGCUUCAUAUAUCCAAGGUCACAGCCAACAUCUUUACAACAAAAUAGAGUUUCAAGCUUACAGAGCAGGCUAUUCAUAAUACCAAAGCAAAAGCUUUACAAGCACCCAGACACUUUUGGAGUUUGAUAGAGGUGCAACAUGGUGACCCUCAGGAUAAGGGUCACCCUUUGAUCCUACUUAGUUCAAACAAAUAAACUAAUUUUCUAAAAAAUUGUGUCAUUUUAAAAAUUUAGUUCAUUUUGUUGAACUAAAAAGGAUCAAAGGUACCCUGAGAGUCACACUCUUGCAGCCCAACUACCAGAGCUGCCAUAGUGCAAAUAACCAAAAUAACUAAGAGUUGAGAAGUUGCGUCUUCCUGAAAGCCGGUCUUUGCAGGCCAUAUCGUCGUCGAUUGCGCAAAGACACGUUGAAACGCCACACGCACCGUCUCACACUGGCGUCGUCGUCGAAGAUUGUCCGCCGAAGUAGCGACCACUGACCCGUCGUCGCUGCCUCCUGCAACGUCUUUUUUGGAUCCCGUCCAAAUGCAUAGCUCGACAAGUCAUUGUCAUCACUGUGUCUAACGAUCCAGAAUUAAAUUAGGUAAAAAGUUGCAAAAUGAUUUUAUACAGAGACACAAAUGCAAAUUUUGAAAGCCUAAACAAAUGUACAUUUAACAACGAUUUAAUAAUUUGUUUUAGAAUUAACACGAAUAGCCAACAAUUUGAUGCGACGUUUACCACAUCUAACAUGAGUUUGUCCUUUUUUUUCACCCCAUGUAUUCUUAAACAGUAUCGUUAAUUCCAGUUUAAGAUGAUAUUCUUAUGUUUCAUAACUUUCUGAAUUUGCUCUAAAUGCAUACUCUCUCGUCCCAUAUUAAGUACCGAAAUAUUACAUGUACCUAGAUAUUUUAUUUUUUAAUAUAUAUACAUUUAUAUUUAGACAAAUUCGAGUCACUUAAUAUUGGACCGACGAACAAAUUUGAGUGUGUGUGAGUGAGGAAUUACUGGCUGUGUAUUUUACUCGAUUCAAAAACCUCUUUACCCCUUCUGCCCCAUCUCGUUGCCGACCGACUCUGUGGAUCUUCUUUCUCCUUGCGCGAGCGCCGCCACCCAUCCAGCUGCCGAGCGCCCGAGCCCCCUAGCUCGUCUUCCUCCUCGCGCGAGCGCCUCCACCGCAGGUUGAUCUCCCCUUCGAUUCUCUCGCUCCCGACCGUUUCUCCUCACAUCACCCCACGAACGGAUUCCGCCCUUUAGCUCCCCAUUUCAUAAUCUUCCCCAAUUCGUAACUGAGGCAAAAAUCAAGGUAGGGCGGGACUGGGUCAUCCGCCCUUGCUCAGGCGACUACCUCCUCCCCCGCCGUGCAGGCUAUACUCGACCAACUCCUACUCGGGCCACCUGUGGUAAAUCCCACCCCUCUUCUGCUUUGCUGCUCAAGGUCUUUGUUCUUUCUUUUCUUUUUCUUGCACGUUGAUUGGACAGAAAGGACCUUAUAGUACCAAUAGAAUUGUUUGAAUAGCUCCAUCUGUUCUGUUCAUGCUUAAAUUUUUUUGGCGAAUGGAUAGUGCAUCACUACGGAUUCACUUCAGACGAGUAAUUGUUAAAAUUGGUAUGACGAUGUCUCAAGACAGUCAGGCUACUCUAUUUCUGGGAGACACUGUUGAUGAAUGAUCAAACUAUUUCUAUCAUGUGAUGCCUUUGAUGAGUAAUAUUUGCUGUUGUUGGGAGAUUGUUAUCCUUGAUAUAUUUAUGUUAUGUGAUGCCUUCUGCUAUGGAUAAACGCGAGGAACUUUUGCCAAAAAGAAUGUCCAUAUACUGUGAAAAAAAACUUGGGUUCAGCUCACCACCAAAUGCUUCGCGCUAUUAUGCAUGUUCAUGUUACAACUAGUAUGUAUCUAUCUCCAAACUGUAUGUACACAUUACAGUCCUUGUAUGUCUUUCCAAACAGCUCCUGCUAGGGGAAUGAAGCUACCCUUGUAUUUCUUCUGACAAUUAUAUUACAAGGAUAAACAAAUACAGGUGCAAGAUUAUACUCCACAAAGCUUCCAAGCAGGGCCUAAUUAAUCUGUGCAUCUUGUAGGUGUCACUGAAUCAGGGGUUUUGGCCAUGGACUACAGCAACGCCAUCCAUAUCAUCCCGGAUGCCGCCGGUCCCGAGGCCUGGGUCAACUCGGCAGUGCUUCCUGGCGGGGACUCCGGGAUUUGGGCCACCGAGGAUGACUACAGCCAGUGGAACGCUGAGCCAGGGCUGACUGGGGGCGGAUACGGCGGCGACAGGAACUCAUCACAGCCACAGUCGAGGUCUGGCAGCGAGCAGCCACCGCCAGGCAAGAAGCCCCGUGGCGGGCCGUCAGGCGGUGGUGGGGGAGACGCGGGCAGCAUGAGCAAGUCACGGGCGAUCGGGAAGAUGUUCUUCAAGACCAAGCUCUGCUGCAAGUUCCGGGCAGGGACUUGCCCCUACGUGACCAACUGCAACUUCGCCCAUGGGAUGGAGGAGCUCCGCAAGCCACCGCCCAACUGGCAAGAGAUCGUGGCGGCGCACGAGGAGGCGACGGAGCAGAGGGAGGAGCACCAGAUCCCAAUCAUGACGUCGUCCAGCGUGGCGCCCAGUGAAAGCGUGUCCGGCAGGGCAUACAAGGGCAGGCACUGCAAGAAGUUCUACACCGAGGAGGGGUGCCCCUAUGGCGACGCGUGCACGUUCUUGCACGACGAGCAGUCCAAGGCGCGGGAGAGCGUGGCGAUUAGCCUGUCGCCGUCGGUUGGCGGUGGCAGCUACAACUCUCCCACCGCUGCUGCGAAUGGACCUACCAUUCUGAAGCCGUCGAACUGGAAGACGAGGAUCUGUAACAAGUGGGAGAUGACUGGAUACUGCCCCUUUGGUAGCAAGUGCCACUUUGCUCAUGGAGCUGCUGGUGAGAGGCUCUUCCCAUAAUUGAUUUUAAUCCCUGGCUGGUUACACAUUCCCUGAAUUUUACAGAUAGUUUAUGCAACUGUUGUUUAACAUAUGGUUGAAUGUAUUUAGUGCAUCUGUGCAGGUAGUUUGUUCAUAUUGGAUAUAUAAAACAAUGAGCACAUAAUAUGUGAUGAACAUACUCAUGUCCAUUUGAUCUGUGACACCGUAACCUGAAAUUGGAUUUGAACUUGCAAUAGGGCUCAUUCAUCUAUUAUCACACUCUUUUUUAUCUAUACUCAGAAUAUUGAUGCUCUUCUAUAAUAAAAUAUAUCAUAGGACUGAUUUCAUAUUGUGUUUCAUUAAUUUAUUAAAAUGCUAUCAUGGGGAGCAUCUUCCUUCCUACACAUCUACUGCACUUCUAGAAAAAAUAAUCUUGGGGCUAUGAGUUGUCUCCUGCUCCAGGAGUCCAGUCGAUAUGAAGCCUUAAUAUUUUCUCUCAGCAUUAGGCUGUAAAAAUUUUCAGAACAGCUUCAUUCCGCCUUUCUUUUUUGUCUCUUCAGCCUAUGUGAAUAUUCAUUAGUUUGGUGUUUAUUCAACUUGUAUCGAUAUACAUUAGUUUGCUCUGGAGUCUGCCAUCCAGUGCCCAUUCUUAAGAAACAAGGGAAUUGACAAAAGGUACUGGUACUUCAGAAUCUGGGGCUUGCUUUUGACUAUUUAGUUGAACAGACUGUGGGUGCUGCAGCCUUUCAUUUCCCUUCACAUAAAAACGAGUCUUCUAAAUUGCUGGUGAAAUACACCUUGGUAUGUUAUUACGUUCUUCUGCCCUUAGUCCAUGCCAUGUUCUAAUAAUUUCCAAACUUGUGAUGCACAAGGCAUGUGAGUUGUGUCUAGCUUUGCACACUGCGAUCCAGCCUACUAGUAAAGGCGCCUCCCUUUAUCAGAAUUGGCUAUUGACUAGCAAUCUAGCAUCGCUGCGAGAUACUCAAAAUUCCCUGAUAGCUUCAAUCUUGAUCCGGAUUUACUCAUGAAGGCUUUAUAGGGUUAUGUGUGGAAUAGUUUCACUAGUGCUACCGUAAAUGUUUGUAAGUCACAACAAAUUAUACCAGCUCCUACUAGGAUUUGAUUAUCCAAAUCACUGUUCAUAGAUUAGCUUGUACGGUUUAGAAAUAUGACCACUUUUUAUAUGAUUUUUUGCACUUUACAUCUUGGAUGUGAAUCUGUAUAAGUUCUGCUUUCAGAAACGAAAAUCAUUCUUUUGCCACUUGCUGGCGUUGUUCUUGCCGUCUCAGCAUUGUACUACCCUUCUUUCUCUUCUUUAAUCGAUGAUGCACCCACUGGGUUGCAUUUUUCUAGAAAAAGGAGAAAUGAAAAUCAAUGUAGGUUUUGUCAAGAAUAAUGAUUGGUCUAUGGAUGUUAUUUCGUGUCCGUAUCGGUUGCUUCCCACUUACCCGGGUUGUUAGGGGGUUCGCUUUUGGGCUGCUUCAGGAUUGGCGGUGGACAAUUGAUAUCUUGUUUUAUCUUGCAUAAUAUUUGCAUCUAUUUCUAUGUACAGCAUGGGGAUUCGCUAGAAAAACUAAUGAUGUAGUACUACUACUGGAAUACUUGCCAGUUUUGCAGUCACGGUCCACAUGGAUAUCUGGUGCAUAAUUAGUCAUUUUUUGUGACCCCAUUUUUUCUUAAAAGGAAUAUAUACUAGAUAUAUUUUCUUCAUGCCUCUUUCUUACAAGUUUAUAUCACUUUUGGGACUAUUGGAUAGACUGUUCUGUACUUCAGCCCUAUUCAGAGGAGAUUGUUUUUCAGUGUUCCGUUGAAAUACCAAGGCCUACUUCAUGGAGCUUACGUUCUCAAAACUUUCUACUGUCAUUGCAGAACUCCACAAGUAUGGUGGGGGACUUGUCGAUGUUGAGGGCAGGGACAUUGCAUCGACUCCGGACUCGAAGCAGGCUGCGUUGUCCGCAAAAGCUCCAGCUGAGACCACCCCUGCAUCCACCGCUGCGCCCCCUCACUCAGACGUGUACCAUCUAGGCAUCCAGUCACAGCGUUCCACCAUGACCAGCCAAAGGUCGGGGCAGCUACCAAGGCCUAUCCAGAAGUGGAAAGGCCCGGACAAGAUCAGCAGGAUCUAUGGCGACUGGAUAGACGAAACCGACUAGGAGGAGCACCAGUGUUUCUCGUCGCCUUACCCAGUUAAUAAGUUUUAGUUGGCAUUGCAAAAAAACCUGUUGCCAGAAGUGUCUGUUGUGGUACCGGAAAAAAAAUCUGUGUUUCCGUGACUUCAGCUAUCUCUGCUGUAUGCAUUGUUGAGAAGAGUUCUGGAUAUCUGAAACUAGCUGAAGCAUAUUACCGUGCCAUGCUGGCAUGUUUCUCUUUCUUUCUCUCCCACCUUUGAAGUCUGAAGUUUUUACUUUAGGGGCUUUGAAGUCUCAAAUUCUAGUUUUCUAAAUUCGAACUGUGCUGCGAUCUGUUGCGUGUUGUGCUUUGCUGGCGCAGGUUCUCGAGGUCGGGUGUGGCAACUCGCGGCUCGGGGAGGAGCUCCUGUGGGCGGGCGUUGCCUGCGGCGUCACCUGCAUCGACCUCUCGACUGUUGCUGUCCAGAGAAUGUGCGACAGCCUGGCAGAGCUGGGCACAAGUGGUAAGCUCACAGAUUUGGUUGACAAAGCCGUUCCUUACCAAAUGUAGUAAUGCACUUCUGCAUGUUCCUUACCAACGGCGCCUCCGUUUGAGUGAGAAAUUGCCUUCUGCUUCCUGAAGGUGUGGUUGUGAUGGUGGCGGACAUGCUUGACCUGCCGUUUGAUAGCGAGAGCUUCGAUCUCCGAGAAAGAGACCAUGGUACGUGUUUUGCUUCCUUACCUUACCAGUGGAGAUUAGACAAGUAAAUUUUGGAUUUCAUGAAUGCCGGUUCAAGAUAUCUGAACAUUUUAAGUUGAGAACAUGACUCAGUGGCUAUAUCACUCCUUAAACAGUUAAACUUGAAGAUGUUCUCCCGGAAACCCACCUUUUUAGUCUGGAGUUUGUUCUUUAGGGGCUCUGAAGUCUCGAGUUCUGUAUCUUAUACCCCAGCUGCCUUCAUCUGCUGUAUACCCGGUUCAGAUAGGGCCUGGAUAAUUUAGCUAAAAUUUUACAUCUGAAAUUCUUUGUGCCUAUAUCGUCUGGGCCUCAAAAGCUCUAGCCGAACUCUAAAUGCGUGUUUCUUUUUUCAGAAAAGAAGAAAAAAUCUUUUUGGUCGGAGGAAUCUCGUGAUGCCAUUUUUUAGCAUGGAAUUUUACAGUACGUGACAAAAAUAUUGAUUGACUACUGAAGUUAGCAUAAUAGCUUUAGUUAUGAGCACAAAUAUGUACUCCCUCCGUACUGAAAUAAGUGACGUGGAUUUUGGAUUUUUGACCAGAAUCCAGCAAAUUAACUUUUGUCGUCCAGGCAGGCCAGGCAUUGCACUAAAGAAAUGAUUGAACGAACAUUUCUUGCACUUGACACACAUGCCAAACAUAGGUAGUAACGAGAGAAUACUAGUUACCGUACCCACCAAUCUCUGCAAACUGAAAAGGCGUUUCUAUUCAUAAAUCAUUUCACAGAGAUGAAGGUUGAAAUAAACACCGAAUGCAAUCCUUGUUUUUCAGCAUAGAUUCUUACAUAUAUGCAAGCAAUAAUGCUUGAUUAUCAUGUAUUGUUUGGCCGGCGAAUAUCUAGGUCAUAUUCCAUUUCCAUGCAUACUUAUUGAUCAGGUCUGGUUUGAGAUUGAAAUGAUUGGCUAGUGGACCUUUUUGUCCUUUCCAGUUUAAAGUAUAGCUGCAUUUGUACUUGUUCUGGAAGCGCCAUGCCCUAUAGGAACAUCACGCAUCAUCUAUGGAAUCUCCAAGACGUGUGUUGCUUGUUUGUGCUAUUUGAACGGUAGGUCCAGCAGAAGUACACCCGUUUUCAGAAUUACAGUCGUGGAGUCUUGAGAUUAACGAAAUUACGCCUGAUGAUUCCAGUUUCGCAGCCAGAAUACAUUUUCCGGCGGUAAUUGCACCUUCUUUAGUCUCAAGUUCUGGGCAUGAGUUUCAGUUCAAGCAGCCAUGGCUGGUGGGUAUGGCAUUUCAUAAAACCUGUGGCGCGCGCUGCUGCUGACGGUAUAAAUAUUGAACCGCGAUGAACACUGGUCAUGGAGAGGUAACAAGAUGGAGCAUCAAGCAUACCAGUGACAACGCUCCCAUUUCUGUGUUAGUAAUUAGGGACAGGUGCUCCUGAUCAGGAGCCCUUAAAUAAAUUUGUAGACACAUGCUUAUCUAGACAAAGUUGCGAACACUUUACAUGAAAAAAUAAUAAUCAAGAGAGGCGGUUCUCAGAAACUAAACUAAACUAAAGAGUGUUUGUUUGAGCUCGUGCUUCUGUAAAGCAAGAAGCAUCAAAAUCUGAAACAAAUGUUCCUAAAACAGGUCUUACAGCCAAAGGGUGCUCUCUAAUUUUUGUGCCGGCCUGACUGACCUAGAGAUCGACUUGCGCAGUCAACCAAACAAGACUGAAUCGUGCGCCGGGCAUCUGGUCGUGCGAAACUGCCUUGCGUACGAUCAAAUCGUGUACGAUCCGCGUACGAGCAGACUGAGAAGCAAUGUCUCCAGACGGCCCCACAUGCUGACCGUGAACUAAUUCGAGUCUAAUCAUCCCAGGCAGAGCUAGCACGGCGGCAUGGCAGCCGCGGGUGGUGCCUAGUUAAGCCGCUGCACACGCACGUGCACGUGGUGUGGAAGCUAGGGAAACAGCAGCUGCUGGCAGCUGGCUAGCUCUAUCGAGUUAUUUUUUCCGUUUCAUAACUCUUGUCAGAAAUUUAUAUGUAUCUAACCAUUUUAAAAACAUAGAUAUAUCCAUUUUGAUAAAUUUGAGACAAAUUAUGUAACUAUAAGCUACGAAGUGCAAUUAACCAGCUGCCGGCGACAGGUCACAGGUGCAUGUAUGAAUGAAUGAGCUGCCGAUAUCUCUCACUCUCUCACUCUCAGAAGAGACUCGAGUAUGUGCUUUGACCGGCCGGCCGGUGGUGAUGGGCGGAGCCCGGGAUCUGCGGGGGGAGCUGUUGACCACAUUAAUUAGCUUAGCUACCAGGACCAGGGAUCUGAGCGUGCGUGCGCGUGUGCGCAAGUACCAAGGAAAGCAAAAUGCACCGGUUCCGAUCGAGCUAGCUAGCUGGCCCUCGUGGCCGACACGUCCAAAUUAACGUGCACGCACGCACGUACCACCACCCCCCGGCUGCGCCCAUACACUCUAAAUCGCCCGCACGUGUGCAAGCAAGAGUACCCAAAGCUUCAAGAUGGACAAAUUGAUUAUUUUUUCUUCUCAUUUUUCCAGAAUUUUUUUUGGACUGAAAAAUGAACAUGUCAUUUAUGCAAAAACCAUCUUUUGACUGGACGAGGAAUUUAAAUGGUAUGGCAUGGUUGGAGGUUAUGUUCUAACCGGCAUUGUAUUUCAGGGAGUAAUUAAUAGUCUUGUAAUAUGGAUUUAUCUUGUAUUUUACUAUACCUCACACAUAGAGGGAAAAAACCUUCAACUUCUCGAGGCGGCUCGAUUUGAGACAUAUCACGCCGGUCAUCAAGAUGAUUAGAUACCAUUAGCACGAUACCCGUGCUUAAUUUGUAUAUAUUUUAGAUCAUAUAAUCCAUAUAUGUUCCCCAAUUCAACGAAUGAUGUAGUAUGAAAAUGUGACGGGUUUCUGUCACCGAUUAAUUUUUAAUGAGUAAACAUAUGGAGGCAUGCAUAAACAGACAUGCACCAUUAAUUUUUUUUAGAGAAAGAAGACAUGCCCCCGAUUUCAUCAAGGAAAUCAAACUACAAGGAUCGGUCUGAUAGGUUCCCAAAAAACAAAAAAACAAAACAGAUGCAAAUACAGCCCAGGCCUGUGACCUGACUGGACUCCAACUAUUACAGAACAUAACAUAAAACCAGACCAUAUAUAACUAUGGAACUGGGGCAAGUCCUCUAAGCCAUCAACCAUACGCACCUCUUCUUUUUUUCCGAAAAGGCGUAUAAGCCCCAAGGACUGAUGCACGCGGCCAUUAGUUGACACCAUACUUUUGGUGAACUAAAGUCAAAACACCGAGAUACUAAGGAUAGUGACUCAACGAUACAUGUGCGUUUCCAAUAGUGCUCUAAUUAUUCAAUACUCAAGUGUGAGCUAAGUUUGAAAACAAAGUGGGCUGCCACUACAACAAGUAUGUGCAUUCCUCUUUCCUGCCGUUGAUGUAAGCGCAUGAAAUAAAGAUAAAAGGAAAUCACGCCAACAUAUAUAUUGACCCUGACCAAGCUCACUAAUUUAUCAUACGCAAAUCAAUCUUGUCACGACAUGGCAAGUGCACAUAUAUAUAACUUGAAUAUGUAUGGUGAAAAUGACAUGAUCUAUACAAAACUACGACCAACAACUCGUGAAUAUAAUUAUAAUAUUCUUUUCUAUAUGGCGUUAGGUACUCCAGGAGUAGCUAGCUAGCAGGGGCAUGCAGUUGGUCAACUUGGGAAAAUUGAUCAGUGGUGUUAAUUUGCUUUAAGACAAGCUCAAUUAUGAUAACUGCAAGUGUAUGUUUUAUAUAUGCAUAUCCACGAACCCAGCCAGUAUUUUUUGUAUGGAUUUAACUUGGUAAAAAAUAAUCAGGAUCUGUAAUAAGGAAUUUUGGUCUCCUUUAAAAUAUCGUAUAUAUGCUGUUAUGCACACAUACCUAUCGCUUCUCUCUUUUAAUGCAAUCAUUUCAGCGUGAGCAGGUAAUCAGUUGUAGCUAGCUAGCUAAUUAGCUGCGAAUUGAGACAUUGCUCAUCGUAUGACUUGUGGCCGUGCGACCUCCAAAAACCGGUUCAACCUUGGGACGCGACAGUGCUGGUGCACCUUCAAAUGGUAAACCGUUCAUGUACAAAUGAUAAGGUUGCUCUAGAUAUACUCUCUCCGUCCCAAAUUAACUGACGUGGAUUUAUAUAGAUUCUUAUACAAAUCCACAUCAGUUAAUUCAGGACGGAGCGAGUGGCAUGUAUUUCAUUAGGACACACAUGUUUGCAUAAUUAUGCAUGCAUGGGUGUAGCGUGGUGUGCUAAAAAGAAGCUAGCAGGAUGUGCAUGGCCACACGUUAGCGCUAGAAAUUUCCUUUUGAUAUAUCUAUGUAGGAAAACGAAUACAUUUUUCUGAUUUUGUCCGUCAAUUAUAAUCACCGAAUUUUGAUUUCAUCCCUAAACUACAAAUUAACCUCGUCAAGUUUUUUCCUUGUCACUUCACGAGCUCAUAUCGGUGUUGCAGGCUAGCUUGCUAGGGUUGGGGAUUUCGGAAAGAACAAGGAAUUAUGAAAGAUCAGUGGGGAAAUAUAGAUGGAAGGAGGCUGGUUAUUUGGAAAUUUUGAGGCGCCAAGUUUGCUGAAGCCCCCCCUCUGAUCCCCGUCCGGACUUCUGCAAGUCAAUUGCCCCGUGGCAAAUUUGAGCUCUAAAAUGGGAUUUGGACUCAAAAGUGUUCGCAUCCACCAUGCUUAAGCAAUUGAGUGCAUGGCUUACAAGUUUAUGACUAUAGUGUUUCCACUUGCAAGUUUAUGGACCUUACGUGCGAUUUCCAUCUAACUUGGCUGUGUCUAAUUUGUGUGACAAGAUUAUGUGAUUUUAGGGAUGAAUAUUAUCUCGGUCAAUUUACGGGGGAUAAUUAAAAUUUGAUUUCUCCCUACGCAAAAUACAGUAGAUCAGUCCAGACAUCAACUUAAACAGUUACUAACAGAGUGGACAACGUUGUUGUUUUUUAGCAGUUAGCAAUAGAUUUAACAGUGUGACCUCAAGGUGAAUGGAUCAUAAUUUUACAGUUUCAUUAUUAUUUAGAUAAACAAAGAGUUAUAUCACCAUCGAUCGGCCUUUGUCUUGGUUUGAUCGAUUUCUUUGUACAUAUAUAGGAACCGAUAACUCUCAUACAAAUAUAACUACGUUGAAAAUCUGCAGUACGUCACUGAUGAGAUAUUAAUAUGUUCAUGAAACGAGUGUUCUAAAUUAGCUAGCGGAUGCCUGUAAGUGAAGCUAAAACAUGGGAGAGAGAUUAUAUAUCACACAAACGCACUGGAGUUGUACACUUGUGCUAUCCGAUCCAAAGUUACUUUAUUUGACCAAAAUGUUUUGUUUAAUGGUCACGGAAAUUGGUUCCAGCUGUGGCUAGAUAUAAAAUAUUUUCGAUAUUAACAAAGACCUGAUUGAGAAACUUUUGGGCAAAAGGUUCCUGAUACUGCUGUAGAUGAUCAAUCAGUGAUUUGAACAAUUGCGUCAAUACAAAAAUGAAGCUGCAGGUUGUUGAAUAUUCAUCAUUCCAUCUCAAGUGCUGACAAAAUUGUACAUUGGUUAACGAAGUACCCGGAAAACAUAUGUAGUAAAACACUGUUUUCAGUCUUUGGUAUUAAUAAAGACUACUUGUAGACAAAGCUUCAGUUCACCCUGUUCAACACUGUUCGAGAGAGACUAAUAUUUUCUAAAUUACAAGUGGUCUCUUUUUCAGAAAAAUUUGCAAGCAGUAGCCAUGUAUGUAUAUAAAAUCUUAUUUUCCAGACGCACAAGUAGAGGAUAUCUGAAUUAUAACUUCGCAAUUUGAACUUGAUCGAGUAGCAGGAUUCGGUUGUCGGUUCAACGACACAGUACUCUCCUUAGCAGUAAGAAUAGUGGUGUGAUCUCUCUCUGACCAAGCCUGUUUAAUUGCCUUGAAAUUUUUGGCUUCAUAUAAAAUUAUGUUUUCUUUAAUGUGUGCUGUCAGUCGAAGAGCUAAUCAACUAUAUCGAUCGACACAGAUCCAAUGUGCGAAGAUAAUUUUCAAUGCAUGUAGCAACGUGUCACUGCAAUUAUAAUAUAAUUAGACUGCAUACACUAAGAAAAGAAAAUGAGAUUAUGCAUACUUGCAUGCAGGAGCAUGCAUUUUGGAGUAUUGAUGACUAGUUUAAUUAAUCCAAAGACUAUACACAGAAUUACAGAGUACUACUCACUAGCUGUUGAGCUUGUAUAUAUGCACGAUAGGAUUACUAGACAAGUGUAUGAAGUAGCUAUACCGAUCAAGCUAUAUGUGCUCGCAGAUGCUACUUUUGACCUUUGGUUAAUCAAAAGAGUUGCAUAAACUUCAUCUUUAUGCAUGUUCCACUUACUGCGCAUGCAUUGCAAGGCAUUAAUUGAUGAGGAAGAGAUCGAAUCAUAGGGUACUUUACUGUACUGGUCAAGAUGCAUGGCCCUUCAUACUCUACUAACCAACAAGAAAACACAAGAAUGCAAAAGGGCUAAGCUAGCUAGGGAACCCUAACCCACCUAAUCCCCAUUCUAGUUGGCACUAAUAUCAUGGAUCGAGGUGGCUAGCAAAGCAAAGCAAAGCAAAGCCAAGCCAAACCGAAUUCCAACCUGGACUCUAGCUAGACAUGAUCAGUGGCACCUUUGAAUAGUUUAAUCAAGCCACACUUAAAUGAACACAUAGAGGCCGGGGCUCUUUUUCCUUUUGGAAAAAAAAAUUACAUGAACACAUGCAUACACAUGUAGCGUUUCUUGGUGCAUAUGUCAAUGGAGACGGAGGGGGAGAACCAUUUGAGUAGUCCCACAUGCCACCCACUUAAACCGAAGUUGUCCCAAUGCACAAACCCAGCACUUUAGUCUAGGGCUAAUAUAAUAAGCAACAACUUGCACCAUUAAACUAAUGGCACCCACUUGCGUGCAUAAGCAUCAACGUACUAUCAUCCUUGUGUCCAAAGAAAAGCACUCUCUUGUACCACUUCCACGUAUGGAACAUAUGUAACAGACAUGUGGGCCCUCAUAACUACUAGACCCCAUUUGUCAUUGAGAUAUACAAAUUAAACAAUUCUAUGCUGCCUAUCAGAGACUCUGACCAGAGCUCCUGUUUUAUAUUUCCUCCUUCCAUCACCUCCAAAGACCACUAACCUAUCGCUUUCUCAUCUUCCUUUGCCAUCACUUCCUCUCUCCUUCCAUCUCCUCCUCCAAAUUCCCCCCUACACACCUCCAUUGUCCCAAUCCAUUGCCUUUCUGGCCUCCCUAAAAUAUUAGUUAGCCGACAAAUAUGUCCACACAUAAGAUAAUUACACCAUCAACAGGUUAAGGAUAAACAACCACACAACCAAAAAAAAUCACCAGAGACUCUCCUCCCCUCCUCUCUCUCUCUCUCUCUCUGAGAGCUCCUUUUUCUUCUCACUCCGGCCACACCCAUCUCAAAAAGCCAAACCCCCCAAACCAUUCUUUAGUCCCCCUCCAAGAAAACAAGCACCACAAACCCUAAACAAACACACACAAACACACACUCUUUCUCUAGUCUUCUUCUUCCUCCUCCUAUUGCUGCUCAUCAUCAUCAUCACAGGCCACUCCUUCCUCCUGCAUCUCCCAAUUCUUAAUAUUAUCGGUACUGUUAUGUUUUUACCCUUUUUAAUUGCUAGUACUAUACUACUAUACUCCUGCUUAUUACUCACUUAUAAUCUCCUACCCUAGCCAGAGAAAUGGCCGGCCUUGAUUUGGGCACCGUCUCCUACCUCCACCAUCACCAGCAGCAGCAGCUUCACCUCCUGCAGGGCCAUGACGACGGUGGCGGCUCCGACGGCGGCGGCCAGGACGAGCUCUCCCCUGGGAGCGGCGGCGCUGCCGCGCCAGGAGGCGGCGGGAUCGGCGGCGUCGGGGGGGAGGUGGUCGGGCGGCGGCCCCGCGGGCGGCCGCCGGGGUCGAAGAACAAGCCGAAGCCGCCGGUGAUCAUCACGAGGGAGAGCGCCAACGCGCUGCGGGCGCACAUCCUCGAGGUCGCCGCCGGCUGCGACGUCUUCGAGGCGCUCACCGCCUACGCGCGCCGCCGCCAGCGCGGGGUCUGCGUGCUCUCCGCCGCGGGCGCCGUCGCCAACGUCACCAUCCGUCAGCAGCCCUCAAAUUCCUCUUCUUCUUCGUCUCCGGUGGUGGCCACGCUGCAGGGGAGGUUCGAGAUCCUGUCUCUGGCCGGGUCCUUCCUCCCACCACCGGCGCCGCCGGGGGCCACCAGCCUGGCGGCGUUCCUGGCCGGCGGGCAGGGGCAGGUGGUCGGUGGCAGCGUGGCCGGCCCGCUCGUGGCGGCGGGCCCCGUCGUCGUCGUCGCCGCGUCCUUCAGCAACGUGGCUUACGAGAGGCUGCCCCUCGAGGACGACGCUGACGAGGUGGCCCCGCCGCCGCCGUCCGCCAUGGAUCCCUUCGGAGCUAGCGCUGAUCCGUCCACGGGCGGCGGCGGCGGCCAUGGCGGCGGGCUGCCGUUCUUCAACCAGCUGCCGCCGGGGUUGGGCAUGCCGCCGCCGCCAAUGGCGAUGGACGGCCACAACGGCUGGCCCGCCGGCGUCGGGAGGCCGCCCUUCUCGUGACGAUCGAGUCAACUACAAGUAGCCUCUGUGUCUUAUCCACUGUGUCCAAUUCCAAUUGCUCUUAAUUGUUCUUUGUGAUGGAUCUCGAUCUCUUCUGAUGUUCUUGUUUUUGCUGUCGUUUGUUGUGUUGACCUGUUUGAGAGACUUGAUAUUGGUGGUAAUUGUUGAUCGAUCUGUCUUCGCUUAAUUGGGAUAUAUAUGUUCUGAGGACAUGCACUCAUAAAUUGAUCAAAUUUAGUUAGUCUUGUUGUGGAGUUAGUAUACCCCUGUUACUGAAUACUGGCUGAUUUAUCUCUGAGUUGAUUUUAAUUAAUUAGCAUCAUGUUGCACAGCACAUGAAUGAAGUCGCAAAUGGAAGCUCGAUAUUCUAAUCAUUUGCCAAGUUCAGCUAAUUUCCCUGAAUAUACAAGGGACAAGCUAGAUACUUUCAUGUGCAAUUGUCAAGCGUUUGGCUUGUUUUCUUUGCUUAAUUAAUUUCUUGUUAGUAUUUAUUACUAAUUGAUACGAUUGCUUGCAUCUAGAUAUGUCCGAUAUGGAGAAUGAUCUCAGGUGUUUCGACAUUAAUGGACCCCAGCUUGUUUUAUACAAGUAUACAUAGGAGUAUUGAUUUGCCUCAUUUGUUCAUAUCCCAGUUGUUUUUCUGUGUUUUAUAUAAUCUUCUUUUUUAUGUCUUCAUGUUUCUGGUCUGUUCCCUAUAUAUUGAGCCAGUUUAUAAAUUAAUAUUACAACUUACAUACAUGCAUGCUUGAAUAAACCUGAAUGUACAUGUGAUAGAAUUACUAAUGUGAUGGAGUGUGUAGGAAGCAAAAGCAAGAUUUGUUCUUAGUAAUGCAAGCUUUUGCUUAAAUCGGGGAAAGAGGACCAGGGAAGAACAUUGCUUCUUUUUCCUGCACUUUAAAAACUGGAUUUGGGUCAAAAAGAAAUGUAAGGUAGAAGCAAGAAGAUUUAUUCCAUGCAAGUCUUUGUGUCUAAACAUGUACACUGCUAAGAAAAUAAGAUAUCCAAUUAAUGGAACAAGCAAAUGGAAAGACAGGAUGAUAACUAAUAUGCACUUAAUUAAUUAUGGUUAGUUAGAACUUUUUACCCCGUAAAACUACAUUACUGUAUAUAGUCUGGUUCCGGCCGUUAACAAUUCAGUGAAGGAACAUGGUUAGAGAACUUAUAAAACACAGAUGAGUGAAUCGCUGUGCAAUUUGAUUACAUUAAUAUAUCACGUAACAGUUAAUCUGGCUCAAAGAACACAAUUAAUAGCUAGCUAGGCAGUUUCAAUUUUUCUUUGAUUGGUGCUCUAGAUCUCGGCUUUGGCAUGCACUAUGCUGGUACAUGGAAGUCGUUGCAUAAGUAUAUAGUAAUAGAAUUAAUGCACACAGUAGUAUUACUGUGUAUACAUAUUUAUAUACACAUUGGCUUUUCUAGUAGUUAGACUCACACGUGUGCAUGGAAGUAGCCUACUCUGUGUACAUCCCUAGGUAUCCAUACUCCUAAAUGGCCAUAGUUGCAUGCAGCCAUCUUUUAAGAUGAACUGAUCACUGGUUUUUAUAAAUGUCUGAACUGAUGUCAAAGCUUCCUUUCUGAAGGCAUGCAGCAUGCAUAUAAGAGAUGACUGUUUUGGAAUCUUUGCCUUGCACCUCUCCUCUCCCCAAAUGGAAUGCAUGCCCGGCCAGAAACGAGCAAAACUAUGCGUGCUUUCGUGUGUACACAUGUACUCCAUGCCAUGUUAGUAGGAACAUUGUCGUCUCCUCUCUCUCACACACAACAGUCUCACGCUUCACUUCAAUUCAUUGGUGUCAUUUCAUGAGCUACAUGUGUCCUACAUUCCUUCGCUGUCCUUUUCGUGCGUGUCCGAUCCAUCCAUCCAUCGAGUCUGUUAAAUUAUUGCCAGGGCCUUUCUUUCUAGCUGGCUAGCUUUUCAAUCUCUGGCAUGAAUCAUCGAUACAUGUGUUUUAAUUGUACUACUUUUAAUUUGGGAGACCAGAUAAUUAUUCGAUUAUUGGUGUGAAAGGAUUGUGAAUUUCUGAGUGUUUUUCUUGUGUUGUCGGUCAAGUAUAUAUGUGCGCCCAAUUAAAUCACGGAGAGCUAAUUGAAAUUAUCAUUCCAUGCAUGUUGCAUAUGAACAGAGAGAACAUGUAGAUUUGCUUCUAGCUUUUUUUUUUUGCGCAAAGGGGAUUUGCUUCUAGCUAUCGGUACAUACUUACUGGAGUAGAUUGCUGAUGAUAUCUAUCCUAAUAAUAAAAGCAGGGAGGUUUCCUUCGUCGUUGUCCGCCGUGCAUCAAUUUCCGUGCAUGUUCUGAUUUUCCAUGUCUCCUUACACUCCAUCGAACUUUCUUUUUUCUAUUCCCACAGCGCUGCCUUCCCGGGCAGCCGCCGCCGACUCAACUGCCCGCGCAGCACCUCCCUGCGGUGACCGCUCUCAAUACGCGUCGGCGCCGGAUUAGAUUAUCGUGCAAGAGACGAGCAAAAGGGUCCAGGGCUGAUCGGCGCUAUCCACCGUUCCUCGUGCACUGCACCACCGCGUGCUCUGACGCCAGCCACGGCCGGUGGGCGGUGUGGACUAGGUGCCAUGUCCGUGGCCGCGGCUGCUAGCAUCGGCUCCGAGAUCAUUUUGAUGAAUGUCCAAUUAUAUUGUUAUGUUUUGUAUAAACAUGAAUUUUCGUGUGCACAUGUUUAAAAGACCGUGACAACGCACGGGCACUGUACUAGUAUAUAUUGACGUAUAUAUGAUUGAUGCUUAGUGUGCAACAGCUCGUGAUGUGUUGAUCUGCAUAGAUUAUGCAGAAAUCUGUCAGUCCUUAUAACCUGACUGUAACCUCUAGUAAUUAGUUAAUAAUUUUGUGCUUUAGCAGACAAGGAAAGUUAAAUUGGUGCAAAUGUCACGUCAGGUAUCGCUUUGGGAAUUCAUCGAGACAAGGAGAGCUAUAGCUCUACCUCCUUGUUGUAUGUGCGUGCAGUGUGCUUUGCCUACUGAUUAGUGGACAAGCAACGCUGUACUUAAAUGCAAAAUAAAGUGCUCUCUUAGUCUCUUACACUGAUAUGCUAUGCCUACACGAACAUGCUAUAUGAAGAGCUACGGGGACAUGUACAACUGUUAAUAUGUAGGCAUUCUAGAAAAGGAACUGUUAAUGUAGCCAUGUAGGCAGAUUAUUCCUUCCACUAAGCAUGCGUGCAUGCAUGUGUACUGUAUGUACUCGUUGUGACUAAUUAAUUUCUGGACUAUUUGCAUGUUUUCUGAUUGAUAACAAAAAUAUUAAAGUCUUCCAGAGUUGGUUUAUAGAAUUAUAUAUAGUACUCAUGCAUCUCAAAGAAAUCCGCUUGCAGUAUAACAUUUGGACAUAUAUAUAGUACUCCAUCCAAUAAUAUUCAAAUUUCCAAAUUAAAAUGUUGAAGUUUUCUUGAAUCAUAUAUAUAUGGUUUUUGAAACUAUCUUUCCAGAACAAUCUUCUGGCUUGGUUGACUCGAUUAAUUUAAUAAUACUCCGACAACAAAAGAUUGUUGACGAAACUAAAAGUUACAUCAAGAUUUUUCAAAGCCAGAAUCUCUAAAUCCGUCAUUCAGAUCUUAUUAUUCAAUGUACUUGAUGAUGAACUGCAAAAGACCAAUUCUUUUUUUUUUGCGGGAAAAAGGAUAUUAUAUAUUAAAUAGUGGCAUUACAUUCUUUCAAAGUGAUCGCCAAGAUGGCAUCCGGAGCACUACGCAGCCAGAAAUCAGUACAGCGUUCCGAGCGGCCUAAGGCCGCUAGCCCAUGGCUAGCACCGUUCUGAUCGCGGGGAGCUCUCGGAACACUAAUAUCCCUAUCUCCAGAUAACAAACUCCUAAUCUCCAAAACUUGGUAUCUAAGCGUGGACUUGACUUCUGCUUUGGACUGUAUCAGAUUGACAGCUUCCAAGCAAUCCGAUUCCAGAAUGAUCGGCAACUCAGACCAUUCGAUGGCCAAGGCGAGCCCUUCCUCACAUGCCGCGAGCUCCGCCUCCAACGGCCCACUGCUGGAAGGCAGAUACCGACAGGCUGCAAAGAUGACCUCACCAGUUGAGUCCCGAAGAAUCAUCCCAGCACCCGCACUGCCAUUCUCGUGGACAAAGGACCCAUCGACAUUGAGUUUGACAGCCCCCUCAUCCGGUGGCCGCCAGGGGCGCUCGACAUCCAGAUGAGCUUGGUUGACGAGCUGUUUCCCUUUACCAAUCGAGCAGCUUGCAAUCAUCUUCCCCUUCAAAAUGUCAGUAUCUGUACCUUGCUUGAUUGCCAGAAGAGAAUCCACGUAACUACACAGGAAUUGUUUAGAUCCCUCAAGUGACGAUGGCGGCUUAUCAUGUGUCAGAUCAUUGUGGACGUGCCAGUUCCUCCACAGUAACAUGACAGUUAGCAUUCGCUGCGUCUCAUUCAGAUCUGCAAGAAGCUGGAGCAACCAUUCUGUGCCGGUAUUUCUGACCUUGUCCUCCCAGGGAGAUCCCAACAUUGGCGCAUCUCAUACCACAAGUGACGCGAGUGGGUACAGCGAACCAGAGCAUGAAAAGAGUCUUCAUCUUCAGCCCCACAAAUCUUGCAAGUGGCCAACAGUUCCAUGCCUCUUCUUUUCAUGUUCUGUUGAGUAGCAAGGCUGUUUGAAGCAGCAUUCCAGGCAAAAACCUUCACUUUUGCUGGCACGUUACACUGCCAUAUAGCUUUCCACUCCAUUCUCUCCCCGCCAGGUCUGCUGCUCAUAGCACCCACCCCCUGAUCAUCCAUGGUCAUAGCAUGGGCUAGCUGAUAGGCACUCUUCACCGAAAACAUGCCCCUCUUAUCCGGUUGCCAGGCAAGCACAUCAUCAUCAAAUCUUCUGGACGGCUUGAUCUUGCAAAUAUCCCUCACAUCCAUCUGUUGGAUGGUAGAAUUAAGCAAUUGAACAUUCCACUCUCCAGCUGGCGUUAGCAGGUCGGCCACCCAGCGAAGUCGACACCGACCCCGAGGUGUAAUUGGCUGGUAAACCCUAUUUCUAGGGAUCCAUGGGUCACGCCAGAUACGCACCUUUGCCCCAUUGCCGAUUUGCUAGAUAACACCUUUUUUCAGCAAUUCGAGCCCAUAUUCAAUCGCUUGCCAUGUUGAUGAAGUGUUACCAGAAAAGACCGUGUCAAUAAGUAUACCAUUUGGAUAGUACUUUGCUCGGAGAACACGGGCACACAAGCUAUCCGGCCAUUGGAUAAGUCGCCAGGCUUGCUUGCCGAGCAAGCAAGGCUUGGUUAAACAGUCUCAUGUCACGGAAGCCCAUACCGCCACGAGUUUUAGGCCGCAUCAGUCUAUCCCACGACGCCCAGUGAGUCUUCCGUUUACCUUGCUUCGCUCCCCACCAAAAGUUGCGUGUCAAUUGAGUCAGGUCCUCACAGACGCUAGCAGGCAGCUUGAAGACACCCAUAACAUAUGUGGGGAGAGCCUGCGCCACAGGUUUUAUCAUCACCUCUUUGCCGCCUUUAGACAAGUUAUUGUCGCCCCAUUGCAAUAGCCUCUUCGCAAGCUUCUCCUGAAGAGAUUGAAACUUGCCUUUAUUCAUCCGGCCCUCGGGAGUUGGCAAGCCCAAGUACUUCGCAUCGAAGGUAGUGUGAUCAACACGCAAAAUAUGCCUCACUUCAUCCUGUAUAGCUUGGGGACACAGCUCACCAAACAUCAGAGAACAUUUAUCAGGAUUGAUCAGUUGGCCUGUACCUCGCGCAUAAGUAUUCAGAACAUCCUUCACCCGACCAGCUUGUUGUCCAUCAGCUUGGAAGAACAACAGAGUGUCAUCAGCAAACAACAUAUGAGAAAUCCCGGGAGCUCUCCGACUAACCUGAAUAGGGACAAUAGUUUGGUCCCUGACCUCCUUUUGCAGAAGUGCGGAUAGACCAUCAGCCACAAACAAAAAGAGGAACGGAGAAAGAGGGUCGCCUUGCCGAAGACCACGUGUAGGCAUGAACGAUGACAAUAAGGUUCCAUUAAAUUUAACUGAGAAACUCACAGAGGUCACACAAGACAUUAUCCACUCGACCCAUCGAUGAGCAAAACCCAAUUGUAGCAUCGCUUUCUUCAGAAAGUUCCAAUCUACCCGAUCAUAAGCUUUGGACAGAUCUAACUUGUAGGCACAGAAAUUCUUGUUUGGGUUCUUAUUAUGUUCCAUGAAGUGAAAACAUUCAAACGCCACCAAUGCAUUAUCUGUAAUCAUUCUUCCUGGCACGAAAGCACUCUGAUUUUCAGAAAUGAUGUCCCUAGAAUUGGUCUCAUUCUGUUCACAAGACACUUUGCCACAAUCUUGUAUAAGACAGUACAAAGACUAAUCGGCCGGAAGUUUUUCAGUUCCUGCGGCUGAUCAACUUUUGGAAUGAGGACAAUGGUUGUAUGAUUAACAUUAGUGGGCAUAACACCAGUCUCAAAGAACUUCUUCACGGCCGCGAUGAUCUGCUCCUUCAUAAUGCCCCAGUUUCUCUGAUAAAAGCGUGCCGGAAAACCAUCAGAACCCGGCGCUUUGAGGGGACCAAUCUGAAACAACGCGUCAGAUAUUUCUUCAUCAGUAAACUCCUUACACAACUCUUCAUUCAUCACUGCAUUGACCUUUUCAGGAAUUAGCUCAAUUAUUUGGUCUGGCUGCAAUGUAUCAUCACAAGUGUACAAAUUCUGGAAGAAUUGUGUGGCCAUUUGCUCCAACUGCUGCACGCUAGAAACCCAGUUACCAUGCUGAUCUUUUAGCUUCUUGAUUCUAUUCUUUUUUGCUCGCCACUUGGCUUUAUUAUGGAAAAACCUAGUGUUACGAUCACCUUCACGGAGCCAGGCAAUGCGGGACCUCUGCAGCCAGAGCAUCCCCUCUCUAUAAAGCAGUUCAUUCAUAUGAUCAGUCACCUUUCUAAUUUCCCUGGCAUCGGCUUGAGCUUCAGUCAACAGAGCGAGUUCCCCUCGCGCUGUCUCCAGUUCUUUGAGAACAUUGCCAAAUUUCCUCUUACUCCAACCCUGCAAAGAGAUCAUCAUCCCAUCUAGGCUCUUACGUAUUUCAUCUAAGUUACCUUUUUCACCUGAAUUAUUCCAAGCUUGAGCAAUGAUUUCCGGUAGCUCCGUCGCUCGCUCCCAUAAGAUCUCAUACUGCCUGUGAAUGUUUCUCCUGUCCGCCCGAGGCUCAUGAACAAGAGAAAGAACAAUCGGGCUAUGGUCAGAGCAUGGCGACACCAGAUGAGCAACAUCAGCUCCAGAGAAGAUGUCUCUCCAACUGUCAUUAGCAACAGCUCUAUCCAGUCUAACACGAACAUUCUUCUGCCCGCUCCUUUUAUUAUCAUAAGUGAACGGUGCCCCCGAGAAGCCCAGAGCCACCAACUUACAGAUACUUAGCACAUCUCUAAACGCUGCCAUCUGAUUCACUGCACGAGGGUGUCCUGAAAGGUGCUCCUGUUGCCAGAGAGCCUCAUUAAAGUCACCAAUGACAACCCACGGCAGAUCAGAAGAAGCUCUCAAGUCGCGCAGGGCAGUCCACAUUACAUGACGAUUCUCCACCCGUGGUUCUCCAUACACACAAGUCAAAUGCCACAAAGGUUCAUCAGGGGAGAGACGGACAUAAGCAUCAAUAUAUCUUUCAUUACCAACACACUCAAACAUCCCUAAACGAUGACAAAGACUCCUAACUUUCUCCACACUUUGCCUAGUUUCACAAAGAAAAACAAACGACGGAUGAUACUUUUGGGAGAGAGACACAAGCUCUCGAACUUUUUGAGGGCUCCCAAUCCCUCGGCAGUUCCAACUGAAACAACUCAUUGCUGCUGACGGGCUGCAUCAUGCAGUCCCGACAGUUGACCGGUAGCCCCAAGGCCGGUUGCUUCCAGUUUACCUCUCUCCCCUGGUGCCUUCUGCCCCGCGCCGCCACCUGCUGGGAUGAUCAUCCGAUUGGGAUCAACUGGUGGUGCAUCCUGUUCCUCCGCCGUACGCUUCCCCAAUAUUGAGCUGUCCAUGGUCGAAUCCUCAGAGGUCUCCACAACUAAGUUCAGAUGCCUAAUGGGUGAGAUCAUCUAUGAACUAUUAAGCUGCUGCCCUGCGCUCUUAUUCAUAUGCACGUUAAUACUCUUCAUGCGCCUUGCCAGCUCCGCAUCAUCUGCCGGCGACCCACCCUUGUCAUUGUCUUCAUCCGCAUUCACUAAAUCUGCAUGUUCUGCCGGUGUUGUUGCACGACCUCUCCCGCGACCUGCAGACGAACUUGCACUUCCCGCCGGCCUGAACAGCUCGCGUUUCGCUGAAAAACCAUCAACUCUAACUGUACCUGCUUGGUGAUCCGACUGGCGGAACGGCGAGCACCUGAUGUCUCUAUGGCUGAGGUUCAAGGAUUCAAGGCCUGACAUCUCACGUUCACAUUCAUCUUUCCUAUGCCCAGCCAAACCACAGUGCUUACAAAAGAAGGGUGCUCUUCAUACUUGAGUUCAUAUUUGCGGAUCCCUUUACCUUUUCCCCUUGUUUCAAUUUGCAAUUGGAAGGGUUUUGUCACAGGCCAUUCCAUACGCACACGCAAGAAUUUUUGCCUGCUACGCCCAUCUACAUCAACGUCAACCUCUCUGACUUUUCCCAACAGACCACCAAGAGCUCUUCCAACUUUCUCCGUCUGCAACCCGAAUUCAAGAUUAAAGAUGCGCACCCAUAUAGGGAAGGAAUUCAGAGGAACAUCCGACAUACGAGCAUCAUUCUCCAUCGCAGCAACAAGCAUCACAUCAAUUCUAUGCAGCCAUGGACCUCCCCUCAGAACGUUCUGGUAAUCCCCCUCUGAGCCGAAGGAGAAGAGGAAGAGGCGAUCUUCAAUCUGCUGGAACUUCACAUCUGUACGGAGCAUCCACAUCGACUUCAGAUCGUCUAACAUCUCACGGAUGAUCGGAAUACGUGUAGAAUAGUAACGUGCCAACACUGACCACGAAGUAGUAUCUUCCUCCUUCAGAUCGUCAAGGUCAAGGUCAAAAACACCACCGGCGGAUUAGGGUUUCCACCAUGAACCUGAUCUUCAGGAUCAACGUGAUUCUCCAGAUUACUUCCACCUGAGCCGCCGACCUCCAUACCCUGGCAGUGAGCAAUCAGAGCCAGAGAACUAACUUGUUCCCCAUAGCCAACUCCGCCACCUCUCCUGCCGCCACCAUCGCCGCCGCCGUUUGCCGAUCAGAUUCAAUCCCAGCCGUGUUCUGCAGAUCCGCGAGUACGAUCUCGCCAGAAGGCUUCGGGUGGGUAGCCCCCUCACCGGGGACCCCUUGUUCACCCCCACCAAUUGCCGAUGCCAUAGAUCGCGGAUAGAGAGAAAGAUGUGAAUCGCCGGGAUCAAAGACAGCCGAAGAACCGAUCUUGAAAGUUUGUGCCAAAUCCAGAACCCUACCCCCCAAUUUAAAGGGGGACGGCUGGAUCUCUGGAACGCGUGCGUCGGGGGCGAUCCGGACUCCAGGAACCGCCUUCGGGCGAACAUGGAAUCCCCCAGGACUCAUAGCCGGAUCAGAGACGUGCUCCAUCCAAUCCUCCAUAGCCAACGAACGUCAAUCUAGGGAAAUCGCCGCCAGGUCACCUUGACGCCGCCAAACCCUAACCGAAAACCUUUCGAUCUCACACGAGCUGAACUAACCUCGUAGGUUUUGAAGCAUGAGUUGAUAAUCCAUUAAUCCAGCGAGGAAGAAGAACCGGCGAGGCAAAGACCGGAAGGAUAGUUCUCAGCGAUCUUUAUUCCGCAUGAUGCCUCCUUUACAAACUAAUUAUCAGCGUUACGGUAUGGUUUUUCUAGGAGCGAAAUUGUAUGGUUUCUAGCCAAAGCCGCUCCAUCUACUCGGCCCGUCAACACGAGCCUCCGAUGGGCUUCAGCCAUAACACUUUGGGCCUUGUGCAGAUAGGCCUAUACACUGGGCUUUGCAAACUUAAGCCCAAAAUGCCCUCGUAGCCCCGUUCCAUCCUCCAAGUGGAUUCGCACCAGGCUUUGCGAAGAUCCACGCAGAUGCCGAUGGUGGGCUGUAUUGGAUCUUGGUGCUGGAGCACGGCAUAUCCAGAGCCAAAGCAUCCACUCAAAAAAAAAAAAAAAAACCCUCCAGAGCCAAAGCAUCUUCCUAUCCUAUAUUCUCGAAAGAAAAGAAAAAACAGCCAUGGCAUCUUCCCAGAAAAAGUGGAAAAUUCGAGCAUCUUUGGUGACGAUUCGGUUCUCUGUCCGAGCGAGCACAGAUGCACGUAUACGUACGCGCAUCUGCCUGUCGAUUUCCGUGUCGUGUACCGAGAGAGAGCUUUGUCAGUACGCGAGCCAAUAGGCAAUAGGCCUCCUCCUCCUUUUCCGGAUUUAUCCAUGCCCCCAUUUGCAGCCAUUUUGGACAUCCAAUCAUCGAUAAUGGUCCCUGAUUCUUCGUCCGGAAAAAGGCAUCCAUCACGUGUAGUCUGUCUUAACGAUGCGUCGUCUGAUGCAUGAAACGAAGUCGAUCUGAAGAUCCCGUUUUUGGGUUGAGACUUGACACAGUGUAUUUUUCUGAAUGAUGUUCAGUUCAAUUUAAGCCCAGCAGCCGAUUAAUAACAGAGCCCGUUUCAGAAUCAAAUGGGUAGCGCCGGCCGCGGCGAUCGGCGGCCACACGCCGUGGAUCGUGUGGCUGUGCGUCGUCGCCAGGCGCGCGGCUGGAGGUUGUGAUUGAGGCCGGCCAGUGGGCAGUGGCCCUCAGCUCCUCUGCUCUGGAUUCUGGAGUCGAUCUGAAUCACUCUCUCUCUAGCUCUCGCUCUCAAACUGAGCAAGAUGCACAAUAAUGCACCUACUGCUCUGCAGCUCCAAUGGCAGCUGCUUCUUUUGCGUGUGUGGUCCAUAAUCCAUACCAUAUAACAUAUAUAUGCCCAUUCAUUGUCAAGUACUUCUCCAUUUCAUAAUUUUUGCCGAACUAUUACAUGUACGUAGAUGUUUUUUAGAAAUGGUGGGACUAUUUCUAAGUCGUCCGAUAUUUACGAAAUGAGGCUUAAAUAUUAGUCGACGUCUUAGAACCGUUGUACUAAGAUCUGAUUGUCAUCCAUAUUCUCUCAUCUCUCAUUUGCUGUCGUUGAAUCAAGAUCCAAUGGCUAACAUGUCGAUUGAUCUCUAACUAAAAAACAGACGACCGCUCACUAGCAAAACCGUUUUAGAAAUAGAUAUAUCCAUUUUUGGACAAAUUUGAGACAAGAAUUAUGAAACGGAGAGAGUAGCAACACACAGUACAUUUUUUUUAUACGUAAGGACACACUUAAUUAGCUGGGAGCGGAGUAGCAACAUACAGUACAUGGCUGCUAGCUGCAUCGUCUCGUCUCGUCACACUCCAUCCAUCUCUAUUACAUCUUCAGUCAUCAACGGAUGAAACAGAGUACUGAGUACUCCUAGUACUUAAUAAGACCGGAUGAUCGAGAAAGAAGUACACUGAAAAGGGGUUAAAGGCAGGCGAGACAAGGCCGGCUUCUGUGCUUGCCCUCUCAGGUAUGGCACCACGUACAUUGGAAUUUUGGAACUGUUCCAUACAUAAGAAUCUCUCUCACACACACACAUAUGUUCUUUUCAUUAAACAGGACCAAAUUUAUUUAUUUUUCUUUUCACAUGUUCCUAAGGCGACACAUCGACUUUCGAUCCGGACACGAGAGUGUAUAUACUGUUAAUCGAUACUAUAUCGAUAAAGCAGAAAGCUUAAUUUUGUUCUUCCUCCAUGCCCUGUCCUUUCUAUAGUAUUAUUGUACUACUCCCUUUACAGAUUUAUUAUGAACUGCUGGUAAUUUUCGCGUAAGAGUGACAACACGAUCGACGGGGAGAGUGAUAUGAUCGAUGUAAACACGAGUUUUAGCUGCAUGCGAAUUCAUGGCCCUGUCCUGAUCAACUUCGUCAUCGAUCCCAGGCGGCCGACCUGUGGCUAGCUGCCUGCAGCCUGCGUUCUAAAUUGACCGCUGGAUAUUUCUCGCCGCAGCAAAUCUCGAGUUAGUGGUCCAGAUUAAGCAAAUCUAGAUCUCGUGUUUAUCCACUCAGGAAACAGGAAUUCAUCUGCACUCAGCCCCCGUGUGCGCCUGAUUUUGACGCCACGGAUACAUCCGAGUUUUCCCGCCAUUAGGUACAGAUUAAAUAAUAAUAAAUAAUUAUUAUAAUUAUUUAAUAAUAAUAAUAAUAAUAAUAAUAGUAAUAGUAGUAGUAGUUGAUUCCUUGAUUGUACAUUUUGAUCUACUCACUUCUUUCCUUAACAUAUCUAGUGGCGGCUACAAGAGAGAAUCGACACUUUGUUGUAGUAGGCCCGGAUUGCCAGGUUUUACCACUCUCCUGCUCAAUUGUAGUCAAAAUCUAAGUUUGGUUCUGGGUCGAAAGGAACAGUAGCUACAUGUUUACCAUAUGCAAGAAACUUGUCUAACGCCUUCUUCAGAAUACACGACGCAUGCUAUGGCUUUGACGAGAAUCGGAAUAGCUGAGUGAGCGAUCAUGUCUUGACUCGAGGAACAACAUGUAAGAUGGAGGGUGGAGGGGAAUGGAGUGUUCUGAUUCAGAAUGAUUGGGUGUAAAAGGCACAUAUGAGGUGAAUCGGUUUGAAAGUGAAAGUCACCAAAAAGCGACGAAAUGCUCUUGAAGCCAUUUGACUUGAGUGAGACACGGGAGAAUGCAAUUUCGUGCGUGUAGAGGUGAAAUCCGUAGACCUACAAAAGAACACAAUAUUUCUAUAAGUUCUUAAAACUUUUAUGGAUUUCUCCCCCGCUCCAAACUCGUCGCCAGCCAUCAUGUGUCAAGCGAUAGACAGUGAAAACAUUGAUUGAGUUCAAACAUUUCCUCUUAAAUUAAGAAUGGGGUACUAGAUAGGUGUGAAGGUUAUCCGGCACCAUGAUUGAAUGGUGGUCUCUCCCUCGUCUCCGUCUCGACCGCAUGGUAAGUAACAACAGCCGUAGUGCAAGUUGGCGUUGACAAUGACCCAGUUACUUGGGAGCACCCCAAAGGCUCACAACAACAUCUAAUGUGCUAGUUUGGUUUGGAUUGUUGGCAUUGCUUUUACCAUUUAGAUUAAUAAUACGUGCAUCCAAAUAGGAUCUCACAUAUAUAUCCCGUUUCUAGACUGGUCUUUAAAUUUUCUAGUCAAUUUUUGAACAAUUUCUUUAUAGUACUUAGUUAAUUAAGCGGGGGCUUGCUUGCAUUCUCAAUUAUAUGAUCAGACCGUGGCAUCAUACUAUUGUAUAUCACACCUCGAUGAAAUUGGUUAAGUUUCUCAAUCGCAAGAUCGAUCCAGAACGAACAUGUCAUCUCGGUCAUGACUUCAAUCCUACGUAGGAUUAGGAUCAAAAUGACUCGGCAGGAUCGCAGAAUCGUACUAUGCUAAAAUGCUUAUCUUUGACAAUGACAAGAAGUGGCUGCCUUUUUGAGCGCAUUUCUAGACUAGAAUUACUGUUUUUGUGUGUGAAUUGUGAAACUGUGGGCUGCCCUUUUUUUUUCGGAAAGAAGCUGUGGGCUAGCUAGCUGGUUAGGGAGUGGGAAAGUAUCCCUUAUUGGGUGGGUUGGCUGCCUUAUCUAUUAUCCACUGUGGAAAGUGGUUAGCUAGGGCAUGUCAAUCUGGCCACCCCUCCCUACUUCUACACUACUGCCAAUUAUGGCUAAAUUGCUUUCAAUCUUCACAUGACUGGGGGCACAUAGUCAAUAUGCAUAUAGUACUCCAGUAGAUUUCACAAUCCACACCCUUGAUUACUAAAAUAGGAUUGUUGGUUGGUUUAUAUAGUACAAAUAAAACAUACGAAAAUAGCUUCCAACAAAUUUAUUUAUGCACAUUAGAAUGGCAUCGACACUUGAUUAACACGUAUAUAUGUGGAACCCAUCCACAAAUUAUUCGGUUCAUUUCGCUCUCUUUUUCCUUGGGUGUAUGCUGAGGAUAAGAUUAAGAUUUCGCGAUGGAGAAAUGGUGCAUGAUAAGCAGCAAAGGAGAAUUUGUUUGUAUGUGGGGGUCCAAAGAGAAGAGAUCGUGGGGAUCUACCAAUGGGGACGUGCCCAUUGGCAGCCACUCGUCCAUUAUUAUUUUGUUUCAGAUACUACAGCAACAAAUGGACACAGGGAGCGCUUGUCCACCUCUACCCUGCAGCAUACGUCAACUUGCUCCCAAGUCCCAACCACACUGCUCAACCAAAACCUUGGCUGGGUUUGCCUCCUCUUUGUUUUUGUUUUCUACCUAGUGCUUGUUUGCAAUAUAUGUCGAAUCUAAUUAACUCGUUAAAUGAAGAACACUGAAGACUGACUAUAAGAAAAUAUUGGUCCCUCAGAAUGAGGAUCAAUCAUUGUCACAUGUCUAAGUCAAGAUUAUGAUCACCGGACGGUAUUUUUUUUCCUUCAGUUACUGUCCGGCGACCGCGCCCCCCCACCCUUCUGUUUAAUUAUUAUUUUUACUUAAAGCCACGAUGAACAAUGACGAACCGAUGAUCCUCCGUUUGCCUUUAGGGGUACUACAUAAUUAUCUUCAAAAUAAAAUUGGAUUCAAAAUUCGAUCAAAAUCCAAAACAUAGGUUAAGUUCGAAUGCAACACUGGUAAUAUGUAAGUGCUGUAUAUGAAAACAAAUCAAGGGUCAGGUACAUAUGUUUCCCAAGUCCCAACUAGCUAAUCAACAUUAUUAUGACACAUGCAUUAGCUAUACCAUAUGUCAUGGUGUGAUGUACUUACUCCGUUCCAUAAUUUUUGUCUUAAAUUUAUUCAAAAAUAGAUGUAUCUAUGUCUAAAAAGUGUUUAGAUACAUGUAAUAUUUUGACAGGAAUUAUGAAAAAUACGCAGUACUGCCAAGGACAUCUUUGCACACAGUCGAGCAUCACUCCUUACUGUGUGACAGCAUCUAUGGCCUCAGAGUUUUGCGUACGAGCCUCGUGACUUGUCUGCUGCGCACGUGGCGUUUCCUCAGCCACUAUUUUCAACUAAAUCUCAAACGUGAAGUACUGCAGCAUUGGCGUCUAACCACACUGGCUGGUGGGCCCACACUUUUUUAUCUUUGUGCUCACUUGUAACGAACUUUGUUUUUUCUUUGGGGUGACCACCAACUUGAGGUAUUUAUGCGUGUGACGUGGCAAAAUAACAAUGUGUACAGGCCGGGAGGAAUUGUAUCAUCUUUGGCGUACCUUAAUGCAUGUACUGUCGGUGUAUUCAUGUAAACAACAAUAGACAAUUUUCUUGUGUUAAAUUUUAACGGCCUUUUGAUUUGCAGAAUUUUCAGAACGCAGGAACAAGAAAUACACCGCACUAAAGUGGCAUGUCAUCUUGAAUAGAACAUGACCGAAUGGAUUUUUGUUUGUUCAUGUGAAAAAAAUAGAAAUACCAUGAAAAACAUGAUUAGAGUGGAUGGAAGUUUUUCUAUGAAAACUAGUGCAAAUGAAUCCUAUGGGGGAAAAAAAUUCCUAUGAUUUAUAGACCUACGAAUCAAACGAUUCACAUGUAGGUAAAAAUUCCUAAACAGAUUAGAAUCCCCCAAUUUUUCUUUUGGAAAUCUUUUGAAUCAAAGAGGAACUAUGAUUGUUUACAUCUGUUUGUAAGCUUACUCCACUUUGAUGGAUUCUCUUUUGGCCCAUCUUUUCUCUUGUCAUGUCAAAACUUGGAAAACCAUGGGCGGAACACAUGACGAAUUAGAUUGGUGUCGUUCUCAUGUUGGUUGAUACUAUUUGGGGGAAAUGAUUGCAUCACGUAUGACUAGGAUAUAUGUAACAGGGGAGUUCAAAUUGGGGACUACUUCUAAGCCAUACAAACACGGCAAUUAAUAUUUCAAAGAUCUUGAAGUAGCUCAUGGUUACUUGAUGGAUUGACACUAAUCCGUCUUUAUCACCUUUCUUGCUUUCAAAGCUUGCAGUUUGGCAUUUAUUUUGUAGAUAAGGGGAGAUUUAUCUCUUUGCCGUAUCACAUCACGAUGGUGUCACCGAAAGUAAAGUGUUUCUCUGAGAACUUGAUUUAUGCACAUAGCAUGAUUUAUUUUUUAAGGUUCACCCACACCCGUCGUAUAAUUGGUUUGCAUUGGUUAAAUGUUUGCAAUUUCUAUUACAACAGAUUUUAUUUCUUCAAAUUUAUAGUACUUCCUCCAUCCAACAAAAGAUGUCUUAAGUUUGUCAAAAUUUGGAUGUAUCUAGACAUGACUUAGUGUAUAGAUGCAUUCAAAUUUAAUCAAAGUUGAGACAUCUUUGUUGGACAGAGGAAUACAUAUUAAAAUUUAAUCCUAAAUUUAGGAAGGUGGAAUUUUGCCAAAAUCUAUUAUUUUGGGUGGCUGUUCGUCUAAAAAAUUGUCUACUAGAAAUGGAAUAUGAUGAUAACUUAGGAAAAAAAAAUUAAGGCACAGAACUUUCUUUUAUUUGCAAGGAAGAAAGUCUCUGUAAGCCGUGAAAAGCUUUUGGGUACCUUUUUGGCCAUCUAUCAUAAUCUCUCCUUUUUCCCUGCUCCCCUAUAUAUUUGUCAACCUCUGCUCCCACACUGUGUGAGGGAGAAAGGAUAGAGAUAGAAAGAGAGAGGGGGGAGAGGGAGAAAGCAAGAUAUGCACUAACUAAUGAAACUGUUCUUAUGCAUCCAGAAGUUCAUCAUAGGAUUGAGUCCUAAUCAUUGUUGCUAGGUGCUGCUUCUCCUCUCAAUCUUUCUUAACUCCCCCUGUCUUCUGUAUGUGUGCUAUUCAAUAGUGAUAUCUGAAUCUUUGAUUGCACUUGAGUUUUCUUUGCCUUGCUCUGGUAUUGUGGAUGAUUCCUGGCAUGUUUUCGGUUGGAGAUGAAAGUAUUUGUUUGUUCCUUUGAGCCAAUAGAUUAGCUGCCACUUCAACAUCCUCCUACCUUAUCCUGGACAUGUUCUUACUCAUCUGUUAUUAGGCCAACAGUGGCAAAUAAUCCCGGUGAAUGUGGAUUGCCAGGGAGAUUCCGUUAGCUAGGAUCAGUAUCCCCGAAUUAGCAGAAGUUUAAGUAAGUUUGGCUGGCUAUGUGUUAAAAUUGUACUAUGAUCCAUUAAAAUCGUAUUAUCCAUUACGUACUGGGAUUCUGUAGUAGAGAUCUUGUUAUGGUACCUUGUUUAUAGAAAUCAAGCAUCAGAUUUGAUGAGUAUUAUUGUAGCAGACGACUGAAAUAUUUAUAACUGACAUGCAUGGCAGAAACAAUCCUGUGCUGUCUGAAGUGUUCUAAAAGUGUUUGUUGAAAGUGAAGUGAUGCUCUAGUAACUGAAACUCUUUGCUUGUUCCUGUAAUAGUGAAGUCUUCUCAUCAACAUCUCCUGCACAUUCUGGCUUUCUGCAGGGUUUUCAUGUAGGGGAAGGAAAGCUGCUCUUCGUCGAUUGCCACCGGAGUCUCUUGAAAUCAAUUGCCACCGGAGUCUCACGAGAGCAGCAACGACGACGUCUGUUAAGGCAGCCUCCGGGACGGCAAUGCCGGUUCCCCUUGCCCCUUAUCCAACUCCACCUGCACCGUUCACACCACCCACUCCCAAUGCAGGUAUGGUCUCCCUGGGCACUGCCAAGAAAGCCAGCUUUGCAACUCUUCCCUUGAUGCUUUUUUUUAGAAGUCAUUUCAUGUUUCUUGUCUUGGGCAACCAGAAAAUGCUUUAGUAUUUGCCAAAAGUAUCAGACACUCAAUCUUUAACAAGAUGAAUAUGGCAUAAAGUUCAGGCUUCUUCAUGAUUUUUUUACUAGAAAUAAAGCUCAGAUGGUUUCUUCUGUUUAUUUUAUUUUCUCUCUGAAGAUCUGAUAGAACAGAUUAGGCUCAAGAUAUGCUCAGUUGAGUUACAGACGUUUGUCUGCUGUUGCAAUGCAUCUCUGAAACGAAGCUGCUAGUAAUCAGUAUGUGAGAUCCAGACACUGAGCUCAAGUGGCGUGGUUGUGCAAUUUCAGGGGCUCAAAGCCAGCUUGUCUGCUCCGGGUGCCGGAAUCUGCUCAUGUACCCUGCCGGCGCGACGUCGGUAUGCUGCGCAGUUUGCAGUACCGUGACCGCUGUGCCGGCUCCCGGUAUGCAUAUGAAUCAAACUCAUUUUGCCCCUCGAGGAUUUGUAAGUAAUGUGGCAGCCGAACAUCGAGUUCCAUCUAUAUGCAAGACUAGUAUAGCAGACAGAAAAAUGUUCUUUUCUGCGGCUUGCUUCCUUUCUAAGUACAGAAAUGCAGUUGCAGAUUACACAGUAGCGUAGACAGAUCAAAGGGUUUAAAUACUUCUCCCUUGAACCAAUUCAAAGGGCUUUCCGCUAGCUGGCAAUUGUCCUGAAGUUCAGUUUUCAUCUGGAUUUGUUGGUGCAGGGACGGAGAUGGCGCAGUUAGUUUGCGGAGGAUGCCACACUCUCCUAAUGUACAUACGUGGCGCGACAAGUGUGCAAUGUUCUUGUUGCCACACUGUGAACCUGGCCAUGGAAGGUACACCAACCAAAGCUUAUUAUUUUCUUUCAUUUCUCCUCUUUCUUGGUUGCAAACGGUAUAUUCGGUGUGUUCUGUUUCCCUUCUUGAAACGAUGUUUGGUUUUUAUUCCUGCAUGUAAAAUCCUACUUCUGAAGAGAAUAUUUUCUGAGGUUAGAAAAGCUCUAGCAAUCAGUCAAUAACCGUUAGCAUCAUCGAAUUGGCUUAUCCCGAAGUCGCACUCAUCAAAAUUGGACUGUAGGAUGUAUGUGUUUGUUUUGAUUUAGAAAAACAAAAGCCUGACAAGGAUAUCCUGGAUCUACCAAAGUUUGACGAAUAUCUCCUAGAGUUACCAUAAGAUGAUAACAUGUCAGAGAAUUACGGAAACCGUUCACGGACACAAAGAUACUCACCAUCAAUCAUUUACUACUGACUUACUCAUAAAACUCAGAAGGAUGAGUGUUCAUCUAAUCUCAAACACUCUGAAUGAAAGAUGUGUCUCGUCACCGCAGCGAAUCAGGUUGCGCAUGUAAACUGCGGGAACUGCCGAAUGCUGCUCAUGUACCAGUACGGCGCAAGGUCUGUUAAAUGUGCGGUCUGCAGUUUUGUGACAUCAGUUGGGGUAAGUAUUCAUCACUUUUUGUUUAGUAUCAUUUCCUAUUUUUGCCAUGAAAAUUUUAUUUGGAUUUACAUCAUCCAACUGUCAUUGUUGUUGCUGUUGUACCGCAAACCUGAAUUUCAUUUAAUGCCAGCCAGACCUGAAGAGAGUUAUUAUUGCUUGUCCUUUUUCAGGCAACACCUGGUGCAGACCAGAAGUCCAGCAACUGAAACACAUGCAAGACUAUAAUGAAGGAUGCUUUGAGUGCACAUGUAUAGAGUUCUUCCCUGAAGCAAUCUCCAUUUCUUCCCUUCCUUCAUUGGAACUGGCGGGCCUGCGGAAUAAAACAAGAGUUUUUGGUAAUACCUAGUGUGCUCGAAAAUUCGUCGAAUCAUCUGUAUAACUGGAUCGAUCAUCAUCGUCAGAAACAUACAUAAACCCUACCAUGCUUAUGUUCAAAUGUAGUAGCUUCUUUCCCUUGUUUUGAUUUUUCUCUGUAGUAACUCCAUUCGCUCCACGUUUUGCGCUCCCCUUACCGAAAGGGAACUACACCGAAUCAUACAUUGACAGCAAGAUUUGCUGGAACAUGGAAAAACAUAAUAAUCCAAGAUGCAGCAGCAAAUCAGAUCAGAUGGGAGGUGAAUGAUGGGCAUGGAGCAGUGGUGGUGUUGCUUGCUAGGACACAGGAUUGGGUGAGUGCUGGGCGCCAUCGUCAUGACCUGGCCCCUUGAAGUCAUGUGCUGCUGCAUCUGGGUGAGCCCUUCAAUCAGGCUGACAAGGAUUGUCAAACCUGUGAUGGCUCCAUUGAUCACAGGUCCAAAUUAUUGGCAGAGAAAGCCAGCAAAAAAUGUUCCAGAUAAACACAAUGAUGAAGAGAAGAGGACCCAUUGAUGCCUUUUGCUGGUGCUGAGUCGGGUCAGUGUGGUGCAGGAGUGCUGGUGCCAGUUCAGAAACGGACUUAACAGCACUGCAGAUCCUGUCGGAUUGGUGCCUAAAUCUGAAAGUGUUUUGAGCUACGUUAAGUGCACCUAGCAAAAACCCUGCAAUUGCAAUUCGACACCAAUCAUACAAAGCACUUAUCAUUAAUUAAUAUUUUGAUAGUACUAUAUACUCUUCGCCCUUGACAACGAUUCAUUUUUUCCGGCUCGGCAACGACGUGAUCUCAGCCCUAUAUCGGCCGAGAUCGAUGGCGAUGCCGGAUGCACCAGAUGGCGCACUGGACGGAGGGGCUGGCCGUGACCACAGAGGCGGCCAGGAGGAACAUGCCCCCCCAUACUAGGAGCCAGUUGGCCUUGAUGCUCUUGUCUCCAGCCUGGGAGUAGAUGAGCAGGCAUACAGCGGCGGCGAGGCAGGUCACCGGGACAACGCAGACCAAGGUGAAGCACUCCUGCCAGACGACCUGAUCGCCGCGAGCAAGGCAGCGACAACCGCGAUGACCGGCAUGCUCGCCCUGAGGACUGGUGGCGCCCUCAGGAUUCUCCAGAUCCACCAUGGUCGCAGGGUAUAUGAUAUAUGCAAUGCAAUGCAGAGCUAUAUGAAGACAUUGUUCCAGAUUGUAUAACAGGAAACUCUGCUUUGUACUAUACUUCCCUAUCAACUACUGGUAGUCAGAAGAGGAAAUCUUAUGGGCAAUGCGGAUCAUAUCCUGCAAUAACAAGAUUGCCUAACGGGGAAAGCUGGACCUUCCUAAUUCCAAAUAAGAGAACCCGAUCUACCAAAUUUAGAGGUUCCAUAAAUAAGGAACUCUUCAAGAUAUGUAAACCUGAUAGGACUAUCCGUGUUCCGUGAGAUGCAAACCUGAUCAAGAUGAUAGUUCCAUAUAAGCUUUUAUGCGAAGCAUGUAAACAACAAAAUAUACGUUACAAAGCAGAACUAUAAUACAGUUAUUGCAAGGCUGAAGGACGCAGCAUGUACUCCUGUUGAUAAAGACAUCUAUCUACGUAAAUGAAGAAACCGGGGUGGGCGGAUGCAAGGGAUCGCCACAUCCUACACAAACUUGAAAACGCCAGAUCAACCAGCCACCCGUUACAUGGGAGCGGACGUUAUUGCACAGCUGGAUGUGAAUUCAAAACCAGUGCUGACUUGUAUCGACCACAGCCAGGCCUCAGAGGAUUGUGCAUCGGCUUCUUUGUUCUGCGGGAGAUAUCGUGGCCUGUUGGAACCGGUUCGGAUCAAAGGUAUCCACCCCGUACUGCCACGACAAAAGGUACCAGUUAAGACUUAAGAAGAACAAAAGGAGAUGUGCACUAAAGGAGUAGCGAUAAGGAUCAGCAGUUGUAUACCUUGUCUCUCAUUCUUUGGCUCCAUGCAUCGUUCCGGAUUGGACGGUAGUCAAGGUUGGGCACCCUAGGAUCAGCAGCAGCUUGCUUAUUCACCAAUGGCUGACGGACUCCAGACCUCGCGCCAAUAUACUCGUCAUCACUGUCAUAAUCAUCUUGAAUGCCUGACUGCACUAUGAGCGCUACAGUGAACAACAAUGCCUGCAAAUACGGUGUUAGUUAAGAAUCAUCGGCAACUAGCAUUACUGAUCUGGAGCAUGAAUCUGAAAUCCAAAUACAAAUAAAAAUUGUAGGGUAUUUUUUGCAGUGUCUAUGCUACACAAAGUGUGAAGUGCUGAGGUAUGGUAUGAUGAAAUUCACAUGAACAAAAGAUACGCACAUUGAGUAAAGAAAAUAUCAACAGCUGCAACCGCUUUCACAAAAAUGCAUCAUAUGUGUAAAUACUAUGAGGCAUUGGUAAGACUUGAUGUCUUGCAAUUUAUUGCAUAUGUGUUGAUUUCCUGUGUGAUACUAGUUACCAAACCUAGACUUCAGUCAGCACCAGAACCUUUUUUUUUUGCUAGGACUCUUGCAGUUGCUAGAACAAAACAUACUAAAAGAAAUGGAACUUAAUCUGGAAAAUUAGAACUAUAAAUUUUAUGUCAGAAGAGUAGCCUAUAAUGAAAAUGACUUGCAUUGAAAGAAGAAAAAUGUAACAAACAGAAGCAACCGAGAAGAGGAUAAGAAAGCAAGAGAGUCAUUGAUAGCAUUGUUAUCUAAACAACAGUAGUAUAAGCAUAUCCCUACUUAAUCUUUCAUAAGCUGUGUAGAUUUGUAACAAUAACAAAAAUUAAUUAUAGGAACAGUAGCAUGGUCGUAUAAGUUUCUAAUUCCACUAGUGUUAAAAUAAUAGUUGCCUUUAUUUGGACCAGUUUUAAUAAGUAGCUUAAUGCCAUUUACUUUUUUAUCAAUAGAUAAAUCCAGGUUGAUUCACAUAUGCUUUUAUCAAAUUAUAUGCAAGAGUUAUACGGUAAAGUUGUUCCAUUUUUACCUCAAACACAACAGAACCAAGUGCAACCCAUUUUGCAAUUCUCCAAUUUUCUUUCAGGAAACUGUAGAUCAUGUCAAAGUUGCCAGUCUUAUCAACUGGAAUUACCUGCAUAACAACAAUCAUUAAAUUCUAAGUUCCAAGAGAAAGAAUCAUGCUCAACAAAACAAGAGACAAGGCGUACUCACAUUUUUCCAGUCAUGGUCGAAGAAAAUGAAGCAUCCUGCAGCAAGCUCUACUAGUAUGAACAAAAUGAUGAGGAAUGAAUACUUUUCUGAAUGUCAAGAAAAUCAUAACAUGAAAGUAUAGGUAAAUAAGGUAGGGUAUGAUGUGUAAUAGCCACCUAAAACAAUCACACCAUGCAAUAACAGACAUUUAAAACUGCAUGUGAAACGUUUCAUGUUCAUACUAUUUAGCUCCAAUUAAAUUUGGUCACAUAUCUGUUGGUCUGCAACAGUAGUCCUACAUUUGAUUACAUGUUCGAUUUCCCUUGGGAUAAUCAUUCCUAUAUGAAAAUUUUAUGGUUGAUACCUUACUGCACGGUGAAUGGGUAUAAAACUGUUUGAUAGUUGAUAUUAAUAGGAACAUGCACCAGAGCAACUAAAAAGAAUCUCUAGAUGGUAUGUUCAUAACAAUGUAAUCUAGUAUUGGAUACAGUGGAUAAGCAGCAUCCGCUCCUCGUUGAAGCACCAGCACAACCGAAAAUGGAGGUAAUAAAGAGUAUGACGCCAAUGCCAAUAAACGCAAAAAUAAACCUGCAACGAAUAUGAACAAUAGGUGAAAAAAGUUGCAAAAGAAGAUCCACAGAGCUUUGCAUGAGCACUUGUGUUAGCCUUCUACUUAUGACAAUUCAAUGUGAGGCCGAUAGGACAAUUCUUCCAUCUAAUGUUGUCUAAAAACAACUUGUCACAAUUCAAAUUCUCGAUAGGGUAAGGAGAUAAAACAGUAGCUAAAAAAACCACUGGCAGUAAAUACAGAAACAAAGAUCUGUAUCCAGGUACAGUGCACCCAUUGCAUCGUGUUUUCCGCAAUUAAGUCACUGAAUUAUAAGCUUUUUGACUAGUAGUACUAAACAAGUGACUAGAUAUAAGUAAUUAAGGAAACAUGUAAAUGAGUUUUCAUUGUAUUUUUCACAGGAGCGCUAGCAGCGCUGUGUCCCCUACAGAUCACAAUUCACAUCAGGUGCCAAGACCACAUCAAGAAUCCCAGCUUUACCGACACAAGGAAAAGAUCAAGAGACGACGCACGCACCAUGCGCUGGAGAGCCUCUCCACGGUCCCAUUAUCAGACAGGGACGCAUCGAGAAGGAGCAGCAUCGGCCGCCCCAGCCGCACCAGGUCGCCGCCGCUAGGGGCCACGGCCGCAGGCGGCGCCGGAGACGGAGGCAGCGGCGGCGAGAGCACCUGGAGCCAGAGCACGAGCAGGUACGCGCCGUAGCCGGCCAUGGCCAGCCCGACCACCAUGACCACGAAGUUGAGCAGCUUGAGGACGCACUCGAAGAAGCCCCUGCACGCCAUGGCCGGAUUCCUUGAUUGAUUGAUGUGACACCCGGGGCAGAGAGAGAGAGACCGUCGCCGGGCCUCACGCAGAGAUUGCGACGGCGCCGGGCGUCGGUUCCGGGCAGGACAGGGGCGGCGCGGAAAGGGGGCGCCUUUGACCGAUCGAGGAAGAGGAGAAGGAGGCGCUCCUCGAUGGAUUCGGGGAGCGGGAGGACUCUGGAUGGAAGCGAAUCGAGGCGGGCAGAAGGGGAUCGGGAUAUGCGGCGGAUUGGGGGAUUGGAAUGUUGGCCCGUGCUCGUGCACCUGCGAUUCGGUAAUGAAUUCCGGGGAAGAAGAAGUGGGCUGCCGUCCGUGCGUUUUCUUUCUCUCUGGUUCUCUCGUGUGGAAGUCGAACUGAACUGAACUGUUACCGCUGGUUUAUUACAAAAAGUCAGCUUUAAAUGAGCUCUGGCUUGUGGUUUUCUGAACACAGAAAGCUGGAGUUCUUUUCUUACUGUAAAAAAAACAGGUUAUGUUAUUUUCUCGAUGAUGAAAGAUGAAUAAUUACCGUAACAUCAAGAGUAAACAAUUGGUUGCUGCACAUAAAACCGUUCAAAAGUCCACUUCUGUCCCUCUACCAAAAUCCACCGUUUAGCUCGGCUGAUGACGUGAUCAAUUCGCACUGAAUUAUAGUAAUCGACACGUCUCAUGUCUCCAGACUUAAGCUGCGACACGGUAGCAUCUGACGAGACACAGCUUGGAUUCUAGUGGCUUUGAUCCAUCUAAGCAAAGCAUCUGUCACUGCAGAUGGGACCCACGCGAUUAGUCUCCGCUAGUGGUAUCUUCUUAUCCUCUUUGGAAGCAUGCAGUCAGUGACGACCUGUUCCUCUCGUCGUCGGUUUAGGUUUGAAGAACUACUAGACUUCUUUUCAGUUGGAUUACAAACGGCAGGUCUCAGGCCGUCACUGACUGAAUAUGCUAGUAUUUUGGAGCUUGACAUACACCAAACAAGGGUAUGCUAGUAUUUCUUUUCGGAAUGACUGUUUUCAUGUAUCUAGUAAGUGUCUUUACUGUUCCAACGAUUUUUCUGACAUUUAAAGGUAACAAUAAAAGUACUGAUAUGGUGUUUACUUCUGUGGCCUCCUACACCCAGCGUCCCUGUGAUUCAGUGGGUGAAAUGGUGUUCCGCUUCUCAUUACACUACAGAAAGAGAGAUGCUCAUAGUGACUUGCUGCAUCGAGUCCGGUACCUGAAAUACAUUUUGAAUGAUCUUACAGUGUGUUCAUUGAUAUCAAUUGAUCAUGGGGUAAAAUGAAACAGACACCAGAAUUAUUCAGAAUCUGCUACUUGCUAAAUACCGUAUAUACGGAGUAACAUAUCUAUGCAAACGUGGCAGUGUAGAGAUCAUAGUGAUGACAACAAGUUUGGCAAUUUGGCAUAAAGGGAAUAAGAAAAACACAAUGUUCUUCCCUCUUGUGCAAAAACAUAGUAGUCCGUAUCACAUUACCAGUUUGCAUAUCCACAUUAGCUCUCAUUUUUAUUCCCAUUUCAUUUUGGUAUGUGGCUUAACGAUGUUUAAUCAAAAAGAAUAAAAACAUGCAAUUAGUUCACAUACAGACCAAAAUACAAAUUACUACUCCCUCCGAUCCAUAAUAGCGUCGGGGAUGUAUUUGGGUCCUAGAGAACAAAGAAGACAGGAAACAUACAAGUCUACUGCAUGUAUUUAAAUGAUUCAUCAAGAAAAGGGGAACAAGCAUCAUCUAUUUCAUCCGCACAUAAAUGAUGACGUAUUUUGUCUAACUGCCAUAUUGGUGUCAGCAAUUAGCUAAUUUUACAAAUAAGCUCGUGUCCAACAUUCCUUCCUGAAGGACAAUGUAUAGUAUAAACAAAACAUGGGAAAAUAAGAAAUUUGCUCUUUUCGCUGUAACUAUAACAUACAAAAUUGCUCAUGAUCCUAGUAAAAAUGAGUGGCAGGUAUUGAAAGCAUAUCAUGAGGCGUCAAUGUCAUCUGGCACAACAACCCAACAAAUGUUCAACAGCACUAGUAAAUAUGACAACUCACUAUGAUCAACUCAAACUAUUGUACUACCAUUAUUUUCCAUUGCUUAAUUCGACAACAUUUAUGCUUCACCAAAUGUGGACGACACUAAUGUUCCAUGAAUGAAAUUAAAAUUGACAGUCAACACACAUUAUACUUGUCCCACUUGUAGCUUCUAAAUGAUAGGAACAAGCUCUUCAGUUUCACCUCAAGCACAUACCAAAAUAUGACACUGAUUUCAAGGUGCUUGCUCACAACAACAACAACAAACAUGCUGAUAAAAAAACAUAGAGCUAUAAUCAAGUAUCAACAUGUAAAGAUCUAAGAUAAUACUAUAACUGCUGUCAAAAUGCAGUUCAGAAAGGGUUGUACCAGUCUAAAUCUCCAUGAAUUGCAGGUAAGCAAGGCAUGUUCCAGCUAUUGUGCUAUAUCAGACGACGUCUUGCUGCUCCGGAAGUCGCGCUUGAGCUCAGUGACCCUCUUCAUGCACCCGGCCUUCGUCUUCCCAGGCACCGCCGCAGCCACCUUCUCCCACCUCAUUGCGGUGUCCUUGGGGAACUCCUUGAGUGCAUUCAGUAGAGCCCGGUCGUCACCAGCGCUCCACCCACCGUCCCCACCACCAUCGCCUCCUCCAGCACUGCCACCUUCGUCAGCUUCGGCCGCCUCGGCCCUCGGGUCCAGCGGCUUGCGCUUGCGCAGGAACUGCUCGAACGAGCCCCCGGCUGCUGCUGCCGCGGCGCCGCCCGACUUAGCCGCACGGAUGACGCUCUCCGGCGUGCGCCGCCCGCCGAACACCGCGGCGAUCUUCUCCCAGCGCUGGGGCUCCCCGGCCGGGUGCUUCACCAUCUGCCGCCGGAGAAGCUCCAUUUCCUGAUCGGUCCACUCGCCGACGUCCUCCUCCUUCUCACCUCCGCCCACAGCACCGGUGGACCCACCCGUCGCCUCCUUCCGCGGCGGACGCUGCUGGACGGGAGGAUCGAUCGGAUCUGACGGCUUUGCGGGCGCCGGGGUCGUGUUCUGGCGGCGACCGCGGCGGGUGGCGGGCGUAGGGUCCGGGGAGGGCUCCUCGGCCGGUUCCUGCUCCGGGAGGGGGCUGCCGCGGCCGACGGAGAUGUCGCCGCCGGUGGCGGAGGAGGGCGCGAAGGGGGCUAGCAGGAGGGAGGCGGCGAUCCAUAUGAGGAUGGAAGAGAAGACCUGGUAGGCCGCGUCGAGGGAGUAGGCGGCGGCGAGGAGGAGCACGGCCGCCGCGGCGCAGGCGGCGGUGUGGGGGAGGGAGCGGGACGCGUGGUCCGCUGUGGCGGGGGAAGAGUUGGCGUUAGGGGCGGCGCGGGAGUGGAUGACGCGCGCGCGCGGCUGGGAGUCCCACUCGUCGUCGAUGAACUCCAUGGCUGCCGCCGCCGGCGAGGUCGGAGGAGCCCGCCUAAGCGAGAUGCGGAGCAGCAGGACUGUAAACGGGCCAGACCACAAAAGGGGGCCUGUUGCCGAUUCUGGUUGGUUUCUCUCUCAAACAUGGCAAUCAACAUUCAGAAACUGGUAAAAAUUGUCAAAAUACAAUGGAUGUUGUGAAAAUAAGUUCUCAACAUUCAGAAACUGGCAAACUUUGUCCAAAUUCAAAGGAUUUUGUGGAACAAAAAACUUUCACAUUUGAUAGCACAUCUUUUGUAUUCCUCCGUUACAUAAUAAGUGCCGAAAUAUUACAUGUAUCUAGACGUAUUUUAGUAUAUAGAUACGUCCAUAUUUAAACAAAUUUUGAGUCACUUAAUAUGAGAUGGAGAGAGUAUUGGUUUUUCAUGAAGAUAUAGCGGUCAAAAGAAUUUGAUCCAUUCCGAGGAGUUUGAAUUGUUGCCGGUGUAAAAGUCCAACCCGUUUGGGCCUCCACGUCGGUUGUCCUUGUUGUUUGAUACUCCCUCCAUUCCGUAAAACAGUUCAUAUAGUAUUUCUUUUUCUAUCUAUUCUCUUAUGUAGCUUAUUUCCCAUUAAUUCCCGUUCUCAAUCAAUAAUUGCCCGCAUUCAUUUACUCCUAAAUCAACAUGGUUGGCCAAACACUAGAAACUUAACUAGAGCUCAUAUUGGUUGAAGUACACAUAUUUAUAGUUGUUUUAUGGAAUGAAAUGAGUAGCAAUUUGCAUAUACUAUGUACUCCUUUCGGUUUUUUCAUAAGAUGUUAUAGUUUUGUCCUAAGUUGGAUUUCUUAAAGUUCAAUCAAGUUUGUAUAAAAAUGUACUAAUAUGUACAAUACUAUGAAAUAAAUAUGAAGUCCAUAUUACAAUCGUAAACCAAUCACAAAGUAUAAAUUACCCUCCGAACUUCAAUACCGGUUAGAACACAACUUCAAACCUUUCAUACCGUUUAAAUUAACCACCACUCCGUCAAAAGAUGGUCGCGCAUAAGUGGCAGAUUUUAAAUUACUAAGACAAGUAUAUAUAAGAUGAUGUAAGCAGGUCAUGGGAGUUUAAAUAUUACUCCUAGCUAGAAACUCUUAAAUCGUCACUUUUUGCUCAGAUGGAUUAGAGAGAAGAGAAGUGAUAUACUCCGGACUCCUGCAACGCGGACUCCUACAAACUACUCGACGACAUGGCAUGGCUUGCAGUCAGGUGCCGGCAAUUUUUCUUCUGAAUUUCUUGUCCCGGCAUAGGACUAGCAAUAGGACCAAGACAAUAAACAAUGGGGUCAUCCAUCAGGUGUGCAAAUCUCCGUUUCUUGACUUUUGACUCCAGCGUCAUCGAUCACACCAGGCUCAAAAGGUCAUGGAUUCUACUGGGAAAAAGGCCUGCCGGAUUCCACAUGACCUGUUCUUUGUCUUGCUUGCAUCCGGAGUGUAAGCGACAGAACCGGCCAGAGCAAAAUUUAGAAAAAAUAAGCUUGGAUUUAGAAAUUGAUUUCACACUCAAAAGACAUGUUACAUCCUCACAAAAUUUACGUCCAAGAUCAGUUAAUUCUAUUAAAAUGUGUGAGAUGGAUGUGAUUUAUUUACAAGAUGCAGGAUAGUUCCUAUAAUUAUUUUUUAAUAUUCUUCCGUCCGACAAAGGAUGUCUCAACUUUAAUUAAAUUUAAAUGCAUCUGUACACUAAGGUCCUGUUUGGUUGGGCUUAAAACUGUUUUUUGACUUUCGGCUUAUAAGCCACAAAAGCACCAAAUUAUGUGUUUUCGGUUUUGACAUUUGAUUUGAUAUUGUUAGAUGAUGGUAUAAGCAAAAAGAACAAAGUCAAAAGCAACUAUUUAGAUGCUUUUGUGGUUUAUAAGCCAAAAGUCAAAAAGCAGUUUUAAUCCCAACCAAACAGGCUUUAGCCAUGUCUAGAUACAUCCAAAUUUUAACAAAUUUGAGAUAUCUUUCGUUGAACUGAGGGGUAUUAUGUGACUCGGCAUCCAUGUCCGAGACAUCGAUUGAUAGCGGCCACACAGGUCUUUCUUCUUUUUUUUUUGCAGGGGCGGCACCCAGGUAUGGUCGGGAAGUUUGUUAAAUGAGGCAAACCAUUGUACGAACGGAGCACAAUGAUUUACAAAGGUGUAUCAGAGGAAUUAAUUAGGUUUGCUGAGAAACAACAAAUCUGAAGUUACUUCCGAAUUUGUAUUUUUGUUUGUUUGUACUGGAUGUAGAAGAUGGACGGUCAGGUUCAUAUGCUAAGGAACUGUUAGUCAACCGUGUUGUAGCCAGACCCAAACAGAAAAGGCUUGGAUUGUCACUACAGACUUCGAGUAGACAAAUUUACUUGCAAGCUUGUGAAAACUUUCAGCGUGUGUGUUCUAGCUGCAGCAAAGCUGGCGACCGGAUACGCGGUACACGGAGGUGAAUACAAGAUGAAGCGCCCGACAUCAGGUGCAGCUACCAACCCAACAACUGGACUUCACAAGCCACAACGAUGUGGCAACGGAAAGCAACGACGUGGACCGACUUAAUUGUGGCUUUCUGGAAAGGGCAAUGUCACAUUCACAGGCAGAAAGAAACAGCAACAACGCGUGCAAACAGGUUACAAUUUACAAGCCUCGCAGCCUCGACGAACUUCCAUGAAAAACGGCAGGUACAUUCUUCUCGGACUCCACACGAGCCCAAAUUUACCUCUGAACGUGUCAAUCACUCGUGGCGAAACCAUAUGGUCCACUGACCGUCGUUCGUCAUGCGCCGGCAAUUUUUCUUCUGAGUCUCUUGUCCCGGCACAGGACUAGCAAUAGGAUCAGAACAAACAAAUUGGGUCAUCCAUCAGGUGUGCAAAUCUCCGUUUCUUGACUUUUGACUCCAGCGUCAUCCAUCACCCCAGGCUCAAAAGGUCAUGGCUUCUGGUGGGAAAAUAGGCUUACUUAUUACAGGAGUCCCCGCUUGACCUGUUCUUCGUCUUCCUUGCAUCCGGAGUACGCGAGAGAACCGGCCAGAGCAAGGCAGAGCCAGGAUACAGAAGCAGUAAAGCUUCCUUUGGUCAGGACUUCAGCUUCAGGUAUGUUUAACAUUUUUGCGUCCUGCAACAGGGCCAGCUUAAUUGUGUGCCGCGUGAUCACUACACAAUCGCCGGUUGUUUCAUCUCAUGUUCUUGUUUAUGUCGUUUCUCUUCCAACACCAUGUGAUGCAAUCCAUCCUGGUUUGUAACCUAUAUAUUGCACAGCAGAAAAAAGGUGCAAGUUAUCAUUCAAUAACUACAAUUUGCUGUUUUCUAAGACUAUAUUGGAGUGAAGUAAAAGGAGAUAAAUUCAGCCUUUUCUUUUCUUCUGAUGCAUGUGCCCACUAUGCAAAUUUUAUCUUACACCUAGUUAACUAAAGACAUCGAUAUACAAACUUGCACAGAAAUAAGGGAGUACAGCAUGUGCUGGAAAUAAGAGGAACUGCUUUCAUAUGCCAAAGUACAUCUUCGGAGGAAUGCAUCAUUCAUAUGCCAUGCAGAAAUGCCUAGACUGAACACUUGUCGAAAAGUAAAGAGGGUGAGGGAUGUGGUCAUAUAAUUCUACAUAACAAAUUAAGCAACAUCGUAACAAUUCAAUGGUGUGUAAUAGCAGGAGGUGCCCAACUGCUCGUACUUGUCUCUUCAUUGUCACUAACCAUACUUCAUAUACACAAGUAACAACUAUUGGCCAGGGUUUGAAAAGAAUUAACAAAACUAAUGAAAUUGAUUGAUUACUACAAAAGACCAGCCUUUUCUUAUCACAGAAAUGGUCUAGUGCAUGCACGGAGUAUAUAAUUGUAUUGUGUGUAGUGCUACAUUGCUACUUGAUAUAAUCUCGUCAUGUUGGCUGGCAUUUUUCAUAUUUAUUGAUUCUUGCAUGUUAAUUAAUUAUGUUUAUCUGUUUAAAUGUCAGGGAAUUGCAUGCUCCGAAAUGUCUCCUGCUCUAAAAUUGCUUCUCUUGCCACACCUGCUCCUACUCACAUCGACUGCAUGUUCUCAGGCAUUGCCAUUCAGCAAUGGGACUGAUCUCAAUGCCUUGCUAGCGUUCAAGGCAGGUAUAAACCGCCAUUCAGAUGCACUGGCCUCAUGGAACACAAGCAUUGACUUGUGCAAGUGGCGUGGUGUCAUCUGCAGCUACUGGCAUAAGCAAAGGGUAUCAGCACUGAAUCUCUCCUCGGCUGGUCUUAUUGGCUAUAUAUCCCCUUCCGUUGGGAACCUCACGUACCUGACAAGUUUAGACCUCAGCUACAAUCUACUACACGGUGAAAUCCCACAGACAAUUGGCCAGUUGACCCAAAUGUCAUAUCUUGACUUAUCAAACAAUUCGCUCCAAGGUGAAAUGCCCUGGACAAUCGGCCGGUUAUCACAGUUAACAUACCUAUACCUAUCAAACAAUUCGCUUCAUGGGGAGAUCACACAUGGCCUGAGGAACUGCACUCGCCUUGUCAGUAUCAAACUUGACCUGAACAACCUCAGUCGAGAAAUCCCUGAUUGGCUUGGAGGCUUGUCAAGGAUUGAAACCAUAUCAAUAGGAAAGAACAGCUUCACUGGUAGCAUGCCAUCAUCACUUGGAAACCUUUCAUCACUACUUAGAUUGUACCUCAAUGAGAACCAGCUGAGCGGUCCAAUCCCUGAGAGCCUUGGCAGGCUUGGUAACCUUGAAUCCCUGGCACUGCAAGUAAACCACCUCUCAGGCAACAUCCCGAGAACGCUCUUCAACAUUUCUUCACUCGCCCUCAUUGGUCUGCAAAUGAAUGAACUGCAGGGUACACUGCCCUCCAACAUGGGCAAUGGCCUUCGAAAAAUCCGAUACCUUAUCCUUGCUCUGAACCAUUUCACAGGAAGAAUUCCAGCUUCAAUUGCAAAUGCAACCACAAUUAAAUCCAUGGACCUCUCAGGUAACAACCUCACCGGAAUCGUGCCUCCAGAGAUUGGAACACUCUGCCCAAACUUUCUGAUGCUCAAUGGAAACCAGCUGCAGGCAAACACUGUUCAGGACUGGGGGUUCAUCACUUUGCUGACAAACUGUACAAGCCUUCGUUGGAUCACGUUGCAAAACAAUAGGUUCAGCGGUGAGCUUCCAAGCUCUAUUGCCAACCUAUCUCGGGAACUUGUAGCCCUAGAUAUCAGAUAUAAUGAAAUUUCUGGCAAGAUACCAGUUGGCAUUGGCAGCUUUCCCAAACUAUUCAAGCUAGGGCUCUCUAGCAACCAAUUUACUGGCCCCAUACCAGACAGCAUAGGAAGGUUGAAGAUGCUCCAGUUCUUGACACUAGAGAAUAACUUAAUCUCUGAGAUGAUGCCAUCCACACUUGGGAACUUAACACAGUUGCAGCACCUUUCAGUAGAUAACAAUAUGUUGGAGGGACCUAUUCCCCCAAACAUUGGGAAUCUACAACAGCUUGUCAGUGCAACCUUUUCGAACAAUGCACUUUCAGGUCCAUUACCUGGAGAGAUCUUUAGCCUGUCAUCCUUGUCAUACAUUCUGGAUUUGUCUAGGAAUCAUUUUAGUAGUUCUCUUCCAUCCCAAGUUAGUGGUCUCACAAAGUUAACAUACUUGUACAUCCAUGGGAACAACUUAUCUGGGGUGUUGCCAGCCGGUCUCAGCAAUUGUCAGAGCUUGAUGGAGCUCCGUUUGGAUGGUAACUACUUCAAUGGUGUUAUUCCUUCGUCUAUGAGUAAAAUGAGAGGCUUGGUGCUGCUAAACUUGACCAAAAACAGACUCAUUGGCGCAAUUCCUCAAGAAUUAGGACUCAUGACUGGCCUACAGGAACUGUAUCUUGCACAUAAUAACUUGUCUGCACAUAUCCCUGAGACCUUCGAAAACAUGAAAUCAUUGUACCGGCUAGAGGUAUCCUUUAACCAACUUGAUGGGAAAGUUCCAGAACAUGGUGUGUUCACCAAUUUAACCGGGUUCAUUUUUUACGGGAAUGAUAACCUUUGUGGUGGUAUUCAAGAGUUGCAUUUGCCUCCAUGUCCAACAAAAACAAUGGGACACACUCAAAGGAUAACCCAACUCAUUCGAAAUGUAGUGAUCCCAACUGCUAUUGUCGUCUUUGUAUGCUUCAUGAUGGCACUAGGUUUGUUCUCAUUAAAAAACUUCAAAAAUAAAUUAACACUGACAUCUAUUAGAACAGCAUUGGUAACUCCUUCCUUGAUGGGUGACAUGUACCCUCGAGUUUCUUAUUCCAAGUUGUACCAUGCAACAAAUGGCUUCACAACCAACAAUUUGGUCGGUACAGGACGAUAUGGAUGUGUUUAUAAGGGAAGGAUGAUGCUCAAGAAGUCAGUGAGUACUGUGGCUGUGAAGGUUUUUGACCUUGAACAAUCUGGUUCUUCAGAAAGUUUUGUGGCCGAGUGUAAGGCACUUGGUAAAAUUCGCCACCGUAACUUGAUUGGUGUCAUAACUUGCUGCUCUUGCUCUGACUUUAACCAGAAUGACUUCAAAGCAAUUGUUCUCGAUUUCAUGCCUUAUGGGGGUCUUGAUAAGUGGUUACACCCAGAAAUAUAUGGAUCAAAUCCAGUCAAAAUUCUAACAUUAGUGCAAAGAUUGAGCAUUGCUUCCGACAUUGCUGCUGCUCUAGACUAUUUGCACAACAACUGCCAGCCAGCGAUAGUUCACUGUGACUUCAAGCCCAGUAAUAUUCUUCUUGGGGAGGACAUGGUUGCUCACGUUGGGGACUUUGGCCUUGCUAAGAUUCUCACUGAUCCAGAAGGCAAGCAAUUGAUCAAUUCAAAGAGUUCGAUAGCGGGAACAAUUGGAUAUGUUGCUGCAGGUAGCUCAGUUUUAUUUCAUAUUUAUUCAAGUAAAUGGGGUGGUUUACUCAGUAUAUUUUUUAUGUUGUUUGUGCACUGCAGAAUACGGUGAAGGUUGUCAAAUUUCUCCGAGUGGGGAUGUCUACAGCUUCGGUAUCGUGCUCCUUGAGAUGUUUACAGGGAAGGGACCUACACAUGGCAUGUUUACCGAUGGAUUGACCUUGCUCGAGUAUGCAAAGAAGGCUUAUCCAGCACAACUAAUGGAAAUUAUUGACCCCCUUCUGCUAUCAGUGGAGAGGAUACAGGGAGAUCUGAAUAGUAUCAUGUACUCCGUCACAAGACUUGCCCUGGCAUGCAGCAGGAAAAGACCAACUGAGAGGUUGUCCAUGAGAGAUGUUGUAGCUGAGAUGCACCGGAUAAUGGCUCGCUAUGCUGCAGAAGCAACUAGUGAGAGUAGUUUUGAGUGAUGGAACAUAGGUAACUUGUGUUUGAAGAGCAUUAGUUUCAUAAGAUAUACUAGCUGCAUAACAUUGCAAAUUAUGUUAAGGAGGGACAUGUCAGUGUUUAUAGAGCAUGCCUUGUGCUUGAGCAUUGUGGGCAGUACUUUCGAACAUUCAAUCAUCAUGUUUCUAUUCUUCAGUAAACAUUGAAAUGACGUUUUUUUUGCAUAAUUUUUAGAAAAAUAUUUACUAGCACCUAUUAGGGGAAAAAUGGAAAAGCAUGAGAUUUUAAGCUUAUUAAUUUGGUAUUUUUUAUCAGAUUCACAUGUAGCAAAGAGAGAUGUAAUUCGUUUAGCAACUACAUUCAUAUGAAAUUGUCAGAUUUACAGAUUCAACGGCGACAAUAUUGGCAAUUGCUGGUGGGACACACCCCAACCAGAAAUUGCUCUGAACAUUAUAUCUAGACGCUUUUUAAGCAUAGAUACAUCCAUAUUUGGGAAAAUUUGACUAUUUGAGUGACUUGAUAUGGGACGGAGGGAGUAUUAUUUUUUAUCAGAUUCACAUGUAGCAAAGAGAGAUGUAGUUCGUUUAGCAACUACAAUGUUAGGUGUCAAUAAAUCUAAAAGGUAACUAUCAUAGAGUAUGUUGUACCUAAAAUAUCCUGGACAGUUAAAUAUAAUUAAGUCCACAUUUAUUAUUUUCUUAAAAUAAGUACUCAAAUAUUUCUGCAGAUUUUGGAGCACACAAAUACAUCACAACAUCAACCGCAAAAAAUUGAUGGGUAAAGAUGUUUGGAUGAAAAUAAUAUACAGCAUUCACCUUCAUUUCCUAGGCAAACGGCGUGGCUUCAAUUAUUUCCCUCUUCCAAUUUGUAUUGCUACCACUGCAUACAAGGAGUCAAACAGGACAAUAUGGUCAAGUCAACCGUAACGUCUUGCCUAUUUGUGCCUAAAUAUUAAUAUCUCUGCAUCACUAACUCAUUUACGCUCAAGGAUCUAUUUAGAUUAUUUUAUAUCUCAGCGGGUAAACACAACAAAAUACAAAAUUAGCAGCAAAGGCUAGUGGUGAAGGCUACCUACAGCAUAACUUCACAAGAUUAUGCUCGUGACCAUGCAUGCAUCAAAGAGCAGAUGCGGUAUAAGGGCCUCCCUAAAGGCACAGGAAAGCAUCUUUGCACUCGAGGUCAAUCGACAGUCUGCACAGACCAUCAGGCUAUCAUCAGCCAUCCUUGGUGGCUUUUACGGGUUUGUGGUUUACAAUGUGAGGAAGAAGGCUGGUAAUGAUAGCAAGUAGUCAAGUACAUUCCGGAGGAGCGGAGAUUUCUCAGGUUCACUGGUUUACAAUCUGAGAGGCAAAGGGAAGGAGAGGAGGAGGCAGGGCUCACCUUCGUGGGGUCUGGAUGCAGCGGGUGGACGGUGCCCCAUUUCAUCGAACACCUUCCGCGCGUAGCCAUUCAUCCUCGACUCGCGGCUGCACAUUUAGUCGAACAACCGGACGGCGUCGUCGAACAGGGAGGUGGAAGUGGAAGUGGAAGUGUGGAACCACGUACGAGAUAGGGUUGAGCAAGCAGGGACGGCAGGAAAAAGUGGUGGCGGGACGGGAGGAGAGGUCGGCAUGGCAGCGCGCUCGGGCGUUGGAGGUGAGUGGCUAGGUAUAAGCUACUGUAGUGAAAGAAGAAGGCAAGCUCGAUCGUCGGAAUGGAGCAACAAGAGAUGCGGCGAACGAUGGCUGUCUGCAAGGUUUGACAUAGGGUAGUACAAUUGAAUUGUCGAUACAAAUGUGAAGCGCCCGUAUGAAACUUGAGCUCUAUAAAAGAAAUGUGACCAUUUUGAUUUUAAAAACGUGUACCUUUCAUUUUCACAUAAAAGCUCACAUAAUUUCAAGUCUUCUAAUUUGGAAAGUUGCACAUCGCUCACUAAAGUUACACAUACAAUUUAUAAGACAUAUAGCUAUUAACUUUGUACCGGAUAAAUUGGAGAUUGUUGACAUAAAAAUGAAGAUUCUUAGAUCGACUUAAAAAAAGCAUCUUCAUUUUUAAGAUUCUUAGGUCUCUAAUAUUAUAAGAUUAUCCAACUAGGGGAUGGGGCGCGCCUUUGCGCGCCUCCUUGAACGAAACUGGUGGACAUGCAGUUGGACGUGGGAAGUUGUUUUGUUGUGUGCUACUAUCACAAAAUAAAAAAUGAAACAGUACUGUUUCGAAGGUCGGAACGUGGGUUGGCAAUAAACUGUCUAGUGAUUAUCAUGCGCUCGUACGGUGCACAUACAACUCUAUAAAAAGUUUUUUGUAUUCGAGGUGGUAAAAACAGGCAUUUUUAAAAGUUAAUUAUAUAUUAAGAAAUCAAUUUCGAAUGCCAUUGAAUUUAAGGGCAUUCUGUCCAUGGCAUCGUAGGAAAGCUGGCCUUCCAACUGAGAUGGCGGAAAGUUUUGUCAAUUAAUUUCGAACAGGACCAAUUUUGUAAAAAAUGUUGGCAGGUGCCACUAUUCCAACAAAUUUCAAGGGGUACACUGCGGACCACACCCAUCCAUAUGACAUAACAGUGCACCACUCAAAUCAACACACCGGGGGCACCUCGCACACACCAACUGACAGCCGGACCAGAGAAGAGAAGAAGGCCCACUGGCAUGGUGCCACCGGUUGCAGACAGCCAGACGAAGCCGAACCAAAACGCCGACGUGGACAGCCCCAGCGUCGCCCCUUUCUUCGCGGAUUUAAUGGGUUAAAUUCCCAACUCCCACGCGACCAAAACGGGAAGAAGAAAUGCGCGCAGCAGCAGGAGGCCGCGCCUUCCAGCUCCACCUCCUCUGCCCGCGCCGGCCAUGGCGACCUCCUCCUCCCGCCACCGCGCCUAUCUCCCACUCCGCCCCCGCGGCGGGGCGCCUCCACCACCGUCGCCCUCCCAACGGUUGGUUCCUCUUUAUCUUGCUCGCCUCCGCUCGCCACCAGGGUGUUCGACGAAAUGCUCGCCGCCGGUUUAGGACAGGAACAACAGGCGCGGUUCCAUGCAACUCGUGGUUCUGGAUAUUACUAACUCGUGGUUCCAUGCAACUCAGGUUUUUUGUCGACUCUGGAGCCAGGAGUUUCUGCGAUAUACUUGUGCCAUCACAUCCAUUCUGCGACGUCUAGUGUUUCCUUAGAGGACAGGUCACGGACAGAGUUAACAGAUGGAUUAAGUGUACGCUAUUUUCCAGUCCUUCACUGCUCACGUCCCUUUGAAAUGUAUUUCGUGUUCCAUAUUCAGAGGUUCUAUUGUAGCGUGCGUUGCUGAAAUGCAAACACUACUUCUAUAUGUGUACAGUGUACUUACCUGUCGUUUGCUGCUUUUCACGCUUCACAUUUUGGUUGCAUAUUAAUGAACCAAAGUUAAGCACGUUCUUAAUUGUCAAGAUUCAUAUAUGCUGCUGAAAUCUGAACGUAUCUCUAAAUUGUUUUAUCACCCCGGUGACCUGUUAAUUGCAUGUGUGCCGACAUUAAUAUUUUGGCUCCUCCAAUUCUGCAGACUUUUCUUUUUGGUAUACAUGGUGAUGCAAAAAGCCUGUAAUGCUUGUAAUGUAUUACAGGAUUUUUCUUAUGUAUAUUGUCUAGUUUCUGUGUACUUUCACUAGAAGUUUUGAUAUACCAUCACGAUUUCUGAUCUUGUUGUGGUUAUAUACUUAUAUGAUAGUACUGCAGCUACAUUCUGGAUGCGUGUGGCUAUUUCCGGGUUUGUUCCUAAGCCUAUGUAAGCUGCCUAGUAUAUAAGAACCACGAUGCUGGAUGCUUGACUAUUGCUAAAGAACAAGGAGCUGGUUACUAGUGUAAUAUAUAAACCUUCAGCGAUAUGAAAGUUGAGGUUAUCUGUUUCUGGUGUAGUUAGUUAAUUCUUCGCACCUCAAGAGAUGACAUGUAACUUCUGUGCACUUCUUUAGUUGAAUGCUAUGCAAAAGAUACUUCCAUUAGCAUAUUGUGUAUAUUUGCUAAUUGCUACCGGAUGCGUCACAAAGAUAAUUUCUUUGCUAUUUUAUAUGUAUUCAGGGGGGCCUUGUGCAAAAAACUGAGAUGGUUGGUGCAUUUCAGAGAAUACCAAUGGUAAUGCCUGCAACUGAUAUACUUAUGUCAGCACAGAGGAAAUCAAGAAAUAUACCACCCACAAAGGGUAUUAUUCUUCCCAUUUAUUGUUUCCAUCUGUGGCUGCUAUGACAUUUCUUAUAGCGUUCGGUGUCAACAAGUUUACUUCAUAAUCCAUAUGUUCUGCAGGUAUAACAAACAUUGCCAAGCGUGAAAGGAACAAAGGUGCAAAGCAACUUGAUGCCUUAAUGAAAGUAAGUCAUGUGCUGUGUUUCCCUGCUAAUCCAAGUAGUUUAAUUGGGUUACCAAGAGCCUUUUUUAUCUUCAGGAACUUUCUGUGCCACUGAGAACGUAUACAGAGAACUUCCCUAGGAGGAGAGAUUUGCAUCCUUAUGAGAGAUCUCUCAUUGAGUUGACUUUUGGGGAGGGAUAUUAUGAAAAGGUAUGGUUGCUAUAUGACCUGCCCCUCUUUGUUCUUCUGAGUAUAAGCGUUGGAUGGAUAAUUCCAGAACCCGAAUUCAAAAUUGACAAUCUUACUAGCUCUUUUAAGUUUGAAGUGUAUUUUUCAUGAAAUUUAUGCAUAUUAUUUCUUGAGUUAUUAUGAUGUUGUUGACAGUGCUCUGGCAGGUACUUGGACGAGUGGAUGCUCUUAGAAAAAAGAUAACUUCUGUAGGGAAGCAACAUGCUUCUGUCUGUGCUAAGGUUAGUGUAGAUGACAAUUAGUUUAUAUUUUUUCAGACCUUGAGGAUCCCAUCUUCAUUCAAAACAUUAUCAUGUCUCUUACAGCUAAAAGAAAAGAAAGCAGUACGCUCAUAUAUCAGCCAGUACCAAAUUCUAACAGUCACAUAGCAAAGUAACCGACUACAGCAGCUAGAGAAACAACUGACAGAAGAGUUAAAGAUUGAAUCAAAAUUGAAUGCUCAAUGAAGAUUACACAAAUGACUGAAUCAGACCAUCUGCUGACACCCACCCUGCUCUGUUAACUUCAACUCCCACGUGUCAGUAUUCUACCAAUGCAACUACAAACUAUUCAUGUACUCCCUCCGGUCAGAACUACUUGUCGAAAUAUUACAUGUAUCUAGACACUUUUUGCACAUAGAUACAUCCGUAUUUGGACAAAUUUGAGACAAGUAAUACUGGUCGGAGGGAGUAUCCUUUUUUCUUACUAAGCAAUUGAUAGGUAACCUUACCAAUGUAGUAACCAAUAACCAUCGAUGACAGAUAAGACAAUUUAUAUUUCAAAUUUAUAUUUUUAGCACAUUUCAUGUAAUAUAAAGCUUCGACAGCAAAACCUGUUACAGUGGCACUCUGGUAGGAAAUGACUCAAAUGAGCAUGUGCCUAGGGAAGGUGAUUGCGCAGUAUAUGCACCAACAUACUCAGUAAGGUGCAGGUGUUGUGGUCAAGCUAAUAACCUCCUUUUUAAUAUGCUAUUCAUCUGUGUUCUAAAGAUUAGACCCUAAACCUAGAUAGCCAAAUGCCAAAUAUGUGAGCUUGUUCUCUGUGGUUGACUAAUUGGCUUGUAAAAAACUGGCUUGAUGAUGAUGAUGAUGUGAAGCUAAAAACUCCUCGCUAAAUGGAUCCGAGGCACCUGGCAUAUUAGAGCAAGGGCAUUGGUCUUCUCCCUUAAGGCCCUGCUUCGGCUCCUCCCCUAUCAUUUUCUUCUUCCUGGAUUCUUAUCUUUGGUCUCGGCAUCUGAGAUCCGUCUGCUUCUUAUUAUUUGUCCCAUUCCAAUCCACUUCGAAACUCUUCUACAGUUGUAUCCUUUUGUUGUCUUCUUGGUAGAUGUAAGACCAAACUUCUGCAGACUGUUUCAUGAUUUUCAGUGUUGGGUACUGUUGAUGCAGAACCCUUAACCAGUGUUGCAUACAUACAUGGUCCUUGUAGGCUUGUACAGUUCAUAAGAAAGUUGCAUAUACACUGAGUUGGCCUCGUAAUAUUUGAGUAUGAUGUAUAACAAGGCAUUGUUAUGAGUUGUUGACAUAUAAGUUUUUUUUUAGUUCUUUUACCUACUUCAGAAGUUUCUUCCUUUUUAGUGAAAUAGCUGCAGAGAAUUUGUCAAUUUAAUUCAGGAUAUACAUUGACCUUUGCAGUCAUUAACGAAACGUGAAGCAGAGGAACGACUCAGUGAGGUUUGUUCAAGUUUAAGGCACUUCUAAAUAAGUGCCCUCCUAGAUCGCUGCUCUCUCUUAUUAUUAUUCUUCGUUUACAUUUAUAACUCAUUUAUGUUUGACUUUCUGUGUUUGAUGUUUCAUUGCUUGCCUCUACUAUUUUUCAGGGCCGGAAGGAACUUGAGGAAGUUUUCCAGCGUGGUCAGAAUGCGAUUGACGACUUAAUAAACGUUGCAAAGGUAUAUUUCAUACUACACAUUGGAAUUUGAGAUUUGGAGAGGAGAAACCAAGAAAAUGAUUAUGGCACCUUAUACUUUGAUUUGUUCACAAUAAUUUAUAUUUAUGAGAUUUAUAUUUUAUUUAUUGCACUAUUAAGUACUUUGGAUAAUUGGAUUGAUCAAUGAGCUAUACAGGCUUUGCGUUCCAUGCCAGUUGUUGAUCCACAUAUACCAACACUUUGUCUUGUUGGAUCACCCAAUGUGGGAAAGUCAUCAUUAGUCCGCAUAUUAUCUACAGGGAAACCUGAGGUGAGCAUAUCCCCGAAUAGUGAAUGCUGUUUGAUUUAGUUGGAGUGUAGUCUGGUGAUAAGCAACCAUGUAUUGCGGGUUAGUAAUUAUAUGAAUGUUCCAAAUGGUUGUGCUCAUCUGUCUCGUCAAUAUUACUGCUGUUUUUUUAUGUUCAUCCAUUGGUGAGUUUCUAGUUUUAUAGUUAGCAUGAAAGCACAAAUAUUUUGAUUUACUUUUAGGCCAUGUUUCUAUAUGCUUCUUAUCUACUCAAAUACUUUUAAAGCCUCAUUCUACUCACAUUUCUUUAUUUAAAUGUAAUUUAGCAUUUCUAUUGUCUUGCACUGCUUACCAUUUUGCAGGUCUGUAGCUACCCUUUCACAACAAGAGGGAUUCUAAUGGGUCAUAUCGUCUCCAAUCAUGAACGGUUUCAGGUUCUAACAUAUGCAUUUAAAUUUCGUCCUGCUGUUAAAUCAAAGCUAAUUUCUUCCUUUCCUUCUGAGAUCUGCCGCCACUGAACAAGUAAGAUAUUUGCAGGUUACUGACACUCCAGGACUUCUCACAAGACAUGAUGGUCAGUCAGAUUUAACCUUGUUGAAGUAGUUACUAACUUGGGAGACUGCUUUCAUGUUACUUCUGUAGUAUUCUCCUGUCCUUGAAUAAAAUAUGGGAAAGCAAAACCCUGCCACUGUAAUGUUUGCACAGUUCUCGAAAUUGCAGAGUUUGCACUGGCAUGGUUCCAAUUUUCCCCCAUUAAAUGUAGAUAAAUAAUUGACAACAAAAUGUUCUAUGUUAAGUAAGAUUUGUUCAACAAAGACAGUAUAUAAGCCUUUUGAAUUCCAACUUGUUGGUACUCGAAUAUAUAUGCAUGCUACAGUGUGUUGGGUCUAUGUUUUCCAUGUCCCAUUUUAGCAAAAUUUCGAUGUCAGUGCAACUAUACUAUUCUGAAAUUGCUGUAUUACAUGUAAUCUGUUCUCAUUUGUUAUGUUGACAGAUGACAGGAAUAACAUAGAGAGAUUGACACUCGCUGUCCUUUCUUACAUGCCAAUUGCUGUCCUGUAUGUUCAUGAUCUAUCUGAAGACUGUGGGACUAAGGUGGCUGAUCAGGUACAUAUUUUAUUUACCGUGUGAGGGCUUUUUAUGUCAUUCAUUCAUUCUAGCUUCUGAAGCUCAAAUAUAUGAAAAUCAUCGAUCAUGCAAUCAGUGAGACCAAGUCACCAAUUUUGCAUUCUCCUACCUCAGAGGGGGUUCUACUAAACAUCCUUCUUCUUUUUGUGUAGUACAUCACGUACAGGCAUAUAAAGGAACGAUUUGGCGAUCGCCUAUGGAUCAACGUUAUAUCCAAAUGUGAUCUUCUGGACAAGACCGUACCCUCUGGCUUCGACGAUUAUGAUGACGAAGAAGUAGGGAGAUACAGAAGGUUUGGGCCAGAGGAUGCCAUCCGAGUAUCUGUGCAGAGCCAAGUUGGCACAGAAGAGGUCAGCAACAGCAAACCUGAUGACAUCCUCAUUUCGAAUCACCUUAUUUGCCUGUGUUAGGGAAGCCAAGACCCUAUCCAGACUAAUAUGAUUUUCUCUCUCUCUCCAGCUAAAGCAAAGAGUGCAUCAUCUACUAACCUCCCAGAUGACUCGGAUCAAAGCCAACAAGGGCGACAAUGAAAUCCAGGGAGCAGAUAGCAAUGCUUCUCGGUAAACUUAGACAACAAGGGAGGGGAUACCUGCACGAUUCCCUCCUUGAUGUUUUAUGUAAAUCACUCAUAGUUGACAUCUAAUCGGCUGCAAUUUUGUAACCUGGGUACAAGAAUUACUUUGGCAUAUCAAGCAAAAUCGAGAGCUAGACUGAGUUCACUGUUUUGCAUUGAUUUUUUGUGCUUAAGGGAGAGUAAACUACUCAGCCAUGAAAAGAGUUUGUUGUGACCAGCAAAUCCAUAGCUGCUACUCCCUCUCUCCCAUAUUAAGUGACUUUCUAUUACAUGCAUUUAGACGUUUUUUAGGUAUAGAUACAUCCAUAUUUGAGCAAAUUUGAGUCAUGCUCUGAUUUCUUUGGAUAUCGCUUUUAAUUGAAUUUCCAUUUUCCAAAAUGGGAUUUACCAAAAAAUUUCAUGACUCUGAGGUUCAGCCCAAUCCAGCAUUUCGUUCUUUUUCCGAUACUAAAAAAGGAUUGAAAAGGGUAAAAAUUUCUUCAUGUCAUGAAGAAUUCGAUUUCUUGCAUAGCAAUAACUAGAAUUAAAAAAAAGGAACGACAAAGCAUCUGGGAAUAAACGAUUAAUUUCUAUCAAUAAACCUGCUAAACUUUUGUUAUGGGACCGAGCGAGUACUAGUUUUUUCACAUGUUGCAUUCAUCUCGCGACAUGCACCCCGGCAAGAAUCCAUCUAAUUUUGCGCAAAGAACAAAGUUUCAGAAUGGACCAAACUCCGAGUUUUUUUAUUUUCCCCAAAACACUUAAGCUAAACUGGAGAACCGCUUUACACAUAAAGACCAGAGCCAAAACUUGUUUCCAACGGCCAAACAGUAAAGAGGCAUUGAAAAAGUGAACACAGGCAUGCAACAAGUGAAACCAAACCCAGAACAUAUGAAUCAGAAGCUGCAGUUGAACUUUGGUAUCAAAUCGUGUGCUGCUGAUUCCUCCAGUGAUAAUCUUUCAUUUACAGAAAAGCUAUGCUCCUGAAAGAGCAAAACAAUGUCACAGAUAACCGUUUUGGUUGCCAGCCUGCACCCAUUUGGCACACACAAAACCAAUGUCUUGUCAAUUAUCAUAGGAGCCUAAACCAACUCAACGUCUACCAAAUCUCAACUGCCGAAGUUUGAAACCUCUAAUGCUGCUAGUGUUUCCAGUGACAUCCUCCUAUCUAGGAUCUUAACAUUUGCAAAAGGAAAACAAUGGACAAAAAAGGGUUCCCUUAGUACUUCAACAGAGCUCAUCAGUCCUUGCGACUCUGCAGCGAGAAUGUGCUGCCAAUAGAAGGAAUCCCACUGCCAGACAUAUCAUCUUCUUCCUCAGCUUCUUCUGCUUCGAGGCUCACUCCUUUGGUCUUGUUGGACUGGCAAAUGUGCUUGUAAAUCUGCAAUGACUGGGCGAUCAUAGAUGAUGGGUUGCCAGCGUCACUUGGAAGAAGAAUUGUGUUGGUCUAGAUUUAGUAAAGCAAUGUCAGUACUUUGCAAAACACGCUGCAUAUUCAUAAAACAGGGAAAUGACACUUUCAGAAUCUCACCGUCUUGGCCAGACCAGCAAAUGCUUUAAUGUAUUGCUCAGCAACCCUCAGGUUCGCAGCCUGGAAUGAGAGAGAAUGGAUAUCAUGUCGGUAGUAGCAGAACUUUAAUGAAGUAAUGUUUUGAUUUACAACUUCUCCAGAAACAAUCAAAAUAUUAAAUUGGAAGGCAAUAAAUCAAGAUACCUCAGCACUUCCUUCACCCUUCAUUGACUCGGAGACCAUUCUGAUACCUUCAGCGGUCGCUUGUGACCUAGCGAGAAUCGCUUCAGCCUCACCUGAAAAAUUUAUUACCAAAACAAAUGAGCCAUAAUGAUACAGAAAUGGCCUUAAAAAUACACUGGCAAUCGAAUUUUCAGUGUGCAAGAUGAGGACCGAAUAAACAGAACAAAGAGCAUUACACAUACUGUGAGCACAAUGAUGACAUGACAAUACAAAAUAUGCAUGCAGAAUAAACCAAAAGAAGGAAUCUAAUUUUCAAAGUGUGCAAGAUGAGAACCGAGUAAACAGAACAAUACACAUACUGUGAGCACAAUGAUUACAUAACAAUACAGAAUGCUCAUGCGGAAUAAACCAAAAGACUAAGCUAGAGCAGAGAACAGGUAAAUGAGCAUAUUCAAAGUGAAGGAUGAUGGCAGAAAAAAUAGGACAAACAAUGCAUGCUGAACAAGAUGUACAGACCAUCAUCAUGAACACAUUGUAAGGUUUAGAGUAAACAUAUGUCACAUACCCUUAGCACGGUUUGCCUGAUCCAACAUAGCACCUGGUUGAACAAAUGUAAAGUGUCAACUAUAAUUUCACAAACAAAUACUGCUCUUGCACAAUCAUAUUAGAAGUAAAGGUCAAACUUAUCCCUUCUCAGAAAACUGACGAACUAGAGCAAUAUCCACCUCAAAGAAGAACAAAAGGAGUGUUCAUCACCUUCUGACUCAAGGAUUUGGGCACGCUUUUUCCUUUCUGCCUCAGCUUGCAUCUCCAUAGCCACCUUCACACCCUUCGGAGGAGAAAUAUCCCCUGCAUAGUCAAUUUAAAAACAUCAGAAGUAUUACAGGUGUAUAACUAAGAUAGCUCAAACUGAUGAAAAACAUACGGAUCUCAUAACGGAGGCACUUCAGGCCCCAAUCAACUGCAGCCUCGUUUAUAGACCUCUGUGCAAAAGGAAAUGCCACAGCAUACAUCAGAAUAUAGGAAGACAAAGAAGAUAUUAUAUAAAAACAGCACGGAACCACCAAUACAAAGGCUCCCAAAGAAAAUCUGUAUCAUUUUAGUUGCUUCUUGAUUUGCUUGAGUAAUCAAUUAUCACUAAAAGAUGACCACUUAUUAGCAACAUGAACCAAAAUACAGCUGCAGAAUAAUCUUAACAAAAUAAGAUGGAGACAUAACCUAACCUAUUGUUACUCUCAUUUUUGCGUUUCUUGAAAACGCAGUAGAGAAUCAUUUCAUGACAGCAAUCCUUAGAGAAGUAAGGCAAUCAAACAUACAUGGGAAUGUACAACUGAUCUUCAGAGAGGGACUCUAUACACAGAAUCCAUUGCAGAAAACGCAAAUACACCACAGGUCUAUUCAUUAUUUGCCCCAUUUAGUCUUACUGUAUAAACUAGGCUGCCAAGUCCAUGUUAAAAUUGCAACUACUCUCCAUGUGUAUGUACUUAUAUACCACGUUGAAAUUUGUAGGGCAGUUAAUUUACAUCAGAAAUAUAUAAAGCAUACCUACCAUAUACUAGCGAAUUCAAAUAAAUGAGGCAACAGAACCUUGAUUUCUUGGUAUAUCUAUAUAGUUACAUGUAAAUACAUCCCACUGCAUAUUGAACUUCUUGGGAUAGAAAGUAAAAGGUAUGUGAACAGAUUGUCAUACCACAAUCUUCUCAUUUAGUGUGUCCCUCUCCUCAAAAGUCUUGUCUAAGGUUAUCUUUCCAAGCUCACUUCUCAUGGUUGUUUGAGCAAGUUGAAUGACUGCAAAAAUUGGAUUCUCCACACCGUAGGAAGCAAGGUAGGGAUCAACAAUCUGCAAAGUUCACAAUACAGUAAGAUAGAAACUAACACAAAGAAAUUGCCAGCAACAGCCUCUAAUUUCCAGAAUGCUGACAGCACUUCACAAAAUAAACCUUGAACAAAUUUCUCACUUGGGUGAAUUUGCAAAUACAUUAGUACUUCGAAUAACAUCUACACCCACCAAAUAACAAUGACCUACCCAACAAGAAUGCUCAAUAUAAAGCGGUUGAACAGCAAGGGAAAAAAUAAACAUUACUAACCAAGCAACAGAUAGUAACAACAGCUUUUUGUCGACAAAAAAGAAGAAGCAGGUGGGUCACUAACUUAUCUGGAAGUAUCUGAGAUACCAUCAUCAUAAAGCAAGCUUAAUGACUUGUAUAAUCAAAGUGUCAAACAAAACAAGAACAAAUCCUAUAAUUAUACAGCCAGACUGACAAUCUAGCUAUUCAUCACAGUAACCAGUGAAACUGAAGCAUUUCAACAGAAUCUAGUUAAAUCCAACCAAAGAAUAUCCUAAAGGAUUAGGUGACAAGGAAAUGAAUGGUACAUUUAUAUAAACACAACAAUUUCACCAUCUAUUUGCACCCCAAAACCAUCAAACAAGGAUAUGGCUCAAUAACCUAGAAACACUUGUAGAUUGUAACUGAACAACUUUCAGCAAGAAAUCCUCAAACUAAAUUGCAAAAGCAAACACACUCUACCAAUGUAAUUACUAAAGCAGAAUGCCCAGGCACUUGCAAUUUCACUUUCACAGGUUGUUAAUUCUAUGGCUCUAUGUCAAAUCCUGACACUUUGUGCACCUAAAUACAGAGCAUCAUCUUUGCAACUGCAUAGAACCCAAAUUAAAGUGGAAUGCGUGGAAGAUAUUAGGGAAUCAUCCAAAUGCCAACAUCUCAGUCAAAAAUAAAAACUGCAUAUAAUGCGCAAUGCCAUGAUGCCCUACUUGUAGAUUACAGGACCAGAUAACUUGUCCUAAUUCAUCUUUGCAACUGCACCUAAAGUUCAAGCAUGGCUUCAAAUCUUGAUUAGCCACAGAAAAUAAAGAACAGAAGCAGCAAGGAACAGCAUAUUUAGGCACUGUCUGACGUGGAUUUGUACAAAUCCACAUCACUUAUUUCAGGGCGGAGGGAGUAUUACCAAUGCUACUAUCGUUGAAAGUGAGACCACUCGUUUACCAUAUUAAAUUUAGCCCAAUGCAGUCAUAACAAGAGGCAUAAUAUAACCAAACAGAAAUAGGAAGACCCACACCAAUUGCAUACCCAAUACCACAAUAAGCCACAACAUCAUAUCCUGAUUCCUUACAAGGUUGUCCUAAUUCAAGAGGGAGCAUACAGAAUCUGCUCCUGUAAUCUACAAGUAGGGCAUCAUCGCAUUGCGCAUUAUUUCUAAGACCAGAUAACUUGUCCUAAUUCAAAGAGCGGGCACACAAAAUCUGCUCCUGUAUCUACAAACAGGGCAUCACGGCAUUGUUUCUAAGACCAGAUGAUUUGUCCUAAUUCGAGAGGGAAGGUACAAAAUCUGCUACUGUAAUCUACAAGCAGGGUGUCAAGACAUUGUUUGUAAGACCAGACCAGAUGUUUUGUCGUAAUGCAAGGGGAUGCUGGCUCGUGAGCAUACAAAACUUGAGACACACCAGAAGGCACCAAACUACCAACAAGUAAAACAGCAGCAGCACAGCACCAAAAGGGAAGGUGAACAUGAGGGGUAUACCUUGACGUAGAGGACGCCGUCGAUCUGGAUGGAGACGUUGUCCUUGGUGAUGGCGGACUGGUCGGGGAUGGGGAUGGCCUCCUCCUUGAGCGAGUGCACGUAGGCGAUGCGGUCGACAACGGGGACGAGCGCAUGGAUCCCGGAGCCGAGCGUCCUUUGGUACUUGCCGAAGCGCUCGAUCACGAAGGCCUUCUUCUCCGGCACGAUGCUCACGCCCCAGUUCACCGGCGUGGUCAGCGCGUCGAACCUGCAAACCCCACACACAGCGAGCGAGAGUUCGUCAGCCUUCCUCUGGAUGGCACUGGCGAGCGGAGGAGGAGCUGGUGCGCUAGGGUUUAAGCCCGUCGUACCGUGAGACCUCGUCGCGGGCGUAGUAGCGGGACAUGGAGCGAGCGGGGCCGAGCAGGCGGGGGAGGAGGAACUGCCGCGCGGGGCCGGCGGAUCGCCGGAGGAUGGUCGCCAUCGUAGCCGGCGGUGGGGAAUGCAAGGAAAGGAGUGGGUUUGGGGGAGACUUGGGUUGAAAAGAAAGAAAAGAAAUGGAACGGGGAUUCCGUUGAUAUAGGCAGACUCUCUCUCACACUUCUUUUCCAAGUCUUUUUCCCGAUUUGUUCGACCAACUUGUGUUCCAAGAAGAAUGAAUACGGAGUAGUUUUGAAACGACUUGCGUCCCAAGACCAAGGCAGGAUAUUACUGCUUUGCUUUUGGUCUUUUUACCAAGCGCAAGUCACGGAAUGAAGCAAUAAUUGCGCUGGUUAAUCCAGCAAAACAUUGUCUUUCCCUUGGGCUCGAUCAGCGUGGGCUUUAUUUCUUUCUUGCGAAGAGGAUUAUAUGAUGGUGGGCUAGAGUCAGUGUGGCCUCUUCUUUUCGGGCUUUUGGGCCUUCUCGAAAGCAUUCCCGUCACCGGCCCGGCUGCUCGCCUCGAGCGAACUGGUGUUGCUGCUUGUUGGCGCAGCCGGCAAAACUGGACAGAAGCUACGGACGCUGAUCAAACUCUGAAACUCUGGAAAGCAAUUGCUUGACACAAGACCAAAGAGGUCUUUAAUUGUUAAAUGACGGCGAAUGAGUCAGUCAGUGUGACGAGCAGUGUAAGAAGGGACGGCACCAACAAGACGACAGUAGCCGAUCUACAGUCCAGCGGUAAGUACAUACGUACGUCGGCGGUCGAACUACAUAGACAAGCAGACAGGACGAUAGAUCGAUAUAAGUAAUUCCUCCGUUCACAUAAUUCUUAUCUCAAAUUUGUUAAAAAUGGAUGUAUCUUUUUCUAAAAAACGUUUAGAUACAUGUAAUAUUUCGGUAAAAAUUAUGAAAUGGAGAGAGUAGCUUACAUCAUCCAUGUUAAUUAUUAACAUGAGGCCGGCAAGAAGCGAAAGAAAUAUACUGCUUCUGAUGUUAAUAGAGGGCCUGAAAAUUCUGACGGCCUGCAAUUUCAUAGUACCGAGUACAUGUAUUAUCCUUCCCUCUAUUAGCUUUUCUUCUAAAAGCGAUUCUUAAGGUUCAGCCACAACGGCCGAAGUGGUCAUGUCUCGCGAGCCAAAUCAAAUCUUAGAAGAACCACACAUUACUCAGUACUCCCUCCGCCCCGUAUUAAAUGACUUAAAUUUGUCUAAAUAUGAAUGUAUCUAUACCUAAAAAACAUUUAGUAGAUACAUGUAAUAAAAAUCCACCUGACAUGAGACGGAGGAAGUACGAUUUAGACCAAGUCGUUGGCCAAGACAAUGUUAGUUUGACCUUCUCCGGUCAUCUAAAGUCUAAGUAGGUGUAAGUAUUUCGGUGAGCUGCGAGUUUUCUUUUUCUUCAAAAAAUAGGAAGCACCUCCACCCUCUGCAUCAGCUUAUCCAGCUAUACAUAAUUUAAAUCGUUGAAACUUGAAAAAUACUUCUUUCGUUUCAUAAUUCUUAUCGAAUACGUUUUUUAGAAAUAAAUACAUAACGUGAUGUUAACAACCACACUGUUACGAACAAGUCGAGAAAAGAAAUACGCGAAACAGAACAAAGAGACGAAAGGCAGAGACUGAUGGUAGGUACGUAGUACGUAUGCAGGUACAUUUUUGGCAGGGCCUUCGCCGGCCUAAAGAAUUAACAAGACGGUGGUGCGUGUAUGUGUGGCCUUCCGGCCAUAGAGACGGACGGAUGGAUAGUUAUCCGCACGCCGCCCUGGAAACCCCUCCAAAAACCCACCGUUUCAACCGGCCCUUUCUCGUCUCCAUCACUCACCACCUCUGCCCGGCUUCUCUCGUCUCGUUUCUCAACGACAACUCAUAAGAGACAAGAUUAUCAAUAUUCUAGCACGGAGUAUAAUACAUUUUCAACCAAGGCGUGCGUACGUUAGGUUGCCUGGGAAAUCGAGGAAAGGUUUGUAUCCUGAUGCUUCGUGUUUUUUCCCGAAAAGACUUUGCUUGGACACAUCAAAAUGAGGGCCAAAUGUUAGCCGGCGCCUAAAUUGGACGAAACAGCGCCGGGGACACAAAAACCGCAUGGAUUACUUCUAACUGAUUAAUUAACUCCUUGAUUAAUGACGCCGGUCAUCGGCGGCAAGUCAAAACAGAGAGACUCUAGUUAAUCAUUGAGCGCGCGCCGGGAGCAAAUAUAAAACGGCACCUUUGUUAACUACACUCGCACAGUUGCACUCGUAGCUAAGCUUCCACAACGCUCAUCCAUGGCCAUGGCCGUCAGCUUCCUCCUCCUCCUCUCUCUCCUGCCCCCUCUACUCGCGACAGCAGCAGCACACGGCAGCGGCCACUUCUCCGACGCCGACGAUGCCGCCGCCGCGCUGCUCACCUCGUGCCUGGCGACGGCCGGCGUGCGCAACGUGACCUCGCGCCGCUCGCCGGCCUAUGCCGCCGCGCUGGCCUUCUCCGUCCAGAACCUCCGCUUCGCCUCCUCCGGCGCCGGCGCCGGGCCCGCCGCCGUGGUGGUGCCGUCGUCCCUGGCCGGCCUCCGCGCCGCCGUGCUCUGCUCGCGCGAGUCCCGCCUCGCGAUCCGCCUCCGCAGCGGGGGCCACAGCUACGAGGGCCUCUCCUACACCACCAGCGGAGACGAAGAAGAAGGAGGAGGCGGCGCCUUCGUCGUGGUCGACCUCGUGGCGCUCGACGCCGUCCACGUGGACGCCGCGUCACGCACCGCCUGGGUCCAGUCGGGCGCCACGCUCGGCCAGCUGUACCACGCCGUGGCCAUGGCCACGUCGUCGAGCCCGGCCAGCCUCGCCUUCUCCGCGGGCUCCUGCCCCACCGUCGGCUCCGGGGGCCACGUUGCCGGCGGCGGGUUCGGGCUCCUGUCAAGAAAACACGGCCUCGCCGCGGACAACGUGGUGGACGCCGUGCUGGUGGACGCCGGCGGCCGCGUCCUGGACCGGAGCGCCAUGGGCGAGGACGUCUUCUGGGCGCUACGCGGCGGCGGUGGCGGCGCGUGGGGCGCGGUGUACGCGUGGCGGGUCCAGCUCAGCGCCGUCCCCGACCGCGUCACCGUCUUCGUGGUCAACCGGCCUGGCACGGUCGAAGCGGUGGCGCGGCUGGUGUCCACGUGGCAGCACGUGGCGCCGUGGCUGCCCGACGAGUUCUACCUUUCGGCGUUCGUUGGGGCCGGCCUACCGGAGUCAGACAAGACCGGAAUUAUCUCUGUCACAUUUAAAGGGUUCUUCCUCGGCCCGGCACACGAAGCGAUUCAGAUAUUAUCCACAAGGUUCCCUGAAAUCGGGUUGUCGGAUCUUGACCCCAAGGAGAUGAGCUGGAUCGAGUCCGUGGUGUUCUUCUCGGGUUUGCCCGCAGGGAGCCCCGUGUCGGAGCUCACCGACCGGGUUCUCCAUGGGAAGAACUACUUCAAGGCGAAAUCAGACUUCGUGCGUCGUCCGAUGGCCAUCGAUGAUUUGACCAAAGCCAUCGAUUUCCUCUCCAAGGAGCCCAAGGCGUAUGUCAUCCUUGACCCCUAUGGCGGGGCCAUGGAUCGUAUCGAGGCCACCGAUCUGCCCUUUCCUCAUCGCAAAGGCAACAUCCACGGCAUCCAAUAUCUCAUCGAUUGGACGGCCGACGAGGACAGCCACAGAGACUCCUACAUGGAUUGGCUGCGGAGAUUCUACGACUUGAUGGGAGCAUAUGUUUCAAAUGGUCCACGCACGGCGUACAUAAACUACCAAGACCUUGAUCUAGGUACCAACGAUUGGUCCGGUCUUAUGGCAAAAGGCGACGAUGAGAACGCCAAUCCGGUCGAGACGGCAAGAAUAUGGGGCGAGAGGUACUUCCUAGGCAACUACGACCGACUUGUUCGUGCAAAGACCGCCAUCGACCCGGAAAACGUGUUCCGCAAUGCUCAAAGCAUCCCGCCCCUCUUCACCGGAGCCCGAGGGACGACUAGGAGGACGCCACGCGGCAUCUCGCCUAAAGUCGCGUCCGAGGACGACAAGGCAUAUGAUAGCUAGCGAGAGCCAAACACGUAUACUCAAGAUUCAUAAGAUUGAUUUAGAGAAAGCAUGUAUGUAGCGCGAUGCACCGAGCAUCCAUGGCAUGACUAGGAGGUACUCCACGUGGCAUUACAUCCAAAGAUGCGAACAAGGGGAAGGCACAGGGGUCAUAUAGCAAAGACAUACACAUACGGACGCAUUUGUGAGUGAGUGUGUUUGUGUUGUACUUCUGCAAUGUUGCUGUCAUGGUGUCAUGCAUAGUGGCCGUCCAGGAGGCCAAUUUGUUCUCUCUUUUGUAUAGAAAGAAGGUGAUCUGGAUUGGUAGAGCUAAGCAGAAAACGAGAGGAUUGUUAUUUGGUGCGUUGCCGCUCUUGACCACUGAAAUGAUGGAAAUUACAUCACGUCGAUCUGUCCUUAUUGAAGGGGUCUUUGUAGAGUUGCUGUUGAUGCUGAUAAGUGAUAACUAGAAUAUAUAGUAUAUCCACACACUGACGCAAAGUAUAUUCUCUCUCUCUUUUUAAUUUCUGCGAUAACUUAAACGGAUGAAAAAUCACACUAUAUAGUUUUACAAGUCAUACUAAUCAACUGUUAAGAUUUUCUUACAUAUAUCAGUACGCGGACCAGUUUUAGCCCAUAGCUAUAUCCGUCCGGUUGCUUUCAUUUUUCUCGCUUUAACCAUCUGCUGCCCAUAUAAUUAAGGGUCUGCCUUGUCAACUGAAUUUUGACAAGACCGACACCCUUAAAAAUGCCAGCAUGCAUGUUUUCUCACAAAAAGAGGAGAAAAUUUGUUGCCCAUCUUUACGUGAGAAGUUGGAUGUUUAGAAUACAGUCUGGCAUUCAGUGAUGCCCAUCUUUUUGUGAGAAGUUGGAUGUGAGAAAAUCUGUUGCCCAUAUUUGCAUCGGGUAUCUACCUGGGAGCGUGAAAUUCAGAGAAAUGCCGCGAAAAGGAAAGAAAAAACACAGUCUGAAGACAAACCUGAGCUUGCCUUAUUGGCCCAAACCUCCAGCCCAACACGAACAGCAUUGGAGGCCCAGUCAGCCGAUGGCCUGUUCUGUUCUUUCUGCUCCUAUCCUCUGUUGGUGUUGGUGUCUAAAACCGCCACUCCGUGAUUCAGAACAUCGGUGUACGCUAUAAUCUGAGAAAGAAAAUAAACUCAUAGCGUACGCUUUUGCCGUAGUCGAAGCAAGCCGCAGUCACAUUCACACGAACAGCCGCCUUAAUUGCGCUCGCAUUCAUCGACGGGAAAUUAAGGCGAGGAAACAACUCCAGGUCAAUAAACCCAGCCUAACCAUGCACUCCUACGUUACUGUGUAGUCAUUGUCUACUCCAGAUUUGUUGCCUCUGCAUAAUGGCAUAGAAAGUGCCCGUGCCCCUGUAGCUGUGGAGUACUGCCUAACUAGCUAGCUAGCAUGAUCAUAUUAUCAAAGGCCUCUCUUGAAUAGGCCGUAUCACAUCACAUGUCUCUCUCCAUCGUCGUUUCAAUUCGCCCAAGGGAAAACAGUUCCGGCACUGGAGUUCAAUUGUUAAUUCCAUGCCUUCCAUGAAAACUAACCAUCUGCAACCGUGCACAAGUACAUAUAUACUCACAUAUACCUCCACGCCGAAUCUCUCACGAUCUCAAGCCUUGACGACAACAAUGAAUCGGCAUCCCAUUGGAGCUCUGCUCCUAGCUUGCCUCUUCUUGACACUCCAUGAAACCAUUCGCUCCGGCGCCCAUGCGGCAACAACCAGCGGCAGCUUCUCCAUCUUCAACCUCCGGUUCGCGCCGCCCUACAUCGCCGGUCCCGCCGCCGUCGUGUUCCCCGGGUCGAAGGAAGAGCUCCGGGGAGCUGUCCUGUGCGCCCGCCACAGCAUGCUGGCGAUUCGGGUGCGCAGCGGCGAGGGGCAGUCGUACACCACUGAGAACCGUGUCCCCUUGGUGGUGGUCGACCUAGCGAAUUUGAGCCGGGUCCGAGUCGACCCAGGCUCCGCCACGGGCUGGGCCGACCCGGGCGCGACGGUGGGGGAGUUGUACUGCUCCGUGGGCCAGUCGAGCCCGCUGGGUCGGAGUCGAUUACGUCCAGACACCGAUCUCGAGGCCCGACAUGAUCGAGAUCGUCCGUAACCUGUCGACCGGGCCAACAGGGUCUAUCCAGCUGGACCCCUAUGGUGGGGCCAUGGCGCGGGUCAGCAGCGACAAGACGCCGUUUCCGCACCGUGCCGGGAACCUCAGCAUCCAGUACGGUGUGAACUGGGAUACUCCAUCACAAAUAGACCGUGCCGGGGAGUACUUUAUCGGGUGGCUAAGGUCGUUCUACGAGUACAUGGCCCCCUACGUGUCCAAGGAUCCCCGCGCCGCGUACGUGAACUACCUCGACCUGGGCGUGAAUAACGGGACCCGUUUCGCCGGCGGUGGCCCAUGCAAGAGCGCCGUUUGGGCGGGCCUACUUCGGGGAUAACUUUGAUCGGCUGGUCAGGGCCAAGACGACCAUCGAUCCUCGCAACGUGUUCAUCCUGAUUGCGUUGUCGGGAUAAGUAAACUUGCAUCCUGGAUUACAGGACGGUUAGAAGCGAAGUGUCAUUUGCUGCACUUUUUUUUUUUGAGAAACAUUUGCUGCACUUGUUGUUCUUUCCUCUGAUCCCCUCAGCUGCAUUACUGCAACAUGGCCUUUUUCGGACGUCGAUUUCAGGCUUGGGCUUACGAAACUUGACAGCAUCAGCUUUCCGGAAACGGCGAGUUCUUAGGUAUUUGGGCUUGUUUUAAAGCAUCAGCUGUAUCGGGCCUUGGAUGAAAAUCUGGUUCCCCGAAACAAGCCCACGUUGAGCAGCAUUUCUGAAUUCUCCGAGAGUCAGGAAAUAGUGUUACCCGUUGGAGGAGGCUGGGGCCCGCCCCAACUUUGAACGGGUCCAUCAAUCCAGCGAUAAAUAAAUAAACCAGGUAAAAGAAAAAGGCGAGUAACGUCCUUGUCGUCGCACGUCCCGUUUCAUGCACCAUUGUUUUUUACUCCAUCCAACAAUAACAAAAAAUGUCUCAAGUUUUUUAAAAUUUUGAUGUAUCUGUACAUAAACUUAGUGUACAGAUGAAAAAAAAAUUAGUGAAAGUUGAGACAUCCUUUGUUGGAGGAGGAAUACCUUUUCUGUCUCUCUCACUGUUUUGAACACUUCAUAAUUUCACCACAAGCGUUUAGCAUUUACUUUUCCACGGCCAUGUAAAUUAAACAAUCUCCACCGGUCGAUCGCCGCCCACACGUGUACGUACUGUCCUCCUUGUAUGUAGAUAUCCAUGGAUCAAUCACCACACCACGACCACCGCACGUCGCUGUGCCGGGCGGGCCACGAAAACGACGCUGCCAAGGCAAAUGCCACACACUUGCACUUGCACUUGCAAAACAAACACUCCCAUCAUGGAGCGUAAAAAGGCAGUGGGAGAGGCCCUCUCUUCUCUUUUCGUUUCUUACCAUGGCCCGGCUUUGCUUUUCUGCUUUAUAUAUCUUGGGCUUUGCUUUGCGAAUUGCCGUCGCUUUCUCUUCUCUUCUCUUCCUCUCUCUUUUUUCCUUUCGAGGAUCACGUGGUGGCUAGGCUAGCUAGGCUGGGAAGAAGAGAGAGGAGUCGAGAGAGAGGAGGAAUAUGACAAGGUAAGCUAAAGCACAUCCAUCAUCCAUGGAGGCAAGGAAAAGCGGAGUAGAUCGCCAUGCAUAUAUGUGGAGAAAGCCAGAAAGGUCCGUAGUGAUCGAUGGGGCAGAGUUGGGCGCGCCAACGGUAACAUGGCACGUCACAGCAUGGCCUCGCCGUAUGCGUGCACACAACUUUCAUCUAUACUAUACUCAGAACAGCAUCAACAGACAUAAAACAGUCGUACCACCUCCGUCUAAACAGUACGGAUCGGAGCAGUUACACAAGUGAAUUGCAUAUAGUUGUUACUUGCUCCCUCCGAUACAUAAUACUCUAAGUGUUAGUACAAAUUUGUAUUAAACAUGGUAAACUUAGUACGGACCAGCAAGAGUACUCUCGGGCUCCAUUCCACAAUACAACGUGUAUAUAUUUUUCUCAUUUGUUCCACAAUACACCUCUUUUUUUUUUGGUAUCCGCACCCGUCCAAUAACUAUUCACAUUCAUUUAUUAUUAACCCAAUAUGAGUGGUCAAGCACUAGAAACGAGAGCUGCAUUGGUACAAAUGCACAAAUCAAUAUGAGAUGUAUUUUGGAACAGAGAUUACGUACAACGUACUAAAUCCCCUUCCUCGGCAGAGUCCAGCUCCUGCCGCUGCCUCCUCUGGUUGGCGCCCCCCAAUCCAAGGUAUGGUUAAAGUUAAUGUGGAUGCGAGCUUCACCAUCUCCGACGACUCGGCUUCUUGGGGCGCUAUCAUUAGAGAUCACCACGGUGUCGUCAUCGCUUGAGCUUGGAACAGCUUGAUGAACUGCCCCAACGCCGAAUCUGCUGAAGCUACUGCUUGCCUGGAAGGUGCCAAACUCCUCCGCAUGUUCUCUAAUCUCCCGGCAACUAUUGAGAACGACAAUGUCUCUGUUAUUAAUGCUAUUAACAGCACCCAGAAAUGUCACUCCCACCUGUGUGGCAUCAUCGAAGACAUCAAGCAGAUCAUGUCCUUCGACCCGGGAAUUACUUACCACAAGAUCAACAGGUCUGAUAAUGAAAUGGAGCAUGGCUUAGCUAAUUGGAGCCGUAGUGUAUUGUGUAGCGGUGUUUUGUGCGACUCUGUGUCUUCCUGCGUGUUGAGCCAGGUAAUCAAACUUCUAAUUCCUAUUAAUACACGACCCACUUUUUUAAAAAAAAGUUUCAGCCCGAUGAGAACUAGCAAAUUAAGCGCGAGGACGUACACACGGACGUUGAAGAAACAUGGUACGGUCAUUGCCGUCGUCAGGGUUGUUUGCCGUUGAUUAGUAGCCGCCUUUAGCUAGAAUAGUGGUGUAAAUAAUCGUUGAAAGUUACAGCAUCAAUACAGUUCAUCAUGUGAUGUGGUAGUUAAAUUACAAGUCAAAUUUUGAUCUGCCUUUAAUUGAAAAUGUGCAUCGAGUACUAAAAUUGUUAACUCAACGUGACAACUUUUCUUACAGCCAAGGCCACUCCCAAUGUAUCGUCCCUUAGUUCAAAAUAGGAGUAAAUACUAAGAAAUCAUAUCCCAAUGCAUUGUCUUAAGUGGUAUCUAAAAUACUAGUAUUUAUUUAAUAGCUUUGCUAUAGAGAGUUAAUGAUUUUGUGUUGUUUUGCGUGCACAGACGAUCGCUAGCAUAAGAGACCGUUUCAUUAUUAAAAAGAUGCCAUGUCAACAAAAUGUUUAACAUGACGUGCUAAGAGACUACUAGCAUUAUUGGUAGUGGCGUAAGAAAAAUCUUUGCAUAAGCACGCGCAUGAUCAUAAACUGCACGACGAAACAAUUAAGUUGGUACACGGCUACGACACAAUAGAAUUUCACGGGAUCAAUCAUGCAUGCAUGCUCUCUAUAUAUGGGCCUGUUUGGUUAGCGGCGCCUGACUUGCGCCUGAAUUUUUUGUGUUUUUUGCAUGCUCAGGCAGCCUGCAACAGGACUGUUUGGUUCCUGUCCUGGCCUGAUAGAGUAUUGCUGUAAGAGAAUACACCGUUGUCUGAACAUUAGCUUAUCUCUCUUGCUUGUACCGUGAACAAAUCAAGUAAUUAAUACCCAAAUCAAUAAAAGUCAGAUCAAGAUGCAUGUGAGCACGUAAGGAGUUGGCGGAGAUAGAACUUCAUGGAAGGAGAGGCAAACCCUGUGGCCGGAGAAAAUAGGGACGAGGAUCCAUGGAUCAUCUUGCUCCACCGGCAAGCCCAUCGGUUGGAGCAAGGUCCGCUGGCGAUCUACAGAGCGAGCUCGUCUUCCAGUCCUACGAUUCAUACGCGGCGGCCGCUGAACUUGUACGUAGGCUUCAAGGCUGCGACGGCUGUAGCUGACGCCGGCGACGCGGUGGCGAGCUAACCUUGCCGCUAUGCUGUCGCUUUUCCUCUCCACUGAAUCUUCUCUCUUGUUAGAAGUGAUUAGCAUCUCAGACGCGCGUGUGCAGAGUCAGGCCUCCGAUUUUGAGCGCCUGAGCCAGGCUAAUGAUGCUCCCGUGUUGUCCAGGCCAGGCUAGCAAUUGAUUUCUCAGGACACCAACCAAACAAGUCUCACGCAGAUCACAGGGAGGCCUCCGACCAGACACGACAUGCUCAGGACACCAACCAAACAACCCCUGUAUCUUUGCCAAGAAUGAGAAAAAACGGAGGAGAAAACAAACCCAAAUAUAUCCAUGCGGUCGAGGUUCAUUUUAGCUGCUUUGCUCCUUCAUGAUACUAGCAAGGUAUACCAACGCUAAGCAUAUGCAUGGAUCGCUACAGUACUUCUGACUUGACAUGCUUCAUCAGGAGUUAGGUAGGAUGCCUCUUGUUAACACGGGUUCACGAGAAUAUGCCUCACAAAUGUGGGUACACCACGCCGUAAAUUAAAUCAACGGCGGCGGCGGGAAGGGGCCCGAGGUGUCGGCCGGCGCGGGGCGCUGCUGCUUUUUGUUGGUUGCCCGUCUCGUUAGACUCGUCUGCUGCGCCGCCCGAGGGCCGAGGCUGAUGGUCUGGGCUGGGCUGGGCUGGGGCCCCACGCGCACUUGGCCGCCGGGGGACAGGACACCAAAAUCGUCUCGUCUCGUCGCUUUCCAUUUUCUCCGUGCACCGUUUAAUCUUCCACGCGUCGAGCCGCCAUUGUUGUUGUUUCCCGUUGAUCUCCAUCCUUCGAACUGGACAAACUUCCAUUCAUCUCUCACUCCCUAGUCUCUAUAGUCUAGUCUACCCUCACUUUGGUCAUACUGGGAAGUAACUUGAAGUAGUAACAUGUACUCUUUUCUUUUCAUAAUUCUUGUCGAAAUCUUACAUUAACUGAUGUUUUUAGGAAUACAUACAUCCAUUUUUUUGACAAAUUUGAGACAAGAAUGAAGGAACGGAGGAGUAUAUGUUACUAGUCCAAGUUACUACCUCCACAGUGGAUAAUAACAUAUAUGCGAUGUCAUACAUUGUGUCAUUUAUUAAGUUGUAUAUUUAUUUUGUUUUGAUUUGUGUGAUGUUAUGGUAACAUAUCUAGUUACCACAAACCUCUCUCUCGCCAUUAAUAACAUGACACAUCAUCAAAAUUGUUUAGUUGGUAUUUUAGUUACCACCUUUGUUACUCCUACUACUACUUCAAUAGUGGGUACUAACAUAUUUGUGGUAACAUAAAAGCCUCAUUUAUUAGCUUUAUAGACUCAUUAUAUCCUGUAAAGUGUGAUGUGAUGGUAACAUAUGUAGUUACCCUAACCCUUUCUUUUCUCAUUAAAAACAUGACAUAUCAUCAAAUUGCUUAGUUGUCAUUUUAAUUACCAUGUUCUUUACUCUGACUAUGACUAGUCUAACCUUAUCAGCUGCAGUGGUACUGCUACAGAAACGGCUUGAUUUGGGUUAUGCAUUGAUUAAUCUAAUUAACCUACUUAGUAGGACUAGCUAAUUACAACGGUCUCACAAUCGAAAGAGGAAGAGGUUGAUUAGCACUACUAUACACAGUAGCUAGCACUACGAUCUGGGGCUACGCACUUGAUUGAGCAGUGUACGUCUAUCGCGUACAGGGAUGUCACGGCUCUCCUUCUUUUUGGGCGCCAAUAAUUAAUCGGGGGGUCAAAAGGAGCCUCAGGGAUGGAAAACGAAAGCUUAAAAAGCGAUAGCUGCUGCUGCUGGGUGCCCACUGGUCAUCUGUCGAUAUCAAGCUCCCCCCCGUUUCAGCUAAGCGGUAUUGAGUCGGCCAAAAGCAUGUAUUGUGGUACUGAUUUUUUUUAUACAGCUACGAUUUUAUAUACUAGGAGUAUCUCGUCGCCUUGAUCUUUCACGAAUUUGGACCAUAUAUUUCGGUGAGACCCUUUACCAUACCCAAAGCAAAAGUGCAUCAAUUAAUAUUUUUUCCUCGUCGAGGACUCGAGGUUCCGUUUCUCAGGUUAGAUUACUGUAAGACAUUUCUGGGUCGUUAGAGGUUAAUCGAUAGCUUCAACUCGUUGUCGGUUCCAGAUCCUUCAAAGGCCACACCGAUUUCUUCCAGCUGCAGCAGCACUAGAAAACAGCAGUGGGCUCCUUCAAGCAUCACGCUCUUGAGGCAGUAGUAAAACGUUUUCAAUUUCGUUGCAUCACACUCUUCGGAGCUAAUAAGACUGAGUUCGCCACUUGGUGCUCGCAUUCCACGAGAUGGUGUAUUUGGACACCUUUCACACGUCUGCUGUCCGCAUCUCAACAAGUCUUCUGACGGACCAUGUACAUUCCAAGUGCUAGGCAGGCAAUCAGAAUUAGGCGUUACUAAUUGUUAGCGCGGCUGCUGAUGGAUUGAACAAUUUGGCAUAUGGGGUUGUGUGCAGUCAAAAGCUUCUGGAAUCCCUCUGCUUGGAAGGAUUUCGUCUUGGUCUGUCCCCGUUCGUUUAAUUUGUUGCUGAAAAGUCUGCGAUUUGUUUUUGGACAUCUUGCGAACCGAUCGAAAAGGAAAGGGACGUUAAGUUUCUUAAGAAAAAAUGGGCAUACACUCGAGCUCGUGUUUGCAGAAAUAAUCGAAUUUCAUGAGAGAAAUGGAUGGACGACCGACCGGCCUUGCCAAAACUCACCAGGUGAUGAUGUUAAUUGGUUGAUUAGAGACCGCAGAAAAUUUCUAUAUGCGGCAGGAUUUGAUAAAAAGCAGGGAUAAGAAUGUGGCAACUUAAGGAGACGAGAAUAUGCCUCGAGUCACAUGCGUGUGAGGGGCAACGUGUAGUGUCAUGGACCGGGAUGCGAUCUCGACGAAAUGAAAGGCGUACGACGACAUUUGCACCGUGUAUCAAUCCAAGAGUUUAGUAACCGCAGAGAUGAUCUUGACACGAUGGUAUUCCGAGCAAAACUAAAGGCACAUUACUCUAAUUCGUCGUAAAAUCUACGAGACUAAACUAACAAUUUAAAUCCAAAAUUCAGCGAACCAUACAAAACACCAUCAAAACUCACCGACUCUCUGCACUUCAUUUCGUUCGCAGGGUGAGAAAAAACACAAAAGCCCAGCAAGAGCAACGGAAACGGAACGGACGAGCUGGGUCGCUGGACAGUGGGGCCGGCGCGUCAGUGGCAGAACCGCCAUAAGGUCCCCCGACGCGUGUGCUACGCGGGGUAUAUACAAGGCAAAUUCAGGGACGCGGUAAAGGAGGCCACCACUCGCUUUCUUCCCCCACACGUCUCCUCGCGCUCCUCUAAAGAAAUCCCCAAAUCACACCACCAAACCCUAGCCAGAAAUCCUCUGCUUUGCUCUGAUCUCCCCCCUCUCCCCACCGCGCUUCCUUCGCUGCUAAGUAUAUCCUCCCCCGCGCUCCGAAUCUCCUCGGUCGAUUGGGUUCCGGCGUUGGAUGAGAGCUUGGGUCGCAGAAGUAGGAGGAGGAGGAGGAGGAUGACGGUGAUGGAGCUCAAGACGCUGCCGCUCGGCUUCCGGUUCCACCCCACCGACGAGGAGCUCGUCAGGCACUACCUCAAGGGGAAGAUCACCGGACAGAUCAACGCCGAGGUCGAGGUCAUCCCCGAGAUCGACGUCUGCAAGUGCGAGCCGUGGGAUCUCCCAGGUACUACCAUCCCCUGCCUGCUAUUAUGAUCGCCUCCUCUGUUUUUUUGGGGUUUUUUGGAGUUCGUAGAAUUGGGUGUCUCGUGGCCGUGGCUUCCGUUUCGGGGCUUUGGGUUGCCGGUUCUGCGAUUCGUCCCUGAUUCGGGGUUCCUGAGUUGGAUUUUGUCUCCAUUCUGUUUUGCCCCUCCGUUGGAUUGGCUGCAGGUUUCCCAGCCAUUUUGACCAGUCUCUUGUUGCAUAUCUCCUUCGGCGUGUCCCCUCGUUACCCCCAAAACAGUAGCUUGGGGGUUUGGGGUUCCUCUGCGGGAUUCUGAUUCCUUGUGUAGCAUGCGAUUUACUAGCUGCUUCUGGUGCUUUGCGUCGUGCUCACUGUUAGUUUGAGGGCUGUUAACUCUGUAAAAAAGGUCUCUGGGGUGCUAAUCCUUGAUGCGAUUCUCUCGACGUCUGCUAAUUUUUCUUUAAUAUACCCUCUUUCCGAGAUGCGAUUUGGUGCGAUUCAGCUGAAAAUUCUUGGACCUGGUGCUGAUUAAGUGAUUAUACCCAUCCGAAUGUCAAACCUGUUGGUAUAAGAUUCCAUUUCUCCUGACGUCGGCAUGGUGGUGCUUGCAGAUAAGUCUUUGAUCCGUUCCGAGGAUCCAGAGUGGUUCUUCUUUGCACCCAAGGACCGCAAGUACCCCAAUGGAAGCAGGUCGAACAGGGCGACAGAGGCUGGGUACUGGAAGGCGACAGGGAAGGACCGGAUCAUCAAGUCCAAGGGCGAGAAGAAGAAGCAGCAUAUGAUAGGCAUGAAGAAGACUCUUGUGUUCCACCGGGGACGUGCCCCUAAGGGCGAGCGCACCGGGUGGAUCAUGCAUGAGUACCGUACCACCGAACCAGAGUUUGAGUCCGGCGAGCAGGUAUGCGCCUAUUGUCUGUUUCUUUCUUGUGUUUUCAUGAUACAGUUUAUGAAUCAAGUUUCUGAAGUGGCAGGGUCGUCAGAUUCUGCUCACGGUUUGGUUCAGAGAUUUUGAUAAAUUUAAUACCUUCAUUAAAAAUGUCUUCUGAAAAUUACCAGUUAGAUUUAACUCAUAAAAUGAAAUGAUCCGAUAAAUCCUGUCUGGUAGUUCUGCACAUUAUAAGCUGACUUGAAUCGAACAUUUUGUUUAUCACUACUUUCAGGGCGGUUAUGUUCUCUAUCGCCUGUUCCAAAAGCAAGUGGAGAAAAGUGAGCGCUCCAGCCCAGACGAAAUGGAUAGAAGUGGCUACUCUCCCACUCCAUCUCGAUCCACUCCUGACAAUAUGGAGGCAAAUGAGGAAGCAAUUACACUGUUAAACAAGGAAUCUCCUGAAUCUGGUGUGCAAGGAUGCCCAAUUGACUUGCCAGGCACAGUUGAAACUCCAGCUGCACCGAUUACAAGAUGGCUUGCAGACAGAACUGAUAACUUGGUGACACAUGACGCAAACAUUUUACGCACGCCAUUUCAUGGUCAUGUUGAUGAAAUACCUAAGGUGAGCAGAACCGUGAAACAAGCCUUAUAAACCUCUAUUGUCAUGCAAAUUUCACUGCAUUCUCUUUCUAAGUUGUUAAUUUAAGCUGCUGAAUGACGAUUUAUGUUAUAUAAUUGCAAGCAGACUGGUCCUUUGGUUCAGCCAAUUGACCCACAGAAGAAAAAUGUUGAUUCUGAAGAAUUCUUGACCUUUGCUGCCCCCAUGUUACCGCAUGAAGGAAAUGAUUUGUUCUGCAAUCCUUCUCUUCAAGGACAUUCAUUUGAUUUUGGUGGCAGUAUGGCACCUGGUGAUCUAGUGGAGAAGUUCUUGAAUGAAGCAAUUGCUGAUCCAGAGGAGCAUUCGUCAACAGCAUCAAAAGUUCAGUAUGAUUCAGACAAUGGGAUUAUGCUUCCAGAGUUAGAGAACAAUUGGCCUAUGCAGGUAAUCUAUUUUUCGCGUCUGCUGUAUAUUUCGUGAAUACUGUCCGCGUUCUUAUAUUUGUUCGCUCUGCAGGGUGAAAUGCUAGAUGAUCCAUACUGGUUCGAGAAUAUAAACUUUUGCCCAGAUGAUACAACUCCACAACUGAGUGGAUAUGAGAAUACACCAUUGCUUCCUUUUAUUGGAGCUAAUCCUGACGAACUUUCAAUGGAUUCUGAUCAUGAGUCCAUGCAAGAUUUAUUCAAUACCAUGGAAGAUUCAAAUGAGAAGAUGGGUGGAUGGAACAAUGGAUUUGGAUUUAAUCCCAUACAUCAACAGUUACAGUCCACAAUGCAUCCAAACCAUUUAGUUUCUCAACAGGGCUGUGCACAAAGGAGGUUACGGCUACAAGAUUCAUUGUCUGCUGUAAAUAUUGAAGGUGAAGAGAGCAUGACUAAAGAUGAAGAUGAAGUAUCACAUAUUGUAACUUCGGAAUAUAUGGGUGAAUCUGUUGAGUCGACUGCAGAUGGAGAUGAUGGUGACUCCACAGGGGUUACCAUUAUGAGUCGACACCCUGCUCCAAGUACAAAUGAGCCUUCCGAUGGAGAUGAUGGUGACUCCACAGGCGUUACUAUUAUGAGUCGACGCCCUGCUCCAACUACAAAUGAGCCUUCUGAUGGAGAUGAUGGUGAUUCCACAGGGGUUACUAUUAUGAGUCGAUGCCCUGCCCCAAGUACAAAUGAGCCUUCCGAUGGAGAUGAUGGUGAUUCCACAGGGGUUAGUAUUAUAAGUCGACGCCCUGCUCCAAGUACAGAUGAGCCUUCCGAUGGAGAUGAUGCUGAGUCAACAGGGGUUCUUAUUAUGAGCCGAGGCCCUGCCCUGAGUUCAGAUGUGCCUUCUGAUAGAGAUGUUGCUGAGUCAGCAGGGAUUACUGUUCUGAGCCAAUGCCCUGCUCUAAGUUCAAGCUCAGAUAGUUCAAUUACUCAACAGGGGACAGCAGGUCGAAGGUUGCGGUUACAAUUGAACCUUAAUGCGGGACCAUGUUCCAGUAUUGAUGGUUCGUCAAGUUGCAUGAUAGACGAGAAGGAAAAUGAACACAAAGGGAUGAGAGCUGAGGUGAGAUUCUUUGUUAUUCUAAAACUAAAUCUGCAAUUGAAUUUUGGUGGCAAUAGAUCAAUAUUAGGUGUUGCACAGUUCGUUUUACUGUAGAAUGCACUGAAGGUGUCUUUGGUUGUGACCUGUUCCUGGGUCCUGUUUGAUCUGUUUUAACAAACAGAACUCCUGCCUGAUGACGAACUACAUUUUGUAAUGUUUCAUUGCUGAAGGGGUACUAACAUAUUUUGGUUAUUGACUGCCAGAAUGAAGGGAACAUGGACACAAGCUUUUGUGACGAUGCUAAUUUUGUUGGCAACAACCAUGCCGAUGAGCAAGAUAACAUCCCUGAGCAUGGUAACCAGUCUGUUGGGCCUUUCAUACAUCUUGUAAUUUUGUUAUUGUUGUCUACUGCUUUGCUGAUACUAUCCAAUAUGCUGUUGACAUGCAGAUGCUGCAAGGCCUGUUCCAGAAGCUAAUUCUGUUACAAGGUUGCGGAAGACAGCGGAGAAAAGCGGCAAUGAGAACAAACAGGAAUUAGGUGUCCAUCCACAUGUGAGAGCACCAAGGAAGGGGGGCUUCCCAGCAUACAUUAUCUGGCCAGUUCUAUCGGUGGCUCUGCUCGUCCUUGUCAGUGUUGGGAUCUAUGGAUUGGCAUAAUAGCUCUCUCCUGAUGGAAUUUAACGUGACAUGCUUUUCCCACACAGCUCCUUAGCAUUGUCCUACCGUAUCCCCUUUGUACAUAACGCAUCUUAAUCCAUGCAAGUGUUUGUUCCACUUCCUGGACACCGAGGCAUUAGAAAAUACAAAAAGAGAGAGAGAGGAAAGAAGGUAAACUGAAAGCGAGGUAGCAAAUGAGAAGGGGUGAUGCAAGAGAAGUGCUGUUGUAGAUGUCUGUGACGACAAUAGGUAAAUGGUAGUUUUUGCUCUGCCGUUCUGUUAAGGCAGAUGUUAGUAACCAGGUUUGUUAAGCAGUUGUAAGUCAUGUUUUUUCGAGCUGUUCCUGGUUAAGUAUUGUAGCAAGAUCUGAACCUAAUUAAUAUGAUGCAGCUCCUCUUUUCAUCUUGUAAAACUGUUGUGGUUUAUCCUUGUUACUGAUUACAUGUUGGUCUGUGGAACGAUACUUUGUGCCUAUCCCAGAUAAGGUAUGGCACUUGAAUUGGUACGUUGCAAGCGAAACUUACUGUCCUUUUGAUGCACAGCUGAUUCUUCUACAUGGUUACCGGAAGUCUGUCUGACUGUCAGCACGAAAUCUCCGUUUCCUUGUCGAUUAAGUCUUGUGGAAUCAAACUAGGCGCGGGACAGAAAGUGGAAGCUGGGCCGCGAAGUUUCAAGGAUGGUUCUUCUGAAAGAUAGCCCACGGUAUACCUGGGUGUUUGUCUCCCGAACCUGUCGCUGCAUCAUUGCGCCUAAGCUUUGGCAUGCAACGCAUUCUCGGCUGUCCCCCUCAUAUCGUGGUGCUCACAAAGUCCCUCUUUUGUGCGUUUCAAAAGGAAAAUUCUUUUCUUAUCACAUGAUGAUAUACUUGCUCCGUACAAUAAUAACAGGACACUCGGAGACGGUGUUCCGCCUGCGCUAGAGCUCUGCUGUCUGCUUAGCUCCGGUGAAUUUCCUGCAUGCUGGGAUUGGGGUGGUUUCGUUUUAUGAAAUGAUGAUCAAAGCCGGUGUGGGCUCGGACGUGGAUUUUUGGCUUCCGGGAUCCAGUCCUCCCUACAGUUCAAAUUUUAUGAAAAUCAGUUUCAAAAAAUCUGAAUUUUUUUAAUAGUGUUAGUAUAGAUGUAUACUACAUAUCUGUACAUUUACAUGUAAAGAUACAUUGAUUUGUAGUCUGUGCAAAAAUAACAAAUCUGGGGAUGUAUAAUACUAGCGCUAUUGUGCAUCCCCAGAUUUGUUAUUUUUGUACAGAUCACAAAUAAAUGUAUCUUUACACGAAAAUGUACAGAUAUGUAAUAUACGUCUAUACUAACACUACCAAAAAAAUUCAUAUUUUUUUGAAACUGAUUUUCAUGAAAUUUGAACUAUAGGGAACAUUGGAUCUCGGGAACCAAAGUGGGUUUCCUGUGUGGGCUCGCACUUCUUUUCUUCUCGUCCUGGAUGGGCCUUUACCUUGCCAAAAUGCCAAUGCAAGUAAGGCCUACGUUGUACCAACAAGCUUCAGCCAUCCACGAGGCCCAAGCCCAUACACCGAAGCUUUGUCCGCUUCGUGACCGCAAUCAGAAUGUGACACAAACACAAUAUUCCGGGUAAAACAAAGAAUCGCGUUUAUUAUUAAGACGAGAUUAUUACUACCUUCGCUCUUAAUUGUAACAUUAUCGAUUACUGUACUACUUCCGUUCUUAAAUGUAAGAUGCUAUAACUUUGUAUUAAGUCAAACAUUCUAAUACAUGAUUAAAUUUAUAGAAAAUACAUUAUCAUUUAUCAUACACGUGUAAGGACGAUAUGAUAUGGAAAUAUAAUCACAACGGAUUUGAUAAAACUAACAUAAAGAGGUAAGUAUCUUGUAAACAACUGACAUUGAACCUUCUCCUUUCCCUUCAAGGUCCUUGUCCAGAAUCCCUAUUCCCUUUGUGCUAGAAUCCUCAAAACCAGAUAUUUCCCUAGAUGCGAUGUUUUGGAGGCGACACCAACCGCGGGCAUUUCAUAUACUUGGAGAAGCAUUUUGAAAGGGAUUCAUACUCUGAAAUUGGGCCUGAUUUGGCGCGUGGGAGUUGGUCGAACUAUAAAAAUCUGGGAGGACCCAUGGAUUCCGAGAGACAGCACUAGGAAACCAAUUACGCCGAGAGGUAAUUCUAAUUAUCCGUCCUUGGUGUCUGAUCUGAUUGCCCCGCUGUGUGGAGUUUGGGAUGAACAUCUCAUCAGGCAUGUUUUUUGGGAGGAGGAUGCUGACUUGAUUCUUAAAAUUCCAAUCCACCUUGCCUUCAGUGAUGUAGUGGCAUGGCAUCCUGAUCCAAAAUGGCUCUUUUCUGUAAAAUCCGCUUACCACUUAACUGCUGCCAACGAAGAAAAAGAGAGUACUAACGGGGGCGGCGGCUCUGCUAGCGAGCUGGGGGGUCAAAUUUUGUGGAAUAAGCUCUGGAAUUCUUGCGUCCCUAACAAGACCAAACAUUUUCUCUGGAGGCUGGCCCAUAACACGAUUGCAGUGAGAAUGAACCUGAGAUAUAAAGGCAUGGACAUCGAUUCUAAUUGUUUGUUCUGUAGUUGCAAGUUUGAAGACACAGGCCAUCUGCUGUUCAAGUGUAAGCAAGUGAGACAGUUGUGGAGAGGUCUUGGUAUGGAGGAAGAGAGGCUUGUGUUCAGUACGAAAACCAAUGCCCAUGAUGUUUUUGAGAUCCUUCUGAAUAUGAAUUAUGGUAAGCUUGCCCUGGUUGCCUUCCUGUUGUGGAACCGGUGGCUGCAAAGAAAUAAAGUGCGGGAUGGCGAGUCCUUGCGCCCUGUCGAAGACCUUAUUUUCUCUGUCAGAAAUCAAACCAGCUCCUUUUUGGAAACUUCUGAGAAAACCAACAGCAGAAGCAGCAGACUCUUAACAAUGUGGCAGAAACCUAAGAUGGGGUGGAUUAAAAUUAACUCUGAUGGAUCCUUUAUUGCGGAAUCUAACAGUGGAGGCUAGGGUGCUGUUCUGCGAGACUGCAAUGGAGAUGUGGUGGCGUGCGGGGCUGGGAAUCGAACUCAUUUGCUGAGUGCUCUUCAGUCUGAAACUCUGGCUGCUAAUCAAGGCGUGAAGAUGGCCAUCGAGCUGGGCAUCCAGAGAAUUGUGCUGAAAACUGACUCUUUGAUCCUCAAGGCAACUCUGCUCUCAUCGACCACUGACAAGUCUCUUAUUUCUAUGGUGAUUGAAGAAACCAAGGAGCUCCUGGCCUCUCUUUUUUCUAAUUUCCAAGUUGUUAAUUGUGGUAGGAGCUGUAACUCUGUAGCACACAGUUUGGCUUCUGUUGGAUCAAGCUUCGUCCACCGGUUAAUGCAUCUUUGCAUUCCAAAAAGGUGUCCAAGGAACUUGCAUCUUGGCAUUUCUGAUUAGACAGAUGUGACCACUUCACUAUCCCAGUACCAACAAAUAUUUUUCUUACAUCUAUAUUAAUCGUUAGACCGGCUCUUGUUCAAAUAUUAAAAUUAGAAUAUCAGAUUAGGCACGUGACCAUAAAAAAAAUCAACAAAUGUCGUAAGUACUAAACUUCCAGUUUCACUGAAAAGUAAAAACAUCAAACCGCUUUUCUUAGAUCAUGUUAAUUAUUGACACGAUGAAAACACACGAUGAAAACACUUACUCCCUCUGAUUCUAAAUUAUUGACUCAAAUUUGCUCAAAUAUGAAUGUAUCUAUUUUUAAAAAGUGUAACAUGUAAUAAUUUCGAUAACAAUUUAGGACGGGAGGGAGAGUACUCCGAAGCAAAUUCGUUCCAAUUUCUAAAAUUUACUCUUAGCUAAGAUAAAAUAAAAUCCCAUUCUCCCGUUUCUUCGCUGGGAAGCUUUUGCUUUGGAAGCCGGAAGAGGCGAAAAAGUCUGAACACCCCUCUUUCCACCACCACUUCAUUAUUCACCACUCUCUACCCACCCACCGUCCGCUGCCGUCGCCGAUGACCCCCGCCACCGCCACCGCCGCCGCCAUUGACUCCGCCCUGUCCCCGCACGCCGCUCCCUUCACCCUCCCCUACCGCUCGGCCUGCGCCCCUCCCGGUCUCCUCCAGGAUGGUAAACCUAAGCCUCCCUCCCAUCCCUAUCCUCGUCUUGUUUAUCUCCGCCGGCGCUCUGGUGCUCCGCUUCUUGUCUGGUCUGCGCGUCAAUUGCGUUCCCUGUGUUAUGUUAGAGGAUGCGAAUCCGAUUGCGUUAGGUCGCUACGUUUAUUUUAAUCUUGCGGCGCUGGCCUGUAUAGCUCGGCGAAAGAUUUGACCUUUGUGCGGUUCUUGGGUGGUUGGGAGGAUUGUGGUCUGGAGUGGUAGGCCAAGAAUCGGUGGAUCCUUGGUUGAUUUAUGGUUGUAUAUCUGUCCGUUUUCUAGUUAAAGUAUUCAGGCAUGCAUCGGUUAUCUUCGGAAUUUAUGGAUGUACUAGUAGUUGUAACGUUUUCUUUCGCUCUGUCAGUCUGCCACUAGAUUUAUGACUUCAUCCCAUGACUAUCCCCAAUCAGCACAAUACUAAUUUGGACGGGAUGCUUUUGUUUUUUGUUGGGCUACAUUAGUUUGUAGUAGUCAUUGUUUGCACAACGAACUGCGAAGACAUUGAGUGUGCAUUACCGAUGCGCAGGUGAUGUUUCUAGUUCGACGGAUGGUAGCUUCGUGGUGUGUGCGGAAGAGAAGAAAGCAAGGGAUCCCCAAUCAGCAUCAUGCCUUUUGACAAAAUCAAGUGGCACUGUUUAUCCACCCUCUACAUAUGGAAUGCAGGCUGGACAGCUGAGUUCAUGGCCAGGACUCUGUGUGGAUGCCUAUGGCUCCUCAACAUCGGUCAGGAUAACAUCCAGUUAUGAGCAGCAAAGUUCCUUGAUAUCAGGAAACAGGAGCAAAUGUUCAACAGUGAAGAUUGAAAGGCCACCAAAUAAAACAUCAGACACUAACAAUGCCAGCUGUGGUCCUAGGAGCAAGUUGGUUAUAGCAGAAAACCCUAAAUCCAAAGACACUGGGAAAGAAAUAUCAUUUACCAGAACUUUACAAGUCAAAAAUCCUGUCGAUGGCAAGGACAAUUCACAAGGUACCAUUAUCUGCUCCAAGGUGGAAAAUCCCGUGUUCAAUGGGAAGCCUCUUUGUAUUCCAACUACAUCUGCUAAUCCAUGCAGCUUUGUGGCUGAUGACGUGAAGCCAGAUCCAUCGGACUGUUCUGUGGAUUCACCAUGUUGGAAAGGAGCUUCAGCUUCUCGUCAGUCUCCGUUUGAUGUUCGUCAAACACCUGCUCCCCAGUCAGCUAAUCAAGAAUUAGAAGCCGUUAGUGCUGGACAGAAACAAAGCUCUAGCACUUUUCAACAUUAUGAAGCUCCAGUGGAGCUUCAAAUAUCAGCCAGUAGUAAAACUAAGCAUGACCACUCCCAAUCCUAUCCUGAAGUGUCUGUGUCAAUGAAAUCCAGAGGUAUAAGUAUAGAGCAGACAAAAGAUUCCCAUGGGAAGGAGCGUGAGUGUGCAGACCAAUGUGCAGCAAAAUCCGAAACCAAGCAGAAGCACCUGUUGGUACUGCGAGAUAAUCACGUGAAGCGAUCUAGUCUAAACUCCGCCGCUCCGGAUUUUGUACCUUCAUCAAUUGGGAAACCAAAAAUUGGCAAAGGUCUACCCAACUCCUCUGUAGUUCUAUAUGAUAGCACCUGGUGCUUGAUAUAUAAAGUUAGCAGUUCCAUCUUAUGCAUACAUAAUAUGUUAACUUUUUGACACAUUACAGGACCCUGUUCUUCAACAGGAAGGAGUAUAUCGGGAGUUCUCAAAGCGAUUGAAAAUCUGACCGAGGUGUUCCAGAGUAGUUACUCUGAGGAUGGAAUUGAGCUGGAAGAGCAUGACUACAUCAUCCUCGAAUCAGUAAUUAGUAAUCUUCAGAAUUGCCUUCAUAAAAAAAGAAAGGUGCGCUGUUUCGUGGAUUUUUGUUUUCCAGUCCUCAUUUAGUAUGGGCAUUCUGUUUAAUUUGGAUACUUUCUGUUGAGCAUACAGACGACCUGCAGCUUGCAGUUUUAUGGCUUCUUGCGUUAUGCGGAACUAUUUUGAAUGAUUGACAUGAUACGAUAGAUCUAAGCUUAAAUUUUUAUCCAUUUGUUUUUUUUGCUUCACUUUGAAGUCAAUUGCUUCGACUCAUGCUAGAUGUUUGCCUCUGAUGUCCUCUUAGGAGGAAUAACUGUGAAACUUUUACUAUUAUUGCUAUUGCACAUGUAAGAUUAGCAAAUUUUAUGAUUCCUGAUGUUGCGAAUUCUUUUUUUUUCUUGUUAACACAAAUGAUGAACUUUACAUGGUAGCUAUGCUCCUUGAUAUUUUUCCCUGUCAACAUAAAGAAAUAAAAACUAUUAGAACUUACGGAGCACAAUAUUACUAUGUUAUUUAAAUAAGUGAUCCCAUGAUAAUUUUGUCUCUAUUGUUACCAGGGUCCUAUUGACGCUGCUUCUGACAAGGCAGGGCUGAAGGCUCCACACCCUCAGACUACAGUUUUAAAAUCUGAUGCAGGGAAAUACAAUGGUAGUUAUGUCGCAGAUGAUGGAAAGGGCCUAAUUAUUGAUCGGUUUACUGGUUCUAGUCAUAUGAUCAAUGAUUUUGGAAGAAGCAGCUUGACACGGGGCCAGGUAACCUUUUAUACAUUAUACACAUAAUAACUUUUGUUGUUUCUAAAUGCACAGAGGGUUGCAGAACCUUUUGUAUCUCCCAACAGGUGCAAUUUUCACUUUACGUAUUAAAUUUACUAGCUAAAAGCACGUGCGUUGCUACAGAAAUAUUAAUCAAUCUAGUCAAUUAUAGAGAAUAUGAUACGUAUAUCUACCAUAUUAAAUGCGUACAAUUACAUUCGUUUUCUAGCUUUAUAGAUAAUGGCCUCAAUUAAGUGAAUUGACGACCACCAACUCAGAUGAAGUAAAGAAAAAGGUCCAACUAUUUUUUAGAAGACAUGUGCAGAAGAAUUUGCUCUUUUAACCUACCCUGUGGCAGGUCCAGCAUGAUUUGAUGAAAACUUGCUUACAAUACUUAAAUAGUUUAACUAAAUUUGCUCCAUGCAAUUUUUUUUUUGCCUAUCCUGUGAUAAGUCUAGCAGGAUUUGGUGAGAAAUCACGUAGAAUACUUAAAUAGCUUAACUAAAAUUUCUGUUGCAUUUUCUUAUCAAACUAUUCUUAAUGGUUGACCAGCCUUCACUCAACAAUGUUCCAAAGAAGAUAUCCGCCGAGGAAGAACAUCCACAGGUUCUUGUCUAUAAGAAUCUCUGGAUUGAAGCGGAGCGUGCAAAUUGUGAGUUGAAGUACCAACUGAAGCACACUUGUAUAAAAAUAGACCUAGAGUCCAGCAUGGCUCCUGCUAGUGCUCCAAGAAAGAACUAUUUCCAAGUAUCUGAUCUGAGUACUGAUCCAGUUAAUCUAUAUGGAGCUUCCUUAGCUCACCCGCCGAUGCUGAGCUUUCACAAGCAGCAGCCUGCUGGAGAGACAUCAGGAUCAAGCAGCAGUCAAAAUCUCAUUUACCCUGGCGACUGCAUUCUGUCAGGAGGCAACAGUGCUCUUAGCUGUUCUCCAAGCACCAAACGCUACUCUACUCUGCAGAAGAAUCUGCAGCGUGGUCAUGUUCUGACAGGCCAGGAAGAAACCAUCACACAUCAUAAUGCACAUUCCGGGCUGCAACCAGCGCCAAAUAGAGCUCGCCAGGAGUUGAACGGAAGCACUUUGGAUGGCGCGUCCUCCCGCUCAUACAUCGGCCGAAGAGAUGACAUUUUUCUUGGCAAUUCUGAGUACGGCUCAUCGGACUGGGAGCACGUGCUAACAGAAGAAAUCGGCUGGAGCUGAUGGCAUCUGCCAGCUUAGAAAGGUGUUACCUGUACAUAUAUGAGGAAGUAGGAUUUCCGGAAGCCAGGGGAUCUGGCUAUAUUUUGGUUGCUAACCAAGGCUGACGAAAAUGGUGCGUUUCAGCUGGCGAAAAACACUGCCCCCUUUUGACUUUUUAUCAAGCACAUCUUGCCUUAGAAACAGUGGUUGUAUAUUUUGGUCCUACUUGGAUGCUACUAAGCAGUAUCUUGUUCUUUGGCACACAAUUAAUUAAGUGCAUAGUUCUGUUCCACUGUGCUCCUAAUGGCCGAUCCUACAACAGCAUGUACUACAAUGUGUGCCAGGGCAUUCAUUGUGUACCAUCUAUAUCAAAUAUUUGGCCAACGUAUUCAAAGUUUCAAACUACAAAUAAAAAUGUAUGUAUAUGAAAAUCCAGUAGUAAAUAUCAUGCACGCCUGUAAAUUCUGGCCGACAAAAUGUGCAUGCAUAGAUGAAGAGAAGAAAUCAAGGGUCUUCAAAUUACAGAAGGUGUAUCAUUCAAUCCUGAUGAUCAUCAGUACAUCUUCAUAAAGCUCAUAUAUAGCUAAUUCAACUUGUAUAAUCUUAUGACUAUACUCCUUUUUUUCUAAAUUAAUCGUUAAACAGCAAAGGCAAGACGGAAGCAACCAAAUCAACAACUAUCUACCGGGAACAAGAGGAAACUAAAUAAAUCAUCAGCUAAAUUCAGGAUCAAGAAGCAGUCAUCUUCCCCACCCCACUAGAACGAAAUCUAUAUUCAAACUCAUCAUCAUCAUCAGCUUGUUAUGAUCAAAAGCAGAUUCAUCAAUCUCUUCCUGCAAUGCAUCCUUCCACAUCAUCCCAACCCCUGUCCUCCUUCCUCGUCGUCUUCCCCGGCGCCGGUGCCACACUCUACAUUCACCCCAAAGAGCCUGAAGCUCCUCGGCGGCGGUGACUCUGCGACGGCCUCGCCGUGACAGAUCAUCGUCGACGUCCCACGGCCGAACAGCCGUGGCUGUGCUGGCCCGGCAUCGGCGUCGGAGCCGAAGACGAUGUCGUGGCGGCGGCAUGGCUGGCGGUGGCGGUAGCCGAUGAAGUAGCGUCCGCCGGAGCGGGUGAAGGAGAUGGUGUCGCCGGCUGAGAGCCGCUUCUCCCUGACGAAGCGGCUCCACCCUCUGGUGAUGACGUAGCUCUGGCUGCUCCCCCAGUAGGAGUACCGGAACCGCCACGCCGCCGUCCUCCCGGCAGCGCCGGCGGCGGCGUCCUCGAAGCACAGUUCCGUCAUCCCCGCCGCCGCCAUUGGCGGGAAGUGGCGCUCGGCGUGCUGCUUGGGCACGACGAGGCGGUUGAGCUUGCCGACGUCGCUGGGGGUCACCACCUUGUCGAACAAGUGCUCCAGCUCUCCUUCACCUACAGCUUCUCCUUGCUGGUAAUGGACAUCAACAAGGUCGUCUUCUUCUUCUUCUUCAUGGCUUCUUUCUUGAGCAGUGGCUUCUUCCAUGAUCAUCAGUGUAGUAGCAUAUAUGGGUUUAUUGUUCUAGGCUUCUAGCUGGGAAGAAAGAUUGAUUCUGGUUUUGGCUUUUGGAGUAAUUCUUUGGGUGGAUCUUUCUUGGAUCUGAGGUGGUGCGUGCAAUGGAAGAACUAAUAUGGUUUCGGCUGGCAUGCAAGGGGAGGAAUCCCACCUACCUAGCUACCUUAGCUAGCUUCAUGGAUCAUAUGUAUUGAUGUGUGUUCUUGACACAGAUCUUUGAUGAGUUGACUGAUGGCUGGCCAGAGAGGAGACUUAAUUGGUACAGCUAGCUAGGAGGAAGAUGUAUGCAUGAAAGACUAGCACAACGCCACGCUAGUGCGUCCGUCGCGGACUAAAAAACAUACUCACUCUUCCUACCGUACCAGAUCAACAACACUUGUUAUAUAUAUGGAUCAGAGUGAGUAGAAGUCAUGACCUUGACCGUUCAUCUAGAUCCAACGGGUGAUAUUGUGUGAAAUGAUGGACCACCGCUAUCAAUUGAAAUCUUCGUGGGGUCUAAAGAUCAAGGAGCUCUUUCUUGCAAGGAGAGGUACCUAAGGGCAUCCACAACGCUAUAGUGAGAAAAUAGCGCGCUAUUUAAAACCAUGCAUAGAUCUUAUUGGCACUGGUGCUAAAUUUCAGUUUCGGUACAACGUAGAUGAUGCCAAAUAUUCAUGCAGAUAGGACCCACCAAAACAAUAAACUAUUCAAAUAAUUCUACCCAGCUCUUUUCCCCUUCUCUUCCUCCACGGUCCACUCAAGUAGCCCAACGCCGCGCAUGCGCUCGCCCCUCGCCUCCUCUGCGCCCAACGCUGCCACCGCCAUUUUCCACCUCCGCCCGCGCCCGACGGCGUGUGCGCCCGCCCCACACGCCUGUGCACCAUCGCUCGCCUGCGCCUGCGCCCGCCUCCUCCUAGCACGGGCCAGCCGCUGUCGUCUGCCGUGCCGGUACCACCUGCUGGUUGCGCCCAACUCACCGUCGCCCCUCCGGUCUCUGUCUCCCUCCGAUUCUCCGGUGUCCAUUUCUCUCGGUAUCUUGCGGCGGUUGUCGAUUUGUUUAUUCACCAGCCCAAAUUAGGAACCAGAGCAGCUAUUUGCUCCGCAAUUUGGCACCGGUCUCACAAUGUUAAAAAACGGUGCCAAAUGCCAAAUAGCUAUUUGACAUCUCUAUUUGGCACAGAUUAUGGAGGUCCUUUGUCCUUUCUACGGUUUGCAGGGGCAAGAGAGGAUGCAAGGUGACAAUAAUAUAGUAAAUUUGUUGACCAACUUCAUUUGAAUACCAUCUCGAUAUGCACGCAACUUGUUGCUACGUGAGUACGUAGUAAACUAGCUAGGUCAUGUCAACUACAUGUAAUAUUAUUAUUUUUUGGUUGCUGCUUAGCUUAUAACCAAGUGGGAAUUGAGUGCAUUUUACCAGGUCAACAACUUUUGCAUAAAUUACAGCAAGUAACAAGGGAAAGUUAAACUUGGUCGAUUAAGUCUAUGCAUGGCAAAUUAAUUGACUAGGUGUGACGUCACCCCCUGGUUACUUGUGACGUCAUGCACGUUCCCCAUGUGACGUGGCUAUUUGGAAGAAAGAUUUUUGUUUUAGCAGAUUGUUGCGUGCAAUAGGUGACAGGCUACUAAAACUAUAUGGGCAGAACUUAGAGAAGAUCAGGCACCAGAUGUAAAAUGUUCCAAAAGAAAUUGCACACGUAUAUGUUCGAGUUCUCUGCAUUCUGUUAAAAGCAAGUUUAAAAACUUUAAAUUUCUCAUUUACAGCAUUAAAUUGAUUUUCUAUGCAAACAUAAUAUGCAUUUUUUUGUAAACUUUUUAAUAUUUUUUAUUUUGUUGUUCGUCCUGGAUGAGCACCUUGCCCUGUCGCUGUCAUUCAUUCGCUUAGGAUGCGGGCAAAAUUGUUUUGCUUGCCCGAUGAAAAUAACUUUACAAGUAUUGAUUGCUUUAUUCAGAAAUAUAUUUUAUCGCCUUUUUCUUGUUAGAUAUCGACAGGGAAAUAUGGUAUAUGGAGUAGAAGAAAAGGAGUCAACCAAGUUUUGAUGGGGAAAAUCCUUGCAGGGGAAAACUUUACAGAAAAAUUAGGGAUUUAGAAAGGAAUCAUUAAAUCAUCCUAUGCGCCAUACAGGAGGUACAAAUAGACAACAUGUGUUCAAACUCGCGAAGCAAAAACCGAUUUCGGAGUCCAUUCAAACAAAACCCGGCACAAAAGGAUUCGGAGUUAUCAACAUUGUUCACAAAUAGGCCAAGUUCAGGUUAGAUCAACGACCACUGGAUGAUUCAUCUACUUCUCUACCUCAAUUGGCCAUUUGCACGACAAAAUUUUCUUUUAUAUUUCCUUCAGGGAAAUGAAUAUUAGGGCAACUUGACAGUAAAAAAAUAUGCUUCCUAUCUAACACGCCCUGACAGAACAAUUACACACAGCCCUACUACCUGCUUCAAAACCUGUAGGUACUAUCCAACCAUUCUUUGCAAGUGGUCACGUCGAACACUUGCUUCUCUUUAUUCCCCUUUGAUUAGGCAAGUGGGCCUUCUAGAAAAUGAUCUUUGUUUUAUCUCCUUCUGAGAAACAUAUAAUAUCUGUACACAUCUGUCACCACCUCUAAAAAAAACAUCUGCCACCAGUACCCACAUUUAGGUAAAAAUAACUCCUGGGUUAAAAAAGAAAGGUGUCCAUCCAAGCAUCUCCAGAUAUCAGAUGUAUAUACAAAUCAAAUACAAGGCGAUCACGAUCUCCCUUUGGGAACUAAGCCUAAAAUGAUCCAAUAACAUGAACCGAAAUUGCAAGUAUUAUCCUUCACCAAAAAAAAUACAAAAACAAGCAGAAUUGCCUUUUACCAAGAAAGUACCGUAGGCGCUUAAUGCUUAAUGUCUAAAGAGAUAGGAUGUGAAAGAAGCAGUCUAGAGGAUCCAGCUGCUUGCCAGGCACUGACAUACAACACACGGUAAAUUUGACUUUUGUAAACACUGCAUUGCAAGGACUGAAGUCCUAUAGUAGCUUAGAUGUAAAAUACUAUAAUUUCUUCAAAACAAACUACUUGUCGAGGCUGGAGUCACGUGGAGGCUUCGCUGUCGAGGCGAAUCCUUUUGGUGCCAACCUCGUCACUAGCCGGCACCCUAUUCUCCUUCGCUUCCACCGAGCACCUCUUGUAAGGUUUGAAGCCUGUCCGGCGGGAUUUCAUAUUCAGGUGUGACAAUUCAAUGGGAAGGGAAGCUAUCGGACCGACCGAUGUAUCGAGUUCACGAUCAAUAAUCGAGGCGCACUCGUUGAGGUCGACCGUCACCGUAAUUGCUUCACCUUGGUCCUCCUUUGAGACCUCCUUCGAGACCGCCUUCGAUCCUUCUGCCUGUGGGGGAGAAAAGCUUUGGGGAAGCUUUCCUCUACUGAACAGUGCAUCGAAAGCCAUACGACCCUGACAGCAGAAAUGUGAAUUAGAAUACAGUGAUGGAUGCUCAACGAGUAACAUAUAAUGAAGUUAGGCAAUGCUGGUAGACUACAACCUCCUCAGAAACUUCCUUCCAUGAUUCACUUGUGCUUGCAAUGCUCCGAAAUCUGCGGUGGUUAGUAUCACCAGCUGAAAGGUUAUUGCAAGAUGCUUGCUGCUCCUUGUCAUUCACUUGAUCUUGUUUCUCGGGAACAUGUUCUGCCUCUACAUCACUACUGGAUGGUGUGUUGGAACCGCAUGAAGAGCGAUCCUGCUUCUUCUUGUUUCCAAACGCAUCACUUGUGUCAGCUCCUGUGGCAGGUGUUAUCUCUGCUUUAUCCGUCGGAGAUAUCUUUAUCUCAGUGUGGAGAGAAACCUCUCCGUUUCCACUUUCAUCAGACUGUGAAGACGCUACAACCAUCACAGCUUCAGGUUGACCUUGCUUCUGAGCUACUUGGCAUUCCUUUGGUGUGCAAUCAACUGGGAAGUUCUCUGAUGCACGCUGAACAUCUGCUGUGGGAAACGAAGCGCUAGGAACUGGAACAAAUGGAAAAGCCAUGGGAGGAGCAAAAAGAGGGAGAAGACCUUGUGUUGCCCACCAUGCUGAUGCCGCAGCAACUGUAGCGGCUACGAUAGAAGCCAUGCUGGGAGGAGAGCCAAUAUGUCUUCCCUGAGCAUUAUCAGAAGGACUUUCUUGAUUUGGAUCGACAGGACUGUCUGCUGACGGCCAGUAUGAUGCUGCAAGCCUUGCGGCUGCAUGUACUGCGGGGUUUGACAACAAUGUGGAAACAAGCAUGCUGGAGAAAGCGGAUGACAUAUUAACAGAAGAUUUGUAGGCAUCUUGGUUGCAGUGGCAUUGCAUCAUCGGUGCAAAGGCUGCAUAGUUGUGGGUAAUGGGCUGCGCUGUGGAGCUGUUGUCAAAUUUUGGAUCCACAGAAAGUGUUGGAUGAAGGCAGUUCAUGUUACCUUUGGCUACUCCCACUUGAUCAUUUGUUUGAUCAGCAGGACUUUUUUCAGUCCCAAUGACUGGAAUGCCACUUGCCCCAGUUCUAUCCAUUUGGUAGUGUGAAGCUCUUGUGGGAUGUUGGUCUGUGUGUGUUAUCUCCACUGAUUUUGGCUUUAGUUUCACAUGUUGCCUUGAGUUAUCCAAACAAUCGUCAUGCAGAUGGUCAUAUUUAGCACUGAUGUGGAUUCUGUUCGGCCUUUCCAUUUCCUGAUCAUUAAUAUCUUUUACAUCCUUCUCCAUAUCGAUGGAAACAGAAGUUCUGUCCAUGGUUGUCAUAUCUUUUAUUUCUGUUUUAGUUGCUUCAAUCUCCAUUGACGCACCAUGGUUUGAAGAGCUCUUGUUAACAGAAGAAAAUGAGGCAGAUUGUGCAUCUCGAAAGAGAUUAAGAACUUCUGAGCAACUUGAUGACUCCUUUCCUUGAAGUUUCUGAAUGCAAGUGAGCUUCUUGUUAAAGAAAAUGAAGCAUAGUAAUAGUAAAUGCAUACAUUGAGGAAAGAAUAAACACAAGCUCCAAUCAGAGAAUAGUACUACAAAGGUUUUUACCUGAAGAGUUGCAUUUCCUGCUGUUUGUGCAUUGCUACUGGUCAAGCUUAUAUUUGAUUUUGUUGACUUAUCAUUUGGAGCUUCUCUCGUAGGUGCGUCGGAGCUGAGACAACCUUUUCGCGGAUAUGGACAGUUAGGUUUUCUUUUAGGCCGUGGUGGAGGUAUGUCGAUAUCAUGAGCUUCUCCUGGAGAAGUGCCAUUAUUGAUAGCUUCCUUUUCCAACUGCAAUUUCCUGAUUAGUUAGAUACAUACAAAUAGCAACAAUACUAGAAUUAAAUGCUUGAAGAACAGUAAUUUGAUGUAUACAGAACUUUAACAGUUGGAGUACUAGAUAUUGUUACUUUUCCAAAUGCUAUGAACUUUGAAGGUAGCUGAGAAACCUUUUGGCCAGUUUCUAGAGGCCAGUGGUAGAGGGAACAUGCAUUUUCUAGCUGGUGGGAUUUUUGUCCCAAUUCACGAACUAAAACGAACAGCGAACCAUUGGGAAGAUACAUGAGUUUCAGGGGAGAGAAGGACGAUCACAAUGCCAAGUUCAUUUACUGGUGAGUUGUUUGAGAAUAACAUAACAGACACUUUCUUGUGAAAGAACAACGUGCAAAGGAGGAAAAUUAGCAAGUAUCAGACAUGAAAAUGUGUACAGCCAUUAGCACUCAUAAAUCUACUGAUGCUCAUAUAAGUUUAUCUGUAUGGUGUGAUGAAUCAUCAGGGUUGUAAUCACAUAAGAGUGCUUACCAUGGCGGCAGAACUAUUGAAAACAUGUUAUGAAUUUAUGAUGCAUGGUGCAACAGAUCUUUUGAGAUCACUGCUACAGAAAACAGUACACAAGUCCCUCCCUCCCUCCCUCCCUCCCUCCCUCUCUUCUCUGUAAGAUUGAAGCUGAGCUUGCGGCUUCCCUCGAUUGUUAGCUUGGCACUUGCCUCCCCUGCUAGGCCUUUCCAUCUCUUUUUCUCCCUGAUGUAAUUUCCUCCUCCCUCCCUUGUAUAUAUGUUUUGUGUUAAUAAAAUUUACUGUGCCCCACCCCCAACCCAACACCCUACAGUUUUAUGGUAAAAGAAUGUCUUCUUGGUUAUGUGACCUCUUUUAGUGGCACUCAGCCAAUCAUCUUUUUGUUAUUUUUCUUGUAAGCAUCUUGAUCUUUUAUUAUAAGAAUCAUCAUCUUGCUCUUAUGAUGUUUAGACUCUUUUCAUAUAGAAUUUCACUGAAAAGGAAACAAUAAACUUAACUGAAAAGGCAUGGAAAAAUUCUACAGUUCAGUAGAAAUCUGAAACAGUUCUCCGUGACAUCAAAAGUGCAAAUUGAUAUCAAGUUCAGUAUAUGGGACCAGCAGCUUUGCUAACGUUGGUUCUUCCAAACGUUCACCUACAUAGAGUGUCCUCCUUGCAGGUGCAACCCUUGGAUUCAUUUAUACGUCUACAGGAAUAUUAUCCUCAUGGUCUCAGAUUAAUGCGACAGGUUACAGAGAGCCCUGCACUAAAGCUAUUUUAGUUCCAUCAACCUUAGUGGGCAUUCAACAAUUGCAAGUUUUCACUUGUAAGACUAUCAAUACCACGGUUCGACAACUAGAUGGUAACUGGCUUUAGCGCCGGCUUUUGGCCAAACAGGUGGGUACCGGUGAAUAUGCAGCCAGUACCGACCCUUUCGAUUUACCCCACUAAAUAGUAAAUACCAACAGGAUUGUAACCACUUCCGGUUUAAAAUUCCCAUUUGAAAUUUGCAAAGGAAAAUGGAGAUUCAGAAUGCCAGAAACCAGAACCAACUACAGUAGGCUUUUUGGACAGGUAUCCUAAAAUGGUAAAUCCUGACCAACAUUGCAUCCUAAACCAUCAAGAAACCUUUGAAAGCUCAUCUACUUAAUAUUUAAUAAGAAUGUACUAACUUGAUGAAUGAUGACUGUAUAAGUUUGCUGUCAACCCUGCACCUACCAACAUGCCACAGUUUUCAUGAUUGCUACUCCCUCUGUUUCUAAAUACUUGUCGCUGUUUUAGUUCAAGUUUACACUAAAACAGCGACAAGUAUUUAGGAACGGAGGGAGUACAUGUGAGUGAAGGAAUAAAGAGUGGAUAGUGGUUUAUUUUCACUCGCCUAGCUCUUUCUGUUCAACAUAAAUGUUAAUUUGCUGGAAACAUAAAAACAUUUAAGCAAUAAGUAUUACUUCUAAAGGCUUGUCAUACACCAUAACUUCUUACGAACUUAUUGGCGAGCAAAAAUGAAUGAGCUAGUGUAAGUAAACAAUUAGUUGUGUCAUUUACUUAUAUGCACAAUAGGUUACAGAUGUUCAUCCUGCAGCUAACCCACUGUACCAAGCUAAGUCCGAUGGUCAUGGCUGGUUGUCAGGGCAUGAAUUUUGAGAACCCAGAAAUUAUCAUGUUAAAAAACAACUAACCUCGGCUUAUCUCGCAAGAAGACCUUUGAGAGGGUGAUGGUGCAAUCCAAACAAGGUAACAAUUCAUGUCUGUUGCAAGUUGCAACGUGAUGGCAAUGUAAUUAUGUGGCAGUAUGCAGCCCCUAAAGGCAGACAGGAGGCUUGGAAACAGGAAAAAGAACAAAAAGAAGAAUAGAGAUUAAGGAAGUAAAAAAGAGGGUAUUCCAACUCUCCAUGGCAUUGAUUUGUAUUUUUGCAGAGUGAACAUAAAAAUGAAAUGGACUCAAAUGCUCUCUUAGUCAUUUUAUUCAACGUGGAUGGAGAAACAUGUUAGAUAUAAAGCUUUUACAUACGUUGAUGCUGUCUCCAAUAAAAUAUUAGCAUAAACUUGCUAUACAAUUCUGUAGGCAUUUCCUAUAGUUCACUCAAGUACAUAUCUAUUGACUUCAUAUGUAAAUUGAACUAGCAACACGAUGUUUUCUUAGUCAUAUACAUAUGUAUGCUUAAUGAGAACACAGAUGAGCAAGUUAAUUAAUGAGGACCAGAAGUGUUUGAUAUCCUCUUCUCUGCGGCAUUGCUAAUUUCAUACAAAUAAGCAGAGAAUUUAUAGCACAUUUCAUCCAUUUCAGCAUGUUUUAAUAUAAUCGUUCAAAGCACAGCACUGACGAAAUAAAACAUUGUCCUCAGAUAAUCGAAAGAAACAAAUCCCUCAUGGUUCGUGCUCUAAAUAUACAAAUCAAUGCAGUACACAACUGUACAACACGAAACAUCCUGAAAACUAAUGAGAUGGCAGUAAACCAAACAAAGGGCACUAGCCAAUCAGAUAGAGAAAGAACCUUGGUGAAGAACUUUUGAGCAUGGCUUCUGAUUUGCACAGCAGUCUUUGUCCCAACAUGCUCUGUAGAAAACAAAAGAAAUAAGUACAUAUCCACAAAAUUAACAUAAAUAGAAAAACUAAUAAUCAGUGACAAAUCAAUGAAUUCAGUUACAGCAUAUAAUUACUCAGGAUAUGAAUGUAUGAAGAUUUCACCUUCUAUGCGCUGCCAAGCUCUGCCAUACAGUUUGAGGGCUUCAAGGAAGCGUUUGUGCUCUGCCUCAGUCCACCGUUCGCGCUGUUUUGUGAUUGUGUAUGGCUUUCGCACCUGCAAAUUGCAUCAAGAAAAAUGUUGAUACAUUUACAACACAUCAACAGGCGCGUCCAUGAGCAACUCACCUUUAUUACCGUUUCCUCACCAGAAGAAUUCAUCUCCAUCUACAAUUCCAAUUCCAGGGGAAAACAAAAAUAGAAGGAAGCGUCAACAACUGGCUGCUUUGUCACUUGGAGUUGAGGUCUUCUACAAACAAAGGAGCUACUCCUUCCAUGUCUCCAGCCAAACGCUGGACCUGAUGCAAGUAGUAUCUCAUACCUAAUAGACCUAUCAAACCAACACAAUAAAUAUUCCCAAAUUUAAUACUGAAAUAAUAAAAAUUGUAUGCCCAACCGCAAAAGACUAGGCAAAUUACAAACCCAAGAAAAAGCCUAAAGAACUCACCACUCUACUGGCGAUUUGAACUUGGAUCAUAAUGGUCAAGUCUGCUCACCGACUUGAAAUAAUCCAAUCGACAUCAAUCUGCAAAAUAAUGCAACAUAGAAUGGCACCAUCUUAAUAUGCAUUUACCUCCUUAAAAAAUUACGCACUCUCAAAUUUUAAAAUUUGCAGGUACUAUAUGAGAAAAGAGAAAUUCAGGCAUCAUUAGUUAAGAACACUAUUGAAUUCCACAAUUCGAAGAUAGGUUGAUAUAACAAUCUCAGGAGCACCAUUUCACUCACCUACUAAAAAACUCAAUUGCAGCUGGUCUGUUGCACACAAAAACUGAGUCAACGGAAUUUAACCAUGCUCCUCUCUUUAUCUUUAACUCUAGAAUCAGCAUAAAACUUGCAAGUAUUCAGAUUAUGCAACCAUUCCACAAAAGAACAGAUUAGACUAACAAAAACAGUUGAAAGCAUAGAGAACCUGCAAAGUAAUACCACAAGAAGCAAUAUGAUCCAGCUCACCUGCUAGGGAAAAACACUUCCUGUAACCUGCCAAAACAACAAAAUCCGCUUCUUAGUUCCUAGUUCCUACAAACUUACAGUCUUGGAUCAGAGCUCAUGAUCAAAACUGACAAUGGUUCCAGACAACACGAUAAACUUCAAAACUCAAAUCAAUCGAAAGCCGAAAACAUCACACCUACCUUGAUAAACUGAGCUUAGUAGUUCCAGUUUUUUGCUUAAAUAGAUCCACAGAAAAGAGUGGGCCGUGAAGCAAUAUAGAUGAUGGAACAAAUGCAGGACCUCACAGCACGGUAAUUAUUAUGUAUGCCCCGAGCAGUCCCUACACUUGAAAGUUACUGAAAUUAGAUUAACUCAAGAAGCCUUGUCAAACUCAAGAAACAGCAUAUUUGAGCUGCCAAGAGGGAGAAAAAAAGUGACCGUUUUAACGGAAAAAUGUUGAUGUUAUAAGACAAAAGCUUUGCUAUAAUUGAUCAGGCUAACCUAGAAUGUGAUGAUUUACCUUCACAUGCUACCAAACUUUGUAAGGCAACCAAAGAACAAGCCCAUAAAACUUGAAAUGAUUCAGAACACCAUUUACUAAUCAUGAGGUGCAGUUAGAUCUUCAUCAACAAAGGAUAAUUGGAUUUAUAUUCGAACUCAGUACAAAAAAUCUUAAAAAGCUAGCCUGGCAGUAUUUAACUCAAAGCAUUCAUUUUUAUCAUUGGAUUUGGAUGAUGUGGUUUCAAAAAGUAGGCUUGUGGGAGGCACACGACGCUUGGAAGACCGGCCUGGUUUAUAAGGAAAACUAGGCCAAAAAACAUAUGCACAAUUGAUUAAAGGACAACCAACUAGCAAAAGUGCAAAACUAAGGGCAUGUUUGGUUCAUAGCCUUGAUUUGACACACUUUUUCUACUAAACUGUGGCAAGCGACAAAAAGUGUGUCAGAAGAAUUGCUCACCACAAGUUAGGCAAAGUUUGGCAAAAGUAUGCGUCUAUGACAGGUGGGACCUGACUGUGAGACAUCCGCCGGUUGUGACAGUCAAACAAACAGCCUAAUGGAGCUGCCACAUGCUUGUGGCAAAGUUUGGUAAACUGUGGCCAUGAACUAAACAUGCGAUGCCGUAAGGCUGGAGCACCUCCAACCAACUAGACACGUCGUAACCGGGUGCCUCUCGUCUAGUGGAAGCACCUGCGCUCCCUGAAGCCGCAACCGUCAGACGGUCAGACCCAACCUGGCCUCCCUCCCAGAACACACCUGUGUCGAGUAGGGUGUGAAUCGAAUUCUUCGACAACGCCUCAAAGAAUGGAAAUUUCGCCAAAGGCGCAUUGUUGCUGGCACCGAUCCCCAUGAGGACAGAGCUUUCACCCAGAGUUCUGCACACCGCCACCCACAGGAUCCCGAGGGAAGGGGUCCAGCCACGCCAGGAGACACCACAUCCGCCUCGGAUCCGACUAGCCAUAGUCCACUGGAGACGAUGAAAAUAGAUUCUUCGUCUUCGAUGACGCCUCCAAGAAGGAAAAAGACACUCGUGAGUGCCAUCACGGACAGCACAGACACCCAUCAGGACAAAGCUUUUGCCCAGAGUGCAGCAUUCCCCCACCCAACUGAGCUCCUGGGGAAGGGGCUGGCACCAACUUCCCACCACCGAGCCGCAAAACACAUGGAGCGCCACAGCGCGACCCCCUCUGCAUUUGCAAUGGCAAGAUGACGCAGGCCGGAUCCGAGAAACGCGUCUGUCACCACAUCCAUGCCAUCACACCACCAUACCAUAGAGUCAUCGAGACCAGCCCGCAGCUAGACGUUGUGAGCCCAUCAGCCCACGCGGGGCCUGCAGCAGUCAGUUUUGGGAGCAGACACACUGCUAAGGGUGGAUAGAAAGCUACUUGACUUGUUGCAAACUCGGCUCGACUUGACUCGAACUCAUUUCUAUAAUUCUCCCGCAAAAAAAAAGAACUCAUUUCUAUAACGAAUGGAGCUGAGCAACAUCUUUUGCUUGUUAAGAUAGUAAGCCUAGAGAGUGAGUUACUGAGUUGCUCGUGAAGCUUGUUAAGCUGGUAUUUAAUCACUAAUCAGCUCAUGUACCUAUUAAGUAUUUAAAUCGCAUUCAUCCAUUGCACGAAUUUGAGCCUUUGAGGGUACAUAUGUUAUAUAAUAAGAUAGUACAACUCGUUCUCCUGUUAAUUGUUGUAAAUGAUAUACUUGUUCCUUCUUUGUUAAACUUUUUAUUAUGAUAUGAUUUCUACAUGGUAAAAAAAUAACGAGUUAAACAAGGCAAACCUAGGGCUUUUAACUAACUGAGCCGAGCCAAGGUUUUUGCUCUUUAACAUUAACGAGCCUGCCAAGUUCAAUCUGACUGGCCAGGCCGCUUAGCAUCGCCACAGCCCAUAGCAUCCACACGCAGCUGUGGGUAGGCCUGCCUGGGCAUUCAGUUUAACCAAACCAAUCGGUUCGGUUCCUCGGUUUUUAGAAAAUCUGAUUCUCCAAAAAUGCUGACAAGUCAAUUUCGGAGAAAACAGGGAACAAAAAUUUUCCGAACCGAAAUUCUGACUUGGUUUUCCGUUCUAACUGAAAAGAACCGAACUGUGUGAACCAACGACUAAGGUUUGGCCUUGGUGGUGACUCUGGUCGGGGUAUGGGAAUCGAGGAAUCGGCGUCGGGAUUGGGGAGAGCGGCGACUGACUAGUGGAGUGGUUUUUUCCCCUAUGUGCAAUAUGGACUGGAGACUGGGCCAUGUCCAGUUGUGUGCUUGGUUCUUUUUGGGGGUUUCGGUUAGCCGUGGGUAAAACCGGAACUCACCAAGAUAAAUGUGGUUUUCUGACUUUGCUAACCGAAUUAACGACUGAAUUUUUCGGUAUGAUUCUAAUCAUGUUCGCUCCCGAUUCUUUUUGAAGAUGGUAUUCAAUAUUUUUAAGCAAAUAUAAUAUUUAAAAUAGCCAGAAUCAAUGAUUAUAUAAAGAAACCAUCUAUAUAAAUGUUUUAUCACUAUGUGGGAAAAAAUUGCAUAUUUGUGGCUAGUUGGAAAAAAAAAUGAAGCCAUCGAGGCACAGUUACUUUGUAAUUUUCCUGAAGAAAUUUCUAAAUGGUCUAAAAUAAUGAGUAUCAAGAUACCCAAAAAAAAAGUAGAAGCAAAGAAACUUUUUUGGGUAGAAAUAGGCAACAGAAAGAGUAUUAAGAUACCAAAGAGGAAGUAGAAGAAAGAAAAAAAAAACAUGCUAGAAAGAGGUCGGGAAAGUCCUGGCUAAGCCGUUGCUUAGAAAAUCUGGUCUCAGGAGAGGUACUGAACCCAAGAGCUCUCACUCACUUAUCUGCAUAGUUCACAACCAGCUAAGCUAAAUCUUCUUCUUGUUUGGAAUUGGAGGUCUGCCUAUACUAUCUAUAUAGACAAAGCAGUAUAUAGUGUUUUUGCCAUUAAAUAAAUAAAUUUGGGUAUUCAUGAAUCACAGUGGGGCCUGCUGUGCUCCUUCGCCCCGCACCCGGAAUCAGAACCGCCGCCAGCCACGGCCACGGCCGCCGCCACCGCAUAGCAGGGGGUGGAUCUAGACGAAGAUCAGUAGGAUUUAACUAAUUACUGGAUGAACACGACCUCAUACCUCGAAACCAAUGGCCAGAAGACAACUGCGGACGGGGCGGAGACAACCGGAACGCGAUGAUGUCCCGACGAGGAAGAACUGGAACGGCGACGCGCGUGAGAGCCGGGCAGCUGUAGGAGGAUAGAUUUAGAGCCUCCUUCUUCUUGAUGGAUUGGAGCAAUUUCUCAUUGGAGUUGGAGAGGGGGUGAAGAGACGCGAGCUUGAGCUUGGGGGGAAGUUUCUGGGACUAUAUGCUUCUAUAUUGUCAUUUAUUCUUUUUAGUCCCUAUAGAAUUCUUAACUACAUUCACGCACUCAGAGCCUUGGUAGGUCUGGACUCCUACGUGGAAGAGAUGACAACUUCACAUGUAAAAUUAACUUUUUUUACAUGUAAUAAAACUCAUCUAUUUACAUGAAAAAUCACAAGUACAUGUAAGACAUGCAUAUUUUUUUUUGAGAAUUCUAUCGACACCUGGGAUUUUCUACACUCAUAUGCACCCAUGAAUUUUCGAGAGCCGACUCUCGAGGAUUUGAGCUGACAUAAACAUUGACAUAUAGUACAUCCGUUCCAUAAUUCUUGUCGAAACUUACAUUAUCUAGACACCUUUUAAGAAUAGAUACAUCCAUUUUUGAGCACAUUUGAGACAAGAAUUAUGCAACGAAUGGAGUAUUAUUUAAUCUCUCACCGUACCAGGAGAGGUCACCAUCCCAUCCAUACUUCUGCUACUACAUCAUAUCUUUGAUAUUCAGUCAUAUAUUAAUUGAGAGGGGGAGGAGGAUUUUAGUAUUCGUGUAUAGAGAGGAUUGGAAUUGCAUCUCAACAUAUUGCCAUGGCCUUAAACGUUGAUUGUAACUCUUUGACUUAAUAUUAAUACAUACCUCCUUUUUCCCCUAUAAGAAAAGGAAGCAAUUUCUCUGACGAAUAAAACCAUUUUUCUCUGUCCCAGGGGCAUGCACGUGAAACGCAGACUUUAGAGGGACCUAGGAGCUUAAGCACGAGAACACCCAUACGUCGCUGAGCAUUUGCGGUCGGGAACAGCCCAGAGUGGCCAGUGCCACCUGGCGGGCAACCAGUGGCCGCAGCCCGCGCUUUUCCUCUACAUCCCGGAAACAAAAUAACUUGUGGCCUCCCGCGCUCCACCGGCAGCCCCCCUCCAUCCCGACCGUCCGUCCCGUGCGUCCCCGUUCCCGCAGCCGUCCGAUCCGUCCGCGUCGAAACUCGUGGCUGGCGUCGGCCGGGGGGAACGGGCGGCCCAGGUUCGCCCGGGCCGGAACUUGCGGCUGUGGGCGAAAAGCGCAUCGGGCCGGCGGGGCCCACGACGGCGGGGAUUGGGGCCCACGUGGCUUUACGUGAGGGCCUGGAAGCAACGGGGGGUGGAGUUUCGCUGCUGGGUUUCAUUCGCUCGCUGCCUGCUCGGUGGGACCCGCCCACGCUGUCCGUGUCUUAUCUUUAUUGGGGCUGCCGUGCUGGCCGUGACGUGGCGAGGGGUGGCUUUGUUUAUUCGGGGUCGACGAAGGUGGCAAGUGUCGAUCGCUGGGAGCUACGGAAUAUUUGGUGCUUCUUUUUCUUCUCUUCUUCUCGUGAGAAAAAACAAAUGAAACAUGUUGAGCAGUACUCCUUCCGAUUCUGAAUUGCUGUCAAAAUAUUACAUGUAUUUAGACGUUUUUUAAGAAUAGAUAUAUUCAUAUUUGGACAAAUUUGAAUCAAGAAUUUAGAAUCAGAGAGAGUAUUUGGUUGUGUAUUUUUCUUUCACUUUGUUCUCUCCUCGCUUGGUUAUAUCGGGUGGAAAUUUUCUUACCCCUGCUUUGGCUUUUCUUUCUUCGACCAAAGUUAUUGUCUCAUUUCUAAAUAUAAUAUGUUCUAAUUUAUGCCAAUUUUUGUAGAAGACUAUACAGUAUCAAUAUUGCAAAGAUAUCUGUCAUGAUAUGUUUCAUUUGAUAAAUUAAAUAAAGUUGUCUAUGUUUGUAGAUUUUUCUAUACCUACAACAAAGUUAGAGCAUCUUAUGUUUAUGAACCAGGGCAGUAAUAGUUUUUCUAUUUAGCCGGUUGCAUGUACCUUUUGUUACAAAUGUUUGCAUAUGACUAUUUUCGUAACAUCAAUUUUAAAAUAAAUGAACCUGUAAAUCAUUACAUGUGUCUAAAUGUUGAUGAGAAAAAUGGUGCCGACUCAAAUUUACAAAUUUAAUAUUUUUUUUACAAUGUUGUCGACAAAGUUGCGACACUUAAUAUGGGAUAGAAGGAGCACUAUUUUUUAAGUCAACUAAUACAAUACCCAUGCGUUGCGACUUGCGAGUGAACAAAAAAUAUAUAUCGGUUUCCUAUUUCUCGGACACCGAAGAACAAGAUUUGUGCGUUGACAUAAGUGCUUCACAUAUUUAAGAAUAAUUCUUCAAUAGGCAAAUGGCCAACGAAAAAGUUCUACCAGUUCACCAAACUUACAUUGUUUUCCAAAUGUUUUCAGAAUUCCUGGCGAUUUUUCAGUAGCAAUAACAUUACUUUUUUCCAAGGGUAUGACUAAUAGUCACAAGUGCACCACCGACCGAGAGUGGCCACACAGCAUAUGUCGAUAUGGAUAAAAUGAAAUGAAGGCAUGCAGGAUCUGAAUAGCUCUGUCUGUGGAGCUUGUUCGAGAGAGCAUUGUACUACACAAGCUCUGCGUCUCAUCACAUAACAAAUUUCUGAAGCUUUGAAACAGAGCACAGAGAAACUUAGAGUAUAUGUUACUACUGUAAUGUGGGCUGGUUUACAUUGAGGAACAAUGGAUACAGAAUGUUCUAGAUACAAGACAUUGUAAUUUCACAUUUCAAACAUGAGGUCCAAAUUUCUACAAGAGGUGGUUAUUUCAUGUAGACUGGAUCAUAUGAUAUCUUGUGGGUACAUCAAUGGUACAGAUCGUACAAUUAUUUCUUGGAGAAGACACUGUAGUUUCACAUUUCCCAACAUGAGGCUCAAAUUUCUACUCUCUCUGUCCAAUAUUAAGUGACUUUCUAUUACAUGUAUCUAGAUUUUUUUAGGCAUAGAAACAUCAUGUUUGGGCAAAUUUGAGUCAAUUAAUAUGGGACGGAGGGAGUACAAGAGGUGGUUAUUUCAAGUAGACUGGAUCGUAGCUUGUUGGUAACAUCAAUGGUACAGAUUGUACAAUUAUUUCUUACACCGGGAGGCCGUUGAAAGACGACCGGCAGAAAAUACAGCAUUUCAUAAGGGCGCUUACAAUUUUAACAUGACCAAAAAUAGUGGCUGCGUUAGCCAUCCUUGCCGGAAUUUUCUUUGUUUCCUACGAGUCUGCAAGUGAGCCUGCAUGACUCUGGUUUCUGACAUAGACAACAAUGAGGUGGAAAGCACAGAGGAGAUGGCCAGAAGCUCCAUUGUAUGUGAACCGCAGAGGAGACAGCAGAACUUCAUGGCCAGAAGCCCCGAAUUGGUAUUGCAUAGCCAGCAGUCAGCAGAUGAUUGAACAAUAGUUGCAUACCUUCAGGUAGUGAUUCUCGGUGUCCAUCCUUUCAUUCAGGAGCUCAUUUCCAUCAAUAAUCUGCAAGGUUCACUGCACCAGUUAGCUCUGGCUUCAGUUACAGACUUACAGUUCAGCAGUUCAGAAUGGCCAUUGUGCUAGCAUGACAUUUCCAGUUCCAAAGAUCUUCCAUAUGCAACUUCGAACACUACCAGUUUGAUACAUUGAUUUUCUCGCCUCUUCAUAAAUCUGCUAAACAAGGCAAAUUGUAACACAUAAACAAUCUUUUUGAGAGAAUUUUAUUACAUGUAAAGUGGAAGCCAGCAGUGUGCUACUCCUUGCCUCACAAGCAAGUUAUACUAAAUCAGCGACACUUAUUAUGGAUCGGAGGGAGUAGUUUUCUUUCAGGCGUUAACACAAGCACAUGUUGAGCACAAAUACCACCCUUGUUCCAUAUCUCAAAGAACCUGAGGGGGCGUGGAGUACAACAGUCAUUUGUUCUAGUACUGAUAUGAUGCAGGUUUACAUGAUGGUAAAGUUUACAUAAUGGAGUUGGUUACACACACAGUCUGCAAUGCCGUAUGGCCAUAUUAAAUAGAUGUUGAGGCACUCUAGCAGCUACAUCGUCAAUGUACAAAUGAUCAGAACCAAACAAAGAAGGACCAUGUAAAAAUUCAAGUUAUUGCAGACGCAAUCUUGUGUCAUUGUACUUAUCAGAACAGUCAGUCUUCAAACUCAAGAUAAUUCAAGUUAAUACAGAGGCAUAAUGCUGGACAGAUUGGAUAAAAACCGUCAGAUAAUUUUAUAUCACGUUUGCAAUAAAGUCACUGAAAGAGUGGUUAACUAACUCUGAACACCCGGAUGAGGACAACGCAAAGCAUUACAUCUAGUACAUCACAAGCCAAAUGAGUUUGGAAGUUGGAACUAGGGUGCCUGGAUCCGGCCCCAAACAGGCAGCAAUUCGUAUGGAAAAGAGAAGCGCGGACGGAGCGAGAGUGGGGAGGGAGGGACGGAGCACGUACCUUGGGUGAGUAUGCUGUAUCCGACGGAGAGGCGGGUGCCGGCAGCGACGACGGCCACGCCCGUGCCGCCGUUGUUCCUGGGCCGGAGUGGACGGUAGAGGCGGCGGCAGCGUUGGGGGGGUGUGGACGGGAGAGACGGCGGCAACCCGGCACGUCGGGGGCACGCGUGGGCCUGUCGGGCCGGGUCCGCCGGGAGCGGCCCGAAAAGGCACGGUCAGGCACGGGGGAGCUCGGGCCAGGAGCGGCCCGGUAAGAACAAUGUGACCGUUUGAAGGGGCCGUUGGGGCCGGGAGAGGACGAGCAAGCACGAAAAUUUGAGCUUCCGACCGUUGCUGGUGCAAAACGGUCCGAAUUUGGCCCAAUUGUUUUCCUAUAAACAGGGCUUCGCACCCACUUCAUCUUCCACCCUCAAACCACACCUCUCUAAUUCAGCUCGCAUUUCUUUCUCAUGGCUGACCCCGACCAGUUCCACCACUUCCCCCACAAUGUUCACCAUCCAAAUCCAAAUAUGCCACCUUCUGUCCAUUCCACCGGUUCCACUUCCGCCGCCGCCAUCAGUGCAAAGAAGCGUCGCACGACCUCAAAAGCGUGGUAGGAGUUCGACUUGGAAGAAGAGGAUGGUGAGGAGGAUUCCGAGUCUGAAACCGGCAGCGAUGGCCGCUUCAACCCCGAUGGUUUGGUAAGAAAAUGGAACUAUGAUCCUCAGGUAGCUCGAGAUGAACUUUGUUAUUUUAUCGCUCAUAAUGAUCUACCACUUGGUAUUGGUGAGUCUCCCGGUUUUGUCAAAUAUAUUCAAACUGCUCAUAAUCCUAAUUUCAAAUCGGUUUCUAGACAAACUAUAAGUAGGGAUAUGAAAAGAUUAAACAAAAGUGCUCUUCAGCAAUUAAAAGAAGACUUUACUACAUGCACAUUUUCAGUUUCGUUAACAUCUGAUAUCUGGAGUGGUCGGCGUAAGAAAGAUUACAUUAGCGUUGUUGCUCAUUAUGUUGAUAAGGAAACUUGGGAACUACAAAAAAGAAUCAUUGGAUUUGAAUUAAUUGAUGUAUCCCAUAGUGGUGAGAACAUUGCUGAGAAGAUCAUUAAAGUUGUUAAUGACUUUGGUAUCACCGAUAAGAUUUUUGCAAUAAUUUUGGAUAAUGCUGCAUCAAACACUACUGCAAUGACUCACCUCACUCCUGUACUUAGCCAGUGUGCUGCGUCUUGGUUACUGCAUCAACGUUGUGCUUGCAAUAUUCUUAAUCUUCUUGCUAAAUGUGCUUUAAAGCAUUUGAGUCGAUACUUGGACAAUAUUAGAACUGCUAUAUCUUGGCUGAAUGCUUCUAAUACACACAUUGCAAACUACCAGAAAUUCUGCUUGGCAGGUGGAUCACGUCCUCGUAUGUUGAAUUUAGACAUGGAUGUUAGAUGGAACACUUCAUAUGACAUGCUUAAAACGGUGCUUCCAGAUAAAAAUAAUUUCACGCUUUUUGUUAAUUCAAAUUUUGGAAAAAUCCUACCGACAGAACAAGAUUGGCAUGUUGCUCAAGUACUGUUUGAUUUUUUGGAAAUUCUUUCCGAUUCAACUAAUGAUUUGUCUGGGGUUUAUUAUCCCACAUCUCCUAUAAUGGUGCAUCAACUUUUAUUGAUAGCUGGACACUUAAAACAAUAUGAAGAUGAUCCAAUUUUACGCCCAGCUGUUCUUAAAAUGCAAAAUAAAUAUAUGAAAUAUUGGAAAGAAAUUCCUCUUUUGUAUGCAUUUGCAUUUAUUUUGGAUCCUAGGGCUAAACUUGAUGCAUUUGCUACUGUUCUCUCACUCUUAAAUGGCGAUGUAGGAUUUGAUUACACGGCUUAUUUCUCUGAUGUUAAAAUUAAGCUUCGUGAACUUUACCGUAAGUACAAUCAAAAGUAUGCCGGAGUUCGACAGCAACAGACUGCAUCACAACCAGCUGCAGGAAAGAAGAAAACUUUCUGGAUGAAGAUAUUCCCGCCCGGAUCUUCCUCGGGCUCGUCAUCAUCAACGUCUGUUAUACAUUCAGGAGACUGGGAGCUAGACACGUACCUCAAGUCCACAAAUGUGAACUAUGAGGAAACCCCUGAGGAUGAAUUCAACAUAUUGAAGUGGUGGCAGGACCACAAGCUUACAUAUCCGGUGCUUUCCAUAUUAGCACGAGAUGUGUGUACAGUAUCGAUCUCAACAACAUCAUCGGAAUCGGCUUUCAAUCUCGCUGGAAGAAUACUUGAGGAGAGAAGAGCAUGUCUCACACCUGAUAUGGUGAGCACACUAAUGACCGUGAAAGAUUUGGAGCUAGCCAAACUUAAAGCUCAACACACUCCGGUGAACCCAGAGCUGACAAUUGCAUUCCAAAAUAUUUAUCUAGACGAGGUUCCAGAAGAAUAGUUGUGAUCUUUGUAAAUUUAGUUUCCCUUUGCAAUUUUCUUUCCUUUUUGUAAUUUUUUUUUCCUUUUGAGCAAGGUUUAUCUCCAAGGGGAGUUUACCUGGAAGGUUUUAACGAGGCAAGUUUAAAGCUCACUAUUUAGCCCCAUAUGACACUUGCCCCUUUUUAUUUUUGAAAGUGUCUAAUUGUCAGCUAGCUGACUUUUUUGGGACUCAGUCAGACUUUUUUUUGUACCUUAUCAGCCAAAACCACACAUGUCCUCUCUAGAUAAAGGAAAAUGGGUCAAAAAAAAUUUACCAGCCGAGCCCACAAAACACAACACGACCUCCCCCCAGCCGCCGGAUAAGAGAGGAAACGAUCAAGAGACAAUGGAGACGGGGAAGAAAACAACAGAUCCAAGCUACAAAAAUCCCUAGAGAGGAACAUCUUACCUGAUGAAUGCUUUGCAGCACAUGCCAGAGAUUACACAGGUACUACCCGCCCCCACUGACAUUAAGUUUACUGUGCAGGAACAACGAAGGCUGUUGUGAAAGCAAGCACCACAUCAACAAGCAAGAAAUCAGUGAGACUUUCAAGCAAAAAAUGAAGAAUGCCAGCAAGGUGACAUCAAAAUUGAAGGCCACGAAAACAAAAGAAAAAUGAAACUAUCUGAUCUUACACAAUGAGAGAGACAUGAUGUAAUAUAUACCUGGAUAAGUAGCUGAGAAAAAUAGACCUUUUUAUCCCCUUCAAUGUUCUGUGUUCCCCUUGGUGAGAAGAGACAUGAUGUAAUAUAUACUCUCAAUGGUAUGUUCAGCCAUGAAAAAAAUGAUGUAAUGACACACACACACACUGCCAACAGAUUCUGGUUCCAACAUCUCCUUUUGAACACAACACACUACAAAUUCUUAUAUCUAUACUGUAUCUCUCUUACUGAUUAAUAUAUGAGUAUUGUUAUUUCCUCCGAGCCAUAUUACUUGUCUCAAAUUUGUCCAAAUAUGGAUGUAUCUAUGUUUAAAACGUGUCUAGAUACAUCUAAUAUUUUGACAAGUAAUUCUGGCCGGAGGGAGUACUUACAAUCAACGAAAAAGAGAAGCAGGGAAACAUGCAACAAAGGUGUAGAGCAAAAAAGGUCCAGAUCAUACAAGAUAUAAACAGGUCCAGGGCAUACAAGGUAUAAACAGGUCCAGGGCAUACAUAUAGAAAUAUGCAAAACAUAAAAAAGAAAACUAUUGAUAAGAACCAGCUUCAACUAUGAUUGAAUCCAUGUAAAAGAUGACGGCUAAUCCAAUAGGACACGGCUUCUUACGCGGUCCGCACAAAAUGAUCUCUCUGCUCGGCUUUCGGACUGCAAGAGGAACAGUUAUCAGAACACCAAACCUACGUACAAAAAUCAACCAAAAAAUAGAAUAUCUGAAGCCCCCAUAGCAACUCACAAACUGAACUUGGUCAACCAUAGAAAUUUUGGACUAAUGUUUUAUUCUGAAGCUAGGUAACAGCAAUAAUCCCCUCCAUUCUCUGUUUUUCUCUUCAGCACCAUCACAUGUGCAUGGGAUCUUUUUGGAUUUCCCCUAAAAAUCUAGAUUCACAUGGCACAAACACUUGCACAAAAGUUCCUAUAACACAUCCUACCAAAAAAGAACACCACCCAAGUACUUGCCUGCCAGCUACUGAAAAUAUGUAAAUAAACAUGUAGUGAGCACACAAAAAAUCAGUAAGUACCGCACAAAAAAUCGCACAUGGUUUCUUCCCUGCAGGUGUAUAGAGACUAGAGAGUAAGCAAAAACACAGCACCUAUGUUAUAUCGAGAUGACAGUGGCUGAUUAAGAUCUGGUGUCCUCGACAAACAAGUAGCUAGUGGGCCUUGUAAUUGUUCGAAAUGCCCAGAAGACGAGAACCCAACUAAGCAACAAAUCAGCCGCAUGAGCACGCAUGAGAUGGAUCCCCUGCCUCAAACCCACACGAUUUAGCAGCAGCAAGUCGUAGUAUGAGACCGGACGGACGAAUCUAGGAGUUGUUACCACUACCAGCAGCAGGAAAACUUAACGAAUCCCACCUCACAAAAAUCGAAAGGAAAAAUCGUGACUUGUUCGUGUGAUGGGUUCGUUGCACUGGAAAACAAAAAAAAUUCUACGAGAUGUGCGAAAGAAAUCCAAAAACAUAUCUACUAGAUGUAAGUAAGGAGAGGAAUUAUGAACAUCAUACCCUCGUAAACCAAAAAGCGUUACGAUCACGGGAUCGUUGUUGGCGUAGUGGAACUUUCGAUGAGAUCAAUCUCAGUGCAAAAACGACGGCACCUCCUUGGUAUCCACACGUUCAGCUUCACGUUGUCUCCUCCUUCUUGAUCCAGCAAGCGAGGGAAAGAGGUCGAUGAGAUUCCAGCAGCACGACGGCGUGUGUAGGCUAUGGUGGAGUUCUCCACGGGCAAGGCUUCACCGUGCGCGUGAGAGGAGGAGGUCAGGGAGAGGAGCAGCGUUCGGCCAAGGGGCAGGCCCUCCCCUCCUUGUAUAGGGGAGGAGACCGACGGCAAGGCAGAUAAAAGAGACAAUCUCACAUUUCCUUUCUUCCCUCUCAAGAAAUAGAAAAUUGAUCACAUAGGGAUCAAUUCUCUAAUUCAGUUUUUCCUUUCCUUUCCUAGAGAUGGCCGGCCAGGGAGUAUCGGAAGCAUUCGCAAUUCUUCCGUUCGGUCUCCCCACGUACGUGAGCUCCACCACGUGGUGGACAGCUCCCACCGAAGGCUUCCUUUUCCCCUAUUAGGGAAUAAUUAAUUAGAUUUCUCUAAUUAAUUACUACAGAGGCCCAAUUAAAUUCUCAGGAAUAAUCCGGAACAUUUCAGAACCUUCCGAGAACUUCCGGAACCUUCUAAAAUAUUCUCGGUCAAUACCGGAAAAUAUCCUGAAAUUUUCUGAAACAGAUUUCCCAUAUAUAAUUAUUUAUCUCCUGACCAUUCCGAAGCUCCUCGUGACGUCCUGGAUCCCAUCCUGAACUCCGAAUCAAUAUUCAAUAUCACCAUCUAUUAUCUCAUCGUACCCUAGCGACAUUAAGCGUUAAGUGUGUGACCAUACGGGUUCGAAAACAUGCGGACAUGACCGAGACAACUUUCUGAUCAAUAACCAAUAGCGGGACCUGAAUGUUCAUAAUGACUCCCACAUAUUCCACGAAGAUCUCAUCGGUUGAACCACUAUGUCGAGGAUUCAAUUAAUCCCGUAUCCAAUUCCCUUUGUCUCGCGAUAUAUUACUUGCCCGAGAUUUGAUCGUCGGUAUCACCAUACCUAGUUCAAUCUUGUUACCGGCAAGUUCUCUUUACUCGUACCGCAAUAUAAUAUCGCCGUGAUUAAACACAUUAGUCACAUGCUUGCAAGCUCAUUAGGAUGUUAUAUUACCGAGAGGGCUCAGAGGUAUCUCUCCGUCACAUGAAGUGACAAAUCCCAGUUUUGAUCCAUACAACCCAACAAACACCUUCCGAUAUACCUGAAGAACACCUUUAUGAUCAUCCAGUUACGAGAUGACAGUUGAUGUCCACAAAGUAUCCUUUCGGUAUUAGAGAGUAGCAUGAUCUCAUGGUCUAAGGAAAUGACACUUGCAUAAUAAAAACAUUAGCAAUUUAAACUUAAGUGACACGAUCAAAACCAUGCUUAGGUUUGGGUCUGUCCAUCACAUCAUUCUCCUAAUGAUAUGAUCUCGUUAUUAAAUGACAACACAUGUUUAUGGUUAGAAAACCUUAACCAUCUUUUAACCAACGAGCUAAUCUAGUAGAGGCGUAUUAGGGACACAGUAUUUGUUUAUUUAUCCAUACAUGUAUUUAGUUUCCUGUUAAUACAAUUAUAGUAUGGAUAAUAAACCUUUAUAAAAAAAAAUAUGAAUAAUAAUAAAUUUAUUAUUGCCGCAUAUUUCCAACAUCACGAGGCACACACGUAUAGCUAGCGCGCGGGACAAAAAUCAACUCAAGGAAUCAAUGCACCACAAGAACAAAAAUAGCAUCACGGCGCUGAGCUAGACAGCAACACACAAGCGAGAAAUCGCUUCGCAGCCAAUUGAGCAUGGACUGGGCGGAUUCGAGAAGAAGCCAUACCGAGCUAGACAAAGCCGCUUCCUUCCUGCUCCGGCACCCCCUUCCCGUCGCUCUCGCCAUUAUCUCCCAGCGAGAAGAAGGAGAACAAAUCCACCCUUCCCCCCAUGGAGCCCCUCGAAAUCGAAUCCACCCGCGCCGAAGCCUCCGCUUCUCUCUCUCUCUCUCAGACACCGCUGAGAUUUUUUUAGGGGAACCGCGGAGAAUAAAUGAAAUUUACAACAGUUGGGCUUCCGACUCAAUGGGCCUACUACCUCAAAGUUGGGCUUCGGACACAAUGGGCCUACUACCUCAAAGUUGGGCUCGGACUCCAUUUCCACAAAACGUUUCCGACUUGUCAAAUUGACAGACCUGCUUCUGCUAAAAAAAAAAAGAGACAGACCUGAGAUCCUGAAAAAACAAAAGGAACAGACCUGCUUUCCUUCCUGAGAAAAAGAAGGAAAACAACUGAUUUUCCUUGACGAGAGAUAGGGCCCAACCGUGGUCCACUUUUCAGUCAACCGAUGGAUAUGGUUUUUUCCAUGAGCGUGGCCAGUAGCAGAAGGAGACGAUUCCAAGAACUGCCAACAUGUCGUUGUAAACUCCCCUAAAAAACACGUUCGUUGUAAACAUGUCCCAGCUUUGUCAAGAUGCCAAAUUGCCAAUGCAUGUCUCAACUGGUAACGAGUCAUUUACUUCUGACAAAAGAUUAGCUGGGUUUAAACUUUAAAACUGGUCAAAUGACCAUAAAUCAUUCUCUUGUUUAACUCGCGCUAGCGUCAGCUAAAAAUUUCACGGAUUCGCCUCGUUUCAAAAUGCUCCCUCCAUUUCUUAAAAAUUGGCAUAUUAGAUUUCAUUAAGACAAGGUUUUGACCACACAUUAUUAUGUUAAAGUGUGGUUUAUAUCAUGAAACCACAAGCAUCAUGAAAUACUUUUAAUAACGAAUCUAGCAAUGCUAAUUUCAUGUCAUAUAAACCACACCUUGACAUAGUAAUUUAUGGUCAAAAGCUUGUCUUAAUGAAAACUAAUAUGCCAAUUUUUAAAGAACGGAGGGAGUACGUUGUUUUAGAGACUUGUACGGUUUUGAAUGUAAGAACUUUGACUGGCUAUUACUUCUAAUAUGCAACUAUGGCAUGUGGUUUAAAACUUACGAGAUUACAAUUCCAUGAGAUAUUUCUAUAAUGAUAUUGUAGUCAACUACAUUAAUUCUUGAAUACCUACAUGUAUUUAUAUAUGAACAGGGUAGUAGUUUUCUUAUACCCGGAGCUAAUAGUGUGUGUGUGCACGGAGUCAAGUCAAUAUAUAGUCGUUACAGAAAGUUAUGAUGUAAUUUAACUUUUGGAGUGCAGCUACCACUCAGACAUAUAGAUGCCCAAGAGGAUCAAACACUUCGCUAUCAAUAUCCAUCGACACCAGCUGAUUAAACUUAGUGGAGACCUGCUCUGUCGUACGUACAAUUUCCUUGGUUGGUUUGUUUGGUCUUGGAGGAGUUGGAGUACCUUUGAAACCUUAGGUUCACCUACUACACUUCACCAAACACACCCUGAAGAUGACUCUGCUCCGACCUCUCCUCCCAUUUGCCACCGCAUUUGAUUUGAUCAAUCGAUAUGAUUAGUUUUACCCCGAUCCGGUCCUUUGAUUGGGAGAAAUUUUAGGGUACUCGGUACUCCUUAAUGACUAUUUGGAGUACCUAACAAAUCUAACCGUCUAUUUAUAUGGGUAAUUUCGUCCUUUAGUGAUGGGCUAAAAUUGAUCUCCAUCUCCGCGAUUCCUGGUCAAUCGCACCCAACUGCCAAAUUGUAGCAACUGCUUCUUCUCCAAUCGCGGGCUCGCGGCGGCCUCUUGCAGUCCUGCCUUCCCCCGCCGCCAUGCGUUCUCUCUCCCACAUCGAUUCCGAUUUAAUCCUGAUACCCACUAGAACCAUAAGGGGUGGGAUGUAGUCAAUUGACGUAUCAAUCUUCUGCUCAGGAAAAUCAAUCUGUGCAUAUUCUUUCAUGUACAUCUAAGGGCGACAUUUAGACCUUGUGAGUAAUUCAUGUUCACGGAGAGCCUCUCCAGCGGAGGCGUUACUACAACUUCACGCAGGCGCAGAACCGUGGAUAUCUCGAACGUAGGCUAUGCAAGUAGUGUACGUCCUAGCUAGCUGCUCCCUGAGCCCAUCGGCGGUGACCGCGCGGUGGUGAAUCCCAUCCUAAUCGCUGCAGCUAGUGAAUUCAAGGAUCAAGGUUAUUGACACCCUACGAGGAUCGUUCAUUCUUUGUGUAACUUUCCAUUUUAUUUAAACUCAGUCAACUAAAUUACAGACUCACGAUUACAAAUUUACCCCUAAGACGGUGGUACUCCUUAAUUUACAGAGACGGUACUCCCCAAGUCUUGUGCCGGAGUACCGGACAAGAUCAACCAUAUUUUGGGGUAUCGUAAAAGAGCUCUUGAUUGGUGGAGAAAAGAGCGGAGAAUCAUAACUAGGUAGAUUCUCAAAUUAAUACUCUCUCCGUCCCAUAUUAAGUGACUUUCUAUUACAUGUAUCUAGACAUUUUUUUGGCAUAGAUACAUCCAUAUUUGGGCAAAUUGAAGUCACUUAAUAUGGGAUGGAGUGAGAUAUUACAUGUAUCUAGACGUAUUUUAGUACAAAUUUGGGUCACUUAAUCUGCGGCUAAGGAGUAUAAUCUUGACCUUUACGGUGAGAAGAUGAAAACUCAGUGAAAAUCAUUACAAAAGUUCUGAAAGAAAAAUCAUAUUUGAAGGAGAGGAUGGUCUGUGUACCGAGUGCAUAGAGGGCUGGUUAACUAAUGUACGUGUGUCCUCUCCGAAAGUGAUUUCAAUUUGAAACACAACUUUAAGCCUCUUCAUAUAAAAGGCAUAUCAAGAUUUUCCGUACAUGUACUUUUUAAAAGUUGACCAAUAAUCACUGCACAAUUUUGUUUUCUCGCUAGGGAGAAAACAAGCUCCAGCUAAAUUAGCAUACAUAAACGUUAAAGCCUUAAAAUCCUCAAUUGUGAUCUUUUUGAAAAAUAAAAUAAAUAGAAACACCUUAAAAUCCUCCAAACAAAACAAAAAAUUGACAAGCUUUUUGUUUGUGAGGAAAUAAUCAAGAAAAUUUCCCGGGAGAAAACUUGAUAUGCGACUGAACAUGUGUAAGACUUUGGAUUGAAGCAAAAGCAUGCAGGAAAAGGAGAUCAGUUAAGCUUUGCUUAAUUAGCCCUUCCUGGCGUUCAUGCAUGCAGCCAGCCGCGGAGUAAUAUUUGUUACUGGCUGCAUGCAUGCAAAAAAGCCAUUUGUAGUAUCCGAGGGUUACACAGGGAUGCGAGUCACCUCCUUUUUGGUUCGGCAGUGGGUGUUGAGGAUCGCUCCGGCGAUCGCCGGCGAGGCCAAUGACGAGCGUACCAUGCACAAAAACUCGUUUACCCAGGUUCGGGCCACCCGGUGGUGUAAAAUCCUACGUCAUGCUUCUGAGUUUAUAUUAACCAAUGAACAGGUGUUUACAGGUUGCCGGGAGAGCUACCGGGUGUUCUCUUCCCUUUUCUGCUAAGUGGCUACUUGUUACUUCUGGGCUAAAGACUCUUCCUCCAACUCCACUGGAGUGUAACCUUGCCAAGAACCCCCCCCCCUCCCGACCGAUGGCGCUGGUCCUCCUGUUAUACUCAAGGAGAUACCACAGGUGCCUCGGUACAUGGGGGACAAGUGUCGAGGGCAGCUUGCCCUCGCUGCGCUGCAUGGUGCAAAGUGUUGUAACUGGGGCGGUACGUGCCUUAGAUUCACUGCAAGCCACUCGUUGUGGGCUGACUAGACAGGGAACCAUCCUUCUGUCGGAGCAUUUAAUGCUUGCUUGUGCUAUACUCCACGCCCUGACCAGCCCUGCACAAGAGGAGCCUUUCGGGCGGCCACGUGACGUCAAUACUCUGCUUGCAUUGGGCGCCGGUCCUGCUGUAAGCGCCUGCGCCAGGGAACACCCUCCCCGGCAAGUGACCUUCCCGGGAGGCACCCUGACGGGAACAUCCACGAUGCCACUCGGAGCAGCCCCCGCAGCCCGGCCAGUCCGGCCGGGCUGGACUGAUCGGGCUGGUGGAUUUCCGGACAGUUUGCACCGCGCUGUCCGAGGUACCGUCCUUGCAGGAAGCAAGUGAGGCGACCUACACGUUGGGCAACGGUGGUACGCCGGGUGCCAAUGAUGCGACACCAUUAUUAUAUAGUUAGUUUUGGGGUCACGAUCGAUCUAGUGGAUGAUGUGUCAUGAUUGGUGGAUUAAUUAGAUCCAUUAUCCCAUCCAUCUAGCCAUACGUCUUCUGCCGUCAGCCACACGCCAUGCUUCCUUCACAGAUUGUACGUCGAUCGAGACUCUGCCUAGCUACCACUGUUUAUAAAUUGCAAGUGCAUCCAUACAGAACCUAUCUAGGUCAUCGGUAAAAUCUGGAGAAACACACUGGAAUUGUGUAAAUUUUGUUGUUUGAUACGCAAGAAUUAGUAGAAAAGACACAGAAAUCUUAAUAAACAUAGUCAAAUUAAGUCAAACCAAAUGCAAAAAAUGAAGUUCUAAUGUUAUCGCGUCAUGGAGCACUUAUGUGCGUUCCAAUAAUAAAAUUAAGUCAAACCAAAUGCAAAAAUCCAGUAUUAUUUUUCAUGCAGACAGAUCAAAAAAAGAGGUCUCAGUGGAUUGAAAAAUCCUGCGCUCUUGUUUUGAAACGUGGCCCCUCCGUUUCAUAAUUCUUGUCUCAAAUUUACCAAAAAAUAGAUGUAUAUAUAUUCUUAAAAAGCGUUUAGAUACAUGUAAUAUUUUGAUAAGAAUUAUGAAAUGGAGGGAGUAUAUUGCAGGAAAUACUUCUAUAUUUAUCCUUGAAACUGAAUCAAAUGGACGAAUAGUUCCACCAAAGAUUUUUUUUUCUGUUUCGAUAUUUUUCCUCCGCUCUUUCUCCAAAUCAAAGAGGCCCUAGGGGUCAAAAGGCGUGGCAUGGAUUCAACAAGGUUAAUCGAUGGAUUGAACAAUCGCUUCGAAAAUCCUGGAGUAUGCUAGCUACAAUUAAUGUCCUAAAUAUCCUGUCAUCGGUUAAUUUCAGUCCUGAUGGUAUCCUUAACCGUGGCUUCGGAAAAAGAAAUACUUAAAAAAAUCCUUAAAGAACAGACCUAGACAUGCAAUGUCAUGUCCUCCUUAAUUAACAGUUGUCGGGGCAGAUCAAGAGCUAUUGUCGAUGCGUGCAUACAUAGAGCUCCGUAGUACCGCAAUAGGUAGAACAGAUUGUCACCUGGAAAAUCGACCAUCAAAGGUGGGGGCUAAUGUUGCUCAAUUUCUUUUUCGCAAAAGAAAAUGUUGCUCAAUUUCUGUACGUAAAUAAACCGAUCGAAACAGAAAGGACAUACAUGCGUCAGGUAAGCUUAAGCCCUUUAAUUCCCUACAGAGAAGAGAGAACAAAAAAAUACAGCACGUAGAACUACAUGAAAAUGACAGAAAAAAACAGGGGAGCCGUGGGGAUACCCUAUAAAUAAAGAACAUGCACGCCGUGUAUACAUAUAUGCACCGUGCCAAAUGGGGAUCGAUUGGAGAGCCCAUAUAUAUCAUGUUGAUUUAAUUGUUGUUCCCAUGGUCAGAAAAGAUUUUCCAGGUCCAGAUUGAUAAGUUUUUUUAUGCAGAAAUGGUAGUGAUAGUGAUCGAUCAGACUGGGUUUCAUGGCAGUACUAGUACUACUGCCCGUGGUAGGUAAGUAAAAAGACGUUGAUGGCUAGAGGCUGCGAGACAUCGAGUGCAGUCGAAAUCCACAAAAGACGACUCGUGGCGAAACAAAAUCACAAAAUAAACCCGACACGAAACUAGAGCUCCUGACCCUUUUGCUCAACGUCCAACAAUAAUGAGUUAUGCCAUGUAACUCAGCUUCUCUCUCCUCGACGCUAUGGCCCUGCCAGCGUGGCCAAGCAUAUCCCCACCCACUGGUCAUGUAGCGCCCUUACUUGGGGCGCUAUACCCAAGAUCUUCACGCUUAGAUGACACGCGCUAUGCUGCAAAAACCUGUGGGCAUCCGAGUUUCGGUCUUCGUUUCAUCGAAGUACUACGUGGUGCAAGUACUCUUACUUCUUCUCUUUUGCAUGAACAACCAUCAUCAGGCUGCGUCGGUGCAUUUUGUUUUCAAAUCUGGACACUGCUGCUGCAUGAAAAGAUGAGAAGCACUUUUGAAACCACGAAACAUGACACCAUCAGAAACUUAUAAACAGUGCUAGCAAUAUUCAACUCAAUAUACAACUCUAGUGGGCGAUGCAUCAAACACCUAACUAUGCUAGUUAGAGUGAAAUAACCACACAGGCCAAUGCCAUGCAUGUAAGGAACGAUCAUUGCAAUGUUUUUAUAACAAAAGUGCGACCAACCUUACGCAGUUAAUUAAUCCUUGCUGAAGCAAUCAGAUUUAUACGCAUGAAAAUCAAACUCAUGCAUAGCGCCUCUCAUCUAGGCGUGAAGAUCUUGAGUAUAGCACCCCAUGGAAGGACGCUACAUGACUAAUGGGUGGAGACAUGCCUGGCCACGCUGGAUGACUUGACCAUGCUGACAGAGUCAUAACGCCGAGAGAAAAGGCGUUGAGUCACAGAGUAUAGAGUAUAGCUUCUUGCUGUCGGGCGUUAAACAAAAGGGUUAGAAGUUAGGAAAUAGUUUCGCAUCCGGUUCAUUUUGUGAUUUUGUUUUACCACGACGUCUGCUUUGUCGAUUUCGACUCGAGUGUACUGCACAGUGCAGUAGUGCACUGUCUUCCUCUCGAUUACUACUCGUAGUGAUUUUGUAGUAUUUUGUUGUCCACUCACAUCGUCAAAGUGUGCAGCGGGGCCCUGCCUGGUUGGUCGGACAAAAAGUCUCCACGCGCACACGCGAGUAGACCACCAAACCUAACGAUAUCAGUUUGGUCCCGCAGGCAAAAUAAAGGAUCGAUAUAAAGACAUAAUUCAUAUAAAUGUCAGAGAUUUAUUACUCCGUACAAUAUUACAGUAGAUUUACCAGUACAACUUUGUAGCUGACACUUUUAUGGAUAAGAGCGAGUAACUUUUCUUCCCACCGGAUUGAGAGCAUCGGAGCAUGGAUUUCUGUUUCUGACAUUGAGUUUUCAUAUCAAAUGACUUUAUAUAACAUGUAUUUAAAUGUUUUUUAGUAUAAAUUUGGAUAAAUUUGAGUCACAUGUUAUGCGACGGAAAGAGUAUAUAAAUAAGCUACUCCCUCCGAUCAUAAAUUGUUGUCGAAAUAUUACAUGUAUCUAGACUUUUUUAAGAAUAUAUACAUCCAUAUUUGGAUAAAUUUGAAUCAAGAAUUUAGAAUCAAAGGAGUAUCUAUUUAGAUCCGAUAAUAAAAUGACCCUAAUAGAAUGAAAACACCAAAAUCCUCAAGUUGAGGACAUGGCAUAGCUGAUCCAAACGAAUCCGUAAAGACCUUAACCUAAAAGUGAAAUGAUAACAUGUUGUCAGCAGGUCAAAAUUAAAACCAGGCUCAUGUCAAAAUCUUGAGAGAAAUUUUAGUUUAGGAGUUGAGCCAGGGAUCAAAUUCAGAGACCAAAAGUAUCCUUUUUCUUCUUAUUUUCCGUUUUGUCUGAUCCUGACGACGGGUGUAUAGGCUAUGAUGACAAGGAAUCCGGACUUGAAAAAUGAAAACUUGUCGACCGCUAUCACUGACCAAGCGUGACACACAUUGCUGGCCACUUGAUCACACUUGCUCACGCUUCAACUCCAACUAAACCCUGCAUCUGCAUGCGUUCCACCCACCCUCCAUCACCAUCACGAGACCGAUCAAACUGAAUUUUCCUACUCUCGUCAUUGCUAUCUCCAUUUCUCACUGGCGCCACUUGUAGGCUGUGGUGCAUGUAGAUUUUUGCCAGAUUAUAUUUUUAGUGAGAGUGCUUAUAUUUAGUUCAACUUUUGAGAGGGCAGGAACAACCGCCGGUCCCUCUCACGGUCUCACGAAAAAAUAAACAUUCCAAACGGGGUAACUGUAUACUUUGUUUGGUGUCACGUUUCUUUGACCUCUUUAUUUUAUCUAAUUUUUGAAUACCAUCUUUCGAAUUCUUGAAAGUUUUUCGAGAAAUAAUGGUUCAGACGAUCCUCAUGUCGUGUGCAUGGGAUGGUAACUCCGACAGGAUGUUGCACCACCAACCCUUCGCGACAACAAGUAUAUCUUUUUUAUCCUAACGUGACGUAUAUAUUUGAUCUGAGUAUACGCAAAAUAAAAAACUAUCAGGAAAACAACCCCACUUAUCAACAACAACUACUACUAUGAUGUAAACACACACAUAUUUUUCCCCGGUACCACAUUUCUCCCUCACCUUUUCUCCCAAAGUCGAAGAAGAAGGGGAAAAAAACUCAGUUGGUGUGGUGUGGUGGUUGGUGAAUGCAGAAAAGCCAUAUAACCCCUCCCACAUCCUCCCUCCCAAAUCACACCCUCAUCUCCUCUCAGUCGCUCACUCACACCAAGAAGGCAAGAACACACCUACCAAGCAGAAAGAAGAAGCAGCCAGCAACCCCCAGCAGCAAUUCGAUCCAUGGGUUCCACGGCGGCGGACAUGGCCGCGACGGCGGACGAGGAGGCCUGCAUGUUCGCGCUGCAGCUGGCGUCGUCCUCGAUCCUGCCCAUGACGCUCAAGAACGCCAUCGAGCUGGGCCUCCUGGACACCCUCGUCCAGGCCUCCGGCAAGUCCCUGACCCCGGCCGAGGUCGCCGCCAAGCUCCCUUCUUCCUCCAACCCGGCGGCGCCCGACAUGGUGGACCGCAUGCUGCGUCUCCUGGCCUCCUACGGCGUCGUGUCGUGCGCCGUGGAGGAAGGGGAAAAUGGAAAGCUGUCGCGGCGAUACGCCGCCGCCCCCGUCUGCAAGUGGCUCACGCCCAACGAGGACGGCGUCUCCAUGGCCGCCCUCGCGCUCAUGAACCAGGACAAGGUCCUCAUGGAGAGCUGGUGAGUUAGUAAAGCUGAUGCCUUUGAUCAUUUUCUCGUCUUGCUGUCAUUUGGGCGCGCCCUGCAGGCGUAGUGUUCAACUGUUCUUGCUUACCAGGGUUUUAUGUUAGCUCCAGUAGCAGGGUAAUUAACAGGGGUAGCUAAAUUGUUAUGCUACGAGCUAGCUAGAGAACCUCCAAGAUUUUCAUCUGAUGAUCCUUAUCGUGUCUGUCAGCUAGAAAACAUUGUUGGGGGAUUUGUUGGUGUGUGUGUGAACAAAGUAGAAACUGAGCUAGCCAGUGGCAGAGUAGUUGGACCGCAUGAUGAUGACUUCUCUUGCCAUGCCGCUGCUGCUGCUUCGAAUAGUCAUCCCCAACCCCCAAAAAGGAAGAAUUUUCUUGCUGAAUUCAUCAACCACUACAUGACGUCUUAGGCAAGCUGAGACUUCAGGUUCAGACAAUUCAGUUCCUGAUGACCUGAUCCACUCUUCAGACAAUAGUGUAUCAAUUAUUAUCUUACCGUUAGUGGCAAGCAAGACUACAUGUUCCAUUAAUGAUUCAUAAAACAGAUAAUACUGGUAGGUGGUAGCUAAGACGUAACUUUGACUGUUUGAGGCGUUCCUAUCGAUCGACGGCACUAUUUUGAGAAAAAUUAGCAUGGAUUCAAGGAACUAAUAGCAUUGAAUUGUUUGUUUCUCAUGGCGACCAAGCAUUGAUACAACUAGAGGCGAAAUUUUUUAGUUAGUAUACGUGAGUGAAAUUAAGUAGCAACGAGUAUUCAAAACUAAAACUAUAUAUGAAAUUGUAUGAUAGAUUCUUUGCUUAGUGAGGAUAGGUUGAUAAAAAAUAGCAUGCAUGUGCAAAAAAUAUGAGUUUCCCACUAAAUUGGUGUGGACAUAUUAAUGGCACGAUGAUGUGACAUGCUUGCAUGUUGAGAGAAAUCAAGUAGUGGGUUUUAAAUUGGUGUGAACAUAUUAAUGACAUGAUGAUGUGGCAUGCUUCCAUGUUGAGAAAAAUCAAAUAGUGGGUUUCUCCUACUUAGAUAUAGAAGAUGAGUUUUUGAACAAUAAAACUGCGUGAACUAAUCUUUGGAUGAAUUUUGCAGGUACUACCUGAAGGACGCGGUCCUGGAUGGCGGCAUCCCAUUCAACAAGGCAUACGGGAUGUCGGCGUUCGAGUACCACGGCACGGACCCCCGCUUCAACCGCGUGUUCAACGAGGGGAUGAAGAACCACUCCAUCAUCAUCACCAAGAAGCUCCUCGACUUAUACCCGGGCUUCGAGGGCCUUGGCACCCUCGUCGAUGUCGGGGGCGGCGUGGGCGCCACCGUGGGCGCCAUCGUGGCACGCCACCCGGCCAUCAAGGGGAUCAACUUCGACCUCCCCCACGUCAUCUCGGAGGGGAUCCCCUUCCCAGGAGUCACCCACGUGGGCGGUGACAUGUUCCAGAAGGUCCCCUCGGGCGAUGCCAUCCUCAUGAAGUGGAUCCUCCACGACUGGAGCGACGCGCACUGCGCCACGCUGCUCAAGAACUGCUACGACGCGCUCCCCGCACACGGGAAAGUGGUCAUCGUCGAGUGCAUCCUGCCGGUGAACCCGGAGGCCACCCCAAAGGCACAAGGGGUGUUCCACGUCGACAUGAUCAUGCUCGCCCACAACCCGGGGGGCAAGGAGAGGUACGAGAGGGAGUUCGAGGAGCUCGCCCGGGGCGCCGGGUUCACCGGCGUCAAGGCCACAUACAUCUACGCCAACGCGUGGGCCAUCGAGUUCACCAAGUAGAUCAAAUCAUCCAUCCAUUUGAGAUUAUGAGAUGAGAUCGAUCUCCACUUCUGCCUUGGUCGAUCUGCAUAUGUACUUUUUGCUUGGCUUUUCCUCUGUUUUUCUUUCGUUUUCUCCAUGAUCUGCUGAUCACCCUGAAUUUCUAAUGGUUGUGUCGACGUCUGUCGGACCGAACUGUACUAUUAAUAAUGCUGCUCUUAAAAGGUUGCAUAUAUACAAGUGAUGUAAUGACAUGAUUAUUCCUCUUCUCUGUUGAAUGUGCAAGUGAAAAUGAAGUGCCAAUGAUCUUCCUCUAGAAACAAUGUUUACUGAUAACCGAUUGACCUUUGGGUUAUCAUCAAGUCCUUAAGUCAAUUAACAAAAGGUAGCGGGUGCGGGGAGUAGAUUUUAUAAAGUUAUAAACUCAGUCGUAUGAGAUUUACUCGCACCUAACUUAAUUGACCUGGUACCGAUAUCUGUCAAGUCAUUGCCAUCGUUGUCCAAGUGAGUCAGUCCAGUAAAACACAUCACAUGUAAAGCAAAUCAAAUCGGACAAAUCUCUAGAGAAUAACCAAAAACCAGGACAACUCAAACUGGAAAAAAGUAUAGUACAAACUAAAGACAAAGUAUAACUACUACUCUAACUACACAGCAGCAUGCACCAAUUCUACUACAGACUCAACAACUGAUGAUGAUAGAUACACUUGUAGGAUACGCUGUCCAAAACUAAAAUCCGAGAAACAAAACACCUUACCAAUUUUACACGCAGGGGGCCGGUGCUUCUCGCAGGCAUUAGUAAAUUACAGAAAACCACCACGUUACGGGUUAGGGUUUCACAUUGGUACCAGUUUGCGUUUUGGUUAAAAAAACCCCACCGGAUUAGUCUAACCCCUCACUCGCUAGCGUCUAACCUCGUUUCUGACAGGUAUGGCCUAUUGUCGGGCCAACGUGUCUUGCCAGCGUGGUGCCAACGUGGCAGAAUCCGAAUCCCGCCGCUAAUAUAACUAUAAGCCAAGGGUCAAAACGAAAAAACAAAAUUUCUUUUUUUUCCUGUUUCUUUUUCCUGGCCCCGUCGGCGGUGAUGGUGAGCAUGGCAUGAUGGUGAGCAGCGGGAGGAUGAGCAGGAAGGGGAAGGGGAGCUGUGUGGUGGCGGCCAUGGCCAUGGAGAUUGAGAAGAGCCUUUGCCCGUUGUUGCUGACCAAGAACCGGAGGGCGAGCUCGUAGGCCGCGACCACGAACGCGCGGGCCACGGCCAUGCCGAGCCCGCGCCACAGCACCGGGAGCCCUUCCUCCCGGACGCUCUUCCUGAAGCAGUCAACGAUGUCGCCCUGAGAUCAAAAAAACUCGAGAGAACGAGAGAGAGAUCGAAAGGGCAAGAGCACGAGAGUAUUUUGGUGCUGCGCGCAACUUAGCAGCUUUUCUGUCUUUCUUCCUUUUUAUUCAUCGAGAGUAUAUAAACAUGUCCAGGCAACGUGCUCCACUACUGACCACGUCUAUCCCCAUGAUCCGAGCCUCGCGCUGGACGAUCUAGACUAAGUUAGGGCGCACAAAACGCAACCACUGAGGAGCUGAAAAAUAGCAACUAAACUCUGAACUGAAACUAGCCUAAAAUACGGUGUCAGACAUGACACUUGUGAAAAUUCAGAAAACACUUCUUCAGAGGCAGCUAGACAGGGUUUAAGACCACAAUCUCCCCCUCAACCCUGGCUCACUGACUUGACAUCGACGAUCCCCACCUUGCUGCGCAACUCCAGGAAACGUACACGCCCAAGUGGCUUUGUCAGAAGAUCAGCUCUUUGUUCACCUGUCCCGAUGAACUCCACGGCAACUGUUCCUUUCUUGACACAAUCUCGAUAAAAUGGUAUCGGAGAUCAAUAUGCUUACUGCGAUCAUGGAGUACGGGAUUCUUGCAGAGUGAGAUUGCUGACUUAUUGUCGAUGAAGAUUGUGGUUGGAACAGCAUCCUUGUUCAGCAGCUCACCGAGGAGACGAGCGAGCCAAAUGCCCUGGCACGCAGCUGUUGCUGCUGCGAUGUACUCCGCCUCGCACGACGAUGUGGCGACGACCUUUUGCUUCUGGGACUGCCAGCUGACGGGGCUGUCGCCGAGGAAGAACAGCACUCCCGACGUGCUCUUCCUGGAGUCCACAUCACCGGCAUGAUCUGAAUCGCUGAAGCCUGUCAGUGUCUCGCCGUCGCCGCGGCGGUACACACACCCAUGCGUGAGUGUGCCAGCAAUGUAGCAGAGCAGGUGCUUGACAGCCGCGAGGUGAUCUCCCGCCGGUGCCUCCAUGAAGCGACUCAGGAACCCGACGGCGAACGAAAUAUCCGCGCGGGUGUGAACCAGGUACCGGAGGCUGCCGAUGACGCUUCUGUAGAAAGUUGCAUCCACCGCUGCCUCCUUACUCUCCUUGCUGAGGCGACACCUUGUCUCCAUUGGCGCGUGCACAGAGUUGCAAUCUGCCAUGCCAGCUUUCUCGAGGAGCUUAGCGGCGUAGGCUGAUUGCGUGAUCGUGGUGCACCGCGUCCCCUGCUUGACCUCCAGCCCGAGGUAGUACCGCAGCAACCCGAGGUCGCUCAUGCUGAACAUUUGCUUCAUUUCUUCCUUGAAACUGAGCACCUCCUGUUUCCGAGCGCCGGUGAUGACGAGAUCAUCGACGUAGACUCCGACGAUCAGCAGCUCGUGAUCCGUUCCCCUCGCGUACACGCCGUGCUCGGUGGCACUUCGAGUGAAGCCGAGAGAGACGAGGCUGGCGUCCAGCUUGGAGUUCCACGCGCGCGGUGCCUGCCGCAGGCCAUACAACGCCUUGUGCAGUUUGUACACGUCCCGUUCACGGCCGUCGGCAAGGAAGCCCGAUGGCUGGGUCACGUAGACCACCUCCUCCAGCUCGCCGUUGAGGAAGGCGGACUUCACGUCCAUGUGAUGCACCUCCCAGCCGUGAUGUGCAGCCAGUGCAAGGAUGAGCCGCACGGACUCCAGCCUGGCCACCGGCGCGAAAACCUCGUCGAAGUCCACGCCGGCGCGCUGGACAUAUCCCUUUGCCACGAGCCGGGCCUUGUGCUUCACCACGUUCCUGUGCUCGUCCUUCUUCAAUCUGUACACCCAUUUGAGUCCGAUCGCUCGCUGGCCUGCAGGGAGAGGGGUGAGUGUCCAAGUGUUGUUGUCGUCGAUCGAUUGCAGCUCGUCGAGCAUGGCGUGCCGCCAGCAGUCCUCACGCUCUACCUCAGCGAAUGAUGACGGCUCCUCUCCUUCCAGAAGAUGCAGGGCCUCGUCAUCACUGUGUUCUUCCACCAGCACCGGGCGCUCUGCAAGUCGUGGAGGUGAUGAAGGUGUGUCGAGGAUGUCGGUGACGCGGCGGACGCGGUGUGGCGCAGUGACGCUGUCGUCAGCAUCGAGCUGCCCUGACCACGUCGUUGGUGGCGACACGAACUCCACAGGUUUGCUGAUGGAGCGAGGCGUGGGCGUCGCGGGCGAUGAUGCUCCCCUGUGAACUGGAACACUGGGCUCCGGCGAUGCGCUGGCAGCAGGAACCGAGGCCUGCUUGUUGCUCGUGGAGGUCCGUGUCUCGUACACAGGGUACUCCACGGUGAACGUGCUGCUCGCCUGGCGCCUCCCAAUUCCAGCGCUUGUCCUCGUCAAACUCGACGUCGCGCGACACGUGCACGCGCUUGGAUGCAGGGUCGUACAUCCUGUAGGCCUUCGAACCUGUAUCAUAGCCAAUGAACACCAUGGGUGAGCUCCGAUCGGCGAGCUUCUGCUGGUUUGGCGGUGUUGUCUUGACGUGGCCGACGCAGCCGAACACGCGCAGAAAGCGCACGUCAGGCUUCACUCCAUGCCACCCCUUGUACGGGGUCUUGCCGUCGAUGCUCCGUGUGAAUGAGCGGUUGAGGAUGAAAGCAGCCGUCAGCACUGCCUCUCCCCAGAAGGUGUUCGGCAUCCGCUUGGCCUUGAGCAUGCUGCGUGCCAUGCCCAAGAGCGUCUGGUUCCUGCGCUCCACGACGCCGUUCUGCUGCGGCAUGUACGGGGCGGUGAGGUGGCGCUGAACCCCUGUCUCCGCGCAGUGCUCGUAGAAGGUCGCUGAUGUGAACUCGCCGCCGCAAUCAGUACGCAGGACGCGGAGCUUGUGGCCGCACUCGUUCUCCGCCGCGGGCUGGAACUUGACGAUGGCGCGUGCAGCUUGGUCCUUGGUGGCGAGGAGCUCCACCCACAUGUACCUACUCCGAUCAUUGAUCAGAACAAGCACGUAGCGGCGUCCUCCAGGUGUCGGUGGAGUGAUGGGCCCGCACAGGUCGCCGUGCACCAAUUCGAGCGGCUCUGCCGCUCGGAAUUUCGCCUUCUGAGGGAAGGGUAGGCGUCGCUGCUUGCCUGCGAGGCAUGCCUCGCAAAGUUCGUCCGCGUGCUCGAUGUGGGGCAGUCCACGCACGAGCUCGCCGCGCACCAUCCGUUGAAUGUCGUCGAAGUGGAGAUGGCCGAGCCGCGCAUGCCAGCACCAGGCAUCGGACAUAUGGCCCACGGCAAGGCACACAGGGCGGACUGGGGUGAACGACAGCUUGUACAGGCGGUUAGCGGAUCGCUUUACCUUGAGGAUGAGGCGCUGGCGAUGGUCGUGGACGGUGAGCGUGCCGUGGCGGAUAUGGAUGUCAUACCAACCCUCAUCCAGCUGCCCAAGGCUCACCACGCUGCUCUUCAGCGCCGGGAUGUAGAACACCUCCGUGAACGCGCGAUGAUCUCUCCCGUCAAUGGAGAAGACGACGGUGCCCCGUCCGUGGAUGUCAACCACAGAUCCAUCAGCGAAGCGCACUUUGCCCGCUACUGACCGGUCCAGCUCCGCGAACGCGUCGAGCGAGCCGGUCAUGUGAUUUGUUGCGCCGGUGUCGAGGAACCAGGUCUCCCUUGCGUGCUCGUCGCCGAGAGAUGGCGUGACAACAGCUCUCUACUCGUUGAGGAAGACCUGGCCGCGGUUGCACACAGCGGUUUCCGGUUCUACGACCGGCGUGGGCGUGGCGUUGACGGCGACAGGCUCGACGCGCUCGUACACCUCCUCGACGCAGGCCAUCAUCAGGCCUGGCCCGUCAUCCUCUUCCUCUGCUUGGGCGAGGUUCGCGGCAGCCGCCGCCGCCUCGUCGCGUUGCCUUUUGUGGCACUCGCGUGCCCAAUGUCCUUUCUUGUUGCAGUAGCGGCAUCUCUCUCUGUCGCCGUCGUUGUUCUGGCCGCGUGGUGGAGACGCAGGUCGCCGGGCUGGCGCGCCCUUGCGGUUGUCGUUGGCGCGCACGUUGCCGCGGGCGUCCCCUCUGCCGCUCGAGCUGCCGCCCGUGGCGCCUCCAUGGGGCUGGCGCUUCCUGGCCUCCCACUGUUCCUCGGUGAGGAGCAGCUGGUUGCCGCUGCUGCCUUGAUCGCUGUCCAAGCGCUCCUCCACGGCACGCAGGUGGCCAGUGACCUCCUCGAGCGUGAGCACGGACGGAUCGAGAAGGGUCUCGAUCGAAAAAGCGAUCUGCACGAAACGAGAUGGGACAACAGAAAGAAACUUCCUGACGACCUUUUCUUCCUCAACGGUGCCGUGAUCUCCGAGGGAACGAAGCACGGCGGCGAUGUUGGAGAGGCGCAUGGCGAACUCGUCGAUCCUCUCGCCGUCCUUGAAGGAGACGGUCUCGAACUCCGUGCGCAGCCGCCGCACGCGUGAGUCGCGCACGCGGUCGUUGCCCUGGUGCGCCAUCCGGAUCGCCUCCCACGCCGCCUUGGCCGUCCCCUUGCCAAUGAGCAUGCAAUGCAUCUCCGACGGGGUGGAGCGGAGCAGCGCGGCGAGCGCCUGCUUGUCGUCCUUGCGGGAGACCGUGUCGUCCUCGAUGGCCUCCCAGAGUGACGCCGCUUGGAGGUUCACCUCCAUGACCAUGGCCCAGUUGGUGUAGCCGCCGCGCGUGAGCAUCGGGAAGGAGAGGUGAGUGCCGCUCCCGCCGCCGGUCUCGCGCACCACUUCGCGCUGAACCACGAUCUCUCCGCCACCACGCCGAACUCUGCUACGUCCGCGGCUUGGUGAGCGCCAUCGCUGCUCAGGCAGCGGUGUCACGGACAGUCGCUGCGGGGUGUUACCGGUGUGCUGACCGGCAGACAUGAUGAAGCCUGGCUCUGAUGCCAAUUGUCGCCCUGAGAUCAAAAAAACUCGAGAGAACGAGAGAGAGAUCGAAAGGGCAAGAGCACGAGAGUAUUUUGGUGCUGCGCGCAACUUAGCAGCUUUUCUGUUUUUCUUCCUUUUUAUUCAUCGAGAGUAUAUAAACAUGUCCAGGCAACGUGCUCCACUACUGACCACGUCCAUCCCCAUGAUCCGAGCCUCGCGCUGGACGAUCUAGACUAAGUCAGGGCGCACAAAACGCAACCACUGACGAGCUGAAAAUAGCAACUAAACUCUGAACUGAAACUAGCCUAAAAUACGGUGUCAGACAUGACACUUAUGAAAAUUCAGAAAACACUUGUUCAGAGGCAGCUAGACAGGGUUUAAGACCACAAACGACGCCGCGGCACCGCAGGUGCGCCGAGGCCGGCUGCGCCUGCAGUCGGGACUUGACCACGUCCAGCGGGUAGCAGCAGACCCAGCUGGCGACGCCCGCGAGGCCCCCCGACACGAGCAUCGUGGCCAGGCAGCGGGGGCGAGCGGCGCAAGCGGGCGGCUCGCGCGGGCGCGGGGAGAGCAGUGCGGCCGCCGGAGCGGGGGCGAGCGGCGCGAGACGGGGCGAGCGGGCGGCGUGCGCGGGCGCGGGGCGAGCAGCGCGGCUGCCGGAGCGGGGGCGAGCGGCGCGAGCGGGCGGCUCGCGCGGGCGCGUGGGGGAGCAGCGCGGCGGCGGCGGCCAAGGCGAGUGGGCGGCGCGCGGGGGCGCCAGCGGCGGCGAGCAGCGCGGGUCGAGCGGCGGCGCGCGGGGCACAGCGAGCCGCGCGAGCGGCCGCUUGGAGCCUGGGGCCUCGCUGAGAGAGAGAGUGGACGAGGAAGAAGAAGACAGUGAGAGUCAUGGGCCAUGCUGGACGACGAGUUGGAGGACCGCUGGCCUGACAUGUGGGCCACGACGGUCAGAAUCAUGUUUAUUCGCUAACGACCGAGGGGUUAAACUAAUCCGGUAGUUUUUUCAACCAAAACACAAACCGGUACCAAUGUAAAAUCCUAACACCUAAUGCGGUGGUUUUUUUUUUAAUUUACUCUGCACGAAGGGAAACAUCGAAUAGGAAGAGCCAGAGCUAAACACGGGAUUAUAAUAAGUUCAUUCACUGUGCUGUGCAGCAGUUGCUAAUGGCUGCUCUCCCUAUCGUGCGGAGGGGGAGAUGGGCCACAGAAAACCCAGACCGGUGGGCAGGCCCAGACCACAAGCACAGCUUAGGUGUAAAAAAGAGCAGAAAUGUGCACCCACAUUUCUUUUCGAAACCCUUAGUUCGCCGGCUGUGAAUCGUUAGGCCCGACAGAUUUUUGAAGAUAAAAGGAACACGCCGUAGAGUGCCCAAAAAAAAAAAACGAAGAACACGCCGUAGGCGAACAGGUUGCGUUCCCCCCACAGGUCACGACUGAACCCUCUCCUUAAAUCAUUGUACGGACGCAAAGGAUGACGUCAACGAUGAAAAAUUGAUGAAAUAUUCAAAUGCAUAGGAGGCUAGGAGCGCAAGUAUCUGUACUCUCUCCGUUUCAUAAUUCUUAUCGAAAUAUUACAUGUAUUUAUACAAUUUUAUAAAAAUACAUACAUUCAUUUUUUUACCAAAUUUGAGACAAGAUUCUUGUGCAGCGAAGGGAGUACUACGUAAUCGCCCGGAACUCUUGGGUUUUCGGUGAAAUUUACACUGUGCGACCUUUUACCGUAUCGCACAGUAAGGGGAACACUUACAGUUGGACAUGGAGCUGCGUGUCAUGAGCUGAGCUGAGACAGAACACAGGGCCACAGGGGGCGCACGUCACGUUGGUGGGCACGCGGCAAGGCAAAGGCCGGCCCCAAAAACAGCCUGGAAACUGACCCUUUGCACGCGCACGCCGUCGUGGUGCAAAGGCGAAUAACCUAGGCGUUUAGGGUCCUUUCUUACCGACUAGUGUCCCCCGUAGCAGUGCAAAGUGGACCGGCCGACCACCCCAUCCCGAUCACGUUCCGGCAGUGGUAGUGCUAAUUUUCUCUGUACCAAUAACGGAGGAGGAGGAGAUGGGAUAUUACUGCAUUUUUGUAGGAUAGUAUAAUCUCCGUGUAUUGUCACGGGCUCUUAAACAUAUGCACACGAAAAUUGUUAGAAAUAUCAUGCAAGCGUCAUUGAUGUCUGUUUAUGUAUGUGCCUGAUUGAAAACUGCACGUGUGCAUGUCUGUUGUAGAUCGAUCCGAUCGUGUGUGUGUGUCAUAUUCGUGUUGUAUUAGAUGUACGCAUGGAUCGAUUAUUGAGGAUCGAUUAGUGUAGACCGAUUAGAUCAAUUCGUUUGCAGGUUGUGUGUGUAGUUAUAUAAAGAUAGAUCUGGAUCGCGGGCUGCGGGUUGAGCCGUGACAAAAGAAAUUGGGAAUGUGGAAAAAUCCUAGUUCCGUCAGACGGUUGAGUUUUGAAAAACCUAAAGAUAAAUUAGAAAAUUGACAGGCGGACGACGAUUAAGGAAACACUCGUCCUUAAUCUUUCCUUAAUCUUUACAGGAGUUCUUUUUUCUUCCUUAUCAGGUGUAGAUAAGUGUACGAUCUUUCCAGGAGCUCUUUUUCCUUCCAAAAUGCCGUACUACAUCUCGAGCUGUCGAGCACAUUUGUUUGCCGUGUGUUUUAUGUUUAGUGAUUCCAGUCUCGCCCGCUGUGCGGGACGACGAUGGAUUGAUGGUCCUCCCAUGCGCUGCCAACAUGUGUACACCUACCAAACAAACCAAACGACUCUCUCUUCAGUAGUGGUACCUGCUUACCACUCGUUGUCUUGUUGGUUCUGGAGCUUCAUUGCACCGUACAUUUUGUUGGGUCCUUUGGCUCUUCUUGUGAGGGAUGACCUCGGAUAGAGUCAUGACGACACAUAUUAGCCGAGAUAACGAGAGCAAAUCAUGCACAUGCAAGUACACCGGCAUUCUUAAGCCGUAUUGCUAACAGGCCGGCAUACCAAGGAUAUGCCGGCAUAUCUAUCUUGUCUUAUGUGGUUGUAGGAUAAGCACAAGCAGUCUGAUCUCGGCCAGCGCCGAGAUGCGUCAACGAUCUUAUCCUGAGCACAUGACGCAAAGUAAAGCAGCACCCCUUUAUCACAGGAAAGCAGUUGUUGCUCACGUCGUGGUGCCAGGCGGCUGCACAGUAAAGCACCGAAGAAGGACCGAUGACGAAGGUCGGCGCGUGGCUACAGUGCGCGCCGCCUGACGCUACGAAAAGCAAAGUUGUUUUGUCCCCUGCCGUGCAACUCGGAGGGAACCAUGGGGCGUACCCGGCGGGCCCCGUAGAAGAUAAGGUUAGCUUUUGGUCCACAUGUCAGUGUGACAUUGGCGGCCUAUAAAUAGGAGCACCACCCCUACCAGAGCAGGGGUCCUUCACUUAGUGAUUUAGGGUUUUCCCCUUCUUCUUCUUUCUCCUCAAGAAAACUGCUCAAGGAGCACCAUUGUAGCCAUCGGUAUCUCGGGUAAUACUACAAAGCAGGAGUAGGAGUUUUACCUCAACAAGAGGGCUCCGAACCUGGGUAAACCGUGUGUGUGUUCUUGUGUUGCGCGUGGUUCUAAUCACGUCCUCCCUCCUCCGGUUCCUCCUUCGUCCACCGGCCCCAAUAUAAGCCAUCCUAUGACAUCUGCCGUGAUACCACCACGAGAGUUGGUGCCCACCGUGGGGCCAGCAGCGGCGCUGGCUGGAGUCUUCAUCCGGAUGGGAAGCUUCCUCGUCACCGGAGAGCGCGUGGUCUCUGGUUUGAUCCAGAGAUUCGGCUCUCCGGGCUUCAUCGACAACAACGCGGGCUGCUUCAACAACGCGCCGCUUUCCUGCGCAGGCCGCUUCAUCAAUUUCGGCAUGCAUGAGGUUUAUGUCACCACUGACAAUCCUUGCAGGUACCCUGAGCAGGUGGUGGUGGCCGAAGAUCCCCCUGCCGUCUGCACGGUUUGCGGCCGGCAUAUUGACUGCCCCCACUGACCGUGUGGAGGUUAUGGUGACGGCUCACGGCGGUGAUGCUGGCAAGGGCACGACAGAGAGUGCCGCGCUCCCAAGCAAAUCCGGCAGAACGGCGAAGUUCCCAAUGGAGAAGUCGGAGAACAUCGCUGCUCAAGCCGGCACGUCCGCUAUGCCGGCAAAGCCGACUCAGCUUUAGGCUGCCAUCGAACGGCUGACCUUGCCGGUAGCACCAAACGCUAACCCGGCCCAGCUGCAGGCUGAGUUGGAGGUGGAGCGCCAGAAACUGCUGCAAGAAGCUAUCGAUGUGGCUCGCGCUCGACAAGAGCUCGAUAUUUCGCUCCGUGAGUAUAACAAAGCUCAUGGUCUCAAUUCCACUGCAAUGCCUAACCCUAGCCGAGUUGGGGAAGUGCCUAAUCGUGGCAAAAACCUGAACGCUGAGAUAGCUAGAGAUGGUAGGGCGAUACCCGUUGUGUCGCCAAGUUUUGCCUCGGCGCUGAAGCCGAAAUACAGCACCCCUGUUAAGAAUCUCAGGGCAGCCGAGGCUGCAACAGAAGAGUUGCCAAAUCUCACGGGAGCGGCGCUCCGAUUGCAGCAGCUGCGUGUGAAGGAGUUGCUUCACACGUCUAACGAGCAGAAUGAGGCAUACAUGAGGUUGGAUGGCAAAAGAGAUUGGAGUUCGCUGGAUUCAAUGCUUUGGCAAUUCCGAUUUAGUAGUCCAGCAAGCUUCUGGCAAUUGGGAUGCGUUGGAUGGCAAUAUGGCGCUAUACCGCUUUCAUGUGCAGAAGAUUAGUGGCCACUUGGAAGGGUGUGAGUUUCAUCAUAUACCGCGGGCAGAGAACGAGGCAGCCGACACUCUGUCGAAGUUGGGAUCAACGCAUCAGGCCAUCCCGGCUGGUGUUGCAUUGGAACAUUUACGCAAGCCAUCCAUCAAGCCGUCAUCAGAAUCAGAGUCAAUAUUUAUUCCGGCAAGCUCAGAAACUAAUGUCACUCCAAUGGAAAUUGACAGCGGCAGCGGUUCCGGUAACCCGGGGACUGAGCGUCCUAACUCGGCUGAAGCAAUGGCGGUUGAACCAAUGGAGAUAGACGAGCUAGUCUUCGUAACUCGUCCUGUGCCGGCUUGGGCGCAACCGAUAAUGUCCUAUCUCAAGGAUGGAAAUCUGCCGUAAGAGGAAGUGUCGGCAAGGCAAAUUCAGAGAAAGGCAAUGGCAUACACCAUUAUCAAUGGCGAACUAUACAAGAUAAGUGUUACUAACGUCUUGUAACGCUCUGUUGAGCCGGAAGAAGGACAAGAAAUACUCCGGGGUAUUCACCAGAGAGAGUGCGGUCAUCAUGCAUCCUCAAGAACAUUGGUGGGCAAGGCAUUCCGGCACGGUUUCUACUGGCCGAGUGCGCUACAGGAAGCAGAAGACAUGGUCAGGAAGUGCAAUGGUUGCCAUAAGUAUGCCAGCAAAAUUCAUAUGCCGGCAUCGGAGCUUAAGACUAUCUCAAUCACUUGGCCAUUUGUUGUUUGGUGUUUGGAUAUGGUGGGACCUUUCAAGAGGGCGGGAGGAGGCAUGACGCAUAUCCUGGUCAUGGUUGACAAGUUCACCAAAUGGAUUGAAGUAAAGCCGAUACGGAAGUGUGACGGCAAGACUGCGGUGUCAUUUUUGAAAGACAUUAUCUUGAGAUACGGUUACCCGCAUAGCGUCAUCACGGAUAAUGGAACAAACUUUGCAGAAGGGCCUUUUGCGCGACUUUGCGCGGAAAAGAAAAUCCGGCUGGAUAUCGCCUCAGUGGCACAUCCUCAGUCCAACGGACAAGUUGAGAGAGCAAACGGCAUGGUUCUAGCCGGCAUAAAGCCUCGGCUAAUUGAGCCACUGGAACGCACUCCAGGAUGCUGGCUAGAUGAACUCCUAGUUGUGCUAUGGAGUCUCAGGACAACUCCAAAUCGCUCCACAGGCUAUACGUCAUUUUUCCUUGUAUACGGGGCGGAAGCUGUCUUACCAGCCGACAUUGAACAUGACUCUUCACGAGUGACCAUGUAUACGGAAGUUGAGGUAAAAGAGGCCCGAGAAAAUGAUGUCGACCUGCUCGAAGAAGCACUGGAAUUGGCCCUAUCUCGGUCGGCCAUCUAUCAACAACACCUAAGGCGUUACCACAGCCGGAAGGUAAACCCGCGGGUAUUCCGGGAAGGAGAUCUUGUGCUCCGGCUUGUGCAGCGAACAACCGGCAUGCAUAAACUGUCGCCCCCAUGGGAAGGACCCUUCAUUGUGAGCAAAGCGUUGCACAAUGAUUCCUACUGUCGCCCCCAUGGGAAGGAUCCUUCAUUGUGAGGAUAGACCGGUCUGGCGAGGAAACCAAGAGGCCAUGGAAUGUAGCUUUGCUUCGUCCGUUCUAUACUUAAGAGAUGAGUAUUUGUAUCGUUUUUUUUCCUUAUGUUGAAUAUUUUGAGACAAUGAAUUUUCCGUCGGGUUCUUAAAAGGAACCCGGGGACUUCCAUGCUAUAUGAGUGUUGUAUUGCAUUUAUCUAUUUGUAUGUCGGCAUGGCUUGAUUGUGUAAUCUUAUGUCGGUUUAGUAGUGUGUCGGUACCGAAAACCUCCUCUAUGACUUAGCUGUUGUCCGCAACCCGGCUUCAUGGCAAGCUAGAGUAUGGGUACAAAAUUACUGAACACAUGAAAAACGAUUGCGGAAAUAAGCAAAUGAGCGGGCCGAGAUGCGCGUUAUUUUACCUAACCCGGCAUUUUCUUCCUAUAUCGGGCAUUUCCAGGCGAGUUUUUUGAGUUUAAGCCUUUUUGAAAGGACUAUUCUAUGACUUCGUGAUUCAUACGUCAAACGCCGACAAGGCAGACAAAGAACCGAGGUCAUAUAAUUUUACCAACAGAAAAAAUAAACUUGGGGAUUCGGUUGGGAACUCGAUAAUUAAAAAGGCAUAAGCAAAUUAAAAAUAUUGUGCGCCACAACCAAAAGUACUUCAAACUGUUUACAUAUGCACCCGGCAUCCCUGGGAUCUGAUAGCUUUAAAUGUUUGUUCCGACAUAGCUAAGCUCAAGCAGAAGGGUUGUUGGUGCCGGCACUCGGAGCGUCUGUCGCGGUGGAAGUCGACUCGACCACAAUCUCUUCAUCGAUUUCCUCUUCAUCUUCCUCGGCCGCUUCCUCGUCCGCGUCUGAUAUCGGACCCUCCAUGAAUUUAUGCACGUCAGCAUAUUGGAUGAAGGAGUAGGCCCAUUCCUGGCGCUUCGCGAUCAGCUCCGGGUAAGAGAGGAAGGGAGAGGCAACGCGCAUGGACUGCAGCACAUCGAGGUUAACGCCGUCGUACUAGGAAAGUACGAACGACAGAGCCUCGUCAGCGCUGACACGAGCGGCCGACUCCUGCCACUCACUUAGCCGGUCCUCCACCCCCAGGAGACGCUUGGCUAGUUUCGGGAUGCCACUCGGAGCUUCUUCUCCCGGCCACAAAGCUCGGAAGGCGCGGAUGCCGGCAUUAAGCAUGUCGACCCCGACGGACUUCAGUGGCUUGACGCGGGUCCAGAUGCUGAUGAGGUAGUCCUCCACAUCGUACUGCGAGGGCAAUGCCUUGGCUGGAUCCCUUCUUCCGCGAGCUCUGAUCACGGCGGCCUGAGCACUCUUGGUAGAGUGGGGAAAAAAUUAUGACAAGGACAAAGGAGGAAUAAUGAAUCUCGGCAUACUUUUGUUGUCGGCUUAGUGAUCAACGGAAGGGAUUUGAGUUCAGGCAACUUACUGGCUAGCAGUCCAUCUAUCUUGCCGAGAUCCUUAGCGCACUGGUUGAGCGUGUGGGUGCUCUCGGCCUUAUCCUCCUCAACAGACGUGGCUCGAGCCUCGGCCUUGGCGACAAGAUCCUUACAUUUCUGUACUUCGCCUUCCAAGCAGAUCUUCUCAUCGGUUUGAGUGGAGAGGGCCAAGGUAAGUUGAACUACCUCAGCCUUGUGCGCCUUAGCUUGCACUUCAAGUUGCGCCCUCAGCCGGGCCACCUCGUCUCGGUGUUGUUCCUCCAGCCGAGUUUUCUCCCCUGUUUGAAAGACAUUGAUUAUAAGACUCUAAGAUUGAAAUGGAUGCAACCCGAGAAAAGGACUCGGUGACACCUUGCACUUCUGCGAUGCGCUUCAGGAGCUCCUACACUUGAGUGUCAUUCCUAGCUGCGUACGAGGGCACAUUUCAGUCUUCACAAUACAUAGAUAGUUGAACAUAGCUUUUAUGUCGGUGGAAAUGUACUUACUCUGGUUCUGCCGUUCGGCCACCAAAGCUUUGUGUUCCGCCGCCAGUUUCCGGUGUGCUGCGAGCAGAACUUUAAAGGUGGCGGUGCGCUUGUUCAUGCAGCUCUGCAAGACAAUGAUCCACAGUUAAUUCUAUUGCAGUGGCAGGUCAACAGCUAUAAGCUUCAGGCCGACUAUUCUAAACCCGGCCUGAAUCUCGGGGAAUAGUGUUUGAAGUUUUUAAGGUUCAGGCCGACUAUUCUAAACCCGGCGUAAAUCUCGGGGAAUAGUGUUUGAAGUUUUUAGCUUCAGGCCGAUUAUUCUAAACCUGGCCCGAAUCUCGGGGAAUAGUGUUUGAAGUUUUUAAGCUUCAGGCCGACUAUUCUAAACCCGGCCUGAAUCACGGGGAAUAGUGUUUGAAGUUUUUAAACUUCAGUUCGUUUAUUCUAAACCCGGCCUGAAUCUCAGGGAAUAGUGUUUGAAGUUUUUAAGUCUUGCAGAGUGUUUGGAAUUUUUUGAGAUAAGCUUCAGGCCGAUUAAUUCUUACUCGCCCUAAACCUCGGGGACUAGGAAUAUGCAUACUGGAGAUAGAGUAAAAAACUUCAAAGGAAUUUUCCGUACCUCGGCAGCUCGGCUGGACUCAAACAGGGCGACCCUCGGCUGGAACAUCCGGGCCGACACCGACUCCGGGGUCGCCGCCACAGGUGCUAGCCCCACUAGAGCGUUCUGCCGCGCUGUCUGGAUGGUGUCGGAGUUCACCUUGUAGCUGUUGGCGCUGUUCCAGUCCAUCACAUACUAGCCAAGCGACCCCCAGCUAUGCCUGCUUGCUGUCCUAAGGGGAAUUGCCUGAGUACCCCGGACGGAUGGCGAGACGGAAGAACUCGCAGGCUUUUGUCCCGCCGGGAUGGCGGAGCUCCUAGUCUUCUUGGCUCAUGCAGCCGCUAGUUCAGUCGCUUGCGGCAGCGGCGGUGUUGCUGUUGUUUGGGGUCCUUGGGGUUGUGUGGCCGGCUGUUGAGGAGCAUACGUGGCCAGUGGCGGUGGCUGUGCGUUAGGCACUUCCGACGAAGGAGCAGCCCCGGCUGCCGAGGUCCCAGCCGCAGAUGUCCCAGCUUGUGUGACGCUCGAAGCGUCGAUGCCAGGGCCGACAUCUCGGACGGGAGAUGUCGGAUCUGCGGCGGUCUCGGUUUCUCUCGUGGCCUGAGCUGAAGGCUCUGCUCGCGGAGACGAGGAUGCCGGAAUCUCAGAUGCAAUGCAAGUCCUGUGUAGCCGUUAGGGCCUCCCUGCAAGAAUGAAAGUUUGUCAGCUUCAUGACGAUUAAGAAAAAUACCGACAUUGGAAGAUCGAAAUGCUAUAAAUCUAACCCGACGACCAUGGGCUUCGGCUUUGGCUGUCGCCCAGCGGUUUUCUUCCGCUUCAAGGUCCUGGGGAGGUCGGUCUCGGCGAUGCGCUUCUCGCCGGCCGAUACCGUAGCGGCAGCCGGACCCAACGCCACAGCAGGGGCAGGAUCAUCCGAGUCAGCUGUUUCCGGGUCAAUGCAGGCAUGAAUAUUUUGGUGAUAUGUAUUUUGAUAUCUAUGAGAAGAUGUUGGGAGUCAAUACCUACGGCACGACGGGGGCCGGCAUGAGAGAUCGGCAUGUGGUCCUCCGAGUCCGGAUCGUUCUGAGCAGCGGCCAAGCGCUCGCUCCCGAAGCGCUUAUCCGGCGAAUGCCCGUCUUCAUUGCGCUGAAGAGUAAAUCUCUGCACAAAAGUAUAAGGUUGCGCCAGGAUAAGUCAUUGUCAGAUGGAAGCCAGCAUAACAAUCAUCACGGAUGAAAAUUGAAGACAUACACAAAUAAAGACUUACCGGAUGCGCACGGUUCUUCCGGCUGAACGGAAUCAUGCCCCAAACACAGUGCUCGGACAGGUUCGUCUUGGCAAUCGCUUUAACUCGGCGCCGGACUUCGAGUUUGUCCAGCCAGACGGUUGAAACUCGAUUCGGGUCGAAUUGGCCGCUAUAAAAGCACAUCUUGUGUGUCCGGUGUUGGAGCGGGCAUACCCGCCGGAACACAAAUGUCGCCAGAAGGUCGUCGGCCGUCAUCCCGUUCUCCUUGAGCUCGAUGAUGCCCACAUGAAUGUCAUUGAUCUCCGGAAGUGAGUCUUUGGGGUCAUGUUUCCAGUUCUUCAUUUCCUCUGGUGGACCGACUACGAAUCCCGACAGGUUGAUCAUGAAAUCUGAGAUAUCACAUAGUGCCAUCCAAAGAUUUAGUGAUUACAAUCAUCCAAUUUAAAGGAAAGAUUACACUACUCAUUUUGCCAUUCACAACGCACAGGAAGUGUGGCCAUAGAUGGAACUACGGAUACAAGAGACCUAUCCGGAAAAAGCUGUCAGAACCUCGGGAGUAGCUGCGGAGAGUAUGGGAACACGUACGCAUCUGCCUUCUGUUCCCCGUAUAGGAACUGACGUGUAAGGUACGUACUCUCGAAUACUCUUGGUGGGCCACGUGCUGGAGUAAACCCAUCCACUGGAAACUCAUGGAGCAUCUCAGGAGCAGGAGGUCUCGGAGGGUAGCGAACUUCAUUCUCGUACAUUCCUGCAUCAACCACGAUGGAGAGGCGACCGAGUGCUAUCCACAGCUGCUUGCGGUAGUGGUCGAUCUCGGCUCGCAUGUUUGCCAUCAUGUGCUGCUGGCUUGUCACAAAGUUGCAGAGAUCAUAGUUGUCAUUUGCAACCUUCUCAUCAGGCAAGCCUGGAAGUGUGAAGAACUUGUUCUCGCAUGUGAUGAAGCCCCUUGGGAUAUUCUUGAACGGUCCUUUGUCCAGCCUUUCGUACUUCCUGCGGAGUAGGGUCACGCACAUGUACGCCACCUGUUGGAUGGCCAACUUGAUGGUAUGCCCAGUUCCCACUGCUUUGUGCAUUGGAAAAUUUUCUGAAGGCACGUCUUGGUGGAGGCGGACAACGGCACGGUAGUACUCCUGGUUGAAGUAACGAUAAUCCUCGAAUACCGUGUACUUCGGCUGGUAUCGGAAACCGAUUUGCCUCAUGAUCUCACGGAGCACCUCAGGAAAACCUUGGGUUGUCUCACAGUUGGACAUAAAGACCACUUGUGGACGAGGAGGAGUGUAGAGCGACAUCUGAAAGAAAGUGAUUGCAGGAUUAGAACUUUGGAAGAACUAGCUUUAUCUAUGCACUAUAGAUAUGAGCUAAACAAUAAAGAAUGGUCUUUUCUCUGACAAUGAAAACCACAAAAGAACUUGAAUGCCACCAACUAAAAGGAACUACGGAAAACAAACCCCGAGAUACCUAGUUUAUAAACUGAGGAAAGAGGUUAUUUUCCAAAACAAGAAGGGUGGGUGGGUGGGAAAAGAAAAAAAAUCAGAGUCUACUUUUCCAUUUUUCAAAUAGUUUAGAGAUGAAAAUAGUUACUAGACUCAACUUCGACCAUUCCUAACCAGGGAGAAACCUAAGGGCAGCGAGGCUCUGAUACCAAAUUGUGAGGCCUCGAGACUGAAUUUAUGCAAUUUAGCCCCAAAUGCUAACUCGCGCAUAAAUCAAGCCCCAGUGCCUCCCUACGAUGAACACUUCACAACAUACACGCAAUGUGUUCACCGCAGGUUGGAACAAAAAUGAUAUCAUUACAUCACUUCUAAGACACAAGAUUAAGUCAAGCUCAUACAUGGAGCGAAUUACCAAGUUAUUACAACUCACGGACACAUGUCCACAAUCAUCACCACACCAGCGGAAGCAAAUUAGGCCCGAGUACGGACAAGUUACAAUUAUUGGCUAAGAGGCUGAAACUGAAAAGGAGAGCCCGCCACAAGUUCACAGAACCCUGCUCUGGAAUCUCCUGGCUAAACGUCGAAGCUGUCGUCGUCGAACUGCACGAAGUAACCACUCACCUGCUCCUCCGGAAAUUCUGGAGAAAACAAUGUUGCACAGCAACUGAGUACAAAGUACUCGCAAGACUUACGGGAGAUCUAAACUAGAUAUGCAACAAGUCUCAAAGGACGGAUAAAGUGGGGUUAUGCAGCAGUAGAUAUAUCUAGAGAGACACACUAAUGACAUCGUCUAAGUAGAGGAUAAGAAGCGUCUACCAAGUGAGGUGAUUAACCAAUUUACUAAACACCAAACAACACAAUCCUCAUAUCACCCCCUCAACACCCUGUGAGGAAGCAAUCCAAAGGACACUCACACUUAAGCAGUUUUAAGCAUAUCCAUGAUUAAGGCUAAUUACUACUAAAGUUUAAGAGAUUAAGUUAAUUAAUUGGUAUGAGUUUUCUAUGAUCAAGUAAUGACCAACCAAGUCGUCCAUGACCGCGGACACGGCUUUCCGAAAGAUUUAUCCCUGCAAGGUGUGCCAAUUUACCCGUACACGUUCGUCCAACCCUUGACGCCACUAGCAUGGAACACACGCAAAAGCAUGUGCCGGCAGGAUUGAGCGACAAGACGUUUCCAAGCCCCACAACUAAUUUAGGGAACCACCCAACUGAGUCUAAUCCGAGAAGAGAGCCCAGCCGAAGCGUCGUACGGACUCAAGAGUUGCGGGAACAGCUGGUAGUGGUUCAGUGUCCGCAGAAUGACCACUCCAGACGUGUGCCGCAGUCCUAUAUGUAUGCAAAGUACCAACAAAUCUUCAAACACAACACCAAUGUAUAUGCGAUAUGCCAAAUGGAACGCCCGAACUAUGUGGCCCCUGGAAGAGCUAUGAAACGAGUACUAAACCGAAGGGGAACUCAUAUAUUCUCCCACGAACGGUUAGCGCGAAGUUUCUUGGGUCGGCGAAAACGAGAACUCAGUUCUUAGGUCGGCGCCAAUGGAACAAACACCAAUGCGUUAGCACGGCCUCCCAUCGUUGCCUUGUGCAUGUAAUAACAGGUCACCGCUUAAUAAUUGCAAAUACAUACAGAAAGUAGCAGGUGGAUGUAGCAAUUGUAUAACCCCAAGUAAGGACACUAGACUAGCAAUCUAAGCAAACUUCUAAUGACCAACUAGGGCAAUAACAAACAUGUGACAUGGUAAUAGGAUAAGGAACAAGACAACAUGCAUCUGAGUAGAGCUGACUAAAACUAUGCAAACCUAGAGGCAACGUGACAAUAACCGAGAACGUAAAGAAUGAGAAAGAGGCAUCGGAUAUAAACAACAUGUUCAAGGAAUGGCUCCUUGCCUGGAUUCUCGGUCGCUGGGCACCGAGAGAGGGGAUCCAAAGAAGUGUGGAAACCCAGAUCGUCGCGGAGUAAGUCGGAGUCGCUAAUGAUAAGAUCCAAACACACAAGGUAGGUAGGAAUAAGCAUACAUAGAGUGCAAUGCGCAAUCAAGGAUGCAUGGUAUGUGAUAGAAUGAUGCAAUCGAUUUAAACAAGAGUGCUAACCAUUGAGUGGAAAAGAUUAUUCAUUAGAUGGUAAGAUGGAUGGUAACAGUGGUUACACUUUGCUCAAAUAUAUUAAACAGUAACAUGGUAAUAAAUUACAGGUUCCAAGGAAUAAUUCACAUUUUUACAGAAGGUUCAAAUUCAUUACCAAUUUUAAACUAGGAGCUACACAAGUUCUUAUGUUUGAAUUUCAAAUCUGGCACAGAUUUGAAAUUUGAAACCUCAAAAUGUAAAUCUAAAUGCACAGUUAAAUUCCUUGCAUUUUUCUGAUUCCAAAACAUAUAUGGUUUGCUCAAUUUGGAUUUAGCAUGCAAUUACUAGGAAUUAAACAAAAUUUGAAACAUUUCUGGAAUUUAAAAGCAAAUCCAAAAAGUAAACCCAAACGCACACGGUCAGGUCCAAGCCACGGUCACGGACGUGUGGACCCUGACGUGGCGCUGAUGCGGCACAGGCGCGUGGACUCGUUCCACCGGGCGCAGCGGUGCACCAGGUCAGUGGCUGGUGAAAUCCCAAAAAUGGGGUUUUUAUUCCGCGUGAGGGGAAUCGAACCUGCGUCGGCCAAAUCGAACACGGAGGCACAAGCCACUGCGGUAGAGCAUCGGAUCUCAACAGGUAAAGGGUGCACGUCCUUUUGAACGAACCCAAGCUAGCAGCUUGUGGGCGCGGCGGCCACGUCGACCGCUCGCCGUCGGUGACCACACGGCACGGCGGAGGAACAAGGCGUGGCCUUUCCUUGUUAGCGAGAUCGAGAGGGCAAGGUGACACGAAGGACACCGUGCAAGCCCCUCUGGAGCGUGCACAUGGCACGGAGCCGAAGCUCGCCGGCGGCGUCCAGGGCAUGGUCUCGUCGGAAGCUAGGCUACGGUGAACUAAAACGGACGAGGAAAGCGGCGGGAGAGAGAGAAGCUCACCCGGUGAUGUGAGAGGCAGCUGACGAGGUUUACAUGGACGUGCUCGCCGGCAUUUCGUCGGAGACGGGCGGCGGCUGGAGAGGAAGAAGUCGUCCUAGGCGUCGAUGUAGGCGAUCUCGCUCCGAUUCCUUGCACCAACGCGUAGAGGAUGAAGAGGCGCACUCGGUGACGCGGUCGGGGCGUCGUGGUUUGGCCGGAGGCGGCGGCGCGACGCAGUGGCGUCCACGGCCCGAGAAGAAGGCGACGGCGGCGGCGCAGAAGGAGGCAUAGGAAACCCUAACUAGGGUUUGCCUGGUGCUGGGGAAGGCAGGAGGCGCGGCGCAGCUUAAGUAGGCGAGGAAGGGAGGUGGGUGUCGCUGCCCUCGACGACGUGGCGCGCGAGGGCUCCACCGGCCAGGAGGAAGAAAGCAGAGGGAAGAAGAAGCUCGUGAGAGAACGCUUAUUUCGCGAAAUACGCCUUCAACGCAGGGAAGCGCAACGCGGGGAGGCGCGCGAGACUGCUGGGCCGAGCUGGGCUGCAGGCACUGCGGGAGAAGCUAGGCCGAGGCGCUGCGGGGCUGCGCGAAGGGAAAGGCCGAGGCGGCUGGGCUGCACACGAAGUUGGGCCGAGGUAAGCAGGUAAGGUUUUUCUUUUCUUUUCCUUUUCCUUUUUCCUGUUUUCUCUUUUGCAAAUAACUUUGGAUUCAAAAUUCAAAUACCAAUUUGAAGAGCUGAGGAAUAGGAGAGCAUAAAAUAUAGUGCUAGUAUUUGAAAAUGUUCAAAUGGAUUUAAAGAUUGAAAAAUCCAUUUGACUCUCUUUUAUAAAUUAUGGAAAUGGAAUUCAAACUCAAAGAAGGGAAGAUUCAUAUUUGAAUCUUCUAUCAAAUUCAAACCACAAGUUGAGAUGUAACUUUAAAACUCAUGUGACACAAAAAGUAGACAUGGCAUGGCAUGGAUGCAAAUGUAAUGGUCAUGCAACAAGAAUUAAAUUACAAAUAGGUCCACACAAGGGUUUAAAUGUAGAAGUUGCUCUUGGGCUGUUAGACUUAACCCCAUAAACGACGCACGCGCGCGAUUACUGCGCGACGUGGCGCAGUAAAUCCCGCCGAAUCCGGGGAGAUAAGGAUCCGCGUGGGAACCGAAAUUCCCCUCUUAAAUGACCUGCUGGUUUUACUGUCUGAUGGGACGACACGCUCACCUCAAAAGGCGCGCCGGCAGUACUUCUGAUCUUAUCUUCCCGUUGUUUAAGUAGAGCGCAGGGUGUGAGCGACAGGUGGCACUAAUGUCGGCAGAAACAGGCUUUCUACUGCCGGCCGCGAUGAAGAAAGGAAUCUCGGCUUAGGGCUGAACAACCACGCCGGCUAGAUAUGUCGGAGUUGCCUGAUCUCGGCUAAGAAUGCUCGAGAUUAUCUCGGCAUCUUCCUUGGAUCAGCCCUACUAGGCUUUUGUGGCUUGAGUUGUGGGAAACUGUCGUGGCCCGACAUCUUUUCCUGCCGAACCGCAACAGCUUCGGGGACUAGUGUCGGGGGGAUGACCCCGGGUAGGGUUAUGACGACACACAUUAGCCGAGAUAACGAGAGCAAAGCUGGCCCAUGCAAGUACGCCGUCAUCCUUAAGCCGCAUUGCAGGAUAAGCACAAGGAUAUGCCGGCAUAUCUAUCUUGUCUUAUGUGGUUGCAGGAUAAGCACAAGCAGUCUGAUCUCGGCCAGCGCCGAGAUGCGUCAACGGUCUUAUCCUGAGCACAUGGCACGAAGUAAAUCAGCGCCCCCUUUAUCACGGGAAAGCAGUCGUUGCUCACAUCGUGGUGCCAGGCGGCUGCACAGUAAAGCGCCGAAGAAGGACCGAUGACGAAGGCCGGCGCGUGGCUACAGUGCGCGCCGCCUGACGCUACGAAAAGCAAAGUUGUUUUGUCCCUGCCGUGUAACCCGGAGGGAACCAUGGGGCGUACCCGGCGGGCCUCGUAGAAGAUAAUGUUAGCUUUUGGUCCACAUGUUAGUGUGACAUUGGCGGCCUAUAAAUAGGAGCACCACCCCUUCCAGAGUAGGGGCCUUCACUUAGUGAUCUAGGGUUUUCCCCUUCUUCUUCUUUCUCCUCAAGAAAACUGCUCAAGGAGCACCAUUGUAGCCCUCGGUAUCUCGGGUAGUACUACAAAGCAAGAGUAGGAGUUUUACCUCACAUUAUUAUAGAAAGGCUUAUCAGUAACGGUCGAAAAACAACAUCAGUAACGGUCGGGGCCGCCGUUACUAACUUCGUGUUACUGAUGAUGGGUAUCAUCAGUAACGGUCGCUCCGACCGUUACUGAUGUACCAUCAUCAGUGGCGGGAGGCCCGACCCGACCGUUACUGAUGAAGACCAUCAUCAGUGACGGUCAUGUUUCCGCGCCCGUCAUUGAUGAUAUGUACAUCAGUAACGGUCGCUUUGCCACAUCUGUGUCGGGCGGGCGUCCAACACUGAUACAUUUUUAUUAAUUAAAAAAUAAUUAAUACCACAGAAAAUACACAGAAAUACACACAAAAAUAUAUAUUUGAAUACACAUCACAGCACAACACAGAAAAAUACACAGCCAAAUCAUUUAAAGCAUACAAAUGUAUAUAAAGCCACAUCAUAUAAAGCAUAUAAAGAGUACAAAUGUAUCUCACUUCACGACAUUGAUUACAAGUGUGAAAAUUUCAUAGAAGCAUAUAAAGAAUACAAAUGUAUCUCAUUUCAAGUUUGAAGCUAUUGUUGUGGGUGAACCCUAGUCACCACUUGUUCCACGCGUUCGUAGAAGUCCCCACUAGGCUUGAUGACCUCAUUGUUGAUGAGAUGGGCGAACUCCCUUUGAAUGUUAUACACGACCCAUUUAGGUCGGUGUGCCAUUGUCAUUCGGGGCCACCAGUACUCUUCCACAGCCGCGAUUGACCCCUUCCACUCAGGCUUGAACAUGUUGGCAUUCUUCAUAAGGAUGUGAAAACAGUAGUAGCCACAGUACACACUGCCGGACAGCUGUUGCUGGCAAGGGAACCUGUGGUUGUGGUGAGGCUCGUCUUUAUAGCCUUUACCAGCUAGUUUUCCCUUGGUCGCCACUUUCCAGACAAUGUUAAUGAGUGAUUUGAUGGGUUUCAAGUACCGACCUCGAACACCCUUCUUCGAAAGUAGUGAAUCGAAGUAGUACACCGUGGACCAAGGCAAACAAAUGAGUAAUGUCACCCAAUGGUCUCUGUUUUCAAAAGAAACAAACUUUAGUAUCUAAGGGUGUAUAAGAAAGACUGAAUUAGAAAAAACAAAUGGUUCCAUAUAUAAAAUUCAACUUACUCCAAAUUAAGGAAAAAGAGGAUAAAGUCGUGGUCCGCGUAUUUCUCCAGACAUGCCACCAAGUAUUUAGAUGCCAGGGUUGUUGAUGGAUCCUUUUCUGGCUCAAGACCGAUGUCACCGUAGUUGAACACCGCGGGGUCUAAAAAAUGGCUACUUUUUUACCUCCAUUCGCCGCAUUUCCCUUAUUUGGUAGGCACACCACGGCCUUAAGAUGUUGAUAUCAAGUUUUUGGCGGUUGAAGAGAUGGAAUAGUUCGUUGAACUCCACACCAAAGGUGAUAGGACGUUCCUGAAUGUUCCCCGUUUCUUAGUCAAAGAAGCCAUAGUCUCGUGGGAUUCGAAUAUUGAUUUGUUGGGCAUGUUGUUGAGAACUAGGUGAUGCUUGCAUGUAGAACUGAUGAAGCUCUUGCAUCUCUCUGGACACGGCACGCAGGGAAUCUUCGGUGGCCAUCGGUCUUUCAGGAUAGUAAAUAAGCACCCGGUCAAACUCCCUAGCCACGAAGUAGGAUCCGUCUUCGAAUCUCUGGCCUUGACGGGGGUUCUUCAUGAGAAUGCCAGGCCUAUUGUCUUUCCAGACUCCAGUUAUGUCAGGCACAUAGUGCAUCUCAUCUUGAUUGACAUUGGAGGAGUCCUUGAUGGUCUUGCCGCCGCGCCCUCUCUUUUUAUGCCUCCUCUUAUUGUCCCAUGCCUUUUGCUCCUCUGCCUUGUACUUGUCAUCGAUCUUGCAGCCAUCCAUGGACUCAGCGGCACCAAGAGAGAGAAGGUAGGAGGGACGCUUUCAGCCUGUGCCGACCCUGUGGUCUGACUAUCUUUGAGCUGUGGAGGCAUCGACAUUACUCGCUCUUCAUCUCCGCCGGCAUCGACAGGAGGAAAUAUCCUAGGGGAAAGGCCGAGCAAUGAUUGAGAAGCACCUUUGUGGGCAGAGGGAGAUGGAGUCAUAGAGGGCCGGCGCUGGUUGUAGAGAGAUACCAAGGUCCUAGGCCACAUAAUGCGGUAGUUUGGACAACCGCCUAGAAUAUACACGCUUUCCUCCAGAGGUAGCGGGAUAGCAUAAUCACGAUGGUCCUCGACGACGGAGUCCACCAUCACACUCACUUGUGUGUCGUUCAUAAAAAUGCCGUGCACCAGUGGCGGUGAUUGUCUGGGCAUCAGGCGGCCAAUGGCGCCUACAGGCUUCCCAGGCUUGUCUACGUGGAUAUGACACUUCACCGGUGCCUGCGCGUAACAAGAAGAAGGCAUAUGUGUGUAAGAUCUUUAUUCAUGAAGGUAAGGAGUGAAAAAGAGUUUGAAAAGUAUGCUUACAAGGAUGUUGUCACUCGGACCCGGAUCGUUAUUCCGGAUGCCCUCGCUUGGGUCCGGUUGGCUAGCGGGGGGGUUGUCCAUUCUAGGAGCCGGGCUGUAACCUGGGGUGUAUGUGUCAUCAUCUUCCAUACGUGUGUCGGAGGUGGCGCUUUUCUUCAGCGGGGUGCUCUUUCGCGGGGGAAGUGGAGGAAGAGGAGGAAGGAGGUUCCUCAAACCUUCCACUCCUCCCCCGAGUAUGGCAUCUAGGGCGGGGUGGUCUUUGGCCAAUGCCGACACCAAAUGAUGGACGGCUUGCACUGCAUAUUCUCUUGACACCUCUUGACACACCAUAGUUGUCUUCUCUCGCGCCUCCGCCUUAGCUUGUUCUAUUAUUUCAGCAGAAGCGGGGAGCUUUUUCUGGACCCUGCUUCGCUUCGGAGCAGGCGGGAAAUAAUCAUCCCAGCAAGCCCCUUCGCCUUCCCCUAGAACACGGCCAGUGUGCUCCGCCUUUUGCAAGCCGGCUGUCACAGCCGACUCCCACCUCUUGCUCUGCACGGAGUCGGCGGAUGUUUCUGACCUCUUGCUCUCCUCCCAUUUGUGGGCAUUUUCCUGUUAUCAUAUAAGAUAGGACGUGAGUCUAUAUGGAUCAUGAGUGUCAUAAUUAACGCCAAAAACAAAUUAAUGCACGUGGACCCUUACCGUAAAAAUUUUAACAGGCGGCUGCAUUGCCUCAAUGCCCGCCCACUCCUCUGGUGUCAUGUGCUGACGUGCAUAUUCUCUAGCACCUUGGUCCUCCAGCAUGUGAUGCACUGGAGGCACCCUGCCUGCCGUCUCGAGAAUUCGGUCCUGCUUGCGCCAGACCUUCUUCUUCCCCUCUUUCCCUACACUCCCUAGCCUGUGGUUCAAGGGCUUCCUCGCGCGCAACGCCCUCAUACGUUCACUCUUCGCAAUCAAGGCAGGGUCAGACGAUUCCUUCUUGAAUUUUUCCCAUUCGGCCUCAUCAGUUAUCGACGGCCAUUUCUUCUUGAUGAUCUCAUAGGGUUUGUCCAUCCACUUUAUAGCAGUGGUUUUUCAAUUAGGAAGACCAUUCCGCACUGCUAUGUUGACGGACGCUAGGAAUCGCUCGCGCCACUCAUCAGUGACUUGGAACCUCCUUGCAACGUCCGCGAUGCACGUGUUUCUAACGACUUCGGAGAUGUCACUCCACUCGUCGGUGAUCUUGCAAUAUUUGCGUGCAACGGCUCCAUAGGGGGUUGCGAAGGCCUUCUGUGCCCUCUCAGGCGACUCCGGGCGACCUCUGUCUGAGUGCCGGGUGACCACGUAACAAAACUCCUUCAAAUUGUGGCUCCCCCUCGGCGUCUUCUUCCUUGGCUUCUUAGCCAUAGAAGCAGUAGGCUACGGGUUACUCUCUUCCACCCGUCGCUCGUUGUCGCGCUCUUCUGAACGAGAGCUACCUUCGCCAGAGCUAGGUUCGCCGCCAGAGCGGGCAAUUUGGUCUCCCGAUGAAGACUCUUCAUCGACACGAUGUACCUCCUCACGAGCUACGUCCUCAAGAACUGAUUUCUAGCUACUCUUGCCCAUUUCGUACCAAUGCCAUAAAACCAUUAAAUAUAUAUCGGCCGAAAAUUUUGACAUGACCUAUGCUAAAAAAACUAGCAAAUUUUGUCUACUAGGAGCUCGAAACCUGCAUAAAAAACCCACCCGCAUAUGUACCCCCUUGGCACGAUGGCCGGCCCCUUCUCCAAUGACCCGACACGAUGGUCGGGCCCAAAAUUCACAUAAAUGAAGCACUUUUCAAAGCAAAAAUUCAUAUACAGCAUGUAUAUAGCAUAUAAACAACAUUUAUAUAGCACAUAAACAACACGGAAUAGCCCAUAUAUAUGAUAUAGCAAAUAUGACAGCAUAUAUAAUAGCAUUAUUUGAUCUCCUAUGAGCAUAUAUAUGACAGCAUAUAUGACAGCAUUAUUCGAUCUCCUAUGAGCAUAUAUAUGACAGCAUAUAUGAUAGCAACUAAUUUGACACACUUCAUAUGAGCAUUAUUCUCCUAUGAGCAUAUAUAUGACAACAUAUAUGAUAGCAUUAUUCUCCUAUCAUUUAUAUGACAGCAACUAAUUUGACACACUCAAAUCCUAACCCUAAUUUGAUGGGGGAACCUAAUCCUAACCCUAAUUUGAUGGGGAAUUAAUCAAAUCCUAACCCUAACCCUAACCUAUGUCAGAGGAGGAGGGCGCGGGCUCGGGUGUCGGGCGGCGUCGGGCUCAGGGACAAGGACGCGGGGUGGCGGCGGGCUCCAGGCGCGGUGGCGAGGACGACGAGGCGGCGGGCUUCGGGCGUGGUGGCGAGGACGAUGAGGCGGUGGGCUUCGGGCGCGGUGGCGAGGAGGAGGAUGAGGAGGUCGGUGGCAGGCUCGGGCAGCGCGGGGUGGACGGCGGCGGCGGCGCGAAAUUCCGGCAGGGCUACGCCCGCGCAAGGGUCAGAUCGCCCACUGCUGGUCGGCUGUGAAGCGACGCGUAGGCGAGAAGAGGUGAGAAGAAUGACGGGCUAGGGUUUGGGGUGUUCUUUUAUAUGCUGAAGCACAUCAGUAAUGGUCGAGUAAAGGAGCUGACCGUUACUGAUGAUCAUUCAAUCAUCAAUAACGGUCGUGCUAGAAAGUGACCGCAACUGAUGUUCUCCUAUGUGCAAUGCCCAACUACUCAUCAGUAACGGGCGCGUAGAAGCCUGACCGUUACUGAUGACUAUAGGCACUCAUCAGUAACGGGCGCAUAGCAUCCUGACCGUUACUGAUGAGCAUAGGACAUGGACUCCAUUUGUCUAGUAUUUGUACAUCAUGGAAUUCAUGUAUUUAAAGUUUGAUGAAUAAGUUCAUGCAUUUCUCUUUUCUCUAGUAUUUGUGCUAAAUUAAAUUCAAAAAAUUCAUCACAUGCAUACACAAAAGUACAUCGAUCACACAUAAUUUCACUUGGUACAAAGUUUGCAUUCAAAUUCAGUACGAGUACAUUACAAUGUGACUACUAGUGCUUCUCCUUCUUUCGGUAAGUCAUAACUUGACUCCUCGCAGUAGUGCUUCUGAGGUAGGGUUUUGUGGUAUUUUCUCGCUCUCGCUCCCAUCACUUCUUCUUUUCCCUCUCCUUUUCCUCGUUAAUAUCGUGUGUUCCGCUUCUUCGUCAUCUGCGGCGGUUGUCGGAUCAUGGAAACCUUCGUAGUCUUCUUGUGAAAUAACUCCGUCCACUCCAACAAUGCUUCUUUUCCCUCUUCUUACUACUACGCGACCUUUAUUUGCCGGGUCGUCUAUGUAGAAUACAUGCUUGCAUUGUUUAGCAAAGACCCAUGGUUCCUCUCUUGUUGGGAUUUUUCUCACAUCAACUUGUUCACGAGGGAUCUCAGGAGGUAGCACCAUCGUUGUGAACCUAUGACUUUCUUUGUCACCUUUGGUCCAUCUUACAUGGAACAUUGGGAUCUUUGUGAUCGUGUACUCCAAUUCCCAAUCUCCUCGAUAACGUCGAAGAACGCUUUGGUUUUGCUGUUUUCGUCGGUCGGCGUCUUAGAAGUCAUGACUACACCACUAUUUUGAUAUGUGUUUUUACGGUCCUGAGACGUAGUGUAGAAGUUAUAGCCGUUGAUCGCAUAUGAUUGCCAAGUAGAGACGUGGUAAGCAGGUUCCCGUGACAAACAUGCAACCGUCUCUUCUGAUUCAUUGGUCAUCUCCCUGUCGUACCAAUAAUUCUUCAGCCACGCUGCGAAUGUUUUAUUGUGCUCCCGGUGGAUCCAGACUUCUCCUCUUUUAGAGUUUCUUUUCGCAGUUGUUCCAUGUGCAUUUCUUGAUAAGGCCAGCAGCAAUCGACAGUUUGCAACACAACCAAAUGUGCUCUUUCAAAGUCAGCUUCACUUCCUCUUCCAUAGACAUUAAGGAAUGUAUGUCCAAGGCCACCUUCGCCUUUGAGCUUGCCCUUGUGCCGUGAUUCGGGAACACCUAUUGAUUUCUGAUUGGCCAACCAAUCCGUGCAUAACUCGAUGCACUCUUCUGCCCUAAAGCCUUCCACGAUGCUACCUUCCAGAUGCGAUCUGUUACGAACGUCGCGCUUCAGAACCCCGUUGUAUCGUUCAGGGCCAUACAUGUUAUGCAGGAACGAGGGCCCUAGGGACAAGAUCUCAUCGCAUAUGUGGAUCAUUAGAUAGACCAUGAUAUCGAAGAAUGAUGGAGGGAAGAACAUCUCGAGUUCGCAUAGAAUCUGUAUCAUACUAUCCUGCGGUAUCUGGCAUCGUCUAACGGUGAUUGACUUCUGCGCGAUGCUGUCAAAGAAGUCAGAAAGCUUCAUGAUUGUCUCCCUUACGUGCGGCUCCAUGAUACCUCUGAUGGUGACUGGAAGUAACUGAGUGAGUAUGACAUGGUUGUCGUGAGACUUCAUGCCAGAUAGCUUGUGACUCUUCAUGUCAACUAGAUGCUUGAUGCUCGACGAGUAGUUUGAUGGGACUUUAAUGCCCUGCAGGCACUAGCACAUCCUAUGCAACUUGUCUUUGUACAGGUUGUCACAUGCAAGACGACACCGCAUGGUCACCGUCACGAAACCAUUCUUGUCGGCUGCUGACACUUGAUCUUUGCCCCACAACUCUUUUCUGAUAGACAUGAGUUCCAGGUCCUUCCGUGCAUUGGGUCCAUCUUUCAUUUUCUCUGGAAUGUUCAUCAGCAACGCCAGCACGUUGUCGCAUACAUUUUUCUCCACGUGCAUGACAUCUAUGCUGUGGCGGCAUUCUAAAUGUGCCAAGUACUCCAGGUCCCAGAAUACGGACCUCCUUUUCCACACGACGCCUUCAGGUUCCUUAUAUUUCUUCGCAGCAAUCUUUUCGAGGACAACUUCAAGAUCGUUCACAAUUUCGAGAAUUUGCAUACCAGACUUCUCCUUCGGCGCUGUCCCGUGCUCCGUUUUCCCAUUGAACCUUUCCUUGUCAUCCCUCCAAGGGUCUUUAGCAUCUAACCACUUUCGGGGGCCCAUGUAAACAAUUUUGGAUGAAGUGGGCAACUUCUCCGAUGUCGUGUUUUCCCCGCACUUUGUACAGGCGUUGUAGCCAUGUGUCACCUGGCAUGAAGUAUUUCCAUUCGCGGGGUAGUCAUGCACGCAGGUCAGAAGCGCUGCUCUCAUCAUGAAGUACUCCCUCCUGUUUGCGUCCCAAACCACUCUGCCAGGGUUCCAAAGCUGCUUCAGCUCAUCCUUCACUAGCUACAGAUACACAUUUAGGUCAGCUCCCGGCUGCUUUGGACCCUGUAGAGCAUGCACAUGUGGAUGUACUUUCUCUUCAUGAUUAACCAUGGAGGAAGGUUGUAGACAAACAAGAUGGUCAUGUGUUGUGCUUGUUGUUCAUGUUUCCGAAAGGAUUUAUCCCGUCAGUGCUGAGACCGAGCCUCAGGUUUCUGAGCUCUGCCCCGAAAUCAGAAAAUGCCGUGUCGAAGUUCCUCCACUGAGUCACAUCUGCAGGGUGUCUUAGGACCCCAGCUUCCUCCACACGGUAGUGCCCGUCAGGAUCGAAUGCAGCCUACGCCGAAUCGUGAUAGACGAGAUACCUCGCAUCCUUAACGUUCUGCAUCCAACGCUCAACUCGGCCACCUGUCGUAAGAUACCAGACAGUCUUUGCCGGCCUGCCCUUCAUCACUUCUUCCCCAUCGUCUUCACCAGCUCUCGCGUUUUUCUUCUUGUAUCUCGAUGCACCGCAUAUGUGGCAGCUCUCAUGGUUCUCGUACUCUCCAAUGUAUACCAUGCAGUCGUUUGGACAUGAAUGAUGUUUCACGCAAUCUAAUCCAAGCGGGCAUGUAAUCUUCUUCGCCUCGUAUGUGCUCUCGGGCAACUUGUUUGGCUGUGGAAAACCGAAGCAAGGUAACUCAACAAGUGUCACGUGGAGCUCCUUCACCUUCCACAUUAUCCUGCCACGUGGAGCUCUUUCACCUUCCACAUUAUCCUCCUCAUCAGCCCUUGUUUCUUCCUUGGAAUCAUUCGCCAGAUCAUACCGCAGGACAUCAUCAUCUUCGCUACCGCUACCGACAUCAACCGCAUCCUCCCGUGACAAGUCCAGCGAGAAUAACCUUCCACAAAACCCGAUGCCAGCACCUGCAUCUGAACAUCUUCAGGCUUCAUCAUGCAUGUGUUUCCACAUUUGCGACAUGGACAACGCAUCAUCACAAGUCCUUUUUGUUCCAUAUCACCUUCCGCGAUUCCAGAAAACACCGUCCGUUCGGUUAUCCAUCGAGCAUUGAUUCUUUCCUUGGCGUACAUCCAAUAACGGUCCUUCGAUCUACAACACAAUACUCAAUAAAACACAAAGCAAAAUAGUUAGCCUAAUCAUUGACAAGGUGAUUAAGGUGUUAAUUAACCGGGGCUAACUAAAAAUUUGAAAUUAGAGACAUUCGGAGAGAAAUUGGAGGCCAGCGAGAAAUAUCGGAAGGGAGAGAGAGCUCGCAAGGGAGAGGGAAGCUCCGGGCGACGACGAGGAGGCCGCAUUUUGGCCGGCACCCGAGCUCAAAAAUUUGAAAUUGGGGAACUUCGGAGAGAAAUUGGAGGCCGGCAAGACAGAUCGGGAGGGAGAGGGAAGCUUCGGGCUCGAAGAUCGGAACUCGCCGGCCAUGGCCGCCCGCCAACCAUGGAGAUGGCGGCCGCCGGCAUGCAAGGGGGGGGGCGGAGGAGGCGCUACCUGGUGGGCUCGCCGGCGGCCAUGGUGGCUUCGAGCAACGGUUCGUCGUCGCCGGAGAAAAAGGGGCCGCAGCUGGUCCGUUACGACGCGCAGCGCGACCAGCUGCGGCUGUGCCCAGCGUAUUUAAACCGCGACGAUCAUCAGUGGCGGUCGGGACUGGGCGACCGUUACUGAUGUAGGUACAUCAGUAACGGUCGUGUUAGGGCGACCGUGACUGAUGCGUGGUUCAUCAGUGAUGGUCGUCUCUUAACCGACCGCCACUGAUGUCUCUCGCGAGGUAUGAUGGUUCAUCAGUGGCGGUCGCCUCGCGCGACCGCCACUGAUGUAUGGCUGGGCGGGGAGAGGCAGACCCUGCUCUGUUCAUCAGUAACGGUCGCGGCCGCGACCGACACUGAUGUUGUUCAUCAGUAACGGCGCGCUGGACCCGUUACUGAUGUGCCGUUACAUAUAGACCGUUUUGUAAUAGUGUCAACAAGAGGGCUCCGAACCUGGGUAAACCGUGUGUGUGCUCUUGUGUUGUGCGUGGUGCUAAUCACGUCCUCCCUCCUCCAAUUCCUCUUUCGUCCAUCGGUCCUAACAUAAGUCAUCUUAUGACAUCUGCCGUGACACCACCACGACACUUCUCUUUGCAAGCAGACUUGGUCCGGUGUUUCUUCUGUCACUCCAUCCACAUUCCGAUCGUGUGCCAAAUGUAGCUCAUACAGAUCCCCUAAUCCCCGGGGAACACACCACACUUUCGCCCCUGCUAAUUAAUCCCUCUCCUCGACUUGUUUAAUCAUCCCGCCACUGCCAACAGCAGCAACACUAGCAACGGUUCGUUCCAUUUGGCUCUUCUCUUCUCGUACAACAGGAGAGAGAGUGUCGACGACGGCUAUGGCGAUUGAUUAAUUGCAAUAAUGCCCGGCCCGCAAAAGCUAAGCUAAUCCGACCAAAAUUCAUGCAACGUGCCCAUUAUUAUAUAUCAUCAUCUCCCAUUGCUAAUUACUUUACUCUGUUUCUUAAAGAAUGACAUAUUAAUUUUUAGUAAGAUAAGGUUUUGACGAUGAAUUACUAUAUCAAGAUGUGUUUUAUAUGACAUAAAAUUAGUAUCGCUAGAUUCGUUAUCAAAAAUACUUCAUGAUACUUGUGGUUUCAUGACAUAUAAACCACGUGUCACUUUAAUAUAAUAAUUUGUAGUCAAAACAUUGUCUUAAUGAAAUCUAACAUGAUAUUUUUUAAGAAAGAGAGGGAGUAAAACGUAGCUGGUCAUCCACCAGUAUUUAGCUUGGCUUUAGUUGGCCACCGAAUGUGCUACACCUAAAUAUUCCCCCCCUGAUUAAUUGGGACCGAUUAGUUGAAAUUAGCUUUGCUUUAUGUUCCCGCAAGGGACACGAAAAAGAAACACCCGUACAACCGAAAAAAGAUGAUAAUUUAAUCAUGAGGGCCAUCUAUAUAUACGAACACACCAAAAAGGCGUUUCAAUUAAAACGUCAACAAAACAAAAACUUACGAACGGAGCAAACUAGCGCGUGCACCGGCUGCUCAUAAUUAAGACAAGGCAUGACCGACCGAAGCUAAGCUAAGCUUGUUCAAACAACCCCAAAAAUUAUUCGAAAUUGAAAAAGAAAUGAAAGGUCAAAUAUCUCCGUCCGUCCGUCCGUCCGUGCGAAAUUUCUCGGUUUCCAGGCGAUGAGAGUAUUUAAAAGAGUAGAGAAGACCGAGUGAGUGAGGUGAGAGGAGUCGUCAAGCAAGCAAGGAAUCAUUGACGCGAGCUUGCACGCACGAGCACGAGCUGGUCUGAUAAGUUUAUUCGCAGGGGGCUAAAAUAAAAUAGCUGACGAGGAUGAUGGAUCUGAUCCUGAUGGAUGGAUGGAUGGAUCGAUCCUGGCGUGGGCCUGGGGACGGCCACGAUGCUUUGUCGAGACGAACGAUGAAGAAGAAGCGGGCACGCACGCACGGCACCGGCACCGGGCACUACUCUGCUCUCUCUACUGGAGUAUUUUACUUUCAGUGUCAGCCACUCGAUGGAUCGGAUCAAAUCAUCAAAACAACCACUUGUUUAUAAAAAAGAAAACUUAAUUAAUCGAUCGCUAUCCUAGGUGUUGGGAUGCUAAUAUGGGUGUGACGUACCGAGGUGCUUUGUUUCUGCUCCGCUUUUGCGAGGCAGAGAGAAGGAGCCGGGGGCCGCCCGGGCCGGGCGCAAAACCGCGGUGUAAUUAGCGCUGCUGCUAGAUUUAUUUUGUUUUUUUGACAGAGCACUGUUAGAAUCCUAGGACGAUAAAACUGAGCCCUGGAUCGUGCAAGCAAUCGAACAAUUUCCAGCCGUUCUCUUGUUAUUAUUGUUGUUAUGUUAUUGCUCGGAAGAUCGCAUGGAACAACAGCAUCAUGGUCCGCUGCCGGCGGCAGGGUUUUCUUUCCUUUCCUCCUGCCGCGGCAGGCAUGCAUGCAUGGGAUGCAGGCCACGCACUACUGAUGAGUCCGGCCUGCUGUGCUGCUGCCAUGGCCGUCGUGCCAUCACUAGCUUCCAGGCUGUGCCUUGGUUUUCCUGUCAUUAGUUCUUGGCUAAUUGCUAGGGCACCGUUGUUCCCUUGGUUCCAUUUACACAUUUGUCGUCUAUGCGAUCGUCCGGUCGACGACUGUUGACUGAGUUGGGCUACCAUACAGAACUACAUACCCUCUUGUGUUGACUGUUGACUGAUUAGUUUAUUUCUAAACAGAAAUAAAAUAGAAGAUGUGUCUAGGAAUUUUUAUCCCAAACAGUUCUCACAUGUGCAACACGAGAAUGUAAUAUCAACAUGCAAAAUUCGAUGAAAUGUCUGUUUUCUGCAAAACGAAAAUUUCUUAUUUAGUACUCCUUCCGAUCCUAAAUUGUUGUCGAAAUGUUACAUGUAUCUAGACGCAUUUUAAGAAUAGAUACAUCUAUAUUUGGGCAAAUUUGAGUUAAGAAUUUAGAAUCAGAGAGAGUACAUUUGUUUUUUUCCAUGAAAAUUCCUAAUCUAUGCGAAUACACAGUUUGUUUUGUUUUCACGAGAGACCCAAAGAAAAUGUAUACUAUUAUUACAAGAAGAAAACUUCCAGGUAUACAAUUAUUGAGAUUAAACUGUUUUUUUUUCCUGCUUGCGCAUCUUUUGCAUGUAGCCCAACUCAGUCUAACAGACUUGACCAGAUGGUAAGUGACAAGCAUGUAGGGAAGAAUAAUGGAACAUUGCCAUUUUUAUAGUUAAUCAAAUUAAUGAUGGAACCUAAACAAGCUUUAGAGCUAGUGCCAAAGAUGUAUACUAACUACAUGUUGCUUCAGUUGAUGGGCGAGAACAACAGCAACAACGGACGUACUCCGGCUGGACGUUUAUUUUGAUCUAGGAUUAGAUUCUGCAACGGUGUUGCUUGCUAAUUCAGCUAGCGUAAUUUGAUUGGUGUUCCCUCAAAAAAAAAUUGAUCGGCUAGUUGAUACUUCAGGGGUGCCUUAUCUUUCCUUUCUCUCGUGCUUUCUUUCUGUAAGAAAAACCCAUAAAUAUAUGGGUAAAUAUGUUACUUGUUAAGUUUGGUAGUUCUUUCUUUCAUGAAUUUGUGCCUUAAUUAUCUUUCUUCCUCUCACGUUUUCUUGAAAGUCCAGAAUAUGUACGAUGAUGAAAUGCCUGCUCUUUAUUUUUUUACUCGUACUACAAGACUUUGACACCUGCUUAGAUUAAUGUAGGUCUCUUUCCCUUUUAGUCACUGUAAUGUGGGGUCCACAGCCAGAGAGCCCACCAAAGUCACACGGCACCAAUUAAGCCAAAGGAUCUGCACCGACGAAAAAAAGUUUCCGAUGGUUUAAAAGGGGCUGGCGAAAUCGAUUGUGGUGCUCUAAAAGCCCAUGGACGACCGCCAAUUAGACACGCCCUAUAUUAUGUCGCUCAUUUUCCGGGCUCGGGUACGAAUCAGUACUGUAUCAAAUUUGUAGCCACCUUUUGUUAUUGCGCAAAGAGAAAAUCUUUUUUCAUUUUCUCAUUUUAGGGAUCUAUAUAUUGCCAACCACACCUUUGUUCCAGCCACUCGAAUUCCAACUAAGCGGCACCUCUGUUUUUUCAAAAACAAAAUCAGCGUCAUUUAGCUGCAGCUACGUGACAGGAAAGUGCACAUGCCCCUGUCACCUAUCUGGAACAAAACCAUGCCCAAAAUAAUGCCGAGCCAACAUUUGUAGGCCAGGGCAGGCCGGAGUCCCCUCUCUUCCUCUUUUCUCUACCCCACAAGCACGCACACCCAUAUGACUUUUCCUGAGCUGCCCCGGCCCUACCGCACACAUGGCUUGCCCACCGUCCAUCUAAUCAACCCAACAGGACAACCAAACCCAUCCAUCCAUCUGAUUCAUCUACAGUAACCCAAACCCAACCCUACAGAGCCCUAAACCAAACCAAACCACACGUACAAGCAAAGAGAAGAUUCCUCAACUGUUCAGCCGAUCCAAGCACCGCCGAUCUCGAGAACGGGAAGAUCGAUGGAUAUAUCGGUGAUAGAGAGUAGAUCGGUAAAGAUCUCCAUCCGAGUCAGUGCCCAACCGACCGACCGAUCGAUGGGUCGAAGCCACAGUGUUAACUUGGGAUCGUCCAUGGACGAAACAGCUCAAACGGGAAUCUCAUGUAACCAAACAGCUCUCGGCGGCAGCGGUCAAGUGAGACAGCGCAUGUGUGCGCGUACGUGCGGCCCAUAUACAUAACAGCAACCCUGUAAAUGCUACACGUACCACACUAAAGCUCUCCAGUGUUAUAAGUUAGGAACAUAUAUGCGAGGGAGCAGGAACAAACAUGGUGGAAAAGGACCUUGCAAAGGACGAUGACAUUACACGAAUAUAAAUGCCCAUCGUUCGUUCAUGUGGUUUUUGAAGAAAAAAAAAGGGGGGCAUUUAUGAUGAUUGUUACACCCAAUUUGCUUGUCUAAGACAUCAACCAGUUAGAAGUUGGAACGUCAUUGUUUUUAUGUCGACAAAAUGAAUAUGCUAGAAAAUGACCUUGCAAACGAUGGAAACAUUACGUGCAUAUGUCCACACGGAGAAAAUUCGUGUGGUUUAGGAAAAAGCUAAACAUGCAAGUUGAUCACCACACACAGAUAUGCUCGCUUAAAGGAGCUUCUAUUUUACAAGUCACAACAUGGGAUUUGUGCCAGCAAAGAUGACGAUCACGAGGGGAAAUGAUCAAAAGACGAUGACAUUAUGUGCAUAUAUAUAUAUAUAUAUAUCCGUCAUGCGUAUGAAAGAAGUUCAUUUGGCUCAAAAUAGGGCAAACAUCCAUGAUGAUCGCUAAAAGCAAUUUGUUUUCCCAUGGCAACUUGUAGCUAGAAGUUAGAACGUGGGUUCAAAAGAAGAAAAAAAAGCCGAACAUUAACGAUGAUCGUCACCACAACUUGCUCGACCGAGACAACUUGCAGUUAAGAAUCAGAACAUAGGUUUAUGCCAACAAAAAAUGAUUAUGUUGAAGAAAAAACUCACAAGCAACAUCGACAUCACGCAUUUGUCCAUCUCUAAAUCAAGAGAUGUCACACUACAUAUCCGCUAUGUAACGAUGCCGAUGCGCCAUGGACCAUUCGAUAUUUUCGUUGAGGAGAGAGAGAGAGCAUGCACGUAGCACUCGUUGUCACGGGCAGACAAGGUGUGUAGGCUCGUCCAACCGUGCACGUAGCCCGUCUAAUUCCCAUUUGACAUGUUUUAUAGCUAUGGUUUUGUUUUGUUUGUACCCGUAGCACUACUCUUAGAAAAUAAUAGCCCCUCCCCUUCCUUUCUCUUCUCCAUCCAAACAUAGCCUGCCCACAAAAUUAAACAAGGAGCGCUCUUCUUCCAUCUUCUCUCUUAUAUAUAGACCCCACCUCUCUCUCAUCCACCUCCCCCCCUCUUCUUCCCCUCCUUUCCUCCGAUCUCUCCUCCGUGCUGGGAUUUCUCUUUGUUGGUAGCUUGGAGCGUGCGGGGCGAGCGGCAGCCAUGGGGUUCCCGUCGGUGUGCUACUGCGUGAUCCUGCCGCAGCCGCUCAUCCUGGUGCUGCAGCUGCUCGACUUCCUCCGCCACGCCGUGCUGCUCUGCCUCUCGUCGCUGGGGCUGGCCGCGCCGCCGACUUCGGACGAACACCCUGCCUACGCGCCGCCGCCGGACCUCUGGGCGGAGGAUUCUUCGUCGCCCUCGCCUUCGCCCUCGCUGGGGGCGGCGGCCAUGGCCAUGGCGGCGCCGGCGGACAUCAAGGCGCGGCUCCCCGCCGUCCGGUACGCGGACCUCAGGAGCCGCCGCGGCGCCGGGAACGCCCCGGCCCCGGCGUGCUGCGCGGUGUGCUUGGGCGCGCUCGAGGCGCGGCACCGGGUCCGGGAGCUCGGCAACUGCGCGCACGCCUUCCACAAGGCGUGCAUCGACAAGUGGGUCGACAAGGGCCAGGCCACAUGCCCGCUCUGCCGCGCCCUCCUCCUCCCCGCCGCCGAAGACGCCGCCGGCAAGCUGCCUCUUCCCCUUCCCCUUCCCCACUCUUCCUCAUCAUCCUUCUCCUUCUAACCCCGCGCUCCAAUUAGUACUAAGAUCGAACAGCCUCGACGCCGGCCGUCGCCAGAGACAGGCCAGCCUGCAGGUCAGUCAGUAUAGCAGCUAGCUAGGCCGCCCAUGUCUAUCUCCAUUUCCAUCCGUCCACCAUGGAUCCAUCCAUGCUUUCUUGAAUCUUGGGAGAGGAAUCAAAAGGGGAUGCUCACAAAGGGAGCAGGAAGAAGAAGAGGUGUACGGUGGUGGAGGAGUAUUAUUGGUAGGUGAGGCACUAAUUAUGAGGAGGACAAGGAUGGCUACCUGCAUUGGAUCUGGUGAAUGAGCACUAUACAUAGCACUACUACCACUACUAGCAGCAGAUCCAUAUGCUUUCUUUUUUUACUUUCUUUUAUUUUCUUUCAGCUCCUUGCAACCUCACCCACUUCACUUUUUUUUUUACUUUCUCUCCUCCUUUUUGUAAUUUCCACUUUCUUCUUUUCUUCUUUUUAUUAGGGUUUCCCUCCUUAUUAACUUAUUUUUAUGGGGGGAAUCAAGAGAGAGAUAUCAAGAAAGAGACAUGUGUACAUAGAUGCCUCCACUUGACAAUAUUUGGAAGAAUCAAUAAUAUUUGUCUCUCAGAUCAGUCAACCACAAUCUUGUAUAUAGCACAAUGUGAUACUGCUAGUUAAUCCUUACAAUAUGUGUAUGUGCUUGAGCUGUGUGCUAGUCUCUCUUUUUUUAAUCUUUGCAACUUAACAAAUGUUAGUGUGUGGGUUGUAUGUAGAUCUCCAUUGGGUGGUUUCCUAUGGAUAUGUUGCUCUCAUGUUUGGUGUCUACUGGUUAGGCCUCACGUCACUUCGCAGGGCAAGGGGGACAAUUAGGAUAAGCAUUGCUUGAAGCAACGUGCAAAGUGCUUAAUCAACUUCCACUGCUACUACUAGCAGCUAUAAUUUCCCUCGAUACUUUAGCCUUUUUCAGGUAGUUAUAUAUCCCCUUCUUAGUGGGAUAGUACUACUAGUGAAUACGGGCAAUUGCUUUGGGUUUUCGAGUAUGUACUCCUUUUUCUUAAAGCAGAUUAGUUAUAAGGACAACUGGACAGGUAAUUGGUGGCAUCUAGUUUUGUCUAUGUUUACAUACUCCAGUUCGAACACUGCUGCUAUAGCGUCAAGUGGCAGUCUCGUGAAGCUGCUCGAACCGGCGCCUUCAAACAAAUACUCCUUUUGUUUCUCUCUAUUCCUGAUUUUAGCUGAGCAUUAGCUUCUUCAGUGAGCUUUUUUAAACUAAGUGAGCUUAUUAUUACGAGCUGCAACCUAUAAUUGUACAGUGUCAUCAAUUCCACGUGGGCCCCACGUGGGGGUUGUAAUUAACAGCUGCCAUCUGCAGCCAGCUGACAGUACCAUUGUCACCUAAAAGAAAAUUAGGUGUGUUUUGUGCUGAAAAUUUUAAAUGAAACCAAUUCCAGUUUUCUCCCUUCAGAUGCAGAUUAUCUCACCAUGGACAGUACUGAGAAAGUACUGUACAGCAGCUUGGUCGAUGAAGACACAGAAAGCAAUUAAGCGUGGCGUCGUCCUUGGUUGAAGGAGACAGGACCAUGGACCACCGUUACGUUAUGUUUAUGCCCAUGUCUUUCCCAUUGAAACUUUUCAAAUGCAAUUUUGUAACCAACUGCUUCACAUAAUCACAUAUAUGCACUCUUUUUUAAGGCAAAAUAAUACGGAGUACUAGAUAAAUGCCAGUGCGGAAUUCGUGUCUCUGGUAUAUGCGGCUGGCAUGGUCCUGGCCCUGCAUGUCGGCAAAACAUCUGAAACUGUUCUUAAAAAUUGUCAUGAUCUUUCUAUUUCUUUAUUUCGUGAUGUGUCGUGUGCUUGCGACAAUAUCGACAAAAAAAUUUGGAUCUAAUUGUCUGAUUCUUGUCCGUACUAUAUCUAGAAAAUUCCCGUCGAUUCCUCAUUGGCACCUUUUCGAACACAACUGAUGCAUUCCAAAAUAACUCUAAUUCUAACAUCUUUUCCCUUGACCAUGAACCUCCUUUUCUUUUUGGUUGGAUUGACUUAACUUAAUUCUUCUACUUAUUCUUUUAUUCUUCUAUUUUGAAUCCGAAGAAGAAGAAUAAAAUCCAUUAGAUUUUUUUUUUAAAUUUAUAGUGCGUGUUUAAGAGUUGCAGCAGUAAUAUAUACAGUGAAGAGACACAUGAGGGUACCAGCAACUGUUCUUGAAAACGGAAAGCAAAUCGGGCAAUCCAAUACAACGGGCUGGUUGGUUGCAGCUAAAUAGUAGGAGUACUAGGAGUACUAAAUAGCCUAUUCCAAAUGCAGUGUAAAUGGAAAUUAAAACAAGCCAAUCUACAAGUUAGCUCAGAACAGCAAAAAAAAGUUCUUAAAAAAACUGACUUUUGGCCUGCAAACAGGUGUUGUUUUCUGUUUUUGUCGAAUCACGGGAAGCUGGAAGAUUUGACUUUUUUUUUCCUCUUUCAAAAAAGAUAUGCAGGAAACAGAAUUACAGGGAGGAAGACCGGAAGAGGAUGGGAUGUUUGCCCCGAGUAAAUGAAAAUCUCACUACUACCAAACAAGUUUUUUUUAAGUUUUUGCUACCGACGAGUGGUGUAUUUUGAACUUGUGGCACUCAAGCAGGUGCGAAGCAGAUCACUCACUAGUGGGGUAAAAAGCUUUCUGACCACAUAGUUGGCAUGAUCCAAAUUAGGGCUCCAAGUUUCAUAGGAUUAAUCACAUUUGUUUCGUGCUAAGUGGCCAAAACGAUACACUAUAAAUUUGGUACGAUGUGUUUUAAAGUUAUGUUUGAGUUUUCCAAAUCCCUCUAAAGUAUUUCUUUUGCAGCAAAACAAAAAGGCAGCAAUUUUUUACCGGUAUAUUGACAGAAAAUGGUAUUGGAACACACUCUAGGAACCUAGCAUGAGUGCACAUAUGUCAUAGGCGGCAAAACUCUGAGACACUGCACCUACGGAUUUUUUAAGGAGGUCUCGUAUGAUUUUGUUGCAAUGCCGUUGUGGUGUACUAACUUUUCUUGGCCCGAGGCCAAAGUGGUGACGUUGUUAGUUUGAUGGGAUCUUAAGAAAAUCAUAUGAGGAUCUUCAUACGUAUAGAAGGGCUCGUGUCAUAAUCUCGCUUCACCAUCUUUGUAAGUGUGUCUCUUCUCCUUAUGCUACACCCAAUCCCUUACAACUCGUGUGUCACCUUCAUAUUCGGCAAAUGCACCACCAUCCUUGUCGUUGGCGGUCAACGUGGACGAGUAUACUUGCAUGGUCAAACCGGCAAACAAAAAAUAAAAAGAAAAUCUUAAUCUUUCAAACAUGGCUAAUAGAAAAAAAGGAUUGCUAGCAACUGUAUUUUUACAUCAAUGAAAUGGUGUUUUUGCACAAGGGUUGCAUUUAUUUGUGGACUGUGAAUCCAUCACUCAACCACGCUUCUUCUGCCUCUUUUCUAAAAUUGAACGAAACUUGAUCAAGUACAAUUUUGCAUGAAUACUAAUAUCUCUAACUUCUCUAUAUCUGCAAAUUGGACAAGGAAUUUAUUGCAUCACCUAGUUGCAAGCCGAAGCCGCAUUCAUAAAUUGAUAAAAUGGUCAACAACGUCGAUGAAAUACAUACUUAAAAACCAAUUCAUCUUCUCAUAGAAAAACAAGAAAUAAGGCGUAAACGAAAGCACUAAAUCCCGUGCAAUCACAAGUACUCCCUCUGUUCCUAAAGUUGCAAAGUUGCACUAAAACCACGACAAGUAUUUAGAAACGGAAGGAGUACCUUGUAUGGUCUCUUCUUUUUCUAGUAGGCUCGUAUGGCUUUUUUGCUUUCCAUUUCUGGUUUUUUCUUGUAUCAAGAGGGCACUUGGAGAACAGAGAGACAUAUGGAGUCGACAAAGCGAAAGGACCGCAACUAAAUUCACAAAGGUACCUCACUAGAGCUCUCUCUCUCUCUCCCAUGCCCCCCCCCCCCCCCCCCCCCUCUUAUCAAGGGGAUCCCCUACAACGAACCAAGGGAGCUCCAUCCUCGACAGUGUCUGUGGAUGAUGUUGUGCCUCCUAUAGUCCCUAUUGUUGAUGGAGAAAUAAGAGGUAUGAUUUAUAAAAGACCGAUCCCAAACUGAGGAUUUCAUUUCGAUUUGAUGUGCUAGUGAUUUGCUAGUUGUAGAGGGUUUUGAAAUUCCGAAUUGGUUGAGUUGAAAUCUAGAUUUGCGAGUACUCAAAGUUGGGGAUUCUAAGGGUUGAAAUUUGGGUUCAACGAAUUGAUUUAGGUGGUAAAUUUGUAAUUCUGAGAGCUCAAAGUUGAAACCACGAGAUAUAGAUUAGAUCUCUCAAGAGCUAAUUCCGUGCGUGCUUAUUUGUUGUUAUAUGAUAAUAACUCGGUAUUCCUUGUGUUUUCAUUCAUCUCCGACGUAUGUUGCGUGCCGCCACUGAAAUGACGAAGCAAAACAAAAAAGUUAAUGUUUCUAAAUUAUUCCUUCCGAAACAGAAGGGGAGAUUGUUGAUAAACUCCCUUUGCACAUGUCACCUCUUAUAAAAAAACUGCACUUGUCACAUGGCAAGCUGACAUCAACGUUGGUUUCCAGAUUAUUCCCUCGAUCCGAUAAGUCUUUAUAACACAAGUUGACGAGACAUAUUGUAACAUCCUAAUUUUUCCAAUUUAGAUGCUAUUAACUUUAACUUUCCAGUUUGUGUGUACUAGCUAUUGAUCCAGGAACUAGUACAGAUUACACAGAGAUUCGCAUCCUAACGGGUCUGGGUCGCCACACACAUCAUCGGAUUCAAAAUCCAGAAUCAGUCCCAAAUCCAAUCGAAAUUUGAGGGAAUUCAUUUGAAACUCGCGAGCGCAGGAGUCAGGAUCCAAAGUCCAAACCGUUCUCUGCAGGUAUCGCUUUUGGCUCUCUCUCUCGCGCAUCUGCGCCGAGGCUCUCCGAUUCUUCCCCACGCUCUCCUUCCUCCCCUGCACCGAAUCCGGCUCGCCGCGGUGUGAUCUUCGUGUAGAUCUAGUGGAGCUGCGCGCGCGGGGUUGUAGAAGCUUCUGCGGAGGAGGAGGAGGACUGGAGGAGGAGGAAGAGGCGGCGGGAGAAGUAGCCGCGACAGCGGGGGGAGCUGGUGCGUUGCUAGAGGUUAUUUAGGUUUGGGGAAACCCUAGCCGCCGCCGGGGCCACGCCAUGGCGUACCGGCCGUACCCACCGCCUCAAGGGGGCUUCCCGCCGCAGCCGCCGCCAAUGAACCCGUACGGGCCGCCGCCGCCGCCGCCGCAGCAAGCGGGGUACGGCCACAUGCCACCGCGGCCGCCGUUCCACGCGCCGCCGCCUCCCCCUCCCGGACCGCCCCCGCCGCACCAGCCUCAGUACAACUUCGCCCACGCGCCCCCGCAGCAUCAACAGCAGCCGCCGCCACCGCCCCAGAUGUAUUACCAGCCCCCACCGCCGCCGUACAGCGGGAACAACAACCAAGCGCCCCCACCCCCGCCACCAAUGUCUCCCCCGCCUUCAGCGCCGCCACCACCUCCGGCUCAGCCCCCUCGGGAAGCCCCGCCGCCCCCGAAAGAGCAGCAGGCCAAGGCAGCACUCCCGAGAGUGGAGACGGAGGAGGAGCGGCGGGCGCGGAAGAAGCGUGAGUAUGAGAAGCAGAAGGUGGAGGAGCGGAAGCAGCAGCAGAUGAUGCGUCAGUCGCAGGCCUCAAUUCUGCAGAAGACACAGCAGGUGCGUGCCGCACAACAGCAGCAGCCGCAGAGCCGCCACCACCAGCCAUCAGGUGGAACCCGGGCGGCGACAACUACGUCACGCCCAGCCUCAGCGCCGAACACUGAGAGGUUCGAGAAUCGUCUCAAGAAGCCAACAACAUUCCUCUGCAAGCACAAGUGAGUAUAGCAAAAUUUUUUUACUUCUCAUCUGUUCAAGUGCUAUUUGGAGGAAAUUGGAGCCAUUUACAUCUUAAAUGUGCGUGUGGGCAAAUUAUUAUGAUUAUUGUGCACUUGGGUAUCAUUCUGGUUGACAACCUGAGCAGUUGCUACAUGCUGCAAUGCUGAAUUAGGGCAACUGACAAGUGCGAGCUACCUAUUUGAAUUUUGUGCUGUCAGUGGCGUAAACAGUCAAAAACCAGUCUUUACUUUUUCUAGCUUCUUUGGCAUUUGUGCUUUGGCUGGUAUUACGUAAUCCUUGUAGCUAUAGCUUAUUAAUGAUGCUAUGCUUGUGUUUUGGACAUUUAUGCUGGCUUGUCUAUGUGCUUGGAGAAAGUGAGCACUUAUGCUUAAUUCUGGAUAAUGAGUAUUCAAAGGGUUCAUGAGCUAUGCUUUCCAGCACUACCAAUUUUUUUAAAAAAAAACCGAGAAAGAUGAAACCUUUGUGCAGUAGUAGGCACACCAGAAGGCAAAAUGGUUCUCAAAGCAUCACUCAACUAAUUGGCAAUUUCUGGUUGAAAAUUGAAUUUAUAACAUAUUUCUAAAUUGGUCAGUUUUGAGAAGCUUUGCAAGAGCAGCUGAUUUGCAAAUGUUCGUCAUUUGUGUCUAUUUCAGAAUCACACUAUUGUAUGACCUUGUUUCCCUUUUUGGUUAAUGCAGGUUUAGGAAUGAACUGCCAGACCCUAGUGCUCAGCUGAAAUGGCUGCCUCUGAAUAAGGACAAGGACCGGUAUAUAGCCUAGUUUCCUACUCCUUUUUUGCGUCAGAUUACCCUGUUUUCUUGCUACUUAUGUUUGGUUCUGUAAAUGCUAUUUCAAUGUUGCUAAUCUAGUUUUACUAGCCACAACACAACAUGCGACUAAUUUGGAAAAAAAUGUGCAUUUUUACCCUGUCACUUUAUUAGCGCCAUCCAAUUUUAUGUUUUUGUACUUAGUAUGGAGUACAAACAAAAGAGGAAUUGGGAGCUGUUUCACAGGAAACGAGUCUCCCAAGUUGAUUGAUAUUUGGUCACUGAAAAAAUUAAUCAUUUUUAUUUAGCUACUGUUGUUGUGUAACUUGUGUGUGAGUGAGACAAUGGUUUCUUGAUGAUGUUAGUUACAGAGAGGUUCUGGACACCUGUGCCCCAUUGCCAUUAGAUUUACGAUACUCUGCUUUCUUAUUACAAUGUUAGUUUUUGACCUUUCUCUCAACUUGUGUGCGUGAGUGAGACAAUGGCUUCACUGUGGCUGUCGCACUUAUUUUGGGAUAUCAGUACUCAGUAUUUGUUUUUCUGUAUAUUGCCCUUCCACAGAUAUACCAAGUACAGGAUCACCUCAUUGGAGAAAAACUAUAUGCCCAAAAUGAUUGUCCCUGAGGACCUUGGAAUACCUCUCGACCUACUUGAUAUGAGUGUAUACAAGUAAGACUUAAGCUAGGCAUAUGUUUUCACAAGUAUUAUCCCUCCGAGGUUCUUUCUAGCAUCCCUAACUGGAGUGCAACCAUGCAUUUAGCCCUCCCGCUGUUCAGCCACGCAUGGCUCCAGAAGAUGAAGAGCUAUUGCGUGAUGAUGAGGUUCUCACCCCUGUUAAACCAGAAGGCAUAAGGAAAAAGGAGAGGCCAACCGACAAAGGGAUGUCUUGGCUGGUCAAAACACAGUACAUUUCUCCACUUAGUACUGAUGCAGCUAAAAUGGUAAUUGCCAACUGAUUCUUCUGUAAAUAUAGUUACAGACAUUCUGCUGGAUUACUUCACAUGUACUAAAUAAGGUAAUUUGGCUAUUCCAGUCCAUGACUGAAAAGCAAGCGAAGGAAAGGCGAGAAUCAAGGGAGGGCCGUGAUGUCCUGGAAAAUCUGAAUGAUAGGUAUGAUUUUCCUUUCACUCAGUUUCCUCUUUUAUAUCUGAAGGUUACCCUGUUUCAUGACAUUAUGUAUGUAUGUUGUAUAUCAGACAGAAACGGAUCAAAGCCAUUGCAGAAUCCUUCAAAUCAGCAAAAUCACGCCCUGUUCAUCAGACUAAACCUGGGAUGGAACCAGAGUUUGUUCUCCCUUUGGUACCUGAUUUUGAUAGGUAUGACGUUACUUUCUUCUGUACGUUCUCUUCUUUUAUAAGACUUCAUUCUUCAUUCUUGAGAUCUGAUGUGUGAUGACCAAGUCCAGAUCAUUGAACUAUCUUUUGUCGCUCGUUCAAUUUCCUAUCUAUUUUAAUUAAAAAAAACUGUUUUUUUUUACUUUCCAUCAGCUUCUGAUUAGUGUGCUCCAAAAUUGUGUUGUUACUGGAAAAAUGGUAUUUAAUAUCAAAUUUGCUUUUCUGUUGACCUCUGUAGGUAUAACAAUCCAUUUGUUAUGGUUAAUUUUGAUGGCGACCCUACUGCUGAUUCAGAGCAGUAUAACAAGCUAGAGAGAUCUGUACGUGAUGAAUGUGAAUCCCGGGUGAGUUGCAUUUUAAAUUUUCUUCUGUCUUUACCUUUCUAAGUUGGUACAUAUGUUAACAUGCUCGUGCCUAUAUGUGUAUACCUAAAAUUAUGUGGGAACUAAUAUUUCAUGACUGUAUGUCAAUGUCAAAUGUAGUUAAGAUACAUAUAUUUCUUGACGUGAUGCUAAUGUCAUUGAUACUCUGCUUAGAUAUUCCCUUUCAUAUAUUUGAGGUAUUUCUAUUUUCUCAUCACAGGCUCUGAUGAAAAGCUUUCAAGUCAGUGGUUCAGACCCUACAAAACAAGAGAAAUUUCUAGCAUACAUGGCUCCAGCACCCCAUGAGGUAUCCGUCCUUUCUAGAUUCUAGUGCAUUUAUACUUCAGAUUUGGCUAAUCAUAGUUGUACUUUGUAUCUUAUAGUAUUUUAAUCUGAUUGUGGCUAUGGUUUCCUUUAGCUUGUCAAGGACUUGGAUGAUGAAAUUGAAGAUGUUCAGUACUCCUGGAUUAGAGAAUAUCACUGGGAAGUAUGUGCAGUUUUGCUACUACCUUUACUGUGUAUAACAUUUCAUUGUGCUGUGUAAAACUGCCUUUCCACUUUACAUACCUCUUAUUGCAUGAUUCAGGUAAGGGGGGAUGACAAAAAUGAUCCCACUACAUACCUUGUCGCGUUUGAUGAUGAUGGUGCAAAAUAUUUGGUAACUUGCUCUGUGCAUACUAUAUUUAUUUUGAUAUAGGAUGAUGAUCCAUUGCACAUUUAUGUGACAUUUUAAUGCCCUUUUUGCAGCCUCUUCCUACUAAGCUAGUAUUGCAGAAGAAGAAAGCUAAAGAGGGGAGAUCCGGGGAUGAAAUCGAGCAUUUUCCAGUGCCUUCCAGAAUUACUGUGGACAGGACACUACAUGGUGAUGCAAUGGAGCGCGGAGAAUCUUCCAGCAUGCAUGUAUGACUCAUUUUUCCUUUGUACUAUUUGGCAUCAAAUCUCGCUGUGCAUGAACUAUUAGUACUGCAGACAACAUACCACAGCUGGCUACAUUUUUACUUCUUCGGUUCUUUGUUUGUAUUUAGUAUUUUUGUGUGUAUAGGCGGUUCAUCUUCUCACCAAGCCAUAUGUAUAGUUUAAUGGCUUUCUUGCUAACAAUUCACUUGUUACUCUCAGGAUGCUCACCCUUUUAUUGUUACCAUAUUAGAGCAUAAACGGUCAUAUUUAUGCAUUACCUGUACCUUUAACUAAAGUUUUUCCUUGUAGGGUAAUUUAAAGCGACAAAGAUCUUCUUUGGACGAUGAUCUUGAUGAGCAUCCAAAGCAUUCUCGUGCAGAAGAUAUGGACCAAGAUAGUGAAGAAUAUUCCGAUUGAUCAAUAGAUAUAGAUCAUCAUUUUCUUGUGCCAUCAAAUUUGGUCAGCACAUGUGAAUCUUUGGGGAUCUCAUAUGAUUAUGCUGCGGCACCUUCAUAAGUAGUUAUAAGGUGCAGGGUUGAUGAAAGAACACACCUGAGUGCAUUUGGGCAAGAGCAGAUUUUGAAGUGCAGAGAGCGCGAAGCGAGGCAGAUUGUAACUGUACCUGAAGAGUCUGGUCUCAGUAGUGAUGGUAGAAGGUCUCGCCAUCAUUGUAAAAAAAGGCUUUGAAGUCUAGAGUGACUCUCAACUGCUUGUUUUAAAUAUAGGUCACCAUUUUGCAUCUGCUUUGCCUUCUCUCACUUCUCCCCAUUUGAUUGUGUAAGUACAACAAUUUAUUUAUGUCAGGAUGUUGGACAGCUGUAUUAUGAUAACCGUUUCUUUUCUGGUGGAAAUGAUGAUCUACAUGAGCAUCGCCAAAGAGUAAACUGUGGUGUAUCCAUUUGCGAACUUGUUUUGGGGUUAUAUUUUUCUUUUUGAUUUAAAAGAGUGUAUAAAAUGCUAUUAUGCCUUCUCUGUCACAAGAGGGAUAAGAUUUUGUUCCAAUAUAUUGAAUGAUAUUUGUAUUAGUGAUCCUUAUAUGCCUAGAAAAUAAUGGGGAAGUGUUGAGUAGAUGGAGGUGUAAACUUCAAACAACAGGUAUGUCCAGAUAAUAUAGAAACCUGUACCCGUUUAUGAUGGUUAUUUUCUAUUAUCGUUCUGAUAAUGUGUUAAUUGAAGUAGUAACACCUUUCCAGGUUAUCUGCAGGUGUUCUCAACUAUUGCUAGGAAUGCUGUGCUUGAGUUGCCGUUGGAGAUUCAAAAUAUUAUUUGUUCAUUAUCUUAUGCUGCCAGCUGGCCCAAUUCCUCAUACAGCCAUACUUGGUGGCAACAAGGUACUCAUCAUCUAGUACUGUCAAACAACUUCUGUAAUUUUCUAUGACUUCAUCUUGUUCUGUCUUACUGCUAGUCCACUAGUUUGAUGGAUUUUAAGCCAUUGGGGUUCUCUAAAAUGAGUAUAAAAAUAGGACCAUAUCACCAAGUUUCUAACAUUUUGCUCUCCCUGUGGGUCUUCCUAAAUCCUAACCACCAUUUUCCGACUCAUCUCAUGCCUGUUGUGUACUGUUGGGUGUAGGUCCUAUUGUGUUGUCUUAGAUAAUUACCGAAUUCUGCAUAGUCUCUACUUUUCAUUUUACCAUCUUUUCUUGCAAGUGUGGUAUACCUUCCGUAAGAAGAUAGGUGACACGUUAUUUCAUUGUAAUGGCACUUCAUAUUUGUAGUCUCUGAUGGUUUAUAAAUUGUAGGUUUAUGCAUAAUGUCGGUAUGUUUCAAACCUUAGGGUUGCAGAGUUCUUAAACUUGUCUAGGAUUAGCAACUUCGUGGAUGAUCGGAGUGUGUUGCAGUUUGCUGAUAUGCUAGAUCUCACUAGCAGUUUUCCUUUCAGUGCUGACAUUCUCAAGUUGGUAGAUUCCACAAAACAUAUCUUUCUGCAUUUGGCUUGAAGUAUUUUUCAGCUUCCAUGCUUUACAAUGCUUGCUAGUCCAAUGCGCUGUAACUGUAUAUAGUUGUGAUGCUGCAUCUACCUGUAUUUAUUAUGAUUGCAGAUACUACUCGUCUUGUUGCUCAUUGUACUUCGGUUGAUGGAUUUAACGGGUUUUUGGUGCAUGCUGAUCUCAAUUAGGGGUCAAGUGCCAUUGUCUACCUAAAGCCUCUCCCAAGUGCUGCAACUUUAAUUAUUCGACCGUAUCCUACUUCCAUGCCUGAUAUUGUUUUUGUUGCUGCAAUCAACAGUGUCCAUCCAAAUGGACCCAUGAUGGAGGUCUGGGAACACCUGCAAGCUUUAGCAUGGACAUGUGGUUUUGCUCUGGUGGUUCUUGAGGGCACAUGAUCAUCUAGCUCUCUUAAUCAUGCUUGCCAGGAAAAGGGUCGACAUUGGAGUGCUUUAUGUUAACUUGUCCCGUUGAAUUGAGGUGUAAUGAUUGUUGGUUCUUGUUAGUUUCUUUAGCGGCAAAUGGGCUCUCAAUGGGGGGGGGGGGGGGGGGGGGGUGUUAAAGCGUGGUGUGAUGUUUCCCCAAUUGUACUGUAGUGCAUCCAGGUUGUUACGAUGCUGCUAGAAAAGAUUUCACAUGGAACCCAAAAUUUGUGCUCUGCUUGGCAGUGAUUCAUGGCGUGGUAAUGAUCGAUUAGAAAAAUAAAUGAACAGUUAUCAUGGGAAAAGAUAAAUCUUCUGCUUCCUUUGUUUCCAAUUAAUUGGCACCGGUCAUUUUGCAAAAAAAAUCCUAUUAAUUUAUGAAAUCAACCUGCAGUACACAUGGACUGCGUGUUAAUUUUUUUUGCAAAAGUUUGGUAGAACGUGGAAUGCAUGUCGAUUUCGGAAAAUGGCAAGAGUUUUUUUUUGCAAAAUUUUCGGCGCCAAUUAAUUAGGAACAGACGUAGUAUAUAAGUAGGAGAACACUACUAUUUGAUUUCUCUCAACAUGUAAGCAUGAUACGUCAUCUCAUCAUUAAUUUGUUCACCUAUUUAGUGGGAAACUCAUCUUUUUUGCACAUGCAUGCAUGCCACUUUGUAUCAAUCUAUCACCACUAAGUGAAGAAUCUAUCAUACAAUUCCAUUAUACGUUUUUAUUUUAUUUUUGAUACUCUUUCGUUGCUACUCAAUUAUUUCACUCACGUGUGUUAACUAAAAAUUUCGCAACAACGUCAGGACAUCAUCUAGUUAUAUAAAUAUGAUAGAACGAUUCUUUUGUAUUCAAAAUAAUAUGAGAAUCAUAGUAUUUUUCUUUUUGAAAUUUCAAUCUUAGGCAAUACAUCAAUGGAUAAUCACAAUAAUGAUCGAGGCUGUGGGUAGUGGUAGCUAGUGCCAAGCAACUUUAUCUUCAUCUAGAGUUAGAACAUAAUAGCAAUAUGUAGCAGCUGCUCGAUGGUGCACAGAACUGAUGACUCAAGAAGGGUGUCCAGAGACUGUAGUAACCAUAGUCCAUAGUUCCGGUUUAGUUAAGCAUACAAACAAAGGGGAUACAUACAACCUAUUAAGAGAUACAGAUAAAGCUCCACCUUUUUCUUGGCUAACAAAUUAUUGAUCAAGCAUUCGUCUUUCAUAAAAUGUCCGGGUUUUUUCGAUCGUCAUGAUCAUGGUGUCAUUGACAAGCUGCAGGAUGAGAUGCUGAGAGGUGAUCAGUGAUCACUCUGUACAUAGCGUUUGUCAGCUCAUGUAUUCCCCCAAUUCCCACAGCUGAUAGAUUUUCCGUUGGAAUUGCUUCUUUUUCUACAAUGGGAAACUGUUCAGUGAAUCGGUUCAGGGUUGAACUUGACAGAUUCCCUCCAAAUGAGUUCUUUGAUAUCUUCCUCGGUAAAUGAUGGCUGCUCGAAAUCAAAGCUGAAAGGCGCUGGGCAGACAGGUUCAUCGUUUAUCUCAUGAAGGGAUGCCAAGUAGGGAUGGCACAGAGCCUCGUCAACUGCAAUGCCACCAAAUAAAGAUGAAGGUUAACAUCUUUCAAGAGAAUGAAUCACUCAGUUACUGUAAGAAAUGUCACUAUCUUAGCUUUUAACAAUUAUGCAGGUGAUUCUGAAAUGGCAGUUCACGUUGUCAUUUUGCAAUGCAAAGAUCAUGCAAGGCUGCAAAAUUACCAGUAAUCCUCUUGUUUGGAUCAAAUACAAGCAUCCUCUCAAGCAAAUCCAUGGCGCCACUGGACAUAUUUGGGAACCGUGAACGAAAUUGUUGCUUGGGGUAUUGAGGAAGAGACCUGACAUAUCUGCGGGCAUUAUCGCUCCGAAGAAACCCUAGGCUGGUGUCGUCUGGUGAGCCUAGCAGCUUUUGGAUCAUAUAUGAAGCAGGGUUACAAACAGAAUUAAGUAAGAUUUGUUAGACACUACCAUUUUGUAGAACAAGAGCUCAUGUUAGUCGGAGAUACCUAAAAUAAUCACAUUCUUGAAUAUUAGUCUGAUUGAAAACAUAUGCACGAAGUAUCAUGCUAUUACUAAUAAACAAUACAAAUGUAAGCUUAAACAUAUCAAACUAUUUGUGCUAAUUGAGCUAAUGAUCAAAUAAAUAUAAGCAAGCAAAUAGUAUGGCAGUUGGCGCGCAUGCUAAAUCAAAACUGAAAUAAUCAUAAUAAUUCCAGACUCUUCAGAAAAAGGGAGAACAGAAGAACAUAAAAACAAAUAGAAGGAAACAACAAAUCUUCAGUUAUAUAGUAGUGCCAUACCUCGGUAAUUAGCCUCAGCUGAUGAACGUAAUCUUUUCCAGGAAACAGAGGCUCUCUUGUUGCAAUCUCACCAAGGAUGCAGCCGACUGACCACAUAUCAAUAGCUCCGGUGUACUCCGAGCAGUUAAGAAGGAGCUCUGGCGCCCGAUACCACCGGGUAACAACAUACUCCAUCAUGAAGUCAGUCUCAGUGGUGGUCCUCGCCAGCCCAAAGUCCCCAAUCUUGAGGUCACAUUUGGCAUUCAGUAACAGAUUGCUCGGCCUAAGGUCUCGGUGCAAGACAUUCGCUGAGUGCACAUACUUUAAUCCUCUGAGCACUUGGUAGAGAAAAUACUGCAUCAUGGAAAUGUUAAGGUGAGAGGAAAUCUGACCAAUUGUGACGUGUUUGAACUGAUACUGACCAGAUGAUGGAAAGAACAAUGUACCUGACAGUGAUCAUCUGUGAGUGGCUGGUUUGAUCUAAGAAGGUGGUGAAGAUCAGUGUCCAUCAGCUCGUAAACGAUGUAAACAUCGUUAAAAUUCUCCCGCCUUGGCGGGCGUAUGAUGUCCUUGAUUGAAAUCACCUGCCAAAGAUCAGAUUUUUGUCAUGAUAAUACCACCAAAAUUCAGGGCCGCGACAUAUAUUUCAUAUCAUAAGUGGAAUUAAUCAACAUCUCACGGACUUAUGAUGCAAGAUAGCUCAAACAAAGUUGCAUAGAUUCAACUUUUUGCAACCAUGUCAUUUAAAUGAGUAACUAAAGAAUUAUAGGCAAUUCUGGCUCUGAAAGAAAAUCACCAGAAUUUCCGGCAGAUCUCCUCAGGACGGCUUACCUUUGCUAUAAACUAGAGAGUUAACCAUGGUCAAAUAGAAACCACAAGAUAAUCCAUAGGUGAGCAUGUGAACGACAGAGAUUUAUCAAAAAAAAAAGAGCCAUACGUAAUAGAGAAGAAGAGAUCGAGAUUUCUCACAUUCUCAUGAUUCAUGUGUCGAAGCAGCUUCACUUCUCGCAAAGUGCGCUUGGCGUCGAUCUGGUUGUCGAACGCGUUGCCGAUCUUCUUGAUGGCGACCUCCUCGCGAGUCUGCACGUUGAUAGCAGCACUGGAGAAGGAGAACACAGAAAAUACUUUGUCACCACACGGUUAAAAAAUCAAAGUAUGUACAAAUUGCUGAACAGGGAAGUAGGGAACAUGCACACUUCUUUUCAUCGCUGCUAUAUAUACAGCUAUGUCAUAACAAUUUACUAGUAGUUCUUUGGAGCAAGCCGGCCUUAUGGUUUAACAUGUACAUACUUUUGGCUACGAUGAAUUUUAUCUUUGAUCAAGAUCAAGCCAACAUAUACUCAAACUCCAGUUACAUAUGUUGCACACAGCGAAAUUUGCAAAAGGAUGACAGCUAGCUAGUUGAUCGAGGACAGAAGCGAUCGAAAUUCAGAGGUACUAAUUGAUAAAUUGGUGUGGGAAUAUAAGCAAGCAGCUGCAGGGCAUGAUGGUAUCGGCACGUACCAGAUGAUGCCGCAGGCGCCGCGGCCGACGGGACGGAUGGGCGGGACGUACUUGGCGGAGACCUCGAAGAGGUUGCCGUAGACGUUGUACUGCACGUACCUGCCGCCGUGGGUGAGCGUGCCCUUGAUCUGCGCCUCGCCGAGGCCAUGGGCUCCUCCUGCUGCUGCUGCUGCCGCCGGCCCGGCGCCGCCGCCUUCCAUGCGCAUCGGUGGAGCCUCGAGCUAAGCUGUUAGCUAGGCAAGAAAGAAAGGAAGCGCGCGUGGAGGAAGAGAGAGGGAUUGCUAGCUUGGAUGGAUGGAGGAGGGAGGAGAUAAGGAGCGUUGGGGGAAAGGAGAAAAGGGGGAGCUUUUUGGAGGGAAAAUGCCCGUGAUCCGGCGGAGGAGUUGGUUGGUUGCUGCUCCACACCAUUCCCGCCAUGCUCCUUUUUCUAUCCUCUCUUCUUCCCUUCCCUGCUGCUGCUGCCUGGAGCUGGCUAUGCACAAAGCUGGUGAUGGCUAUGCUUUGCUUCUCUACUUGUUUUUUUUUUUUGUUCUCCGCUCCCAUUUGUGGUCGCUGUCCUCGUCCUCUUUUACUUGUGCUCCUACUUUUAUUUAUUUAUUUAUUUAUUUAUUACUCAUUUCGUCCGGUAUUAAGUGUUGCAAUUUAAACACAUUUUAAUGUGUAUGUACAUGAUAUUUAAACAAUGUUGUGACACUUAAUACCGGACGGAGGGAAUGUUAUUUCUUUGACACUUGGCCGGUCUCCUUUUAUUACUGACAAAAUAAUGAGAUGUGCGAUUCUUGUGUAAAGAAAAUACAUUUAUGAUUAACAGAUGGAAUUUUAUGUCCUAGAAAUUUGAAUUUAUGUUGAAGAUUUUGAAUUUGGUUAAAUAGAUGGAACAAAGUGAAUUAAUUCCUAGUUGAUGUGCUAUUUCUUAGACACGUGGAUGCUCUCCGGUUACCGCUAGAAACCGACCGCUUGAAAUUCAGUUUGUGUUCAAAAUUUUAAAUCUUUGAUGGGUAUUUUGACACUUAUUCGGUCUUUGUAUCCUGACAAAAUCCACCCGAUGGAAUUCUAAAUUGUGUUCAGGAUUUUGAAUUUAAGUUAAUUUAGUGAAUUUUCAAAUUCCUCACGCAUGGUCAGUCUUCUGCCACCAACAGAAACUGACGGGUGAAAUUUUGUUUGUGUUGAAGAAUUUAAGUUAAAAAUGGAAUGUUUGGAACUUCUAGUUGAUAUGAUAACUCUUAGACACCCAUUGGUUACCGACACAAUUUGGGAGGGGAGGUGGAAGUUUUGGACACCUAGUUGGGAUUUACUAAUAGAGACCAAACAUGUGAUAAAUUUGAUUUGAUGAUUUAAUUUGUGUCAAAUAGGUGGAAAGAGUGACUUCCUAGUUAACACAAUACUUUUGCAACACCUAGCCCGUUUCUUGCCAAAAUCGACCGGCAGAAUUUGGGUUUGUGUUGAAUAUUUUGAAUUUCUGUUAACUGGUAGAAUUAGGCAGGUUCUGAGUUUAUAACAUCGCCUACAGUAGACACCGUGUGACAGAUCCUGCACGGGUGGCGUUCUGAUCUACGCAUAGAUGCCCCGUCGCCGUAGCCAACAUCUUUACGCAUGUUUGUCAUUUUGCCUUGCAUUUUGGUUAUAUGCAUCUUGUUAUGUGGUGGCGAGAUUUUUGAACUCCUCAGUUGUUGUUUUUUAAUGCAACAAUGAAUACAAUGAAAGUUUAGCUCCAUGGUUGGAAAAAAAAUCAAAUCACGAAAUGUUCAAGUUCAUAGUACACUCCUACGGGUUGAAACUUUAUGAUCUAUCUUUUUCUAUUUAGUACUCCCUCCUCCAAUCCAAAAUAAGUGUCUCAGUUUGGAACCAAGUUUUUUAGUUCAACCCUAGUUCAAAACCGCAACACUUAUUUUGGAUCAAAGGUAGUACAUAUCAAGGAGCCUAACAAAUUAUCAUUCUAAAACACUUCUCCUUGGCACAAUGACCAUGCUUCUCAAUUAGUGUGAAGGAACAUGCUAAAUUAGCAUGCAACACUUGAUUUUAUUUUCGUAAAUGAAAGUUCUUAUUGAUCUCAAUUGUACAUCGAGCAAUACAACAAAAAAUAACAUGCCUCUGACCUCUGGGCCGCACACAGCCAAAUGUAGCACAUGAUUACAACAUGACAUGACUGAUAUGAGAACAGUCACACCGUGGUAAACUUGUUGUACAAAAUUAAUUAUCCAAACUUCACAUGGUCUAAUUACAAGCAUCUCAUAAUCUCUUUUCUGAUUUAGUACCUUAACUGGGUCAAUACCAUCUGGAACACAGAACGAAACCUGAAGAAACUAUUUAUACAUGUAGAGCAAAAUAUUAAAAUGCUUGAUUUUGUUUCCAGACACGGAACCACAGCAAAGUUUCUGCAUCACAAAACCCACAUCACCAGUAUGGAUAUCCUCAUGGUACGCACCAUCACUAGAAUUGAUCUUCCUGAAGAUUAUUCAUCUCGAUUUGUUCAGACAACUACUUGCACCCCCCAGUAACAUAAGUGACUGAGCACAUCGACAGUCUGAACAAGCACAACAUAUAUGUAUUCCCUAUGCAAGGACAUAAUGACAACAUGUAUCCAGUUCCUAGUAUUUGUUCCCUAAAGAAACCAAGCUACUGAAGCAGCCUGUGGCUUUCGCUCAGAACAGUUACCACAGCUUCACCAGUAGUACGAAGGCAGAUGCCCCCAAAGGAAAACACACAGCCAUUCUAUGUCAUCAUCCAGGAUUUUUUUUUUGUCAAGUAGGCUAGAGUUCCCGCAAAAACUAGGCUAGAGAACAGUGCUUGUAUAGUUUGUUCACUUGCGAUAAAGAAUGCCGCACUGGUUAUACCUACACAGCAAGGUCAGCAAAGGUGUGCCAUCAGAUGAAAACAAGUUGCCACUUCCCAUCUCCAGUGGUUCUGGGGCUGUCAUCGACGACCAGUAGCUUUCAACUAAAUGAAGAAGACCCUUCCCUGAUUCUGACCGAGGGAAGAAAUCAAGGCGCUUAACUUGUAUAAUUCCAUCCGUCUUGCCUCCACCAACAGCUUCAACACGCAAUGGGAUGCCGAGUGCAUACGUUAGAGCCCUCAUUGGUAAUGUCAAGACUUCAACAUCCAUGGGACGCACAUUCGUCCAGCAAUACUGUUACCAAAAACACAAAUGUGCAAUAGUGAGAAAAAGAUUAUCUGUAAACGGUGAAUUUAGUAUUGGUCAACUUAUUUUUUCAUGAAUUAGUCACAGAAAUUUGUCCGUAGUUGCAUAGCUUAUUUCUGGGUUUACACGCUUAUGCAGAAAAAAUUGUCAACGCUGAUAAUAAAAUUAAAAUCUUACAACAAAGGCAUAAAGGACAGAUAAUGUUAGACUAUGGAGAAUAGUACAAGGGGCAAAAAACUCUAACCUGAAAGACACUAACUCCUGCAGGGCAAAAUGCUCUAUAAUCCUCUUCUCGUGUACGGAUCUCUGUCUCUGUCAGCAAUCUUAGCAAAGAAAGAACUGACAAAAAAAAGGUGUUAUAUAGAGAACAAGCAGACAAACAAGACAUCUCAGCAAUCACAUAUCCUCACUCCUGAGUGAAAUUAUCUCCUGUAGACUUCUCUUGUAGAGCUUGUCAGAACUCCCACUACAAAAGAUAAAAGCACUACUUUUAAACCCAAAUAUAACAAAGAAACAAUGGGAUCUUGAAACUUUUUGUCAUGUCCGUCAAAACAUAUCACUAUAAACAUUAACUUGAAAACUCAUACCCAUUUGCAACUGAGUUGACCAAAUCAUUAAACUCCUGAAAGAACAUGAAGACAAUGGGUUAUGUAUGUAAUUUAAGAUAUAUUAUUAAGAGAACAAUAUUCCUUUAGCACAGGGCUGGCAAUAGCAAAAAAUUUCAAUGAAAGAUCAUGCUGACUGAUCCUAAUGCUCCACUAUUUUGUAGUGGAUGUUACUUUAGAAACCAUUCAUUGAGCUGCUAGACAGUGUCCAUGCUGAAGCAAGAAUGAAAACAACACAAAUCUCAAGGAUAAAACACUUGGGAGAGUGGAGUGUUUACUCAAAUUGAUAAUGAUGACGGAUCCUGUAAAAAAAAUCCCGUCAUAAUGAUGUGGAUCAUGCCAAUGCAGUUAUUAUUGAGGAGCUCCUAAGUUGGUUUGGUCCAGUAUUCUCCACCAUGCCAUAUACUCAUUCCAACAUUUAAAUAGCCUGCUAUAGCUUUUACAGAAAGAAACACUCCGCUAUUGAAUAAAUUCCGUGAUCACAGCUAAAUCUGCUAUUCUUGUAGCAGUGAUAACUCCACUGUGGUACAUGUGCCAAAACCCUUCAAAAUUCAUAAACAUUUUGCUCUCUAUAAUCUUUUUAGAUAUCAUAUAUCCUCUAGUUUAAUUAGUUCACAUUGCAACUCUAAAAAACAAUUUGGAUCCUAGAUAAUAAAUAAUUAAAUAUCAAGAUAACUCCAAAGCCCUCCUUGAGCUUACAUGUUAAUAUAUUUGUAUAAUAUGCAUGGCAGCCCCCUAAAAUGGUUGUUUUCCUCUCCUGUCCAUAAUUUUUGUACCUCUCAGAACUUUGUACAGUUCUUAAAGUAAUAGACUGGUUUGGCCUGGCCAACGGCCUACCACAGUUAAGUCAAAAAAUAAACACAUAUGGCCAAAUGCGAAAUCAAAAUUGAUUAUGUCUUACUGCUUACAUUUCAUAUUUGGAACAGUAACCAAAGAUGUAUAUUUAUAGUAAAAAGCGAGUGCAGCAAUUGGUUUUACAAUAGUCUCCCUAUAGACAAUAGUCAUGAUAGAUUUUCUUCCUACCAUUCAGCAAUAGGUUUUGCAAUAGUCUCCCUAUAGACCAUGAACCGCGAUUAAAAUCCUUGCCUCUACAUAUUUACAGGAGUAGUUCCCUCUGUUUGUUGUUACGUGAUGUAAGAACUGUUACAUAUACAUUGUGGGGUAUUGUUCUCAUCAAAGAUAUUUUCUGUUGAUGCAGCAUGCAGUUAGAUAACUUCAUUGUAGUUUGGCAUACAUGGUUUGCUUGUCUGUAAAUGGCUGAACUAGCAUUUAAGGAUAAUGAGAUCAAAUAAAUAAAUUGAGCUUCUGCAAAAUGCGAAAUUACAUACAGAAACAACACUUGAGAAGUAUUCUUCAGGAUUUAAAAAGUAAGCCAUAUCCCAUUUCAGACGACAGAAAUUCUCUCUGUACAUUGCCACACGUUCCAUUAGACGAGUAGCUUCAGCUUGACUAUCCUGCAUUUGCCCAAGGUUUUCCUGUUCGCAAACCUAGUGGUAUCAAAUUUCCAUGAAAAACAAAAAAAGUGGCAUCGUAAAAAACAAGCAACCGAGAGAGUUACCAAGUAGGAGAAAAGGAAAGCUCUGUAGAAACAGUUGCCAUCUCGGCGUGUUCGUCUGAAGAGCACAUAGUGCUGACUAAGAAUCUGUACAAAAUAUGUUUUUCAGGUUUGCACAAAAGAUUUAAUAAUGACAAUGCUUCUAGAGUGAAGUUAGUGCCAUGCCAACAAACCUUGAUCAUUUCCCGGAUCCUGUACUUAUUCGGAUAUUCCUUAACCAAAUCCAAGAGUGGUUCCUACCAUACCAAGAAUCAGUAUCACAAAAAAGGGAAUAACUACUGAUUUAUAAGAUUCAUCAAAUAAAAAUGGAUUAAAAUAAGUAAUGCUGAUUGUUGAAGCACGAGGCACAAAACUGGUAAGCCUAACAAAUCGUUUCUGGUUUCCACACAUGAACCAUCCAUUUAUUUGGCAGAAAAAUGAUUUGAGGCCUUCAUGGGUAAGACCUAUGUUUCAUCAUCGAUCAUAAGGUGUGAAAACACUAGCUGGAUGAAAUUCGCUUGAGGAGUAAAACUUAUUGAAGUCCAAAAGAACUCCUCCUAUACCUGAACUCUCAUUGUCGCUUUAUCGGUUCAUAAUGACCUUAUCCCACAUCUGCUCAGAAUAACGUCUAGGAAAACAUUUUUUUUUUCAGAAGAAGCAGCCAAAGGAUUUUGAUAAGCCAAUGCCUUCCCCAGAUAGUACAUAGUUAUCUUGGGGAGUAACUACAGUUGGAACAUUCUAAGUUUACAUGUAACACUCAAAGGACAAUGAUAAUAUAUUAGCAGCAUAAGUUCACAAAUUUCAAGAUAAACCAUUUUAGUCUUAGAUAAGGAAUGACUGGGACACUGGACAAGCUCAGUAGAAAUCUUUAGUCUUGAAUAUCUAGUGAAAGUUUAUGAUAAGAGCUCCUGCUGGUUUCUCAAAAGUAAAAUGUUUAUGAUAGCACAUUCACGAGGUCAAGAUGUUGUGAAAUUGAAUGAGCAAAACUGCACAGGAAAAAUAAUUCACUGUAUUGUGGAGAAUAUGCAAUCAUGAUUGAGGAGCUUAAAGAUAAAGAAAACAGAGGAGCUACGACACCCACCGGGCCUCCUAAUGUCCUUGUUCGAGCAUCCGGACACCGGAAAAUACCACUGGUAGCACAGUGGUCCUUUGGUGGUCGGAGGUAUGUUCUCUUGCCAUCCAGCAGCCGGUCCCAGUUUUUCCACAGAGAAAAAUAUACAUCUUUGUUGAGCGGCACAGAGUCUUGCCGAAAAAUAUCACGUGGGAGGCUUUUUUGAAUGCUCAUGAAGAGUGCAAAGUAGAAUUUCUCAUCAGAUGAUCCUGUCGGCUUCUCUUUCUUCCAAUCCUCAUCAUCCAGCAAUUCAUCCUAAAUAAUUGAAUAUUCGUCCUUGUAAAGAACACUUUCCAUCACAAAUGUGGUGAAUACUAUGGCACGUUAUUACGAGAAAAAAAAUGCACUAACAAUAGGACUGCAACGAACACAGUUAACAAAUACAAAGGAAAAUCCAACACUGUGAUGAAACAUCCUUCUCUAUGUCCUUUAAGCGAACAUAAUUGGGCCAAGGACUCAAAUGAAGUCAUGGAAUUGGACCAAGAACUAGCAGCAAAACAUUGAAAGUAACAAAAAAUAUUCACAUCAACAUAUUCCACGUCAUCCCAAUCAUCUUCUCCUUCAUCCUAGAAACAUUUUUUUGCAGUGAGAACCAGAACACCCGAUCGGUGAAUAGUAUGCUACUCCCUCCGAUCCAUAACAAGUGUCUUGGAUUUAAUUGCAGUAACAAUCAGAACAACUUAUCUGAACUGCAAGGAAUACAAUCCGCAAAUACAAAGGGAAAUCAGCACUGUGAUGAAACAUCCUUGUCUAUGUCCUCCAAACGAACGUAAUUGGGCCAAGAACUCAAAUCAAGUCACGGAAUAGAAGAACUAGCAGAAAAACAUCAGAAGGAACAAAAAAAAUAUUCACCUCCACAGGGUCCACGUUAUCCCAAUCAUCAUCAUCGUCUUCUUCAAUCUAGAAACAUUUCUUGCAGUGAGAACCAGAAACCCGAUCCGGAGAUAAUGUGGAAACAUCCUAUUCUAAGUCAUUCCCCAUGUGCAGUAAACAGUGAAACGAAAUAAAAAAAUGUGCAGUGAAAACCACAACACCCGAUACUGUGAGGAACAGGAAACAUCCUUCUGAUAUCAUAUGAACAUAAUUUUUGAAAAAAAACAACAACGAAUCAAACCACCUUCUUACCCUUUACAAAGAAAACAAUUAACUAGAAACUACAUAGUGUACGCGUAUCACGAAACUGAAGGACGCAUCAGAUUUUACCGCCAAAUGUGUAUGCUGCACUUCUCUAGAUAAUUUUAUCUAUGCAAGAGUUACACCAAUUCGUCGAACUUAGCAAGAAAUAAUAAUUAAACUACGACCACAUCAGAUCGUACGCCAAGAAAGCACCCUCCACGAAGUGGGCGCGGGAAAGGCUAAAAGGGGGACAAAGAACAAACCUGAGAUCAUCCCAACGCACAAAAUUGUGAUGAACGAAUGAGAUUUUGGCGGAAAGGGAAGCUAGAAAGCACCACCCAAGAGGCCAAGAUGCUACAAGAAGCUAUUAACUCACCGUAUACUUGAUGGAAACCGCCGAAGGGUCAAAAUAGACCGGCGGUGGCGGUGCGGGUUCGCCGUCGUCGUCUCCGCUGCUUACCCGCCGCGGCUGAGGCGGAACCGCUGAGGUGGAAACCGCCGACGGGUCAGGAUAGAAGAACGGCGGUGGCGGCGAGGGUUCGCGGUCGUCGUCGUCGUCUCCGCUGCUUCCCCGCGGCGGCUGAGGCGGAAGCGGUGAGGUGGACAGCGUCGUAAGGUCAGGAUAUAAGAACGGCGGUGGCGGCGAGGGUUCGCGGUCGUCGUCUCCGCCGCUUCCCGCACUGCGGCUGCCCCGUAACUUGACCUUGAAUUUUAGCCCCCUUCCGGGAGUUGCCUUCCGGUGAGAAACCAUGGCUUCUUUCAGUCCCGCCCCCUCGAUUCCUGGAGAAUUUGGUUUCGCCCUUUUGCAGGGGGUGAAGUGUUUGACGUUUGUAGCUUUUGGGGUAAGGCUAUGAGUCCUGUGACUUACAUGUGCUUUCUUGCAAAGAACAAAUACAAGUGCGGAACUUGCUUGUUGCCUCAUAAGUCAAGGCUAAGGAAACUAGGUGUGAAAAAGGACUGAGGAAACUCAGCACAUUUUUUUAAGUCAAAAAAUAUCAAACAUGUCAAUGUUCAAAUCUUCCAAGUUUAUGAAAAAUUCAUGAAGAAAUGAUAAGUUUUGUGCCCUACGUAAAACAAAAGGGAUAAAUUUGGUACUCCCUCCAACGGUCCGACCGGUAUUACUUGUCUCAAAUUUGCCCAAAUACGGAUGUAUCUAUGUAUAAAAAUGUCUAGAUACAUGUAAUAUUUCGACAAUUAAUUCCGGUCGGAGGGAGUAUUAGAAAAAUUUCUCACCAGAGCACUUAAAUUAUUCACCAAGUUUCUCAUUUUUGUUUUGAGAACAGUUUCAUUUUUUUAAUUUUUUAUGGGACUUUCAUUUUUUUAGUUUUUUGCAAAAAACGGUGGUGCCGUGGUGGGCUAUGUUAUAUAGGCUGGGCCGGAGGCACACUAGGAAUAUUUCAUAAUCACUUCGUCCUGGCCCGGCCUGGUCCAGUGGCUCUAGCAGGCCCACUUGCCAUCGUCUCUCCGCCCGAGGAAGAAGAACCCGGCGCGGAAGAUGGCGGACGUGGCGGCCGCCUCGCUGUUCGGCGCCGACCGCCGGCUCUGCUCCGCCGACGUCCUCUCGCCUCCGGAGGUCGCCGGCUACUUUCCACUUCUCUCUUGCUUGCCCUCCCCGCCUCCCGCUUCCGGCUUCCGUCGUCGGCUACUCUCUGAUCGAGUCUCUGUGUGUGGUGUACUCGAUAGGUCAGGGCAAGGAUCGAGGUGGCCGUGCUCAACUUCCUCGCCGCGCUCUCGUCCCCUUCCUCUCCGGCCAUCUCCGUUCUCCCGCUGGUACGGCGAACCCCCAACCCUCCAAUUUUUCUUUCUUACUUGCAGUGCUGGCUGGGUAAUCAAUCGAUGUGGCUAAAGCGCGGCAGCAUCGAUCUCAUCCAAGCUUAACGCAAGUUACUGGAAAUGCUGUAUUUGCUUCUGAAGCAAGUGUUCUCGGCACUGCAGAUUGCCCGCAAGUCCAGCAACUGCAGCCUGCGCAGCGGCUUGCUGAGCGAUGUUUCGUCGGUUUAUCUGUCCUAUGCCUUCUGCAAGAGGUCUCUGACGAGAGAAAAUGAUGCCAAGUCAUUCGUGAGAGGUUAUUAUUUUUAUUUGCAAUGUCUUAGGCUUGCUGAGCGACUCUUGUUCAUAAAGUGGUCGUGCAUUUCUUGACAGUAUGGAAGGUCAUGGAGAUGUGCUACAAGAUCUUGGGUGAGGGGAAGCUAGUCACUCAGAGGGAGUUGUUCUACAAGCUACUUUCGGACUCUCCCAAGUACUUCACUUGUCAGCGUCAUGUCAACCAGACAAUUCAAGGUCUUGAGAACCCCCCCCCCCCCCCCCCCUUCUGUACUUGUGUCAUGUAUUAUAUCGGUGCUCAGAUUUUGCACUUUGUUCUUGAGCAGAUGUUGUUUCAUUGCUCCGUUGCACGAGGCAGAGCUUAGGAAUCAUGGCAUCGAGUAGAGGGGCACUGAUUGGACGGCUUCUGUUGCAUGUGUGUGUAUGCUGAAAAAAUGUUUGCCCUGAUAUAAAUGUCGGUUGUCUGUUAAUGGGGUCAAUAAAGAAAUCUUGUUUAUGUCUUCGUGAAAUCACAGUAGCCUAAACUUUGUGUUCAAACUAUCUUAGGAGCCAGAGGGAGAACACAUUGACUGCUCCAUUCUUGGACCUUCUGGGCAUGCCAUUACUGGAGAUCUGAACCAAUUGAGCAAAUUAAAUUUGUAUUCGGAUGCCCGGUACCUCAUUCUAGUGGAGAAGGUACUAACCUUUUGCAGUCUAUUAGUAUAGUCUCUGUUAUUUACUUCAAGCUGAUAGUGAUAGUCCUCUUGUUUGGAUUAGGAUGCUGUAUUUCAGAGGCUGGCUGAAGACCGCUUAUAUAAUCAGCUUCCAUGUAUCGUGAUCACUGCAAAAGGAUAUCCUGAUAUCGCCACUAGGUUCUGUACCCGGCAAUGCAAGUCGUUUUGUUUUACUUAUGUAGGAGAACAUUUGCAUGAUUCAUUGAUCUUAUCCCAAUUUACUCUCUACGUUGUUGUCAACAUUAUUAGGUCACUCCUAGUACUUAUCCCAUUUAUCUUUCAUUGUUCUCAAACAGGUUUAUCUUGCAUCGACUGAGCCAGACUUUUCCAAAUAUGCCCAUUUUCGCAUUGGUGGACUGGUUAAGCCCUUACUAUUGCAGAUAUGUACACAUCACUGAUCUUCUAUAUUUUAGCUACAGUAUAUUUCGUUUUCUUUCAGGAACCCAGCAGGGCUUGCUAUACUAUGCACUUACAAAUAUGGAAGCAUAUCAAUGGGUCUGGAAUCAUACAGAUAUGGUAUUUCUUCGGGUGAUUAAAGCUUGAUCAAGCCCAUAUUUUCAAACAAUGUUAAUGUUCUUCAUUUUCAGCUUGCAACGUAAAAUGGCUUGGCAUAAGAGGAGAUGAUCUGGAGCUUAUCCCUCAGAGUGCAUUCCAGGAGCUGAAGCCUCGUGAUUUGCAGAUUGCCAAAGGCUUGAUGUCAUCCAAGUUCCUCCAGGUGCGUAUGCUAUCCCUCGACUUCCAGAGUAUGUAGUGGUGUUCUAAACAGUAAAUUCCAGUUCAGAUACAACUGCACAAGAAUCUGUUUACAAAGCCUGAUAAUAUGUACUGAAAUGAAGCCAUUUGACUGCAAGUAAAUUAUUAUUUUUCUGGCAUUUUUAUUCGAAGCCACCUAAUACCUGGGUGAGAGUGACUGCCUGAUUAUGAAUGCCAAGGUCGAGUAUGGUCAAUGCUGUCCAUGCAUCAUCUAUAGCAUCAAACUUCCCAGCGAAAGUUUCGGUUUGAAAUUUUAAAUAAAGAUUUAAGUUCCCGCAUUUUACAGCCAUGUUCAAUGUACUGAUAACUCCGAAUCUAAAGAUAUGUGCUCGUUGCAACUAGACCAAAACUUUAUGACGUGGGGAACACUCAAGAUUGUUAAAUUAUCACUACUGUCUGCCUGAAUCAUAGUACAUCACCAAGGAGAUCAUUUAGCCCUUCGAACUCAAUGCCAGUAAACUUUUAUAUGAUAACGCAGUUUAAAUUAAGCUGGUGUUUUUUGCCUUAAGGACAAGCACAGGGCGGAGCUGGCACUGAUGGUUGAGAUGGGUAAGCGUGCUGAGAUCGAAGCUCUGUACUGCCAUGGAUUCGAUUUCCUGGGGAAGUACAUCGCCAGGAAGAUUGUGCAGGGUGACUACAUCUGACAGAUAGAAGUGCAUUCCUGGUUGUUUGUUUCAUUUUUCUCUCUGGUUUCAUGGUUCUGUCCAGUUUUUCUUCAAAGUGCAGUAAUGUUCUUGGCUGUGUUAAUUGGAAGGUGAGACUAUGAACAGACAACUGCCUAGUGAGGCCUGAACUUUGACACGCAAGAAAAUAAAUGAUAGAUGUUCAGGGUAAUCCAACUCGAGCUGUGUUGGCAUGGCGUCUGGUAAUGGGAAAAUAAAUGAUAGCUGUUCAGAAGGAAACUGUAAUUUGCUGUCAGAGAAAGGGCAUUAAAGCAAGGGAAAAUUACCGAUUACAUGAGCACCCUUGAGGUGAUGAGAAAAAGAUGACAGCGGAUCGGCAUGAUCAAUAAUAAUCUAGCAAUAAGAAUGGCAGCUAAUCAAGCGGUUCCCAACCACAUUGGCAGUUGCCUUCUGCGCAGUCCAGGAAGGGGAAGCCAUGCCAUUGGCACCAGUCCUGGCACUCCUCGCACAAGAGCUCCUCCUGCGCCUCCGCCACCAUCAAUGGCCCAACCUCUGCACACAUGAAAACAACAGAUUUGUGGUGAAAACUAGUAAGUACUAGUACUUUGCUGAUAAUACUCCAUCAUCAUAUGGUUAUAAAGGACAAGUGAAUUCGACCGAACAGGUACCUAUCGCCGCUGGUAGGAGCAGGAUGAGAACGGCAGCCAGGAAGAUCCUGGAUGAGAGCUCCAUCAAUUGAUUGAUUUCUUCCUGCUUUUGAUUGAGAACCGAUUUGCUCAAUGGAUGGAUGUAUGCACAAAACAAAGGGGCGAGUGUGAUGUGAGGCACGCAAGUAACUGUGGCAGUGAAGAAGGGAAGCAAGUAACGUGGUCGUACCGCUAGCGCACAUGGGAUCCUAGAUCCAGAGGCAGUUGACUCUAAUCCUUAUCGAUGGUCUAGUUGAUCUGACUAAUUACAGACUUCUCGAUUAGAGUUCUCAAUCCAGAAUGAAUAUGGGUGUUGCCCAUUAAUGAAGCAGUUAGAGUGGAAUUAGUAUCACGGUUUUGCUAUUGAUAAGCCGUCCGUUUUCUAGUUAGAGAUGAGUCGACAUGUUAGCCAUCGGAUGUUGAUCCAACGAUAGCAAGUGAGAUAUAAGCAAAUGGGGAUGAUUCUCAGAUCUUAGUCCAAUGAAUUUGAAACGUCGAGUGAUAUUUAAGGCUCAUUUCUUAAAAAACAGGAGAUUUAGAAAUAGCCACACCCUUUGUAUUAUUGGUUUUGCUAACUACUUCCUCUGAUCCUAAUUUUUUGACUCAAAUUUGUCCAAAUAUGGAUGUAUCUAUUCUUAAAAAACGUCUAGAUACAUGUAAUAUUUCGACAACAACUUAGGAUCGGAGGGAGUAUUUCUUAGUCGAUGAUAACAACCUUUUGAUUUAAUCAUUGAGAUUCAUGCAAGACUAAUGUAGAUCCGAUGGAUAAGAAAAUCUUCAUUAGAUGGCUACGAUUGUUAACUAAGAAAUAACUACUUCUUAAGCGACUAAGAAAUAGACACUUCCUUGUGUUAUGGUAGAGUUUUUUAGAAAAAUACACGAAUCUCAUUUGAAAAUGCAACGUGAUCAGAUAUGUAUUAGAUGCAUCUAAGCACAUAAACUAACACCAGAGGUUGAAUACAUUGAAUGCACGUGAUAUCCCAGAUCUCAAUUAUACUUUACACUGUCCGUUCUCAAAUAAAUGUAUUUUUAGCUCUUAAUGUAUUUUUAGCUCUUGUACUAAGUCAAUAGUUUUGAAGUUUGACUAACUUUAUUAAAAGUAUUACUCCCUCCGAUCCAUAAUAAGUGCCAUGUAUCUACUACAAAGUUGUUCUGACUUUGUAUUAAAAUCUAGUUGGAUCCAGCUUUGGUUGAGCAAAAAGCAAACAAACCAAAAUCCCCCUCAACCCCAACCGUUCUCCAUGGAUCGAGGGGGUCACGAGAGAAACCAAAAGAGCCGAAAGGGCUUCUUAGAGCAUCUCCACCUGCCCCUCCUAAAGGUCCCCCCAAACGUUAAAUGGGGGCGCCGGCACUGAAAAACUCACCUAGUUCACUCCACUAAAUUGAAAAGGUAGCCGGCAUGGCCAAGAAUUUAACCGGCGCCCCCAAUCUACUCCCUACUCACAGGGGGGGCUAUCGGAGGCGCCGGCUGAAGCUGAAAAGCAGCGCGGGGCCCCACUAGUGAGAGAAACCAAAUUUGGGGGAGCGAUGUUUGGGGAUGCGGCUGGGUGCCAGUUCCAUCCCAAACGAAUUGUUGCGCCGACGUCUCCCCAUAUGGCCAUGCGCCGUAUGAAAUAUAGGGGGGACGAGUGGAGAUGUUCUUACCCUAGGUUUUUCCGCUAUGCAACCAAAUGAGCCUCGAAGGAGAAGCCUACACCGGCUGGCAUACUCGUAUAGCUCACAACGCACAACUUAUUAUCCAUUCCGGAAAAUCAGAAGUACAGUACUUUCUCCGACGCAUAUUAUUUGUCACGAAUUUAAUAUAAGUCUUAGAUUAGGUUUUACCAUGUUAAGUGACAUUUUAUUACAUAUAUAUAUAUAUCCAGACGAUUUUUAGACAUGAAUAUAUCCAUAUUUACACAAAUUUGAAUCAGACCCCAAUAAUGGCAAAUAACAUUGAUCUGAGGGUGCUGUAAUCCCAACUUGUCAGGCAGUGACACGUUUGUCCCCGCCCACAUGCGCAGACUCGGACCCAUACGUCUGUGUCAGUUUGGGCUGCCGGGUGCUGUACUGCUGUGGCUAGAGCGGCAGCUCGCUCGCAGUUGGUCACUGCCAUCCAUGCAGCGUCUAGGCGGCACGCGCACACGACCCUCGCACGUGUCGCCACGCCCGCACGAGCGCCAUUUCCGAGGACCGGCCGCCGACAGCCCGUCCAAACGCGAAGGUCCAAUCCAAUGCGGCGAUGUCCGGAGAUCCUUCCGCCCCGAGUCUAGUUUUCAUUUAGCCAGCAAGAAGUUCUGAGUACUGCUUCUGUCGGAAAAAAGAAAAUUAAGUUUGUCAAAAUUUUGUUGUAAUGUAUAAAUGCAUUCAAAUUUAGUGAAAAUUGAGAUAUAAUUCCUCUGAUACUAAAUUUUUUAAUUCAAAUUUGUCUAAAUAUGGAUGUAUCUAUUCGUAAAAAACGUUUGAAUACAUGUAAUAUUUUGUUAGGAUCUUGAAGGGACUAUUUUAUUUUAUUAGACGGAGGAAGUAAAAUAUUCGGGCUCGAAGACUCAUCCUCUGAUUCCAAAUGCAAUUUUUCCCCCGAGUAGUGUCAUGUGCAACCGUGCAAAAGAGGACAGUGCUACGACACGUGAGGAGUAGAAACAAAUUAACGAUGAGCACAUCAUUCAGCUUAGCUCACACUGCUCACUAGCUACACGCUGACAUACCCUCCUCCAGAGACCUUCUUGUUCCUCCUAUUCGCAUCCCCAUGAACGCAUAUUACCAAGAACAGUAUAUAAGCCCCACAGUCCCCUGUACGUCUGCACACACAUAUACACAAACAGCUACAGUACCUUCUUCCCUUAGCUGAAUUAUCAUCUGAACUUCGACGAUCACCGUCGCCGGAGACGAUGACGAAGCUAGGAGGCGGCGGCGAUGUGAAGUCAUCGUGGUCGAGCGGCGAUGUGGCGACGGCGUGCGGGCUGCUGGCGGUGCAGUUCAUGUUCGGGGUGUACAUGAUGUUCCUGGACGGGCUGCUGGCCGCCGGCGUGCCGUCGCUCUUCAUCAUCGUCGUCGCCUGCGCCGCCUCCUCCGCCGUCGUGCUCCCUUUCGCCGUCGCGCUCGAGAGGAACAACUGGCCCAAGCAAUGGAUCCCCGUGCUGAUCCUCCAGCUCCUCAUCAUCUCCCUCGGAGGGUCAGAUCAUAAAAUAAAAUAAACCAAUAAGCUCCUCAUAAUCUCCCUCGGAUUGCUAUUUGCUACAUAGUCUUUCAUUUAGUAUUUAUUUACACCAGAUAGUCUGCUCUUCAUGGUUUAUUUUGCCAAAUUUAAUAUUUCUAAAAGGUCUCCAGUUUUUAACUUCUUGAGUGCAUAUGUAGUAGUAGUAGUAGUAUUGUUACUGUGUUCUGAAGUUAUCUGUAAUCCUUUUUAAUUAGCCAAAUGAGAUCAAUGAUUCAGAGUAUUUAUGCAUCGCAUAACCAGUUACUCUGACUAAAUUUCUCCAAAAUUCAGUUGAUGGGUUAAAUUUGGUGAUUGUUGACAGUUCAUUAGUUACAGUGACAAAGGUUUAGAUACCGAAUGCUUUCAAGCAAUUCACUGAACAAUUUUUUUCCUGCUCUUGCUUAGGGUGUCCCUGUACCAAGUGUUUAUGAUGCUCGGUGUCGAGCGGACCUCGCCGGCAAUUGCAUCCGCCAUGCCCAAUCUUGGCCCCGGCUUCAUCUUCGUUAUCUCCGCCUGCCUCGGGUACUAAUUAAACCAAAUAUCAACCGAACAGAGCCACGUUGUUAACUUUCAGACUGAAAAAUUACUGAACUUUCAUUUGGUACUACUGUUCAUAUUCAGGUUUGAGAGGUUUGAGUGGAGGUGCAAGUACACUAGAGCAAAGAUCCUGGGCACAUUGGUGUGCCUCAGUGGAGCAAUGUGUGUGAGCUUCCUAAAGAAUCCCACUCCCGGCACACCGCCGAAGUCCGUUUCCGGGCCAGGGGAUGACGAAGAGCUCUCCGGUGUAAGCAUCGACAGAGGUUGGGUCCUUGGCUGCCUAUACCUGCUCACCGGAGUCACCAUCUUCGCCUGCAACACCGUCCUGCAGGUACAAACUCCUCACACACAGAUAAAACACUUUUGACUUGUCUGUAAUUCUGUUUGAAUAGCUGGUACGUCUGAUCUGUGGACUGAAUCUGAUUCUUUUGUGGAAAGGAUUUAACUGAAUUCGGAUGUGAAAGUGCAGACUGCAGCCCUGAAGAGAUUCCCUGCGCCGCUGUCGAUCUGCGUGAUCACCGCCAUGAUGGGGUCGAUCUUCAGCGCUAUCAUCCAGGUCAUCAUGGAGGGAAACCUCAGCGCGGGCACUGCGAAGAACGUCCCCAGAAUCAUCGGUGAAAUUGUGCUUGUGGUACAUUUAUAUACUAUACUACAGCAUCUCAUGAAUUCAGUAUAUGAUACCUGCAUUGGUCCGAGACUGAAAACCGCUGUCGAUGCUUCUGUAGGGAGGUGUGGUGGUCGGCCUGUGCACAACGUUCCAGGUGUCGAGCAUUGGACGCAAGGGCCCCGUCCUCGUGUCGAUGUUCAGCCCGUUCCAGACCGUCUUCUCGGCGUUCAUCUCCUUCGUUCUUUUUGGUCAGUGGAUCGGCAUAGGAUGGUAGGUCUUAUUACCAGACAUUCCAGGCACCUAACUUUCAAAAAAAUGUCAUUGCAGGUCUUACAUUUUUUAACUGAAUAAAAGUGUAGAUUGGGCAUUAUUGGCAUCUGACAUGUUCACACCAAAUCCUUGUUGCAGCCUUGUGGGAAUUGUGCUCAUGUUCGCUGGCCUUUACGUGGUGCUAUGGGCGAAGAACAGGGAGGACAAGAUGUUCGCCGAGCUCAUGGCACCGUGUGAUGAAGGUGAAUGUGAUAUCGAGAGGCCACUCUUGUAGUGAUGAAUCAUCAAAUUCACUUGCUUGUAGUACUGAAGGGAAAAUGUUAGUGCUAAAGGUUACAACCAAGUACUGAUCAUGUUUACUCCCUCUUUUUGCUGGUAUGUGGUUUGUAUUUUGAAAUGUACUAAAGCCUCCAGUUUUUGCUUUUGUCGGAAUUGCUACAGUUGAAGUUUUUUGCAGCUGCUGUACAAGUUUGAUCCUGAUGGACUUGUGACCUUUCUGUAAAUAUUAUUUCCCCAUACUGCGCACUCGUGCAUAGAACCGUAGAAUUAGAUGAUUGUACGACUAAAUUUCGGUUUUGAACUAUCUUGAGAAUUACGGAAACAGCAGCUCUUUGAAUUAACAUUUGUUGGGGAUCUAAAAGCCAGGUCAAAUCUAGGAACCAGAAAGAACUGAACCAAUAUUUUUUGAAAGUCCCCAGCAACCAAACUCCCCCGCGUCGCCCGCCUCUGGCGACACGGGGGAAACCCUAGCCGCCGGCCUUUGCUUCCCUCCCCUCCCUUCCUCCCCCACCUCGCCGCCGCCGGAGGGGUUGCCGGCGAAGCCAGGCAAGCCCAUGGAUCGCGGCGGCGGGGCUGUUUCCCCCCCCUUUCCGCCUGGUUCUGCGUCGGGGGCGCGAGGCGGCCGGCCGGCUGCGGUGGAGCUUGGAGCGGCGGCAGGCGCGCGUGGCGGGCGGGUCCGCGGGCCGGCGCGCUUCUAGGCGGUGUGGCGCGUAGCGGGUGGGCGCAGCAUGGAGACGCCGAAUCCGGCAACGGAGGUGCCGGAUCCGGGUAUGGUGGCGCCAGAUCCGGUGGGAUCUUGGCGCGCCACCGCCGUCCGCGGUGUGGCGGGCCCUUCUGGGCCUGCGGGCCUCGGUGGGUGGCAGUACGCUGCUGCUAGGUCGCUAAGGCGAGGAGGCCACCGGCGGUGCGGUUUUGGCCGCCGUCGGUGGUGUUGCGGGCCCGUUUGGGGCCUGGCGGGCCACGGCCAUGCCGCCCUUUUUCUGCUGAGCCUAGAUCAGGGGUGGGGGUGGCCAGAUCCGGUGCGUGGGGCGGUUGCGGUGCCUUGGCCGGUGCCCGUGGUGGUAUUGGCGCGUGGCUUUCGGCGAACUUCACCGGAGCUCGCAAUGUUACGGUGGCCCCUGGUUCGGGCCUCUAUCCGCUCCUUGCCGUGGUGGGUUUGGCGGCUGCGGGUGAAAACUCUGCAUCGACGUUGUCGGUGCAAGCGACGGUGGCGUCCGUGGACGUCAUUUUCCUUCUUGAAGGCGUUGUGCAGCUCCACCACAUCCCAAUCUUCGCAAGCGAGGUGUCCCCGAGCGAAAGCUCUGACUCGGUGGCCGGGUCGGGUAACGGUAACGGACAACCUCUUUUGUCUCCAGUCGUCGAAGAAGCCCCGCUCUGCCUACUUUCUCUGGCGCAAGGAGCCGUUCCCUGUUCGGCGUCGUUGGAGCGGAGGAGGUCUUCGUCUUUACGGUGACGGCUUGUUUAUUCGGUUCUUGUAUAUGCACUUUGUCAGUGUGUUUCGCACGGCUUUCCUUGAAUAAGCCGUGCAUUUGUAUCGGUUUUCAGGUUCGGUUUCCCUCAUAAACAGGUCCAAUUCUAUUCUUCUAAUCAAAUCGGGAUCGACCGUUGCGUCCUAAAAAAAAUUAACAUUAGUUGAAGAGUUCCCACAAAAACUUCACCGCGGCUUCUCGAAGUCGAAUCAAAGCGCCAGAAACUCCCGAACCAAAUCAGAAAUACGACCACUUCACUUCACGGCUCGAAAGACCAUAUUUCGCAACGAAAGUUCCCCAACACUCACAAGGUUCUAAAGCAAUACCUGGAGCGAUUGAAAGCUAAUCGUGAAAUGCUAGCUACAAUGGAAUUCCCAUGAAGCAACCGGUGUGAAGCUGUCACAAGAAACUCUCAGCAGUUUGACCUUGAUAAAAUGGCGGUUGUCACCUAGAGUUCCCCAAACACUUCACCCUUCAGCCUGUGAGCUAGUAUAGGAAAGCCGACCUGCUGAAGUGUUUGGAGGGAACCCCAGGAAACAACCAACCGUUCGUCCAGGAGCUCACCUGCUUCUGAUAUUUUCAUGGCUGGCGGAGCGAAGAGGUAGCUCGUGUAUUUAUAAGCUGGACUAGAAUCGUUUUGUUCCAUGUUCUUCCUAACCCUCUGGUACAGAGCAAGGAAAAUUGCUGGAUGAACCUGGCCGUCAUUCCGGCUUAGUUGGGGAUGGAGCCGAAUGGAAUCUGAGCGGCCCAAACUUCGAAGCAGACCCGGGAGAAAAAGAGUAAUUUCACUUUUCACAUUUAAUUUUUUUUUGUCUCUUCUUAGAUUCAGUUGUUUGAACUAUAUUAUAGUUGAGGUUAUUUCAUAAUCUGCGGUAAGAAAAUACACACAAAAAAUAAACAAAAGUUGAUUAGUCAAACGAAAAAAUAGACAAAAACUCGUUGAAAAAACUGAAUUAUCAUAAUCCAGCUAAAUGCCAAACUCAGCCUUAAUGUCAGGUUUUACGUCAUUUCAACUUUUGUCCAGGUGUUGCCGUCUAAACCCACAUUCGUGAGACCUCUGGCAAUAUAUAGGGCAAUUUCUAGUCUAGUACCUAAAUAUGAGAUUCAAUCAGAAAUUUCUUUACGGUAUUUGUUAACGGUAACUUUGCUACAGAAUCACAAUCAUAGGAAAUUAGUUUCAGCUAUGAAUCCACCACAUUUGCAGAGGGAGUAGAUUGGUGCUUCUAAUCUCCUUCAGGAAUUUAACUUCUGGUCAAACAAAAAACAUGUCCAGGUUCAAGGUAAUAUACGGAGUAUAUGAUUGUAUGACGUGACAGUGACUUAGAAUCACAAGAAAUUCCUUCUGGAGGUGAUUUUAUCACUACUCCCUCCGUUCUAAAUUCAGGACUCCCUCCGUUCCAAAUUCCUGAAUUUAGAUAGUCAAGAUGCGCCUCACAUUUUGCCGCAGGAGAGUAUCAACAUUCUAAUGCUCCUUCUGGAAUUUGACUACCGGUGAAAGAAUGGAGAAAUAGUCUAUAUUCAAGGUGUAGUGAGUGUAAAUCCCUCGAUAGAGCUUUUUGGCCAACAGAUCAGCUCCUGGGAGCGAGCUGAGCAAUCCAGAAAAUAUAGAUCAUUCGCAUGAAGGGAAAAAGCACCGCAACAGAUGGGAAUUCCAAUAGCUUUUGAUCAUCAAGGUCAAGCAUCCAUAGAGAACUAGCACGCAAAAUCUAGAGAAUCGCAUCAACAUCACAUACUGAACCAGGAUUCCCUAAAUCCAGAGAGAAAAUUUCUUGAAUGCUUAAACAAAUUCGGAAGAAACUCAGAAGGUAUUGUUUAGGCCUUGGUUGUCUUAUCCUUGGUCUUUUGGAUCUUAAGCACCUUCUUCACGAUCUUCUGCUCCUCCACCAAAAACGCCCGGAUGAUCCUGCAAAGAGCAGAAGGCAUAAGCUUAGCUCAAUGGCACAUUGGAUAAGAAUUUAGUAUGCUGUGUGUUAUGACUGAUGGUUACCUCUCCCUGACUGCAGGACCAGACAGAACGCCACCAUAAGGACGGUUCACAGUCCUCCGGUUCCUUGACAAUCUGGACCUCUUGUACUCAGUAGGUCUCAGGUGGGGAAUCUGCGUACAUGAAACUUUCAUGAGAAUGCAAUAUACAAAGUAAAAGGGGCAUAAACUUCGAAACAACGUGUACAUGUAUUUCUACCCAGCUGUAUAUCAUGUUUCCAGUAUAACGCAUUUUCAUUUUCAUGGGAACGGAAUACCAGUAAACAAGGCAUAAACUUCUGGUCAACAUGAACUUAUCAUUCAACCCGGUUGUAUAUCAUGUUUCCACUAAUUCAUAGGAUAUACCUACUGUACUGCUGAAUACAAAACAUAAGAAAACAUCCAGCAGCAAUACACAAAAAUAUUAAUCGAACAUGACUUCAUGAAGAUAGGAACGGCGAGCUUAACACACUAAUCUGUCAAUGCUACCUAUUAGGACCAAUAUGAUGCAGCUGCUGUAUUGGCUCAAAUAUAGAGAACAAUUAUUCUUUCUAUGAACAUAACACACAGUUCAUUCCAAAGAUAAGUAAGGUAAAAUAUUAAUGAACCCUUUGGACUGCAAGGCCAACAGCCAAAAUUACCACAUAAAUACCACCACAGCGACAAUGCGUUACCAGAAACAGACUCAAAAGAUAUAGGUUAAGAUCAGGCAAGCAAACAAAGAUAAAAAUGUUACUCCCUCCGUCCCAUAAUUAAGAUCAGGCAAGCAAGCAAGAAUUAUGGGACGGAGGGAGUAUAAAGUGUGUGCCACAAUAAAUAGAUAAAUGAACCAGAUAGAAGACCAAUCAAGCAUACCAUGGUAUGACUCAGAAAUAGAGCUGCAAAUUUGUGACCCUCAGGGUACCCAUUGACCCUCCUUAGUUCAACCAAAUGAACUAAAGUUUUAAAAUGACACAACUUUUUGAAAAACUAGUUCAUUUAUUUGAACUAGUUCAAAGGGUACCCCCUGUGGGUCACCAUGUUGCACCUCUACUCAGAAACCAUUAGUGCAACAAACCCUGUAAAAUGGCAUUUUCAAAAAAAUUCACCACAACCGUAAGGUGAGAACUAGGAUUAUAAUUCAUAACAUCAGACCAAGAUACUAGACAGAAAAAUGAGCCAACUACUCAAUCUCAAUUAACAACAAGAUGAAAGUGAGAGGUGCUGCACAAGGCCUCAUAGAGAAGAUUAGAUUUAAUCGACAUGAAAAAUUCAGACAUAUGCUUGUCAUUUAUCUUAUUAAUCAUUGGCCAGGCAACAUGUUCGACAAAAAAAAAGGUGUAGGAGAACCCAGGUGCCAGUGGUAAAGGCCAGCUGGAAGACAUGAGUAGUACAAGGAGAAAUCACACAGUGACACAGCCAAAAUCCCAAAACAACUAACCAAGCCGGAUUAGGAAUGGUAAAUAUACCAGGAUUAUAUGAACCAAACAGCACUUCAAGCGAGAAUAUGAAUUAACAAAAGUCUCCAACAUUUCCAGUCACCACUUCAUAUCAACAUAAUCGAAAAAUUUAUGCAUGGUUGUAAUGCCAAAACCAUAGGACAGAAUCCAAAGGUUUUAUCUAUAAUUCUGUAAAUUUCCAACGGUAGCUGCUUGGUUAAAAUGGGCAGGUGGUAAUCGUGUAAUAUAUAACAAACUAAUGGGAUGACAGGUCAAAAUGGUAGAAUGGGAGCACAUACUCCUUGGAUCUUCUUGCCGGUGACCGGGCAUUUCGGCCCACUCGCCCGCUUCUUGGUGUACUGGUACACAAGCUUCCCACCUAGCAAUCAACAACACAGAUGAAGAAAAAAAACACUAUUUAGUCAACAUCCGGCAAGAAAGCCCCAAAAUUAUUUCUACUCGAGAUUAAACUAUUCCUCCGUCCAACAAAAGAUGUCUCAAGUUUGUCAAAAUUUGGAUGUAUCUAGACAUGACUUGGUGUAUAGAUGCAUUCAAAUUUAGUCAAAGUUGAGUCAUCCUUUGUUGGACGGAGGGAGUACCAAAGUCUGGUAUACCGGGAACAAAACUUAUGUGUAAAAAUCACGAGUACUAAAUCCGUCUAAGACUAACAGCAACAGCGGAUCGAUAAGAAGAAGAAAAAAACGAGAUUGGGAGCAGGAGGGGGAGCCACCGAUCUCGUCACUAACCCGGGGUCUUGACGACGCGGGUCUGGUUGGACUUGGUGGCGUAGCUGUGCCGCUUCCGGUAGGUCAGCCGCUGCACCAUCUCGCCGACGUCGUGCUCCGGGAGUCCUCUCGCCCCGUGCGAUCUCUCUCUCUCUCUUACUGUGGCGAGGCGGCGGCAAAGGGAAGCGAGGGUUCGGGAGAGGGGAGAGCUUUUAUAUAUGGUAGGUGGGGAUUCGAGUAACCUAGAUCCGACGGCUUUAAUCGAUUGAUCUGACGGCUCGAGUUCGCAUUCGUGAACUCGGUAUGUUAGGCUGUGACAGCCUAGAAUCGCAAUAGCUCGCAAUCGUGUCGUCGUGUACACAGGUGCCAGAUCAACUAGUAACUCCUUCUUUUCUAAAAUUUAGGACGCAACCGUAGUUUCACAUGGUUCGAUUAGAAAAAAAAGUUUGACCGUUUAUAAGAAAAACCGGGCCGAAAAAUCGAUACAAUGCACGGAUUAUUCAAAAAAAGUCAUGUGAAAACGCCUAACAAAGUGCAUACACAUGACAAAAUUGAAUAAACAAGCCGCUACCGCGAAGACGAACCCCACCCGGAACCAACGACGCCGAACAGAGAACAGCUCCUAUCGCCAGGAGAAGGUAGGCAGAAUUGGGUUUCUUCGACGACCGGAGCCAAGAAGGUUGCCCCGACAGGAACGGCUCGUGCAUCGGCAAGCCCACGUAGCACAGAGUCGCCAUCCCUGGCCAAAUCCCCAGCCAGGCUCACCGCAACAAGCAAAACUUCGCCACCAGACAAGGGCUCCAAAGGCAACUCCUCCAAGAAGGGCACGACGUCCGAAGACGCCGCCGUUACCCAACGCAUUUGAGCUUUCGCUCUGAGGCACGUCGUCCGCAAAUGGUGGGAUGUAGUAGGACUGCACGACGACGCCUUCAAGAAGGAAGCAACGUCCAAGGACGCCGUCAUCGCCGGCACCAAAGAUGGUACAGGGUUUUCACCCGCAUCCCCACGCACCCAGCACGGACAAGAGCAGCAGCUUUGCAGCGAACCUGAGGACUGAAUAGGGGCCACCGAGCCACCGUGCGCACCGACGUAGGACCGUCGGCGCCACACGGCCCAAAUAGCCACCGGCUAGGGCGGUUGCGCACCGGAUCUGGCGCCCAAAGACCCGGAUCAGACACCCAAGAGGAAAUAAGUUAAUUUCACAAGUAGUGAUAACCAUCUCUGACACAUAUGGCGUAAUUCAUCAUCAGAUCUAAAAAUGCAUAAUCUAUAAAGGAACAGGUUUUGGGAGGAAAUGUACGUUAGGGAUUCAGCAAUUACUAGAAAAAUAUUAAGAGCACGGAUAACAUAUUUCAAUGGCAAAAGCGGUAACAUACUUCAAUGGCAAAAGUAUAAGAGCCAUAAUCUAUAAAGAAAGCAAUUCCACUGGGUUCUUUGUCUUUUGAAUUUCUCCGCAUAUCAUUUUUGGAUCAACUAGGCCACGCUGGACAGAAGAAAAAAAAACUGGAGUGCCAAAUUAAUGAAGUCCGAUUGAGAGUGUAAAAUCUAAUAAAUUAUCCCUGCUAAGUUAUUUUGACUGAGAAACAUGUAUGCUGUCGAGAUUUGAUAAAAAGACGUGCAUCAGAAAAAAUAAGCAUAGGCAAAUAAUUUAAAAUGAUAAAAAGUUACAUCCAAUUUUUUUUAUGUAUAUAGUCCAAUAGUGAUGGUGACCAAUAUUACAAAACAUUACAGUUACCUCUAUUCCAAUACAAUACUACAUCCAGUAGAUACAUAGUUACAUCUAAUAUAAUUUAUAGUCACAUCUAAUGUUAACUAGCUAGGUAUGCGCGCUUCGCCGUGCCGUUAAAAACAAUGAAGCCAUUAGACGAUAAUUCUUUCUGCGCGCAAGCCAAUAUAGCGACAAAAAGAAAAUGAAGCCAACCAUACCUCGAAGCUAAGCACCCAACAAUAGCGACGAACAAACCAUCCCCAUACAUCGUCUGAAGGAAGAAUACAUGCAUAGAAAAAAAUAAUACUAAGUGUAGUUACACCUACAAAUUAUUAGAAGAAAUGACAUUCAAAUAUCACACAAGAGGUCGCAGGUUCAAAGCAACUAUAACCCAUGGUUAUAACAGUACAUCAACUUCUCAAGGGUAACUUGAAAAAUUGUGUCUCAAAGCUCUGUUUUAAUGCUACAGCAGAGUGCAAGUUUCCUUCUUUGCUUGGAACAGAAAUAAAUAGUGGAAGGUACAAACUAAAGCUACAGACAGCUCAAGGAGAAGGUAAGUGCAGAGUGUAGCGGAAAAAGUCGUAUUUUGCUGCUCUCAAGGAGAAGGUAAGUGCAGACGGUACUUGAACAUCUCGGUGAUUUGCCCUUUUCUACUUCUAACUAUAUUUUUUAUUUUCUGAACCCAAAAAAGCUACGUGAAAGGACACGUAUGCCCUUGUGGCAAUCUUGCAAUUUCUCUUGCCUCUUCUUUCAACCUGGCUUGAUCCAACCAAGCCUCAAUCAAAUCGAUUGGCUCGCCUGUUCGUCCAGGAGGGAGCAGUGUUUCAUCCUGGAGCAGAGGAGGGGUGGGAGCAACGCGGCGGCCGGUCGGUGCCUCUUCUCCGGACACCAUGGGCAGCAAUUCCGGCCACCGGAUAACCAAUUCCUCUCUUACCCCCUAUUCGGUCCUUAUUGGCUGUUUUUCGAGCUGCAGAAACCAUAACCAGAUUCGGGAGCUUCAGAAAAGUUGCAAUAGCUUCAACAACCUCUACCCGGGGGCUUCAACACUUUAAUCAGAGAAAUGAAGAACCUCCGUGCAGAUGAUCUAUCCGACACAAUCUAUACCUGUCAAAAAAAUACGAACCGUUCCUUUCACCACGCGGUUUCGUCGUUCAUCAAACCGCGGGCAAUCCCGAUCCAACACACCGUGGCGCGCCUCUCGCCCUUCUAACACGCACCUAAAACCUCUUCCAGGUGCCGCGGCGGCGAGAUACGGACCGUGGCGGAGGCACCGUACCUCCCACGCCGCCGCAUCCCCGUCCCUCCCGUGCCACCGCCGGCUCCUCAUUCACCGCUACCACCAUGACUCCUCCUCAGAUAUGGUUUGUGGUUGGACUUGGGCUGGAGGCGCUGGGCUUAGGGCCGCGAUUGGGAUCUCAGAGCUUGGGGUGUUGGAAAUAUGCCCUAGAGGCAAUAAUAAAUAUGUUAUUAUCAUAUUUCCUUGUUCUUGAUAAAUGUUGAUUAUCCAUACUAUUGUAUUAACAGGAAACUAAAUACAUGUGUGGAUAAAUAAACAAAUACCGUGUCCCUAAUACGCCUCUACUAGAUUAGCUCGUUGAUUAAAAGAUGGUUAAGGUUUCAUAACCAUAGAUAUGUGUUGUCAUUUAAUAACGAGGUCAUAUCAUUAGGAGAAUGAUGUGAUGCACAGACCCAAACCUAACCAUAACUUUUGAUCAUGUCACUUAAGUUUGAAUUGCUUAUGCUUUUAUUAUGUCAAGUAUCAUUUCCUUAGACCAUGAGAUCAUGUCACUCCCUAGUACCAGAAGAAUACUUUGUGGACAUCAACCGUCAUCUCGUAACUGGGUGAUCAUAAAGGUAUUCUUCAGAUAUCUCGGAAGGUGCUUGUGGGGUUGUAUGGAUCAAGACUGGGAUUUGUCACUCCAUGUGACGGAGAGAUAUCUCUGGGCCCUCUCGGUAAUAUAACAUCCUAAUGAGCUUGCAAGCAUAUGACUAAUGUGUUUAGUCACAGGAUAUUAUAUUGCAGUACGAGUAAAGAGAACUUGCCAGUAACGAGAUUGAACUAGGUAUGGUGAUACCGACGAUCAAAUCUCGGGCAAGUAAUAUAUCGCGAGACAAAGGGAAUUGAAUACCGGAUUAAUUGAAUCCUCGACAUCGUGGUUCAACCGAUGAGAUUUUCGUGGAAUAUGUGGGAACCAUUAUGGACAUCCAGGUCCCGCUAUUGGUUAUUGAUCGGAUAGGUGUCUUGGUCAUGUCCACAUGUUAUCGAACCCGUAGGGUCACACAGUUAAUGUCGCUAGGGUUCGAUGAGAUAAUAGAUGGUGAAAUCGAAUAUUGAUUCGGAGUCUCGGAUGGGAUCCAAGACAUCACGAGGAGCUUCGGAAUGGUCCGGAGAUAAAGAAUUAUAUAUGGGAAAGCUGUUUCAGGGUUUCGGAAAAGUUUGGGAUAUUUUCCGGUAUCGACCGGAAAUGUUCUAAAAGGUUCUGGAAUGUUCCAGAAUAUUCCUGAGAAUUUAAUUGGGCUUUAUAGUAAUUAAUUGGAGCAAUCUAAUUACUUAUCCCCUAAUGGGCCUAGGGGGCAAAGGGAAGGAACAACUCCACCGUACGGUGGAGAACCGUACGUGGGGGAGUUCAUGGGGAGGCAGUCCUCCCGGGACUCCUUUCCCUCCCCUGGCCAGCGCUAGCUCUUUCUUGAGGGAGGGGCAAACCCUGGUCACCACCUCCUAUAUAAAUAGAGGUGAGGGGCAGGGGGAGAGGACACACCAAGCCCUCAGCUGGAUCUCUUUCCCCUGAGCCCCUCUCCUCCUCCUCUCUCGUGCGCAGUAAAGCCCUGCCCGCGGAGCUCUCCACCAUAGCCAGCACCACGCCGUCGUGCUUCUGGAAUCUCAUCGACCUCUUCCCCUCGCUUGCUGGAUCAAGAAGGAGGAGACAACGUGAAGCUAAACGUGUGGAUACCAAGGAGGUGCCGUCGGUUCUGCACUGAGAUUGAUCUCAUCGAAAGUUCCAGUAUGCCAACAAUGAUCCCGUGAUUGUAACGCUUUGUGGUCUACGAGGAUAUGAUGAUCAUAAUCCCUCUCGUUACUUACAUCUAGUAGAUAUGUUAUUGGGUUUCUUACGCACAUCUCGUAGGAAAUUUUUUGUUUUCCAUGCAACGAACCCAUCAUGGGGUUAACACGAUGCAGAGAGAGAAUGAGGAGGAGAGUAGAGCAAGGGUGCGGCACGGAGAGAUUAAAGGUACGAAAGUUACGAUUGAAAACCUGAAUCGAUCCAUGAGGUGAUGAGAAUGAAUUUGGCGGUUUCGAUUUUGAAAGAAAUGGUCAGGAGCGAGAGAAUCGAAGGACAAUUCGAGGCGGUGGCGUGCACUUGAACUGCAGGCGCGUCCGCGUGUUCUUCUGUGUCUCUCGACCGAAGAAGACGAUGCGUGGUGGCUGGGAUGGGCUGGAACUAGAGGAGGGGGAUAGAAGCUGGACUGGAUGGGUGUUGGCCCAAAGCAAUGAAAUUGUUUUCCUUCUAAUUAAAAAAAUAAAGCAAAUUCAAAAUCAAAUGCACCCAGAAAAUAAACAAAAAAAUGACAAAGACUGAAUAUUUUGAGCCAAUAAAGUAUUCUCAUAGCUAAAUUCAAAAUCUUUUUCAAAUAUUUGGAGCGGACCGUGGCAGCGCACGGGUAUUUCGGCUAGUAAGGGAUAAAAUCAUGAUGUUUGUUCCUCGCAAAAAAAAUCAUGAUGUUUGAUGAUAGGAGGAGAAGGGCCGGGGAAAAGCUUCAAGGGUACUGCCAGCUACCAUUACAGAAAUUAACAAGAAGUGUAGGCUGAAUCCUAUUUUUUGUGUGAUGCCUUGUGAUAACUUCUGAGAUAUGAACUCAGAAUCAUCCAUUUUAUUUUGGAGAUAUGGACUGAAAAUCACCUACGUAAUCUCUGAAUCCUAUUUUAUGUCAUCUGAAUCCAGCAUCCUUCAAAUUAUAUGAAGUGUAUAUAGAUGAGGUGUACAUAUGCCGUCAAAAUCAGAGACGAGGUCGAUAUGUGCUGUCAAAAUCAGAGAUGAAAUGCAUAUUGUGAUGUCAAAAACAGAGAUGACGUGCAUAUGUGCUGUCAAAAUCAAUCACGAGGUGCAUAUGUGUGAUGUCAAAAUCAACCAUGAACUGCAUAUAUGCUGUGAGCAUAUAUAUCAAGCACUAAUUGUAUAUAUACUAGCAAAAAGUCAUGCGUUGCUACCAAAGAAAAAAAAUUGAAAAACAUGUUGGCUUAAGUUUUCAAAAAUGGUGCCUUUUGCACAUAGCCACGUAUUGAGAGAACUUUAGCCGUUACCGAAAUUUCUGAUCGAAAAAACGUUAAUUCAGUCUACCGAAAACGCCUUUUCCGAUAUAAUUUCAUAUUUUAUAAUUUUUAGCCCAUAUGAAAAUUCUGUUAGCCCCGACGAGAUGCUGCUCUCCCUUCGCUCCAUCACGCAUCUCUGCGAUGCCAUGGCACAUAUAUUGGACCAGUUUCAACCAUGAUCUUUAAGGAAAAUCAAGGAUCCAGCACAUCAUCGAUUAGUCAUAUGAUUAAGUCCAAUCGGGUCAAAAAAUAGAUCCAGGAAAAUGGUAAAACUAAAAUCAUAUACGGAGGGAAAUUAAAUCAAUGGAAUUUUCAGAGCAGAUCCAUGUCCUAAUUAAAUUUAGAAAGCAUGGUCUACAUGUACCAUCAAUUAGGCCAAGAUUUCAGCAAAAAUAAAGAAAAAAUAGAAAAAAACGUCGGUAGUUGUAGCGCCAGAACGCCCGCUCGGGAGCAGCUGCUGCUGCGACGUCGCUGGAGGAAGGCGCCCGCGCUACCGCCAUGCCCAUCUCCGCCACUGUGCAUCGGAUGCCGACGACCAGCUAAGGAGGCGCCUGACCGACCAACCGAGUAGCGGGCGCCGCUGAGGAUCUUGACGACGCAGGCCGGACGGAGGCCGGACGAAGGAGCGGCUCUGUUGUCUUCCACAUGCGGAUCCUCGUCACUGGCAGCGUGUCGUCCUACGCAUCCACCUAGUCGUCGAACGCCACACGGCCUCUCCCGAUCUUCUGCAGCACUGCCGUCGCGCCUCCGUCUUCAGACUGCAGCGCCGCCGCCGAGCUCCACCUACCUUGCUCGCGGCUAGCCCCGCCUUUGCCAAAACACACCGUCGAUCUCCUCCACAGACUACAGCCAGCCGUCCAGAUAGAUGAAGAGAGAAGGGGGCAGGGGCUUGGCGUCCUUGGUCCAGAUUGGGAGCACCGAAGGAGCGAAGACGGCAGGGGGCGCUGGGCCGCCAGAUGCCCAGAUCGAGUCUCCUCGGUACUCGGGAGGAGGAGACGAGGCAGGGGAUGAGGAGACGGGAGUGGUCGCGCGAGCCAGAUCGGUAGUAGAGAGACCGGAGAAGGACUGGAGAGAGGGCGGCGCGACGGGGGAGAGCAGUGGCGGCGGCGGCAUGGAGAACGAGCGAGGAUGGCGAUGAAGGGAGGAGUUGGACUUCGUGGAGGAGGCGGAUCGAGCGGUGCGAGGAAGAAGAGUUCGAGGAGGAUGGAUCGAGGGGAUAUGUGCGAGAGGGAGAGGGGACAGGGGUCGGGCCGCGUGCCCGCGUGAGAGGGUCGUGCGGAAAGUAUCGAGGACCUACGGCGGUGGUUAGAAUCAAUCGGAUAAAAAAACGCUUCGGGAUUAAAAGUGAUGACAGCGGUGGUAAAUUCGUAAUUUUGGUGAAGUGACGUACGGCUGCGACCGUACCAUCACCACCAACUCCAAUUUAAUAUAUUGGUAUAGAUACCAGCAAAUGCAUAUAGUUCUGAGGACUCACAAAUAGUUAGUUGUCCCCUUUUUACUACCGUCCAACAUUGCUAAUCCUGCAGAGGAACGAAGGAAAUCCUGCAGGGUUAAGGCGAGCAGACACAAACCGAGAGGGGUGCGUUUGGUUGGGUGGACAGGGGUGGAUGAGAUAGCCAGCAAAAGAGAAUAUACCACCAAUAUGCUGGCUCAGCCCAUCCGGAAAAUUUGGCCGGAUACGGCCAUCCACCCUCCUCUCCCGCAACGCCCCUCUCUCUUUCUCUCGCUAAUCUCUUCGCCCCAUUGCUCCUCCGGUUCUCCUCCCGCCAUUGUCGACCGCCGCGGCUCCUCCUCCAUGUCGCCCCCACUGAUCCUCCGCUGCCCCCUGCUCCCCCGCGCUGCCCCACUACUCUCUCCCCGUGCUGCUCUGCUGUCCCGCCGCCGCCCGCUGCUCCUCCGUGCCGCCGCCGCCCGCUAAUCUCUCCUCUGCGCGGCCGCCACUGAUAUCUCCCCGCCGCCCGCUGCUCCUCCGCGCUGCCGCCGCCCGCUAAUCUCUCCCCGCCGCUGCUGCACUCUCCUCUGCACGGUCGCCACUAAUCUCUCCCCGCCGCCCGCUGCUCCUCCGUGCCGCCUGCUAAUCUCUCCCCGCCGCCGCUGCUCUCUCCUCCUGCCGGUGCCGCCCUCCGGUUCUCCUCUCGUCGCAAGUCCAGCACCCUGCGCCUCCUCCUCUGCUCCAGCGCCUGUCGUCCGGCCCGCCGGCCAUGGCCGCCCUGCGGUUUCCGUCCGCCUCGCCCGCCAUGGCUCUGGCUUUCGGCCCAACCCCUCUCCGCCCUGCGCCUCACCGGCGGCUCUGCCCCUAUUGCCGGCCUGCGCCUCCUCCUCCUGCCGGAGGUCGAGGGCCAUGUCCUUGUGCGUGAGUGCUCCGACGCCGGAGUGGAGAGGCGCUGGGGGCGGAUGAGCGCCGCCGCCAUGCGCGGGGACACGAAUGGAUUGCAUUUAAGCUGAAAAUUGAUGUUAAUUGCAUGAAGCUAUCAUAAUAUGUCGAUUGAUGUUAAAUUAAGCUGAAAAUUGCAAUAACAAUACCAUAUCCACUCAUUUCUUGUCCAUUCAAACAAACGGAAACCCGACUGAUCCAACUUAGGCAAACAAACAACGAAAAUGGAUAUCCCUAUCCAUGCCAUCCAUGGAUACCCUAUCCAUCUUAGCUCGCCCGUGAAACAAAUGUAUCCGAAGUCAAGAUGAGAUGGAUAAAAGAAUACUGGUCACCGCGCACGUGGCCCUGGAGUCAGCGCGCAUGUGGUAUUGGAGCCGCACCGUGUGGCCCAUGGAGGUGUCACAGGAAUUGUUGCUCCACCCAAGCUUCCAGCCGGAGUCGCUGCGUGGUGAUCGCCAGUCGCAUCUCACCGGACAGGGACGAAUAGUCUGGGCGCCAAAUACAAAGGGACAAGAGAAAUUGCAAGAUUAGCAACCGCAACAAGAGAAAUUGCAAGAUAGGCACAAGAAUAAAAAUGCGCAGCCACCAAGAGCACCGAGAUCCUUCCACAACAACGAGAGCGAGCGCCCGGUACCCCAGGAGAAACGGGCGAUAUCUUUCUCGAAACAAACAAAAAGGAAAAGAAAGAGAAAACAAAAAUCAUGACCAACCAAGCCCUCUGGAGGGCUUGCUUAAGAAUAAGAAAGAAGAAUCUUAUGGAAAUGGAAUAAGGUUUGAUCCUAUUCAUGAGGAUUCCGUAAAUAUGACAUUCCAAAAAUAGAAACAAUUGGACUUUUUGGAGAUUGGAUGCCGUUACUAACCACAACCAAAAAGCGGCCACCAAGA
rnacentral:lncRNA from 1 species